rnacentral:lncRNA from 1 species
UUGGUCGUGCUAAGCUGCCUACUGCGACCUCUCACCGGCGCUUUCCUUCGCUGCCGAGGCCUCUGCUUCCCUCCUUCAAACUGUCUCCAUGGCCACUCGUAUCAUACCAAUCCGCUGGCUGCUUCGAUUUGACUCUGCUUCUAAGUCGCCACCGCACCAAGAGCCUUUUGGCCUUCUUCUGUUUCCAAUCUGGAUUGGGCCUCACUCCGCCUCUGUUUCUGACCCGCCCCGCACGGAGAGUCGCCUCGCUCUGCCCGCCGGCAGUCUCGCACCACCAUCUACAAGCCACUACAGGUUCAGUCGCCGUCUCGGUUUGUUUUGCGCUCAAAGCGUCUGCGAGUUACCGUCGGGCCUGGUUUUCGUAACAAGUCGCCCUCGUUGCGCCUGGUCUCCGCCUCACGCUGUCAUCUACAAACCACCGAGAACAUCGUCUUCCUCUACUGCCCGUUUCCCAGGCGCGUCAGGUCGCUCAUUGCUAUCUCUUGGAUGAGACAUGCAGUCUAGUCUGCUCCAUUAGGAUACAAGUGAAUUGCAUGGUGACCAGAUGUACGUGGAGUCAGGGAGUGCAAAAAAAAGUGGAAGCAGUAAAAUUCAGAUCAAUUGGAAAAACGACGACCGACAUGACUGGUUUGAUGUCCCAGGAAAAGAUCAGGUGCUAUCCACCUUAUUUAUUUUUUCAAUAUACUUUAAGUUCCUCCGGGAACAAUUGUCCUCCUUUUAACAUGUUUGUUCCAUGAUCAUGGCACAGACGAUAAAGAUCAUCUAUCAUCCAAAUACAUCAGGACAAUUAUUCACUGCCGAAGUGGAGUUAUAUCACGGAUAUUGAGUGCAUAGCAUCGUCAUUUUGCACAGCUGCCACGCUCAACGAAAAUGCUUACGCUACCGCCCUUGCGGUCUGGUCUACAUCAACACACCGGGCCGCACCUGUCUGCAUGAGCUAUUUAUUGUAGCGACCAGACCUCAAACAGUCUGUGCUUCUGUGCACCAGUGUCAUCCCUGGAUCAGUAAUGCUGACACGCACAGUACUUGGAGGAUUUAUAACAGAGUAGCAAUCACACACUUAUUACAUCGAGUAUCUCAAGAGAGAAAUAAGUAUGACAAAUAUGGCUUAAGGCCAACUAAAACGAUAACAGCGGAAGACUUGGAAGAUAAGUGAGUCCAUCAACUCCAACGGCAUCACUGAGUAUAAGACCACGACCUAAGGCACCUUACUCGUCGUCUGAAAAGUCUGCAACAUGAAACGUUGCAGCCCAAAAACGGGUCAGCACAUGGAAUAUGCUGGCAAUGUAACACAUAGAGGGUAAUGAACAAAAUAAUGCUAUACUGCAUGCAUAUAUGGCUGGUAGAAGGCUCUAUGGUUACAGUUUUGCGAAAAGCCAAUUUUUCCCUACUGCAAAGGAAUAAAUUUUAUUUAACUAUCAUGGUGGUUGUUAAACAUUGAGAAUGGUUGACAGCAUUCUCAAUCCCAAUUAAGUAUCGUCAUUAACCCAACAAAAUUAAUUAAAGUAACAUGAUGAGAUUCACAUGAUAAUCCAAGUACUAGAUACUCAAGAUGUCCAUAACCGGGGACACGGCUAAUCAUGAUUAGUUUAUACACUCUGCAGAGGUUUGCGCACUUUUCCCCACAAGACUCGAUCUCCUCCGUUGGGAUUCUCACACUUCAGGGUGUUUGAGAAACGGAUGACCGAGACACAGUCUUUCAGAAGUGUUAACUCUCUACUCUGGGUAGACAGUACCACCUACAACCCCUACAUCUGCUAGUCUACCUCUUCAAGAGCUCACACAACUUAAUCAACUAUGCUAGAGCUCAUAAUAGCUUGUGGCUGCACAUGGAAGUUUCUAGCAUGAAUAAUCUCAUGAUCCCUUUGAACCUGGGUGGCGGUCCAAAAGAAAAACAGGCAAUCCUGGAAUACCCAGGUACCUCAAUCCACCCAGAUGUGAGUUUUAGUUGCCACCUUAAGGUUAACCAUUAAUUAACAAUCUCACAUCUGUCAUGGUAACACUCAAACCCAAUCCACGUGUACUAGCAUAGCAUAGUAAUAUGAGCAACGUAGAAGUAACUCCCAAGGGUUUGAUAAUAAACAGGUGAUAGGUACUACCUCAACUACUUCCCAAUACCCACAAUUUAAUUAGAUCCUAAUCAUGCAAUGUUUGAGGAUUAGUCUAAUGCAAUAAAACUGGGUAGUAAAGAGGUAUGAUCAGAGUGUUACUUGCCUUGCUGAUGAUCCGUGAAACCUAGAGAUUCGAAGUAGCAAGCGGCGCACUCCGGGUACUCUAUCGCAAACAAACAAGCAUACAAUAAGCACUCAUCUAAUGCACAGGUAAAACUCAAAUAAAGAUCUAACCAGAAAGUUCAACUUAAGAACUCCGGUUUGCAAAAAGAAUCAAAUCAAACGAAGCAACGAAAGUCAAACGGCGAAAGAAACAAGCUUCGUUUACUAAUCUGGAUCUAAGUCAAAUUUUACAGUAGCAAAAACUUGUUUGAGUAGCUUAGACGGAAAGAGAAUUUCGAGACGAAACUCUAGGCGCUUGAAUCGCCCGAUUCCGAUAAACGAGCUAAAAGAUAUACCAGAACGAAAAUCAGAUCAGAAAUCGCGAUCUGGAAUAAUCGCGGAAAAACCGACGAAAAAGAAAACUGACGAACAGUUAAACGAACGGACGUUCGUUAACUGCGACUAACCGACGAACACGUUCGUUAAAAUGAACGGAUCGGCGAACGUUCACUAACUAACUAAACCGAUCUAUAAAAAAAUAAACCUAGGGUUUCGGAAAAAAAUAAACCGAACGGUUUUUUUGAAAAAAAACCGGACGGCGGACGGCGGCGGCGGCUAACCUCCGGCGAGGCUCGGGACGGGCUCCGGCGGGGUCGUAGGGGUGCGGCGAGGGGCGGCGGGGCUCGGGGAGGGGACGGGCGACGUCGNNNNNNNNNNNNNNNNNNNNNNNNNNNNNNNNNNNNNNNNNNNNNNNNNNNNNNNNNNNNNNNNNNNNNNNNNNNNNNNNNNNNNNNNNNNNNNNNNNNNNNNNNNNNNNNNNNNNNNNNNNNNNNNNNNNNNNNNNNNNNNNNNNNNNNNNNNNNNNNNNNNNNNNNNNNNNNNNNNNNNNNNNNNNNNNNNNNNNNNNNNNNNNNNNNNNNNNNNNNNNNNNNNNNNNNNNNNNNNNNNNNNNNNNNNNNNNNNNNNNNNNNNNNNNNNNNNNNNNNNNNNNNNNNNNNNNNNNNNNNNNNNNNNNNNNNNNNNNNNNNNNNNNNNNNNNNNNNNNNNNNNNNNNNNNNNNNNNNNNNNNNNNNNNNNNNNNNNNNNNNNNNNNNNNNNNNNNNNNNNNNNNNNNNNNNNNNNNNNNNNNNGGCGGGGUCGGGCGGCUCGGCUCCGGCGGCUUCGGGUCUGGGGGGAGGUGGCGGCCGGGCGGGGUACUUAUAGGUAGGGGGGUGCUGCCGUGGGGGAGGGGCCAAGGCGGCGGGAGUCGGCCUCGAGCCGGACUCGGGCGGCGGCGCAGUCUCCAGGAGGGAGAUGGCGGCGGGGUGGGCUGGGCCGCUCGGCUGGGCUUCGGCCCAGUCGGCGCUCGCGGGAUUUUUUUUAAAAUAAUUUCGCCGAACCUAAAAAAAUCGUAGAAAAAUAAAUAAAAAUCCAAAAAUGCCAAAACAAAUUUUCAUCGUCUAAUUAAAAUAAUUAGAACGAGAUGAACAUUUUCUUGGCCCAAAAAUGCAGUUUUUGAAAACGUGCAAUUUUUCUAAUGCAAAUAAAAUUGCAAAUAAAAUCCGAAUAAAAUCAAAUAUUUGAUUUUAAUAUUUUUCCUCCAAUAUUUCAAUUAUUUUGGAGAAGUCAUAUUUUCUCCUCUCGUAUAUUUUAAUAUGAAAUAUUUUUCGGAGAGAAAAAUAAAUUAAAACCAAAAAAAAUCCUCGUUUCAUUAUUUGAUAAAAAUCAAAUAUGAAAACCGAGAAAAAUCCCCCUCUCUCCGAGGGUCCUUGAGUUGCUUAGGAUUUUCGAGGAUUUUGCCAAAAUGCAAUAAAAUAUGCUAUGCAAUGAUGAUCUAAUGUAUAACAUUCCAAAUUGAAAAUUUGGGAUGUUACAAACCUACCCCCUUAAGAUGAAUCUCGCCCUCGAGAUUCGGGAUGGCUAGAAAAUAGGUGAGAGUGGUUCUUCCGUAGAUCUUCCUCUCGCUCCCAGGUGGCUUCGUCCUCGGUAUGGUGACUCCACUGAACUUUGCAAAACUUGAUAACCUUGCUGCGGGUGACUCGGCUGGCACACUCAAGAAUCUUAACUGGUUUCUCCUCAUAGGUCAAGUCACUAUCCAACUGAAUCGCUUCCAAUGGCACUGUAUCUCUCAGUGGUAUCUUGGCCAUCUCUGCGUGGCACUUCUUCAACUGGGAAACGUGAAAUACAUCAUGAACUCCUGACAAUCCUUCAGGCAAUUCCAGCUUGUAAGCAACUUCUCCCAUACGCUCCAAAACUUUGUAUGGUCCUACAAAACGUGGCGCUAACUUUCCUUUAACUCCAAAGCGCUUCACUCCUCUAAGUGGUGAUACUCGUAGGUAAACUCUGUCUCCGACUUCGUGAACUGUCUCCUUGCGUUUAGAAUCCGCAUAACUCUUCUGCCUGGAUUGGGCUACCUUGAGCCUAUCACGAAUCAACUUCACUUUCCAUUCAGACUCUUUAAUCAAAUCUGGUCCAAACAACUGGCGGUCUCCAACUUCGUCCCAUAACAAUGGUGUUCUACACCUCCUUCCGUAUAAAGCUUCGAAAGGGGCCAUCUUCAAACUGGUUUGAUAACUGUUGUUGUAAGAAAACUCUGCAUACGGCAAAUUGUCGUCCCAACUAGAUCCAUAAUCUAGCGCACAAGCUCUCAGCAUAUCUUCCAAAAUCUGAUUGACUCUCUCGGUCUGUCUGUCUGUCUGUGGAUGAAAGGCUGUACUGAACUCUAGCCUGGUACCCAAAGUUUCAUGUAACUGAUUCCAAAACUUUGAAGUAAACUGGGUUCCUCUAUCUGAUACAAUGGUCCUCGGAACUCCAUGCAGACAUACGAUCCUGGUCAUGUAUAUCUUUGCCAACUUAGCACUGGUGUAAGUGGUCUUCACUGGGAUGAAAUGAGCUACUUUCGUCAAACGAUCGACUACAACCCAUAUUGAGUCAUAGCCUGAACGAGUCCUGGGCAAUCCCGUGAUAAAAUCCAUGCCUAGUUUAUCCCAUUUCCAUUCGGGUAUCGGCAAUGGCUGUAGCAAUUCCGCUGGCUUCUGAUGCUCUGCCUUCACUCUCUGACAUACAUCACAAACUGCUACAUACUCCGCAAUAUCCUUCUUCAUUCCGGUCCACCAGAAAGUAUCCUUCAAAUCCAAAUACAUCUUGAUAUUUCCUGGGUGAAUCGAAUACGGUGAAUCAUGGGCCUCUUGCAAGAUCAACUUCCUGAUCUCCAGAUCAUUGGGCACAUAAACGCGGUCCUCAAACCAUAAGGUAUCGUGCUCAUCCUCGCGAAAUCCUUUGGCUUUUCCUUUGCUCAUCCUUUUCUUUAUCUCGUCAAUUUCCUUGUCUGUCUUCUGAGCUUCCCUGAUCUUUUCCAUCAAGGUAGACUGAAUCUCCAACGUUGCUAAAUAGCCUCUUGGAACUAUCUCCAAACAUAGCUCGCGAGGAUCCUUGGCUAAUAAUUUCGGUAACUCUCCGGUCAUGAGUGUGUUGACAUGGCUCUUGCGGCUUAACGCAUCUGCUACUACGUUAGCCUUCCCUGGGUGAUAAUGCAAUCUCAUAUCAUAAUCCUUAAUGAGCUCCAACCAUCUCCUUUGCCUGAGAUUCAACUCCUUCUGCGUGAAAAUGUACUUCAAACUCUUGUGAUCCGUGUACACCUCACAGUGAUUUCCGAUGAGAAAAUGUCUCCAUGUCUUCAAUGCAUGCACUACGGCUGCUAACUCCAAAUCAUGCGUGGCAUAAUUCUUCUCAUGGGGUUUAAGUUGUCGUGAAGCAUAUGAAACAACUCUUCCCUCCUGCAUUAGCACUGCUACAAGUCCUCGACGUGAAGCGUCGCAAUAUACUUCAUAAUCCUUGCGUUGAUCUGGCAGAAUCAACACUGGUGAUGUAACCAAACGUUUCUUCAACUCUUGGAAACUAGCUUCACAUUCCUCAGUCCAAUUGAAUUUGGUGUCUUUCUUCAAUAGCUCAGUCAUGGGCUUAGCAAUCCUCGAGAAAUUCUCAAUGAACCUCCGGUAGUAUCCUGCAAGUCCAAGAAAACUCCGGAUCUCUCCAACUGAUGCGGGUGAUUCCCAGUUUGUCACAGUGUCUACUUUGGUGGGGUCUACUGCUAUUCCUUCUCCGGAUAUAACAUGUCCGAGGAAUCCAACUUCCUUCAACCAAAACUCACAUUUGCUGAACUUGGCGUAUAACUGAUGUUCUCUGAGCUUCUCAAGUAGCAAACGCAAAUGUUCCUUAUGCUCCUCUUCAUUCUUGGAGUAGACUAAAAUAUCAUCAAUGAACACUACGACGAACUUAUCCAAAAACUCCAUAAACACUUUGUUCAUCAGGUUCAUGAAAUAGGCAGGUGCGUUAGUCAGACCAAAUGACAUAACGGUAUACUCAUAUAGCACAUACCUGGUGGUAAAAGCCGUCUUAGGUAUAUCCUGCUCUCGAAUCUUUAACUGAUGGUAUCCUGAUCGUAGGUCGAUCUUGGAAAAUACCUUAGCUCCUUGUACUCGGUCAAACAAAUCAUUGAUCAUCGGCAGUGGGUACUUAUUUUUGAUGGUCACUUCAUUCAAUCCACGGUAAUCAACAACCAUCCUUAACGAUCCAUCCUUCUUCUCCACUAGAAGUACGGGUGAUCCCCAAGGUGACGAACUUGGGCGAAUAUAGCCUUUAUCCAGUAACUCCUUAAUCUGCUUCUUAAUUUCCUCCAAAUCCUUAGCGGGCAUCCUGUACAGUCUCUUAGAUAUCGGCCCUGUGCCUGGCAAAAGCUCAAUCAAAAACUCAAUGUCUCUAUCCGGUGGCAUGCCUGGCAACUCUUCUGGAAAUACAUCCGGGUAAUCCUUCACCACUGGUACUUCCUCCUGUACAACUCCUGAUAAGGAAUUCACCUGAGUCCUCUUCAGCAUAUGCCGGGAUACAUACUUAAUCCUUCUUCCUUCUGGGGUGGUAAGCAAAAUCGACUUACUGGCACAAUCAAUGUUCCUUCCAUACUUCGAUAACCAAUCCAUGCCUAAUAUCACAUCCAAUCCUUGCGAUUCCAAUACUAUUAGGUCCGAGGGAAACACGUAGUUACCAAUCCUUAAUGGUAACCGAUCACACCAUAAACUAGCCAUAUACUCUGCUCCUGGCGAGGUUACUAACAUGGGCGACCUAAGGGCUUGGGUUGGCAGUUUAUACGUAUCCACAAAUCCAUUCAUACAUAUCAAGGGGAUUCAACCUCAAGAAACGGGUUAAGUGAUCAACAGGGGGUGGUGGUGGGUUGUUGUUGUUGUUGUUGCCUUGGUUCUGUACUAACACUUGCAUCAGGGCAUUCUGCUGCUGAAUUAACUGAGUGAUCUCCGGUGGGAAAACAAAUCCGGUGUCGCAUCUCGGAGGCAUCUGAUAGGUUUAGAAAAGAUGAGAAUUUAGAAUAGAAUGAGGUAUAGAGGGAAAACACUACCCAUAUGCUCAUGAGACAAACACAAACAAUAUCACUCAAUCAAUUCAAUCAAGGCAUACAAUCGAUCUAACUAUCGAUACAAAGUGCUCGGGCUAUACUAUAUACAUGGGGGAAUACUACUACUGAUUAUGGGGGUCUACUAGAUAUUUUGAUCGGUCGAAGACUCCAUGAUAUCUGCUCCAGCUUCAUCAACAAAAUCAUCUUCACUGGGGUCCGAGUCGGUGUCGUCGAUGAUGAUGUAGUUAUCCGGGCAAGUGCAAUCAUCAUCUUCUCCUCCUGGUGCUGGGUCUCCCAUGAAUACUCCGAUCUUCUUUGUCAGGUCGCCGUUCUCCUCACUAGUGCGAUGAUUUCCUCCAUAUAAUCCUCGCGUGUAGACUUGAGUUCUUCCUCCAACUCCGUGAUCUUGGCCAAUGCCUUCUUCAGAUCUAUCAUGUCUGCGCACAUUUGGUUCUCCUGGCGACGAAUGUGUUGGUUUUGCUCCUGGAUGAAAGCUGCAAUUGAUCUAUCCUUCUUGGUGCUGAUCAUCUCCCAUUGCUCAUCUCGGCGUCCACAAAUCUGAUAAAUAGUAUCCUUAAGCUCCUUGUGGUAAACUUCUCCAAUGCGUCCCAUAGUGAUGUGGGCUGCCAUGCUCUUUCCUAAACUCCAGGUUGGUGCAUCAAAGGAAAACUCUAUAGGCUCAGCGACUGGCGUAAACGUCCUUCCUGGAACUUGAACUUGAAUCUUCCAGCGCUCCUCUUCGGGUAGUGUGGCUUUGUAAGUCCCGGUGAAGCUUGGUAUUCCGAUGUUCAGGUACUUAGCGACUUCCUUCAAGUGUCGUCCAAAAGGUGUAUCUUCAUCCGGUUGCAUGAACUUGUUCCUUGCAUCCGCCAUUCCUAAAAGAGUAGAAAGUGGAGAGGAGUCAGAAAUGAGAAGAGAGUAGUGUUCUAGGGUUUAAGCUUAGUGGUCGUGUCCUACAGUCAGCGUGUGCUCUGAUACCACCUUUGUAGCGACCAGACCUCAAACAGUCUGUGCUUCUGUGCACCAGUGUCAUCCCUGGAUCAGUAAUGCUGACACGCACAAUACAAAUGGAGGAUUUAUAACAGAGUAGCAAUCACACACUUAUUACAUCGAGUAUCUCAAGAGAGAAAUAAGUAUGACAAAUAUGGCUUAAGGCCAACUAAAACGAUAACAGCGGAAGACUUGGAAGAUAAGUGAGUCCAUCAACUCCAACGGCAUCACUGAGUAUAAGACCACGACCUAAGGCACCUUACUCGUCGUCUGAAAAGUCUGCAACAUGAAACGUUGCAGCCCGAAAACGGGUCAGCACAUGGAAUGUGCUGGCAAUGUAACACAUAGAGGGUAAUGAACAAAAUAAUGCUAUACUACAUGCAUAUAUGGCCGAAUGGUUUUUUUGAAAAAAAAACGGACGGCGGACGGCGGCGGCGGCUAACCUCCGGCGAGGCUCGGGACGGGCUCCGGCGGGGUCGUAGGGGUGCGGCGAGGGGCGGCGGGGCUCGGGGAGNNNNNNNNNNNNNNNNNNNNNNNNNNNNNNNNNNNNNNNNNNNNNNNNNNNNNNNNNNNNNNNNNNNNNNNNNNNNNNNNNNNNNNNNNNNNNNNNNNNNNNNNNNNNNNNNNNNNNNNNNNNNNNNNNNNNNNNNNNNNNNNNNNNNNNNNNNNNNNNNNNNNNNNNNNNNNNNNNNNNNNNNNNNNNNNNNNNNNNNNNNNNNNNNNNNNNNNNNNNNNNNNNNNNNNNNNNNNNNNNNNNNNNNNNNNNNNNNNNNNNNNNNNNNNNNNNNNNNNNNNNNNNNNNNNNNNNNNNNNNNNNNNNNNNNNNNNNNNNNNNNNNNNNNNNNNNNNNNNNNNNNNNNNNNNNNNNNNNNNNNNNNNNNNNNNNNNNNNNNNNNNNNNNNNNNNNNNNNNNNNNNNNNNNNNNNNNNNNNNNNNNNNNNNNNNNNNNNNNNNNNNNNNNNNNNNNNNNNNNNNNNNNNNNNNNNNNNNNNNNNNNNNNNNNNNNNNNNNNNNNNNNNNNNGUGCGGCUCGGCUCCGGCGGCUUCGGGUCUGGGGGAGGUGGCGGCGGGGCGGGGUACUUAUAGGUGGGGGGGUGCUGCCGUGGGGGAGGGGGCAAGGCGGCGGGAGUCAGCCUCGAGCCGGACUCGGGCGGCGGCACAGUCUCCAGGAGGGAGACGGCGGCGGGGUGGGCUGGGCCGCUCGGCUGGGCUUCGGCCCAGUCGGCGCUCGAGGGAUUUUUUUUAAAUAAUUUCGCCGAACCUAAAGAAAAUCAUAGAAAAAUAAAUAAAAAUCCAAAAAUGCCAAAACAAAUUUUCGCCGUCUAAUUAAAAUAAUUAGAACGAGAUGAACAUUUUCUUGGCCCAAAAAUGCAGUUUUUGAAAACGUGCAAUUUUUCUAAUGCAAAUAAAAUCCGAAUAAAAUCAAAUAUUUGAUUUUAAUAUUUUUCCUCCAAUAUUUCAAUUAUUUUGGAGAAGUCAUAUUUUCUCCUCUCGUAUAUUUUAAUAUGAAAUAUUUUUCGGAGAGAAAAAUAAAUUAAAACCAAAAAAAAUCCUCGUUUCAUUAUUUGAUAAAAAUCAAAUAUGAAAAUCGCGAAAAAUCCCCAACUCUCUCCGAGGGUCCUUGAGUUGCUUAGGAUUUUCGAUGAUUUUGCCAAAAUGCAAUAAAAUAUGCUAUGCAAUGAUGAUCUAAUGUAUAACAUUCCAAAUUGAAAUUUUGGGAUGUUACAUUUAUUUAGUAUGAGCAAGUCACUACUUGGGUAGCCCGGUUUUUCUUCCAACAAAUUGGAGGCAAAUUAUCAUUCAGCCGCCGUCUGCGCUGGAUGGCUCAAUGGACAUGCGCACAAAUCGCUGCCACUACAGUUUGGUUAACUUCAAACAACCAGUUGGAAUGAACCAGUGGCCGAGUUGCUGACACGGCUCGUAAGGGAUCAUUUAUAACCCGCCACAGUUACCUCAACCUUCUGUGGAUUCACAUUGCGCUAUCAACACCAAUGAUAUGUACCUUCUGCUAUGGUCAAAGUAUGGAGAAUCUCAAGACAACUCCUUGAGUCAUCUUAAGACUCGGGGGCUACGAUCAUAUGAUUCAGCAAGUCUUGCCAGUUUCAGCAAGUUCAAAGUGCCCAAAGACGUUGAAGGGAAAGAUAACCCAGUCCCGGAGGCUACUGUUAUAUUGAUGACAAUUUAAAGGCUGUCGGGAAUAUUCCGGCUCACAAUGAUGCAUGCGGUUUAUAGUCUGGUUUAAGGGAAAUCCCGUCUCCCACACAGCGCUGAAGCCCUUAGUAUCUGGUUCAAAUCCGGUUUAAAAGGAAACUAUCUCUUGCAAAGCUCUGACACUCUCAAUAUCCGGUUCAAAAAUCUCGGUUCAAGAAGAAUUUAUCUCUUGCAAAAAGUUAUGGUUGCCGAAGAGGAUCUGUUGCCAUGAUGCGCGGUUCAAACAUGGGUAUCCUGCCUUAUUGGCUUAUCAUAUUAUAGAUCAAAUAGGGGCUUCUGCUUUAUAGAGCAAAGUUAUGAUUGCCCAUUGAUCCGGCUAUCAAGCCAAUAUUAUCAUAAGAGCACAGCUCUGGUUACUUCGGUAAUCCGGCUAUCAAGCCAAUAUAAUCAUAAGGGGCCAAAGAGAGUCUGCUGCACAGCACAGCUCAAACAUGGGUAUCCCUUGAGCACAGCUCACAAUAUCACUUGGGGGCUAUGUUCGAACCAUAGUCACACUUCUUGAUAGGCAUGAGGGCACCAGGGAAAUCACUUGGGAACUUGGUCGUAUUCGAACCAUAGCUACACCUCUUGAUAGGCUUAAAGGACACCAGGGAAAUCACUUGGGGGCUAUGGGUUCGAACCAUAGUUACACCUCUUGAUAGGCAUAAGGGCACCAGGGAAAUCACUUGGGGGCUUGCUCGUAUUCGAACCAUAGCUACACCUCUUGAUCGGCGCAAUGCCACAAUUAUGACUACUUGGGGGCUCUGGUCAUAUCCGAACCAUAGCUUAAACCCUCUUGAUCAUACACAUACAUCAUCAUAUAUUGCGUCAUACAUUGCAUCAUCAUUACACAUCAUAGCAUGUAUCAUAUGGGCACGGAUAUACCGGUUUAUAUGGCAGGAAUCGGUUUUCAAACCAGGUUAUAUUAUUCAAAUCUUUAAUAGCCAACACGGCUGGAUUUUUAUUAUGGUUAUCAAUAACCAAUAUUAUGAUUGAGGUUUUCAAAGUCGCUUCAGCGCAAUGGAUAUAAUUUAUUCUACAAUGGAAGGAAUAGUCCCAAGUCACUGCAGGCUUACGACCCGGCACUUGGGGGCUACAUUAUUCAAGUUGAGAUUACAUCAAAAAUGCAAGUCUCAUGUCGCUGCAAGCAUGCACCAUGAUACUUGGGGGCUAAUGCAAAGUCAUUGUUUGCUCACCUUAUUGAAGACCCGACUCAUCACAUCGUAAUGAACCGGCCCUUGGGGGCUACCAAUUGCUCCUGUCAACAAUUCAAGGUACAAAGCUUUUAAUCCAUUAUAUUGAAGGGUCCACUGCUCAGUUGGUAAAGCACAAGGCUCUUAACCUUGUGGACGUGGGUUCAAGCCCCAUGAUGGGGGUUACAUCAUAUGAUGUUAUUUUCAUUGAAGUAUAUAUCAAGUCCCAGCUCAAUAUUAUCUUACUGAGCCGGUCCUUUGGGGAUACACGUUGUUGUUCAAAGUUUACAUGAUUAUAUUUACAAAGUCCUUGCUCAUUAUUGCAUAAUGACCCGGCCCUUGGGGGCUACACUGGUUGAAGUUUUUAUGAGCAUCAGGUAAUUACAAGUCCCAGGUUGCUGCAAGUAUGACAACCCGGCACUUGGGGGCUACAUAUAUGGAAUACUCAGUUUAUGACUAAUGACUGGGAUGAACAAAUCGGAUUUCUUCAAGAUUGUGAUAUUUAUAUUGAAGCAAGUCUUAAGCUGUUGCUAUGCUACCUUCUUAAGACUUGGGGGCUACAAGUGAUAGGCAUAUAAGAGGUAUAUUUUCAAGCUUGAUGUUAACUACAAUUAUGACUCGGUGCCAUCAAUAUUUGUAAACCGACAAUGAUAAACCGGCAAGUUCUACAUUCUUAAACCGGCAAGUUCUGCAUUCUUAAACCGGCAAGUUCUACAUUCUUAAACCGGCAAGUUCUACAUUCUUAAACCGGCUGAAGAUCAGAUGAGUAUUUCAAAGACCAAUAUUUUUGUUAAGCAUUGGGAGCUGAGUCAAAUGAAUUAUUCUUCACAAUAUUUCUCUGUGACAAACCAAUGUCAGCAAAUUGAUUAUGAAGCUGGCCUAUUGACCCGGAUUUUCUAGAAGAAGGAAGUGACAAGGACUUAAGGAUGAUCAGGAUCAGUUUAACAUGGAUAAAUCCAAAUUAAACUGGGGGCUAAUGUCGGGGAUAUACCCUGCGGUAUGACCCGGCCGGAGUUAUAACCCCGCGGGACCUGGUAAACCGGCAGGUGUUAAGUCAGAUGAUAACCCGGCAGGUGUUAAGUCAGAUGAUAACCCGGCAGGUGUUAAGUCAGAUGAUAACCCGACAGAUGUUAGGUCAGAUCAUAAACCGGCAGGAAGUCAUAACCCGGCAGACCAUCAUAAACCGGCAGACCAUCAUAAACCGACAGACAGUCAUAACCCGGCGGACAGUGAUAACUGGUUGACAGUCAUAACCCGGCAGAUAGAGUCGCCUGGGGUUAUGAAGCCCGAGACGUUAUGAAGCCCAAGACGUUAAGCCCAUGAAGAGAAGUCAGAAUAGUUUAAGUCUUAAUCCGAGUUGGACUCUACAUGUAACCCGCCCCUUCAACAUAUAUAAGGAGGGGCAGGGCACCCCAAGAGGGGAGGAGGAUAACCUUAGGGCUAGACAUAACUAGGACAACCGGUUUACGGCGACUCCCUCGUGAUGAUAAUGAGACCUAGCCUCAAAACAACAUGUAGGGUUGUUACCGGAUGAUGUUUCCCGGGGCCCGAAGCUGUCUAAAUCCUUGUCUUGUGUUGCGUCUCUCGAUUCCGCUCAACCCCUCUCAAGCUACCACAUAGAUGUGUUGGCCUCACGACUAAGUCCUCACACUAGGACAUCUGCCGUGACAAUUCCACGACAAUGCCUCUUGGGCAAGAUGACUAAAAUGCCGUUCUCUAGAACAAUGGAGUGAGCAACAGAUUUGUUGGAAAUCAUACACACUAAUGUAUGUGGUCUGAUGAAUAUUGAGGCUCGCGGCGGGUAUCGUUAUUUUCUGACCUUCACAGAUGAUUUGAGCAGAUAUGGGUAUAUCUACUUGAUGAAACAUAAGUCUGAAACAUUUGAAAAGUUCAUAUAAUUUCAGAGUGAAGUGGAAAAUCAUCGUAAUAAUAAAAAUAAAGUUUCUACGAUCUGAUCGUGGAGGAGAAUAUUUGAGUUACGAGUUUGGUCUUCAUUUGAAACAAUGCAGAAUAGUUCCGCAACUCACGCCACCUGGAACACCACAACGUAAUGGUGUGUCCGAACAUCGUAACCGUACUUUAUUAUAUAUGGUGCAAUCUAUGAUGUCUCUUACCGAUUUACCACUAUCAUUUUGGGGUUAUGCAUUAGAGACAGCUGCAUUCACGUUAAAUAGGGCACCAUCCAAAUCCGUUGAGACGACACCAUAUGAACUGUGGUUUGGCAAGAAACCAAAGUUGUCAUUUUUAAAGUUUGGGGUUGUGAUGCUUAUAUGAAAAAGUUUCAUCCUGAUAAGCUCAAACCCAAAUCGUAGAAUUGUGUCUUCAUAGGAUACCCAAAGGAGACUGUUGGGUACACCUUCUAUCACAGAUCUGAAGGCAAGAUCUUUGUUGCUAAGAGUGUAUCCUUUCUGGAGAAGGAGUUUCUCUCGAAAGAAGUGAGUGGGAGGAAAGUAGAACUUGAUGAGGUAACUGUACCUACUCCCUUAUUGGAAAGUAGUUCAUCACAGAAAUCUGUUCCUGUGACUCCUACACCAAUUAGUGAGGAAGCUAAUGAUGAUGAUCAUGUAACUUCAGAUCAAGUUACUAUCGAACCUCGUAGGUCAACCAGAGUAAGGUCCACACCAGAGUGGUACAGAAUCCUAUUCUGGAGGUCAUGUUACUUGACCAUGACGAACCUACGAACUAUGAGGAAGCGAUGAUGAGCCCAGAUUCCGCGAAAUGGCUUGAGGCCAAGAAAUCUGAGAUGGGAUCCAUGUAUGAGAACAAAAUAUGGACUUUGGUUGACUUGCUCGAUGACCGGCAAGCCAUAGAGUAUAAAAUGGAUCUUCAAGAGGAAGACGAACGCUAAUAGUAGUGUUACUAUCUACAAAGCUCGAAUUGUCGCAAAAGGUUUUCGACAAGUUCAAGGUGUUGACUACAAUGAGAUUUUCUCACUUGUAUCGAUGCUUAAAAGUCCGUCUGAAUCAUGUUAGCAAUUUCCAGAUUUUAUGAAAUUUGGCAAAUGGAUGUCAAAACUGUAUUCCUUAAUGGAUUUCUUAAAGAAGAGUUGUAUAUGAUGCAACGAGAAGGUUUUGUCAAUCCAAAAGAUGCUAACAAAGUGUGUAAGCACCAAUGAUCCAUUUAUGGACUAGUGCAAGCAUUUCGUAGUUGGAAUGUACGCUUUGAUAGUGUGAUCAAAGCAUAUAGUUUUAUACAGACUUGCGGUGAAUCCUGUAUUUACAAGAAAGUGAGUGGGAGCACUACAACCUUUCUGAUAAGUAUAUGUGAAUGGCAUAUUGUCGAUCGGAAAUGAUGUAGAAUUUUCUGGAAAGCAUAAAGGAGUGUUUGAAAGGAGUUUUUCAAAGAAAGACCUCGGUGAAGCUGCUUACAUAUUGAGCAUCAAGAUCUAUAGAGAUAGAUCAAGACGCUUGAUAAGUUUUUUCAAUGAGUACAUACCUUGAAAAGAUUUUGAAGUAGUUCAAAAUGGAACAGUCAAAGAACGAGUUCUUGCCUGUGUUACAAGGUGUGAAAUUGAGUAAGACUCAAAGCCCGACCACGGCAGAAGAUAGAGAGAGAAUGAAAGUCAUUCCCUAUGCCUCAGCCAUAGGUUCUAUAAAGUAUGCCAUGCUGUGUACCAUACCUAUUAUAUACCCUACACUGAGUUUGACAAGGGAGUACAAUAGUGAUCUAGGAGUAGAUCACUGGACAGGGGUCAAAAUUAUCCUUAGUCGAAUAAGGAUAUGUUUCUUGAUUAUGGAGGUAACAAAAGGUUCGUCGUAAAGGGUUACGUCGAUGCAAGUUUUGACACUGAUCCAGAUGACUCCAAGUCUCAAUCUGGAUACAUAUUGAAAGUGGGAGCAAUUAGCUAAAGUAGCUCAGUGCAGAGCAUUGUAGACAUAGAAAUUUGCAAAAUACAUACGGAUCUGAAUGUAGCAGACCCGUUGACUAAAUUUCUCUCACAAGCAAAACAUGAUCACACCUUAGUACUCUUUGGGUAUUAAUCACAUAGCGACGUGAACUAGAUUAUUGACUCUAGUAAACCCUUUGGGUGUUGGUCACAUGAUGAUGUGAACUAUGGGUGUUAAUCACAUGGUGAUGUGAACUAUUGAUGUUAAAUCACAUGGCGAUGUGAUCUAGAUUAUUGACUCUAGUGCAAGUGGGAGACUGAAGGAAAUAUGCCCUAGAGGCAAUAAUAAAGUUAUUAUUUAUUUCCUCAUAUCAUCAUAAAUUUUUAUUAUUCAUGCUAGAAUUGUAUUAACCGGAAACUUAGUACAUGUGUGAAUACAUAGACAAACAGAGUGUCACUAGUAUGCCUCUACUUGACUAGCUCGUUAAUCAAAGAUGGUUAAGUUUCCUAGCCAUGGACAUGAGUUGUCAUUUGAUUAACGGGAUCACAUCAUUAGGAGAAUGAUGUGAUUGACUUGACCCAUUCCGUUAGCUUAGCACUUGAUCGUUUAGUUACUGCUAUUGCUUUCUUCAUGACUUAUACAUGUUCCUAUGACUAUGAGAUUAUGCAACUCCAGAAUACCGGAGGAACACUUUGUGUGCUACCAAACGUCACAACGUAACUGGGUGAUUAUAAAGGUGCUCUACAGGUGUCUCCGAUGGUACUUGUUGAGUUGGCAUAGAUCGAGAUUAGGAUUUGUCACUCUGAUUGUCGGAGAGGUAUCUCUGGGCCCUCUCGGUAAUGCACAUCACUAUAAGCCUUGCAAGCAAUGUGACUAAUGAGUUAGUUACGGGAUGAUGCAUUAUAGAACAAGUAAAGAGACUUGCCGGUAACGAGAUUGAACUAGAUAUUGAGAUACCGACGAUCGAAUCUCGGGCAAGUAACAUACCGAUGACAAAAGGAACAACGUAUGUUGUUAUGCGGUUCGACCGAUAAAGAUCUUCGUAGAAUAUGUAGGAGCCAAUAUGGGCAUCCAGGUUCCGCUAUUGGUUAUUGACCAGAGAAGUGUCUCGAUCAUGUCUACAUAGUUCUCGAACCCGUAGGGUCCGCACGCUUAACGUUCGUUGACGAUAAAGUAUUAUAUGAGUUAUGUAUGUUGGUGACCGAAUGUUGUUCGGAGUUCCGGAUAAGAUCACGGACAUGACGAGGAACUCCGAAAUGGUCCGGAGAUAAAGAUUGAUAUAUGGGAUAAUAGUGUUUGGUCUCCGGAAGGGGUUCCGGAUGUUUCCCGAAAUGUUUGGGUACGAGAACACUUUAUUUGGGCCAAGGGGGAAAGCCCACAAGGUUUUUGGAAAGCGCAAAAGGAAGUUUUGCGGAGUCCAGGGUCCAGACGCCAGGGACCCUGGCGUCUGGCCCUGGAGUCCGAGAAGGACUCUUGCCUUUCGGGUGAAACCGACUUUGUGGAGGCUUUUACUCCAAGUUUCGACCCCAAGGCUCAACAUAUAAAUAGAGGGGUAGGGCUAGCACCCAAGACACAUCAAGAAACACCAAGCCAUGUGCCGGCUACCCCGUCCCCUCAAGUUUAUCCUCCGUCAUAGUUUUCGUAGUGCUUAGUCGAAGCCCUGCGGAGAUUGUUCUUCACCAACACCGUCACCACACCGUCGUGCUCCCGGAACUCAUCUACUACUUCGCCCCUCUUGCUGGAUCAAGAAGGCGAGGACGUCAUCGAGCUGAACGUGUGCUGAACGCGGAGGUGUCGUAUGUUCGGUACUUGAUCGGGACGGAUCGUGAAGGUGUACGACUACAUCAACCGCGUUGAUAAAACGCUUCCGCUUACGGUCUACGAGGGUACAUAGACAACACUCUCCCCUCUCGUUGCUAUGCAUCACCAUGUUCUUGCGUGUGCGUAGGAUUUUUUUUUGAAAUUACUACUUCCCCAACAAUAACUUGAGGCUAGUUCCUGCGGGACAAAUCCACACCCAAGCAUAAUUGACUGCCCAUGUCUGUUGAUGCCAAUGAAGGGGCAAACGGCAUAUUGUACAUGUUCGUGAGAUAAGUUGCAUCAAAUGAUACGCAAUCAUGAUAAGCCUCCGCGUAUGCUUUCCGUGCCACACCAUCCACCCAAAACAAGUUUUCUGUCUCGCCUUCCGCAUCUGUCUUGCAUUUAAAGAAGAAUCAUGGGUCGUUUUCCAUCACCUUGCAAAAGUAGUUUAGUGUUUCUUCAAUGUCAAUGUCUUUAGUUGGGGCAUUGACCUUCGAACAGUGGUUAUGGAUGGCUUUAGCUGUGUACGGAACAAUAAACUCCGAGCCGUAGUAUGAUGACAUUAACAUCAUCAUCUUUCCUGCCAUAAAAAAACAGAAACUUGUGUUUUUCAGGACUAACUAACCACAAUGCAGCGAGCAACUUGUUUUUAUAGAGAACAUAAAGUAACAAUUAUGCAUAAGUAGAACAAGAACCAAGCCUGUAUCCCACCAAGUUUUAUUUUUCUGCUAGGUGAUGUCUUAUUUAUUUAUUUAUCAGAGUUGCACGGAAAAUGAACAUAGUUGCCUCAGUUUACUAUUCAAGUUGCCAGUUUUUCUCCCUGAUCAGGGUUGCCCAUGAAUCCUAAGCACCUUAUACUAGGAUAGGAAAGAAAUCCAAGUAGUUGAGGUAGGAAUAGGAAACACCAAGGUUUUCUGCUUGGGUCAUGCUUUUUUUAAUUACCAGAGUUGCACAAAAAAUGAACAUAGUUGCAUAAAAAAUGAACAUAGUUGGCUCAGGUCAAAGUACUUGAUGCAGGAAUAAGUAACAAUUCUGUGGUAAAAAGAUUUAAUCCAAUGUGAGUUGUACCUGCCGUCAAGUUGCAGUCGUUUAGGUGAGUCGGAAUUUUUUUCUGUUCCGGCGGGAUGCCUUGGUGAGAACGGAGGUAUUUCGAAAGCGAUGGCUUGUCAAUCAGUGGAUGGUUGUGAUCUGCAAUAAAAGUGGAACUGGUUACAGCAGAAUUGCUGUUUUUCCAGCACGCCUGUGUAGGCCGACCUGUAAGACGUAUUUGACUUGAUUGAAAAGCCCUAUUUCGCAUCCUCUAAUGUGUCGAAGCGCAAGCCAACAUAAGGUUGUUCUGGCUGUGACCCAGCUUCUUCGUCUUCCAACUCAUGUGCCUCAUGAACUAAAGCAUUAGCAGGAGCAACCAUACGUGGGGGAGCGGCAACACGAUUGUCCGGGACAUGAGUAGUGUUAGAGCCAACGUUGGGGUCAGGAGACUCACCAACCUCCUCCUCCAAAUGUUGUGCUCCUGCUCAUCCCCUGCAUGUAAGAAGGGUGCACCCAACUCGACUGAAAUGUUGAUGGACUCUACGUCAAGUGGUGGUUCAUUCAGAUCAAUCAUCAUGAACAAUCAACCUGCAACAAAUUGUGUGUUAGCCCACCACAAAAGUAAGCACGACCUUUUUGAACAAACUAGUUGUAGAAUAUAAAGGAGCAACUAUAAACACUUGUUUGGGCAACUAUAAAGUUAAACAGAGGCAAUUUCUAUCUUCUUUUUUCUCAAAAGUUUCUUGUUUCUUCUUUUUUUCUUAUAUGUUUUAUGUUUUUACCAGUAUGACACACAUAUAUAGCAGCAAAGAUUUGUUUUACAUGACAUGCGCUGAUUCAUUUGUGCCUUUUUUCAGCAGCAGAUUACAACUUUUGAUGAUGGGAAACAAUGUGCAUAUGUGACGGAGAGCUUACCAGGAGCAGGAGGCCUAUCAUUUGGUGUAGUUUAUGUCUUUUUUAUUUUUUUAGUGAGACCAUAUGGAAUGUAGCAGAGUAUCUUAGUGUGGGAUUGUUCGAAUCUGUUUAUCACGUGUCAUUUGUUUUGUGCGUUUGUCGUUUGUGUCUUUUUUAGCGAGAACCAUACUGAUAUGGCAAAAGUUGUGUGUUAACAAAUGCAAGUUAAUACUUUCUACCCCUGCUUAUAACAUGAGUUUUAUGUUGUUGAUAGUACAUGCUUUAAUGCACAGGGAAGUUGCAUGUGUUUUAGUACUGGAGUUGUCAUGUUCUUACAUCUGGUAGAGGCAACUCUAGAAUUUCUAAACAACUACGCUUGCACAGCUCUUUCUUUACCAGAGUUGCUUAAAAAAUGAAGAUAGUUGCUUCAGUUAACUGUUCUAGUUGUCAGGUUUGUUUCCUGAUCAGGGUCGCUCAUGAACCCCAAGCACCUUAUACUAGGAUAGGAAAGAAAGCCAAGCAGGUUUCAAUGCAUACAAUAUAGAGAAAUUAUGUUUUGGUGUUGCAAUGCACCUGCAAAACUGUGCAAUGGUCCUGCAUUUUAUUUCGCACUAGAGUUGCCCUAUUUUUGUACUGGUGUUGCUUUUUUUAUCAUAACAGUUGCUCAAGAUGCAUGCCAUACAUAGGGUUGGCUCAAAGUGGUCUACAAGUUGCUUUUUCACCAGAUCAAAAGAACGAACUAAAAACUGGACUAGUUGAUGUUCAAGCAGGGAAGGGCUGGGGUGGUUGAGUAGGGAAGAGAGAGAGGAGUCGGGUGGAGGUGGUUCUUACCUUUUUGGGGGGAGGCAGGUCUCUUUUUUUCUCUCCAGAUCUGAUUUUUGGAGCAAGGAGGAGGAAGGAGGUGUUCCUGCGACGGCUUUGUUCUUCAAGACGCCAUAGAUGGGGCAGAUCUUGUUUAGAGGAAGAAAGGAGGAGCAAGGAGGAAGAAGGGGACCCUUGUGUGGGCUUGUCCUUCAAGGAAAAGGGNNNNNNNNNNNNNNNNNNNNNNNNNNNNNNNNNNNNNNNNNNNNNNNNNNNNNNNNNNNNNNNNNNNNNNNNNNNNNNNNNNNNNNNNNNNNNNNNNNNNNNNNNNNNNNNNNNNNNNNNNNNNNNNNNNNNNNNNNNNNNNNNNNNNNNNNNNNNNNNNNNNNNNNNNNNNNNNNNNNNNNNNNNNNNNNNNNNNNNNNNNNNNNNNNNNNNNNNNNNNNNNNNNNNNNNNNNNNNNNNNNNNNNNNNNNNNNNNNNNNNNNNNNNNNNNNNNNNNNNNNNNNNNNNNNNNNNNNNNNNNNNNNNNNNNNNNNNNNNNNNNNNNNNNNNNNNNNNNNNNNNNNNNNNNNNNNNNNNNNNNNNNNNNNNNNNNNNNNNNNNNNNNNNNNNNNNNNNNNNNNNNNNNNNNNNNNNNNNNNNNUGGGGGGCUCCUUUCCUUUUUCGGCUGUCUGGUCGCGCGCGCGGGCCGCUCCUUCCUUUUCUGGGAGAGCGCUCGGUGCUGCGAUCGGGCGCCCGUGCGCCAGCGAGCCACGUCAUUGUUAUUGUCUCUACUUUUUACUAUUAUUUUAUUUGAGAAGAGACCCUCAAGAAAAUGCACCGUCACGACACAAGAGGACACGUGCACUCUGUCCAACUCCACCCGCAUGCGUGUGCCCUCCCCUCCCCUCCCUUCAAGGGCUGAAGGUGCCUUUCAUUUCAUCCUUCUUCCCUCACCUCACCUAGUACAGCCUACGACCAGCCACAUGGAGAGUAACAUACACAUAUCCCUAGACUAUGUUACUACCUUCAUAGUGGGUAGUAACAUAAGUAUGGUAAAAUGCAAAGCCUCAUUUAUUAGGUUAUAAACUCAUAUUGCAUUGGAACAUGUGAUGUUACAGUAACUAGCUAAGUUACUCAAACUACCUCUCUCCUUAUUAACUCAUUGCCACAUAAGUAAAUUUGCUGAGUUGGACUCAAUGUUACUGCUGAAGUUACUCCCACUGUGGCUAGUCUACAACUGCCCCGCUCUCGUUCCCCUUUCCCUCCGUGCAUCGGAGUAGUAUUAUUUUUGCUAAAUGACCCCUUCUCUGGUCCUUAUUUACAGCAUCUAUCUACAGCCGAACCUGGACCCGGAUAUGGAGCGAUCUUCUCCCGCCGGCGCCGAACCCUAGCUAGCUAGCUACCUCGGACCAGUCCGGUUGCGAGAGGCCACCGGCGGCAUGGGCAUGGCUGCGCGCGGCGGCGGAGCAUGCAACGCGAGCGCUCUAACCAUAUCUCACCGAAUCCUGCCGCCGCGCCCGUCCCGCAUGCCGUGGCCGAUGACCGCGCCCCUCCCCAGACGGCGGCGAUGAUGGAGGGAGCCGCUGGCGCCGGCCAGGCUCCCGAGCUGCGGACGCGCCGGGUCGCCGCGCCGGACCGCGCAUUGGCUCGGAGGCCCCUCGGGGCUGCCGCCGAUGCGGGGGGCGUCUGCGACCGUGCGGGCUGGGGACCGAGCGGCGGGGCCCAUGGUGCGCUCCGGUCGAGGGCUUGGUCGGGCCGGCGCGGGAUCUGAGCCGCCGUCCAUGGAUUUUUCGCAGCUUGGCUACGUUUUGCUUUCGAUCUGGUACUGUCCCCCCAUCUCUCUCUCUCUGACUUACAAUCCAACGACCAUGUUAGAGCAACUCCAAUACGGUGACCCAAAUGUACACGACGGGCGCGCCCAUUUUUUUAUUUGGGUCGGCUGGUGCACUCAACGGUGGGAAAAUACGCAUGAUUAAACAUAAAUGGCCAAUAAACAUGUCGCCCAAAGUCCACUUAAACAUUUUUCGCCCAAAGUUCACUUAAACAUUAAUAAAAUUUGAAAAAAAGUUUGCUUCAUCACUUAAACAUUUGUCGCCCAUGCGUCGUCCUUUUCCCCGGGGCCGGUGAGGUCGAUGAACACCGGCUCCAGCCCAGGGAAAGGUGGUAUCCCACGGCGCACGCGCUGCCUCCACCGUCUGUCCCGCUGGCUAUGGGGGUGGUGGCUGCACUGCUACUGCAUGGGCGCGCUCCUCCUCCGCCUCCCGCGCCAAGCGACGCUCCAGCUCCAAUUGCUGCUCGCCGUCGGCGUGCGCUGUCCAUUGUUGGAGGUACGUGGCUUCCUGCUCCGGCGUCCCCCAAGCCACACGCGCGGCGCUGACCCACUCACGGAGCUGGUCGGUUCACUGGUAGACCUUCGGCUGGUGCUUCGUGGAUUGCGGCUUCGGCUCGGGGGAGGAACGCCCUGCGACGGCAACAGCGAAGGGAGGAUGACACAGUCGCCGGGGCGGCCACGGACAACGUGAGGGCCUCCUCCAUGGCCAACCCAGCGCGUGUCCUCCUCGCGCUGGCUCUCCUCCAGGGCGCGCUGCAUGGCGGCCUCCACAGCCUAGUAGGUCGCAUGCGCUCCUCCUCCUCCGGCAAGACGUCUGGCGGAGGCGGGGGAGAGGGGAGGGUGCACAACGUGGUCGAUGUGGAUGCCGCGCGCGGCGCUCCUCCUCGUGUUCUAGCGUAAACCAGCGCUCCUAGUUGGGUAGUCUGGCGCGUAGGCAUGCGUCGCGCACUGAUCCGACGUCAGGAGCUCGCGUCGCCGGCGAACAUCCUCGGCAUGUGCCCUCCCGAGCACGGCACUGCCGGAAUGGGGAUCCUUUGUGGGUCCAGAUGCCAACUGUGCGACAGGCUUAUGUCUGGAUAUUGCAGGGGCGACGGUACUGCCAGUGCCACUGCGCUUGGUGGACUGGUAUGUACAACCGCUCCCGCUCCCGCGGUGGCGAGCCACGGCGAGCCGACAACGGCGGGGAAGGAGGCGCGUGAGAAGAGCUCGCGCCUGCACUAAACUUGCCCUUCUCCUUCCCACUGAAGAACCCCAAAUCUGGCUGGCUGGCUAGGGUUUCUGAUUGCCAGUGAGGGAGCAGGCGUGGCCAGAUGUGGACGGGCGGUGGAAGUGGAUGAGGUCGGCCCCGCCACACGCUUGCAUUAAAAAGGACGGGCAUGCGACACUCUCACCCACUGCCAGGUGGGCCCGAGGUAGGUGGGCGCGUCUACUAUGAGCGCGUGCGGUGGUUGGGUGGCCGACAUGUGGGGCCGUGGCGGACAUCUAGCGGACGUAAACCAGGCCCAAAUUUAGGCCAGAAAUGGAUCGGCGUAGACAUCUAGCGGACACGUUUUGGGUUUGAAUUGCGCGUUGAGUCGGAGUUUUUGUCCGCGGUGACCCAAACAAACACACGCGGAGGAGAUGGGUCGCUUAGGGCGUGACAUGCUGUCACCGGGUCUCUGUCCCAACACGACACGUGCACUCGUUGAGUCGUUGUAACUCUAGUGCGCUAGCCUGCCUUCAUCCUUCUUCCCCUCCCCUCACCUACACUGCACCACCGCCCUCAUUCCCCUUUCCCUCCAUGCAUUUGGAGUAGUAUUAUUUUUGCUAAAUGACCCCUUCUCUGCUCCUUAUUUACAGCAUCUACAGCCGGACCUGAACCCGGAUCUGGUGCGAGAGGCCACCGGCGGCAUGGCUGCGCGCGGCGGCGGAGCAUGCAACGCGAGCGCUCUAACCAUAUCUCACCGAAUCCUGCCGCCGCGCCCGUCCCGCACGCCGUGGCCGAUGACCGCGCCCCUCCCCAGACGGCGGCGAUGAUGGAGGGAGCCGCUGGCGCCGGCCAGGCUCCCGAGCGGCGGACGCGCCGGGUCGCCGCUCCUCGGGGCCAGCCCCUCUCGCCGCGCCGGACCGCGCAUCGGCUCGGAGGCCCCUCGGGGCUGCCGCCGAUGCGGGGGGCGUCCGCGGCCGUGCGGGCUGGGGACCGAGCGGCGGGGCCCGUGGUGCGCUCCGGUCGAGGGCUUUGUCGGCCCGGCGCGGGAUUUGAGCCGCCGUCGAUGGAUUUCUCGCAGCUUGGCUGCGUCUUGCUUUGGAUCCGGUACGGUCCCCAUCUCUCUCUCGCUCUCUCUCUCUCACUCUGCGCGCGCGCGCACGCGUAGAGUUCACACCAGUAGAUCCUAAACCGAAUCAGCCGAGCUCUCGUUGCCGCCUCAGUUCCCCAGCGCUGCCACGGUGCCGCCAGCCACCGCCAUUCCAUUGGCUUGGAUUCGGUUGUGGCGUCGGUUGGGAGCCGUAGGAUGAUGUCUGAUGCCUCGUCCGUGCGGGAGGUUUGGUCGGUCGAGGCCAGGUAUAAGCAGCUCCUGAGAAGGAUGGAUGAAUGGAUGCAUUCAUGUGUCGUGAACUAAAACCACGACACUUGGUUUCGAACGGAGGGAGUAUAUUUUUAAAACAAAUCAGGUGAGCUCUCGUUGCCGGAUCGCUGACCUAUCGUCCGGAUGCCCACCGCGUCAGUUCCCCACUGCUACGGUGCUGCCUGCCACCGCCGUCCCAUUGCCUUGGAUUUGGUUGUGCGCGUCGGCUGGGAACCGUACGGUGUCUUCUGAUGCGUCGUCCGUGUGGGAGGUUUGGUCGGUCGAGGCCAGGUAUGAGCAGCUCCUGAGCAGGAUGGAUGGAUCUAUGGAUACAUGGAUGUAUGCAUGCAUAUAUGUAUGGAUAUCACUCCGCAAAAAAGAAAAGAAAAAAAAUAUGUAUGGAUAUAUGGUCAUGUUGCUCGGGGGUUCAACCUCCUUUUUGGAAAAAAAGGAGGGGCGAUGCCGAUGAUGAUGACUGUGGCUGAAAUAAUGUCUUGAGCAAUCAAGACAGCUCGGCGAGGUGGGACUAAACAGUGCCAGAAAAUUGGUGUCUGCGUUGGAGUUGGCCUUAGAGCCCACCCUUCUCUCUUGCAGCCUGUCCAAUUCAUCGCCAAUGUUGGAUGUUCUUUGCCUUGGAUGGUCAUUCUGAUGAGUGAUAACCAGGGCAGUUCUCUUACAUGGCAAUGGGUGGAUUAUGCAGCAAGAGAUGUGAGUGUUGGGUUUGAAGAUGAAAUGCAAAACUGAGCCCUCUUUUGCUACGCUACAUAUGCUCAGUUCAGUUGCAUUAUGUUUUGGAUUCAGUAUGGAUCCUCCUCUCUCUCUCUCUCUCUCUCUCUCAAACCCUGAAACAAAUCAGUCAAGCUCUCAUUGCCGACUCGCUGACCCAUUGUCCGGGUGGCUGCCACGUCAGUUCCCUGUCUCUACGGUGCUGCCAGCCACUGCCAUUCCAUUGCCUUGGAUUUGGUUGUGGCGUGGGCUUUGACCCGUAAGGCGUUGUCUGAUGAGUCGUCCACACCGGGAGGUUUGGUCGGUCGAGGCCAGGUAUGGGCAGCUCCUGAGACUGAGACUAGUCAUAGUGGGAGUAACUGAAUUAUGGAACGGAGGGAGUAGUAACAUUCAUGCCACAUAGGCAAAAAAGAUUAUGUGACAAGUAAUUAAAGAGGAUGGAUGGAUGGAUGCGUGCAUGCAUGCAAUGGGAAUCAUGGUCAUGUUGCUUGGUGUGUAGAGCGCGUGUGGGUACUAAUCAGAGCCAGAAUCGGUGACCGCGUUGGAGAUGCCCUUAGAGCCCACCCUUACCUCUCUUGCAGCCUGUUCAGUUCAUCUCUGAUGUUGUAUAUUCUGUGCCUCGGACGUUCGUUCUGAUGGGUGAUAACCAGGGCAGUUCUCUUACAUUGCGAUGGGUGAAUUAUGCAGCAAGAGAGUGAGUGUUGGGUUUGAAGAUUGAAGACAAAACUGAGCCUGCAAUUUUUCACUGUUUAGUUGCAUUUUGUUUUGGAUUCGGUAUGGACCCCCCUCACCUCUCUCUCUCUCUCUCAAACCCUAAAACAAAUCAGUCAAGCUCUCAUUGCCGACUCGCAGACCCAUCGUCUGGGUGGCUGACACGUCAGUUCCCUGUUGCUACGGUGCUGCCAACCCGCCAUUCCAUUGCCCUGGAUUCGGUUGUGGCGUGGGCUGGGAACCGUAGAGUUUUGUCUGAUGUGUCGUCCGAGACGGAGGUUUGGUUGGCUGACGCCAGGUAUGAGCAGCUCCUGAGACUGUCUAAGUUACUUACCACUAUGAGCAGCCUGAUGGAUGGAUGGAUGGAUGAUGUAUGCAUGCUACUGUGUGAUGAAGAGAUGGAGUUCUUACCAGGGGCGAUGAUGAUGACUGUGGCUGAAACAAGCAUGUCUUGAGCAAUUAAGACAGCUGUGGCCUGUGGGUCCUAAAUUAGAGCGCACCCUUACCUCUCUUGCAGCCUGUUCAAUUCAUCGCUAAUGUUGGAUGUUCUGCGCCUUGGACGGUCAUUCUGAUGAAUGAUAACCAGGACAGUUCUUUUACAUCGCGAUGGGUAGAUUAUGCAGCAAGAGAUGUGAGUGUUGGGCUUGAAUAUGAAAGGCAAAACUGAGCCCUCUUUUGCUACGCUACAAAUAUUCGAUUUUACCUUCUCUACUAUGCACUGUUUUUUCUUUUCUAUUCCUCUCUAUUGUGUUGAUGUGACUAACGGCCCAUCUGGACUUGGUGAUGAAGCCAACCGCCCUAGCUUGGAUUGAUUUCCAGCUGGCUUUGUUUUUGCCUGUAUAGUUGUACAAACUAUAUAUGUCGAACACAGUAUUGUUUUUGACUUGGAUAUCUACCUUAUGUUUUUCUUCUUUUCCAAAAUGGAAAAUUUAUAUUGUCCUGUUUUUAUUUGGCUUGCAGUUACUCCUUUUAUCUGAAGUGAAGAAAUGUAAAUUGCUUCUUUCAUUGCUAGUAAUACAGCCAUCAGCAUAGUGUUCCAAAUUAACUUUUGAACACAGCAUAUUUGUUUCUGUUCUGUGUUGAUGAGUUAUAUUCUUUUCUGAAUGGCUAUGAUGAUUUCCUCCUCUUUGGUGUUGGAGAUAUUUCAACAUAUCCUGAGAUAGAGAUGAUUGGUUCCAUUCAAUUUUCCCAGUUAGACAGUUAGUCGUUAUACUAGGAGGCCUUGCUCUGCAGCAAGUUACCAGUUGCGGCUAUUUGUUGCUGGGUGGGGAAAGAGAGAGAGAGAGAGAGAUGGUAAGGAGAGACCUGAAGGACUGGAAUAUCACCAAAGAACUAACCAUGGGCAGGGGUGCAUGGAAAUUAGCUAUCCACAUGCCUAUCCCAACUUGUUUGGGACUGAAAGGCUUUGUUGUUGUUGUUGUUGUUGUUUAGUACCGAAAGGCCUUGAGUACUACCUGAAGCAUUUUUCCAGCUUCGGUGAUUUAUGGUGGGUUAAAUCUGAGCCAUUCAAGCAAUACUCCACAAUUUUCCUGGAUUUUGCAAACUAUUCCUCGUGCACGUGUCUGAUACUUCUACUACUGUUUGAUUAUGGUAAUUUGAUCAGUGAGUACUUUUGGAAUAUACUCCAGAAAACAGCUUGAUUUUCCCUAAUACCUUUAAUUAGUUUCUUCUUGAUUUUAAGGAUACCAGUUCGGCAACUGUGAAUGGUCAUUGCUAAAUUUAAGUUGUAUAUAUUCUGUACAUUGUGGUCCUGUAGCUUGAAAAAGGAACUUGGCAUUACCUCUGGCUUUGGUUCUUUGUUAUGGCUCUGGUUCUUUGUGUGGACCUUCUGGGGAGGUGAGAUAGCGUGAAAUCUUUUUAUUGAACCAAUUUAAAAGCAGAUUCUUAUUGAUGCUAUCUUUCAGUUUUUUUGGUCCUAUUUUCGCAUCCAUUGUCAAAUUUUCUUCUAUUGAUAUUUGCCAUUGUAGUCCUUAACUUCCACUAUGAAUGCAUGCCAUCCUUAUUCCCUUGUAAAGCUUCAUCUGUGAGGGAGAGGCAUCAAUGAGGAAGGAUGCUGGUGGUGACGCCUGCCGUCUGUCUCCCUAUCAAUUUGACUUGAUAAUUUCAUUCUUCUGCUGUACUCUUUAUCUACUUAUCAGUUGGUACUUUUGGUUUCUCGUUACUUCUUUACUGGUUUCAAGUUUCAACUUAAGGGUCGUAUAUGGCAAGUUAAGAUUACUGUUUUCUUCAUGUCAUGUUCAUUGGCUGUGAUGAUAUAGCUUCCCUGCGAGAGCUUCUAUCUAACACCGUAUUGAUUCACUUGGUGCUAAACUAGGAUGGCUUGUGUCACAGCAAGUAACCAGUUUAGCGGCUAACUAUUACUCCCUCCGUUCACAAAUAUAAAUGUUCAUGGUCAUUCUACCAGAAAUUCAGUUAUGGUGUUGAGAUGGGAGUGUAUCUGAGCCAUUUACUUACACAUGUCCCAGUUUUUGUGUCCACCAGUUCAUGAUUUGCUCCUGAUAUAGUGAUUAUUUCUGCUAUUACUGAUUCUCCUGUGGUGUCUGGUCAUCUUGCGGCUCUUUGACUAUUGGCUUCUCUGUUAUUCUCUUUGUGGGAUUUGUGCCAAGUGCUGUUAUGGUGUUGAGAAAUGCUCACAGCGAACUGGAUGUUGAGCUAUUUUACACUUUACAUACUCAGAAUGCUUUGAAUUACUGAUGCAUCGAGAGGUUCUACUUUGUUUGAAUAGAAAACAAUCCUGUGUGCCGAAGGCCCUGGGAGGCGGCAGAGGGCUUCACAUCUUUUGUUCGAACAAUGCUAUUAUUUGCAACUGUUCUGUUUCUUUGCUUAGUGUUCCGUUUAGUCGUUCCUGCAUGAUUUUCUUCCCUUUCAUACUUUUAUAUUGUAUAAAUUGUGCUACGCUGCUGCUCUUCUUCGUUCAUGCAUUUGCUGCACUAUGGCACCUCAAGCGUCAGCAAAAAGAUAUUACAUUUGGUCUUUGAUGUCAUCAUAUGUUUAUUUAGUUCUGAGUCUGCCCAUUUAUUUUUGGUAUAAAUCAUGUGCAACCUAAUCUGCAGGGCGCGUGGCUGUCCAAAAUCAAGCUCCCCAACAACUGGACAAUGGAGCACAUCCGGCAGCUUGUCACGCUUUGGGCUCGGCUGAGGGCCAUCCCCCUCGCGGUGGACGCCGAGGACACCAUCACCUGGAAACAUACUGCCAGCGGAAUCUACUCUGCCACAUCCGCGUACAGUGCGCAACUCCUUGGGCUGGUCAGCUCGCCCAUGGGCUUCGCCGUUUGGAAAGCAUGGGCUCCCCCUAAGAUGAAAUUCUUUGCUUGGCUGGCAAUCCAAAACCGAGUCUGGACGGCGGAUAGAUUGGAGAGGAGAGGGUGGCCGAACUGCGGCCUAUGUCCACUCUGCAAGCAGACGUUGGAAACGGCGAGCCACAUCUUCUUCAAGUGUCGGUACUCCAUUAGACUGUGGGGCCUGAUCAAAGGCUGGCUCAAGCUAGACUACCUCGACAUCUCCUCCUGGAUCACGAUGCGCUCCAUCAAGGACUGCUGGCUCAACAUGUCCAACUCCAGCAUGCCCAACCGGAAGGCGAUGGCUUCUCUUGCUAUGCUGACCUGCUGGACCAUUUGGUGCGAGAGAAAUGCACGGGUGUUUCGUCACAAAUCCACGCUUCCGUCUGUAUUGUUCUCCAACAUUAAGACCGACGCCAACCUUUGGGUAAUUGCGGGUGCUAAGCACUUGGGUCAAAUCAUGCCGGGAGAGUAGUGGCUUUGUAAUAUUUUCUUUCGCUUUUCUUGUAAAAGCAACUCUAAACUCCUUAAUUAAUGGAUGAGGCGAAGCUUUUGCCUCCGUUUCGAAAAAAAAUAAUCUGCAGCACUCCCUUUGUUUCUAUGUUUGCCUCUUUUGUGUUGCCCUCUUUCUAUGCGCCGUUGAUACUUCCAGUAAUAUGUGAUUUGAACUUGAGUGUACUUCACAUGAUCUCCUGUGUAGUUAAUUCCUCAGCUUUCCGUGGGUAACUUUUGAACUGCUACUUUAAUGACAUAUUUUUCGUGUAAUGUGUGGGAAUUUAAGUGCUCGCCUAGAAAUCUCAAUAUUAGAUAUUCACAUGCACGGCAUUUACGUGUGGCUCUGAUGAGUUCUGAUGAUGCUCCGUCAUGUAUUCUGGCGACGUAAUAAUAAAUAUGCCUUGGAGCAGCAGUGAAGCUUUUUAACACGUCGUCUUCCUCUGUACGGGUGUCUGGUCAAAUAUGCUUGGUCAUCUGUUUGAGAUUGGGAUCAGCAGCCGUAGAAAAUGCAGGGCAAAGGAUUUAGAAGGGCUUUCUUGUAAUUUUAUAUCAACAGAUGCAACUGAGUGUGAGUGCAUAUGAGCAUUAAGAAUUACGCAUGAGCCCUCAACGCAACUGUACUAUCAUACAAUAUGUAUAUAUGAUACAGUAUUAUUCCUCUUUUUCAUCUUUGAAACUAGUUCUUGUAUUUGUACCUUUUUGUUUCUGGCAGAGUUACGUGCCUACAUUCUUACUCCCAGAACUUGAUGGCUGUUGUAAAUAGAAGUACACUUGUUCCUCUUGUUGCCGGUGCUUGCUAAACUGAUUAUCUGUUUGAUGAGUCUAGACUAUUUUCUCCUCAUAUACAUGUUCAGUUUUGCUUAACAAAAGGAUAUUGUCCAGUGAUUUUCUUCAAUACCAAAAUACCUAUUCGUACGGACUACGGAAGGUUGCACGUAGAUACGAGAGUGAGCGAGACAAGUUGAAAGAGACCGGGAGUAGGUUGAUAAACUUACUUGCACAUUUGGAAUCGGAGAUAUUGUACUUGUUUACGCUUAUUUUUAUUUACUAAAACCUAGCUCAGCCAAUACUACUCCCUCCGUCCAGAAAAGUUUGUCUUUUUGGGGACAGAGGUAAUAUAACAGAAAUGCAACGAGAACGGCAUUUUGGAGCUCGGCCUCUAUGGAGGCUGAAUUUUGAAAAAUUCAAAAUUCAUACUUUCCGGUUUCACAAAAAUCUGUAAAAGAUUAUACAAGCAUACAGGAUGCGAUGUGUAUGUGUGUAAAAUUUCAUGAUCCAAAAGCAAUUUUCGAAAUGCAACCAUCUAAAAAAAGGUUAAAAGAAAGCGAGUUCACUGCAUUAAGAGAAAACCCCUCGUGUCAUUACGUGUGAUCACAAUUGAAACACAUGACAUGGGACGAAAACCUGACAACACAACAAACUAAACCUAAUAAGUUCCAACGUAGCAUAACUAGGACUACUCAGCAUGCAAGCUGGCCCACCGCAAAAGAACAACAACUCUAAACCACAACAAACCCUCGACAAGUAGCUAGACCCCAUAUCAUCCACAUGAAGUUGUCGCCUCUCCAUGGAUAGCAGCGCAGAUCCUCAUCAGCAUAGUUGUACUACUAGUGUUUAACAUCUCAGCACCUUGGGUAAUCACCUAUUCAGUCGAAUCCUUCUGCAGAUCCGCCCAAUAUCACAAGGAUGCACAAGCAGCAAACACCCUUUCAAAAGGAGUUUUAGGCCAUUUAAACUCAAACAUAGCUCUGUUACGACAAUUCCAGAUCGUCCAUCAAACAACAAGCCCAAUUGUAUAAACUUCCUCAUAUGUUAGAAUUAGACCUAACUGCCCCAGGCAGUUAAUAGUGCCCAAAGCACCUUUUGCUGUAUAGACGCAUGUUCACUCCGAACAGGCGCCUAUCCACAAACCGACGCCCCCCUACAGGCGCCUCUUUCGUAAACCGACAUCCCGAACAGUCGGGAUCCCAUGUAUAAAUACCCCUUGUUGAUGAUCGAUGAAAGGAAGAGUUCAUUCUCAAUCAUUUUAUUUCUUACACGCUACCAGCACGCUCCCGGAGCUGCAAGCACAACACAACACUGAAUAUCACAAACAUUUCAAACAUCAUGUUGCACAGCAUGAGAUCACACCACACCGCCCCUUCUGGUUGAUCACCAGAAUUUUGCAUCACGCCGCAGCUCGAGACUGAUGUUUAGAUAGGCUUUCCAAGUACUCAUCCACAAUGUCCAAAGCACACAUUUCCUUCACACACGUCAUCGACGCAGGGACGUCGAACUGGAAAGUGAGCCCUGAGCUCCCAAACUCCUUCCUCGCCGCUUGGAUGGCUUCUCUCACCGCACAAUGGACGGAUGCCGCAAGAACUAAGGCGGGUUCCCCAUAAGCUGGCAGAGGCAGUGGUUAGAUUAAUUUAGCUAAUGAUCACAUUCAUAUCCGGAAAAAAGGUGAAGUAUAUUCAUAUUGCUUUAGGGAAAGAGAUCACAUUCAUACCCUUUGACGAAAGCACACGGUUCUUGUGGUACCCAGUGUUGAGCACCUCGGCGUUGAACUGCUUCGGGAUGGUGUCGACGCUUGGGAUCUUGUAGACCCAUGUACUGUCACUCACAACCAGUCCAUCGGCAUUUGUUUCGUGUUCUUCAUUUAUGAAGAAACCGACUCCUUGUAUGAAGGAGCCUUCAAUCUGUAAGAUGGAUGGCAGAGAUCAGAUAUGAAUAUAUGAUGCCAUCAUGUACUAUAAUGAAGAAAAACUCUGAUCAGGGCUGCAAUCGUAAUGUACUCGCUCUGUUUCGAAGCAAGGCAUCAUCAAAUACGGAGUAAUAUCCAUUCUUAGUACAGAAUGAUAAAGGUGUGUAACACAGUGGAAAAUAUCUCAGACCUGGCCCAAGUCCACUGCAGGGUUCAAACUCUUUCCACAGUCAUACACAAGGUCGCUCCGUAGUAAAGUAAUGGUUCCUGUAAGAAGAUCAAUCUCCACCUGGACUUUUAGUAAAAAGUGAAAAGGAAAUCAGAAAAGAAUCACAAUAUCUUUCAUAUGUAGAACAUCCAGUAACUAUUGAACUAUGUUAGUCUGAUUGACAUUUAGCAGAAUAUUUUUGUACCUCACUUAUACCAGCUCCAUAGUUCAGAUAGGUACUGGAUUCUUGGCCAGGUACCCAGUAUGUACUUGAGGACAAAUUAACAUUAUCCUUAACGGUCUGUUGGGGAACAUUAAAUUAUACAACGACAAAGUGUUAGCACACAUACAAAUAACAAUUUCCACACAUAAAUGUUUUACUCCCAUAUAGAAUAAAAAACCAGAGGGAAAUAAGAAAACAACCUGAGCAAUCAAAGCAUCCCAUGAAACAGCACCGCCGGAUUGCUGCUUGAGCUUCUCCAUGACUGGCUUUAAUCUGUCAACCAGCAUGUUGCAGGCCUCAAGGGUUGCUGCACAGCUAGACUCAGACGAAGUGCUGCCGGCGGUGAGCCCACCUUGGAUCAAGUUCAGCAUAUCAGCCUGAGGAACACGCACCCUAUCAAGAAGGGAUUCACAUCCAUCAGGCCACAACUGUCCCAAAGCAAAAGUUGUCAUUUGCUGUACUUUGGUCCACAGCCCUUGCCCAAUCUCAAUGCCUCCAACCUCAACCACAAUGGAACCAUCGUUGAGCACAGAAACUCUUCUAGGAGCUGGCCUUGGUGCCACCUUGAAGACGAGGGGCGCGCAAGAGAUACCCCGCUUCCACCACUUGGUGCAGCUGUUGUACUGCCUGAUGGAUUCGGCUCGAUGCAGGUAGCUCGAUGUCGUGAGCAACCUAUCGAAGAUAGAAUGCAAUGUGUACGUAGAAGCUUCGCCUGUGCUUUCUGGAUAGAACAACACAAGGCUGUCAUAGGUGUGGAAAUUCUUCUGUCUGACACUAUUAGCAUCAAGUGACAGCACCGAAGCGACAUGCUCGAUGAUAGCUUCAGCGAUAAAAGAUCCCUGAGCAUCUCCAGGAGCACGCAUUACUGACUUGGAUGUGUUGUUUGUUUUACAGAGCUUGAUGUCGAACGAGAGAGCACCCCAGUUGUAUUUCUUCAGGCCUGAAAUGAUGGUGUCUGGCAUUAUGGUGCUAGCAUCUGGAGAAAUUCCAGCAUUGACUAGUAUGUCCAGGUGCAAGGCUGUGAUUCUCCCAUCAGACUUUAAACCAACAGAGUAAUAUGCUUUUAUGGGGUGACGACCCCAGAUCAUGAUCAUGUCAGUACUGCGGUUGAGAUACAUCCGCACCGGUAACUUGAAUGCACAGAGUGCAGCUGCCGUUGCUACCUACAAAAACAUAAAUUGUCAGAUCACUAAGCACAACACAGCUGAAAUGGUUAAUGUCUUUUGCUUUCUUGGAAGUUGAAUGAAUGGUAAAAUGGCCAAACUUAUGUUAAAACCUAUCACUAGAACCCUAAUCCACCAUAAAAAAAGGAAUGUUAGUUGUAAAAAUAGAUUAGUGGAUUAGAUGUUGCGUCGUGAACUCAUCUUAUGUGAAACCUAACUUAUACACUCAUGUUCGUUGAAGGUAUAUACUAGAAGUAAAAAAAAAUGCAAUUAUUCAUAUAAAGAUACUACCUCCAUCCGGAAUUAGUUGACGCUCAAACGGAUGUUCCGAACGGAGGGAGUACUUGUUAGAUUCUUUCAGUUGUGCCGCAUGGGCUAUGAAUUUCUUUUGUCGCUUUGUCGGGCUGUUGUUUAAACUUGUUAGAUUCCUACUUACAUUGCAUGAUCUGAAUGCCUUCCCACCAAAGCCUCCUCCAACCCUCCUUGUAAUGACACGCACGCUGCUGAACGGAAUGCCGAGGCACUUGGCUAUUGCACUCUGUGCAACCUCAGGGUACUGUGAUGAAAUGUAUACGACCAUGCUGUUAUCUUCAUCUGGAAUUGCUAGAGUCGCUUGUGUUUCCAUGUAGAAGUAGUAUUGAGAGGCAAGUUUCACCUGUGAUCAUUCAAGGUACACAUAUAACUUUGACAAAGUUGCAUCACAACAAUACGAACUUUCAUACAGUUGCUAUGUUACUGAGCAGAUUAAAUGGUAACUAUAAAAAAGAAGAAUCAGAUUAACUACACGGACCAUACCAGAGCUCAAGUUAAUUAAAUGAUAGUGACUGUAAAGUUAUAUAUGUAACAAAAAGUGGUAUCCACUAGUAAUGCAUAUGGUCCAGUUGAAAAUAGAUAAUAUCAAAAAUGAAAUUUAGAAGUUUGUAUUGUUAAGUAUAAAAAGUUCCAUUAAAUUUUCAGUAAUGCAUGUUAAGUAUAAGAAGUUCCAUUAAUUUUUGAGUAAUGCAAGCGAGAUGUUAGAAUGGAAAAGGUCUCAUAGUAUUUUGAAUUAACAUACUUUCGUUGAGAGGAUCUUGUGGUCAGCUUCUGCCAUGCCCUUGCAAAAAUUACCAACUUGUUUUGGAUACAUCUCAGGAGGAACUUCGAAAUAGCUGUUGUUUUGUACUGCUUGUUCUACAGUAAAGAUUGGUGGCUUCAAAUCUUUUGUGUCAUAUUCAACAACAACCUGUUUUCCUGCCAAGUUGGCGUAUCUCUGAGUUUCUGCAAUCUGAAGUAAAGUCCACAUUUUAGGACAUCAGUACUGAAAAAAUACAGAAUAUAUUUUUUCAUUCUUAGAGCAAAAGGUAGCUAAUGCUCACUUGUAAUUAGGGGCAAAUGUGCACUUAAAUAAAUAGUUUAAUUUAACAAGAUCACCUUCGGUAUUUAAUUAGGGGCAAUUGUGAGAACAAUACAAUAUAUUUUUGGCAUAUCCACUUGCAUUGAGUUUCAACAAGCAAUCUUGUUACGAAACAAACAGAGAUAUAGGUGCUCCUACUACACAAAAUUUCUGUAGGCGUUUAAUUAACCCAAUCUAAUAGGUUGUUCCUUAGGGCAUUUUACAAGUAAAUUUCUGGAUAUAAAUAUUAUAUAUAUAUAUAUAUAUAUAUAUAAUUUUUGGAAAAAUGAAUUUGUGAAAUUAAGGUUUCAUUAUUUUAAUUUUUACAGAUUUGCCCCUAAUUAAGAUUUACUUUUUCUGUAACAUUCACAAAGGUUUUUCUCAAAGAAGAAUAAUGAAGAAAAACCCAUUUAUGAAUUGCCUUUAUUAUACAAGAAUUUAUUGCGGAGUGAACAUUAAAAUAUGAAAAGAUAAGUACCACGACACCAAGAGCUUGUCCAGCAUACGCAACAAUUGGGGCACCAAAAAGUGGUUCGUCCCCAAACAUCAAGCUUGACCCAAUAUUUUGCCCGCCACUUGGAAUAUCAUUUGCAGAAACAACCGUGAGGAUCUUCUCUGAUGCUAAAGAAGGUUUGAACUUGAUAUUCUUGACAUAUGCAAGAGGUUGUGUGCUGUAAAUAAACUCUCCGUAAAGGCAAUUCUUUGGAGCAGGGAUAUCAUCUACAUAUACUGCCUCCCCUGCAGUACAGAAAAGAAAUUAUAUCAGUCUGAAGCUAAUCCAAAAGGAAGGAUAAUUUAGAGAGGAAGAAAACUUCUAGAUCCCCAUUAGGAAUUCUGAUGGUUUAUAUUCAUCACAUACCAGAAGCUUGAAGCUCAACUGCAUAUCUCUUAAUCGGCUCACCAACUGGUUAUAUUCAUCACUGGAAACUGUUUCUCGACGUGAAGACAACGGAAGGUCACAAAUAUCAUCUGUAUCUAAAGAACCAGCAGAACUAAUGUUCAGAGUUUCUCCAGAUUCCUUUAGCAAAUGGAGACAAGUAACUGAAGAGAAAUCCAACAACCACACUGACUCUGUAUUCAGGAUGUGAUGUUCCUUCCAUUGGUACAAUUGUUUCUCUAAGUAAUCGAACUACCGUUCAGGUGUUGUUCAACUUUUGUUACUCUAAUAGCAUGUUCGGUCCCAUAGGCACCAAAGGCCAUGUGUAGGUUACUCAACACAAGAUCACCAGACGAUUCAUUCAGGAAGACAUGGCCCAGCAUAGCAGAGUUAACAUAUGAAACAACAUUGCCAAGAGGGCGAGGUGCCGCUCGGUAAGUUUCGAAGAUCACCUUACUUUCUUUCUGAGAAUCUGAAGCCCAAUGUGGAAUAAAUAUGCUCAGGAGCAAUGUACUGGGAUCAAGAGGAGGCUGCUCCAGAAACUCUUCAAAAGUUACCUCUAGUGUUUCUGAAUAAACCUGAAGACGAACAGUUGAAGCAGCACCAAGAAGUAUGGUCGCGAUGUCCGAGGGAAACGGGUAUUUCUGUGCUAGAAUUAUGUUCCCACCAAGGCUUGCUGUGUUGCGGACAAAUGGUGUGGCCACCUUGCUCAUGUGCUCAGCGAGUUUUCUGAAAACCACACUUCCAUUUGCACAUGAUGUAGAUCUAGCUUCUUGCUCGAGUAUCUCAAUAGUUUUAGAAAUUGGUGUAGCUGCUCCGAUUUCAAAGCCACUGUCUUUCUUCCAAACAGCUGAAAGUUCAGGAAUGUCACCGAUGUCAAUAUACUUGUUAUAUAGAUCCCGAUCCUUGUAUCCCUUGACACCAGAACUUGUGUUCCCGACAACCACUUUAACUGUGCAGUCACUAAAAAUGCCAGAGUUCAGCAAGUCAUAAUACUGCCCAAUGCUUUUAGGAUGAUACCAACCCACCCUGGAGACCGUGACAUCUGAAACAUCAGUUAGAUGAAGGAGCGAAGAUUUUAUCUCGGAUUUCAGGAAGUCCGGGAAAGUGCAGACUCCACCACCAAGAGUGUAAGCUGGCAACUUGCUGACGUCGGCGUCCUUAUCACCUUUCUUCCAGAAUAUAUUGAGGCCCAAAUCCUCCAGGUCAACAUCUGAAGCAAAACUUUUGCACGCAUCGACGAUCGGUCGGUAGCCGGUACAUCUACACAUGUUGCCUGAGAAAGCCCUUUCUGCUUCAGAUACUGUCAACUUUGAGAACCCCUUUCGUGGUUCGGGCUUCUUGGACUUGUCAGCAUUGGCAAGAGAAGUGAAAAUAGACAUGCACAUGCCGGGAGUGCAGAAGCCGCACUGAGAACCAUGGAACCCGGACAUUCUUUUCUGAAUAGAAUGGAAGCCAUCUUGUGUAUUUCCCAGGCCUUCGGUGGUGAUGGCUGAGCAGAGAUUUAUGCUGUAGAGCAGGGCCAGGCAUCAACUUGCGGAGAAUUUGGUCACUUCAUCUUUUGUUGGAUUAUAGGUUGCUAUAAGGACUACACAAGCUCCACAUCCACCUGCAAUUGAGCACAGUUAUAGAAUUAGUCAUGGCAUUCUAUAUCCUCCUCUUUUCGGAAGAAUGAACAUCACAUGCCCGUAUAUCCUCUCUCUCUUAUCAUGGAUCUGGAGGGACCGGCCGAACCGAAAGGACUAGAACUUGCGUGAGAACUGAACAAAUAUAGCCACAAUGCAUGAGAACUUGCGUGAGAACUGUCUCAAUUUGGUUUGGAUUCUUAGUUCAAAAUCUGAACUUGUCUCUAAAAAAAGAACAGCAUUGAAGCAUACGGAUCCAAAGUACACAAUGAAAGCCGAUGCAUGAACUGCGGGCGGUAUGAUAUAUGGACCUUAUGUAACCAGGUUCUUAACAAGAUUUCUGCAUAAACUUUAGCACUAGCGCACCCGCAUCGGCGGAGUUUGUAUGUUCAAAACAGGGUCACCAUGACGAUGACACACUUUGAUGUUCGAAUACUAUGCUGCAUCGAGCUGGUGAAAUCCACACAGAAAUCCUCGACGACGCCAUCGCCCCCAGGACUGCCGCCCGCCGACGCGUCCCCGAGAGGGAGGUGGAGCUCGUUGUCCAGCUCCCGUGUCGAUAGUAUUCUGGAUCUGACAAAUGUUUGAAAACUAUAGCGAAAAAUAUUCUGAAUCUGUUUGCACUGGAUGGAUACCGUGAAAUUUCCUGUUGUUUUUAUGCAGCUUUGUUCAAUUUCUAAAAGCUGCCUAAAAAUUCUGAAAUGUUUCUUGAAAUCCGUAGAAAGAAGUUUGGAGUUUGUUGGUACUAGUAGUGAAAGAUGGUUCAAAUUCAUGAAAUGGUUUUGACACACAGUGUGUUUGAUACUUUGGCCGACAUUUAGCAAUCCCGAUAUAUAAUUGAGUUGCGUACACGCAGUCUGAAAUCCCAAAACAACCAUCAACGACAUGUGUGGUGCCGGAAUAUAGCACUUACGGUAGAGGCAAUUAGGAAGUCCCUUCCAACGAUCCCCUCUCCCCGCGCACCCUGGUCUAGAAGCUAGCCCCUUUCACUAUUCUACAUGAUAUAUCUUUUUUUAACACAAUAAAAUCAUAGAUGCGUGCAUAUACGCGCAUACACUCACAUUUAUGAACGCAUGCAUGCACUGUUAGAUAAUAACGAGAAAUAAACGAGACACAAGAGACACGGAUUUUUACGUGGAAACCCUUGCGGGAGAAAACCACGGACGCACGAAGGCGCAAUCACUAUGAGGAGGAGUAUUACAAGCACGAGACGACAUGCCGUCUUAGGUGCGACUACAUGGGGUAUAUGUGAGGGGCAACACAUAGGAGUCGUUGUAGGACAUGUAAACGAGUUGUACUCGUACGCGUCAGUACCAACGCAAAGGCCCACACCGUAUGUACUAUGUCUAGUCCAAUACGGUAGAAUUUGGAUCACAAUUUAACAAUCUCCACCUUGAGCCAAAUUCCCUCCAGUAGUCGAAGAAAGUAAAUAACUCCAUCCAAAUCAGCAUAAACACCUUCUGCGUCAAAGUCCAUUGGACUAGUGUGAAAUACCAACUAAGCCUGAGCAAAGCCCAAACUUAUUGGUCGGAACUGGCUUUGUCAUCAUAUCAGCAGGAUUAUCAUGAGUACUUAUCUUGCAUACCUUCAAAUCGCCUUCAGCAACAACAUCUCGAAUAUAAUGAAAUUUGACAUCAAUGUGCUUUGUUCUCUCAUGAUACAUUGGAUUCUUUGUAAGAUAUAUGGCAUUUUGACUGUCAGAAAAUAUGGUAGGGCAAGAUGAAUCUCCACAAAGCUCAGCAUACAAACCUCUCAACCAGAUAGCUUCUUUGCAUGUCUCAGAAAUAGCCAUAUACUCGACAUCAGUAGUGGAACAAGCCACAAUAGACUGCAAAGUUGCUCUCCAACUCACAACACAACCACCAAUGGUGAAAACAUAACCUGUGACUGACCUUCUCUUAUCCAAAUCACCAGCAAAAUCAGAAUCAACAAAACCAACAAGUCCAUCUUCAGUUCUCCCAAACUGUAAAUAAGCAUUAGAAGUACCUCGCAGAUAUCUGAAAAUCCACUGAACUGCUCUCCAAUGCUCUUUUCCAGGAUUAGCCAUGUAUCUACUGACAACACUCAAUGCAUAUGAUAAAUCCGGACGAGAACAAACCAUGGCAUACAUAAGUGAACCAACUGCACUCGAAUAGGGAACUCUAGACAUGUACUCAAUAUCUGCAUCUGACUUAGGACAUAAAGUUGAUGAUAAUUUGAAGUGUGCAGCUAACGGAGUACUUACUGGCUUGGCAUUAUGCAUAUUAAAACGACGAAGAACUUUAUCAAUGUAUCCCUUCUGACUUAGAUAUACUUUUCCAGAUGGUCUAUCUCUGGAUAUUUCCAUGCCAAGUAUUUUCUUUGCUGCACCCAAAUUCUUCAUCUCAAAUUCAUUACUCAAUUGCUUCUUUAGUUCAUUAAUAUCUGACAUACUCUUUACAGCAAUAAGCAUAUCAUCAACAUAAAGGAGCAAAUAAAUAGUUGAACCUUUGACAGUUUUCAGAUAAACACAACUAUCAUAAUUAAACCUUUUAAAACCUUGAGAGAGCAUAAAGGUGUCAAAUCUCUUGUACCACUGUCUAGGGGAUUGCUUCAAUCCAUAAAGAGAUUUCUUUAACUUACAGACAAGCUUUUCUUUUCCAGGAAUAACAAAACCUUCAGGUUGUUCCAUAUAAAUAUCCUCUUCUAAUUCUCCAUGUAAGAAUGCAGUUUUAACAUCCAAUUGUUCAAGCUCAAAAUCAUGCAUGGCAACAAUACUGAGUAAAGUGCGAAUAGAGCUAUGCUUCACAACAGGAGAAAAGACUUCGUUAUAGUCAAUACCUGGAAUCUGACUGUAACCUUUAGCAACUAACUUUGCUUUAUAUCUUGUCUCAUCAUUAGGAGAAACACUUUCUUUCCUCUUGAAAACCCACUUGCAAUGAAUAGGUUUCUUCUCUCUAGGUAAUCUUACUAAAUCCCAAGUGCCAUUCUUUUCAAGUGAUUCCAUCUCAUCAUGCAUAGCAUUCACCCACUUAUUACAAUCACCAGAAAUAAUAGCCUCGGAAUAUGAAGAAGGCGCAAAAUUACCUUCAAUUUCUUCUGCAACAGAUAAAGCAAAAGAAACAAUAUUGCACUCUUCAAUUAACCUGUCAGGUUUAUUAAUACCCCGUCUAACUCUGUCACGUGCGAGAUUCCAACUGGGCGGAACAAUAGGCUGAUUUGGAGUGGGAGUGACAUUAUCAUCAUUAACGACGGGUUCAUCAUUUGCAUCAACAAUUUCAUGACCAGAUGUAUCACCCGAAUCAAUAACAUGCUCCACCUGAACAGUAGGCUCCUGAACAAUAGGCUGUUGUUCACUCUCAACGUGAACAUUAGUAGAUGAAACAUCAUGUAACAUAGCAGAUUCAUUAAAGAUAACAUUUCUGCUAAUAUCAACCUUCUGGGUUUCAGGAUUCCACAAUUUAAAACCUUUAACACCAGACUUAUAACCAAGAAAGAUGCACUUAACAGCCCUAGGCUCCAACUUUCCAUUAUCAACAUGAGCAUAAGCAAUGCACCCAAAAACUCUCAACUGUGAGUAAUCAGCAGGUGAACCAGACCAUACCUCAAUUGGAGUUUUCUUAUUAAGAGCAAUAGAUGGUGAACGGUUAACGAGAUAACAAGCAGUGGAAGCGGCCUCAGCCCAAAAACGCCUAUGCAAACCUGCAUUGGACAACAUGCAACGGGCUCUGGAAAUAAUGGUCCUGUUCAUACGCUCAGCAACACCGUUUUGUUGAGGAGUAUAAGGAACGGUGUAAUGUCUGACAAUGCCUUCAGACUUGCAAUAAUUCUUAAAUUGCUUAGAACAGAAUUCCAUACCAUUAUCAGUGCGAAGUAUUUUUACCUUCUUUUCAGUUUGUCUUUCAAUCAUAAUCUUCCACUCCUUAAAUGCUGAGAAUGCUUCAUAUUUAUGCUUCAAGAAAUAAGGCCAAACUUUUCUCGAAUAAUCAUCAAUAAUAGUCAGCAUGUAACUUGCACCACCUAGUGACUUUCUGCGAGAUGGUCCCCAUAAAUCAGAAUGGACAUAAUCAAGAAUACCUUCGGUUGUAUGAGUCGAAGUGUUGAACUUCACCCUCUUGUGCUUGCCGAAGAUGCAAUGCUCACAAAAUUUCAAUUUACCAGGCUCAUAUCCAUCAAGAAGACCUCUCUUAUUUAACUCUGCCAAACCAAGUUCACUCAUAUGUCCAAGACGCAUAUGCCAAAGGUUAGCAGCAUCACAAUCAGAAUUCUUUGAAAUAACUGGAGUAGCGUUACCUGAAACGGUAGAACCUCGAAGGUAAUAAAGACCAUUGGUCGAACUCAAAUCACCUUUCAUCACAAUAAGGGAACCUUUGGUGACUUUCAAAACACUAUCUCCACCUGAAUACUUGUAUCCCUUUGCAUCAAGGGCACUCAUAGAAAUAAGAUUUCUCUUCAUCUACCGAACAUCUGUCAAAGUUCUGAUUAUGCCAUCAAACAUCUUGAUUCGAAUAGAACCUAUGCCUUCAAUCUUGCAUGGUGAAUUAUCAAAACCCAAAACGGAACCAACAGCAGUAGUGGAAUCAAAAGUAUUAAACCAAUCUCUAUGUGGACACAUAUGAAAAGUGUAUGCAGUGUCAAGUACCCACUCAUCAUUGGUCUCAGCGCAUCCAGCAAUAACGACAAGAGCAUCAUCGGAACUAUCAUCACGAGCAACGUUAGCAGAAUUUUCACCUGGUUUGUUACCUUUUCUCUUUUCCUUGUUCUGCAACUUGAAACACUCUGAGAUGGCAUGCCCGCCUCUCUUGCAAUAUCUGCAAUACUUCUUGUCUCUGGAUUGCGACCGGCCCCUGUGGCCGUUCUUACUUUUGCCUCUGUUUCCAUUAUUGAAGUUCUUCUCCUUUGUCCUGCCACGAACCGAUAAUCCCUCGGCUUGGGAUGAACUUGAACCAUCAUGAGGCACCGUUAAUUUCAUCUUCUCCUUAGAGUUCAAAGCUCCAUAAACUUCAUUGAGCGUGAGAGUAUCACGAUUGUAUAAUAUGGUGUCUCUAAAAUUGGUAUAAGAACUUGGCAGUGAACAAAGUAACAUUAAAGCUGUAUCUUCCUCUUCAUACUUAACCUCCAUUGCAGCUAGAUCAGAUAUGAUCUCUUUAAAUUCUGAAAUAUGAUUCAAAACAUUACCUCCCUCAGGUAACCUGUGCAGGAAUAAUUUUUGCUUCAGAUGCAUCUUGCUGGUAAGAUCUUUAGUCAUGCAAAUCCCUUCCAGCUUUAACCAUAGAGCGGCGGCAGUUUUCUCGCUCAAAACUUCCUGCAAAAUAGUAUUAUGCAAAUGGAGUUGAAUUUUUGACAAAGCCUUACGAUCAAUUCUUUUCUCCUCAUCAGUCCAGUCCUCAAUUCGGUUCUUUCCGAAACUAUCCAAUGCUUAAUCAUAGUCGGUCUGUGCCAACAACGCUCACAUCUUAACUUGCCAUAGGGUAAACCUUGUGUCACGGUCCAGCGGCGGAAGAUCGUACUUCAUGGAAGCCAUGAGUAGAUAAAUCUGGUAAGCAUCGGGUGUGGACUAAACAGUAAAAAAAAAUCCAAACAGUAGCAAUUAGGCACCAAAGUGCGCUGUAGCUUGACGUGAUAGCGUACUAGUUGAAGUGCUAGUACACUAGUACUGCCAGCCCUUGGUCUUCACGUGUGGACAUGGAACACUCGCCGCUGAAAAGAAUCUGGGGACUUUGUCCACGCGGCUGCUGCUUUUCUUCUGUCGCCUUGAGACUCGGGAGCAGCGGCGGCUAGAUUAAAUCAUACAACACGUCGGCUCGGUGCAGCGGAUUCGUCUCGAUCUCGGUGUAGAGGAAAAAUCAGUAUCCGAUCUUGAUCUAGACACGGAUGAUGAGCCGCCCGGACUCGGCGGAUUGCACGACGCGGCGACAGCGCGGAACCCUAAUCCUCUCGAUCUCAAAUCUCGUCUCUGUCACUUGGCUCUGAUACCACUUGUUAGAUAAUAACAAGAAAUAAACGAGACACAAGAGACACGAAUUUUUACGUGAAAACCCUUGCGGGAGAAAACCACGGACGCCCGAAGGCGCAAUCACUAUGAGGAGGAGUAUUACAAGCACGAGACGACAUGCCGUCUUAGGUGCGACUACAUGGGGUAUAUAUGAGGGGCAACACAUAGGAGUCCUUGUAGGACAAGUAAACGAGUUGUACUCGUACGCGUCGGUACCAACGCAAAGGCCCACACCGUAUGUACUACGUCUAGUCCAAUACGGUAGAAUUUGGGUCACAAUUUAACAUGCACACUAUAUUCCACUGAGCACCUCCGAGAUAGUGAGCUGGCACAACAACCUGAGACCAACGAAGUCUUCACAUGUGCCUCAUGGUCAACGAAAACAUCUCUUCUCACUGAAUCGUCAGAAGUCUGAAAAAGAUUCAGGAAAAUGCGUACACCAGUGUCAAGUUUAAGACUUAAACCCCGAUAGGCUGGUUUCACCACAAGGAACCUAACUAUCUGAGCUGCGGUCAAUUUACUCCAUAGGAUAUAUCGGCUAAGAAAGGGACGCUCUAUCCUCCCAACAUGGAUCAACCACUCAAUAACUAGUACGACCCCAGAGUAAAGGACGAUGAUGGCGAACGAUGAAAAACAGUGGGUAAAGCAAAGUAUGAUGCAGACCGGGCGGUAAGAACGUGAGCUGGUUAAAGUGUGGCGUGCAAAACGGAAACUCCAAGGGAGAUCACUGUCACUGCAAGUAUGAUCAGAACCGAUCGGUCGAUCUGCUUAGCUUUCAGAGACUAGCUUUUCGCCACUCCGCGGCGCAUGCCCUGUCGCGUCUGCUAAGCUAGCUAGCUCAGGUGCCAGGGCCGUCCGAACUAGCUUUCGGCUCUUAAAUUGCAUUUGAACACUUGCUCCAUCCCUGUCGAUUGCCGACACGCAAGUAUGCGAAGUCUACAUUCUGUAUUUAUACUGCAUGUAAGGUACAUAGCUAGAUUAAUGACGUAGUGAAAUCAGGAAACACAAAAUACAAAUUGCAAUCUGUUAAGUAUUCCCGGUCACGCUUUAUAUAUCCGACCGAGCCCACCAUAUCGGCACAUCCAGAUGCAUGGAUGCAUGUGUCAUAAGGUAGUCGAAUCGUGAUUCUGAAUCAGAUCGAAGCUCCGAUGGUACGACCGCAAUCGUAGAAUCUUCGCUGUUAGAAUCGUAUAAGAAACAUACUCCCUUUGUUCCAAAUUAUAAGAAUCAUGGAUUAGGCGGUGUAUCAUUUUUCUUUCGGGAAAAUUAGCCAGUAUCUUCGAUAUGUGCAUGUUUGUGAUGAGUGUGUGAUUUUGUGGACCACAUGAUAACACAUCGCGAUCAAUAUGCAGAAUGAUAUAUAUAUAUACUAGAUCGACAUAAUGAUCUCAGAGUCAGACUAUCGGUCUCCAACAGACGAAAAACACUAAUUUCCUUGUACCGGGAGUUGUCAGGACAGUGAUCGUCCCUGGAUCAUCAAAAACUAAUGGUGUACGCUCGGACCACAACGUACGCAUGUCGACGCAAAAGUCACGGAAAGCAAUGGUACGCAUGAUCGAGAGCACCACACUCAAACCACGUCGCCCUCAAGAAAAGCAAGAAGGAGAGGCUCUGCUUCACCCUCCACGGAGUGCAGUUGGCGGUGGCACGUAGAUUCAAGAGCUUGCUGGCUGGCAAAGCUAAAAGAAUCGUGGAUCAAGAGCGAGCGAGCGAGCGUACGUACCUUCGCCGCAGCCGAGGCUGCCGAGCUUGGUGCCGGUGAAGGGCGUCCUGGUCCGGAUGAACUCGAGCAGCGUGGUUCCGGGGUGCACGUCGCCGGCGGCCACCUCGUACCGCCGCCCGUUCAGCGCGAACACCACCCUCUCCAGCCUCAUCGGUCGAUCUCCCUGAUCGCUCGCCGGCCGCCGGUCGUCACCGAUCGGUCGAUUGCGCGCGGUGAGCGAGCUGCUAGUCUGCUUCUGCUAGUGUAUGUGAGACUGUGUUAUGAGCCGCCUUGCGAUCUAGGACGACGUGCACGGCGAUAGAUGGAGGCGAGCUGCUACCUGGGAGUUGAAUGAAUGGGCAGCUGCGUGAUCUUUGAAUGCUAGCUGGUCGAUGGCUAUUUACUUGCGGGAGAGGAUCGAAACCAGUGUCAUGACCGCGACAGCACGCUACGGAAAGGCGAAGCGAAGCAAUGCAUUUUUUCUGUUGCGUCCGUGUCCGUAUUCCUGUAAAAAUACAAGGCGAGAGACAUACGACCCUAUAACUCCCGUCUCAAUCGAACGUGCAGCCGGUGGCUCACCCAGCAAACCCAGAGCAUCUGCGCCCUCCACCUUAGGGCAAGGACUAUAGGAGUCUCGAAAAUACAAUUUUUCCAAACUUCAAAAUAGUAGAUAAGCAUGUCGCCUAUCUACUAUACACUGUUCAUCUUUCCAAACUUCAAAAUACCAUCUUGGCACCAUUCAUAAUAUAGGGCUCGCUAGAGCUCGUGCGCCAAAGUCACUUUUUGCACUCUCCGCCCCCCUCUCUGCUAUGGUAGAUAGGCGACCGAAUCCCCAACGUCGAAUGCUAGUGAGGCCGUGGGUCCCUCCCCCCCCCCCCCUCCCCCGCCCAUCGCUGGAGGGGGAGGGAACUGCGAUGAACCAUCUUGUAAACCCGUUGAUCGGGAAUUUAAGGAGAGUUUGCAAUCAUCAUGUAUCAUAAUGCACCUCAUAGCAUGACUUAUCAUAUAGUUGCAUGGUGAAAAAACCCUCUAGGUUAACUUUGCAAUAUGUGNNNNNNNNNNNNNNNNNNNNNNNNNNNNNNNNNNNNNNNNNNNNNNNNNNNNNNNNNNNNNNNNNNNNNNNNNNNNNNNNNNNNNNNNNNNNNNNNNNNNNNNNNNNNNNNNNNNNNNNNNNNNNNNNNNNNNNNNNNNNNNNNNNNNNNNNNNNNNNNNNNNNNNNNNNNNNNNNNNNNNNNNNNNNNNNNNNNNNNNNNNNNNNNNNNNNNNNNNNNNNNNNNNNNNNNNNNNNNNNNNNNNNNNNNNNNNNNNNNNNNNNNNNNNNNNNNNNNNNNNNNNNNNNNNNNNNNNNNNNNNNNNNNNNNNNNNNNNNNNNNNNNNNNNNNNNNNNNNNNNNNNNNNNNNNNNNNNNNNNNNNNNNNNNNNNNNNNNNNNNNNNNNNNNNNNNNNNNNNNNNNNNNNNNNNNNNNNNNNNNNNNNNNNNNNNNNNNNNNNNNNNNNNNNNNNNNNNNNNNNNNNNNNNNNNNNNNNNNNNNNNNNNNNNNNNNNNNNNNNNNNNNNNNNNNNNNNNNNNNNNNNNNNNNNNNNNNNNNNNNNNNNNNNNNNNNNUCGUGCGCCAAAGUCACUUUUUGCACUCUCCGCCCCCCUCUCUGCUAUGGUAGAUAGGCGACCGAAUCCCCAACGUCGAAUGCUAGUGAGGCCGUGGGUCCCUCCCCCCCCCCCCUCCCCCGCCCAUCGCUGGAGGGGGAGGGAACUGCGAUGAACCAUCUUGUAAACCCGUUGAUCGGGAAUUUAAGGAGAGUUUGCAAUCAUCAUGUAUCAUAAUGCACCUCAUAGCAUGACUUAUCAUAUAGUUGCAUGGUGAAAAAACCCUCUAGGUUAACUUUGCAAUAUGUGCAAAUCUGCUCAUAAGUGAAUGUUGCGAAGAAAAUGGCAUCCAACUAAUGACUUGGUAUUUUCCCGAGUCCUAAAUGUCACAACCAACACCGAGGAUGGAUCUCAAAUUUUCUGUCUUAGUUUUGGUAUUUGAAUCAAAUGAUAAUUGUUCAGAUUCAAAAAAUGGUAGAACUGUAAUUUAAUUGCUUGGUGGUGAUUCCGUUAAUGAAAAUUGAUAUAUCGGGAUAAUAUGUGGCCCUUAACCUCCAGUAAAAUUAUCAGGACUUUUGGAAUCAUAUUUCAUCUACAUGCAAUUCAGACCCAAAUUUAGGGCAGAACUGAAUUUGAAUUAAAUGAUAGUCAAAUACUUCUGAAAAAUCUUGAAAAUUUUCACAAUAGUGUGAAAUAGUAUAAUUGGAACAUGUACCUACAGUUUUAAACCAACAAAUGAUUAACUAGCCCUUUAAAAUCCAAGGAAUGAAAGGAAUACAAGAAAUAGGAGAGAGGAGGAGGCAACCCAAACCAAACUGGGCUGAACCGGGUCUAGUCGGUCUCCCCCACCUAUUUCUUUUUUUUUCUCUGUUUCGCAACAAAAGAUAUUUUUCUCUUUUCCUUUCCCCACUGAGCAAUGGGGCCCGAUGGGACCCACCAAUCAGGUCACCUUCCAUCUCAUCAGAGAGUUUCCCUCCAGGUCGAGAUUGGCAUUGACACCCAGGGCACCAGCAGGCAACAUGCAAGUUGUCUGGACGCAAUCGUGGCAUCUUCGGCGAGCUUCCCCUCUGCCUCCAUGUCCCUGAGCUCCCCUCGGUCGAUUUGGCCAGGUACUCUAGCCGAUGUCGACGUCGUCCCCGGCUUCGGCGGACACCUCCACGGUCCCUUUGUCGCCACCUUCUUCCCCAAGCUCACCUCUGCUCGUCUGAGCCUUGAGCUUUGACGCAUCCUCUCGGCCAAGAUCACUUCUGCUCGUCUUCGACGACGCCUACUGUCGCACGCUCGGGAUCCGCCGGCCGCCCCGAAGGCCAGAGCAUGCAGCGCUGGCCAUCGAACAACCGGAUCACCUGUAGCUCCUGUAAGUCCACGACCUCAACGCCACGGAGGCCAUAGCAGCGGAGCAGGACCCGAGCCGCCGCCUAUGACCCCCAUACACCGGCGACACGACAGCUAGCCAUGUCCUCCCUGGCUCGGCGUCGCCCCGGCUCUGCCUCGGACGGUGCCUCGCCAUCCUCUUCUCUUCGCAAAUCGAGUGACGCAAGUUUCAUUUUCAGACAACUUGCAAAUAGCAAACAUGGAUUACUAUUUAUAAACAUGCAUUUCAAAUGCAGGUAUGCCUUCAGGUUCAGUCUGGAAUUAUCAAUGCAAGUCUCAACCCAGAAUUAUUACAAAAGUGUGCAAGCACAACACUGAAUGUUAUAAACAUUCCGAACAACAUGUAUGCAAUUUACCAUUCAACGUCACGCAACACGAACAAACCACACCGCUCCUUCCGGUUGACAGUACCCCAUUCUUGUAUCAUGCCGCAGCUCGAGACUGAUGUGCAGAUAGGCUUUCCAAGUACUUAUCCACGAUGUCCAAACCACACAUUUCCUUCACGUGUGUCAUCGGUGCAGGGACGUCGAGCUGGAACGUGAGCUCUGAGCUUCCAAACUCCUUCCUUGCCGCUCGGAUGGCCUCUCUCACCGCGCAAUGGACCGACGCUGCGAGAACCACGGCAGGCUCCCCAGAGGCUGGCAGAGGCAGACUAGUUAAAUCACUUUAACCAAUGAAAAAUUUCAGUUGGCAAAAUAGUAAAACUAUAUUCAUGUUGCUUCAGUUCAGGGGAAGCACAGUCCUACUACACACCUUUUGACGAAAGAACUCGGUUCUUAUGGUACCCAGUGUUGAGCACCUCGACGUUGAACUGCUUCGGGAUGGUGUCCACGCUCGGGAUCUUGUAGACCCAUGUGCUGUCACUCACAACCAGUCCAUCGGCAUUUGUUUCGUGUUCUUCGUUUAUGAAGAAACCAAUUCCUUGUAUGAAGGAGCCUUCAAUCUGUAACAUGGAUGGUAGAGAUCAGAUAUGAAUAUAUGAUGCCAUCAUGUACUAUAAUGAAGAAAAACUCUGAUCAGGGCUGCAAUAUAAUGUACUCGCUCUGUUUCGAUGUAAGGCAUUAUCAAAUAAUAUCCAUGUUCACUACUCCCUCCGUUCUUAAAUAUAAGUCUUUCUAGAGAUUACACUAUGGACUACAUACGGAUCAAAAUGAGUGAAUCUACACUCUAAAAUGUGUCUAUAUACGUCCGUAUGUAGUUUGUAGUGGAAUCUCUAAAAAGACUUACAUUUAGGAACGGAGGGAGUACAAAAUGAUAAAAGAAGAGCACAGCGCAGUGGAAAAUAUCUCAAACCUGGCCCAAGUCCACUGCAGGGUUCAAACUCUUUCCACAGUCAUACACAAGGUCACUCCGUAGUAAAGUAAUAGCUCCUGUAAGAACAUCAAUCUCCACCUGAAUUUUCAGUAAAAAGUGAAAAUGAAGUCAGAAAAGUAUCACAAUAUCAUACAGUAACUAUUGAACUAUGCUAGUGUGAUUGACAUUUAGCAGAACAUUUUUGUACCUCACUUAUAGCAGCUCCAUAGUUCAGAUAGGUGCUGGAUUCUUGGCCAGGUACCCAGUAUGCACUUGAGGACAAAUUAACAUUAUCCGUAAUGGCCUAUUUGGGAAAGUGUGAGCACGUAUAAAGAUAAAAAAUUCCACACACAAAUAUUUUACUCUUAUGUAGCAUAAAAAUCCAGAGGGAAAUAAAAAAAUAACCUGAGCAAUCAAAGCAUCCCAUGAAACAGCGCCACCGGAUUGCUGCUUGAGCUUCUUCAUGACUGGCUUUAAUCUCUCAACCAGCAUGUUGCAGGCCUCAAGGGUUGCUGCACAGCUAGAUUCAGACGAAGUGCUGCCAGCAGUGAGUCCACCUUGAAUCAAGUUCAGCGUGUCAGCCUGAAGAAGGCGCACUCUAUCAAGAAGGUAUUCAGAUCCAUCAGGCCAUAACUGUCCCAACGCGAAAACGGUCAUCUGCUGUACUUUGGUCCACAGUCCCUGCCCAACCUCAAUACCUCCAACCUCAACCACAAUGGAACCGUCGUUGAGCACAGAAACUCUUCCAGGAGCUGGCCUUGGUGCCACCUUGAAGAUGAGGGGCGCACAAGAGAUACCCCUCUUCCGCCACUUGUUGCAGUUGUUAAAAUGCUUGAUGGAUUCAGCUCGAUGCAAGUAGCUUGACGUCGUGAGUAAUCUAUUGAAGAUAGAAUGCAAUGUGUACGUCGAUGCUUCGCCUGCGCUUUCUGGAUAGAACUGCACAAGACUGUCAUAGGUGUGGAAAUUCUUCUGCCUGACAGUAUUAGCAUCAAGCUUCAGCACUGAAGCGACAUGCUCGAUGAUGGCUUCAGCAAUAAAAGAGCCUUGCGUAUCUCCAGGAGCACGCAUUACUGACUUGGAUGUGUUGUUUGUCUUACAGACCUUGAUGUCAAACGAGAGAGCACCCCAGUUGUAUUUCUUCAGGCCUGACAUCAUAGUGUCUGGCAUUAGGGGGCUCGCAUCUGGAGAAAUCCCAGCGUUGAUUAGAAUGUCCAGGUGCAAGGCUGUGAUUCUUCCAUUGGACUUGAAACCAACAGUGUAAUAUGCUUUUAUGGGGUGUCGACCCCCGAUCAUGAUCAUGUCAGUACUGCGGUUGAGAUACAUCCGCACCGGGCGGCGUAACUUGAAGGCACAAAGUGCAGCUGCCGUUGCUACCUGCAAAAGCAUAUAUUGUUGGAUCACUGAGUAGCAAUAGCUGAAAUGGUCAAUGUUUCGGCUUUCUUGGAAGCUGAAUGAAUGGUAAAAUGAAGCUCAAAUGGGCAAACUUAUGUUAGAAGCUAUCACUAGAACUCCAAUCUACCAUACAAAAUAGCAAUUAUUCAUAAAAUGCAAUAUCCAAAAAGUACUGUUAGAUUCAUUCAGUUGUAACACACAAGCUUUGAAUUUGUUGCCACUCUGUUGGACUGUUGUUCAAAAUUGUUUGAUCUUACUUACAGUGUAUGAUCUGAAUGCCUUCCCACCAAAGCCUCCUCCAACCCUUCUUGUAAUGACACGCACAUUGCUGAAUGGAAUGCCGAGGCACCUUGCUAUGACACUCUGUGCAAGCUCAGGGUAUUGUGAUGAACUGUAGACCACAAUAGUGUUAUCUUCAUCUGGAAUCGCAAGUGCUGUUUGUGUUUCCAUGUAGAAGUAGUACUGAGAGGCAAGUUUCACCUGCGACCAUCGAGGUCAUACAUAUUAAUGCAUGUUGAAAACAGAGACCAUCGAAAAUCAAAUUUAAACGUUUGCGUUGUUAAGUAUAAAAACUUCCAUUCACUUUUGAGCAAUGCAGGUGAGAUGUCAGUAUGAAAAGGUCUCACGGUGUGUAGAAUUAACAUACUUCUGUUGAGAGGAUCUUGUGAUCAGCUUCUGCCAUGCCCUUCGAGAAAUCACCAACUUGUUUUGGAUACUUCCCAGGAGGAACUUCGAAAUAACUAUUGUUCUGUACUGCCUGUUCUACAGUUAAGAUGGGUGGCUUCAAAUCUUUUGUGUCAUAUUCAACAACGACCUGUUUGCCUGCCAAGUUGGCAUAUCUCUGAGUCUCUGCAAUCUGAGGUAAAGUACACAUUUUAGUGACAUCAGUAAUGAAGAAGUACAAAAUAACAAACUUUUGUAAUAAGUUUUUGAUUCUUAGAGAAAAUGGUAGCUAAUGCUUACUUGUAACCAGGGGAAAUUUUGCACUAAUUAUUAAUUAGUUUAAUUUUAAAAUAUUACUCAUGGUGUUUAAAUUAAAUACAUUCAUAUUAUGAUAAAAUGUGACAUCAAUAUAGUGUAUUUUUUGCAUAUCCACUUGCGUUCACAUUUAGUAAGCAAUGUUUUAAUGAAAGAAAAGAGAUACAAGCUCACCGCAGAAAAUUUCCAUGAGCUUUUAAUUAACCCAAUCUAAUACGGGUUUUCUUAGGGUAUUUUACAAAAGAAAUUUAUGAUAUACAUAUAUAGAUAUAUUUUUUGGAUGAACAACUGUGUGAUAUUAGGGUUUAUUAUUUUAAUUUGUAUGGAUUUGCCCCUCCUAAUUAAAAAUUAAUUCUUCCUUACAUUCAUAGACUUAUUUUGCAGAGAGAAAUAGUGAAGAAAUCCCAUUUAUAAAUUGACUUCAUUAUACAAGAAUUUAUUGUUGAGUAAACAUUAAAAAUAUGAAAGAUAAGUACCACGACACCAAGAGCUUGUCCAGCAUACUCAGCAACUGGAGAACCAAAAAGUGGUUCAUCCCCAAACAUGAAGCUUGAUCCAAUAUUUUGCCCUCCACUUGGAAUAUCCUUCGCGGAAACAACUGUGAGGACCUUCUCUGAUGCUAAAGAAGGCUUGAAUUUGAUAUUCUUGACAUAUGCAAGAGGCUGUGUGCUGUAAAUAAACUCUCCAUAGAGGCAAUUCUUUGGAGCAGGAAUAUCAUCUACAUAUACUGCCUCCCCUGCAGUACAGAAAAGAAAUUCUAUCAGCCUAAACAUAAUCAUAAAGGAAGGAUAAUUUGGAGAGGAAAAGAAUAUGUAGAGCCCACUAAUAAUUUUGAUGAUGUAAGCUUAUUAAACACAUACCAGAAGCUUGAAGCUCAACUGCAUACUUUUUAAUCGGCUCACCAACUGGUUUAUGAUCAUCACUGGAAACAGUGUCUCGACGUGAAGACAAUGGAAGGUUACAGGGAUCAUCUGUAUCUGAAGAACUAGCAUAACCAAUGCUUGCAGUUUUUCCAGGCCCUUUGAUUCCUUUAGCAAAUGGAGACAGGAAACUGAAGAGAAAUGCAACAGCCACACUGAUUCUGUAUUCAGCAUGUGAUGUUCCUUCCAUUGGUACAAUUGUUUCUCUAAGUAACCGAACUGCUUCAAGCACAACAGAUGGAGUGAGCACUUCUCCAUUCAGGUGUUGUUCAACUUUUGUUGCUCUAAUAGCAUGUUCCGUCCCAUAGGCACCAAAGGCCAUGUGUAGGUUACUCAGCACAAGAUCACCACAUGAUUUCUGGGAGACAUGGCCCAACAUAGCAGAGUUAAUAUAUGAAACCGCAUUGCCAAGAGGGCGCGGCGCUGCUCGGUAAGUUUCGAAGAUCACCUUACUUUCUUUCUGAGAAUCUGAAGCCCAAUGUGGAAUAAAUAUGCUCAGGAGCAAUGUACUGGGAUCACUAGGAGGCUGCUCCAGAAACUCUUCCAAAGUAACCUCUAGUGUUUCUGAAUAAACCUGAAGACGAACAGUUGAAGCAGCACCGAGAAGUAUGGUCACGAUGUCCGAGGGAAAAGGGUAUUUCUGUGCUAGAAUUAUGUUCCCACCAAUGCUUGCCGUGUUACGGACAAACGGUGUGGCCACCUUGCUCAUGUGCUCGGCGAGUUUUCUGAAAACUACACUUCCAUUUGGAGAUGAUUUAGACCCGGCUUCUUGCUCAAGUAUCUCGGUGGUCUUAGAAAUUGGUGUAGCUGCUCCAAUUUCAAUGCCACCGUCUUUCUUACAAAUAGCUGAAAGCUCUGGAAUGUCACCGAUGUCAAUAUACUUGUUAUAUAGAUCCUGAUCCUUGUAUCCCUUUACACCAGAACUUGUGUUCGCGACAACCACUUUAACUGUGCAGUCACUGAACAAGCCAGAGUUGAGCAAAUCAUAAUAUUGCUCGAUGCUUUUAGGAUGAUACCAACCCUCCCUGGAGACCGUAACAUCCGAAUCAUCAUUUAGAUGAUGAAGCGAAGAUUUUAUCUCGGAUUUCAGGAAGUCUGGGAAAGUGCAGACUCCGCCGCCAAGAGUGUAAUCUGGCAACUUGCUAACGUCGGCGUGCUUAUCACCUUUCUUCCAGAAUACAUUGAGGCCCAAAUCCUCCAGGUCAACAUCUGAAGCAAAACUUUUGCAUGCAUCAACGAUUGGACGGUAACCAGUACAUCUACACAUGUUGCCUGAGAAAGCCUUUUCUGCUUCGGACACCGUCAACUUUGAGAACCCUUUUUGUGGUUGAGGCUUCUUGGAUUUGUCGGCAUUGGCAAGAGAGGUGAAAAUAGACAUGCACAUGCCAGGAGUGCAGAAGCCACACUGGGAAGCAUGGAAUCCAGACAUCCUCUUCUGGAUGGAAUGGAAGCCAUCUUUGGUAUUUCCCAGGCCUUCGGUGGUGAUGACUGAGCAGAGAUUUAUGUUGUAGAGCAGAGUCAGGCAUGAACUCGCAGAGAAUUCAGUGACCUCAUCUUUUGUUGGAUUGUAAGUUGCUAUAAGGACUACACAAGCUCCACACCCACCUGCGAUAGAGCACAAUGGUACAGUUAUUCAUGGGAUGCUAUAUCCACCUCUUAUCGGGACAAAAUAAACAUAACAUUGAUCUGGAGGAACUGGCCGAACCGAAAGAACCAGGCCUUAUGUGGAAACUGAAGAAAUAUAACCAAAUUUACUGCUACUAAUUUAUCCCAAUUUGGUUUGGAUUCUUCUUCCACAAUCUGAACGCCCAGGUAAACAAAAACAAUGACAACAGUGAAUCAUCCGGAUGGAAACGUAUACACGAUGAAUGCCGAUCCACAACCUAUGGGCGGUAUGAACCUUGUACUACCAGAUUAUAUAAAAUAUUUGCAUAGGAGUAAACACACUAUUAGUACAUGAACUUGCCAGGGGUGUUCAAUUUAGUACGUCAGCUUGGAAACCGGUCAAUUUCAGAAGUGAAACCUAUUGAUGCAUAGCAAAGCAUACGUGGAAAUCAUCCAGAAAAAUCCAGAGGUGCAGAGACCCUCACCGCCCUUGUCGCGCAGGACCUGUGGUGCGCCAGCGGCAUGUGAGGCCGCGUCCUCUCGCUUCACCCUCUGGAUCGCCUCCGGCCAUGGCUUGGGUCGGCGACGGAGAGGCGGGGCAAAGAAAUGGUAAGAGAUUGGAGAGCGAGGGGGGCGAGGACGCGAUGGGAGACGGAAAGGGGCGACACGGUGGCUCGACGGAGAUGCCGCCGGAAUUGGGGAAGACGUGCGGCGGCAAAGCAGAACUAGGGAUUGGAGGGCCGAUUUGAGAUUUUUUGGUACCGUGUUUACUCUCAGAGGUAUGAGGGGCUCUUUUGCAAGAUUACUGCGAUUUUGUCAAAUAUCGCUAUGGUUGUUGGGUCUGUUUUUAACGUAACAUCACUAACAAAUUAUGUUAAAAAAACAUCACUAACAAAUUUACGCAUUCCGUGUAUUUUACUCUUUUCAUAAACUUUUGCAUCAUUGCAUUAGCAUCCGCAGAGAUUGUAAUAAUGAUAUUUGUGUCUAAACCAGGGAUCCCGUGAUCUUAAAAAAAACAUAUUUCAUCGGGCUGGUGUAAUCCACAAAAAAAAAAUAUGUACAAAUCAAGCCGAAUUUUGAAUAGCUUUCCCUACAUCUUUGUUGAUCGAAAUGCUAUCAUGUCAAGUGCUACCCGCCACUUAUGUGAUUUAAUUGGAUCCUUAGCUUAAGAGAUACUACCCCUGUUUCAAAAUAAUUAAAGUUUUGGCUUUGUCCUAAGUCAAACUUAUUUAAAUUUGACCAAGUCUAUAGGAAAAUAUAUUAACAUCCAGAGCACCAAAUUAGUCUCAUGAGAUUGUUUUUGUACUACGUGUAUUUGGUGUUGUAGAUCUUGCCAUAUUUUUCUAUUGAGUUGGUCAAACGUAGACAAGUUUAAAUUAGGACAAAACUAGAACUUCAAUUACAGACCUUUUAUGUGUUUUGAGCCUAUGAGGAGGAGGGGCAGUUACCAAUGGCGCUAGCAAAAGCAAGUCGGGCGAGAAGGAGCUCAGUCUCAAUUGCGUGGUUGCCAUAAGUUCUAGCAGGCUUAUCGAGCUAAUGAAUUGGUGGAGUGGAAGAAGUUGACUCGCGCUAGAUUGGGAAUAUAUUAUCCAGGUGGAGCGAGCGAGGUGCAAAAAUGCAUGGUCCCACUCGAUGUGGCUGGUGCUCCAAGCCGUAUCAUACUAGGUAGGUAGGAAGGAAGAUGAAUGUCGACCAUAACAAGUUCUAGCUUGGCGGGCUCCUAUACCAGGAAGUGGCGGAGCUACAUUGGGGCCAGUCCAUAUCAUGUUCCUCCUAUCACUUAAGAUUUUUUUUAGCUAUACAUUUACUCUUGAGCCUUUGACCAACAACCCACAGGCUAUUUCCCCUUUUGUUUGACCCGCUCAACCCGCCUAACGUUGGGCUUCAAGCUCGGCCACUGAUUCGAUGACAUCUCUGCAUGGAGGUGACCCUAUUUCACACAUAGGUUGCUAGAUAGCGACCUACGUGUACCCCCCCCCCCUCGCGUGCACCCCGUCAUGUCUACAGGUUAGCCCAUUCUAGUUUUUCUUUCCAUCGAUUUUGGGAAGUUCCUAGAACCUUAACUCAACCAGUUUGUUCUCGGUUUUUUCUUUCUUUUUUCAUUUUUUCCUUUUCUUCUUCUUUUUUCUUUUCCUUUUUACAAAUCCUCAAACUUAUGAUCAAAAUCAUUAAAAUUUCAAAUUCGUGAAGUUUUUUCAAAUCAGCAAAUACCUUUUAAAAUUCACGAGCUUCACUGAAAAUCAUGCACAAUUUUUUAAAUCACAAACAAUUUUCAAAUUCAUGAUAGUUUUUUGAACUACGUGAACAUUUUCAAAAUUCGAGAAUAUUUUAUUAAUUUAAGAAUUUUUUUGAAAUUAGUAAACAUUUUCAAAAUAUUAAAGCAAAAAUUUAAUUUCAUGGUUGUCUUGAAUUUCUUUACAUUUGCUGAAUUGAUGAGAUUUUUUUGAAAUUUUUGAACAAGUGAAAUUUCUAAUAUUUCGCAAUCAUUUUUUGAAUUGGUGAACAUUUUUUAAGUCCAUGAUUUUUUUAUGAAUUGCAAAUAUUUUAUCAAAAUUUGAUUAAAUCCAUAAAAAAAAAAUCAAAUUUGUGUUUUUUUAGAAGAAGGAACAUUUUUUGAAUUUUGAAACGUUUCUUAAAUUAUUGACUUUUCAUAAAUUAGGAGGGAUUUUUGAAGUUUACAACUUUUUCAAAUAUGGGAACAGUUUUUGGAACCCCAAUUUUUCUAGAGAAGAAAAAAAAGAAACGAAAAAAAAUGAAGAAACAAAAGAAAAUGAUAAGGAAAAACAGGGGCGCCCCAUCCCGCCCAUGGGUCGGCCCCAAAAUCCGUUUGGGGGACGAGCGGCGCACUAUGUGCGAAAUAGGAGGUCCCUCCCUCAAUCUGGCCUAAUCUGAAAUCGUUUCUGGUUCCUCCUUUCCGCCUACUCGCACUGCAAAAAUGCUACACCUACGAAAGCUUUGUACGUAAUUAACUUUCUCCACUAACUAAACUGCCCCCCCCCCCCCUUCCGAAUUUCAGGGUGGGCACAUGCCCCCAGUUAAAACCAACAAAAACAUGCCAACUAAAUACGUAAGCCUUCCCUUCGUAGGAGCAAAGCUCUUCGCGCUGUUCGUCCGAACCUUGCAGGGUAUCAAAUAGUUAUAGUUUAACGGCAUUUUACGAAAGUGCUCCGUCAGCCAUACGUAAGCACUGCCGCAUAGGAAUUUUGGUGAUGUGACAGAAAGGCGGGAAACGAGAGAAUGAGAGGAAGAGGACUUCAAAUCUGCAAAGCAUCCGUAGGAUUUCUACACAAAAACUUACAGAUGGUGAUGUUAUUGUUGUACAUGUUGUCUAUAUAUAAUGUAUAUUAUCAUCCGUGCAUGCCACGAGAAAGGGACGUGCCAUCUUUCCAACAAUCAACCACCUAAUAACUAUCCAACUGUGGAGGGUUGACAACAAAUGCGUAUUCGCAUAAAACGAAACAGUGUUGGUUAUGACUCUGUGACAAGGACGGAUGAGAAAGCAGGAACGUGAGCUGAUAGCCUCCGUUUCAACUUUGUACUACUAAAUCUACAACACUUAUUUUAGAACGGCGGGACUAUAAAGCAGAUAACGUGCUCCAAAUUUAAUGAUGUACGCUCGGACCACACCACAUGCAUGCAUGUCGGCGCAAAAUCACACAAGGCAUAAUUCAAGUGUGUACUCGACGACCGACAGUACAACGCUUGAGCGAUGUCGGUCUGCUUUGCGGGGUGCAAUUGGCAGCGUUCGUACGCUCCUAGAGCUAGCAAGAGAAUGGCGGAUCAAGAGCGAGCCGCGGACGAAAUGGGGCGCCCCGUUUGAAGUUGCUCUAAGCUAGCAUCCAGCAUGCGUGCUGUGACCCCGUAACUGUACGCACCUUCGCCGCAGCCGAGCUUGGUGCCGGUGAAGGGCGUCCGGGUCCGGAUGAACUCGAGCAGCGUGGUGCUGGGGUGCACGUCGCCGCCGGCCAUCUCGUGCCGCCGCCCGUUGAGCGCGAACACCACCCUCUCCAGCCUCACAGGUCCCAUCGCCGCUUCGCCACCGCUUGGUCGACUGGCUAGAAAGGGCUGAUAGAUGUAUGAGUAGCAGUAGCUACUCUGCCUGGCAGGCUAGGACGUCAACGGCGAUGCGUCAGUGUGUGUGAUGGAGAAGGUGGUGGGCGAGCUGCUGCUACGCUAUAGCGAGUGAGUUGAAUGCUGGCUGCACCCCUCCGCGUGGCCUCCAGCGUCACCGACGGGGACGGACAGCGCGGCAUGGCGGUGAUCCGGUAGGUAGGUGCACCGUGCAGUGCGAGCGGUGCCGAAGCAGUGCUGUUCGGACACAUUUUUUCUGCUGCGUGGAUAACGAUCCUUCCUUGAUCGAGUUGUGUGGGCAGCAGCAAACAAAAGAAAAUCGGUGGAGAAUCCUUCCUCGGUUGACCCUCAAAAUGGAAGCGGCAAGAGAUACGAUCUUGAGUUCCACUAGAAAAGGUUAUCUGGUGUCCUUAGAAAAAAAAACGUUAUCUGAUAUUCCACCGUCGUCUCUUCCUCUGAUCCUCUCUCCAUUUAGAAAAAGAGAUUCUUCAUCGACGUGGAGCAAGCAAAGCUUGCGACGUGGAGUCUGCAUAGUCUCUUUCUGUGUCUGCCCGGGAAAAGAAAAUUUGUCGCGUCGUCUAUUUCGGAUCAACCUUGAUACGCGUGGAUACUGUUGAGAGUAUUGUAAUUAUUACGAAAGCUAGGAUAGUGUAGGAUAUUAUUCUAUUUUGACUUGUACUCUAAAAUAAUCAUGUACUCCUAUAUAUAUAUAUAUAUGCCCAUGAGGCUUAAGCAAUACAACGAACAUUAUACCAAUCCCCCUCUCUCUUCUAACAUGGUAUCAGUUUCCGGGUUCUAAACCCUAGCCGCUUUCGCACCCGCAUGCCGCUUCCGGGGCGGUCGGCCUCCAUGACCGCCGUCGGGGGCCGUCGCCUGUACCUAGGGUUCGUCCGCCGGUCGUGUUGAUCGGCUGCGCUAGAGAGUCUUUUUCCCGAGCCCUUGCUCAGGGUUUUUUCGCUCUCUCGCCGGCCGUUUUGAUCGGCGUUUUUCUUUUUGGUUUUCCGAUCUGUACUUGAUCGGUUUGCGUCGCCCGCCGCCGCCGUCGACCCCUGUGCGCCUCUACUCCGACAUCGGCGCGACCGACCGGCCUCUUCACCGACCCAGCGGCCUCGCGCGACAGGCGGCCCCUAACGGCCGCCGUCCGCGCAUCUGCCCGCCCAUCGUCCCGACCCGACGACCUCGCGCGAUAGUCGGCCCCUCACGGCCGUCGUCGAUCUACGCCGGCCAUCACCGCCCUGUCCCCGAGUUCAGCGCGCCCCUCCGCCGAUCGAGCAACAGGCUGCCGCUGCGUCGCCCUGUCGGGCCGCAGCGCCGCCGCCCCGUGGUUCUCCUCGUGGCUGCACCGAUCUGCGCCGCUGCUGCGUCGCCCCUUCGGGCCGUAGUGCCGCGGCACGUGAUCCCCGUCGCCGCCUUGAGGCCGUUCCCGUGGUUGCACCACAUCGCGCGCUGCCGCUACGUCGCCCCUUCGGGCCGUAGUGCCGCGGCACCGAGGCCGUCCGCUCCAGGCCGUCCCCGAGGCUGCACCGACCCUCGCGCUGCCGCUGCAUCGCCCCGUCGGGCUGUAGCGAGCGUGGCACGCGAUCCCUGCAACCGCCCUGAGGUCUUCCCUGCCGUCGCCCCGACCUGCCCGCCGCCGUUGCGUCGCCCCUUCGGGCCUUAACGCUGCGGCCCGUGGUCCACCGCCGUCCACGCGCGUUGACUUCCAGAUGAUAUGCGCCCCGCCGCCUCCCGUGGUGCGGGAACGUCGCCGUCCGCGCCGGUCUUCGUCACGCUGUCGGGUUCAUUAUCGCCUACUUCGAGCACCGCCACCGCGCUCCUUCUCUAGCCGCUGCCGCUGCUCUUCUUCCGCGGCUCCACGGCGACUACCUCGACACCGGCGACCCCUGACUCGACACCGACCACGGUGUUCUUCGCACGGCUACCUCGACUACGGCUACACCACCUACGCUCUCGGCUACCUCGACAAACGNNNNNNNNNNNNNNNNNNNNNNNNNNNNNNNNNNNNNNNNNNNNNNNNNNNNNNNNNNNNNNNNNNNNNNNNNNNNNNNNNNNNNNNNNNNNNNNNNNNNNNNNNNNNNNNNNNNNNNNNNNNNNNNNNNNNNNNNNNNNNNNNNNNNNNNNNNNNNNNNNNNNNNNNNNNNNNNNNNNNNNNNNNNNNNNNNNNNNNNNNNNNNNNNNNNNNNNNNNNNNNNNNNNNNNNNNNNNNNNNNNNNNNNNNNNNNNNNNNNNNNNNNNNNNNNNNNNNNNNNNNNNNNNNNNNNNNNNNNNNNNNNNNNNNNNNNNNNNNNGUCGGCUUUCCUUCGGAUUAUUCUCCAGUCUCACCGUCUGCGUCGCUACCGUUGUGACUACGGGGGGAUGUUGAGUAUUGUGAUUAUUAGGAAAGCUAGGAUAGCGUAGGAUAUUAUUCUACCUUGACUUGUACUCCAAGAUGAUCAUGUACUCCUAUAUAUAUGCCCACGAGGCUCAAGCAAUACAACGAACAUUACACCAAUCCCUCUCUCCGUUCUAACAGAUACCAUAGGAGGUCGUCAACUUUGACUCUCAAUCGGUGAAGUAAUACUCGCGGCUGAAGGUAUAACCUAGCUAUAGGCCGGAAUCGUCGGAUCGUCACUAACAACUUCUUCCUCCCCUACGCGUUCUUGUCGAUGAGAUUAGAUCUAUCCUUCAUAUUCAUAGUGGUUCUAGACGUGAUCAUAUAGCAUUUUUUUUGAUUGUGUAGUACAUUCCCUACAAUCCGAGGUUGAGCUCUCACACGUGCGUCACGCCCCUCGUUACCCCCGCCCUCCACAUAGACCGCACAGACACACCUGUCACACACGUGGUUGCCCCGGUCCUUUGUAACAUGGGCCAUGUUGCAAAUCCUAGAUGAGCUCCCACAGGAACGAACAUGUCAUGCACGCGAUGCGGCGAACGGCACGACAAAAAUCAGUCCCUAGUCUUUUCCUUAGACCUAAAUAAAGUUUGGGCUACGAGCAACUACAACUCAAUCAAACCUUUGCGUACCUCGCAUCUGAAUGUGAUAUGUGUUACAUCAGUAAGACCUACUAAGUUUUUAAAAGGAAUUAUGUUGCACGAUCAUGCUGAUAUAGACAUGAAAUAUCGUCGUCAACAUAAUGAUCUUAGUGUCAGAUCGGCCGGUCUCCAACAAACUAAAACACCAAUUUCCUUGUACUCUAGUGCUCGUAAACAUAAUAAACAUUAAAUAGACGUACGUCUUUGGAUCAUCAAAAUGAUGAUGUACGCUCGGACUAAAACGCAUGUCGAAGUCACACAAGGCAUAAUUCUAGUGUGUACUCGCUUUCCUUUUUUGAAACUUUCAACGGGGGAAGAGAGCCCUCAUGCCUCACCUGAAUUUCGUUUCAAAGGUCGCGCAAACGCAAGAAAGAAAAUCUGGUAGUUCUUGGCCGUAGGGUGAAAUCGGAGAGAAAAUUAGUACUCCCUCCGUAAAAAAAUAUAAGAUUUUUCUUUAUAUAGGGAGUAGUUAUUACACCCUCGGAAUCGGAACCAGGACAAAGGGUUUGAGCUCAAGUGGAAGCUCUGAAUUGUGCACUCAUGAUUGGCAGUACGUAUACUACACUCAAGCGAUUUUUUUUUGAAAGCAUACACUCAAGCGAUGUUGCUCUCAAGAGAGAAAAGAAAGAAUCUUCUUCACGUAGGUUCCUAGCUAGAGGAAGCCAGCAAGAGAAUGGCGGAUCACGAGCCGGGGAAUGCACUGCAUGCGUACUAUGGUAUGAUGAGCAUACGUACCUUCGCCGCAGCCGAGCUUGGUGCCGGUGAAGGGCGUCCGGGUCCGGAUGAACUCGAGCAGCGUGGUCCCGGGGUGCACGUCGGCGCCGGCCACCUCGUACCGCCCCCCGUUCAGCGCGAACACCACCUUCUCCAGCCUCGUCGACCCCAUCGAUCGCCACUUGGCCAGUCGCCGCCGCUCGGUCCACCUCGGUGAGCGAGCGAGCGAGCUAACCAGAAAUGGUGGAUUGAGAUGUCUACUAUAUGAGGAGCUACUCAGCCUGGCUGGCAAGGACGACGCGCACUGGGAUGGAGAACGUGGUGGGCGAGCUGCUGCUGGCAGCUAAGCUAUAGGGAGGGAGUUGGAUGAAUGCUGGUCGUCGGCCUCGAUCUGUUGCCUCUUUAAUUGCGUGACGGCGAGUGGUUAGCUGCCCCGGCGACUCGGAGCGCGGGGAGGAGAUCGGGCCAGCGUCACCCGACGGGGACAGCCACGAUAUGGGCAGCGAUCUGAUAGGUCCGCGGACGUGCACGCACGUGCAGUGGGAUGUAACGGCUGAAGCUAUUGCUAGACACGAAAACGUCCCAACACAUUAUGUUGCCUUCAUGUUCGUGUAAAAAUUGAGGCGAAAGAGAUAUGAUCCUAACUCCCGUCCCGAUCAACCUGCUAUCCCGCCUGCGUCUCUUCUUCUUCUGUCCGUUGUCACUCUCAAACUGAAGAAACUAGAUGAUUCCCUGCGCGUUGCUACGAAAAUAUUACAAGACAUGUAGGUAUACAAUGUUAUUUCUGCAUCUUAGCGUUUCUUUUGUUAUUUCUGCAGACUCGAGAGGGGAUCACAGUCACAGCGUCGACCGACGGUGACAGCACGGUACGGGCGGCGAUCCAAUCUGGUAGGUGCACGGACGUCCACGUCCAGCUACCAAAGCUACGCUGUUUUAGACACGAAAACGUCCCCACAUUUUUCUGUUGCGUGCGUGGAUAACGAUCCUUCCUGUUCCAGAAGAUGGGUCCAGAAUCUGUGAAUUAAAAUGGAUUCUGGAAGAGAUACGAUCCUGAGUUCCUGACUGACGCUUGUUAGAAAACAUUAUCUGCUGUUCCACCGUCUCUUCUCCGUUUUAAAAAUGAGAUUCGUCGUCGACGUACGUGGAGCACAGCAAAGCUUGCUGCGUGGAGCCCGUCUGCAUCGUCUCUCUGUCUGGUCUCCGGCCCCGCGAAAAGAAAAAUCCCGUCAUCUGUCUCAAACAGAAGCGAGCGAGCGAGCAAGCGGAGGCAUGGGUCCGGUGGGUGUGCGGUCUCCUCCCUGCACUCUAUCCUUAUGAGCAGCGGAUACUCAUUUCUAUGCACACACACGUAUACUUCGAGAGACUGAGCCGACAUAUAAAUAUCAUUUUGUGAUUGACGAAGUCAUCAACAGCGCCUCUUAUUCUAUUAUCCAGCCUCAGUCGCUCGUUCCUCAUCCCAAGCGCGUCUCUCACCCUCAAGCCGUGUUGCUCCGAGUUGGAGAUGAUGGCGCUACAACACCGCCUGUGCUGCCAAGGGGAGAACAAGCUAGUGCUGCAAGCUUGGCCACGUUUUGCGGUGGAGGCAAUUGCCGAAUUCUGCAAGUGUUGGCCACCAGAGAACAAGCUGCACAAUAUCAACCACCGGUGGCCUACCGCAAGGCCCCGCCACAACAUCCCCUAUGUUACGAACUGCCACAAUGUCUCAUGUGCAGUGAGUUAAUGUUGUGGAGGGGCAUCAUCAUGCUGCGAAAAUGAUGUUGAGGAGGAAGAUCGAAUAAUGAGGGUAUGUUGCGGUGACAGCAUCGCUCGUCUUGCAAAAGUCUGCUUGCAAACCUCUUAGCUCAAAAUGGCUCAUGUUGAAAACACUCGUCUUGCAAACCUUCGAGUGCAACAUUGUUCAUGUGCAUAUUUUUUAGCGCAACAUGUCUUUGUUGUAAAAACAGGUCAGCUGGAAGAUGCAGCCCAAAUUGGAUGUCCGUCGUGCGGUGGACCCGAUCCGUGCAUAAGCCGGCCAACACUUAGUAGUCGGCUUAGAAGUUGGCUAAAAAAAAAUAGUAGUCGGCUUAGAUAAUCAACUUCACUCUAAGGAUGCAUGACGUAAAAAAAGGGGUGACAUAGCCCAACCCAAUGACGUAUAGUCGCUCUGAGCAGGCUACGGCUAUGUGGCUCGGCAGAAGACCUCCUUGCGUUGAGGAACUCUUGCCAAAGAAUUGUAACUCUACCUUGAUGGAAUAAACAUCUAUUGAUCUCGCAAAAAAAAUCUAUUGAUCUCGCAAAAAAAAAAUCAACUUUACUCUAAGGACACAUGACGUAAAAAAAGGGGUGACAUUUUCAUGUGUAUAUCGUAGCAUUUUUAAGGGGUGUCCAACUAUACAUCGUACUUUUUUUAUUAUUAUUUUCGAGCAUUAAGCAAAUUUUUUUGAGACAUUUUUGAACAUUAAACAUGGUAUUUUAUUUGUCCACGGGCCAAAGUUUGUAUGGAUUCGUAGACCUGGCCAUGGCCUCACAAGUGACAACAACGGCCCACAGCCCACUUGGGGCGUUAAAACCCCAGGCAACUCUGUGCUCCUUCAUCUUGUGCGGCGGCUGAUUCGGCAGUUGUGGGCGCCGUCGUCACCUGUUGGACGGGAUGCGUCGGAGGAUCGCCGGAAAGGCUGCGGCCACCGGUGACGGCGGAGUAGACCGCCUAGGCGCGCUCCCGGACGAGAUCCUCCAGCAUGCGCUGUCGUUCCUGCCGUCGCGCGACGCCGUGCGCACCUGCGUGCUCGCCCGCCGCUGGCGCCACCUGUGGAAGUCCGCCCCGGCCCUGCGGGUCACCGACGUCGACGCCUUCAGGAGCGCCCGCCACGUCAACGGCUUCGUGAACCACCUCAUCGUCCUCCGCGACCGGACGCCCCUCCGCGAGCGCGAGAUCGCCGUCUAUAAGGAAUACGACGGCGGUGGGUACUACGACAGCAACGGAGAUCGCCUCGAGCACUCCCAGUACAUCGAUCUGUGGGUCAGGUACGCCUUGUCAUGCCAUGCGCGUCUGCUUCGGAUCAGUGACCAUGACCCCAAUGAUCUUGACGCCGGAUACUACGAUUAUAAAAUACGGAGUGUUAUGCUUGACGUUCCCAUCUUGUCCGGGCAUCUUACCACUUUGGAACUCGACGGGGUGGUGCUUUCGAGCGAAUGCUCCCCACCCUCUAGAUUUCUCCAGCUGCCCAAACCUGGAGACUCUAAAGAUGAACCGCUGCUCCAUCCUAUUCUUGGGAGGCGACCGUUCCAUGAAUAUAUCGUCGCAAUCUGUGCGAUGUCUGAGCAUUACACGCUGUGAUUUUGAUCACUUUGUCCGGGCACGUGCCCUCAUUUCUAUCCCAACCCUCGUGCACCUGGACCUGGAGCUGACCGAGGACUGUGGCUUGGUUCCUGCGUUUGAGAGCAUGAUGCCGUCGUUGCUAACAACAUCUAUCAAGCUUGACCGCAGUUGCAACAAGGACGACAUGGGUUGCUCAUUGCUUCUUGGAUGCCUCUCACAUUCCUCUAAUCUAGACCUCAUGGCCGGGCCUCAAGCGGUAUACAUAUAUGUUUUUAUCCACUUAAAUUCUAGCUAGUCUCAUUUGACAUGCUCAUCCCAUAUGUGUUGUGCUUGUGCUUGCCCAGUUUGCUUUCAGGACAGCUUUAAAACGGUGCACCACAUUUAGCAAGCUCAAAAUCUUGUCACUCAAUGAAUGGUGUGUGGAACCUGAUUUUGGACCACUACAUUACUUUCUACGUUGGUCACCAAAUCUUGAGAAGCUCAACAUCCAUCUAUCUAAGGUAUAUUUGGUAUGUUUUGCAAUUAUAAAAUAUUUUGUGCUGUUAAAGUUACAAUUGCAUAGUUCAUUUAUUUGGUAAACUACAUAGCCAUAUCGACAUGUUGAAGAAACAGAGGGAUGCUACGAUUCGGCGGAACCAUUUUUGGCAUCAAAGCAAUUCAGGGUUGUCGAGAUCAAAUGUCGAGCAAAAGAUAAGCUUGUUCACAAAAUUUUGAAGGUCCUGAGUUCCUGUGGAGUACCUGCUGAGCAAAUCAACAUCAAGAAAAUAAAUUGAUCUUCCCACGAUAAAGUCAAAUUAUAGGUCUUCCUAGAUAUUUAAGUUUUUGCAUUCCCAUACCAUGUAUGUGUGAAGUUUAGUAAUGCUUCGUUUAAAUUAAUUGGACAACUAAAUGUGUAAAUGAUAAGCAUCAAGGAUAAAAAAUGCUCUUUAGAUAGUACGUGAAAUUAUCAGUCUUGGUGAUAUUUUAAAAUUCCGCAAUCCUACACUACAAGAAUCUGGUUUUAUGACGAGUUGCGUAACUUUGCCGAGUUCGUUCUAUCGGGAACUUGGCAAACUUUUGUCUGCCGAGUUUGAUUCAAAAUUGAACUCAGCUGUGAUAAGCAACUCGGCAAAGCUUUGACUUUGCCUAGUUCAAAUGGUAAAGGACUCACAAACAAAAAUAACUCGGCAGAAUCUCAAGUUUAUCGAGUUCCAGGCUAAAAAGCCCGGUAAAGUAUGAUAGAUGGGUCCUGUUGUAGAGCAGGCGACAGAGCCAUGAUGGCGGCCUUGUUGGACAUACUAGUGCCGAGUGCCAAACUCGACAAACAAUUUGCCCAAUGCUACUAACGAAGGAACUCGGCUGAUAUUUUGUGGGCAAUAACUGCUGGCACGUGGCUUAUUUCUAUUCGCCUUACUCUGCCAUGUUUAGGAUGAUAAAAUUCGUCAAACCUUAGGGCCAUGUGGCAUUUCCGUUAACGUCCUGUCUAGCCUGACGGUUUUGUUUACCAAGUUUUUUCUGGUAGGAACUCGGCAAACAUUGUUUAAAUAUUCACCGAGUUCGCAAUAGAAAGAACUCGACAAUAUUAAUGAUUGCUGGGCCCGUCCAGCCGAGUGUUGUGCGCCGAGUUUGGCACUCGACGAAGAUUUUGCCAAGUUUAUUAUGGGCUCCGCCGAGUUUCUUUGAAAUCCGCCAAAAGGCCAUUCUAGUAGUGCCAUGUAUAUAGGGCUGCAAGAAAAGCUCGAGGCUCGUGAGCCGCUCGAGAUCGACUUGUUUUUUGACUCGACUCGAGAUCGACUCGAAAAGAAACGAGCUGAGUUUGAACACUUUAUGUAGCUCGACCAAGAAACGAGCCGAUCUUGAGCCAAUGUUGGCUCGCUCGAUUUUAUUUCGAUAGCUCGACAGAAUAUCAUUAUGUUAAAUGAUCAUGCCUUAUAUUAAAUGGAAAUACGAUAAUUUAUUACCAUCUAUGUUGUCCAUAAUUUUUCUCCAUUUUAUUUACCACCGAACACGGAAACUUAACUAAGUGCAGAGAAGAUUUAAGCCUAAUUAUGGCACGUGGUCGACUAUGUGUUAAAUAACCUAUAUUUUUGGCAAAGGUUCCCAGCAUAUUCACCUUAAUUUUUUAGUUUUUCAUCCAUAGAUUCAUAUUUUUUACCAUCUCAUUUAGCUCGAAACUAGCUCGAGAUCGACUUGAGAUCGUUACAAUCUGAGCACGAGUCAUGUUCCACAGCUCGAUCAUGAGCUUCACUUAGUUUGAGCUCGCUCGAAUUUUCAUAUGAGUUGAGCUGAGCCAACUCCAACUCGCUCGAGCUCGACUCGUUUGCAGCCCUACAUGUAUAUUUAUAAAUUUUAGCAAUGUGUACUUAUUAAGCUAAUUGAACUACAAAAUACGUAAAACAUAAGAUAAGACUUUGUAUCAGUUUCAUAGUGUUAAAAAGAGAUGUUCUUGCUUCACAAUAUUUAAAGCAAGUGGUACACCAAUCCAACUAAUCCCCCUUUCCUUUUAUAUUUCUAGAGGAUCAUAUUCAGAUUCAGACUAUUCAUUGUAGUCAGAUGAACAUUUGGACCUUUAGCAAAAUUUCCAGUCGACAAGUCGAGAGUUGAGACCUUCUAAGUUCAAUCCACAAGACUAGAAACAUGAGUGCCAUCAGGAUUUGGUCAGGUACUCAACAUGGAGAUAUCUUAUUGCUUUGUACUUUUGGUUCAAGGCAUAUGCACAUUUAAUUUUCAUGAACAUGUGAUGAUGUUCCACAUUACAUAUCAUGUGUUCUAUUUAUUCACUACCCGUGUUGGUUGGCUUUUGCUGAAGCUAAUACUGCACUUGAGGUGGCAUCGGUGCAGAUUGGGACUAUGCAAAUGUCUAAAUUCCCUUUUCGUUUUAAACCAUCGCCUUGCGAAGUUGUGCAAUAGAGGGGUCCAUCGCAUACGACACGGAUUAAUCAUCUGCAACAGGGCUCUAGAACACAGACGUUUUGGCAAAAGCAAUUGUAUGUGGUGCACAAACCUAUCGCACAUACCAUAGUUAUGACAGGCAUGUGGGAUUGGUCAUCAUUCGCACACGUCUUUUCUGAGUUAAGCACACGUAAUUGGUCAUUGAACCCAAACAAAGAUUCAAUGCAAAACAAUUACGAAAUAUUACAUAUGGCACACGGUUUUCCCAAGGAAACUGCGCGUGGUGUCUCGAGCAUCGCACACGAGUCUUCGAUUCCUAACAUCUGUCAAGUAUGAUAUCAUCGAACAUGGUUCGCGUAUACUUUACGAGUGGGAUUGCGUUUGUCAUCGGACACGGUGGAUUUGAAGCUCCCGUGUGGGAUGAGGUGGAGAGAGUCCCGACCUGAAUGUCGUUUCAAAGGUCGCGCAAAUGCGAGAAAAGAAAAUCUGGCACGUUCUUUGAGUUUGGCAGUUUUUAGUCAAAUUGUUCAUAGGGUGAAUCAGAGAGAAAAUUAGAUAUUACAUCUUAGGUGGACAAUGUUUGCUGUUGGAAAAACUGAUAAUUUCGUGCCUCCCAAAUCUUCCAUAGCACGGUAGCAGGACAAAGGGUUUGAGCUCAGGGGGAAGCUCUGACUUGUGCACACGCGAUGUUGCCCUCAAGAGAAAAGAGAGAAUCUGCUUCACAUGGUUUCUAGAGCUAGUUACCACGAGCGAGAAUGCACUGCAUGCGUGCUAGUAUGACAGUAUGGACCAUCGCCGCAGCCGAGUUUGGUGACGGUGAAGGGCGUCCGGGUCCGGAUGAAUUCGAGCAGCGUGGUCCCAGCCUCCCAGGGGGACGUCGCCAGGCACCUCAUACUGCCGCCCGCGCAAACACCGCCUUCUCCAGCCUCACCGGUCCCAUCGCCACUGCUCGGUGGGCGAGCUAGCCAGAAAUUGUUGAUUGAUGUCUAUAUGAGGAGCUACCCAGCUUNNNNNNNNNNNNNNNNNNNNNNNNNNNNNNNNNNNNNNNNNNNNNNNNNNNNNNNNNNNNNNNNNNNNNNNNNNNNNNNNNNNNNNNNNNNNNNNNNNNNNNNNNNNNNNNNNNNNNNNNNNNNNNNNNNNNNNNNNNNNNNNNNNNNNNNNNNNNNNNNNNNNNNNNNNNNNNNNNNNNNNNNNNNNNNNNNNNNNNNNNNNNNNNNNNNNNNNNNNNNNNNNNNNNNNNNNNNNNNNNNNNNNNNNNNNNNNNNNNNNNNNNNNNNNNNNNNNNNNNNNNNNNNNNNNNNNNNNNNNNNNNNNNNNNNNNNNNNNNNNNNNNNNNNNNNNNNNNNNGGGCUAGUUGAAUGAAUGAUGGUUGCCUAAUCAGGAUGGGGCGCUGCUGACCCCAAUAAAUCACCCGCCUUGUCCCUAAUCUACAAAAGGCCGACUGCUUCUUCUCUGCUGAUGAAGCCAUCGAGGUGGUGGAUCAUCACCGAUGGUGAUGUAGAAGACUGGAUCUUGCUGACUGGGUUUGAGCUUAUCACGGUUGAUAUCGCGGCGGAGAUGCUAGCGCCUGCAACUGCGGUCGAAGGCCGACCGGCAUCGCCAUGCCAUUGCAUCUUCUGGCCGGAAGCGGUCCGAUUUCGUUUCUUCCUGCAAUGCUGCCUUAUAGGAGGCAAUUCCUCUUCGCGUUGGUAGCCAUGGCUUUGAGCUGUCGCGCCUUCGUCACCCCAAGCGGCUUGUUCCUCGGCGACAACGAGGUGAAUCCGGCCUGAAGAGGUUGGACCCGAUCAUGUUUUUGUUUCCUAUGCAAGGUCCUUGUUGCAUAAGUCCAGGGACUUGGUUGUCUGUCUUUGUUUCUUAGGUGUCCUUUUGUAAAAAUGUGUUGUACUCUGGGUUUUAAUGAAUAAAUCUUUUGGAUCUUGGGGAUCCCUCAGCUGCUCAAAAAGAAAAGAAAAGAAAAGAAAGAAUUUGCUUGGGGAGUACAAUUAAAGCAUGGUUAAUAAUAUACCCAACUGCUGGCUAUAACAUGUUACCAUGCUAUCUAUAACCAAUAUAAUAAUAGCUAACUAGCUAACUUGUAGAGUAUUUAGCUACAAGGAGGUAUUACUUUAUUACCACAUGACCCACCUUAUACUUUCAUAAAGUAUCUUGGAGUCUGCGCCAUAGCCAGCUAUAAAUCUACAGCCCUCUUCUUUCUCUUUCCUCUUCUUUCUUCUCAACUCAGUAAAAAAUAUAUUUAAACCCUUAUAGCCCGCCUACGUCACCUCAUUAUAUUUGCUCUUAGCAAGCUAGUAAUGUACUAUACUACUAUGUGCUCGUAAGUUUCUAAAGCUAGCUAGCAUGAGAUUGUUGAGUAUAUCGAGAGCGAGCGCAUGCAGCAUGCACCCCGCGUACUUACCUUGGCUGCAACUGAGCUUGAUGCCGGUGAAGGGCGUGUUGGUCCGGAUGAACUCAAGCAGCGUGGUCCCCGAGUGGACGUCGCGGCCGGCCACAUCCACUACUAGUAAAACCCUGUAGGUAACUACUAAGUAGAGGCGCAGAUUAUUUGGCAUUUGCAACUGCUAUUUAGUAGUAGCGUGGGCAAACAAGUGCGCUACUGAUAGAGCAUAUUAGUAGCAUGGGCACCCAUCGUUACUUCUAAGUGGUCGCACGGGUUGUAAAACCCGUGCUACUACUAAGUUGAUAGUAGUAGAGCAGGGUGUAAACCCCCGCGAUACUGCUAUGAGUAGAUGGGGUCAACUGAUGGGCCUCACUUAGUAGUUGAGUCGUCCGUUCAAUGCGAGGGCCACCUUCUCCAGCCUCACCGGUACCAUCACCACUCGCCUCUCGCGGUCGACCUCGGCUAGAAAUGGUUGAUUGAUGUGCACUGUGAUGUGAGUGACGUGGGAAUGGGUGGGCGAGCUGCUGCUGGCAGCUAUAGGAAGGGAGUUGGAUGAAUGGUGGCCGACCUUGAUCUGUUGCUUAUUUACUUGCGUGACGGCGAGUGCUUAGCUGCCCCGGCGACUCCGAGCGUAGGGAAGGAGAUUGGGCCAGCGUGACCUGACGGGGACAUCGACGAUAUGGGCAGGGAUCUGGUUGGUCCGCGGACGUGCACGCAUGUCGAGUGCGAUAUGUUAGAGUUGUUUCCAAUAUUGUGUACAAGGUAGGUUACAAUUGGACUCUGAGUUGUAUUGUGUUUACAUGGUAUGGAUUCGUGUCUUAGUAGGACAAUUGUAUCCUAGGCCUCCCAUAUAAUGCGGGGUAGACACACAAUGUAAACCUAUGCCAAUAUAACAACACAUGCACACAGGGGAGUCGGCGUCGUGUGCCGACUCCCGGGUGGCCGGUGUGCGGUAUUGUGACGGUGUCACGGGGAGGAGCGACCGUAGUCACGCCCUGGGGAUGUAACCGAGUUCGGUGAACCUCGUUAACGAAUCUCGGUGUCUUGUCUCGUAUGAUUGCUUGGUCCUUAGUAGAUCGAUUGUGUGUCUCAGAGUUAUUGUAACAAGUGGUAUCAGAGCCAGGUUUCGAGGAGGUCACAGAGUUGAUCUGGAGGAGCAAGAACAUCGACAGAAGUCUGCAAUCGUAAUACGAGAUGAAGUCGUACAUCGGCGCAUUACAAUUUGGAGAAAGACGUGACCGAGUUCUAAUAUUCAUGGAAGCAAUCGGAAGAAUCGGCUUGGUUGAUCAAUCGUAGCGACAGUGGUGACGGGAUCCGUAUCGGAUCACAGCACAACAGCAGCAGCGAGGAGCUGGCUGAGCCAGGCGAGACACGGCCGAGUUGGGCGAUGAUUUUGGCUGCGUGGCCGUACACGCUGACCUGUGGUUAAAUGGUUAGAUGGACAAUGGUAUCCCCAGUGGGUUCAAGUCCUGCCGCUCGCAUUUAUCUUGGAUUUAUUUCAGGAUUUCCGGCGAUGCGCGUUCAGUUGGAGGAGACGUUUCCGUCGACUACGAGGCGCCUACGGUGACUUGUAAAAUCUCAAGAUGAUAUGCCAGCUCAGGGGGUGUUUGGUUACAAGGGACUAGACUUGUUUUAGUUCCAGGGACUAAAGAAAAAAGACCCUUCAGUAGAGUCUUUUUCUAGUCCCUUAAGAAAAAGUCUCUCCUGUUUGGUUACAUAGGAACUAAAAGGGACAUUUUCUAGUCUAGUCCCUGUAACUAAAUAAGGCCUCAGUCCCUCGAAGGUGCUCAUAGUGUAGAGUGUGUGUGCGCGCGUGUUCAUAGGAAUGAGUAUAUGCACAUACAUAUAAGCGCGUGCGUCUGUACUGUGUUAAAAAUAAGAAUCAAGAGCAGCUAUACCGUGGAUUUGUUUGGAUACAAAAGAAAAGGAUCGAGUUCUCGUGUGCGUAUGACGUGAAGGGAGGCAACAGCAGAUCGAUUGGGCGAAGAGAGAUAUCCGUUUGAUAUGCAUCCAUCAGGGACUAGCGACAAAGGUUUUGGCAAAGCAAUUAGCUAGCGUUGGAAAGUUGAGCCAAGACCGGAGCUACACGUGAAGACCAAAAGUUUUUUGUUCUUUGGUAGGAAUUUGUUAUUAGUGCACGAGGGUGUACCACAUCAGGUUUUGCUUGUUUACUUGGGCAUCACGUGAGGAGAGCUCGAAUAAUUUUCCAUAGGGUCAGCUGUACAAAGAACCAUGGCGACAACGGGUACCAGAUUUGAGUUGGAGAAGUUGACGGAACUGGAAACCUUGGGUUAUGGUAGACAAGGGUGAAAGAUUUGUUGUCACAUCAGGGAUGCUUGAAAGCGUUGCGGGAAGUCAUGUCAGCUAAAAUUGAAUUAUCAUGUGAUGGAUGGAAAUUUGCUGCAAACGAUUUGGGAGCCUUGAGCGUGUCAUGCAACCGGACAAGUUCAAUGGGGUUGGACUUGACAUUCUGACGGAUCAUCAUGGAUGUCGGUUGGUAUAGAAGACGAUGGUGGGAUCAGCGACGACGACAUAGGAGUGUGAAGCUGAUGGUGACCGACUUCUGGGCGUGGAAACACGUGGGACAUGCCCGAGGGUUUGUGUGGUUUUGACAAGACUAUGGCGCAAGAUUGAUUCUGGACAGUGCACAUGCGAGCUUGAAGUCGAUGGGGCACGGGGUGGACUGCUCAUCUAUCAUGGAGUCAUUUUGAAGGUGGAGUUGAGGUCUAAUGGAAGACUUCACUCGGUGCUAAUUGAGGGGCUCCAACGUAAGAGCUCAAAGAGUCGAAGCCUAUUUCAGCGGGAGAAAGAGAGGUGACACGUAGUUCGGACUGGAGCCCAGUGGUCUGAUGGAAAUGUGAAACUCGUCAUCGGUCGGUGAUGAUCGGUGGUACUCUGCGGUGGGGGUUGAGUGGUGUGGGUUCGUGACACUUGAGACUCGACCGGGACAAUAGAGACUCGACUUGGUAAUAGCGGCGAAGCAUGUGGUUAGCACGGGACAUGGAGACGAACCAGGGCUCUGAUGGUCAUACAUGUGGUGUGACGACUGCGAAUUUGACUCGAAAUGACUACAAGCAACAGUGAAAUUCAUGUGUCGUGAACUAAAACUACGACACUUAGUUCGAACGGAGGGAGUAUUAUUUUUAAACCAAAUCAGGUGAGCUCUCGUUGCCGGAUCGCUGACCUAUUGUCCAGAUGUCCGCCGCGUCAGUUCCCCACCGCUACGGUGCUGCCAGCCACCGCCGUCCAAUUGCUUUGGAUUCGGUUGUGCGUAUGGGCUGGGAACCUUACGGUGUUGUCUGAUGCGUCGUCGGAGCCGGAGUUUUGGUCGGUCGAGGCCGGGCAUGAGCAGCUCCUGAGCAGGAUGGAUGGAUCUAUGGGUAGAUGGAUGUAUGCAUGCAUAUAUGUAUGGAUAUCACUCUGUAAAAAAGAAAAGAAAAAAUAUGUAUGGAUAUCAUGGUCAUGUUGCUCGGGAGUUCAACCUCCUUUUUGGAAAAAAGAGAGGCGAUGCUGAUGAUGAUGACUGUGGCUGAAUUUAUCAUGUCUUGAGCAAUCAAGACAGCUUGGCGAGGUGGGACUAAACAGUGCUAGAAAAUUGGGGUCCGCAUUGGAGUUGCUCUUUAGCCCACCCUUCCCUCUCUUGCAGCCUGUCCAAUUCAUCGCGGAUGUUGGAUGUUCUGUGCCUUGGACGGUCGUUCUGAUGAGUGAUAACCAGGGCAGUUCUCUUACACUGCGAUGGGUAGAUUAUGCAGCAAGAGAUGUGAGUGUUGGGUUUGAAGAUGAAAUGCAAAACUGAGCCCUCUUUUGCUACGCUACAAAACUGAGCCCUGCCGCCUCCUCACCCCCCUCUCCCUCUCUGUCUAAAACAAACCAGUCAAGCUCUCAUUGCCGACUUGCUACCCCAUCAUCCGGGUGGCUGCCACAUCAGUUCCCCGUCUCUACGGUGCUGCCAGUCACUGCCAUUCCAUUGCCUUGGAUUUGGUUGUGGCGUGGGCUGGGAACCGUAAGGCAUUGUCUGAUGCAUCGUCCAAACUGUGAGGUUUGGUCAGCUGACGCCAGGUAUGAGCAGCUCCUGAGACUGAGACUAGUCAUAGUGGGAGUAACUUAGGUUUUAGUUCAAAUUGAACUAAAACCACGACAGUAAUUAUGGAACGGAGGGAGUAGUAACAUGCAUGCCACAUAGGCAAAAAAGAUUAGGGUUAAUUAUCAUUUUGCCCUCAGUGGUGUCCAUGUGCUCAGUUUUGCCCUCAGAUGCGAAUUGUGCUCAGUUUCGCCCAUAGUCUGAGCGCAUCGACUCGUUCCGUGAACUCAGCCGUCUCCGUCAGGUCAACCUUUUGACUCGGCCCUUACAGGUGGGACCAGGCGGCAGGGAUGGCCAAUUUUAUUCAGACCGUUGCACACGUGGCUUGUGGGACCCAGCAGAGAGCCGUUGAGCAGAGAGCCGUUGCAGGUGUGCUAUAUAAGUGGGCAACAACGGCGAUGACCACGGCGACAGAGAGCACGGCGGUGACCACGACGAGAGAGAGCACGGCGGUGGGAAGCUAGCUGUGGAGGGCGCGGCGGUGGGAAGCUAGCUGUGGAGGGCGCGGCGGCGUUGAGAUCCCCUUCGGCUCCGAGCUCCAUGUCUUCCUCAAGCUCCCGUGCCACCUCGCGGAUGCAGAGCCGGGCGCGUGUGGACAUGCCUGUCUUCGUCUGUCCGCGGUGCCGGGCGGGUGUUGAUCGAGGGUUUCUCACACACCGAGGAACCAGAAUCGUCCGUUCUACGUGUGCAACGAGAAUGGGGUAAGAAUUGGGGCAAUUGCACCAUUUUCGAGCAACGGGUUGAUCUGUUUGGUGUUCAUGCAGGUGACAUGCUUCUUUCUUGGGUCGAUGCUCUGGCCAAGACUCUGAUGAAUGAACUGCAAGAAGAGCAUGAAGAAUGGUUGCGCAUGCUGCCACGAACGGCAGUGGCCGCAACACGAGCUCCGGAAGAACAGAUGGAGGGCGAAGCACGCACUGACAGAGAGCUAGCCGUUGAGCUUAGGAUGUUGAAGAAGAAGGUUAGGAAGCUUGAAGAUCAAGCACUACCAAUACCCAUUUGCAAAUACUUUUGAGCAUUUGUAGGUAUGGUAAUCGCACUGGUUGUAAUGUUGAAAAUGUAUGGAAAUGCAUGAAUUAUGGAGGAAUUUGCAAUUUGAAAUUGUAUGAGAAAUUCACCUAGUUUAAAUGUUGGUCAAAGUUGUUUAAAUAUUGAAAAAAGAGAAGAAGUGACCAACAUUUAAAUAUGUUGAAAAAAAGAGAAGAAAUGAGGAAUUCAGAAACUUUUGAUCAUAGAAAUGCAGCUCUCUGCUCUGCCUUUCUGUCAAAAAAAAGGUUGCUCUUGGGCCAAAUUCAGAGCGUAGAGCCAAGUGCAAGCUAGACUAAUGGGCCAACUGCAUCCAAUUAGGCCCAUUCGGGGGUUCUCUUGCGUAUUUUUCUGUUUUCUGUUCUGAUUUAAUUUAGGCAGUAAAUCAUAAUGCUGAAACUUUUUGUGGAAGCUAAUUGAAUUAUUCCAGAGCCAAACAAUUAAGGUUAGGAUUUUUUUGGAGCUGUUAAUUAAUCCAAUUCAAAUACACCGUGAUUUAAAUCAAAGACCAAAAUGUCAUGGAAAAUGUGCCUCAGCUCUGGUAGAGGUUUACACCUGGUGCCAAAAUAAAUGAACAUUUUUUAAGGGCAUUACAUUGAGAAAAAAAAUAAUUUGUCUAAAAAAAUGAAGGGUGGAAAAUGCACAAAAAAUUGGUGCGGCUAGGGACUCGAACCCAGGACCGCCUGGGUUUGUGGUGUUUAGGGCUGCGUUGGUAACCGCUAGGACAGAAGGCAAGACUUUGACAUGGGUAGGGAAGGAAGGUAUAUAUAGUGAGACUGUGAAAUUUGUUAAAAAAAAUAGUGAGACCGUGAAUGUUUGCACACGCAUGAGAGUGGUUUUCCUUUGUUUUGCACUGAAAUUUUGGAGGGUUGGAAGGUUGAAAACGUAUGUUUGCAUUGCCACAUGAUUUUGGUUAGAGUGGCACUUGGUUUAGGGUUAGAGUAGCACUUGGUUUAGGAUUUAAAGGGAAUAAAUUUGCAUGUUAGUUCAUGACUUAUUUUUUUUGAAUGAAACAGAGGGCUUCUCAACCCCUCUGAUUUUCAUUAAUGAAAACCACAAGUUCUUGAACUUCAUGACUUGGUUUAGGGAAGAAAUGAUAUGUUUGGGCACAAACAUUUUUUAACACACAUAAUAAACCCUAAUAACUUAGAUAAGAUGCAACACACCGUACCAUUACAAUAAUAAGUUCACGGACAGUUCACGGACACAUGACGAAACAUGACACGACACGACACGAUAUAGAAAAGCAACAAAAUAAAAAACGAAACAUGACGAGCUUGACUCCGGGCUUGAACAUCUUCUUCUUGACCUCCUUCUUCCACCUUGGCCGCGUGCGCCCCUUCAACACCGUCCUCAUCUUCACACCUCCUCCUCCUCCUCGUAGGGAAGGGAGUGCAUCUGGCCUGGAGUGGGGAAGAUGCUCUCGUAGUUGGUGUAGAUGUUGUAGACGGUGAAGAAGAUGGCCUCGCAGCCGCACCAAAAGACUUGGCCGAGGAGCUCGCGCGCGUCAAACGGGUUGGUGAAGGUGACCGUGAGCAGUAGGAGGAUGCCGCCGCGGUCACGAAUCUCGUUGAGGGUGAACAUCCUCGGCGAGCCCCGUGGGAGGUGGGCAUAGCCGGCUCUGAGGAAGGCGCGGGUGAGUUCGACGGAACCCCUCCACCUUGAAAUAGCCCACACACUGAGCUCCCUCUCCACGAGCACGCCCGGUGGGUAGCGCAGCUCCGGCACGACAGGCGGACGGUUGAAGGUCGGCCCGUUGAACUGCAUCUUCACUUGGUCUCGCUUGGGGAGGGCUCGGUCGCUUGGGUGUUUGAAGUUGGAGAGAAUGGAUCGGAUCUGGCUUGUGGGUGGGAGAGGAAGAGAGGCACCCCAUUUAUAGGCCUGUGGGUGGGAGAGGAAGAGAGAAAGGAUGAGAACGGUGCGUGUGUGAAUCCGGACGCGUGUGUGUAUCCGGACGCGUGUGUGUAUCCGUUACGUUUUGCACUCUUAAAUUUUUGCACGAAAACAAUGCAUGGGGCGCGUGCGUGCAUCUGAAUCACUGCCUAGCUCUUUAACCGGGCGGUGCAUCUGACUCGCUGCCCUGAACCACUACCCUGAACCACCUAGCUCGCCUCGCUAGUGAAAGGAUCGAUAUAGUUGACUAGAGGGGGGGGGGGGUGAAUAGGCAACUAACAAUUUUUAGCUUUUCUUUACCAAUUUAAACUUUGCAUCAAAGUAGGUUGUCUAGAUAUGCAACUAGGUGAGCAACCUAUAUGAUGCAACAACAAUAAGCACACACGCAAGCAAGAGAUAAAGCACAAAUAAGCUUGCACAAGUAAAGGCACGAGAUAACCAAGAGUGGAGCUGGUGAAGACGAGGAUGUGUUACCGAAGUUCCUUCCCUUUGAGAGGAAGUACGUCUCCGUUGGAGCGGUGUGGAGGCACAAUGCUCCCCAAGAAGCCACUGGGGCCACCGUAUUCUCCUCACGCCCUCACACAAUGCGAGAUGCCGUGAUUCCACUAUUGGUGCCCUUGGAGGCGGCGACCAGACCUUUACAAACAAGGUUGGGGCAAUCUCCACAAUUUAAUUGGAGGCUCCCAACGAUACCACGAAGCUUCACCACAAUGGACUAUGGCUCCGCGGUGACCUCAACCGUCUAGGGUGCUCAAACACCCAAGAGUAACAAGAUCCACAAGGGAUUAGUGGGGGGAUUCAAAUUUCUCUUGGUGGAAGUGUAGAUCGGGGCCUUCUCAACCAAUCCCUAGAGAAUCAACAAGUUUGAUUGGCUAGGGAAGGAGAUCGGGCGAAAAUGGAGCUUGGAGCAACAAUGGAGCUUGGAGGUGGAAGAGUUGGUCAACUAGAGGAGGAAGACACCCCUUAUAUAGUGGAAGAGCAAAUCCAACCGUUAUCCACCAACUCAGCCUGCGCAACGCGGUACUACCGUACCUGAGGCGCGGUACUACCGCAGGGGCACGCGGUACUACCGCAGGGCCCCGCGGUACUACCGCCCACGCUACAGAGACCAGAACAGCCUAAAAUGCACUAAAGCAGAGGGCGGUAGUACUGCUGGCGCGGUACUACCCCUCCCCCUUGCGGUACUACCGCAAGGCAGGGGCUGUCUAGAGAUGGGAAGGCACGGAUAUAAAAAAUUACAUCCGUGGCUACUUCCGCAGAGUUGGAGUCGAUGCAAAAACCCGAGGCGGUAGUACCGUAAGCCAGCAGCGGUACUACCGCGCGAGGCGCGGAUGUAAAAAAUUACAUCCGCCCCUUACUGCUGUUGGAAAUAUGCCCUAGAGGCAAUAAUAAAAUGGUUAUUAUUAUAUUUCUUUGUUCAUGAUAAUUGUCUAUUGUUCAUGCUAUAAUUGUGUUAUCCGGAAAUCGUAAUACAUGUGUGAAUACAUAGACCACAACAUGUCCCUACUGAGCCUCUAGUUGACUAGCUCGUUGAUCAACAGAUAGUCAUGGUUUCCUGACUAUGGACAUUGGAUAUCAUUGAUAACGGGAUCACAUCAUUAGGAGAAUGAUGUGAUGGACAAGACCCAAUCCUAAGCAUAGCACAAAGAUCGUGUAGUUCGUUUGCUAGAGCUUUUCCAAUGUCAAGUAUCAUUUCCUUAGACCAUGUGAUCGUGUAACUCCCGGAUGCCGUAGGAGUGCUUUGGGUGUACCAAACAUCACAACGUAACUGGGUGACUAUAAAGGUACACUACAGGUAUCUCUGAAAGUGUCUGUUGGGUUGACACGGAUCGAGACUGGGAUUUGUCACUCCGUAUGACGGAGAGGUAUCUCUGGGCCCACUCGGUAAUGCAUCAUCAUAAUGAGCUCAAAGUGACCAAGUGGUUGGUCACGGGAUCAUGCAUUACGGUACGAGUAAAGUGACUUGUCGGUAACGAGAUUGAACAAGGUAUUGGGAUACCGACGAUCGAAUCUCGGGCAAGUAACGUACCGAUUGACAAAGGGAAUUGUAUACGGGAUUGAUUGAAUCCUCGACAUCGUGGUUCAUCCGAUGAGAUCAUCGUGGAACAUGUGGGAGCCAACAUGGGUAUCCAGAUCCCGCUGUUGGUUAUUGACCGGAGAGUCGUCUCGGUCAUGUCUGCAUGUCUCCUGAACCCGUAGGGUCUACACACUUAAGGUUCGGUGACGCUAGGGUUGUAGAGAUAUUAGUAUGCGGUAACCCGAAAGUUGUUCGGAGUCCCGGAUGAGAUCCCGGACGUCACGAGGAGUUCCGGAGUGUUCCGGAGGUGAAGAAUUAUAUAUAGGAAGUCCAGUUUCGGCCACCGGGAAAGUUUCGGGGGUCACCGGUAUUGUACCGGGACCACCGGAAGGGUCCCGGGGGUCCACCGGGUGGGGCCACCUAUCCCGGAAGGGCCCCAUGGGCUGAAGUGGGAGGGGAACCAGCCCCUGGUGGGCUGGUGCGCCCCCCCUUGGGCCUCCCCUGCGCCUAGGGUUGGAAACCCUAGGGGUGGGGGCGCCCCCCACUUGGCUUGGGGGGGAAGCCACCCCUUGGCCGCCGCCCCCCUGGAGAUUGGAUCUCCCAGGGGCCGGCCCCCCCAGGGCCCCUAUAUAUAGUGGAGGGGAGGGAGGGCAGCAGUACCACAGCCCCUGGCGCCUCCCUCUCCCUCCCGUGACACCUCUCCCUCUCGCUGAGCUUGGCGAAGCCCUGCCGAGAUCCCCGCUACUUCCACCACCACGCCGUCGUGCUGCUGGAUCUCCAUCAACCUCUCCUUUCCCCUUGCUGGAUCAAGAAGGAGGAGACGUCGCUGCUCCGUACGUGUGUUGAACGUGGAGGUGCCGUCCGUUCGGCGCUCGGUCAUCGGUGAUUUGGAUCACGACGAGUACGACUCCAUCAACCCCGUUCACUUGAACACUUCCGCUCGUGAUCUACAAGGGUAUGUAGAUGCACUCCUAUCUCUCGUUGCUAGAUGACUCCAUAGAUUGAUCUUGGUGAUGCGUAGAAAUUUUUUAAUUUCUGCUACGAUCCCCUACAGUGGCAUCAUGAGCUAGGUCUAUGCGUAGUUACUAUGCACGAGUAGAACACAAGAUUGUUGUGGGCGUAGAUCAUGUCAAUUUACUUGCCGCUACUAGUCUUAUCUUGAUUCGGCGGCAUUGUGGGAUGAAGCGGCCCGGACCGACCUUACACGUACGCUUACGUGAGACAGGUUCCACCGACUGACAUGCACUAGUUGCAUAAGGUGGCUAGCGGGUGUCUGUCUCUCCCACUUUAGUUGGAUCGGAUUCGAUGAAAAGGGUCCUUAUGAAGGGUAAAUAGAAAUUGGCAUACACGUUGUGGUUUUACGUAGGUAAGAAACGUUCUUGCUAGAAACCUAUAGAAGCCACGUAAAAACAUGCAACAACAAUUAGAGGACGUCUAACUUGUUUUUGCAGCAUAUGCCUUGUGAUGUGAUAUGGCCAAAAGGAUGUGAUGAAUGAAAUAUAUGUGAUGUAUGAGAUUGAUCAUGUUCUUGUAAUAGGAAUCACGACUUGCAUGUCGAUGAGUAUGACAACCGGCAGGAGCCAUAGGAGUUGUCUUUAUUUUUUGUAUGACCCGCGUGUCAUUGAAUAACGCCAUGUAAAUUGCUUUACUUUAUUGCUAAACACGUUAGCCAUAGAAGUAGAAGUAAUUGUUGGCGUGACAACUUCAUGAAGACACGAUGAUGGAGAUCAUGAUGAUGGAGAUCAUGGUGUCAUGCCGGUGACGAAGAUGAUCAUGGCGCCCCGAAGAUGGAGAUCAAAGGAGCAAUAUGAUACUAGCCAUAUCAUGUCACUAUUUGAUUGCAUGUGAUGUUUAUCAUGUUUUGCUUCUUGUUUGCUUAGUACGACGGUAGUAAGUAAGAUGAUCCCCCUAACUGUGCACCGUUGCGAAUGUUCGUUGUUUUGAAGCACCACGUGAUGAUCGGGUGUGAUAGAUUCUAACGUUCGAAUACAACGGGUGUAAGCCAGAUUUACACACGCAAUACACUUAGGUUGACUUGACGAGCCUAGCAUGUGAAGACAUGGCCUCGGAACACGGAAGACCGAAAGGUCGAGCAUGAGUCGUAUAGAAGAUACGAUCAACAUGAAGAUGUUCACCGAUGUUGACUAGUCCGUCUCACGUGAUGAUCGGACACGGCCUAGUUGAUUCGGAUCAUGUUUCACUUAGAUGACUAGAGGGAUGUCUAUCUGAGUGGGAGUUCAUUGAAUAAUUUGAUUAGAUGAACUUAAUUAUCAUGAACUUAGUCUAAAAUCUUUACAAUAUGUCUUGUAGAUCAAAUGGCCCACGUUGCCCUCAACUUCAACGCGUUCCUAGAGAAAACCAAGCUGAAAGAUGAUGGCAGCAACUAUACGGACUGGGUCCGGAACCUGAGGAUCAUCCUCAUAGCUGCCAAGAAAGAUUAUGUCCUAGAAGCACCGCUAGGUGACGCACCCAUCCCAGAGAACCAAGACGUUAUGAACGAUUGGCAGUCACGUGCUGAUGAUUACUCCCUCGUUCAGUGCGGCAUGCUUUACAGCUUAGAACCGGGGCUCCAAAAGCGUUUUGAGCAACACGGAGCAUAUGAGAUGUUCGAAGAGCUGAAAAUGGUUUUCCAAGCUCAUGCCCGGGUCGAGAGAUAUGAAGUCUCCGACAAGUUCUUCAGUUGUAAGAUGGAGGAAAACAGUUCUGUCAGUGAGCACAUACUCAAAAUGUCUGGGUUGCACAACCGCUUGACUCAGCUGGAGUUAAUCUCCCAGAUGACGCGGUCAUUGACAGAAUCCUUCAGUCACUUCCACCAAGCUACAAGAGCUUUGUGAUGAACUUCAAUAUGCAGGGGAUGGAAAAGACCAUUCCUGAGGUAUAUUCAAUGCUGAAAUCAGCGGAGGUGGAGAUAAAAAAGGAACAUCAAGUGUUGAUGGUGAAUAAAACCACUAAGUUCAAGAAAGGCAAGGGUAAGAAGAACUUCAAGAAGGACGGCAAGGGAGUUGCCGCGCCUGGUAAGACAGUUGCCGGGAAGAAGCCAAAGAAUGGACCCAAGCCUGAGACUGAGUGCUUUUAUUGCAAGGGAAGUGGUCACUGGAAGCGGAACUGCCCCAAAUACUUAGCGGACAAGAAGGCCGGCAACACCAAAGGUAUAUGUGAUAUACAUGUAAUUGAUGUGUACCUUACUAGUACUCGUAGUAGCUCCUGGGUAUUUGAUACAGGUGCGGUUGCUCAUAUUUGUAACUCAAAACAGGAGCUGCGGAAUAAGCGGAGACUAGCGAAGGACGAGGUGACGAUGCGCGUCGGGAAUGGUUCCAAGGUCGAUGUGAUCGCCGUCGGCAUGCUACCUCUACAUUUACCUACGGGAUUAGUUUUAAACCUCAAUAAUUGUUAUUUAGUGCCAGCUUUGAGCAUGAACAUUGUAUCUGGAUCUCGUUUAAUGCGAGAUGGCUACUCAUUUAAAUCUGAGAAUAAUGGCUGUUCUAUUUAUAUGAGAGAUAUGUUUUAUGGUCAUGCCCCGCUGGUCAAUGGUUUAUUCUUAAUGAAUCUCGAACGUGAUGUUACACAUAUUCAUAGUGUGAAGACCAAAAGAUGUAAAGUUGAUAACGAUAGUCCCACAUACUUGUGGCACUGCCGCCUUGGUCACAUUGGUGUCAAGCGCAUGAAGAAGCUCCAUGCUGAUGGACUUUUAGAGUCUCUCGAUUAUGAAUCAUUUGACACAUGCGAACCAUGCCUCAUGGGUAAGAUGACCAAGACUCCGUUCUCCGGAACAAUGGAGCGAGCAACCAACUUAUUGGAAAUCAUACAUACUGAUGUGUGCGGUCCAAUGAGUGUUGAGGCUCGCGGUGGCUAUCGUUAUGUUCUCACUCUCACUGAUGACUUGAGUAGAUAUGGGUAUGUCUACUUGAUGAAACACAAGUCUGAGACCUUUGAAAAGGUCAAGGAAUUUCAGAAUGAGGUGGAGAAUCAACGUGACCGAAAGAUAAAGUUCUUACGAUCAGAUCGUGGGGGAGAAUAUUUAAGUCACGAAUUUGGUAUGCACUUAAGGAAAUGUGGAAUCGUUUCACAACUCACGCCGCCUGGAACACCUCAGCGCAACGGUGUGUCCGAACGUCGUAAUCGCACUCUAUUGGGUAUGGUGCGAUCUAUGAUGUCUCUUACCGAUCUACCGCUCUCAUUUUGGGGCUAUGCUUUAGAGACUGCCGCAUUCACUUUAAAUAGGGCACCUUCUAAAUCCGUUGAGACGACACCGUAUGAAUUAUGGUUUGGGAAGAAACCUAAGCUGUCGUUUCUAAAAGUUUGGGGAUGCGAUGCUUAUGUCAAGAAACUUCAACCUGAAAAGCUCGAACCCAAGUCGGAGAAAUGCGUCUUCAUAGGAUACCCUAAGGAAACCAUUGGGUAUACCUUCUACCUCAGAUCCGAAGGCAAGAUCUUUGUUGCCAAGAACGGGUCCUUUCUGGAGAAAGAGUUUCUCUCGAAAGAAGUGAGUGGGAGGAAAGUAGAACUUGAUGAAGUACUGCCUCUUGAACCGGAAAGUAGCGCACCUCAGGAAAAUGUUCCUGUGGUGCAUGCACCGACUAGAGAGGAAGUUAAUGAUAAUGAUGAUCAAGGUACUUCGGAUCAAGCUCCUACUGAACUUCGUAGGUCCACAAGGACACGUUCCACACCAGAGUGGUAUGGCAACCCUGUCCUGGAAAUCAUGUUGUUAGACAACGGUGAACCUUCGAACUAUGAAGAAGCAAUGGCGGGCCCGGAUUCCGACAAAUGGCUAGAAGCCAUGAAAUCCGAGAUAGGAUCCAUGUAUGAAAACGAAGUAUGGGCUUUGACUGACUUUCCCGAUGAUCGGCGAGCCAUAGAAAAUAAAUGGAUCUUUAAGAACAAGACAGACGCGGAUGGUAAUGUGACCAUCUAUAAGGCUCGACUUGUCGCUAAGGGUUAUCGACAAGUUCAAGGGGAUGACUACGAUGAGACUUUCUCACCCAUAGCGAAGCUGAAGUCCGUCCGAAUCAUGUUAGCAAUUGUCGCAUACUAUGAUUAUGAGAUAUGGCAAAUGGACGUCAAAACGGCAUUCCUUAACGGCCAUCUUAAGGAAGAACUGUAUAUGAUGCAGCCGGAAGGUUUUGUCGAUCCUAAGAAUGCUAACAAGGUAUGCAAGCUCCAGCGCUCCAUCUAUGGGCUGGUGCAAGCAUUUGGGUUUACACAGACUUAUGGAGAAGCCUGUGUUUACAAGAAAGUGAGUGGGAGCUCUGUAGCAUUUCUCUUAUUAUAUGUGGAUGGCAUACUAUUGAUGGGAAAUGAUAUAGAAUUCUUGGAAAGUAUAAAGGCCUAUUUGAAUAAGUGUUUUUCAAUGAAGGACCUUGGAGAAACUGCUUAUAUAUUAGGCAUCAAGAUCUAUAGAGAUAGAUCAAGACGCCUCAUUGGUCUUUCACAGAGGAUGUACCUUGACAAGAUAUUGAAGAAGUUCAAUAUGGAUCAGUCUAAGAAGGGGUUCUUGCCUGUAUUGCAAGGUGUGCAAUUGAGCACGGCUCAAUGCCCGACCACGGCAGAAGAUAGAGAAAAGAUGAGUGUCGUCCCCUAUGCCUCGGCCAUAGGGUCUAUUAUGUAUGCCAUGCUGUGUACCAGACCUGAUGUAAACCUUGCCGUAAGUUUGGUAGGAAGGUACCAAAGUAAUCCCGGCAUGGAACACUGGACAUCGGUCAAGAAUAUCCUGAAGUACCUGAAAAGGACUAAGGAUAUGUUUCUCGUAUAUGGAGGUGACGAAGAGCUCGUCGUAAAGGGUUACGUCGACGCUAGCUUCGACACAGAUCUGGAUGACUCUAAGUCACAAACCGGAUACGUGUAUAUUUUGAAUGGUGGGGCAGUAAGCUGGUGCAGUUGCAAGCAAAGCGUCGUGGCGGGAUCUACAUGUGAAGCGGAGUACAUGGCAGCCUCAGAGGCAGCACAAGAAGCAAUCUGGAUGAAGGAGUUCAUUACCGACCUAGGGGUGAUUCCCAAUGCGUCGGGCCCGAUGACUCUCUUCUGUGACAACAGUGGAGCUAUUGCCCUUGCUAAGGAGCCCAGGUUUCACAGGAAGACCAGGCAUAUCAAGCGUCGCUUCAACUCCAUUCGUGAAAGUGUUCAAAAUGGAGACAUAGAUAUUUGUAAAGUACAUACGGACCUGAAUGUAGCAGAUCCAUUGACUAAACCUCUCCCUAGAGAAAAACAUGAUCAACACCAGAACUCUAUGGGUGUACGAUUCAUCACAAUGUAACUAGAUUAUUGACUCUAGUGCAAGUGGGAGACUGUUGGAAAUAUGCCCUAGAGGCAACAAUACAAUGGUUAUUAUUAUAUUUCUUUGUUCAUGAUAAUUGUCUAUUGUUCAUGCUAUAAUUGUGUUAUCCGGAAAUCGUAAUACAUGUGUGAAUACAUAGACCACAACAUGUCCCUAGUGAGCCUCUAGUUGACUAGCUCGUUGAUCAACAGAUAGUCAUGGUUUCCUGACUAUGGAUAUUGGAUGUCAUUGAUAACGGGAUCACAUCAUUAGGAGAAUGAUGUGAUGGACAAGACCCAAUCCUAAGCAUAGCACAAAGAUCGUGUAGUUCGUUUGCUAGAGCUUUUCCAAUGUUAAAUAUCAUUUCCUUAGACCAUGAGAUCGUGUAACUUCCGGAUGCCAUAGGAGUGCUUUGGGUGUACCAAACGUCACAACAUAACUAGGUGACUAUAAAGGUACACUACAGGUAUCUCUGAAAGUGUCUGUUGGGUUGACACGGAUCGAGACUGGGAUUUGUCACUCCGUAUGACGGAGAGGUAUCUCUGGGCCCACUCGGUAAUGCAUCAUCAUAAUGAGCUCAAAGUGACCAAGUGGUUGGUCACGGGAUCAUGCAUUACGGUACGAGUAAAGUGACUUGCCAGUAACGAGAUUGAACAAGGUAUUGGGAUACCGACGAUCGAAUCUCGGGCAAGUAACGUACCGAUUGACAAAGGGAAUUGUAUACGGGAUUGAUUGAAUCCUCGACAUCGUGGUUCAUCCGAUGAGAUCAUCAUGGAACAUGUGGGAGCCAACAUGGGUAUCCAGAUCCCGCUGUUGGUUAUUGACCAGAGAGUCGUCUCGGUCAUGUCUGCAUGUCUCCCGAACCCGUAGGGUCUACACACUUAAGGUUCGGUGACGCUAGGGUUGUAGAGAUAUUAGUAUGCGGUAACCCGAAAGUUGUUCGGAGUCUCGGAUGAGAUCGCAGAUGUCACGAGGAGUUCCGGAGUGGUCCGGAGGUGAAGAAUUAUAUAUAGGAAGUCCAGUUUCGUCCACCGGGAAAGUUUCGGGGGUCACCGGUAUUGUACCGGGACCACCGGAAGGGUCCCGGGGGUCCACCGGGUGGGGCCACCUAUCCCGGAAGGGCCCCAUGGGCUGAAGUGGGAGGGGAACCAGCCCCUGGUGGGCUGGUGCGCCCCCCCCUUGGGCCUCCCCUGCGCCUAGGGUUGGAAACCCUAGGGGUGGGGGCGCCCCCCACUUGGCUUGGGGGGGAAGCCACCCCUUGGCCACCGCCCCCCUGGAGAUUGGAUCUCCCAGGGGCCGGCGCCCCCCCAGGGCCCCUAUAUAUAGUGGAGGGGAGGGCAGCAGUACCACAGCCCCUAUAUAUAGUGGAGGGGAGGGAGGGCAGCAGUACCACAGCCCUGGCGCCUCCCUCUCCCUCCCGUGACACCUCUCCCUCUCGCUGAGCUUGGCGAAGCCCUGCCGAGAUCCCUGCUACUUCCACCACCACGUCGUCGUGCUGCUGGAUCUCCAUCAACCUCUCCUUCCCCCUUGCUGGAUCAAGAAGGAGGAGACGUCGCUGCUCCGUACGUGUGUUGAACGCGGAGGUGCCGUCCGUUCGGCGCUCGGUCAUCGGUGAUUUGGAUCACGACGAGUACGACUCCAUCAACCCCAUUCACUUGAACGCUUCCGCUCGCGAUCUACAAGGGUAUGUAGAUGCACUCCUAUCUCUCGUUGCUAGAUGACUCCAUAGAUUGAUCUUGGUGAUGCGUAGAUUUUUUUAUUUCUACUACGAUCCCCAACAACUGCCGCGUACUUGGGGAACUAAGUCAGAUACCACGGUAGUACCGCUUACUAGAAACGGUACUACCAUGGGCCCUUGCGGUACUACCGCACCAGCGGGCGGUACUACCGCAAGGUCCUGCGGUACUACCGCUCUAAGGAGCAGUACUACCGCACGCCCUAGUUCAGCAAGCAAGAGCAAUAUUUGCAUAGACAAGGAAAACAUAGGAUACUCCAAAGGCUAGAGGAAAGGAGGUGCAAAGGAAGAUGUGUACGUGAUGAAUCCACCCAACCUUUCCAACGCGGACCCCCUCUUAAUAGUACGGCUUCCCUACGACUCAAUACCACCGAAAAGAAACGAAGAGAAACGCCGUCUUCCAUAGCCUUCGAGGGGAACCAAAUCAUCUUGUGCCUAGUCAAUAUAUAUGAAAUAUUCGAUGCACAUGAUUAGUCCGCAAAAGCACUGUCAUCAAUCACCACAACCAACUAAGGGAUAAAAAUGCCCUUAAAAUCUCCCCCUUUUUGGUGGAUUGAUGACAACACGGGAUUUGCACGAGGGUAUAACGCAAAGAGCAAGGGCAAAACCCAAGUCUCUAAAAUAUAGACGGGCUCCCCCUAGAUGUGUGCUAUCUCGAUGAGUGCUUUGGACUGCACGGCACACAUACUAGGAUCAACACUCCCCAUAUAUUUUAUAGACAUGACAAAUCUUGCAAUAAGGCUAAAGCUAAGCAAGAUAGACAGGAGCAUAAUGUAAUAAGCACAAGAUAGAAUAAGCUCACUACGAUACGAUAGAGUGCAUAUGUCUUACACCAUAUGAUAGAAGGUCUCAUGAGCACAAACCAAAGCAAACCAAAGCAAACGAAAUAAACGAAGUUCAACUGACCCAAACACGACACAACUCGCAAAUCCUACACUCUCUCCCCCUUUGGCAUCGAGACACCAAAAAGGCAGAGAGGACACCUACAACAAUAGUGGUGGCUCAAGCGGAGUAGUCACUUGCACACUCCCCAUCAGACUCUGCAGCUGGGACGAACUCCUCCUCAGACUCGGUCCACCGAUAACCCUGCUUGCGCAUCCAUUCUGCCUCUAGGGUGAUGUGCACCUCUGACCCGCUAGAUAUGUUCUCGCCAAAGGUCCUGAAAAUCCGCUUGUCGCGGCGGUGAGUCUCCUUGGAAGCCACAUGGGUCUGGUACUGCCCCUUUGCCUGCAUACAGAACAAAACCUUCAUCUUGUUCUUCGGUCGCUUAGCCCUAGAAGGCUCAGAGGUGGGAGGGAUGUAACCCUCAGAGCUGUCCUCGUCUGCUGCCUCCUCCUCAUCUUCAUUUGCAUCCACGUGAAGGAAAUAUGCCCUAGAGGCAAUAAUAAAGUAUUAUUUAUUUCCUUAUAUCAUGAUAAAUGUUUAUUAUUCAUGCUAGAAUUGUAUUAACCGGAAACAUAAUACAUGUGUGAAUACAUAGACAAACAGAGUGUCACUAGUAUGCCUCUACUUGACUAGCUCGUUAAUCAAAGAUGGUUAUGUUUCCUAGCCAUAGACAUGAGUUGUCAUUUGAUUAACGGGAUCACCUCAUUAGGAGAAUGACGUGAUUGACUUGACCCAUUCCGUUAGCUUAGCACUCGAUCGUUUAGUAUGUUGCUAUUGCUUUCUUCAUGACUUAUACAUGUUCCUAUGACUAUGAGAUUAUGCAACUCCCGUUUACCGGAGGAACACUUUGUGUGCUACCAAACGUCACAACGUAACUGGGUGAUUAUAAAGGUGCUCUACAGGUGCUUCCAAAGGUACUUGUUGGGUUGGCGUAUUUCGAGAUUAGGAUUUGUCACUCCGAUUGUCGGAGAGGUAUCUCUGGGCCCACUCAGUAAUGCACAUCACUAUAAGCCUUGCAAGCAUUGUAACUAAUGAGUUAGUUGCGGGAUGAUGUAUUACGGAAUGAGUAAAGAGACUUGCCGGUAAUGAGAGUGAACUAGGUAUCGAGAUACCGACGAUCGAAUCUCGGGCACGUAACAUACCGAUGACAAAGGGAACAACGUAUGUUGUUAUGCGGUCUGACCGAUAAAGAUCUUCGUAGAAUAUGUGGGAACCAAUAUGAGCAUCCGGGUUCCGCUAUUGGUUAUUGACCGGAGAGGUGUCUCGGUCAUGUCUACAUAGUUCUCGAACCCGUAGGGUCCGCACGCUUAACGUUACGAUGACAGUUAUAUUAUGAGUUUAUAUGUUUUGAUGUACCGAAGGUUGUUCGGAGUCCCGGAUGUGAUCACGGACAUGACGAGGAGUCUCGAAAUGGUCGAGACAUAAAGAAUGAUAUAUUGGACGACUAUAUUCGGACACCGGAAGUGUUCCGGAGAAGUUCGGAGGGGUUACCGGAACCCCCCGGGGAAGUAUUGGGCCUUAGUGGGCCUGAGGGGAGAGAGAGGGCAGCAGCCAGGAGGUGGCGCGCCCCCUCCCAUGAGGAGUCCGAAUUGGACUAGGGGAGGGGGGCGCGGCCCCUCUUUCCCUCUCCCUCUCCCUCUCUUUCCUUCCCCCUCUCUCUUCCUAGUUGGACUAGGAAAGGGGAGUCCUACUCCUACUAGGAGGAGGACUCCCCCCUCUCCUUGGCGCGCCCCAAGGGAAGCCGGCCUCCCCCUUGCUCCUUUAUAUACGGGGGCAGGGGGCACCUCUACACACACAAUUGAUAUACGAUAUUUUAGCCGUGUGCGGUGCCCCCCUCCACCAUAUUACACCUCGAUAAUAUCGUUGCGGAGCUUAGGCGAAGCCCUGCGUCGGUAGAACAUCAUCAUCGUCACCACGCCGUCGUGCUGACGAAACUCUCCCUCAACACUCGGCUGGAUCGGAGUUCGAGGGACGUCAUCGAGCUGAACGUGUGCUGAACUCGGAGGUGCCGUGCGUUCAGUACUUGAUCGGUCGGAUCGUGAAGACGUACGACUACAUCAACCGCGUUGUGUUAACGCUUCCGCCUUCGGUCUACGAGGGUACGUGGACAACACUCUCCCCUCUCGUUGCUAUGCAUCACCAUGAUCUUGCGUGUGCGUAGGAAUUUUUUUGAAAUUACUACGUUCCCCAACAGUGGCAUCCGAGCCUGGUUUUAUGCGUUGAUGCUAUGCACGAGUAGAACACAAGUGAGUUGUGGGCGAUAUAAGUCAUACUGCUUACCAGCAUGUCAUACUUUGGUUCGGCGGUAUUGUGAGAUGAAGCGGCCCGGACCGACAUUACGCGUACGCUUACGCGAGACUGGUUUCACCGUUGCGAGCACUCGUUGCUUAAAGGUGACUGGCGGGUGUCUGUCUCUCUCACUUUAGUUGAACCGAGUGUGGCUAUGCCCGGUCCUUGCGAAGGUUAAAACAUCACCAACUUGACAAACUAUCGUUGUGGUUUUGAUGCGUAGAUAAGAACGGUUCUUGCUAAGCCCGUAGCAGCCACGUAAAACUUGCAACAACAAAGUAGAGGACGUCUAACUUGUUUUUGCAGGGCAUGUUGUGAUGUGAUAUGGUCAAGACAUGAUGCUAUAUUUUAUUGUAUGAGAUGAUCAUGUUUUGUAACCGAGUUAUCGGCAACUGGCAGGAGCCAUAUGGUUGUCGCUUUAUUGUAUGCAAUGCAAUCGCCAUGUAAUAGUUUUACUUUAUCACUAAGCGGUAGCGAUAGUCGUAAAAGCAAUAGUUGGCGAGACGACAACGAUGCUGCGAUGGAGAUCAAGGUGUCGAGCCGGUGACGAUGGUGAUCAUGACGGUGCUUCGGAGAUGGAGAUCACAAGCACAAGAUGAUGAUGGCCAUAUCAUAUCACUGAUAUUGAUUGCAUGUGAUGUUUAUCUUUUAUGCAUCUUAUCUUGCUUUGAUUGACGGUAGCAUUAUAAGAUGAUCUCUCACUAAAAUUUCAAGAUAAAAGUGUUCUCCCUGAGUAUGCACCGUUGCGAAAGUUCUUCGUGCUGAGACACCACGUGAUGAUCGGGUGUGAUAGGCUCUACGUUCAAAUACAACGGGUGCAAAACAGUUGCACACACGGAAUACUCAGGUUAAACUUGACGAGCCUAGCAUAUGCAGAUAUGGCCUCGGAAUACGGAGACCGAAAGGUCGAGCGUGAAUCAUAUAGUAGAUAUGAUCAACAUAGUGAUGUUCACCAUUGAAACUACUCCAUCUCACGUGAUGAUCGGACAUGGUUUAGUUGAUUUGGAUCACGUAAUCACUUAGAUGAUUAGAGGGAUGUCUAUCUAAGUGGGAGUUCUUAAGUAAUAUGAUUAAUUGAACUUGAAUUUAUCAUGAACUUAGUACCUGAUAGUAUCUUGCUUGUCUAUGUUAAUUGUAGAUAAAUGGCCCGUGCUGUUGUUCCGUUGAAUUUUAAAUGUGUUCCUUGAGAAAGCAAAGUUGAAAGAUGAUGGUAGCAAUUACACUGGGUCCGUAACUUGAGGAUUAUCCUCAUUGAUGCACAGAAGAAUUACGUCCUGGAAGCACCGCUAGGUGCCAGGCCUCCUGCAAGAGCAACACGAGAAGUUAUGAACGUCUGGCAGAGCAAAGCUGAUGACUACUCGAUAGUUCAGUGUGCCAUGCUUUACGGCUUAGAACCGGGUCUUCAACGACGUUUUGAACGUCAUGGAGCAUAUGAGAUGUUCCAGGAGUUGAAUUUAAUAUUUCAAGCAAAUGCCCGGAUUGAGAGAUAUGAAGUCUCCAAUAAAGUUCUACAGCUGCAAGAUGGAAGAGAAUAGUUCUGUCAGUGAGCAUAUACUCAAAAUGUCUGGGUAUAAUAAUCACUUGAUUCAACUGGGAGUUAAUCUUCCGGAUGAUAGCGUCAUUGACAGAAUUCUUCAAUCACCGCCACCAAGCUACAAGAGCUUCGUGAUGAACUAUAACAUGCAAGGGAUGAAUAAGACAAUUCCCGAGCUCUUCGCAAUGCUAAAGGCAGCGGAGGUAGAAAUCAAAAAGGAGCAUCAAGUGUUGAUGGUCAGUAAAACCACUAGUUUCAAGAAAAAGGGCAAAGGGAAGAAGAAGGGGAACUUCAAGAAAAACAGCAAGCAAGUUGCUGUUCAGGAGAAGAAACCCAAGUCUGGACCUAAGCCUGAAACUGAGUGCUUCUAGUGCAAGCAGACUGGUCACUGGAAGCGGAACUGCCCCAAGUAUUUGGCGGAUAAGAAGGAUGGCAAGGUUAACAAAGGUAUAUGUGAUAUACAUGUUAUUGAUGUGUACCUUACUAAUGCUCGCAGUAGCACCUGGGUAUUUGAUACUGGUUCUGUUGCUAAUAUUUGUAACUCGAAACAGGGGCUACGGAUUAAGCGAAGAUUGGCUAAGGACGAGGUGACGAUGCGCGUGGGAAAUGGUUCCAAAGUCGAUGUGAUCGCGGUCGGCACGCUACCUCUACAUCUACCUUCGGGAUUAGUUUUAGACCUAAAUAAUUGUUAUUUGGUGCCAGCGUUGAGCAUGAACAUUAUAUCUGGAUCUUGUUUAAUGCAAGACGGUUAUUCAUUUAAAUCAGAGAAUAAUGGUUGUUCUAUUUAUAUGAAUAAUAUCUUUUAUGGUCAUGCACCCUUGAAGAGUGGUCUAUUUUUAAUGAAUCUCGAUAGUAGUGACACACAUAUUCAUAAUGUCGAAGCCAAAAGAUGCAGAGUUGAUAAUGACAGUGCAACUUAUUUGUGGCACUGCCGUUUAGGUUAUAUCGGUGUAAAGCGCAUGAAGAAACUCCAUACUGAUGGACUUUUGGAAUCACUUGAUUAUGAAUCACUUGGUACUUGCGAACCGUGCCUCAUGGGCAAGAUGACUAAAACACCGUUCUCCGGAACUAUGGAGAGAGCAACAUAUUUAUUGGAAAUCAUACAUACAGAUGUAUGUGGUCCGAUGAAUAUUGAAGCUCGUGGCGGAUAUCGUUAUUUUCUCACCUUCACAGAUGAUUUGAGCAGAUAUGGGUAUAUCUACUUAAUGAAACAUAAGUCUGAAACAUUUGAAAAGUUCAAAGAAUUUCAGAGCGAAGUUGAAAAUCAUCGUAACAAGAAAAUAAAGUUUCUACGAUCAGAUCGUGGAGCAGAAUAUUUGAGUUACGAGUUUGGCCUACAUUUGAAACAAUGCGGAAUAGUUUCGCAACUCACGCCACCCGGAACACCAUAGCGUAAUGGUGUGUCCGAACGUCGUAAUCGUACUUUACUAGAUAUGGUGCGAUCUAUGAUGUCUCUCACUGAUUUACCACUAUCGUUUUGGGGUUAUGCUUUAGAGACGACUGCAUUCACUCUAAAUAGGGCACCAUCAAAAUCCGUUGAAUCGACACCUUAUGAACUAUGGUUUGGCAAGAAACCAAAGUUGUCGUAUCUUAAAGUUUGGGGUUGCGAUGCUUAUGUGAAGAAACUUCAACCUGAUAAGCUCGAACCUAAAUCGGAGAAAUGUGUCUUCAUAGGAUACCCAAAGGAGACUGUUGGGUACACCUUCUAUCACAGAUCCGAAGGCAAGACAUUCGUUGCUAAGAAUGGAUCCUUUCUAGAGAAGGAGUUUCUCUCGAAAGAAGUGAGUGGGAGGAAAGUAGAACUUGAUGAGGUAACUGUACCUGCUCCCUUAUUGGAAAGUAGAUCAUCACAGAAACCAGUUUCUGCGACACCUACACCAAUUAGUGGGGAAGUUAAUGAUAAUGAUCAUGAAACUUCAGAUCAAGUUGUUACUGAACCUCGUAGAUCAACCAGAUUAAGAUCCGCACCAGAGUGGUAUGGUAAUCCUGUUCUGGAGGUUAUGUUACUAGACCAUGACGAACCUACGAACUAUGAAGAAGCGAUGGUGAGCCCAGAUUCCGCAAAAUGGCUUGAAGCCAUGAAAUCCGAGAUGGGAUCCAUGUAUGAGAACAAAGUAUGGACUUUGGUUGACUUGCCCGAUGAUCGGCAAGCCAUUGAAAAUAAAUGGAUCUUCAAGAAAAAGACUGACGCUGACGGUAAUGUUACUGUCUAUAAAGCUCGACUUGUUGCAAAAGGUUUUCGACAAGUUCAAGGGAUUGACUACGAUGAGACCUUCUCACCCAUAGCGAUGCUUAAGUCAGUCCGAAUCAUGUUAGCAAUUGCCGCAUUUUAUGAUUAUGAAAUUUGGCAAAUGGAUGUCAAAACUGCAUUCCUGAAUGGAUUUCUGGAAGAAGAGUUGUAUAUGAUGCAACCGGAAGGUUUUGUCGAUCCAAAGGGAGCUAACAAAGUGUGCAAGCUCCAGCGAUCCAUUUAUGGACUGGUGCAAGCCUCUCGGAGUUGGAAUAAACGCUUUGAUAGUGUGAUCAAAGCAUUUGGUUUUAUACAGACUUUUGGAGAAGCCUGUAUUUACAAGAAAGUGAGUGGGAGCUCAGUAGCAUUUCUGAUAUUAUAUGUGGAUGACAUAUUGCUGAUUGGAAAUGAUAUAGAAUUUCUGGAUAGCAUAAAGGGAUACUUGAAUAAGAGUUUUUCAAUGAAAGACCUCGGUGAAGCUGCAUAUAUAUUAGGCAUUAAGAUCUAUAGAGAUAGAUCAAGACGCUUAAUUGGACUUUCACAAAGCACAUACCUUGACAAAGUUUUGAAGAAGUUCAAAAUGGAUCAAGCAAAGAAAGGGUUCUUGCCUGUACUACAAGGUGUGAGAUUGAGUAAGACUCAAUGCCCGACCACUGCAGAAGAUAGAGAGAAGAUGAAAGAUGUUCCCUAUGCUUCAGCCAUAGGCUCUAUCAUGUAUGCAAUGCUAUGUACCAGACCUGAUGUGUGCCUUGCUAUAAGUUUAGCAGGGAGGUACCAAAGUAAUCCAGGAGUGGAUCACUGGACAAUGGUCAAGAACAUCCUGAAAUACCUGAAAAGGACUAAGGAUAUGUUUCUUGUUUAUGGAGGUGACAAAGAGCUCAUCGUAAGUGGUUACGUUGAUGCAAGCUUUGACACUGAUCCGGACGAUUCUAAAUCGCAAACCGGAUACGUAUUUACAUUGAACGGUGGAGCUGUCAGUUGGUGCAGUUCUAAGCAAAGUGUCGUGGCGGGAUCUACGUGUGAAGCAGAGUACAUAGCUGCUUCGGAAGCAGCAAAUGAAGGAGUCUGGAUGAAGGAGUUCAUAUCCGAUCUAGGUGUCAUACCUAGUGCAUCGGGACCAAUGAAAAUCUUUUGUGACAAUACUGGUGCAAUUGCCUUAGCAAAGGAAUCCAGAUUUCACAAGAGAACCAAGCACAUCAAAAGAUGCUUCAAUUCCAUCCGGGAUUUAGUCCAGGUGGGAGACAUAGAAAUUUGCAAGAUACAUACGGAUCUGAAUGUUGCAGACCCGUUGACUAAGCCUCUUCCACGAGCAAAACAUGAUCAGCACCAAGACUCCAUGGGUGUAAGAAUCAUUACUGUGUAAUCUAGAUUAUUGACUCUAGUGCAAGUGGGAGACUGAAGGAAAUAUGCCCUAGAGGCAAUAAUAAAGUAUUAUUUAUUUCCUUAUAUCAUGAUAAAUGUUUAUUAUUCAUGCUAGAAUUGUAUUAACCGGAAACAUAAUACAUGUGUGAAUAGAUAGACAAACAGAGUGUCACUAGUAUGCCUCUACUUGACUAGCUCGUUAAUCAAAGAUGGUUAUGUUUCCUAGCCAUAGACAUGAGUUGUUAUUUGAUUAACGGGAUCACCUCAUUAGGAGAAUGACGUGAUUGACUUGACCCAUUCCGUUAGCUUAGCACUCGAUCGUUUAGUAUGUUGCUAUUGCUUUCUUCAUGGCUUAUACAUGUUCCUAUGACUAUGAGAUUAUGCAACUCCCGUUUACCGGAGGAACACUUUGUGUGCUACCAAACGUCACAACGUAAUUGGGUGAUUAUAAAGGUGCUCUACAGGUGCUUCCAAAGGUACUUGUUGGGUUGGCGUAUUUCGAGAUUAGGAUUUGUCACUCCGAUUGUCGGAGAGGUAUCUCUGGGCCCACUCAGUAAUGCACAUCACUAUAAGCCUUGCAAGCAUUGUAACUAAUGAGUUAGUUGCAGGAUGAUGUAUUACGGAACAAGUAAAGAGACUUGCCGGUAACGAGAUUGAACUAGGUAUCGAGAUACCGACGAUCGAAUCUUGGGCAAGUAACAUACCGAUGACAAAGGGAACAACGUAUGUUGUUAUGCGGUCUGACCGAUAAAGAUCUUCGUAGAAUAUGUGGGAACCAAUAUGAGCAUCCAGGUUCCGCUAUUGGUUAUUGACCGGAGAGGUGUCUCGGUCAUCUCUACAUAGUUCUCGAACCCGUAGGGUCCGCACGCUUAACGUUACGAUGACAGUUAUAUUAUGAGUUUAUAUGUUUUGAUGUACCGAAGGUUGUUCGGAGUCCCGGAUGUGAUCACGGACAUGACGAGGAGUCUCGAAAUGGUUGAGACAUAAAGAAUGAUAUAUUGGACGACUAUAUUCGGACACCGGAAGUGUUCCGGAGAAGUUUCGGAUAAAACCGGAGUGCCGGAGGGGUUACCGGAACCCCCCGGGGAAGUAUUGGGCCUUAGUGGGCCUGAGGGGAGAGAGAGGGCAGCAGCCAGGAGGUGGCGCGCCCCCUCCCAUGAGUAGUCCGAAUUGGACUAGGGGAGGGGGGCGCGGCCCCUCUUUCCCUCUCCCUCUCCCUCUCUUUCCUUCCCCCUCUCUCUUCCUAGUUGGACUAGGAAAGGGGAGUCCUACUCCUACUAGGAGGAGGACUCCCCCCUCUCCUUGGCGCGCCCCAAGGGCAGCCGGCCUCCCCCCUUGCUCCUUUAUAUACGGGGGCAGGGGGGCACCUCUACACACACAAUUGAUAUACGAUAUUUUAGCCGUGUGCGGUGCCCCCCUCCACCAUAUUACACCUCGAUAAUAUCGUUGCGGAGCUUAGGCGAAGCCCUGCGUCGGUAGAACAUCAUCAUCGUCACCACGCCGUCGUGCUGACGAAACUCUCCCUCAACACUCGGCUGGAUCGGAGUUCGAGGGACGUCAUCGAGCUGAACGUGUGCUGAACUCGGAGGUGCCGUGCGUUCGGUACUUGAUCGGUCGGAUCGUGAAGACGUACGACUACAUCAACCGCGUUGUGUUAACGCUUCCGCUUUCGGUCUACGAGGGUACGUGGACAACACUCUGCCCUCUCAUUGCUAUGCAUCACCAUGAUCUUGCGUGUGCGUAGGAAUUUUUUUGAAAUUACUACAUUCCCCAACACCACGUCCAUGGCAGCCACAGUAUCAUCACGAGAGGUAGUGUUGGCCCACUGAGGCUUGAUACGGAGGUUGAUGGGCUCAUGCCGGAUCCAACCAGGGGCCUCAAACUCAUCCUGAGGGUAGACCCGCUCCCAAGUAGCCGAGAUCAACUGAAACAGAUAAGGUCCAUAGAUGGGGACCUUGCGGUUGUAGACCGCAAACCGAAGCUCAUGCCACAUGAUAUGUGAGACAUCAAGUGGUAGUGUCUGAGAGUUGCGAGCAUCUUCACACAGGAGCAUCAUAUCCACAAGAUAGGCAUGCACCUUGUCCUUGUCCCCAAUGCGUGGGAAGAGAGUGUUGCGGAAGAUCCGAUGCAUGAUGUCAAGAAAGGAGUUGAGUACCCAAGAUGACUUGCCAUUGGAGAGCUUCUUCUCCACAUAGAAGGGCAUAAGCUUGUUCUUGUUGGCAGACUCGGGAUUGGCAUGAGGGCGAACACCUUGGGGUGUGGCGAGCCCCUCAUCCGGAACCCCAAGCAAAGUCAUGAAUUCCUUCCAAGUAGCAGUCAGCUGCCGACCAUUGGUCAUCCAAGUCAUGGUCCUUUCCUCAUUGGGAUGAAAAUGCACUGAGGCAAAGAACUGAGCAAGGAUCUCAGGAUCAUAGUCUUCGUGGAAUGAGAUGAUAUGCUCAAUGCCAAAUUGCUCCACUAGGUCUAAAGCCUCACCAAAGUAUUCCCGGUGCGCCUCUUUUCGCAUGCGAUGCAUGUUGAUCCACUUCACCUCCACAUAGGUGUUUUGCUUGGCCUUGAUGACAUCCAGAUAAAUGAGAUUCUGCUGCUUGGUCCAGAAUAGCUCAUUCCCUCAAAAGUUGGCACGAGGGUUUCCAUAUGGAUUGAUCUUCCUCCGAGAGAUGAACUCAGCAAGCGGUAUCUCAUCCAUACCCAUGGCGGGUUCCUUCUCUUUGGUGGCGGUGGUCUUGGUUCUGCGUUGGGGGGCAUUAAUGGAGCCCUCUGCUACCUCUGUGUUGCGCAUACGCUUGGAUCUCGUGUCACGGCUUGGAUUGGAGCGGCGAGCCGGAGCACCUGAGCCACCACAUAAAACACACACCACAAAACAACCACGCACGAAACGCGAGAAGGAUCAAUGCAAAGACCACAACAAAGCAGGUAAAACAAGUAGACAUGGCACGUGAGAAGUGCCACAAGAGGGAUUUGAGACAACAGUAGUAUCGUGUGUUGCGCCACGUGCGGUAGUACAACUCCAAGGAGCGGUAGUACCGUAGACGCGGUAGUACCGCACCAGCAGGGCGGUAGUACUGGACGUGCGGUAGUACCGCACCUAAAGAGCGGUAGUACCGCAUGGUUGCAGAUAUGAAACAGCCACGGAGAUCUGAGCACAAUCGUGUCAACACGCGGUACUACGGUCGAUCAAAUCCAUCACGGGACAACUAUAGCAAGUACCAUCACUACACAAAACUACUCUCCUACGUCCUACUCUUGUAGAGAUUUGGCCUAAAAUCUCAAGAACAACUUGCAUCUCCCCAAAACCUAAAAGCAACAAGACGAACAAGAAAAAGGGAGGGAUUGGGGAGAAACCUUGUUCCAUGGCAAGAGGGAGUGGUGGGGAACGAUCCCACCGGUCGGAAUCCGAGGAGAGCGGCCGGAGAUGGAGAUCCGGAGAGGACCUCUGGCGCCGUUCUUGAGCAAGAGAGAGAGAGAGAGACGGAGUGGGGAGAGAGACGAAUGGGUAUGGGGGAGUUAGAACUCCCCCUGCCCGUGUUUAACCCCCCACUCGCCCUCGACCGCACGGUAGUACCGCACGUCAUCGCGGUACUACCGCCCCGGGAGGAAGUACCGCACCGUGACUUUAGUACCGCUCCCCCAGGCGGCAGUAAAAAAUUACUGCCGCGCUGGGUGCGGAAGUACCAUGCGCUCCUCACGCGGUAGUACCGCACGUCAUUGUGGUAGUACCUCCCGGGCGGAAGUACCGCACCGAGGCCAUAGUACCGCUCCCCCAGGCGGCAGUAAAAAAUUACUGCCGCGCUGGGUGCGGAAGUACUGCCCCCCCUUUGCGGUAGUACCGUGGCAGGCCGCGGUAGUACCGUGAGCUCAAGAAAAGACAGUUUCAACCAAAAGAGAGAACACCGAAGCAUGGAACCUUCAAGCGAGAGACCACACCAAAGAGCUAACACACUGGACACCAUAAGCACAAGCUCGACACGAAGGAAGAGAGGCAAGAGACAACACAGACCUAAAACGAGACACAAACUCUCCAAGGAGAGGGUGGUGGCCGGAGCCACCUAUGUUUGAGUCAAUUGGUAUGGCACCGCGAAGAAUUAUCCUUGGGCCCAUGACCAAAACUCGUCUUUGAAGCACAAGUACCAUAAAAAAUGGCUAAUGUGAAAGAGUUGAUCACUUUAUGCAUAAUGGGGGGAGGGAGAGUUCAUUGAGAGAACAACACUCCCCCUAUGUCCAUGCCUACACCUAGAUUAGACAACAAGUUGAGUGUGGUGGGGUGUGCAAGGGUUCAAGCAACAUUGCUCGAAUCAAUGAUAUUUAGCUCAUGCCUUAACUCGCGAAAUCUUGCUUCAUCCAAACGCUUCGUGAAAAUAUCUGCAAGGUUAUCAUGGGUGUUGACGUAGUUGAGCUCGAUCUCCCCUCGCCUAAUGUGAUCUUGGAUGAAGUGAUACCGAAUCUCAAUAUGCUUCGUCUUGAAGUGUUGCACGGGGUUGAGAGAAAUCUUGAUGGCACUUUCAUUAUCACACCAAAGAGGCACUUUGUCACAAAUGACACCGUAAUCCUUUAAAGUUUGCCUCAUCCAUAAGAGUUGUGCACAACAACUUCCGGCCGCCACAUACUCCGCUUCGGUGGACGAGAGAGACACACAACUUUGCUUUUUAGAAGACCAACUUACCGAAGAGCAACCAAGGAAUUGGCACCCUCCGGAAGUGGACUUCCUAUCCACUUUGUCUCCCGCCCAAUCGGAGUCCGAAUACCCUACAAGCUUGAAGUUUGCUCCUCUUGGGUACCAUAAGCCAAAGUUUGGGGUAUGAGCCAAAUAUCGAAAGAUUCGCUUGAACGCCACAAAGUGGCUUUCCUUAGGUGCGGCUUGAAACCGUGCACAAAUUCCCACACUCAACAUGAUAUCCGGUCUAGAUGCACAAAGGUAAAGCAAGGAACCAAUCAUGCAGCGAUAUACCUUUUGAUCCACCACUUUACCAUUGGGAUCGAUGUCAAGUUGGCACUUGGUGGGCAUUGGAGUGGACGCCGGCUUGACAUCACUUAGCUUGAAUCUCUUGAGCAUGUCUUGAGUGUAUUUGGCUUGGUUGAUGAAGGUUCCUUCUCUUCUUUGCUUUACUUCGAAACCGAGAAAGAACUUCAACUCUCCCAUGGAAGACAUCUUGAACUUUGAGGUCAGGAGUGCGGCAAAUUCCUCAUUGAAAGCUUUGUUAGGGGAACCAAAGAUAAUGUCAUCAACAUAUAGUUGGCACACAAACAACUCCCCUUUGACCUUCUUAGUAAAAAAAGUGGGGUCGAUUAGCCCAACUUCAAACCCACGAUCUUGUAACAACUCGGUAAGGUUGUCAUACCACGCACGUGGGGCUGGUUUAAGACCAUAGAGUGCCUUAUCGAGUUGAUACACAUGAUCGGGAAAGUAGGGAUCCUCGAACCCGGGGGGUUGUUUGACAUGAACCAACUCAUUAAUAGGACCAUUAAGAAAAGCAAUCUUCACAUCCAUUUGUUGCAACUUAAAGUUGUGAUGAGAAGCAUAAGCAAUCAACAAACGAAUAUAUUCAAGGCGAGCAACGGGAGCAAAGGUUUCACCGUAGUCAAUACCCUCGACUUGGGAGUAGCCUUGUGCCACCAAUCGUGCCUUGUUGCAGAUGAUGGUCCCAUGAGCAUCUUGCUUGUUCUUGAAUAUCCACUUGGUUCCAAUGACAUUGUGGUUCCUCAUUGGCCUUGGCACUAAUCUCCACACCUUGUUGUACUCGAAGUUGUUGAGUUCUUCAUGCAUGGCAUUAAGCCAAUCCGGAUCUUCGAGUGCUUCAUAUACCUUUUGGGGUUCAACACAAGAGACAAACGCGUGAUGUUCACAAUAGUUUGCCAAUUGUCUACGAGUGCUUACCCCCUUUUGAAUGCUUCCAAGCACAUUCUUCAUGAGAUGACCCUUGGUGGAGAGCUUGGAUGCAAUCUUGGCGGCACGACGCUCCAAUUCCUCCUCGGUGGUGAGUUGAGGAGCGGUCACUUGAUCAUCUUGAGCGCCGUCUUGAGCUUGUUCUUGAUCUUGAACUUGCUCGGAGGAGAGAACUUGACCUUGGGCAUCAAUUGGUGUGUCAGCACCGUCUUGAGCAUGAUCUUGCCCUUGGUCUUGUUCAUGAGGUUGAGGGCCUUCACUUUGUUCUUCGGAAGCGUGUGGGCCUUGGGUUGGUGAUGGCUCCACUUCAGUGGAGCAUUGUCCUUCUCCUUCGGCCACAAGGGGUUCCUCAAUGGGUAGGAUAAAACCAACACCCAUUCUUCUUAUGGCUUGAGGAGGAAUUUCAUCACCUACAUCACAAGUGCCACUUUGCUCCACUUGGGAGCCGUUAUUCUCAUCAAACUCCACGUUACACGUCUGCUCAAUAAGUCCCGUGGAUUUAUUGAGGACACGGUAAGCAUGAGAGUUUGUAGCAUAACCAACAAAUAUGCCCUCAUAAGCUCUAGCCUCAAAUUUAGACAACCGAACACCUUUCUUGAGAAUGAAACACUUACACCCGAACACCCGAAAGUACUUGAGGUUGGGCUUGUUACCGGUGAGUAUCUCAUAUGGAGUCUUGUUCAAGCCCUUGCGGAGGUAGAGCCGAUUGGAUGCAUGACACGCGGUGUUGAUGGCUUCGGCCCAAAAGUUGUAUGGAGACUUGAACUCCGCCAUCAUGGUCCUUGCCACAUCCAUCAACGUCCGGUUCUUCCUCUCCGCAACACCGUUUUGUUGAGGGGUGUAAGGUGCGGAAUAUUGAUGCUUGAUCCCCUCAUCACUAAGAAACUCAUCCAAGGUGUAGUUCUUGAACUCGGUGCCGUUGUCACUUCUUAUUGUCAAGAUCUUUGCAUUGUGUUGACGUUGGGCUUCAUUUGCAAAGUCAAUGACGGUUUGUUGGGUCUCGCUCUUCCUCUUGAAGAAAUACACCCAAGUGUAUCUUGAAUAGUCAUCCACAAUCACCGAGCAAUACUUCCUACCCCAAGACUAUCAAAGGAUGGAGGCCCAAAGAGAUCCAAGUGAAGGAGCUCCAAAGGCCUCUUCGAGUAAAUGAUAGUCGUGGGAGGGUGAGCCUUCUCAUGUAGCUUUCCUUCGAUACAAGCACUGCAAGCACGAUCUUUAGCAAAACUAACAUUCAUUAGUCCACGGACAUGGUCCCCCUUGAGAAGACUUUGCAAAGAUCUCAUAUUGACAUGGGCUAAACGGCGAUGCCAAAGCCAUCCCACGUCAACUUUAGCCAUUAGGCAUGUCGCGGUCUUAGUGGGUCGCUCCAAAAAGUUAAUCACAUAGAGACCGUUCUCGACAUGCCCAACAAAGGCUACUUUAAGAGUCUUGCUCCACAAGAGGGCCAUGGUAUCAAUAUCAAAGAAAGUGGCAAAGCCCAUGAUUGCAAGUUGACGAACGGAAAGUAAAUUGUAUGCAAGGGACUCAACAAGCAUGACCUUCUCGAUCGUGAGAUCAUGAGAAAUGACAACUUUGCCGAGUCCCAAUACCUUAGAAGAUGAGGCAUCACCCCACUCGACAUUGGUGGGCAUAGAUGGAAUCUUGUGCACGUCCACCACCAAGUCCUUGCUUCCGGUCAUAUGAUUUGUAGCUCCACUAUCGAGCAACCAUGAUCCCCCACCGGAAGCAAACACCUACAAGAGAUCAAUGCUUGGUUUUAGGUACCCAUUUUGUAAUGGGUCCUUUGAUGUUAGUAACAAGGGUCUUAGGAACCCAAAUAGACCAUUCAAUAUACUCAUGAGGAGAACCAACAAAUUUGGCAUAAACAUGCCCAUCACUAGCACGGCAUAACACAUAAGAAGGAUUAAAGUCGCCGGCUUUGUUGGAAGGGGUGGCAUUGCCCUUCUUGACACCGCCACCCUUCGCAUUGUUCUUCUUCUCCUUGGAAGCACCCUCUCCCUCCUUCACAAAAGUUUACUUGAGAGGAGGAGGUCGUUUAGUCUUGUCAUUCUUCUUCUUGUUCUUGGGCUUGGGUGCGAACCCAAUCCCCUCCUUGGCCACAACUUUCUUUUGAUUGCUCAAAAGGUCGUUGAGGUUCUUCUCACCUUGUAUGCAUGACACAAGGCCUUUCUCAAGUUGCUCCUUCAACUUAGCAUUCUCCUCAACAAGAUGCACAUGCUCACAACAAGGGUUACUAGAAUUUGCAUUAUCAAUUAACACCAUAUGAGGAAAGGUGGAUUUCUCCUUGGUUAGCUUCACUUGGAGUUGAUCAUGAGACUCCUUGACGCUAGCAUGAACACCCUUCAAGACUUUGUGAGCCUUGUCGAGAAUGUCAAACUCCUCUUUGAGUCUAGCAAGAUCAACCCCAAGCUUUGCCUUCUCGGAGUUUAGCACACAAGAAACAACAAGUGCAUGAUCAAGAUCUUUCUUUAACUUAACAUGAUCAUCGUUGUGUGACUCCUCAAGAGCCAAACGAAGACCACGCUCUUCGUCAAGAGCAUUGGAAAGAUCCGAAAUCUCAUCGCCAUAGUCACGACUAUGCCCCUCCAUCUUAGAGAUGGUAUCUUCGUGAGCCUCGAUCAUGUCAUUGGCUUCACCAAGUUGUUCCAAGAGAGCAACAAAGUGCUUCUUGGAUUUACCCUUGAGUUUACCCAUAAAGGUCUCAAACUCAUUCUCCUCCACAUUUGUCCCCUCAUGUUCAUCAAUGCUAUCCGAAGAAGGAUGAUUAAUGAUGGUAGUUUUGAUGUUGGGGGUUACCUUGUUGGUGGCUUUAGCCAUGAGGCACUUGGCGGUGAUGUUCUCAUUGGGUGAGUCAAAGAGAGACACCCGUGGAGUCAUAGCAAUGGCAACGGAGGCCAUGGCAACCGACUCACCAUCUUCCUCAUCGUCAUCAUCCUCAUUGUACUCUUCUUGUACCACCAAUGCCUUGGGAGGAGUCUUCUUGGUGAAGUUGCUCUUGUUGGGGAACGACUUGGCCUUGUCCUUUCGGAUGAGCUUGCCACCAUUGUCUUCCAUCUUCUCAUAAGGGCACUCCAUAACAAAGUGGCUCACAUUGCCACAAUUGAAGCAAGUCCUCACUCGUUGCUUACCCUUUGCGCCACUUGAAUUGUUCUUGUUGAAGUUGGGCCUUGAGUUCUUCUUGCUCCAAAAUUGCCUUGAAGCAAGCGCCAUGUGUUCAUGAUAGGCAUACUUCGUAUCUUCGAGGUUGCUCUCCUCUUCUUCCUCUUCAUCCUCUUCCUCCAUACUAACCUUGGCCUUUAGAGCAAGGUUGGGCUUCUUUACUCUUUGAGUGCGAAGAACCGCAUUGUCAGCGGUCUUGUCCAAGAUGCUCAUAGCAACGAACUCAUCCAACACUUCACUUGAGGACAAGGUGUGGAAGUCCGGCCUUUGACGAAUGACGGAGGACAUGGCUUUGUGGUAGGGCAUCAUUGCCUUGAGGAAUUUGCGCUUGAUCCAAUUGUCAUCCGUGUCCUUACUUCCAUGAUCUCAGAGAGAGACCGCGAGUUUAGUUACUCUCCGAUAAAGCUCACGAGGUUCUUCAUCUUCUUUCAUUGCAAACUCAUCGGCUUCAUCUUGCACCACUUCAUAGUUGGAGCGUUGAAUGCUUGCGCUUCCCCGAUAGAGAGAAACCACUUGGUGCCAAGCAUCUUUGGCCAUGGUGUAGGGCCGGAGAUGAGGAAGAUCUUCGGGUGGGAUUGCUUCUUGGAUGAUGAAGAGAGCAUUCUCAUUGAAUUGAUUAUCCACGGCUUCUCUAGGAGUGAAGUUACUUCGGUCAUGCGGAUAGAAACUUUCUUCAAUGAUUCUCCAAAGGUUAGUGUUCACAUGAUUCAAAUGACGCUUAAAACGAUAGACCCAAGAAUCAAAUUCUACAUUCUUCUCAAUCUUAGGGGCCGAUCCGGCAUGAUUCAAAUGAGUGGAAGGAAGCGGUCCACCAUAGACAAGUGGAGGUUCCACAUGGGCAAAGAUGCCGGUGCCAUUUUUACCAUUAGAAGAAGGAGCUUUCUCGCUAGUAGCUUCCCCCUUGUCGGAGGUAGCAUCCGUCACCUUGUUAGCGGGAUCACCCACUUUCAACGGUGCGGUGGAAAGUUUAAGCCCUUCUAAGAAUUUAUUAAACAUGCUUUCGACCUCGGUCGUCAUGGAGGUUUUCAAUGUGUCCAACGCCACAUUGAAUUCCUCACGAGAGACCGCGAUUCCCCCAUCUCCCGUAGACGAGACCGGAUUCACACCGGAGUGCUCCUCCACACCGUCUACGACGUCAACCAUACUCUUCAGACGGUAAAGUCCUUAAUAAAGAGACGAGGCUCUGAUACCAAUUGAAAGGAUCGAUAUAGUUGACUAGGGGGGUGAAUAGGCAACUAACAAUUUUAAGCUUUUCUUUACCAAUUUAAACUUUGCAUCAAAGUAGGUUGUCUAGAUAUGCAACUAGGUGAGCAACCUAUAUGAUGCAACAACAAUAAGCACACACGCAAGCAAGAGAUAAAGCACAAAUAAGCUUGCACAAGUAAAGGCACGAGAUAACCAAGAGUGGAGCUGGUGAAGACGAGGAUGUGUUACCGAAGUUCCUUCCCUUUGAGAGGAAGUACGUCUCCAUUGGAGCGGUGUGGAGGCACAAUGCUCCCCAAGAAGCCACUAGGGCCACCGUAUUCUCCUCACGCCCUCACACAAUGCGAGAUGCCGUGAUUCCACUAUUGGUGCCCUUGGAGGUGGCGACCGAACCUUUACAAACAAGGUUGGGGCAAUCUCCACAACUUAAUUGGAGGCUCCCAACGAUACCACGAAGCUUCACCACAAUGGACUAUGGCUCCGCGGUGACCUCAACCGUCUAGGGUGCUCAAACACCCAAGAGUAACAAGAUCCACAAGGGAUUAGUGGGGGGAUUCAAAUUUCUCUUGGUGGAAGUGUAGAUCGGGGCCUUCUCAACCAAUCCCUAGAGAAUCAACAAGUUUGAUUGGCUAGGGAAGGAGAUCGGGCGAAAAUGGAGCUUGGAGCAACAAUGGAGCUUGGAGGUGGAAGAGGUGGUCAACUAGAUGAGGAAGACACCCCUUAUAUAGUGGAAGAACAAAUCCAACCGUUAUCCACCAACUCAGCCUGCGCAAUGCGGUACUACCGUACCUGAGGUGCGGUACUACCGCAGGGGCACGCGGUACUACCGCAGGGCCCCGCGGUACUACCGCCCACGCAGCAGAGACCAGAAGAGCCUAAAAUGCACUAAAGCAGAGGGCGGUAGUACUGCUGGCGCGGUACUACCGCAAGGCAGGGGCUGUCCAGAGAUGGGAAGGCACGGAUAUAAAAAAUUACAUCCGUGGCUACUUCCGCAGAGUUGGAGUCGAUGCAAAAACCCGACGCGGUAAUACCGUAAGCCAGCAGCGGUACCACCGCGCGAGGCGCGGAUGUAAAAAAUUACAUCCGCCCCUUACUGUCGCGUACUUGCGGAACUAAGUCAGAUACCACGGUACUACCGCUUACUAGAAGCGGUACUACCGCACCAGCGGGCGGUACUACCGCAAGGUCCUGCGGUACUACCGCUCUAAGGAGCAGUACUACCGCACGCCCUAGUUCAGCAAGCAAGAUCAAUAUUUGUAUAGACAAGGAAAACAUAGGAUACUCCAAAGGCUAGAGGAAAGGAGGUGCAAAGGAAGAUGUGUACGUGAUGAAUCCACCCAACAUUUCCAACGCGGACCCCUCUUAAUAGUACGGCUUCCCUACGACUCAAUACCACCGAAAAGAAACGAAGAGAAACGCCGUCUUCCAUAGCCUUCGAGGGGAACCAAAUCAUCUUGUGCCUAGUCAAUAUAUCUGAAAUAUUCGAUGCACAUGAUUAGUCCGCAAAAGCAUUGUCAUCAAUCACCAAAACCAACUAAGGGAUAAAAAUGCCCUUACAGCUAGCCUAGCUCGCCUAGCGCGCCUCGCUCGCCUCGCUCACAUGCAUGCACGUCGCCGCCUCCCGCGCAUGCAAACCCACGUCACCGCCUCCCAUGCAUGCAAGGCCUGGAAAGGCUGAGACGGGCUAUUUACUGCGGUCUCAGGCCCAGACAACGAGACGGCCCAACGGUCCAUCCAGCGCGCCCGGUAUUUGUUUUAAAAAAACCAAUCUCCCAGCCAAUCAGAUUGCAUCUCGCGGAUCGCCCCCCUCCUCCCCGUAGAUUCCUUCUAGAAGGGUUAGAUCGACGGCCCUUGAUCGCCGCUAGGGUUAGAUGAACGGUCCUUGUUCAGUGCUAGGGUUAGCGGGGUUUGGGAGGGGUUUGGAGCAGUCAAAGCUAUGUUUGACCAGAUUUCAAAUGAGCAUAAUAAAUUAAAUAAAAAUCAGAAAAAUAAAAAACCUGCGCACAUAGUCUUCUUAUGUCAUAUACUAACGAUUUAAGUUGAUAAACAAGGUUUACCUACAUUUAAACGAUAGGUUCAUGUGUAUUGUGUGAUAUCUAGAGUAUCUCAAACUCUCUUGUAUGAAGUGAAGAGAAGUGUUUUGGGGAAAUGAACAUGAAAAUUUCAAAAAACUCACCACAGCUUCAUUUUGGAGUGACUAAGAACGAUCCAGGCUUAGUUUUUCAUUUUGAUAUGUUUUACACUUGUUUAAAUCUUGCUCAAAGUUAAGUUUGACCAGAAUUCAAAUGAGCAAAACAAAUUAAAAAAAAUCAAAAAAUGGAAAAACCAGCGCACAUAGUCUGUAUAUAUAGAAUAUAUGUGUAGGAAAGUUAUUUGGCUGAUUUAGACAAGGUCGAAAAAACCUUGCUUACAAAUGAGGCCGUUUACCCUACCUUUGGACCCCCUCUUUUUAGCACAUUUUUCAUGAAAAUUUCAAAAACCUCACCACAGCUUCAUUUUGGAUUGACUAAGAAGGAUCCAUGCUUAGUUUUUCAUCUUGAUGUUUUAGACUUGUUUAAAUCUUGUCAAAGUUAGGUUUGACCAGAAUUCAAAUGAGCAAAACAAAAUUCAAAAAAAUCAAAAAAAGGAAAAACCAUGUGCUCAUUCAAACAUCAUCCAACAGAUUUAAACUUCAUGUCAAACAUACUUCUAACAUAGGUUCAACAUCAUCCAACAGAAAUACAACAUGUCAAGUGAUAAAUGUUUCAUAAUGUUUCAUAAUACAACAUCAUCCCUUAUUCAUAAUGUUUCAUAAUUAUUCAUAUAUAGCGUUGGGGCUUCUGUCUGUUCCUUGAGCUUCUUGCCUUUGCUCCUCGUGCACCUUGUGCUCAUUGCUUCUUCUCUUCUCCUCUUGGUUGUCGGUACCUUGCGCGUCUUCUUCAAACCUAUCAUAGAGCUGUGCAAAACAUAAAGGGUAAUGAGAUCAUGUCAAGUGAUAAAUGUACAUCAGUAUUUGACCCUUACAAGAUUUACAUACCUAGCAGAACUCACAACAACAGAAGGUUGGUCACCAUUUGGAGCCUCACAUGGAUCAUCAUUUGGAGCCUCACUUGGAUCACCAUGAUCACCAUUUGGAGCCUCACUUGGAUCACCAUGAUCACUAUUUGGAGCCUCGCUAGGAUCACCAUUUGGAGCCUCACUUGAAUCAUUAUUUGGAGGAUAUUUUGGAUCAUCGUCAAAAUCAUGCGGCUGUUGACCAUCAUCAUUUGGAACCUCGUCAAAAUCCUCAUCUGAUGCAACCGGCUGUUGACCAUCAUUUUCAUCAUCUGUUGAGGCAACCGGCUGUUGACCAACAUUUUCAUCGAUGCCUUCAUCGAAACUCUCUCCGAACGCUGGAUCUACUGUGUUAUCACAAUACUUACCGAAAUGACCAGACCCACCACACCUUGUGCACUUACGCUUCCUCGCUCCAAGUCCAGCUCCUUCGCUGCAAGGUCUGAUUCGACUCUUCCUUGGUCUACCUGCUGCUCUCUUCAGAACUGGAGCGCAAAGCUUGAAUCCAGGGUCCACCAUGUCCCAUUGGUGUUUUCCCUCCAUAGCAGGCAAGGCAUAAGCAUAUGUGGCUUUGAACCUUGCAACAGAGUAGUAAUCAUGCACAUACUGCUAUAUGUUCCCUGCUGGACCUGGGAGAGAAGUGAUGAAAAACAAGGCAUGAAUGCAUGGCAACCCAGUUAUCUGCCAUUGCCUACAACAGCAAGUUCUAGCUUCUAAAUCCACUAGAUAUCUCCAUUCCCUCUUCUCUUUAUCCAAAUAUGAUAUCUCUGCUGUGGUACCCGAGCAAAGAGUUAUGUUCAUUUCCAAGCCUGUUGUCUUCUGCUUCAGUUCAUUCAUCACGGCAGGGGUGAUAAUGUGGCCCAUGAAUUUUGCCUCGGCUAUUCCUGCACGAUAAUGAAAUUUCUGCAUGUAUUCUAUCCUUAUCCUGUCAAGCAAAUCCACCACAUAAUGACCAUUUAGUUUCUGGAUCGUUGAGUUGAAAGACUCUGCUAGAUUAUUGUGCACAUAGUCAACUUUGCUCACUUCACUGAAUUAGUUUCUGGCCCAUAACUUGGAGUGGUGUGUUUCCAAGUAUUCUUUCAAUUUGGGAUUCAUGUAUAACUGCCUCAAGUGGUAGUUGUGCUUCUUCACACUGCAAGUCAAAGAUGCUGGCCAUAAAUUGUCGGUAUACACCUUUCCUUUGAAUUUCUUCAUGAAAUUUGCAGCAAGGUGACGCAUGCAUUCCCUAUGCUCUACUCCAGGGAACACAUUGUCCACGGCCACUUCUAAACCUUUGCAGGCAUCUGUAUGAAUGACCAACCCAUUGGGAUGUGCAAUAGCCCGGCGUAGAUUAUGCAAAAACCAAGUCCAGCUCUCCUCAGACUCUGUCUCCAGCACACCGUAGGCAACUAGAAAUACAAAACUGUGUGCAUCAACUGCACAAGCUGCUACUAACUGUCCUUUAAACCUCCCUAUGAGAAAAGUGGCAUCAAUAGCCAAAUAAGGCCUGCAGCCUGCCAAAAAACCCCGGCGACAAGCCUCAAAGCAGACAAAAACCCUCCUAAAGCAUUCCUUGGUCUUUGUCACUCCACUGAAUGUGUACUCCAUGGUGUGGUGAUCAAUAUCUACAAUACUACCUGGGCUUGUCCUCUCCACUUCACCUUUGAAUGAAUACAACAAUUGAAAACUUUCCUGCCAGUUACCAUAAAUAGAAUCCAUAGCAUGUUGUUUACCAUUGAACAACCUCAUGUAUGGUAAAUCUAUCUUGAACUUAUCUUUGAUGUUCUUCUGCAAUUCCUUUGGACCCACUUGCUGGUUUUCUUUCACCCACUUCUUUACUUCUUCUACCACCCAUCUUGACUUGGCUCUACUGAUUGUAUCCUUCCUAAGGGUUGAUUCCUGGCAUGUGUGCUUAAAAGGGUUCACUUUGACCUGAACAUUAGUGCUAUUUCGCAUUUUAGAUGCGGGCAGCCUCCAUGGACAACCCUCAGUCGGACAGUGCACUCUGUAACGUACUUGAUCGCUCUUGUCAACUUUGAAAGUACGUUCUACCUUGAUGCAGUAUGUCACAAGUGCAUUUCUACACUCAUUCAUGGAUGCAAAAAUUGUACCUUCUUCCAUAUGAGGGUUCAAAGGGUCCCAUUCAACAGCUGCAAGGUCUUCGUCCUCACCCACCGCGUCAUCAUCCACACGGACUGCAUUGUGAGCCUCAUCUUGGUUUUCUGUCCGAGGUGCCCAUCGUAAAUUCCGAAUAACAUCAGAAUAUAGCUUCUCUUCAUCAACCCCAUAAUUGUAGUCAUCAGGCUCCACUUCAAGGGGGACCCUACUGCUGUUGCCCAUACUUGUCGAGCCACCACGUCGCCGUGCCCAACUGAACUGUUCUGACUAGAGAUGCCAUUACGACGACUUGGUUCUCCCCGAGAUGUUGCACCCGUCAUCCUAGGUCCAAAUGCCUGCUCAAGCACAUCAACUUGCAACCUCACAUGAAAAUUAUCUUUCUCUUUAUGCCUAACAAACAUGGUAGCUAGCUCUUCAUCAUUACUAACUGUCACCCAUUUCUUUUCCCCAUCAUAGUAUUUGUAUACCACUUCAUCAAGCAAACCUCAAGGAUAUUGGCUACAAAUUACCUCCCCAAAUUGUCUGAAACUCCAAUUACUAGCCAUUGGCAACCGAUAAUCAAAACCUCCUUGGUAUUUCUUCUUAUCCUUUGCAUCGAACAUGUACGGUCCCUUCUAAUGUGCACCAUGAAAGCAAACCGCCACUCCAUCCUAACCGGCGAAAAACAGAGACGCAAUCAGCACACUAAUUGGGCAAACCUACUUGAAUCGAGUGUUCAAAUGCACAACUAAUCUCAAUCUAAACAAGAGGCGAGACUUACCCCUCAGGUACCCAGUCGUGGACGCGGCGGAUCUCCGGCCCGAUGCCUGCCUCGCCAAAUACUCCGGGUCGCCGCUGCUCGCCAUUUCGCCCUAGGGUUCUUCCUCCUAGUUCAAAUAGCUCCAGCAGCCCCCCACCAUUGAGCGCUCCGGCCGGGCGCACGGAAGGAGGCCGCGCCGCGGGUCGAGCAGGUGGCGGGCGCCCCACCCGUGGCGUCGCAGGAAGGUGGCGGGCGUCGCAGGUAGCCGUGGAGCGUAGGCCCAGGACGGUAGCGGCGGAGCAGGCCGUGCAGCUGGUGGCGGGGCAGGUGCUGGCCGCGGCGCAGGUGGCGGCGGCGGCGUCGCAGGACAGCCGGCCGGCGGAUGGGCAGAGUGAGCUAGAAUGAUUUGGGGAUUUAGUUGCACGGGCCUACAUGUUAGCUCCGGACCCACGUCCAUGCGGUCCCACGUGUAAGCUCCGGACCCACAACCACUAACGCCGGCGGACGGAAUGGACUCAAAUAUGGCCGUUUGGCCUCGUCAUAGUUGUUGUGCAUGGACUAGGGGCAAAACUGAGCACAAUUCGCAUCUGAGGGCAAAACUGAGCACAUGGACACCACUGAGGGCAAAAGGAUAAUUAACCCAAAAGAUUAUGUGACAAGUAAUUAAAGAGGAUGUAUGGAUGGAUUUGUGCAUGCCUGUAAUGGAUAUCAUGGAUGCGACAAGUUACUUACCACUACAACCAGCCUGAUGGAUGGAUGGAUGAUGUAUGCAUGCUACUGUGUGAUGAAGAGAUGGAGUCCUUACCAGGGGCAAUGAUGAUGACCGUGGCUGAAAUAAGCCUGUCUUGAGCAAUUAAGAGCUGUGGCCUAUGGGUACUAAAUUAGAGCACACCCUUACCUCUCUUGCAGCCUGUUCAAUUCAUCGCUAAUGUUGGAUGUUCUGCGCCUUGGACGGUCAUUCUGAUGAAUGAUAACCAGGGCAGUUCUUUUACAUCGCGAUGGGUAGAUUAUGCAGCAAGAGAUGCGAGUGUUGGGCUUGAAGAUGAAAGGCAAAACUGAGCCCUCUUUCUCUACGCUACAGAUAUUCGAUUUUACCUUCUCUACUAUGCAGCGUUUUUUCUUUUCUAUUCCUCUCUAUUGUGUUGAUGUGAGUAACGGCCCAUCUGGACUUGGAUUGAUGUCUUCUCUUGGUGAUGAAGCCAACCGCCCUAGCUUGGAUUGAUUUCUAGCUGGCUUUGUUCUUGCCUGUAUAGUUGUACAAACUAUAUAUGUCGAACACACUAUUGUUUUUGACUUGGAUUUCUACCUUAUGUUUUUCUUCUUUUCCAAAAUGGGAAAUUUAUAGUCCUGUUUUUAUUUGGCUUGGAGUUAAUCCUUUUAUCUGAAGUGAACAAAUGUAAAUUGCUUCUUACAUUGCUAGUAAUACGGCUCUAAUUAUUUGUUUCUGUUAUGUGUUGAUGAGUUCUAUUCUUUUCUGAAUGGCUAUGAUGAUUUGCUCCUCUUUGGUGUUGGAGAUCUUUCAACAUAUCCCGAGAUAGAGAUGAUUGGUUCCAUUCAACUUUGCCCAGUUAGACAGUUAGUCGUUAUACUAGGAGGCCUUGCUCUACAGCAAGUUACCAGUUGCAGCUAGGGAUAUCACCAAAGAACUAGCCAUGGACAGGGGUGCAUGAAAAUUAGCUAUCCACGUGCCUACCCCAAUUGUUUGGGACUGAAAGGCUUUGUUGUUGUUGUUUGGUACCAAAAGGCUUUGAGUACUACCUGAAGCAUUUUCCAACUUUGGUGAUUUAUGGUGGGUUAAAUCUGAGCCAUUCAAGUAAUACUCCACAAUUCUCCUGGAUUUUGCGAACUAUUCCUUGUGCAUGUGUUUGUUAUGACACCUGUGUCUGAUACUUGUACUACUGUUUGAUUAGUAAUUUGAUCAGUGAGUAUUUUUGGAAUAUACUCCAGAAAACAGCUUGAUUUUCGCUAAUAACUUUUCUUUGUUUCUUCUUAAUUUGAGAAUGCCUGUUUGGUAACUGUGAAUGGUCAUGGCUUCAUUGUGAAAAUUAAGUUGUAUAUAUUCUGGACAUUGUGGGCCUGUAGCUUGAAAAAGAAACCUGGCAUUACCUAUGGCUUUGGUUCUUUGUUAUGGCUCUGGUUCUUUGUGUGGACCUUCUGGGAAGGUGAGAUGGCAUGAAAUCAUUUUAUUGAACCAAUUUGAAAGCAUAUUCUUACUGAUGCUAUUUUCAGUUUUUUGGUCCUAUUUUCGCAUCCAUUGUCAAUUUUUCUAUUGAUAUUUGCCAUUCUAGUCCUCCUUAACUUCCACCAUCGAUGCUUGCCAUCCCUAUGUCCUUAUAAAGCUUCAUCUGUGAGGGAGAGGCAUCGAUGAGGAAGGAUGCUGGUGGUGACGCCUGCUGUCUCCCCUGGCCUUUGAGCUUCGCUACAUGGGGUCAGCCCUCCUGUUGCGCCCUCUGCACUAAUGCAUCGGCUUGGGAGGCCCUCCGGCAGCCGCCGCAGCUGAAACAUCAGGGGCUGGCGGUUUGCGGUGUGGAUCGUGGGGCGGAGUACUCCUGUGGCCUCUGCUGAUGGCUGCGAAGUUGGGUGUACUCAGCGAGAUCUGAGCUAUGGAUUUUUCACGAUUCAGUUCCGCUCUUUGGACCUGAGCUGCUGUGGCUGGGAACUCUGAAUCCCUCUUCGCCUGAGCUCGUACUGAAAGUGGAGGGAAUUAAUAUGAAACUUGCGUUCCAAAGAGGCCCUUAAAUCUUAAUUACCACCUCUUCUCUCUUGUGAGCUCUAAUUGCGCUCCAGCUGCUGAUACUGUGCUUAGCUGCAGAUGUUUUGUAUCUGACCCGACCUAUUUUUCACCCUUAUCUGUUGCAUGCGCAAAGGGAUCUUCGAUUAUUCUACUUUUCCUACACAUUCUGUUGGUUUUGCAGUGUGUCAACCAGUUCUGUUGUUUUAGGAACAGUAGUCUAGCCGCACUUAUUGUUGUCUUUGUUCUUUCUUUUCUGUUCUUCCUUUUUCUUGAAUGGAUAUGAUAAUUCUGCUGUCCCUUGGAUAGUUCUUCAAACUAUCUUAUUUGGUGUUGGGUCAGUUUGCUUGUUUCAAUUGCUAUUUGACUUGAUAAUUUUAUUCUUCUGCUGUACUCUUUAUCUACUUAUCAGUUUGUACUUUUGGUUUCACGUUACUUCUUUAUUUGUUUCAACUUAAGGGUCGUAUAAGGUAAGUUAAGAUUACUGUUUCCUUCGUGUCAUGUUCAUGAAUGGCUGUGAUGAUGUAGCUUCCCUGCGAGAGCUUCUAUCGAACACCUGAAUUGAUUCACUUGGUGCUAACUAGGAUGGCUUGUGUCACAGCAAGUAACCAGUUCAGCGUCUAACUAUUACUCCCCCCAUUCACAAAUAUAAGAUGUUCAUGGUCAUUCUACCAGAAGUUCAGUUAUGGUGUUGAGAUGGGGGUAUAUCUGAGCCAUUUACUUAUACAUGGCCCAGUUCAUGAUUUGCUCCCGAUGUAGUGAUUCUUUCUGCUUUCACUGAUUCUCCUGUGGUUUCUGGUCAUCUUGCGCUCUUUUCUUCUCUCUGAUUCAAGUAGAAAUAGACUAUUGGCUUCUCUGUUAUUCUCUUUGUGUGAUUUGCGCCAAGUGCUGUUGAUGGCAAUGACGAGUAAGGCUCAUUCAGAGGAGGUACUGAGAUCAGAUACCAUCGGUUGUUUUCAUGGUAUGGGUUAGGGUUAGGGUUUUGUGUGACUAGGUGGAAGCGUGCAAAUCGGGACGACUUGCUUUCUAGGAGCAACCAUUUGAAUGCUGAGAUGCCACACAGUGGAUCACCAAGUGUAUCGGAUACAGAGUGGGUUUUGCCCAUAUGAUAGACGAGCCAACUCUGAGCCUCCCAUUUUUUUAAUUUUCUUUAAUAAAUACGGCCUCUCUUUCUACAAUUUGUGGUUAUGUGUUUAUGUGUGUAUGUAAUAAUCUUCUCAAUAUGUUAAUGAUUUAUAGCAGUAUUGGGAUCUCACUGUAAUAUAUGUUAUCAUCUACGGCACUUAUGAGAAAUGCCCAUAGCGAACUGGAUGUUGAGCUAUUUUACACUUGCAUUCUCGGAAUGCUUUGAAUUACUGAUGCAUCACAGGUUAUACAUUGUUUGAAUAAGAAACAAUCCUGUGUGCCGAGGGCCCUGGGAAGCGGCAGAGGGCCCAGAAUUACGCAUGAGCCCUCAACACAACUGUACUAUCAUACAAUAUGUAUAUAAUACUCUAUAAUAUUAUUCCUCCUUUUCAUCUUUGAAGCUAGUUCCUGUAUUUGUACCUUUUGUUUCUGGCAGAGGUACGUGCCUACAUGCUUACUCCCAGAACUUAAUGGCCGUUCGCGAUUAUAGAAGUACACAUGUUCCUCUUGUUGCCAGUGCUUGCUAAUGUGAUUAUCUGUAUGAUUGAUGAGUCUGGGCUAUUUUCUCCCCAUAUAAAUGUUCAGUUUUGCUUAACAAGAGGAUAUUGUCCAGUAAAUUUCUUCAGUAUCAAAAUACCUAUUCGUAUGGAAGGUUGCAUGUGGACAUGUAGAGAGUGAGCGAGACAAGUCGAAAGCGACCGGGAGUGGGUUAAUAAACUCAUUUGCACAUUUGGAACUGGAGAUAUUGUACUGGUACAGAUACAUCGAUCUACAUGUCACCUGUGCGCAUACGCUUACUUUUUUAAAAUUUAAAACCGGGCUCAGCCCCUUACCAUUACAAAAUACUAUAACAGAAAUGUAGCCAUCUAAACAAGGUUAAGAAGGGAAGAGAGAAAGCCAUCUAAAAAAGGUUAAGAAGGGAAGAGAGAAAGCGAGUUCAAUGCAUUGACAGAAAACUCCUCAUGUCAUUUGAUCACAAUUGAAACACAUGAUGUGGGACGAAAACCUGACAACACCACAAACUAAACCUAAUACAGUAAGUUCCAACAUAGCAUAACUAGGACUACUCAGCAUGAAAGCUGACCCACCACAAAAGGACAACUCUAAACCACAACAAUCCUUCCAUAAGCAGCUAGACCCCAUAUCAUCCAGAUGAAGUUGUCACCUCUCCAGGGACAGUAGCACAGAUCCUCAUCAGCAUAGUUGUACUAGUCUUCGACAUCUUGGCACCUUGGGUCAUCACCUACUCAGUCGAAUCCUUUUGAAGACCUGCCCAGUAUAACAAGGACGCACAAGCAGCAAGCACCCUUUCAGAAGGAGUUUUAUAGGCCAUUUAAACUCAAACAUAGCUCUGUUACGACAAUUCCAGAUCACCCAUCAAACAACAAGCCCAAUUGUAUAAACUUUCUCAUAUGUAUAAGGGCUGCAACGUAAUGUACUCUCUCUGUUUCGAAGCAAGGCAUUAUCAAAUAUCGAACAAUAUCCAUUCUCACUACAGAAUGAUAAAAAAGUGCGUAACACAGUGGAAAAUAUCUCAGACCUGGCCCAAGUCCACUGCAGGGUUCAAACUCUUUCCACAGUCAUACACAAGGUCACUCCGUAGUAAAGUAAUGGCUCCUAUAAGAAGAUCAAUCUCUACCUGGAUUUUUAGUAAAAAGUGAAAAGGAAAUAAGAAAAGAAUCACAAUAUCAUCCAUAUGUAGAACAUCCAGUAACUAUUGAACUAUGUUAGUCUGAUUGACAUUUAGCAGAAUAUUUUUGUACCUCGCUUAUACCAGCUCCAUAGUUCAGAUAGGUACUGGAUUCUUGGCCAGGUACCCAGUAUAUAUGUACUUGAGGACAAAUUAACAUUAUCCUUAACAGCCUGUUUGGGAACAUUAAAUCGUACAACGAUUAACCGUUAGCACACAUAAAAAUAACAAUUUCCAUACAUACAUGUUUUACUCCCAUAUAGAAUAAAAAACCAGAGGGAAAUAAAAAAACAACCUGAGCAAUCAAAGCAUCCCAUGAAACGGGCACCGUCGGAUUGCUGCUUGAGCUUCUCCAUGACUGGCUUUAAUCUGUCAACCAGCAUGUUGCAGGCCUCAAGGGUUGCUGCACAGCUAGAUUCAGACGAAGUGCUGCCGGCGGUGAGCCCACCUUGGAUCAAGUUCAGCGUAUCAGCCUGAAGAACACGCACUCUAUCAAGAAGGGAUUCACAUCCAUCAGGCCACAACUGUCCCAAAGCGAAAGCUGUCAUUUGCUGUACUUUGGUCCAGAGCCCUUGCCCAAUCUCAAUGCCUCCAACCUCAACCACAAUGGAACCAUCGUUGAGCACAGAAACUCUUCCAGGAGCUGGCCUUGGUGCCACCUUGAAGACGAGGGGCACACAAGAGAUACCCCGCUUCCACCACUUGGUGCAGCUGUUGUACUGCCUGAUGGAUUCGGCUCGAUGCAGGUAGCUCGAUGUCGUAAGCAACCUAUCGAAGAUAGAAUGCAAUGUGUACGUAGAAGCUUCGCCUGUGCUUUCUGGAUAGAACAACACAAGGCUGUCAUAGGUGUGGAAAUUCUUCUGUCUGACACUAUUAGCAUCAAGUGACAGCACCGAAGCGACAUGCUCGAUGAUAGCUCAGCGAUAAAAGAUCCCUGAGCAUCUCCAGGAGCACGCAUUGCUGACUUGGAUGUGUUGUUUGUUUUACAGAGCUUGUUGUCGAACGAGAGAGCACCCCAGUUGUAUUUCUUCAGGCCUGAAAUGAUGGUGUCUGGCAUUAUGGUGCUAGCAUCUGGAGAAAUUCCAGCAUUGACUAGUAUGUCCAGGUGCAAGGCUGUGAUUCUCCCAUCAGACUUUAAACCAACAGAGUAACAUGCUUUUAUGGGGUGACGACCCCAAUCAUGAUCAUGUCAGUACUGCGGUUGAGAUACAUCCGCACCGGACGACAUAACUUGAAUGCACAGAGUGCAGCUGCCGUUGCUACCUACAAAAACAUAAAUUGUCGGAUCACUAAGCACAACACAGCUGAAAUGGUUAAUGUCUUUUGCUUUCUUGGAAGUUGAAUGAAUGGUAAAAUGGCCAAACUUAUGUUAAAACCUAUCACUAGAACCCUAAUCCACCAUAAAAAAAGGAAUGUUAGUUGUAAAAAUAGAUUAGUGGAUUAGAUGUUGCGUCGUGAACUCAUCUUAUGUGAAACCUAACUUAUACACUCAUGUUCGUUGAAGGUAUAUACUAGAAGUAAAAAAAAAUGCAAUUAUUCAUAUAAAGAUACUACCUCCAUCCGGAAUUAGUUGACCCUCAAACGGAUGUUCCGAACGGAGGGAGUACUUGUUAGAUUCUUUCAGUUGUGCCGCAUGGGCUAUGAAUUUCUUUUGUCGCUUUGUCGGACUGUUGUUUAAACUUGUUAGAUUCCUACUUACAUUGCAUGAUAUGAAUGCCUUCCCACCAAAGCCUCCUCCAACCCUCCUUGUAAUGACACGCACGCUGCUGAACGGAAUGCAGAGGCACUUGGCUAUUGCACUCUGUGCAACCUCAGGGUACUGUGAUGAAAUGUAUACGACCAUGGUGUUAUCUUCAUCUGGAAUUGCUAGAGUCGCUUGUGUUUCCAUGUAGAAGUAGUAUUGAGAGGCAAGUUUCACCUGUGAUCAUUCAAGGUACACAUAUAACUUUGACAAAGUUGCAUCAUACAGUUGCUAUGUUACUGAGCAGAUUAAAUGGUAACUAUAAAAAAGAAGAAUCAGAUUAACUACACGGACCAUACCAGAGCUCAAGUUAAUUAAAUGAUAGUGACUGUAAAGUUAUAUAUGUAACAAAAAGUGGUAUCCACUAGUAAUGCAUAUGGUCCAGUUGAAAAUAGAUAAUAUCAAAAAUGAAAUUUAGAAGUUUGUAUUGUUAAGUAUAAAAAGUUCCAUUAAAUUUUCAGUAAUGCAUGUUAAGUAUAAGAAGUUCCAUUAAUUUUUGAGUAAUGCAAGCGAGAUGUUAGAAUGGAAAAGGUCUCAUAGUAUUUUGAAUUAACAUACUUCCGUUGAGAGGAUCUUGUGGUCACCUUCUGCCAUGCCCUUGCAAAAAUUACCAACUUGUUUUGGAUACAUCUCAGGAGGAACUUCGAAAUAGCUGUUGUUUUGUACUGCUUGUUCUACAGUAAAGAUUGGUGGCUUCAAAUCUUUUGUGUCAUAUUCAACAACAACCUGUUUUCCUGCCAAUUUGGCGUAUCUCUGAGUUUCUGCAAUCUGAAGUAAAGUCCACAUUUUAGGACAUCAGUACUGAAAAAAUACAGAAUAUAUAUUUUCAUUCUUAGAGCAAAAGGUACCUAAUGCUCACUUGUAAUUAGGGGAAAAUGUGCACUUAAAUAAAUAGUUUAAUUUAACAAGAUCACCUUCGGUAUUUAAUUAGGGGCAAUUGUGAGAACAAUACAAUAUAUUUUUGGCAUAUCCACUUGCAUUGAGUUUCAACAAGCAAUCUUUUUACGAAACAAACAGAGAUAUAGGUGCUCCUACUACACAAAAUUUCUGUAGGCGUUUAAUUAACCCAAUCUAAUAGGUUGUUCCUUAGGGCAUUUUACAAGUAAAUUUCUGGAUAUUAAUAUUAUAUAUAUAUAUAUAUAUAUAUAUAUAAUUUUUGGAAAAAUGAAUUUGUGAAAUUAAGGUUUCAUUAUUUUAAUUUUUACAGAUUUGCCCCUAAUUAAGAUUUACUUUUUCUGUAACAUUCACAAAGGUUUUUCUCAAAGAAGAAUAAUGAAGAAAAACCCAUUUAUGAAUUGCCUUUAUUAUACAAGAAUUUAUUGCGGAGUGAACAUUAAAAUAUGAAAAGAUAAGUACCACGACACCAAGAGCUUGUCCAGCAUACGCAACAAUUGGGGCACCAAAAAGUGGUUCGUCCCCAAACAUCAAGCUUGACCCAAUAUUUUGCCCUCCACUUGGAAUAUCAUUUGCAGAAACAACCGUGAGGAUCUUCUCUGAUGCUAAAGAAGGUUUGAACUUGAUAUUCUUGACAUAUGCAAGAGGUUGUGUGCUGUAAAUAAACUCUCCGUAAAGGCAAUUUUUUGGAGCAGCAAUAUCAUCUACAUAUACUGCCUCCCCUGCAGUACAGAAAGAAAUUAUAUCAGUCUGAAGCUAAUCCUAAAGGAAGGAUAAUUUAGAGAGGAAGAAAACUUCUAGAUCCCCAUUAGGAAUUCUGAUGGUUUAUAUUCAUCACAUACCAGAAGCUUGAAGCUCAACUGCAUAUUUCUUAAUCGGCUCACCAACUGGUUUAUAUUCAUCACUGGAAACUGUUUCUCGACGUGAAGACAACGGAAGCUUACAAAUAUCAUCUGUAUCUAAAGAACCAGCAGAACUAAUAUUCAGAGUUUUUCCAGGCCCUUUGAUUCCUUUAACAAAUGGAGACAAGUAAUUGAAGAGAAAUCCAACAUCCACACUGACUCUGUAUUCAGGAUGUGAUGUUCCUUCCAUUGGUACAAUUGUUUCUCUAAGUAGCUGAACUGCUUCGAGCACAACAGAUGGAGUGAGCACUUUUCCGUUCAGGUGUUGUUCAACUUUUGUUGCUCUAAUAGCAUGUUCCGUCCCAUAGGCACCAAAGGCCAUGUGUAGCUUACUCAACACAAGAUCACCAGAUGAUUCAUUCAGGGAGACAUUGCCCAACAUAGCAGAGUUAACAUAUGAAACAGCAUUGCCAAGAGGGCGCGGUGCCGCUCGGUAAGUUUCGAAGAUCACCUUACUUUCUUUCUGAGAAUCUGAAGCCCGAUGUGGAAUAAAUAUGUUCAGGAGCAAUGUACUGGGAUCAAGAGGAGGCUGCUCCAGAAACUCUUCAAAAGUUACCUCUAGUGUUUCUGAAUAAACCUGAAGACGAACAGUUGAAGCAGCACCAAGAAGUAUGGUCACGAUGUCCGAGGGAAACGGGUAUUUCUGUGCUAGAAUUAUGUUCCCACCAAGGUUUGCUGUGUUGCGGACAAAUGGUGUGGCCACCAUGCUCAUGUGGUCGGCAAGUUUUGUGAAAACCACACUUCCAUUUGCACAUGAUGUAGAUCUAGCUUCUUGCUCGAGUAUCUCAAUAGUUUUACAAAUUGGUGUAGCUGCCCCAAUUUCAAUGCCACUAUCGUUCUUCCAAACAGCUGAAAGUUCAGGAAUGUCACCGAUGUCAAUAUACUUGUUAUAUAGAUCCAGAUCCUUGUAUCCCUUUACACCAGAACUUGUGUUCCCGACAACCACUUUAACAGCACAGUCAGUAAAAAUGCCAGAGUUCAGCAAGUCAUAAUACUACCCGAUGCUUUUAGGAUGAUACCAACCCACCCCGGAGACUGUGACAUCCGAAACAUCAGUUGGAUGAAGGAGCGAAGAUUUUAUCUCGGAUUUCAGGAAGUCCGGGAAAGUGCAGAUUCCACCGCCAAGAGUGUAAGCUGGCAACUUCCUAGCGUGGGCGUCCUUAUCACCUUUCUUCCAGAAUAUAUUGAGGCCCAAAUCCUCCAGGUCAACAUCUGAAGCAAAACUUUUGCACGCAUCGACAAUCGGACGGUACCCGGUACAUCUACACAUGUUGCCUGAGAAAGCCCUUUCUGCUUCAGAUACCGUCAACUUUGAGAACCCCUUUCGUGGUUCGGGCUUCUUGGAUUUGUCAGCAUUGGCAAGAGAAGUGAAAAUAGACAUGCACAUGCCAGGAGUGCAGAAGCCACACUGAGAAGCAUGGAACCCGGACAUUCUUUUCUGAAUAGAAUGGAAGCCAUCUUGUGUAUUUUCCAGACCUUCGGUGGUGAUGACUGAGCAGCGAUUUAUGUUGUAGAGCAGGGUUAGGCAUGAACUGGCGGAGAAUUCGGUUACUUCAUCUUUUGUUGGAUCAUAGGUUGCUAUAAGGACUACACAAGCUCCACAUCCACCUGAAAGAGAGCACAAUUAUACAAUUAGUCAUGACAUGCUAUAUCCGCCUCUUUUCAGUAGAAUGAGCAUAACAUGCCAGUAUAUCCUCUCUCUCUCUCUCUCUCUCUCUCUCUCUCUUAUCAUGGAUCUGGAGGGACCGGCCGAACCGAAAGGACUAGAACUUGCGUGAGCGCUGAACAAAUAUAACCAAAUUUACCGCCGUUUAUGUAUAUAUUUAUCUCAAUUUGGUUUGGAUUGUUAGUUCAAAAUCUGAACUUGUAUCUAAAAAAAUGACAAAAUUGAAGCAUACGGAUCCAAAGUACACAAUGAAUGCCGACGCGCAAACCGUGGGCGGUAUGAUAUAUGAACCUUACAUAACCAGGCUCUUAACAAGAUUUCUGCAUGAGCUUUAGCACUGCCACACCCGCAUCGACGGAGUUUGUAUAUAUGUUCGAAACAGGGUCACCAUGACAUACUUUGAUGUUCGAACACUACGCGUGCUGCAUCGAGCUGGUGAAAUCCACACAGAGAUACAAAAUCGAGCCGAAAUUGCUUAUAUCUCUGGUGAUCGGAACGCUGCCAUGUACAAGUACAAAAGUACCCACCCGCUUAACGUGGUUAAAUGUUACUCGCUCGUGCUCUUAAUCACAGGACAUAGUUGCAGUUUACCUCAGUGUGAAGUUGUGGAAGUAACAGAGCUUCCAGGGUUUGGGGCUCUGGGGCUCCGGCUCCGGGGGAAAGCAAGGAGCGGGCCGGGCGGAGGAGGAGCUCGAUGCUGACCAGGGAACCGGCGGAGCGGACGGGGGAGAUGGAGAUGCAGAGCAUCCUUCCUUCCUUGGCAAACCUGGCGGAGCUAGGUGGCGGCGUGAUGGAUCUGUCGUCCCGGAGACCGGAUUCGGCGUCCUCGACGACGCCACCGCCCCCCGCGACUGCCCACCGCCGACGCCGUCGUCCUGGCGUGCGUCCCUCCCCGAGACGUGAGGGAGGUGGAGCUCGUCGCCCGCUCCCGUGUCGAUGGUGGUAUUCUGGAUCUGUCAAAUGUUUGAGAAGUAUUGCGAAACAUGCUCACUCUGAAUUUGUCUGCAUUGAAUGGAUUUCGUGAAAUUUCCUAUUGCUUUUUUUUUUAGAAUCAAGAGCUUUAUUAAUUUAACCAGCGGGAUUACAAUCCUUCGUCACACAUGCCGUGAGGAAGGUCGGAACAUAGUUGAUCCAAAUACACCGACGUCUAGAGGAGUUACAUUGUUUAGCACAAAGAUGAGCUAGUUCGUUCGCUUCCCUCGAAAUGAAGGAUAAUCGAAACUCCUCAAAAUUCCCGCAAAGCUCUUGGAUUUCCUUAAUUAUGGUAGCUAUCUCCGAGCGGUCAUUCUUUGGAGAAUCCCACAGUUUAACCACAAUUUGGGCAUCAGUUUCCAUGUGCACUUUCCUAUACCCCAAAUCAAACGCAAGCUGGGCACCAUCUCGUAUUGCAUACGCCUCCAUGGACAUAGCAGAAAGUCCAUUCUCAUACCAAAUUGCCUGAGCACGAAUUAGCUUUUCUUCGUGGUCGCGCACACCUAGUCCUGUGCCUCCCUGAUGGGAGUCCUCUUGAAAUGAGCCAUCUACAUUUAUCUUCAGGGUGGCUUGGUCCGGCGGCUUCCAUCUUUGUACCUCCUUAUUGGCGACUAUUGUCAUCUUUUUCCCAGUCGCCGCUAGAUCAGCAGCAACAUCUGUUCCCCAUUUAACUGAUUGCAUCAAGGAUCUUGUGGUCUCACCAUGUGUGCGUGCAUUUCUUUCUGUCCAGACGGCCCAGGCACCACAUAGAAUUACACAUGCAUCUGAUUGCUUAACCUUGUCAUGAUCCACCAUAUCCACAGCCCAUGUUUCAGGACUUAACACUGGUAGCUUAACUGACGUAGCUUGCUUGACCUCCUGCCAGAAUAAUUUUGCCCAAGUACAGUCAAACAAGGCAUGGCGGAUGCUUUCCUCUCGGCCACAAGCUUCACAGAAUGCUAUUCGCUCAAUAUGUCUCCCGCAAAGAACAUCUUGAGUUGGGACAUACCCUUUGAUCACCCUCCACCAAAAAUUUCUUACCUUCGGCGGUACUGGGAGUCGUCACAGUUUCCUCCAGAACCCCCUCUCCUGCCCCUCUGAGCUUGAUGCUGAAACUGUAUCACGCCGUAAUGCGACCAUCAGGUUGUAUGCUGAACGCACUGAGAAAUUCCCAAAUCAAUCCGGGGACCAUGCCCAGAAAUCAUCCUGUGCUUUCCCAAUCGGUAUACGUGUGAUCAUGGAAAUAUCAGGCUCCACAAAGUUUGAUCCAAUGACUUGCAUGUCCCAACAUCCAUUGUCCUCAUCUAUCAAUUCAUUCACACGUGAAAUAGAAGCAUUUGGUAGUCUGACAAUGGGCCUUUUACUGUGACUUUCAGGAAGCCACGGAUCAUCCCAAAUCUUAACGGAAUUGCCGUCACCGAUCCUUCUAAUCAGCCCCUCCUUAAGUGCCUCAAUACCAUGUAAGAUAGCUCUCCAAGUAUGAGAUGAAUUUCUUUUGUUUUUUUGCUUCCAUAAACUCACAAUCGUGAAAGUAUUUUCCUUUUAGGAUCCUUGCACAUAAUGAAUUGGGGUUUGUAAUAAGUCUCCAACCUUGCUUAGCCAGCAUAGUUUGGUUGAAGAUUUGUAUGUCUCUAAAUCCCAUACCCCCUUCACUCUUCGGUAUUGCAAUAUCGAUCCACUUCCUCCAAUGCAUUUUCCUCUUCUUCUCAUCUCCUCCCCACCUAAAUCGAGCUAGCAGACUGGUUAUCUUUUUACGCAUAUUUUUUGAUAACCGAAAGCAGCUCAUGGAAAAGGUUGGGAUCGCUUGACACACUGAUUUAACUAACACUUCACGGCCUUCGAGGGGUAUACGUCAAGGGGAAAUUUCCUAUUGCUUUAUGCAGCUUGGUUCAGUUUUCUAAAAGCUUGUCUAAAGAUUCAUAAGUUUUUUUAGACCCGUAGAAAGAAAUUUGGUUUGGUCGUUCCAAUGAAAGAUGGUCGAUCAUCUAAGUUAUGCUUAGUUUGUGGAUGGUUUCUGAAACGUGACUGAAUGUACAAUAGUGGAAACGAGAGUGAGUCUGAAAAAAAACACAUAUGUGCCAUUCUCCUUGUUCCGCUGCUUCCCUCCCCCGCAUCAUUCUCCCCCCUCGUUGCUGGCGUGACCGGGCGAAGCCCGAAUGGCGUCAGCGGGGUUCUCUCUCCCCUUCUCGUGGCAGGUGGUGGCGCAGGAAAAAAUGGUUGGGCUGAGGCACGGUGCGGCGUGCGGGGCAUGGCGGCACAUGGCCGCGGUAGUACUCACGUGGGCAUGAAACGUUUGAUUAGUGGAUGUGCAUCAUGUGGGACCUGAUGUGCUCGGGGUGAUGGCGUCCAGAUCUGGCAAUGUGGCGGCUUUAGACUGUGCGGGCGACUUCCUCCUCCCCGGCAUGGGGGUAGGGUGUGCUCAGACCAGGUACGGCACGACUGGUGAGGCUGGAUCUAGGGUUGGGAAACAAUGGGCCUCAAGGAUUGGCCCUUGGUCGAACCUGGAGGGCUGUAUCUGGCUCAUCAAGAACUUCCACCCUGCCACCCAGUAAAACCAUGCAUGGGGACACAAAUCAUGGCUAACCAGCCGUCACCGCUGAUGCGUCGUUGCGAGCUUCAAUGGUCCCGCCACUGGGAUACAUACCUUUGCGCCUCGGUGCCACCAUUUAGCUCGAGAAGCACCCGACCAUGCCCUCCGACUUUUGAUGGGUGAAUUUUACACUCACUAUUUCCCGAGUUUAAGCUUCAUAUUCCCUUUGACUAUCACAUCAAAUUGCUUACUAAUCAUUAAUAACUGCAAAGAUAUGCAAUCUACUUAUCUUAAUGUUUUGUUGCGGAUAUAGAUGCAAUCUGGAGGAAAUGAAGACAUAAUCAGAAAGUACUGAAAGAGAGGGUCGUUUCCAUAUAAAGGAGGUCACCAAGGUGACUCCAUAAGUGAAGAUGCCAUGUGGUACGAGAUGGCGCCCUCAUACCAGCAAUCGGACCGCAUGGAAUCAACCUCGGGAAGUCAACGCAAGGUACUUCUCUGUUAGGCCUGAAGUCCAAUUCGUGACGCCUCACCCUUGAAACCCUAUUCCAGACCUCUGCACUCUUUAAAGGAAAUGGAGAAGGAGAGGGAGGACUCCGGAUCAAUGUCUUCACCACUUCUCCUCCACUUCCUUCAUACCUGUCAUCUCCUAGCAACAACCACCAUCUCCAUCUCCCAUUAGAUUAUACUUGUACUCGAGAUUUUAUCGCAAUCAGCGAUAUUGUAGAUGGUUAAUCAUUCCAAGUGAAAUCUUCUUUGAUGUCUCUUGUAUGUGGUUUGAUUGCGAUGUGUGAGUAGUCCUCUUUUUUCUCAAAUACACAAAAGGUUUGCAUAUCAUUGCAUUGAUAGAAGAAGAAAAGAGUCAUACAGGUGGUUCGUGAACAGACCACAAACACAAUUACAUGGCAUGGCCUACACGACAGGACGGCUGGCGAUAUACAUUGUCGCCCGAUCAGUCAAGGCUAACGUGUGAGUAGUCCUCAUGGGCUAAGGGCCAAGGCAUAGCCUCAUGUCCCGUGUAAAUCUACCUAUGGGUUGACGAUAUGACUUCCUUUUAUUAUGUUUCUACAACAAGUUUUGUCUUGUCACCUCUCGGUCCUAGGAUUCACUGUAGUGGAGACAAUGGUGUUGGUCCAUGAAUUUUCCUUCCUUCUGCUACAUUUCGCCCAAAGGGUUGAAGAGAGAUGGUAGAUCAAGUUAUUCUCAAUGGCCCAAUUGACCCUUUUCCCCGGGGAUCCCAGCUGAGGGAAGCCUAGGGGAGCUGCCGACUCCAACUAUCGUCCAUGUAUGAUCAAUCCAAGACCUGACCAACUGCUUAUCCUACCUUCUCAUACCUUCUGCAUCUCAUGUUUUUGUCUCGGUAGAUUCUUUCAGUGGCAUGUUUCAGUUCUCUUCCCCAUUAGUUAGAAACAGUGAGACAUUAGUUCAAGUACAACAUACUAUCGUUACCGCCUGGAUAAUUAGACAAUCAACCUGUAAUCACAAUGGCCCAAUUGCAAGAGCAUAGCUCUACCAGCUUAGCUAUAGCCCCCUGCUCAAAAAAGCUUAGCUUUAUCCCCCAAAGUCAAGAGGAGUAUGCAAGAAAGAGUCAGAUGCUUCUUCUAUUCUUUAUUCUGGCACAACUGGGCCGUCAUGGAUUUGAACCAGCAGGUCACCCGCUUAUCUAGUUAUAAGUUUAUUAUUUUUAAUUCAUCACACCAAUCUUAUCUAUCUUACAGGUGAAUCAUCAGCUCUGGCCAAUUUUCAAAUAUUGUUUACAACCGCUCCCGAUUGUUGUUUGUGUUUGCACACUGAGCUAGCAUUGAAGUGUACCGGCCUGGAGACAAGAAUGAUACGCGAUAACAUGUGCUUGCUAGAAGUGCCCUCUACCUCUUCCUGAUUCGAUAAACCUAGGUCUCUAAGAAAGAAGGUCAUUUACUACAACGCAACCUGGAUUGAGAUAAUUAGCUUCGACGGAAGGCAGNNNNNNNNNNNNNNNNNNNNNNNNNNNNNNNNNNNNNNNNNNNNNNNNNNNNNNNNNNNNNNNNNNNNNNNNNNNNNNNNNNNNNNNNNNNNNNNNNNNNNNNNNNNNNNNNNNNNNNNNNNNNNNNNNNNNNNNNNNNNNNNNNNNNNNNNNNNNNNNNNNNNNNNNNNNNNNNNNNNNNNNNNNNNNNNNNNNNNNNNNNNNNNNNNNNNNNNNNNNNNNNNNNNNNNNNNNNNNNNNNNNNNNNNNNNNNNNNNNNNNNNNNNUGGGGUGUGUGUUUGCUAAGGGUUGCCGUUCACUCCUUUCAAAGUAAGUGUCGCUUCCCUAUUUUGGAAAAUGUAGCGCUGCCAAACCAUCACAUUGGCUGUACAAUUCAUGUGGGCUCACUAGCACAACAUUUUCCCCUUCACAAUGUUUGCAACUAGUGUUCUCCAAUUCAUCUAGUAUCAUUUGUUCUCCUUCUCUCAAACCAAAAUUUAAGUAACAAGCAUGAUUGCGCAUACAUUAUUGAGAUUAUCAUUAUCCUUACGAGUUCACAUUUUUAAGAACCGGUCCUUAAGAAAAGAUGGAAUUCAGAUAGUUUGGAGAAAAUUCAUCCUCAAACAUUAUGGUUGACAUUUUUCUUCUACUAAAGAGGCCCUAAACAUUCUUUCCUUUCAUCUCACAAUAUUUUCCCUUCUCGUUUGAUCUUGAAAGAUACUACCCACUCUUGGUCUUCUCUAUUAAGUAAACUAAAUAAGAAACAUAUGCACAUUUAAUUGAAAUGGUCGUAAAUCAGAUGUCUUCUUGACUCAUGGGAACAGAUUAUAUACUUGCUGGUUUUUUUAUGCCCGGUGAUGACUCUUUGUGCACACCGCACGCAUGAGAGCAAUUUUUGUUUUGUGUGAAUUCUAUGGCUCGCACGCUUCUAUAUCUCAAUGUUGAUGAAAAGCCUUAUAUUGUCUAUAUACCUAUUUUAUUUACUCAAGUUUUAAACAAUAGUUUAGUCCAAUUAUGCUCCUUCUAUUGUUCAUAUGUCUCUAUCUCCUAUCAAACUCUAUAAACGUGACCAACUGUUAAUUAGGAAUUGUUUCCGAUUACAUGGUCCAGUUGGAGACAAAGUAGCAUACCAUGCCUGAAAACAACAUAUUCGGGCUUAGCUAUUCUUUGGUAAAACUAGGUGGAUUAAAUAGCUAAAUAUGGUAUAAUAUGGGUAACAACUAAAGCAACUUAUAACUCUCAUACAUUAAUGGUGCUAUUGAGGAGUAUACUUGCAACCUAGAACUUAAUUUUGCCCUUUAUACUUUAACAAGGAGAUUAGAAGAAUGUAAAUUCUACCUCGCCAUUGUUACUGAAAUAUCAAAUCAGUGAUAUUAUAUUUCAGUCACAAUGUAUAAAAAGUUCAACCCUCAACCUCAAGCAAAUAAAAUUAACCUCCCUCGAUCAAAAUGCAACCUAGAGAAUGACUAGAACAAUCAAGAGAAAAUAGGUGACAUGUGAGUCAGGGGUUGUACAUUCUAGGCCUAAUGAUGGAGCUGACAAGACCACCUUUCCUCGUAAGACAAGAGGUGGGACCACGAGAAGGAUAUGUGUAGCCAUGAGAAGAAGAUGUGCAACCAUGAAGAUGGCAUUGCAGAGGGUAACAACAUCACAAAAGGAGAUAUUCGGACUUCGAUGGUGUUUCGACUAUGAUGUAUGAGGGAGACGUUUCAACUUUAGUGUUGCAAUUGUGUAUGUGCUAUUUGAGCCCCAAAGUGUAUGUGCUAUGAACGUCCGUCGGAGAUGAGUAUGUGUAUGUGCAAUGAAAGUAUAAAAUCUAUGUGUGUAUGUGACUUCAUAUGAAAUACAAUCUUUAUAUGUUCCUUGUAUAAGGAGUAUAUAAGUUGUGUAGCAGCGCAGCAUCAACUGCUAUGCACCACCACUAGUCACCAGUGACUGGUUGUAAUACAAGGCCACCCGGUAGUGACAUAGCCCUUGUCGCCUCUCAUAAGUCAUCACUGACCGACCGACCGGUCAAUGAUGACUAAUCAUCAAUAGGUCAAAUGAUCGAUCAAUGAUGAGGUAGUCACCACUAAUGCAAAAUCACGGACGGGUCACUGGCGAGUCAGUGAUAAUGGUUUUUUCCCGAUCAACGCUUACUGGCUCUAUAGAAGUUAGUGUUCUCCCCUAAAAACAUCAUUCUCUUUUGAGUCAUCAAUUUAUAAUUUUGGUAGUAAAUCAUUCUAUUGAAAUCCUAGAACUCUACAUGGUUCAUCUAAUAAGAGUACUAAAGCAAAUGCUUAUGUCUCUGCAUGCUUGCAUAGAAGAGAAAUAUGUGCAUCCCCGCGGUUGCAGAAGUGUGGUGUACUCGUCGAUAGCCAUGCCUAUAGGCGGCGGUUCAGAGACGACGUGAAAAUGCCAGAAUGGUGGCGGUGGGGGGUAGGGGAGGUGGCUGCGACGACGGUGCCCGGGCGGGAGGAGGGAUCCAAGUGGGAACUCUAGCUUUGCUCAAGGCUAAGGUAGAACGAGGAGAGAAGGGGGAAGUCAUGGUUGUUUUUUGUUUGGGCUUAUUCUUGGCUUUCGUACUUUGGCACUUUGGCUUGUAUAAGCCAAAAACAAAAACACCUAGCCAAAGUGCAAAAUUCAAAAAGAAGCCCAACAGAAUACCUAGUGCUCUUGGCGGCAAUUUGACCGUAAUUUUGACCAGUCUGAAUGGACGUCCGAGAUCAAAGGAAACAAAGAUCAGAUGGCUGAAAGCUCUCGGCAUCUUUCCGGGUUAAAGCUUCAGAGGAUGUGGGUAGAGAACUAAAAAUGCAAAUUAUUAUUGAGUUGAUGAGUACACGGAGUCCAAAUUUCAAACUACCACCGACGACAUAUGUGAUAUGUGGUGCCGAAACAUAGCACGCAUGGUAGUGAUGCCCUUCACGGCGCUCCAGGCCAUGUCGCAGCACAAGGUAGGAAGUCCCUACCAACGAUCUCCUCUCCCCCUUUCGCUAUUCCGGAGGAUAUCGGUUAAGAAAGGGACGCGCAACCAUGGAUCAACCACCCCAGUAGCCAGUACGAUCCCAGGGUGAAGGACGAUGACAACGAAGGAUGAAAAACAGUGGGUAUUGGCUCUGACCUGUGACAACGGCAGAUGAGAAAGCAAAGUAGUACUCCGUCUGUAAAGAAAUAUAAGAGCGUUUAGAUCACUCUUAUAUUUCUUUACGGAGGGAGUAUGAUGUAGACCGGGCGGUAAGAACGUGAGCUGGUUGAAGUGUGAGGCGGGCAAAAGGGAAACUCCAAGGAAGAUCAAUGUCACUGCAAGUACUAUCAGAACCGAUUGGUCGAUCUGCUUAGCUAUCAGUGGCUAGCUUUUCGCCAGUCCGCAUGCCCUGUCACGUCUGCUAAGCUAGCCAGCUCAGGUCAAGGCCAUCCGCGCUAGCUUUCAGCUUUUGAAUUGCAUUUGAGCACUCGCUCUUAUAUUAUGAGACAGAGGGAGUACAUAGCUAGAUUAAUCACGUAGAGAAAUCAGGAAUACGAAAUACAACUGCAAUCUGUUCGGAAAUUCUGGUCACCCUUAUUUUUUUUGCGAAUAAUUCCGGCCACGCUUUACAUAUCCGACCGAGCUCACCAUAUAAUUUUGUGGACCACAUGAUAAUUCAUCGCGAUCAAUACGCAGAAUGAUAUAUACUAGUAGAUCGACAUAAUGAUCUCGGAGUCAGACUAUCGGUCUCCAACAGACGAAAAACACUAAUUUCCUUGUACCGGGAGUUGCCAGGACAGUGAUCGUCCUUGGAUCAUCAAAAUUGAUGAUGUACGCUCGGACUACAACGUCGCAUGUCGACGCAAAAAUCACAGAAGCUAAUCGUACGCAUGAUCGAGAGCACCACACUCAAACCAUGUCGCCCUCAGGAAAAGAAGGAAAGGAUCUGCUUCACCCUUCACGGAGUGCAAUUGGCAGAGUCACGCGUAGGUUCCAAGAGCUUGCUGGCUUGCAAAGCUAAGAGAAUAUGGUGGAUCAAGAGCGAGCGAGCGUACGUACCUAUCUUCGCCGCAGCCGAGCUUGGUGCCGGUGAAGGGCGUCCGGGUGCGGAUCAACUCGAGCAGCGUGGUCCCGGGGUGCACGUCGCCGCCGGCCACCUCGUACCGCCGCCCGUUCAGCGCGAACACCACUCUCUCCAGCCUCAUCGGUCGAUCUCCCUGGUCGCUCGCCGGCCGCCGGUCGUCACCGAUCGGUGGACUGCGCGCGGUGGGCGGGCUGCUACUCUGCUUCUGCUAUAUGAGACUGUGUUAUGAGCCGCCUUGCGAUCUAGGACGAUGUGCACGGCGCGGCGAUGGAGGCGAGCUGCUACCAGCAUUUUGAUUUUCGGUUUUGGGAUUUUUUUCGCCCCAGGCCGAGAUGGCCGAAUUUCGGCCAUUUUCAAAAAAUUUGGCUGAAAUUUGACCAAAAUUUGACUGAUAUUUGAUCGAAAUUUACCAAAUUUAACCAAUUUCGGCUGAAGAUAGAUUUCGCCUCAGGCCGAGAUGGCCGAAAUUCGGCCGAAAUCCCUUUUUUCGGCUGAAAAUCAAAACACAGGCUGCUACCUGGGAGUUGAAUGAAUGGGCAGCUGCGUGAAAGGCGAAGCAAUAAUGCUGUCCAGCCCAGACACGAAAAGGUCCCAGCAUUAAUUUUCUCUGUUGCGUUCGUAUUCCUGUAAAAAUACAAAGGCGAAAGAGACAUGAUCCUAACUGUAGAAUAGUGGAGGAAGAGGGAGAUCGCACCUUGGGUGCUCUCCGGUGUAUACUCAUGUAUAUAUAGCCGGUUACAACAGGGCGCAGGGGUGUGGCGACGUGCAUGGAUCGUGGGAUCGUGCAUGCAUGACGUGCGCAUGUACAGGGAGAGAGAGAGAUGGGUAAGCUAGCUACUGUUAACACCCCGCCACAGGUUGAGCGUCCGGUGGUCGGAUGUACAAGCUGGACCGGAAUUCCUCGAACGCCGGUGUGGGGAGCCCUUUCGUGAGAACGUCGGCGAACUGUUGACUCGUGGGCACAUGGAGAACGCGCAGUUCACCGAGUGCAACCUUCUCCCGGACGAAGUGGAUGUCCAACUCGAUGUGUUUUGUGCGACGGUGGUGGACGGGGUUGGCAGCCAUGUAGACGGAGGAGAUGUUGUCGCAGAAGACUACACUGGCUUUUCGAAGCGGUGUAGCAAGCUCGUCGAGAAGUUGUCGAAUCCAACAGCUUUCAGCGACGGCGUUGGCGACGGCGCGGUACUCGGCUUCUGCGCUGGAGCGAGACACGGUCGCUUGGCGUUUGGACGACCAAGAGACCAGGGCGUCGCCGAGGUACACCGCGUAGCCGGAAGUGGAGCGGCGUGUGUCCGGGCAGCCCGCCCAGUCCGCGUCGGAGUAGGCGACGAGGUCGAGGGAGGCGACGCGACGAAGAUGUAGUCCGUGGGUGGUGGUGCCUCGAAGAUAUCGGAGGAUUCGCUUCGCCAGCGCAAGGUGCGGAGCGCGGGGAUCGUGCAUGACGAGGCAGCACUGCUGCACCGCGUAGGCGAUGUCCGGUCGUGUCAUGGUCAUGUACUGAAGGGCGCCGACAAUGCUCCGGUACUCUGAGGCGUCGGGGACGGGUGCGCUGUCCGCAGCCGACAGUUUGGAGCGCGUUUCUACGGGCGUCGAGGCCGGCUUGCAGGUCUGCAUGUUGGCACGCUCGAGGAGUUCUUCAGCAUACUUGCGUUGCGACAAGAAGAACCCGUCGUCCGUGCGCGUCACAGCGAUGCCGAGGAAGUAGUGAAGUGGCCCGAGGUCUUUCAUCGAGAACUCGGUGGAGAGCAGACCUUGCAGUCGUCGUAGUAGAGCGGUGGACGACGCGGCAAGGAUUAUGUCGUCGACGUACAGCAGUAAGUAGGCGCCACCGGCGUCGCUUUGGAGCACGAACAGAGAUGGAUCUGCGCGCGAGACGGCAAAUCCGAUGCUGCAGGCGAACGCGGCGAACCGCGUGAACCAGGCGCGCGGCGCUUGCUUCAACCCGUACAAUGAUUUGUCGAGGAGGCAGAUGUGGUCGGGGUGGUCGGCAUCAACAAAGCCCGCCGGCUGCUGACAGUACACCUGCUCCGUCAGAUGGCCGUGGAGGAAAGCAUUGUUGACGUCCAUCUGGUGGACUGGCCAGCCCCGCGACGCCGCGAUGGUGUGGACGACACGGAUCGUGGCCGCCUUGACGACCGGCCAGAAGGUUUCGUCGAAGUCGACGCCGGGGCGCUGGGAGAAGCCGCGAACAACCCAGCGCGCCUUGUAACGCACCAGCGUGCCGUCGGCCUUGAGCUUGUGUCGAAACAGCCACUUGCCGGUGACGAUGUUGGCGCCGCGCGGCCGGGGUACGAGCCGCCGGGUAUUGUUCGCCAUCAGUGCCCUGUACUCCACCUGCAUCGCAGUCAACCAACAAGGAUCGCGCAAAGCGGCACGCACAGUCUUUGGGAUGGGUGAGAUCUCGUUAGACGUUGAAGUGGUGUGGUUCUGGUGGUAUUUGGGGUUUGGGAAGAACUUACCAGCCUGAGCACGAGUACGCAUGGUAUGGGUGGGCACUGGGCACUCGCGACCGCGAGCUGCAGGUGGUGCUGGUGAGGAGGGCAGGGGGGAGACGUCGGGGAAGGCAGAUGGAUCGACGUCGGGUGUGUUGGGCUCGGGUGUGGGGGGCGAUGGUGUGGCUGCCAUGGCAGUAGGCUCAGGUUGUUGCGGGGAACACAGGGGUGUGAGUGUAGCCACCGGUGGAGCGGGUGUAGCCACCGGUGGAGCAGGUGGCCGGACGGUGCGUGGUUGGCGCGGGACAUGUGGCAUGGAGUAAAUCUCGUCGGUGAGGGAUGGUGUGGUGGGUGUGUCUAUGGCGUUGUUCUCUUGGAAGGGAAAUGUGCCCUCGUCAAAAACGACAUGCCGUGAGAUGACCACACGCCCGGUGGCGCGAUUCUGGCAGCGAUAGCCUUUGUGUUCGUGCGAGUAGCCGAGGAAAACACAAGGCGCCGACCGGGGAGCAAGUUUGUGCGGGGUGGUGGCCGUGAGGUUUGGAUAGCAUAGGCAGCCGAACACCCGAAGGGCUGUGUAAUCUGGGUGGACGCCGUACAGAAGGAAGAACGGCGUGUGAUCGUGGCGGGGGCGACACGGGCGCCGGUUGAGGAGGAAGGUUGCCGUCUGAAGCGCUUCAGCCCAGUACGAGUAGGGCAUGUGAGCAUGGACAAGCAGCGAUCUGGUGAUGUCGUUGAGUGUCCGCAGGGCUCGUUCUGCGCGCCCGUUCUGGGGCGAGGUGUACGGGCACGACAUGCGGAGCUGUGUGCCAAGGGAGGAGAACAGGGCGCGGGAGGCGGCGUUCUCAAAUUCCUUGCCAUUGUCAGUUUGGACAGUGAGGAUGGGAAGGUUGAAUUGAGUGCGUGCAAAGUGAAAGAACGUGCGAAUGGCGGGAAGCACCUCCGAUUUGUGGCGUAAUGGGAAUGUCCAGGCAAAAUGGCUAUAAUCAUCGAGAAGUAAUAGGUAAUACUGGCAACCAGAGUUGCUUUGGGCUGGAGCAGUCCAUACAUCACAGUGCACUAAUUGAAAGGGAAAGAAAGAUACAUGAUCGGAUGAACCGAACUGGAGCCUAGUGCUCUUUCCUAGUUGACAAGCUUGACAGAUAGUGGGUUGGCUUGGGGUGUGGUCGACGCCCGAGAGACGGAGGGUGCGGCUGAGGGCAUCCCCGCCUGGAUGGCCUAGGCGUUGGUGCCACACAUCUCGCGAAGUGGCGGUGAGGGCGUGGUGACCAUGUGGCAGCGCAGGUGUGGGCGUCAAGGGAAAGAGGUCAUCAUCGGCGGCAUUACAACGGAGGAUCACCUUCUUCGUUCUUCGUUCCUUGACAGAAAAACCAAGAUCAUCAAAUUCGACAUUGAGAGGAUUGUCACGGGCAAGAGCUUUAACUGAUAUGAGAUUCCUAAUCAGGUGCGGGGAGACGAGGACAUUGCGAAGACAGAUGGGGGAGCCGCUGGUGGGAAUGGUGGUGCCCGGUGUGCGUGACCGCUAGCGUGCUCCCGUCGCCGACAAUGAUGCGAGAUGAACUGUAAGGGACUGAGGAGGAGAGCAUACCAGACGAAGACGCCAUGUGCGAUGUUGCUCCGGUGUCGAGGUACCAGUCGGCCGUUGGUGGCGCCGGCUGCUGCUGCUGCAUCGACAUGGAGUUCAGGGCGUGGAUGAGCGCAUUCUGAUCCCAGGAAGGACCAGGAGGGUUGGUGGAGUUGUUCGUCAGUGCGUCGUACAGGGGGUGAGCGGGCACGACCCCUGGUUGCCAGACCACAGGAGGUGCGUGCGCUGGAACGCCUGGCCCGGCGGCAUAGUGCGAUGCAGUGCCGGUGAACGGCGUGCUCCCACCGGGUCGGGGUCCAAGGACGCCGGCGCCAGGUGCAUGGAGACGCCAAGGCAUCGGCCAGGCGUGGACCAUACCGGUCCAUGGAGCCGCAGAAGGAGUGGGAGGGCGAGUCAUGUGGCCGCCCCCGCCGGAGUACGAGCCCUGACCCCCGCCGGAGUUUGAGCCCUGGCCCCCGCCGGAGUUGUUGGCCUUGCCCUUGCCCUUGUAGCGCCCGUUCCCGCCGCUGUUGCGCCCGUGGCCGCCAUUCUGCCCGCCCGAGCCGCUGCUGGUGUUGGGCACACGUGCAGCAUGCAGGGCAGUCUCAGUGUUGGCGUCGGCGGACAGACGACUCUCCUCGAGCAGCAGGAAUGCACGGCAUCGGAGGAACGCCGGGAAGGGAGUCUGCAUCGUCAGAAUGGGCACAGCGUAGCGAAAACGCGGGUGCAGACCACGAAACAUGUUGAGCACCUGGUCGCGGUCGGUGACGGGCGCGCCGAGCUCGGCGAGGCGAUCGGCGCAGUCCUUGAGCCGUGCGAAGAAGGAGAGGAUGGACGAGCUCCCCUGCUCGAUGCGGCGAAACUCGGUGGAGAGGAACACCACCUGGUGCUCAGCGUUCUCGAGGAAGAGGGUGCAGAUGGCCGCCCAGAGAACGGCGGCGGUGGCGCCGCGCUGGUGGACGAGCCCGAACACCUCUGGGCUAACUCGGUUGUACAACCAGGAGACGAGAUGAGCAUCGUCUUGCGCCCAGGCAGGGUCGCGGGGACGUGGCGGUCCGGUGAGGUGAUCUGCGACAGCGAGCUUCUGGAAGGUGACUUCGAAGAGGGUGCGCCAGUGGGAGAAGUUGGGUGGGUUCAGGGUGAGCACAAGAGGGACGUGCUGGUUGAUGAAGACGCCGGCGAGUGGGGAGGCGAGCGGCUGGUGCGUCAUGGAGGAGGAGGCCGUGGGGUCUGGAGCGAAGAGAGCCCCGUGGGCAAGUGCAGAUGGGGUGAGGAGGGGCUGGUGAAUGGUCUGAGAGGAGGGAGGUGUGACGGGCGAGCUGCCAGAGAGAGAGCCCGGACGUGGUGUAGGUGGGGAGGCGGCGGCGGCGGCGGCGUCGACAUGACGCCGGCGAGCGCAGGUUUGCGGAAGCGGAGUGGAGCGGUUUACAGGCGAGGGAGAAGCCCAGCGUCUGAUACCAUGUAGAAUAGUGGAGGAAGAGGGAGAUCACACCUUGGGUGCUCUCCGGUGUAUACUCAUGUAUAUAUAGCCGGUUACAACAGGGCGCAGGGGUGUGGCGACGUGCAUGGAUCGUGGGAUCGUGCAUGCAUGACGUGCGCACGUACAGGGAGAGAGAGAGAUGGGUAAGCUAGCUACUGUUAACACUAACUCCCGUCUCAGUCGAACGUGCAGUCGGAGGCUCACCCAGCACGGUACGGCAAACCGAACGUGGAUUUUUGGAGCACGGGUGCUUUAAAUAGUUUAAAAACACUUUGAGUUUCAAAAAAUUCUACAUAAUCAUAUGGAUGUAUACUGCACAUGUCUAAAGCUUGACGAUGAAAUAAAUAAACAUGUGAGCUAUACAAAAAUAAUAAAAUGUUGGUUUCUAAAUAGUGAAUAAUACGUACACGGUUCAGCAAACUUCAAAAUACACACCAUUGAAAAUAUAGGGCUCACUAGAGCUCGUGCACCAAACUUACUCUUUGCGCUCCUCCCUCCCCCUCCCUCUCUGCUAUAGUAGAUAGGCGACCGAAUCCCCAGCAUCGAACACUAGUGAGGCCGUGGGUUCUCCACCCCUCCGUCCAUCGCUGGAGGGGAGGGAACUGCAACGACCCAUCUUGUAAACCUGUUGGUCAGGAAUUGUAAGAGAACUUGCAAUCAUCAUGUAUCAUAAUGCACCUCAUAUCAUAGCUUAGCAUAUAGUUGCAUGGUGAAAAAACCCUCUAGGUUAACUUCGCAUUAUGCCCAAAUCUGCUCAUAAGUGAAUGUUGAGAAGAAAAUGGCAUCCAACUAAUGAAUGACCUGAUAUUUCCCCGAGUCCUAGAUGUCAUAACCAAUCCCUAGGACUGAUCUCAAAUUUUCUGGAUUAGUUUUGGUAUUUGAAUCAAAUGAUAAUUGUUCAGAUUCAAAAAUUGGUAGAAGUCUAAUUUAAUUGCUUGGUGGUGAUCCCCUUAUGAAAAUUCAUGAAAAUUGAUAUAUCGGGAUAAUAUGUUGUCCUUAACCUCCAGUAAAAUUAUCAGGACUUUUGGAAUCAUAUUUCAUCUACAUGCAAUUCAGACCCAAAUUUAGGGCAGAACUGAAUUUGAAUUUAAAUGAUAGCCAAAUACUUCUGAAAAAUCUUGAAAAUUUUCACAGUAGUGUGAAAUAGUAUGAUUGAAACCUGUACCUAGAGUUUUGAGCCAACAAAUGGUUAACUAGCCCUUUAAAAUCCAAGGAAUGAAAGGAAUACAAGAAAUAGAAGACAGGAGGGGCCAACCCAAACCAAACUGUGGGUCGAACCGGGUCUAGUCGGUCACCCCGACCUAUUUCUUUUUUUUUUUCUCUGUUUCUCAAAAAAAAAAUUGUCCUCUUUUCCUUUCCCCACUGACCAAUGGGGCCCGACGGGACCCACCAAUCAGGUUCCCUUCCAUCUCAUCGGUGCAACGUGCAGAGAGUUUGCCUCCAGGUCGAGAUCGGCAUUGGCACCCAGGGCACCAACAGAAACACACGUUGUCUGGACGCAAUCGUGGCCUCCUCGCAUCUUCCGUGAGCUCUCCCCUCUGCCUCCAUGUCCUUGAGCUCCACCGUCACGGCCGAUUUGGCGCAAGUACUCGAGCCGAUAUCGGCGUCGUACCCGGCUUCGGCGGACACCUCCACGGUGCCUUCGUCGCAACCUUCUUUCCCGAGCUCACCUUCUGCUCGUCUGAGCCUCGAGCUUUGACGAAUCCUCUCGACCAAGAUCACUUCUGCUCGUCUUCUUCUCAGGACGGCGCCUACCGCCGCCCGCUCGGGAUCCGCCGGCCGCCCCUAAGGCCAGAGCAUGCAACGCUCGCCAUCGAACUACCAGGUGACCUGUAGCUCCUGUAAGUCCACGACCUCAAUGCCGUGGAGGCCAUAGCAGCGGAGCAGCACCCGAGCCGCCGCCUAUGACCCCCAUACACCGGCGACACAGCGGCUAGCCAUGUCCUCCCUGGCUCGGCGUCGCCCCGGCUCUGCCUCGGACGGUGCCUCGCCAUCCUCUUCUCUUCGCAAAUCGAGUGACGCAAGUUUCAUUUUCAGACAACUUGCAAAUAGCACAUGGAUUACUAUUUAUAAACGUGCAUUUCAAAUGCAGGCCUGCCUUCAGGUUCAGUCAGGAAUUAUCAAUGCAAGUCUCAACCCAGAAUUAUUACAAAAGUGUGCAAGCACAACACUGAAUGUUAUAAACAUUCCGAACAACAUGUAUGCAAUUUACCAUUCAACGUCACGCAACACGACAAACCACACCACUCCUUCCGGUUGACAGUACCCCAUUCUUGUAUCAUGCCGCAGCUCGAGACUGAUGUGCAGAUAGGCUUUCCAAGUACUUAUCCACGAUGUCCAAACCACACAUUUCCUUCACGUGGGUCAUCGGCGCGGGGACGUCGAGCUGGAACGUGAGCUCUGAGCUUCCAAACUCCUUCCUUGCCGCUCGGAUGGCCUCUCUCACCGCGCAAUGGACCGAUGCUGCAAGAACCAGGGCAGGUUCCCCAGAGGCUGCCAGAGGCAGACUAGUUAAAUCACUUUAACAAAUGAAAUUUUCAGCCGGCAAAAUAGUAAAACUAUAUUCAUGUUGCUUCAAUUCAGGGAAAGCACAAUCCUACUACAUACCUUUUGACGAAAGAACACGGUUCUUAUGGUACCCAGUGUUGAGCACCUCAGCGUUGAACUGCUUCGGGAUGGUGUCUACGCUCGGGAUCUUGUAGACCCAUGUGCUGUCGCUCACAACCAGUCCAUCGGCAUUUGUUUCGUGUUCUUCGUUUAUGAAGAAACCGAUUCCUUGGAUGAAGGAGCCUUCAAUCUGUAAGAUGGAUGGUAGAGAUCAGAUAUGAAUAUAUGAUGCCAUCAUGUACUAUAAUGAAGAAAAAAUCUGACCAGGGCUGUAAUGUAAUGUACUUGCUCUGUUUCGAUGUAAGGCAUUAUCAAAUAAUAUCCGUGUUCACUACAAAAUGAUAAAAGAAGAGCAUAGCGCAGUGGAAAAUAUCUCAAACCUGGCCCAAGUCCACUGCAGGGUUCAAACUCUUUCCACAGUCAUACACAAGGUCGCUCCGUAGUAAAGUAAUAGCUCCUGUAAGAACAUCAAUCUCUACCUGAAUUUUCAGUAAAAAGUGAAAAGGAAGUCAGGAAAGUAUCACAAUAUCAUCCAGUAACUAUUGAACUAUGCUAGUGUGAUUGACAUUUAGCAGAAUAUUUCUGUACCUCACUUAUAGCAGCUCCAUAGUUCAGAUAGGUGCUGGAUUCUUGGCCAGGUACCCAGUAUGCACUUGAGGACAAAUUAACAUUAUCCUUAAUGGCCUAUUUGGGAAAGUGUUAGCAUGUAUAAAGAUAACAAUUUCCACACACAAACAUUUUACACUUAUGUAGCAUAAAAACCCUGAGGAAAAUAAAAAAAUAACCUGAGCAAUCAAAGCAUCCCAUGAAACAGCACCGCCGGAUUGCUGCUUGAGCUUCUCCAUGACUGGCUUUAAUCUGUCAACCAACAUGUUGCAGGCCUCAAGGGUUGCUGCACAGCUAGAUUCAGACGAAGUGCUGCCAGCAGUGAGUCCACCUUGGAUCAAGUUCAGCGUGUCAGCCUGAAGAAGACGCACUCUAUCAAGAAGACAUUCAGAUCCAUCAGGCCAUAACUGUCCCAACGCGAAAACUGUCAUCUGCUGUACUUUGGUCCACAGUCCCUGCCCAACCUCAACACCUCCAACCUCGACCACAAUGGAACCAUCGUUGAGCACAGAAACUCUUCCAGGAGCUGGCCUUGGUGCCACCUUGAAGAUGAGGGGCACACAAGAGAUACCCCUCUUCCGCCACUUGUUGCGGUUGUUAAAAUGCUUGAUGGAUUCAGCUCGAUGCAGGUAGCUUGACGUCGUGAGUAAUCUAUUGAAAAUAGAAUGCAAUGUGUACGUCGAUGCUUCGCCUGCGCUUUCUGGAUAGAACAACACAAGACUGUCAUAGGUGUGGAAAUUCUUCUGCCUGACAUUAUUAGCAUCAAGCGACAGCACCGAAGCGACAUGCUCGAUGAUAGCUUCAGCGAUAAAAGAUCCCUGCGUAUCUCCAGGAGCACGCAUUGUUGACUUGGAUGUGUUGUUUGUCUUACAGACCUUGAUGUCAAACGAGAGGGCACCCCAGUUGUAUUUCUUCAGGCCUGACAUCAUAUAGUCUGGAAUUAGGGGGCUCGCAUCUGGAGAAAUCCCAGCGUUGAUCAGAAUGUCCAGGUGCAAGGCUGUGAUUCUCCCAUUGGACUUGAAACCAACAGUGUAAUAUGCUUUUAUGGGGUGCCGGCCCCCGAUCAUGAUCAUGUCAGUACUGCGGUUGAGAUACAUCCGCACCGGACGACGUAACUUGAAGGCACAAAGUGCAGCUGCCGUUGCUAACUGCAAAAGCAUAUAUUGUUGGAUCACUGAGUAGCAACAGCUAAAAAUGGUCAAUGUUUCUGCUUUCUUGGAAGCUGAAUGAAUGGUAAAAUGAUGCUCAAAUGUGCAAACUUAUGUUAGAAGCUAUCACUAGAACUCUAAUCUACCGUAAAAAUAGAAAUCAUCUCUUCAUAAAAUGCAAUAUUCAUAAAAAAGUACUGUUAGAUUCUUUUAGUUGUAACACACAGGCUUUGAAUUUGUUGCCACUCUGUUGGACUGUUGUUCAUGAUUGUUUGUUUCUUACUUACAGUGUAUGAUCUGAAUGCCUUCCCACCAAAGCCUCCUCCAACCCUUCUUGUAAUGACACGCACAUUGCUGAAUGGAAUGCCGAGGCACCUCGCUAUGACACUCUGCGCAAGCUCAGGGUAUUGUGAUGAACUGUAGACUACAAGAGUGUUAUCUUCAUCUGGAAUCGCCAGUGCUGUUUGUGUUUCCAUAUAGAAGUAGUAUUGAGAGGCAAGUUUCACCUGCGAUCAUCGAAGUCAUACAUAUUAAUGCAUGCCAUGUGGUGUUGAAAACAGAGACCAUCGAAAAUCAAAUUUAAACGUUUGCGUUGUUAAGUAUAAGAACUUCCAUUCACUUUUGAGCAAUGCAUGAGAUGUCAGUAUGAAAAGGUCUCGCGGUGUGUAGAAUUAACAUACUUCUGUCGCGAGGAUCUUGUGAUCAGCUUCCGCCAUGCCCUUCGAAAAAUCACCAACUUGUUUUGGAUACCUCUCAGGAGGAACUUCGAAAUAACUAUUGUUCUGUACAGCCUGUUCUACAGUUAAGAUUGGUGGCUUCAAAUCUUUUGUGUCAUAUUCAACAACGACCUGUUUGCCUGCCAAAUUGGCAUAUCUCUGAGUCUCUGCAAUCUGAGGUAAAGUACACAUUUUAAUGGUAUCAGUAUUGAAGAAAUACACAAUAACAAUUCAUUGUAAUAAGUUUGUGACCAGGGCAAAAGUUAGCUAAUGGUUACUUGUAACCAGGGAAAAAUUGGCACUAAUUAUUAAUUAGUUUAAUUUAAAAAGAUUACUCUCGGUGUUUAAACUAAAUACGAGCAUAUUAUGAUAAAAUGUGACAUGAAUACAUUAUAUUUUUGCAUAUCCACUAACGUUGAUUUUUAGUAAGCAAUUUUGUUAUGAAAGAAAUGGAGAUACAAGCGCACCACAGAAAAUUUCCGUGAGCGUUUGAUUAACCCAAUCUAAUAUAGAUUUUGUUAGGGUAUUUUAUAAAUGAAAAUUUGGAUGUACAUAUAUAGAUAUAUCUUUUGGAUGACAAUGUGUGAUAUUAGGGUUUAUUAUUUUAAUGUGUACAGAUUUGACCCUCCUAAUUAAAAAUAACUUCUUCCUUAAGAUUAACAACCUUAUUUUACAGAGACUAAUGAAGAAAAUCCCAUUUAUAAAUUGACUUUAUUUCACAAGAAUUUAUUUUUGAGUAAACAUUAAAAAUAUGAAAAGAUAAGUACCACGACACCAAGGGCUUGCCCAGCAUACUCAGCGACAGGAGAACCAAAGAGUGGUUCGUCCCCAAACAAGAAGCUUGAUCCAAUAUUUUGCCCUCCACUUGGAAUAUCCUUCGUGGAAACAACCGUGAGGACCUUCUCUGAUGCUAAAGAUGGCUUGAAUUUGAUAUUCUUGACAUAUGCAAGAGGCUGUGUGCUGUAAAUAAACUCUCCAUAGAGGCAAUUUUUUGGAGCAGGAAUAUCAUCUACAUAUACUGCCUCCCCUGCAGUACAGAAAAUUAAAGGAAGGACAAUUUGGAGAGGAAGAGAACUUCUAGAUCCCAUUAAUAACUUUGAUGAUGUAAGCUUAUUAAACACAUACCAGAAGCUUGAAGCUCAACUGCGUACUUUUUAAUCGGCUCGCCAACUGGUUUAUGAUCAUCACUGGAAAUUGCUUCUCGACGCGAAGACAAUGGAAGGCUACAGGGAUCAUCUGUAUCUGAAGAACUAGCAGAACCAAUGCUCAGAGUCUUUCCAGGCCCUUUGAUUCCUUUAGCAAAUGGAGACAGGAAACUGAAGAGAAAUCCAACAGCCACACUGACUCUGUAUUCAGGAUGUGAUGUUCCUUCCAUUGGUACAAUUGUUUCUCUAAGUAACCGAACUGCUUCGAGCACAACAGAUGGAGUGAGCACUUUUCCAUUCAGGUGUUGUUCAACUUUUGUUGCUCUAAUGGCAUGUUCCGUCCCAUAGGCACCAAAGGCCAUGUGUAGGUUACUCAGCACAAGAUCACCACAUGAUUUCUGGGAGACAUGGCCCAGCAUUGCAGAGUUAAUAUAUGAAACCGCAUUGCCAAGAGGGCGCGGCGCUGCUCGGUAAGUUUCAAAGAUCACCUUACUUUCUUUCUGAGAAUCUGAAGCCCAAUGUGGAAUAAAUAUGCUUAGGAGCAAUGUACUGGGAUCACUAGGAGGCAGCUCCAGAAACUCUUCCAAAGUAACCUCUAGUGUUUCUGAAUAAACCUGAAGAAGAACAGUUGAAGCAGCACCGAGAAGUAUGGUCGCGAUGUCCGAGGGAAAAGGGUAUUUCUGUGCUAGAAUUAUGUUCCCACCAAUGCUUGCUGUGUUACGGACAAACGGUGAGGCCACCUUGCUCAUGUGCUCGGAGAGUUUUCUGAAAACCACACUUCCAUCUGGAGAUGAUUUAGACCCGGCUUCUUGCUCAAGUAUCUCGAUGGUCUUAGAAAUUGGUGUAGCUGCUCCAAUUUCAAUACCACUGUCUUUCUUCCAAAUAGCUGAAAGCUCUGGAAUGUCACCGAUGUCAAUAUACUUGUUAUAUAGAUCCUGAUCCUUGUAUCCCUUUACACCAGAACUUGUGUUCGCGACAACCACUUUAACUGUGCAGUCACUGAACAAGCCAGAGUUCAACAAAUCAUAAUAUUGCUUGAUGCUUUUAAGAUGAUACCAACCCUCCUUGGAGAUCGUAACAUCCGAAUCAUCAUUUAGAUGAUGAAGCGAAGAUUUUAUUUCGGAUUUCAGGAAGUCCGGGAAAGUGCAGACUCCGCCGCCAAGAGUGUAAGCUGGCAACUUGCUAACGUCGGCGUGCUUAUCGCCUUUCUUCCAGAAUACAUUGAGGCCCAAAUCCUCCAGGUCAACAUCUGAAGCAAAACUUUUGCAGGCGUCAACAAUCGGCCUAUAACCGGUACAUCUACACAUGUUGCCUGAGAACGCUCUUUCUGCUUCGGACACCGUCAGCUUUGAGAAACCCUUUUGUGGUUCAGGCUUGUUGGAUUUGUCGGCAUUGGCGAGAGAGGUGAAAAUAGACAUGCACAUGCCAGGAGUGCAGAAGCCACACUGGGAAGCAUGGAACCCAGCCAUCCUCUUAUGGAUGGAAUGGAAACCAUCUUUGGUAUUUCCCAGGCCUUCGGUGGUGAUGACUGAGCAGAGAUUUAUGUUGUAGAGCAGAGUCAAGCAUGAACUUGCAGAGAAUUCAGUGACUUCAUCUUUUGUUGGAUUGUAAGUUGCUAUAAGGACUACACAAGCUCCACAUCCACCUGCAAUAGAGCACAACGAUACAGUUAUUCAUGGGAUGCUAUAACCGCCUUUUCUCGGGACAAUAUAAACAUAAUAUUGAUCUGGAGGAACCGGCCGAACUGAAAGAACCAGGCGUUAUGUGAAAAUUGAACAAACAUAACCAAAUUUACUGCUAGUUAUUUAUCCCAAUUUGGUUCGGAUUCUUAUUCCAAAAUCUGAACUCCCAGGUAAACAAAAACAAUGACAGCAGUGAAUCAUAUGGAUGGAAACAUAUACACGAUAAUGUCGGUGCGCAAACCACGGGCCGUAUGAAUCAUAUAGUGCCAGAUUAUAAAAAAUAUUUGCAUAGGAGUGAAACACUAUUAGUACAUGAACUUGCCAGGGGUGUUAUGUUUAGUACAUCAGCCUAGAAACCAGUCAAUUUCAGAAGUGAAACCUACUGAUGCAGAGCAAAGCAUAUCUAGAAAUCCUCCAGAAACUGUUUCCCCCCUGUAUCAGAGGUGCAGAGACCCUCACCGCCCUUGUCGCGUAGGACAUGUGGUGCGCCAGCGGCAUCUGAGGCCGUGUCCUCUCGCUUCACACUCUAGAUCGCCUCCGGCCAUGGGUUGGGUCAGAGGGGGAGGCGGGGGAGAGAAAUGGGAAGAGAUGGGAGAGUGAGGGGGAGGGGAACCGAAAAGAGAGACACAGUGGCUCGACGGAGAUAGCGCCGGAGCCGGGGAAGACGUGCGGCGGCAAAGCUAAACUGGGGAUUUGAGGGCCGAUUUGGGAAAUUUGGGUACCGUUUUCACUCUCUGAGGUGGUGAGGGGCUUCUGUGUAAGAUUCCUGCGAUUUUGUAAAAUAUCGCUAUAGUUGGUGGGUCUGUUUCUAAAUUAACAUCACUAACAAAUUUACGGUUUCAAUGUAUUUUACUCUUUUCACAAACUUCUGCAGUAUUGCAUUAGCAUCCGCAGAGAUUGUAAUAAUGAUACUUGUGUCUAAACCAGGGAUUCCGUGAUCUUCAAAAACUCUCUUUCAUCGAGCUGGUGUAAUCCAUUUAAAAAAAAAAAAAAUCAAGCCGAAUUUUGAAUAGCUUUCCCUACGUCUUUGUUGAUCGAAAUGCUAUCAUGUCAAAUGCUACCCACCACUAAUGUGUUUAAAUUGUCACUUUGAAUCCUUAGCUUAAGAGAUACUACCUCUGUUUCAAAAUAAUAAAAGUUCUGGAUUUGUCCUAAGUCAAAAUUGUUAAAUCUGACCAAGUCUACAGAAACAUAUAUUAACAUCGAGAACACUAAAUUAGUCUCAUGAGAUUAUUUUUGUACUAGUGUAUUUGGUGUUCUAGAUCUUGCCAUAUUUUUCUAUAGAGUUGGUCAAACUAAGACAAGUUUGACUUAGGGCAAACUAGAACUUCACUUAUUUUGAAACGGGGGUAGUAACUCACUAGGUCUUGUUCUAAAAUGUAGGACAGACUUGCAUUGGCUCAAUGUAAGUUGUGGAUGUGCAGAACUUUUGAGGGUUUUGAGCCUAUGAGGAGGAGGGGCCGUUACCAAUGGCGCUGCUAAUAGCAGGUCAGCCGGGGAGGAUCUCAAUCUCAAUGGCGUGGUUGCUGUAAGUUCUAACACACUCAUCGAGCUAAGGAAUUGGUGGAGUGGUAGACGUUGGUUCACGCUAGACGGGGAAUAUAUUGUCCAGGUGGAUCGAGCGAGGUGCAAAAGUGCAUGGCCCCACUCGAUGGGGCUGGUGCUCCAAGCUGUGUCGCACUAGGUAGGUAGGAAGAUGAAUGCCGACCAUAACAAAUCUAGCUCGGCAGGCUUCUAUCCCAUGCAGUGGCGGAGCUACAUUGGGGCCAGUCCAUAUCAUGGCCCGCCCAUCUUUUAGAAAUUUUUAAGCUAUACAUUUACUCUUGAGCCUUGGACCAACAAAACAUAGGCUAUUCCCCUUUUGUUUGACCCUCCUAGCCCGCCCAGCACUGGGCUUUAAGCUUGAUCAUUGAUCCGAUGACAUCCCUACAUGGAGGUGAUCCUAUUUCGCGCGUUCGCUGAAUAGCAACCUACUCCUUCCGUUUCAAAAUAGAUGACCCAACUUUUAACUAACUUUGUACUAAAUUUAGUACAAAGUUGGGUCAUCUAUUUUGAAACGGAGGGAGUAUAUAUAUUGCAUAUCCCCCCUUGGGUGUGCCCCAUCCUAGUUAGCCCAUUCUGAUUUUUCUUCCGACGGGUUUUGGGAAGGUCCUAGAACCAUCGUUGAAUCGUUUUUUUUUCUCUAUUUUCUUCUGGCUUUUCCUUUCAUUGUUCAUUUAUUCCUUUUCUUCUUCUUCUUUUUCCUUUUCCUUUUUACAAGUCCACAAACUUCUUAUCAAACUUGUAAAAUUUCAAAGUCGUGAAGUUUUUCAAAUCAGCGAACAGUUUUUCAAAAUCAUGAACUUCUUUGAAAAUCAUGCACAUUUUUCUAAAAAUUCAGAAUAAACUCAAAUUUGUCAUUGUAUUUUUGAAAUACAUGAAUGAUUUUUUAAUCCGAGAAGGUGUUUUAAAUUAGUUAACAUUUUCAAAAUAUUAAAUAAAAAAAAAUUCAAAUUCAUGUUUUUUAAACUAUAUACAUUUUCCAAAUUGAUGAGAUUUUUUGAAACUCGCAAGCAGUUUUUGAAUUGGCAAACAAUUUUUAAGUUGGCAAUUAAUUUUUUGAAAUCCGUGAAAAUCUUAAUGAAUUGCGGAUAUUUUUUUUAAAAAAUUUAAAAUUGUAAUUUUAGAACAAGGAUCAUUUUCUAAUAUCAAAAAAUUUCUUAAAUUUUUUAACGUAUGAUUUUAUAAAUUUUAAAAAUAAAAUUUGUGAAGAUUUUACGGAAACCCCAAUUUUGUAAGAAGCAAAAAGUAAAAAAAAAGAAGCGAAGAAACAAAGAAAGGAAAGAAAAUGAAAAGGAAAAACAGAGGCGCCCCAUCCCGCCCAUGGGGCUUGCCCAAAGAGCGUUUGGGGGACUAGCGGCGCACUAUGCGCGCAAUAGGAGGUCCCCCCUCAACCUGGCCCAAUCCAGAAUCGUUUCUAGUUCCUCCUCUCCGCCUUACGCGCUGUUCCUGCAAGCCUUGCAGGGUACUCCCUCCGUCUUAUAAUAUAAAAACAUUUUUCAAGUUGUUUUAGCUUGAAAACGUUCUUAUAUUAUGGAACGAAGGGAGUAUCAAUUAGUUGCAGAUUAACAGCAUAUACGGAGGUGCUCAGUCAGCCAUACGUAAGCGCUGCCGCAUAGGAAUUUUAGUGAUGUGACAGAAAGGCGGGAAAUGAGAGAAUGAGAGGAAGAGGACUAUAAUGUAUAUUAUCAUCCGUGCAUGCCACGAGAAAGGGACGUGCCAUCUUUCCAACAAUCAACCACCUAAUAACUAUCCAACUGUGGAGGAUUGACAACAAAUGCGUAUUGGCAUAAAACGAAACAGUGUUGGUUAUGACUCUGUGACAAGGACGUAUGAGAAAGCACGUUCCACACUGGAAUGUAGAAUCGUGACUCGUGAGCUAUGGCCAAAAUGGAAACGCCAAGGAAGAUCACUGUCAGCCUGUCACUGCAAAUAUGAUCGUAACCACCGACCGACCGGCUUAGCUAUCAGUGACCGGUAGUUCAACACUUGACGCGAAGUCUAUGUUUUCCGUUGGUAUUCCUUUUCAUUUUUGCAAUCAAGGUACGUAAGGUACAUCAUUUUUCCUGUAUGAGUGCUCUAAUAAUGCUGCCAGAGUAGACCAGAGAUUCAUGGCCGGUAUAAUGGCUAGUCUGUAAUUUUUUGUAAACUCUUCUUAUUUGGUGAGACCUGGCAAAGCAUUUACAUCUGUUUCAAAGAAAAAAUGCACUUCAUUAGAUGAAUCACUUGCAUCUAUGGUGAAACCAUGAACACUUACAAUUUUGCAAUUUGUUAACUAGUAGUAUUUCCUUGCACCUUAGAUCGGCACCCGAGCACACCACAGCUGGAUGUACCCAAGCACCGACACCAAUCGCUUGAAUGUGACAUUAUGAGGGUAGAUGCAUGGAGUUAAAUUUUGAAUAGUAAUUGAGUCAAUUACACCGAUGGUGCUUGAACUUGGUGCAAACGGUCACUUUGGUGCUAGAACUUGUGGCAUACAUCGAACUGGUGUAACAAGUUGGCUCGGGCGUGCAAAUACGGUACAAACCUUGGCUGUGUACGCCCGGGCCGCUGAUUAGGCACGCCAACAUGGCAUGGGUCCCGCCGUCAGUGACCCGAAGGCAGACAGGAGGGCGUGUGGCCAAUUUUUUUGUGUAAACCCCCUUGAAUUAUUAUUUUCCCUCAAAAACGCCCUGUCGACGUUGCAAGAUGGCAUUUCAUUUUUUCGACUCUAUAGCCAGUGGGCCCCGUGUGUACACACUGAGAAUUAUUAACAAGAAAAAACGAAGGCCUCCACGUCUCGAACAUGCGACCCUUGCCCAUGUCACAGUCUGGCUGCUACACCAUUCAGUCUUCACAACUUCAGAUAAAUUUUUGUAUUCAUCAAUUUGAAUAUUAAAUAUAAGCAGCACAUGUAUAUUUUUCUAUUAAAUAAACAUUUUAAAUGUCCAUAUUUAAUAAACAAUUUUAUAUAAUAGAUGUGUGUAUGUUUAAAUAUUUUUAUCUACUAAUCAUUGUUUGUAUGUCUAACAUUUACAAAAAAUAAAUAUUUGAACAUUAUUUUAAUUACUUACAUUUCACAAAUAUUUCAAAAAGAAUUAGCGCGUGCAAAUGGGCUGCACUAUCUGCAGCCAAUUUAAGCCCCACAUGUAUCUUCCUUAUACUACAUUAACAGUUGUUAUCCUUGUUAGACAUCCGAAUGUAAUUGAUGCAGUGGGUAUGAGCACGAGCGCCCUAACAGUAGGUCGUCGUGUUGAAUUCUCAAAAAAAAAAGGUCACGUGUUGGAGUGUAGGAGUCUAUCAUAUUCCCUUUUAAUUCCCGCCAAAAAAACAUUUUCCCUUUUAAUUUUCUCGUCGGGACUCACCUGUCAUACAACAAACAAAAUAAAAUACCAUCUACCACGUGGACAGGGUCUUUUUUGUGAGAAAUAAAAAAUGUCGAGGUUUUUCUGCAAAAAGAAAAAAACAGGCCACGCACUUCUAGUCUCUGACAAAGGGCCCCACGCCACGCUGGCGGCCAAGUCAGCGUUGAUUUCGUAUCCAAGUGCGGUUAGCACUGUAUUUGCACACCUGAACCAAGUUGUUGCACCAGUUCAAUGUAUGCCACAAGUUCUAGCACCAAAGUGACCGUUUACGCCAAGUUCAAGCACCACCGAUGUAAUUGACUCAUAGUAAUUCGACUAUUUGCUUCUCAAGCUUAGUGUGGCAUUUUGUGGACCAUGGAAUAAAUGAUCACUCAACCAACCAUAUUCCGUACCUCGAAUCUGGACGUGAUAUGUGUUACAAUCAGUAGGACCUACUAAAAGUAGCGAUCACUUUAGCCCAACACAUUUCGAAGUUUACAAAAUUGAAUUAUGUUGAAUGAUCAUGUCGAAAUAGACAUGAAACAUGUUCGCCGACAUAGUGAUCUUGGUGUCAGACUAUUGGCCGGUCUCCAACAGACUGAAACAUCACUUUCCUUUUAGUGGGAGUUCACGACGACAGUGAUCGCGCUCGUAACUAAAUACUCCCUUCUUUCCAAGUUUAUACUAAAUUUGUUCUUUUUAGAAAAGGAGGAAGACCCCCGGCCUCUGCAUUUGGGUGAUGCAUACAGCCAUUUUAUUAAUUAUUCUCAAAAGACCUUACAAAGAAAUACAUCAGUAAGUCUGAAGUCACCGUCUAGGCAACAUCUAUCGCUACUCCUAUCCAUUUGAUGAAGAGAUGCUGAUAGUCUGGGCCUAAUACCAAACAGACCUCGCAGCCAAACCUAACAUCUAAGACUUGAGUUCCCAUCCAGGACGCCUGCCGGGUAUGGGUCAUCCACCGGUCCGGCGCACCCCUCAACCAGGACGCCUGCCGGGUAUGAGGCCGCCGCAGCCACCUGCCACCAAUCCAUCUUCAGAGAUGUACUGCUGCAUCUACCUUGCCCGGUCUAACUGUCGUCGACGCCACCACGACGCCAGACAACGCCACCAUCCUGCGCCCGUCCAUCAACACACGCCCAGUAGCGAGACCCCGCUGCUCCAUGCCGCUGAGACCCGCCAUUGUCGGCGUGUCAGAUGCAACGCCGCUCCUCCUUCGCGAACACCACCUGCUACCACUGGUCCUAUCCCCUCCACCUGUAGAUCCUCUGCACUCCCAACCGAGCCCCAGUGCCCCUGACGACACCUCCAGAAAGGUCACGACACAAAAAGCGCCGCUGCCGCCAGAUCCGAAAAGGAUUGAAGGUUUUCACCCGGCCGGGGAUCGGGGUGGGUAGAUUGGGCCUUCAGCUGCGCCUUCAUGAAGGAAAGCGGCGCCCAUGGGCAUCGCCGCCGCCGGGCCGGCUAGACUAGCCAAGGUUUCCCCCGGACCCAAAAUACACCACCAGGGCUCACCACCACCGGAGCCUGCAGCCGCAAACCACCGGGACGAUGACAGAGGCAGCAGGAGAAAGGGGAACCUCCAGAUCUGACGCAACGGAGAACCGCGCCAUGGCCGGACUCCACCAGCGACCCGCCACCCGCGCGGCCGAGUACGCUGGCCAGCGUCGCCUGCAGACAUCUCCAGCCGCCGGACGCCGCCGCCUCGCCGAUAGGGCCGCCGCCCAAGGAUCCGCAGGCCACCGAUGCGAUACUCCGGCCCGCAGGCCGACGGGAUCGAUCCGGGCGCCGAGAUCCCCGCCGCCACUUUCCCCGGCGUCCGCGCGGGCUUUGCCGGCAGCCGUCUCCGGCGGCGGCGAGGGACGAAGGGGGAUGAGGGGAGGCGGGCGGCGAAAGAUCGGAUCGCCCCCGAGUCGCCAGGGCCGCGUCUCGUACGCAAGUAUCUCGUCAUACUAAAUUUGUAACACUUAUUUUGAAGCGAAGGGAGUAUAAAGCAGAUAAUGAUGUACGCUCGGACCACAGCGCAUGCAUGUCGACGCAAAAUGACACAAGACAUAAUUCAAGUGUGUACUCUCCCAGCACACACACGACCGACAGCACAACGCUUGAGCGAUGUUGGUCUGCUUUGCGUUCGUGCUAGCAAGAGAAUGGUGGAUCAAGAGCAUGCACCUUCGCCGCAGCCGAGCGUGGUGCCGGUGAAGGGCGUCCGGGUCCGGAUGAACUCGAGCAGCGUGGUGCCGGGGUGGACGCCGGCGCCGGCCACCUCGUGCCGCCGCCCGUUCAGCGCGAACACCACCUUCUCCAGCCUCGUCGACCCCAUCGCCGCUUCGCCACCGCCCGGUUGCGGCGAUGUAUGGGUAGCUACUCUGCCUGGCAGGCUAGGACGCGCACGGCGACGCGUGUGUGUGAUGGAGAACGUGGUGGGCGAGCUGCUGCUGCUGCGCUAUAGCGAGGGAGUUGAAUGCUGUCUGCCUACUUGCGUACGUGACGCGAGUGCUGGCUGCACGCCUCCGCGUGGCCUCCAGCGUCACCGACGGGGACGGACAGCGCGGCAUGGCGGUGAUCCGGCCGGUAGGUGCACGUGCAGUGCGAGCGGUGCCGAAGCAGUGCUGUUUGGACAAGAAAACGUCGCAAUAUUUUUUUCUGCUGCGUGGAUAACGAUCCUUGUUUUCUUGAGAUAGGGAACCCCUCAUGCCUCCUAGCGCGCCUUCGUCGGUUGUCAACAUGGAAGCGGCAAGAGAUACGAUCUUGACUCCCACUUGAAAACGUUAUCUGCUUUCCUUGCAGAAAAAAAAACGUGAUCUGAUAUUCCACCGUCGUCUCUUCCUCUGAUCCUCUCUCCAUUUGAAAAAAGAGAUUCCUCAUCAACGUGGAGCAAGCAAAGCUUGCGGCGUGGAGUCUGCAUAGUCUCUUUGUAUGUCUGCCCGGGAAAAGAAAUUUUGUCACGUAUCAACUUUGAUACGCGUGGAUACCGUAGGAGGUCGUCAACUUUGACUCUCAAUCGGUUAAGUAAUUCUCGCGACGUCCGAUUGUCACUAACAAGUUCUUCCUCCCCGACAUGUUCAUGUCGAUGAGAUUAAAUCUACCCUUCAUAUUCAUAGUGGUUCUAGACGUGAUUGUAUAACAUAUUUUUUUUAUUGUGUACUAAAUUCCCUUUAAAUCUGAGGUUGAGCUCUCACGCACGCGUCACGCCCCCUCGUUGCCCCCGCCCUCGACAUAGGCCACACAGACACACCUGUCACACACGUGGUUGCCCCCGCCCUCUGUAACAUGGGCCAUGUUGCAAAUCUUAGAUGAGCUCCCACAAGAACGGACAUGUCAUGCACGCGAGGCAGCGAACGGCACGACAAAAAUCAGUCCCUAGCCUUUUCCUUAGACGUAAAUAAAGUUUGGGCUAUGAGCAACUACAGCUCAAUCAACCCUUUGCGUACCUUGCAUCUGGAUGUGAUAUAUGUUACAUCAGUAAGACCUACUAAGUUGCGAUCGCUUUAGCCCAACAUAUUUCAAAGUUUAUAAAAUGAAUUAUGUUGCACGAUCAUGCUGAAAUAGACAUGAAACAUCGUCGACGACAUAAUGAUCUCAGUGUCACAUCGGCCGGUCUCCAACAGACUAAAACACCAAUUUCCUUGUACCGGGAGUUCAGGACGCCGGUGAUCGUGCUCGUAAACAUAAUAAAUAUUAAAUAGACGUACGUCUUUGGAUCAUCAAAAUGACGAUGUACACUCGGACCGCAACGCAUGUUGAAGUCACACAAGGCAUAAUUCUAGUGUGUACUCGCUUUCCUUUUUUGAAACUUUCAACGGGGGAAGAGAGCCCCUCACCUGAAUUUCGUUUCAAAGGUCGCGCAAACGCAAGAAAAAAAAUCUGGUAGUUCUUGGCCGUAGGAUGAAAUCGGAGAGAAAAUUAGUACUCCCUUUGUAAAGAAAUAUAAGAGCGUCUAGAUAACUCACUAUUUUAGUGAUCUAAACGCUUUUAUAUUUCUUUACAGAGGGAGUAGUUCCGAAGGAACCAGGACAAAGGGUUUGAGCUCAAGUGGAAGCUCUGAAUUGUGCACUCAUGAUCGGCAGUACGUAUACUACACUCAAGCGAUGUUGCCCUCAAGAGAGAAAAGAAAGAAUCUUCUUCACGCAGGUUCCUAGAGCAAAGCCAGCUAGAGAAUGGCGGAUCACGAGCGAGGAAUGCACUGCAUGCGUAGUAUAGCAUGAUGAGCGUACGUACCUUCGCCGCAGCCGAGCUUGGUGCCGGUGAAGGGCGUCCGGGUGCGGAUGAACUCGAGCAGCGUGGUCCCAGGGUGCACGUCGGCGCCGGCCACCUCGUAGCGCCGCCCGUUCAGCGCGAACACCACCUUCUCCAGCCUCGUCGACCCCAUCGCGCGCCACUUCGCUGGUCGCCACCGCUCGGUCGACCUCGGCGGGCGAGUGAGCUAACCAGAAAUGGUGGAUUGAGAUGUCUACUAUAUGAGGAGGUACUCAGCUUGGCAAGGACGUGCACUGGGAUGUGAGUGAUGGGGGAACGUGGUGGGCGAGCUGCUGCUGGCCGCUAUAGGGAGGGAGCUAGUUGGAUGAAUGCUGGUCGUCGGCCUCGAUCUGUUGCCUCUUUACUUGCGUGACGGCGAGUGGUUAGCUGCCCCGGCGACUCGGAGCGCGGGGAGGAGAUCGGGCCAGCGUCACCCGACGGGGACAGCCACGAUACGGGCCGCGAUCUGAUAGGUCCUUGGACGUGCACGGCACGUGCAGUGGGAUGUAACUACUGAAGCUUUGCUGUCUACUAGUCUAGACACGAAAAAGUCCCAACAUAUUUUGUUGCCUCCACGUUCGUGUAAAAAUUGACGCGAAAGAGAUAUGAUCCUAACUCCCGUCCCGAUCAACCUGCUAUCCCGCCCGCGUCUCUUCCUCUGUCUGUCAUCACUCUCAAACUGAAGAAACUGGAUGAUUCCCCGCGCAUUGCCUUGAAAAAUAUUAAGAGACGUGUAGGUAUACAAUACUAUUAUUUGUGCAUCUUAGAGUUUCUUUUGUUAAGUUAGCAACCUAACUGUUUGAUUUUUUUAAAUAAAUUAAAUUAAACUUUCCAAUGAAAAAGAAAUCACAAGUGAGACCGUCGGAUCAAUAUCCGGCAUUUUUAAAUUUCAUAAACGUAUCUACAAAAAAGUCUUGUAGCAUUGUAAAGUUUUUCAAGAGUUUUCUCAGUAAAAUAGACGACACACCUGGCAAUACUUGUAUGCACGCAUUGCCUUGUUCAAUUCAUAUUUUCACUUUUUAAUGGAACCUAACGAUCAAUAUCUAUUGCUAAUUCCAGUGAAAUUUUCAUACCACAUGAAUAAGAUGGAGUGCUAAUGACAUGAGUUUGUCUAAAAUGUAUAACAUGGAUAAUCAUGUCACUAAUUAUGAUGUGCCAGACAUGUAUGACAUGCGUGAGUUGGAAAAUUGAGAAAGCGCAUGUUGUAAGAAUUAAAGGUAUUGAAUAUGGUGCAUAGCCCCCCAAAAAAACUUAUAGAUGCUGACAUGGCACACUUGAUGAGGUGAAAGGCUACUUAUAAUGUGGAUGAACUUUUUAAGAAUAUAAUACAUAUGAUAUAGGAUAAGCAAACUGCAAAAUGGUGUUUAGCUACUCGCGUGUCCAUGUAUAGGAUCCUUUUUGCCGAUCUGGCAAUUUCCAUGUCCAUGCAAAUUGCUUUUUUACAAUUGCAACACACACAUACUCAUCCCUAUGAAUGGAAGCACAUACGCCCUACCCAUAUGAAUACCUCAGAGAUACUGAGCAAGCACACCAUCUUACUGUUGACGAAGUCAUCACAGACGUCUCGUAGUUGAUGGGAACGUCUCUUCUCACUUUACAAAUAUCUACAGAAAACCUGAAUAAACCAGAAAAAUGUGAGCACCGGCACCAAGUCUAGGACUUAAACUCUGGUGGGCUUGUUCCACCACAAGGAAUUUAACCAUCUGAGCUACACUCAUUUAAAAAAAAUUUCAUUCACCGGACUUUCUCUAGUGAUAAGUGAACUACUUGGACUGACUUCACCUGAUCCAGUGGUUAUAUCAAUGACACGUCUAUGAGCAGGUCGUUAUGGCAUAUAUACUGAGUUAAUGACCACGUGGCUUAUAAUUUACUUCUGCCUACCCUCUCAAAACAGACUGGCGCCAUGCUUUCUAAUCAUAACCAUAUGGCCAAACAACACAAAGUGUUCAUGAAGCCCACUUACAAAGUCAAAGAAAAGCCAGACAAACAGGAAGACGACGCAAAAUAACGCACAACACAUGCACUUUCAGACGCUGCCCUCUUGCGGGCAAGCAUGAGCAUAUAACGAUGCCUGCACGUUUAAAGGAUGGGAGACAUCAAGAUCACCAGGUGCCAGCACCAAAGCUACUUCAAGCUACAACCCAAGCCCACCAGAGGAUGUUGUCAAUGCGUGACAAGAAGGUACUUGACACCCAAGAAGGCCACACUAGUGCAGAAAUGCUUAUAGACAAUCUACACUAGUGGCAUGGAGCCGUGGAGACGAGAUGGCGCAGGCCACAUGUAUGUGGCAUCCAGCAGGGGAUAGGUACGAAAAUUACUAGUGGCAUGGUAAUAAAACGCCGCGCCACCGGUACCUUCACUACUGUUGGCGCCUGUGUCAAACAGGCAUGCCACUACUAAUAAGUGGCAUUUAAAUGUGCCUGUACACGACUAAUGAUAUACAUACUGGUGGUGUGUCAAGGAGUCUACACGCCACUAGUAUGGUGCGCCAAUAAUUGAGCUUUUUGGGGACAACCUCUAGCUCCUUCUUCCCCCUCUCACUUCAUAAUGCACGAUGCACCACCAUUGUCGAGUCCGACAGAGCGGGCAAGAGUUUUCACGUGGAGCCCUGACAAAGGGGAGAAACACGAUCGUGGUGCCCCAAGACGAACGCAACACUCACAUCCAUCACCGCCACUAGUGCUAGAGCACAAAGCUUUUGCUUGGUAUCUACCCGGUGUCAUGCCGAGGGACCAGAGUGACGGAUCCUACAAUAGGGGAAGACCACCUAGAUGAAUCAAGCCCCCCAGGUCAAGAUUUGGUUCGUACACGCUUUCGCUUGGUAUCUACCCGGUCUCAUGACGAGGGACCAAAGUCACGGAUCCUACCAUAGGGGAAGGCCACCCAGAUGAAUCAACGCUCCCUGGUCAAGAUUUGGGUUCAAACACUGCCAGUAACAACAACCUCGCCAUGACCACUCACCGUCACUUAUCUCGUCCCUACACAGCCAAUAGGCGCAUCCAACAUUGCCACCACGUUGGUCGAUGUAGGCCGCCAUCUCCAAAAGAUGCAAGACUCGACAUCGUUGCUAGACAUGGCUUGGAAUUUUUGAAAAAUUCAAAGUUCAUAUUUUCCAAUUGCAAGAAAAUCUAAAAAAGUAUGGAAGCAUACAAGGAUGAAAUAUACAUGUGUGUAAAAAUUCGGGAUGAAAUACCUUAAAAUGCGACCUGUACAAAAAAAACAGAUUCAUGAACUUUGAGGAUGAAUAGUAUCAUGUGCUAAAAAGCCCCAAUUUUUGUGUGCACAAUCCUUAUUUCAACGUAUUUCUUCCUGAAAAUUCACACACAUGUACAUUAUGCCUCCAUGUAUAUCUAUACUUUUUUAGAUUUUUUUGAAACAUAGAAAUAUGAUUUUUGAUGAAUGUUGAAAAUUGUAAAAUGAAGGCCUCCAUGGAGGUCGGCCUCUAAAUUAAAAGCAAUCUUCAUGAUUAGCAGACCUAAAAUAAACGAUCGAUUUAAAUACCCUCGUUCCAAAAAGAGGUAGGACUUGAAAAUGUAUGAGUAGUCAGCCUGGCAAUCUAGUAGGACGUACGGCGACGUGUGAGACGGAGAACGUGGGUAGGGUGGGCGAGCUGCUGCUGCUGCUCUGCUAGCUAUAGCGAGGGAGACAGCGUCACCGACGGGGACAGCGCGGUACCGGUACGCGCGGCGAUCCGAUCCGGUAGGUGCACGGACGUCCACGUCCAGCUACUGAAGCUAUGCUGUUUUAGACACGGAAACGUCACCACAUUUCUCUGUUGCGUAUGUGGAUAAUGAUCCUUCCUGUUCCCGAAAAUGGGUCGAGAAUCUGUCAAUCAAAAUGGAUGCUGGAAGAGAUACGAUCCUGAGUUCAUGACUGACACCUGUUAGAAAACAUUAUCUGCUGUUCCACCGUCUCUUCUCCGUUUUAAAUAUGAGAUUCGUCGUCGGCGUACGUGGAGGAAAGCAAAGCUUGCUGCGUGGAGCCUGUCUGCUCUCUGUCUAGUCUCCGGCCCCGUGAAAAGAAAAAUCCCAUACUCUGUCUCAAACUGAAGCAAGCGAGCAAGCAAGCAAGCCGAGGCAUGGGUCCGGUGUGUGGUCUUCUCCGUGCGUGUCCUCUGCCGGCGGACGUGUCUGCCAAAUGAGAAAAGCAUCCCCUCAGCCGGCUGAUUUUUUUUUUUGCUUCUCAUGCUUUUUUUUAACACAGUAUAUACACAUACGCGCAUACACUUAUCCCUAUGAACACACAUGUACACCCUACUCCUAUGAGCAGCAGAUACUCAUCCCUAUGAAUACACGUACACUCCGAGAAACUGAGCCGACAUAUCAAUAUCAUCUUGAGAUGGACGAAGUCAUCAAAGGCGCCUCUUAUUCUAUUAUCCAGCCUCAAUCGCUCGUUCAUCAUCCCAAGCCCGUCUCUCACCCUCAAGGCGUGUUGCUCCGAGUCGGAGAUGAUGGCGCUACAACACCGCCAGUGCUACAGGGGAGAACAAGAUGGUGCUGCAAGCUUGGUCACAUUUUGCGCCGCAGGCGGCUGCCGAAUUCUGCAAGCGCUAGCCGCUUGAGAACAAGUUGCACAAUAUAAAGUACCCCUUGUCGUGGAAUUGUCACGGCAGAUGUCCUAGUGUGAGGAUUUAGUCAUGAGGCCAAUGCAUCUAUGUGGUAGCUUGAGAGGGGUUGAGCGGAAUGGAGAAACGCAACACGAGACAAGGGUUUAGACAGCAUCGGGCCCCGGGAAACAUCAUCCGGUAACAACCCUACAUGCUGUUUGUGACGAGGUCUUAUUAUCAUCACGAGGGAGUCGCCGUAAACCGACUCUCCUAGUUGUGUCUAACCCUUAAGAUUAUUUCUCUCCCCUCUUGGGGUGCCCUGCCCCUCCUUACAUAUGUUAAAGGGGCGGGUUACAUGUAGAGUCCAACUCGGAUUAAGACUUAAUCUAUUUUGACUUCUCUUCAUGGGCUUCUUAACGUCUUGGGCUUCUUAACGUCUUGGGCUUCUUAACGUCUCGGGCUUCUUAACCCCAGGCGACUCUGUCUACCGGGUUAUGACUGUCUGCCGGGUUAUGAUUGUCUGCCGGGUUAUGACUCUCUGCCGGGUUAUGACUGUCUGCCGGGUUAUGAUCUGACUUAACAUCUGCCGGGUUACCAUCUGACUUAACAUCCGCCGGGUUAUCAUCUGGGUUAACUGUCUGCCGGUUUACCAAGUCCCAGCCGGGUUAUAACUCCGGUCGGGUCAUACCACGGGGUAUAUCCCCGACACCCCUGGUGUCGGAUUCAGGGUUCCGGCAAACCCUUGAGGUUCGAACUCUGGGGUGCGCACGAAGAUCUCUCUCUUCCUAGCUCGCUCUCGCAAAGAUCUCAAGGCCUAGCUCGCUGAACCGAAGGAACAAGAGACAUGAGAGUCUAUACUAGUUCGGGCCACCGUUGUGGUGUAAUACCCUACUCCAGUGUGGUGUGGUGGAUUGCCUUGCAGGCUGAGGAUGAACAAGUACAAGGUGGGAACAACCUCCUCAGGAGAGGUGUUCUUGAUCUCGGUGAGCUGGUGUGUGCGAGGAUGGUCUGAAUGAUCCGUCCAAGAUGAGUUGCCUCCUAUAGUGGUGGCUAGUCCUAUUUAUAGAGGCCCUGGUCCUCUUUCCAAAUGUUAGGCGAGAAGGGAUCCCACAACGGCCAAUUUUGAAGGGAGACAAUUAGUACAAGUUAUCCUGACAAAAGGUGCUCUUCGCCUGCCAAAAGCUCUGGUGGUGAUGCAGUUGUGGGCUCCGCGGUAACCUCCGUCUUGCCGUCCUGCCGGUCUUGGUCUUGUUGCACCGAUAUGGAAACCUUUGCCUGAUGCCUCGGGACUCCUCGCCUGCGCUUGCCUCUUUAGCACCAAAGAGGAAACUGGUACUCUGCGUCCGCUGGCGCCCGCCUGGCGUCGGUCGUCAUGGCUCAUGUCACGCGAACCUCGUGAGGUGCCCCUGCAUUGAUAUCUCCGCUCCUCGGGAGCCAGCCUAGUGAGGCUGCCCCUGAGGAGGCCUUGCGUCGUCCGCCUCGCGAGGCUUGGCCCCUCGCGAGGGUCUUGAGUGGUUGCUGAUGAAGAUGGGUCGUACCAGGCCCGAUGGAGCGACGCCGUGGGCCGCAGGCAGGCAAGUCUGGGUACCCCCGUUCCCAGGACGCCGACAGUAGCCCCCAGGCCCAAGGCGCGCUCGAACUUGGCUUCGAGGCGAAGCCAAAGGACAAGUGCGGAGCGCCGCGGGCCCCAACCGCCUGCGGCCUUGAUUGACGCGUGGCGACUGAUGGGACGUGGGCGUCUCCGCUUCCCCAUGCUGCCUCGGUAACCGUUUGACUUGACGAGUCCCUGCUACAUGAAGUAGAAAACCAUCAUUACCUGCGAUCGUGAAGGCCGGCGGUCGGCCUCCUUUUGGCUAUAAACGAGGAGAGGGGCGGAGCCCCCCGUCACUCAUCUCAUCCUCCAUUCCGCCCGCUUCUUUUUUCCCCUGCUUCACCGCCUUGCUGCGACACNNNNNNNNNNNNNNNNNNNNNNNNNNNNNNNNNNNNNNNNNNNNNNNNNNNNNNNNNNNNNNNNNNNNNNNNNNNNNNNNNNNNNNNNNNNNNNNNNNNNNNNNNNNNNNNNNNNNNNNNNNNNNNNNNNNNNNNNNNNNNNNNNNNNNNNNNNNNNNNNNNNNNNNNNNNNNNNNNNNNNNNNNNNNNNNNNNNNNNNNNNNNNNNNNNNNNNNNNNNNNNNNNNNNNNNNNNNNNNNNNNNNNNNNNNNNNNNNNNNNNNNNNNNNNNNNNNNNNNNNNNNNNNNNNNNNNNNNNNNNNNNNNNNNNNNNNNNNNNNNNNNNNNNNNCCGAAGAAGAGGCUGGCCCGCUCUCGCGACGUUGUUGUGAGGCCGCAGGUGACGAGGCCUUGGUACGAGCGGCCUCCCCCCGGCUACCCGUUGCCCUUGUACGCCCAGGCUCAAGGCUCCGGAGGGGGAGGCAGCGGCCCGCGCCGCUCGCGCCUUGGCCGCGGUGCACAUGCUGUGGCGGUGCGCGCUGCCACCCCACGAACUCACGCGGAGGGCUCCUCGCGUGAACUCGUGGUGUGGGCGGUGAUGCCACCGCGCGCGUGGAUCCGAUUCCCGCAAUUCUUCGCUGGAGAGAUGCCGCCGAGGGGGCCGCUCGAGCUGUGGCUACAGCAUGCCAAGUGCGACACCCCGGCGACGCGGAGCAGAGGUCUAGGCCAUCUCCCCGGGCAAGAUCUUCAUGACCCAUGGAUGGGGUGAGGUCGCCCGCGUCUGCCGCGCGGAGGGGGCCCUCGCCAUCCAUUUCGAGUACGACGGCGCCUCCACGCUGUUCUUCAAGGUCUUCGACGAGGAAGGCCGCCGGGACGGUGCAGCAGUAGGCACUGGGCCCGCCCUUGGCCCUGCCGGCAGUUCCUCCAGCAGCAGCGAUGGUGCCUGGGAGUCCAGCGACUCUCCCGAGCUCAACGAGACUCCGGAGACGAGCGAUGACAGCUACGCGCCUCCGAGCUCUCACCAUGCCCGGUGCGCAGCAACGGCGUCCGCCCGUCGUCGUCGCUGAUCUGGAUGGGGUUGGCGUCGGCCUCCCGUGGCCCACUGUAGAUACGACUUCUGAUAGUCUUCUCCUUUUGUUCCCUGCGAGGAAUCGAGAUGAACCCCAUGGGGGUGUGUAAAGAAUCUGUAGUGCCUUUUGUGUCUAUAUAAUCCUUAUUGCGAAAAUUUAUGAUUGCGUGUCUUGCUUCGGCUUGGUCCCCCCUUUCCAACCUCGCGGUAGCUUAAUGCUCUACGCCGACAGGUCCCAGUCCCCAGGCAGGCUUCAGCCGUCGCUGGUAUGCCAGGUCGCGAUGCCGUGGUCAAGGCCAAGAGGUGAGCGGCCCGAGGUCCGGUGAGAGCUCCUGAGGCGCGAUGCUCAAGAGGUCCCCUUUAGCAUGCAAGCAACUCCCUGAAAGUAGGAAAGGAAGGUGGCUUCGCCGCAGCAAGGCUGCAAGAGCUGGAAAUCCCGUGUCACAGCGCUGGGUCGGCUCGAGUGCAUGACUUAUCUUAGCGAUCCCGGGUCGAUCCCUUGCGCAGCGCCCGAUUCGUCCGUUAGUGGCAGUGGUGUCGUCGGUGAAGGAAAUAUGCCCUAGAGGCAAUAAUAAAGUGUAACACCCCGGUGUAAUGAUGCUACAGUAAACCCUGGGGUUAAGUUAAUCAUUUUGCUAAACAAGUGUUUGAUCAUCAUUUUCUCCUCUCUCUUUUUAAAUUCCAGUUGAAUUCAAUUUCAAAUUAUGAGUGAAAUUCAAAAUGCUCAAACAUGAAAACUAAAAUGUUCAUCGUGUGGAAAAUAUUCUUCUGGUAAUAUUGGUGGUGAACCAACAUUUUUUGCAAAGUACCUAAAUGGCCUAAAAUAGCUAUAACAGAAAGUUGUUAAAAAAAAGAAAGCAAAAGUUAAAACAAAAACAAAAGGAGAGAAAAGGGGCUAGAGCCCCUGGCCUGCCAUUGGGCCUCGGCCCACCCAAGCUAGGCCGGCCCGCUCCCCCUCCCCGGUCAUCCCUCUCCUCUCUGUUCACGCGACCGAGCCCCCCCAGCUCGUUCCCACCCGACCCGGCGCGGCGCCCCGCGCUGCCACGUCGCCGGCGAGGGGAUAAGGGCAGCCCCGACGCCUCAGGCUCCCUCCCCACUCGCCCACUUGCCCCCUCUCUCCCUCGUCGAUCUCUCUUCCUGCUCGCUCACUCCCCUCUCUCUGACCCGAGCGCCAUCGCCGCCGUCCCACCUCGCAUCACCGCGGCGACCGCCUCCCUCGUGCUCCUCCGACGUAACCAGCCGCUCCGCCGCGCUCCGCUACGACGACUACGGCCACGAACGCGAGCUGGCAAGCCCCGCAACACCGGAUCCCCGUCUUCUUCCUCCCCGGGUCGCCGGACGCAGCCGUCGUCCAUUCGGCCUUCCCCUGCGCUCCUAACCUGUCGAGGGCCUUUCUUGCGCCGCGCGGUGAGCCCCUCUUCUUCUCCCCUCGCUCCCCUGGCCUCUUGCGCUACCAUAGCCACCACGCUGCCAUGGCCGAGCUCGGCUCCGCCGAGCAGCUGGCCGUCGUCGUUGCCAUGCUCGCCUGAGCACGGGAACGUGCUCAGUGCAGCCCGCCGAGGCCGCCCGUGCCGCUUGCCCACCUCGUCGACCCCCCUAGCGCGAUCCCGACGAGGUCCCGAACGCCACCACCGCCUCCACUCGUCGCCGACGCCGUUUCCGGCAGCUCCAGCUCCGGCCGGCCUCACCACGCGACGCGGCGGGAUCUCCUCGUUCGAACGCGCCAAGUCCCGGGCCAAAAGACCCCCUGUGCGCGAUUCCCGGCGAAGUCCGGCGAGCCCCGCCGCUGUUUUGGUCGCCGGCGGCGAAACCCCGACGCCGCUGAUGUGGCACACCUGGGGCCCGCCUCUGGGUCACUGCCCGUGGGCCCCCUGGCCCUAGUUGACCACGUUGACCGUGGUCAACUGUGCUGACUGGGCACACAGUGUCACUGACACGCGGGCCCCAUCGCAUAUUUUGUUAAAUAAAUGUUUUUCUAAAUAAAAGUGAUUAGUUAAGCUUAACAGUCACUGACAUGUGGGGCCCAGCUGUUAAUUAACCUCUUUUUAGUUAGUUUAAAGUUAUGUUAAUCCACUGUCUAUGACAGGUGGGACCCACUGGUCAGUUUGACCAGUCAGCGGGUCUGUUGACCUGCUGAUGUCAUGCUGACACUCUGCUGACGUCAUAAUUCCUUUUCUGUUAAUAUUAAUAAUUUCAUAAAAUACUUUAAUCUUUAAAAAUUCAUAGAAAAUAAACCGUACCUCGGAUGAAAAUGUUUUCUAUAUGAAAGUUGCUCAGAAAAAUCCAACGAAUCCGAAUACGCGGUCCGUUCAUCUGUCACAUGCCCUUAGCAUGCUGAACAUGGAACAUUCCCCCUCCGGUCAUCUGUCUGACACAGGCCCGAAACCGGGAACACCUUCCCGGUUGAAUUCCCCCUUCACCCAUAUCGUGCAGCCAUACGUUAGGUCACACCCGACACAUCAUAUUGCCACGUUAUGCUUUGUGAUGCUAUGUUUGCUUUAUAUUUACUGUUUCUUCCCCCUCUUCUCUCCGGUAGACCCCGAGACCGAUGCUGCCCCUAUGAUCGACUACGUCGACGAUGACCCCUCCUUGCCAGAGCAACCAGGCAAGCCCCCCUUUGAUCAUCCCGAUAUCGCCCAUUCCAUUCUCUCAUGCUUGCAUUAGAUUUUGCUACUGUUAUUGUUUGCUCCUAUUCUGAUGCAUAGCCUGCUUUUGUAACCUGCUCAUUGUACCUUACCUGCUUAUCCUAAACUGCUUAGUAUAGGUUGGUUGGUGAUCCAUCAGUGACCCCCACCUUGACCUUGUUGCCCCGGCUUCAUCAUCGAAGACCCGAUCAACGGGAUCGAAGACCAGGCCCCGGCAUCGCACAUCACUUUCCCCUUAGUUGCUCGACACUGCUGGGUUACUAUCGAGUGCUGAGGGUGAGACCUCUACAGCACUUCUGAUGUUAACCCUGUAGUGUAGCUAUUCGGCCGUGGUCAUCGAGGGUGAUUCCGCCUUAACCACUUCCGAUAUGACUAUAUCGUGCAACCCCUCAAGUGUGAACCUCGGGGGUGAUUCCUCUUACUUCACCUUGAUGAUUACAUCGAGUGGAAUCCACCGGGGGUGAUUCCUCGGGUUUUCCCCUUGAUGUUUGGACACACGGAUACUUGGACUUUACAACUGUUACUUGGAAAGGCGGGUCGACCCUGAGGGGUACCCGCGAGUGAUGUGGAGACGGGUUGACCUGGAGGGUACCCGAGAGUUGAAUACGAGGCGUGGCCGGGCAUUCUUAGCCCUUGCCGCAAGUCCUCGAGACGGGGCGACGGGGUCACAUCUUUCGUGAGUCUCUGCUCGUGACCGCACUACCAGCACACUAACGGUUUGGAUAUUUGAUCCGAGGGGCCUCUGGCCCGAUAGCACUAACCAUCACGUGGGCAUAGUAUGGGCGUUCUGCGUCGUAUGCAUCAGCCGAAGCUUAAUAGACGUCAAGCGACUGAGCGGCGCGCGCCGGGCUGGACUGGUAAGCUCCUACCUUUUUAAGGAGGUAGCUAGGUCUGCUCACCGGCCGCCCACGCAACAUGCAGGAGUUCCCGGGGCGAUGGCCCAUGACCCCUGGGGGCAUAGGUUUAGUCCGGCGUGCUUGACCUCUCUAUUAAGUCUAGGUCGGGUUGCGGCGUAUUGUUUGGCCGAGGCCGGGCAUGACCCAGGAAAGUGUGUCCGGCCGGAGUUAAUCGAGCGUGGUGGGUAAGUUGGUGCACCCUUGCAGGGAAGAAAACAUCUAUCGAUAGCCUGUCCUACGGUAACGGACACUUGGAGUUGUAUCCCGAUCGAUACAACUAGAACUGGAUACUUGUGAUGAGACUUGGAUAUGAGAUGAUAACUGGAUAGUAUGGCUCUGGGAUUGCUUUCUCGCAGGGAGUCGAGAAAGGAUCUUUGGCCGAGGUUGAUAACACUUCUACUACUUUACUUUAUGCUACUCUACUCCCUCCUGUUGCUGCAAGAUGGUGGUUUCCAGAAGAUGCUAGUCUUCGAUAGGCUAGGCUUUCCCCUCUAUUUUGGCAUUUCUGCAGCCCAGUCCACAUAUACAACCUUCCUUUGAUAAUGUUGCAUAUGUAGUGUAGAUCCUUGCUUGCGAGUACUUUGGAUGAGUACUCACGGUUGCUUUGCUCCCCCUUUGCCCCUUUCUUCUUCUUUCCGGUUGAUGCAACCAGAUGUCGGAGCCCAGGAGCCAGGUGCCACCGCCGAUGCCUACUACUACGUGGAGACUGUCGACGACCAGGAGUAGUUAGGAGGCUCCCAGGCAGGAGGCCGUGCCUUUCGAUCGUGUUGCUUUUGUGCUAGCCUUCUUAAGGCAUCCCUGUUCAACUUAUGUCUGUACUCAGAUAUUGUUGCUUCCGCUGACUCUUGUGUAAUCGAGCUUAUGUAUUCGAGCCCUCGAGGCCCCUGGCUUGUAAUAUAAAGCUUGUAUUAUUUUAUUUGUGUCUAGAGUUGUGUUGUGAUAUCUUCCCGUGAGUCCUUGAUCUUGAUCGCACACAUUUGCGUGUAUGAUUAGUGUACGAUUGAAUCGAGGGCGUCACAUAAAGUUGUUAUUUAUAUUUCCUUAUAUCAUGAUAAAUGUUUAUUAUUCAUGCUAGAAUUGUAUUAACCGGAAACUUAGUACAUGUGUGAAUACAUAGACAAAACAGAGUGUCCCUAGUAUGCCUCUACUUGACUAGCUCGUUAAUCAAAGAUGGUUAUGUUUCCUGACCAUAGACAUGUGUUGUGAUUUGAUGAACGGGAUCACAUCAUUAGAGAAUGAUGUGAUGGACAAGACCCAUCCGUUAGCUUAGCAUUAUGAUCGUUGAGUUUUAUUGCUAUUGCUUUCUUCAUGACUUAUACAUGUUCCUCUGACUAUGAGAUUAUGCAACUCCCCAAUACCGGAGGAACACCUUGUGUGCUAUCAAACAUCACAACAUAACUGGGUGAUUAUAAAGAUGCUCUAUAGGUGUCUCCGAAGGUGUUUGUUAGGUUGGCAUAGAUCAAGAUUAGGAUUUGUCACUCCGUGUUUCGGAGAGGUAUCUCUGGGCCCUCUCGGUAAUGCACAUCACUAUAAGCCUUGCAAGCAAUGUAACUAAUGAGUUAGUUACGGGAUGAUGCAUUACGGAAUGAGUAAAGAGACUUGCCGGUAAUGAGAUUGAACUAGGUAUAGUGAUACCGACGAUCGAAUCUCGGGCAAGUAAUAUAUAGAUGACAAAGGGAACAAUGUAUGUUGUUAUGCGGUUUGACCGAUAAAGAUCUUUGUAGAAUAUGUGGUAGCCAAUAUGAGCAUCCAGGUUCCGCUAUUGGUUAUUGAUCGGAGAUGAGUCUCGGUCAUGUCUACAUAGUUCUCGAACCCGUAGGAUCCGCACGCUUAACGUUCGAUGACGAUUGGUAUUAUGAGUUUAUGUGUUUUGAUGUACCGAAGGUAGUUUGGAGUCCCGGAUGAGAUCACGGACAUGACGAGGAGUCUCAAAAUGGUCAAGACAUGAAGAUUGAUAUGUUGGAAGGUUAUAUUCGGACACCGGAAUAGUUCCGAGGUGUAUCGGGUAUUUUUAGGAGUACCGAGGGUUACCGGAACCCCCCGGGGGUUAUUGGGCCUUAUGGGCGUAGUGGUGGAAGAGAGGAGGCAAGCCAAGGUGUGGCGCCCCCUAGCCCAAACCGAAUUGGACUAGGGGGGGGGUGUCGGCCCCCCUUUCUUUCUCUCCUCCCUCUCCUUCCCCCUUCUCCUUGUUGGAAUAGGAAAGGGGGGGCCGAAUCCUACUUGGAGUAGGAUUGCCCCCCCAUGGCGCGCCUCCUCCCCCUGUCCGGCCUCCUCCUCCAUUCGCCCUUUAUAUACGUGGGAAGGGGGCACCCCAAAGGCACACCAAAGUUUCUCUUAGCCAUGUGCGGUGCCCCCCUCCACAGAAACACACCUCGGUCAUAUCGUUGUAGUGCUUAGGCGAAGCCCUGCGCCGGUAAUUUCAUCAUCACUGUCACCACACCGUCGUGCUGACGAAACUCUCCCUCAGCCUCAGCUAGAUCAAGAGUUCGAGGGGCGUCACCGAGCUGUACGUGUGUAGAUCACGGAGGUGACGUGCGUUCGGUACUUGAUCGGUUGGAUCGUGAAGACGUUCGACUACAUCAACCGCGUUACUUAACGCUUCCGCUUUCGGUCUACGAGGGUACGUGGACACACUCUCCCUGCUCGUUGCUAUGCUUCUCCUAGAUAGAUCUUGCGUGAUCGUAGUAAUUUUUUGAAAUACUACGUUCCCCAACAGCCGGGUUAGGCCCGCGCGAGCUCCCCCCUCUUUUUCAUGCUCUUCUAUGUGCUAUGCGUCCUCGGGUCCCGGCCCUCGAGCGAGCUCAACCGCCACUGGUAUGCCAGGUCGCGGUGCCGUGGUCAAGACCAGGGGGUGAGGGCUGGAGAGCCAGUAAGAGCCCCUGAGGCGCGAUGCUCAGGAGCCCCCCUUUAACGCGCAAGCGAAUUGCGUGAGAAAAGGGAGGAGCUUGCGGUGCCGCCCUCAAUUAAGCUCCGAAGAUUCCUGCAGGUUAGCGUGAGGGGAGAGUACGGAUUGCAAUCGCGUUUGCUGCCCUGCCGUUGCUCUUUCCGCAAGAAGAUGAAGGCACUGAGGGCCUGGUGAGGUGACGUGCGUGGGGCGUGCCGCGAGCCAGAGCUCGACCACUCAGGUUUGUCAGCGUUGCAGGGACGGACCCGAGCACAAGCGCCGUGCCGACGUGUGUAGCCCCCGUUGCGGGAUGAGCAGGAAGCCGGCCAGCAGUGCGGUGGCCGCGAGGGGCAACAAGUAAGCAGGCGGUGAUUAGAAGGUGAUCCAUGCAAGAGGGCAAGCAAGUUCAGAUAGGUGCAAGAACGAUACAUGCCACUGGGAUGGACCUGAGCGGCCUGGGGAUGAUGCAGCCAGAGAGGCGCUCCCAACAGAGUAAGCUAAAGAUGCAAAAGGAUACACGUCGCAGGGAAAGACCCAUGUGACCUGGGGAUGAGGCAGCCCGAGGGGCGCCCCCAGCUGAACGAAUCGGAAAGAGUCACCUGGUACCGUUGCUGAAGAGGUGUUGAAGUAGCUGAAGAUGUGUGCUGGGGAGGUCGCUCCUCACGAGCCGCCAGGGCCCUGAGCUUCAGGAGGCUCCGGGGGCUCGGGUGGUUCUUGAAGAACCGUCACCAUCUCCGCCAGGACUGCAUGAUGCCUGACCUCCUGAGUCGCCAGAACGCUCCGUAAGUGGCGCUGGAAGGUGGCAGCCGCGUUCGGCAAGCCGAAUGGCAUGCGAACGUAGCUGUGAGGCGGACCGUCGCACCGACCAACGCGUGAAGGCCAGAAACGCUCCUGAGACGCAGCCCUGUUGAGCCAUGGGAUGUCGACGCAGACGCGCAGCUCGUCGUCCUCGCUAGGACGCGGGGCUACGCCAAGGGGUGGGCGGCGGUCGCCGCGUAUGGUCCUUGCUUCCUGAAGCUCCUUAGUCACCUUUGUUGGGGAUAUGACUAUCAGAUAUGACCCGCCCAGGAGGGGCCGGGUCAUCCCUAUGGCGAUUCAUCUCGAAGAAGCCCAAGAGUAUGUUAAGAUGGCGGUUCAUAGAGAGGCUUAUUUGAGGGCCCAAACCUGAAGGCGGCUUAAGGCCCACAAGUAUAAACCGCCAUGUAUAUGUAAACUUGUAUUGUAAGGCAUGUAAGAUAAGUCACCGAGCCGGACACGUUGUAUGAGCCAGCCGGGACUCUGUAGGCCGCAGGGCGUCAACCCGUGUAUAUAAGGGGACGACCCGGCAGCGGCUUAGGGCAAGAAACAACAACUCGAGAGCCAGGCAAAGCGUAUCUGCUCCCUGGUCAUCGAAACCCUAGCAAUACCACCUCAAACUAGAUUAGGCCUUUACCUUCACCGCAAGGGGCCGAACCAGUAUAAACUCCUCGUGUCCUUUGUCCCGUUUAACCCCUUUAAGCUAACCUCGUCGCAAUGGCUCCACAACUAAGUCCUUCCAUGAGGACAUCUGCCGUGACACUUCCACGACAGUUGGCGCCCACCGUGGGGCCAGUUCACGGUGGUUUUGGGUUCUUAAAGGGCAGCUUCGAAGGGAUCAAGGGAUACGCUGUGGGCCGGAUGACCAAGAGUCGUCGCGGCAAGCUCUACAUCGACGAUGCAGGCUGGGGCCCCGAGGCCGGCUCAAUUGAGUACGGGUACCGGGUCCCCUUCGGCGGAAUUCACGUCUUCAUCGGCAAGAUCGGCGAACCGGGCCCUGAGCCGGACAUCUGCUCUGACAUCAUCGAGACGGCUCAGCGUGCGCGACCCGCCCGGGUUCAACCCGCCGUGAAGCAUGCCUUUGUUGGAUGUAUCCACGGGGCUGAAUUAGAAGGCUCUGAGUCUGGCGGUGAGACGGCCAUCUACUCAGAUGGUGAGUCGUCCACAGGCGAAACCGAUUCAAUGUAUCAGUUGCAAGACGGACGGCUUGGGGGCUGUUCCCAUGGUGACAGUAUUCCGGACCCCCAUGAGCCGCCGAACAGGGUGGCGAUCUUCUUGGCUAGCACCCAGCCGGUUCUUGGUUCGACAGCCGCCGCGGCCAUGACUUCCAGUGCAGCGGCGGUGACAGCAGCGGGUGCGGACGGUUCAACACGCCCGCCGGCUCAAGUUCUGGCGGAUCUACUAGACGCUCUAGCGACCCCGAUGGAGGUUGAUGUGACCCCAGACAACCAGGAACAGCAUAAGGCGGAAGUGGCUAAAUUGCGUGAAGGGAUCGCGCAAGCUAAGGCGGACAUGGCAGCGGAAAACUCCAGGAUGGCUGCAGAGCGGGCCGUUUUGAACGCCCAAGCGCAGCGGAUUCAAGCAGAUUCAUACCGGCUUUUGGUGGAUCAGAACGCUUCAAACUAAGUCUUGAGGAGGAAGCAUCGUAGUCAUCGGCCCUCAGUUUAUGAGUCGAGGGACCUCUUCAACACACCCGGAGCGGGGGCUAGUAAUCCGCUGGCGAUAAACCAGUCGAUUGAGGCGCCAGGGGGCGGAGUACUAGGUCAGCCGCGCAUAGCCGGUUCUCCACACAUGGAUAAUACCCCACCUCAGUGCGGAGUGACGCCGCCGGGUCAUUACUCCACCCCUCUAGAUAACAUGAUUGCUGCAGCUACGCGAUUGGCGGCUUUAACGAUCAAGGGCGAGACCCCGGCGGCGAUUGAAACUAGAAGGGCCAGGGAACUUCUUCAAACUGCUUUGGUGCAGCAGCAUGCUUAUUCCUAUAGCCGUGACCGGAUUCAUUCAACCCCUCGUCCGAGCCGGAGCUACAGUAGAAAUAUUGACUCUCCAGCAGUUUCGAGUACCGAGCGACGUCGUCACCAACCUCAUGGCCAUGACCCGGCGCGCAACGGGGCCGAUGCACAAGAUUUGGUGGACCAGAGCAGGGCACGUCGGGAGGCGGAGCUGGCGGCUCAUCAGCACGCGCCGAUUUUCCUGACGGCUUCAGUUGAGGCGGGUGCGACUUCCAGGACUUUCGGUGUGCCGUGUCUAACAUCGGCUCUACGGAACGAGCGCUUGCCCAAGGAUUUCAAAGGCCCUUGUAAGGUGCCCAAUUACACAGCAGAUCAGCCUCCUGAGGCCUGGGUUGAGAGUUAUGAGAUGGCCAUGGAGAUGCUGGAUGUUAGUGAGGCUGCAUACGCCAAGUACUUCACCAUGAUGUUGGAGGGGACGGCUCGUACCAUGUUGAAGGGGCUGCCGGCUAAUUCCAUCAGGUCAUGGGCAGAGUUGAAGACCCGGUUCAUCCAGAAUUUCGGAGAUACAUGCAAGCAGCCCAUGUCAAUUGUGGAUUUGGCUUCUUGUGUUCAAGCUGAGGGUGAUUCAGCCACCAGUUGGGUACGCCGGGUCUCGACUAUCAUGCACUCUUCAGAUAACAUGAACGUCGGUUCAGCGAUUCUGAUGUUGGAGAAAAAUUGCCGUUUCACUCCGCUCAAGCAGAAGCUUGGAUGGCUCAAGUGUCAUUGCAAUGACAUGGGUACUUUAAUGGCGGCUCUUGUUAAAUAUGCCGACUCUGAUGGUACCAAGGACCCCGACUCUGAGGAUGAAAGAUUGGGAAAGGGAAAGAAGAGCAGCGGCGUGAAGGGAUAGCAGUACAAUCUUGUCAAUCAGGGAGGCAACGGUAAGCGCAAGGCUGACGAUUUCGUGGCUAACACCGGUGCGCGCACUUAUAACCAGCGCCGUAAGGGACAGUCGGCUCCAAGGACAGGUUUUGACCUUGAGGCGAUGUUGAAUCAGCCGUGUCCAAAACACGGAACGGAUCAGAAGCCGGCUACUCAUUCAUGGAAAGAUUGCAGCAUAAUGAGAAGCUUUCGGGAGUCCAUCCAGCGCCACCAUGGCCUGAACGGCAGAUCAGGGUCCGGUUCUCAUGGUCCGGGUCAUGGCAGCGGCGGUUCAAAUUCCGGGUUUCAGGGCCAUGGCAACCAGGGUGGUUAUAAUUAGCAAAGUAAUCAGGGGGAAUCAACAGCAGCAGCAGUCUGGCUAUCAGAGCAACCCGAAGCAGUUGAAUAGUGGGCAGUAUCAUGUCUUCACCACUAGCUUAUGUAAGCGGGACCAGAAGCUUCAUAAGAGGGCAGUGAAUGCGGUUGAGCCGGCGGUGCCCCAUUAUUUGCGAUGGUCAGAGCAGCCUAUUGUAUGGAGUCGUGAGGAUCAUCUACCCCGGGUUGAUAAUCCGGGUCACUUGGCUCUGGUGGUAGCACCUCAGGUUGGGGGCUAUAAGUUUACUAAGGUGCUCAUGGAUGGAGGUAGCAGCAUUAACAUCCUUUAUUAUGAGACCUUCCGUCGCAUGGGACUGACAGAUAAGAAUCUUAAGCCGUCAAACACUGUCUUCCAUGGUGUGGUGCCGGGUAAGUCAGCCUACCCGGUGGGCAAGAUAUCUUUAGAAGCUACCUUUGGAGAUGAGCAUGAUUCCAGAUCUGAGACUUUAACCUUUGAAGUGGUCAAGAUCAAGAGCCCUUAUCAUGCUCUGUUUGGGCGGCCGGCUUAUGCUAAGUUCAUGGCGAGGCCUUGCUAUGUUUACUUGCAGCUUAAGAUGCCGGGUUACAAGGGCACCAUUACCAUGCAUGGGAGUCGUAAGGUGGCCCUGGAGUGUGAAGAAGGUGAUGCGGCUUAUGCUGAAUCAGUUUGUGCAACGGAGGUGUUGAAAUUUUACAAGGAUAAUGUUGACCCGACAGACAUGACAUCCUUGAAAAAGCCAACAAUAGAGCAUGAUCCGUUGCUUAAGUUUAAGUCGGCGGACGACACUAAAAUGAUUGACUUCGUCCCUGGUGAUUCAUUGAAGCAGUUCAGUAUCAGUGCCAAUCUGGAUCCGAAAUAGGAAAGCGUGCUCAUCGAGUUCAUCCGUGAGAACCGAGACAUGUUUGCAUGGAAGCCUUCAGACAUGCCGGGUGUACCGAGGGAACUCACUGAGCACACUCUUAAUAUUAGUCCAAAAUUAAGCCGGUCAAGCAAUUUCUUCACUGAUUUAAUGAGGAGAGGCGGAAGGCCAUCGGUGAGGAAGUGGCCCGGCUCUUGGCAGCAGGGUUUAUCGUCGAAGUUUUCCAUCCUGAGUGGUUGGCUAACCCGGUCCUGGUACUCAAGAAGAAUGGCACUUGGCGGAUGUGUGUGGAUUACACGGACUUGAACAAGGCUUGUCCGGCUGAUCCGUUUGCUCUCCCUCGUAUUGAUCAAAUCAUUGAUGCUACGGAGAGUUGUGAGCGUUUGAGUUUUUUCGAUGCUUAUUCUGGUUAUCAUCAGAUCAAGAUGGCAGUUAAGGACCAGGAGAAGACAACUUUCAUUACUCUGUUUGGAGCCUUCUGCUAUGUGUCUAUGCCUUUUGGGCUCAAGAGUGCCCAGGCGACUUAUCAGCGAUGUGUGCAAAAUUGCCUUCACAAUCAAAUUGGGCGCAAUGUUCAUGCUUAUGUAGAUGACAUUGUGGUGAAGUCAAGAGAGAAGGAGACCCUGAUUGAUGAUUUGAAGGAGACGUUUGACAAUCUCCGGGUCUACAAGAUGAUGCUUAAUCCGGCUAAAUGUGUCUUUGGUGUGCCAACAGGCAAGCUCUUGGGUUUCCUGGUUUCUAACAGAGGCAUUGAAGCUAACCCGGAGUAAAUCAAAGCCAUUACUUCAUUAGCUAAACCGGCGUGCGUUAAUGAUGUUUAGCGUCUGGCGGGUCGUAUUGCGGCUCUGAGCCGGUUCAUAAGCCGGCUGGGUGAGAAGGCUAUCCCCCUCUAUCAGAUGAUGAAGAAGACGAAUCAUUUUGUUUGGAGCAAUGCUGCUAACCAAGCAUUUGAGGAUCUGAAGAAAUAGUUGGCUGAGCCGCCCGUGCUUGUUGCCCCUGUUGAUAAAUAGCCUCUGUUGUUUUAUGUGGCUGCUAAUAGCCGGGCCGUCAGUGUAGCCAUCGUGGUGGAAAGGAAAGAGGCAGGCAAGGAGUACCCGAUUCAACGACCGGUUUACUACAUCAGUGAGGUGCUUAUCGAGUCCAUACAGAGGUAUCCACACUGGCAGAAGCUUGUGUAUGGGGUUUUCAUGGCAAGCCGGAAGCUUAAGCAAUAUUUUUAGGGUCAUCCCAUCACUGUGGUUAGUUCUGCCCCUUUAGGAGACAUCAUCCAAAACAUUGAAGCCACAGGCCGGGUUGCUAAAUGGGCCAUUGAGCUUGGACCUCACGGUUUAAAGUAUGUGCCACGUACGGCCAUCAAGUCCCAAGCACUUGUGGAUUUCAUCAAUGACUGGACAGAGUUGCAGGCACCCGAGGAAAAGCCGGAUAACACAUAUUGGACUAUUCACUUUGAUGGAUCCAGACAGUUGGAGGGCUCGGGGGCUGGAGUUGUCUUAACUUCCCCACGAGGUGACAACUUUUCUUAUGUUCUCCGGCUUAUGUUCCCCUGUACUAACAAUGCAGCUGAGUAUGAGGCCCUGCUCCAUGGUCUUCAGAUGGCUAAGGAGAUGAGCUUAAGCCGGGUGAGGUGCUUUGGCGACUCAGACCUAGUGGCUCAGCAAGUUUCUGGUACUUGGGAUUCUAAGGAUCCGCUUAUGGCGGCUUAUCGUCGAGAGGUUGAUGCUAUUGUGGGUCAUUUCAAGGGUUAUCAAGUGGAGCACAUUGAUUGCAGGAAGAAUGAGGCGGCUGAUACGUUAAGCCGGCUGGGAUCUCAGCGUAAGCCGGUGCCACCUAACACGUUCCUGGAUAUUUUGCUUAACCCUUCUGUCAAAUUGCCUACCGAGGAAGAUCUUGCUGUCCCUGACCCGGAAGUGUAGUUGGUGGCGGCUCUUCACGCUAUUCCUGAUUGGACAGUUCCGUAUUUGGCUUACAUGACCCGGGGUGAGUUGUCGGAGGAUGAAAUCUUGGCCAGACAGAUAACCCGGCGGUCUAAGUCAAUGACAAUUGUCAAUGGGGAGUUGCACCAUUGCAGUGUCACAGGGGCGUUUCAGCGUUGCGUCUCUCCCGAAGAAGGCCGUGAGAUUCUACGGGAAAUCCAUGAAGGAGAUUGUGGUCAUCAUGCCGGCUCUAAAUCUCUUGUGGCCAAGGCUUUUCGUCAUGGGUUCUAUUGGUUGACGGCUCAUGCUGAUACUGAGGAUUUGGUAAGCAGAUGUGACGGCUGUCAAAAAUUUCACGAUGAGCUCAUGUGCCGGCUCAAGAAUUUAGAAUGAUUCCAAUUACUUGGCCGUUUGCAACUUGGGGGCUUGAUAUGGUUGGGCCUUUCAAGGGGUCCAAGGAUAAGAAAACCCACCUUUUGGUGGCGGUUGAGAAGUUCACCAAGUGGGUUGAAGCAGAGCCAGUCAGUAAGUGUGUUGCAGCAACGACGGUUCAAUUCAUGAAGAAGGUGAUCUUCUGUUUUGUCUUUCCACACAACAUUAUAACAUAUAAUGGCACUAAUCUUUCUAAGGCUGCUAUGCGAGAAUUAUGUCAACGAGAGCAUACCCGGCUUGACGUUUUAUCUGUGGCUCACCCUCAGUCCAAUGGUCAGGCAGAACGAGCAAAUCAAGACAUUUUGUGAGGUAUCAAGCCCCAGCUUAUGGUCCCUCUGCAAAGGACGCCGGGCUGUUGGGUGGAGGAGUUGCCUUCGGUGUUAUGAAGCAUCAACACGACCCCUAACAGAUCUACGGGUUACACCCCCUUUUUCAUGGUUUAUGGAGCAGAGGCGGUUCUCCCUAGUGACAUCCAUCAUGAUUCACCCCGGGUAGCGGCUUGUGUGGAAGCUGACAAUGAAAAGGCACGUCAAGAUGCACCUGACCUGUUGGAUGAGGAGCAUGAUCUCGCGGCGGCUCGUUCGGCGAUUUAUCAGCAAGACCUACGUCGUUACCACAGCCGCCGGGUCAAAACUAGAACCUUUCAGGAAGGCGACUUAGUGCUCCGACUCAUCCAGAUCAAACAGACAUGCAUAAGCUCUCGCCGCCCUGGGAAGGACCUUUUGUGGUCAGCAAGAAUCUGCAUAACGGGUCAUAUUAUCUUAUCGACGUUCGAGAACACAAGGAUUCACGUAAGUCGGAGGAGGAGAACCAUCGGCCGUGGAAUAUUGCUCAUCUUUGGCCCUACUAUACUUGAGCCACCAGCUCUUAUGAUGUACAUAGUUCGAUGAUGUAUAUAUUAUAAGCAGAAUAAUAAAGCUGGCAUCCCUGAUAAUUCAGGGUCUCUGCCGUUUCACUUCAUUGAAGUUGAGUCUUUAUCAUCAUAUUACAUAUUCAUUUAAGAGGCUUGAUGCCCAACUUCAGGGACCAAAGAGGGUUAGAUGCAUGCCACAGCUCAAACAUAGGUCCCUGACGAGUACGGUUUAUUUAUAUGAUCACUUGGGGCUUCCUGCUCAUCGAGCAUAGCUGUCAGUACCCUCUUGAUCGGCGCAAUGCCAAAACUUAUAUGAUAACUUGGGGGCUUCCUGCUCAUCGAGCAUAGCUGUCGGUACCCUUUUGAUCGGCGCAAUGCCAAAACUUAUAUCGUCACUUGGGGGCUUCCUGUUCAAACAUAGGUGUAUUCACCAAAGAGAACAUAGCUGUCGGUACCCUCUUGAUCGGCUCCAUGCCACACAUGUCAGUAUGUCACUCUGGGGCUUCCUGUUCAAACAUAGGCGUAUUCGACCAAAGAGAACAUACGUUACUACCCUCUUGACUAGGUUUGUCCAAGCAUAGGCGUAUUCGACCAAAGAGGACAUAACCUUUCUGGGUCAUCCUACCUGUAGCCAGUUGCUUCAACUCCAUCGGGUCAUCCCGAGAUUGACCCGUCGAACUCUUAAACGAUCAAUCUUACGGCGUAUUCGACCAAGAUCUGAGCUCGUUAAGGUUCAAACGACGGCUUGUCAUGUGAGAGCACGGCUUACAGAUAGUCAGGAUAGAUCCAGGCUUCAUAAGCCGCCUUUCUUGAAACUUGGAUAAAUCGGCCCGCGUACUCCUGAUAAGUCUUUGAGCAAGACCAGACUUUGUCUAGGGUUCAAAUGUGGAUUGGGCACACUAUGAGUCAGGCUCACGGAACGCACGAACAAUCCAGUGGCUCCGGCUAGUUUCAUUGAAGAAGACACUUUGGCUUGGCAGCCCACAAAAGCCUCGACUUUCUGUUGAUUUUUUUUCAUAUUCGAAGUUUUUUCUUUGGCUGCUGAUUUUUUAUAAGUCGGGCCCAGCAGCCCUACUUAUGGCUCAUAUUUGAAGCAUCUUCCGGGUAUUCAUAACCCGCCAGGAUGGCAGACUCUAAGUCGCCAGAAUAUCAUACUUUUAUGUUUACAAUUACGGCUCUACCAUUUCUAACUGCAUAAGGUUGCUCAACCGGCAGUUUAGGCAUACAGCCACAUGAAUGAUAUUUUAUGUUAAAUAUUAUGGUCAGACUGGCCCUGGUUAUGGACUAUUUGUCCCAGCGGCUUCAAUUGGGUAUCAUGACCCGCCCAGCGGUAAGCCGUCAGGGCAUUGUAUUUUCUUGUGUGCAGGAUAAAUAUCAUUUAGAUCUGCAUAAAUCAAAGACUAUCAUACCCCUUAUGGUUUUUAAACCAGAAGAUCAACAGUAUCUAUUAUUAUAUACUUAAGACAGAAGUCAAAUAAGCCAUGACGUUCCUCCACAUAGAUUAAAUUAUCUUGACCACUAAUUUUAGAAAAAACGGUUAAGAUUUAAAGAUGUAAACAUUACUUACAAAUAGCAUGUACAUGCAUUAUUUUGGACAUAUCAAAGUCUUCCACGUACAUGUGCCUAUGAUGAAAAAGUCCAACCCAGGCACGCUUCGCAUCGGCCAAAGCUAGCUAGGCUGCCUAAAAAAGUUUUUUUUUACGUGCAAUCAUGAGGUGUAGAUGGAUUACGCAUGAAAACUUUGUGACGCCAGCCAAUACUAGACUCGGACAGACACGUCAAUGCAAACAGAGAGACAGCCUAAUACACAUAUGUAUAUAUGCACUAGCAAGGCAGAUCCAUGUGCAUAUAUAUGCAUGCAUGCAUACUAAUGAACUAAUGUUUUUUUGCCAGAGCUUUACUUAGCCGAUAGGCUCAACAUCGAAAGACACCAAUGGUUGUGUCCAUAUGUACAAGUUGCCUGUUUGUUUUUAAAUCAAAAAAUAUACCAAGCCAAUCAAAAAAAAAAAGCUUUAUAUAAUCCAGUGUAUGUAGAAUACAACAUCGACUCCAUACUUUCAAAGAUGAUUUGGUUUUUAGGGGAUUCCAAAACACAAAUCAAUAGAAUUUAUAUAGAAUUUCGAAUUUGAUUUAUGUGUGAAGUUAAAAUCUAUGAGAGUUGCAUACAACCAUUGUAAGAUACACAUACAAAUCUAACUUCAAAUUUUCUCGCAAAAAAAAUCCAACAUCAAUUGGGUGGUUACAACCAUAAUCACGUUCAUUCAAGAAAAUUAACCAGGAAUCUUUGUGUGUACAGGGAAUCGACAAGGAUAUAUACAUGUACUCACAGGAUAUUAAACCAUAGCAAAGUGUAAUAAAAAAUGGUGACUUUGUUUAUUCGCACACGACGUCGCCGGGUAAUAACAAUUGAGAAAAAUACAUGCAUGGCGAAAAACAAAGAAACCAGAUGGCAGCCACGGUUACAGACACACUCAUCAACACUUGAAGCAUGGAAGAUACAAGUUGAUCUCUGUCCAUAAAAACAUUUUAAUAAGGCAUUCAAUGAGGAAAAACAGUUUAUCUCAAUUUUUUUUGCAAAAAUGUUAGCCAGGCAUUUAAUUCAACUUCCUAAACAGAAAUUAAUGCCGUUCUCGGUGAACACAACUUAUAUCGACCAUGCGGAGAGGUCUACAAUCAUCAAAUUUUUUUUUUUUAAUGCUAAGUAAGAAUUGACCUCUUUUUAUAUAAAAAAGAAUUAGUCUAUCCAUCAAACUUUUUGGAUCUAAACAAGAAUUAGACUAUGCAUAAAAUAUAUCAUAGAUAAAUCUUUCUUAGUUCGAUGGAGCUCUAAGUAUAUUUUCUAAACCUAUAACAGAACAACCAUUAUUAGAACAAAAAUCAAAUACAAACAUUUCUACAGAAAUUUCGCAACAAAGGUAAAAAGUAGAAUUCUUUCCUAGAAAAAACAUAUACGAAGCCAUAAGUAGGUUCAUUGUAUAAUAAAAUCUAUCAUAUUAUAUUAUUAAGACAGAAUAAAAAGAACAGUGAAGAUUGGUUAAUCUUUAGUGAUGGUAAUUUAACGAUGGAGAUUCAUCAUCAGAUAUACAUAGGCUAGAGUAUAUACAUGAGACAUGUAUCUAAAAUACGUACGUAAAUAAAUCUGUGAUAAAAAAGAGGCCACGUGGAGUUAAAAAAAGUUAGGAAUUGUAUAAAGUUUACUAUUCACGUCGUAAUCAUUUGAGGGAUAGUUUUCUGUACAUGAUAAACAUAUAGUAGUUUAAACAUCCUCCGUGUGAGUCCCGGACUCCUUUAAGGAAUUGUAUAGGCUGAAUUAAAAUUCUGCAAAAAAAAAAAAAAAACCUACCGCUACUCGCCGCGCAGGACGACGACCGCACGCCUGGUCCGCAUGCGUCGUUGUAUCCCACCGAAAUUGCCAUCCCGACUCCCGAGUCCCAGCUACCAACGCAAUCGGUCUCUUCGUCUUUCUGGGUGCGGUCCGUGAGCAUCGGCCUCUAUCCAUGUUCGUCUCUACGGUCCGCUCGCCGUCGCUGAUUUCUUGCCGAGCAGCCACCAGUCGUAUCAUGUACUCUUUCCACCGCAUCUCACGUGCGCUACUGUCAUCUAUCAUCAUCCCCUCUCCUAUCCAUAGGAAAAAGCUUAUAGGCAGGCACGGACCAAAUCUCAGAGGAGGAUGGGAGAAAGAUGAUGGGUGCUGUCGUGAAGAUGUGUCAUGCAUAGUGGUUAAUCAAGGCGUUCUGAGACUGCCGCGAAGGAAAGAGCAGCGUGGCUGCAACCACGGCAAGACGACCACCAUGCAUGUGCCUUACAAGCUGCUGCUGCUGCAGCAGCAGUAGCAGCAGCCUCACUUUGACCUGGACGACAUGACGAGUACGAGAUCGAUCCCGAGCUGCUUUCAUUGCUCAACAUGCCUUUUUCUUCCGCACAGUUCAAUCAUCCAUUCACCGUAUACCUGUUGGACACUAGGACCUGUUCGCCAUGUGUUUAAGGUACUGCUUACUACCUAAUGGUUAUUUCUUUUCAGAUGAAUGUGGAGAUUUGGUAAUGCUUACGGAAAAGAGCUAGGCAAUGGUUAUUUCUUUUGCGAUGAUUGUGGACAGAAGUUCAAAAACAGGAUAUAAAUUUGUGAGUGCUAACAGCAUAUCCUUGGAAGGAAUGCUAAAGGUACUGAAUUUAUGUUACAUUGCAUGUCAUAUUGUACUCUCAAGGAACAAUAGCUAAUAUUAUGUGCAUAUUUUUUGUCUAAAGUAUAUUGUGUGCACAUUCUUAUUUCUGUGAAUGAAUCCUAUGGAUUAUUUGAUACUCACAAAGUUAUAGUAGUUGUGGUGCAGUGUGCAGUAAUUAUGAAUGUACAGGUCACUGAGAUUUUGUCGCAAAUUCCAAUUUAUCCAUUGGAUUUUAACUUCUACGGUUUUCCUAGGUGGCACUGAUAAGUUAACGUUAACAUAUUGCCAUAAGGCUGUCAAUUUUCUAUUCCAUGUUCGGUCCUUGCAUGCAUUUUCUGAGUACGUUCAUAAUUAUUAUGCAGGCUAUUUUUUCCAUGGAUGGACCGAGACAUAGGGACGAAAGCUUGGCAUGGCUACAACCACGACAAGACGCCCACCAUGCAUGUACCUUACUAGCGGCAGCAGAUUCAAUUGGCCGUCAACGACAUGACGAGUAUGAAAUUGAUACCCAGCUUUAAGCAAUGCUCCUCCCAGUUCAACAGAAUAAACUUUUCCAACAUUCCCUUUUCCUUUGCGUAAUUCCAUUCAUUCGUGCUCCGGCACUUACCUGUUGGACUUGCUCGCCAUGUGUUUGAGGGAAUGCCUAAAGAAAAUAGAUGACAAUGGUAAUAUCUUUUCGUUUGAUUGUGGUGAUUUAAAGGCUAAAAAUAUGAUAUAACUAUUUGUAAAAUCUAACCGCAUAUCCUUCGAGCCAAUGCCAAAGGUCCGGAAUUUAGGAUAUGGUGGAUGACAUAUUAUGAAAGUUUUAUAUAGUGUGUCUCGGUGGUAUAGCGUUUGGAGAGGCAACGUGAUAAGCCGUUUAGAGCCAUUGUUAGCCCAUUUAGCUUGCUAUAUCAGCAAUUUAGCGUUCUAAUGCUUCGACCACUGCCAUAGCCCUUUAUUUCAAAACUUUGCAUAUUAUACUCUCAAGUAACAGUAGUUGAUGUUGUGCGCAAAUUUCUUCCUACAUAAUGUUGUAUGCAAAUUCUCUGUCCAAACGAAUCCUAUAGACUAUGUUAUACUCACCAAGUUAAAGUAGUUGUUGUGUGUGUGCAGCUUUUUUCUCAAAGAUGCUAUGUAGAAAUCCUUAUCUCUACAGGUGAUUCUCAUUAAUUAUAUGACAAUUGUCAUGAAAGGUUAGUUAGGAUUGGUCUCAAACUCAAGUUUAUCCAUUCACGUUUAGUUUAUAAGGUUUUCCUAUUUGGCAAAUGAGGUCAUAAAUUAUGUGAUUUACGUCAUGUUGGCACUUGAGUAUUUUUACAGCAGCAUUGUGCCAUUUUCAUUGGCUUGCAUAUAUAAUGUAGCAGUGCCUUUCUCAACCUUGAUUAAUUAUUGUACUGCUAUUUAUAUUUAUAAUCUUAUCAUAUAUCAAAGUAAACAAAGAAAAUUAUGACAUCUUUAAGCUUUUAGCUUGCAAGCAUCUAUUAAAUACAGUUUGUACUUCCAACACCUAGAUACAAUGUGUGCUUUAUUCAAUAGUGUAAUCUUUAGAUGCAUGUAUAUUUGUGUAUUAUUUCUAAUUAAAACAAUGAAUUCAUUGGUUGGAUUUCAUUACUCUUAUGCAGUUUAUUGCAUUCUUAAUGUUGCAUACUACGUCACUCAUACAAUGUAAUGUCGGCUCAUGGAUAAUCUAAGUAUGUCCACGGCAGGCGGAAGAAAUGGAAAAACAAGAAAAUCUAGAGAAAUAUCAUUCGGUGAGCUCUUUCUUGGUAACAUCAAAAUUUUGACAAAUAUUUGUUAUUGUUGGAUAGAUUUUUCCAUAAUUCUUAGGAGUUGCUACAAGAAGAAAUAACAACAUUGAUGCAUGGUUUUGUAUUUUGUUAAUCUGCUUCCUAAUUUAUUAAUAAGAACAACUUAUAGGAACACUAUAUCGAUAUAGUGAUAGGUCAGAGAAGUGCGUCCAACAAUAAGAAAACGUAUGAUCUGAACACCAUGGAAGAAUGGCAGUUCAAAUCGAAGGCAUGCUGCAUGGACAUAUAUGUAUGUAUUCUUCAAGCAACAACAGUGAAGUUGUGAUCAUAUUCUCAGUAUACAAAUAAUUAUCUUCACGAAAAUGCAAUCAUAAGGUUGCUAAUGACUUUGACGACAGUCAUGUUGUGUAAACAAUUAAUAUCACCCGAUACAUGAUUCUAAUUCUAUUUAUAUUGUGCACGGAGAAAUGAUACUACUUGGCACACCUAUUAUUUGGCCUUUACUCGGAGAUAUGAUUAUACUUCAUCCAUAAGCAGGGUAUGCGACGAAGUUAAUCAAGAUGAACACUGGUGUAAUUCAAUUUUACGUAGUGCUGAUUUGAUGAAUGAAUUAAUUUUAUGUUGUGCCGAUUUGACAAACAAUUUGGUAUUUUUCUGUUACAUAUGUAAGAAAAUGGCUAUACUUUAUAACACUACAGGGAUGGAUUUAGUUAUCAUUUUGUUAUAUUAUAUAAAUAUAUAAUCAGUGAAAUCAAUUUAACUCCAUGAAUUGUGUGUGAAUGCCAUGAAUAGCUAAAUCUGGAAAUUAAUUCUACGUGCAAAUUGGUCGCUGCAAAGAAAAUUUAUCAGAAACAAAUUCAGAGUAAAAUCAAAGGAAAACUAUAUAUUUGUGUACUAAAUUUUGGAGAAAAGGCUACAUACUAAAUUAGAUUGAAAAUAAAUGGCUUAUUGUGACAGGACAAUAUAUGCUGAUGAAAAGUUUUCUCAACACAGGGUAGUCCCUUCAACAUUCAUGUAUGCAGUUGAACAACUGACAUAUAUUAAUAGCAAAUUACAACCUAGCCGCGCAAAUGCGCGGGUCACUCCGCUAGUUAAGGCAAAAGGCAGAAACGUGCACGAUGGCACGGCAGAUUCCAGUUUUUACUACCCUAUUACAUGACUCCAUGAGCCGAAUGAGAUCAAGUGUUUUUUCAAAAAGAUCAAGUAUCUAAACCGCUUGGCGGUUCAAUCUUCCUGGCCUUGCUGGCUGGAGGCUUCCGCGUCAUCCCUUGCCGGUUCUUCGUCCUCUUUUGUCGGCUGAAAAUUUGGUGAUGACCAAUCGAUGCCAGAUAAAGCUUGAAAUUCAGCUUCGUCAUCUAUAAGAUCGGACGGUUCAACUUCAGGGGCAAAAGUAUGCUUACGGAUUGGAGGGAUCAGAUCCAUUAGUCGGUAAGACGGUGUAGGCAUCUUCUGAUUUUGCUUGUCGUAAGCCGGAUGGUACUUUGAAAUGUCUGAAUCAUUGGCAAUCUGGGUGGCCAUUGGACGAAUUUCCUUCACACAGGCGGCAAAGUCAUUUUGGUCAAAAGGAGUACCAUCCUCUUUUAAGCUUGGUUAUCCCGUGGCUACAUCAGUCGGCUCUAAUUCUGGUACCCAUGCUUUUACCCGACUCAAAGCUGUCACAGCGCCGGCUCUUGUAGAUGAUCGCUUCAUAUCAUUGAUCCUCGCAGGCAGCACUGAGAGCUUUUUUAAGACAUCUAUCAAAAGUUUCGGAGCUUGAUUAGUUGGAGAAAUUUUGGCCAGGGCACGCUGAGUUCCAGUGUAAAGCUGUUCAACAAGUGUGUAGACAGCUUUCAGCUUCACAAGCAUGUCUUGAUCGAGGUUGCUACUCCUGGGACCUGGAUAUAUCACAGAUUGGUUAAUGGCGAGUUAUAUGAUCACAACAAAAAAUUUACUUUUGACUAGCAAGGCGGCUCACCAAAGAUAGCAGAAACCAUCUGAGAUACACCGUGUUUUAAGCCGGUGAGCUCAGUGGUCACCUCUUGAAGCGCUACCUCAGCUUUCUCCGCCCGCUGCAUUAAAGCAGUCUUUUCUUCAGCCCAAGUCUUUUUCUCCGCCUCAAAACUGGUCUUCAGCUUUUUCGACUCAGCCACGCUAAAUUGGAACUUUGACUCAGCUUUUCGGGUCUCAGAUUCCUGAGUCGCCAGCCGGGUCUUGGCGUCGUUCAAUUGCGAUUCAAGUUCAGCAAUCGCAGCCUGUAUGAAGUGCAAUGUUAUCAACAUUUAUAUCAAGAUUACAAGAAUAUAAGUCCCAAGUCUUUUGCAAGCAACAACACUUGACACGUGGGGGCUAAUGUGUGUCAAAGAAAUUUUUCAAGGAAACGGUUCUUAUGAUUAAAGUCCCAAGCACUUUGCAAGCAAGACUACUUGGCACUUGGGGGCUAAUGCAUAUCGCUUGUCUCUUCUUCAUCAUGAGCCGGAUGUGCUGUAAACAGUCCGAACCGACUCAUGGGGGCUAUGCAGUUAAGAUUUUAUUUCUUACAAAAUGAUAAAUAGGACCGGCUCAUCCAUGCUGAUUAAACCGGCCCUUGGGGACUACAGAUGCAAAGCCAAAAUUACUUCAACAUCCGGUUUAUAUUUAAACCGGACUUGGAGGGAUUCUAGGACAGAAGUUUAUGGAUUCUUCUAAGUCUACAGCUUAUUCAAUCUGAUCAUAAACAGUAGACUUGGGGGCUGGCAGGAUAUACAUAAAUUAUUCAAAGCUGGAAGUCAUACCUCAUACUUUUGGUGCAUUUGUUUCACCAUAUCAACUUCAAGAUCGCGGCUGGAGUGUACUUGGCUGAGAUAACCAGAGAGGAUCUCACUGCUGCUUAGAUGCGCAUAGUGGGAGACGUCAAACUUCAUUUUCCGCCUUUCAAUAACCUCUUGCUUGGCAGUAUGUUUAGCUAAAGCUAUUGGAUUUCCCGGUUCUACAAAACCGGUGCCAGUAAUCAGCACGUCAUCAUUAAGAGUCUCUGACGGCUUAGGUGAGCUUGAUGGUGCAAGGUUUGAAGGAUUGAUACUAGUGUUAUCAACACAGAGAUCCGGAAUCUCAGGCGGAGUGUCAGUGACAGUUUCUUCCGGUUGUUUAUCAGAGGCUUCAGGUGCAAGGACUUGCUGCUCCGGCUCAGCAGCUUCAGGUGCCUCAGGUGGUUUGAUCACCUUCGCUUUCUUGUUGGGCUUUGCUUGACCACUGCACGGGUUAUGACAAGUCAGUAUAAAUAUAAGAGUAUAAAGAAUUAUAGAGUGAAAUUAAUGGCCAUUACCCAGGGGCAGUUUUAAAAGCCGACAAUUCGGUUUGAGAUGAGCCGUCAGAGGAAGAACAGGCAAGUUCCUGGUUAAAGGUCAUCAACAGAGUUAAGUAAUAGACAAAUAAGACCUGCCAACGGGUCAAAAGAGUAAGUAUAAAAGAACCUCGUUUCGCCGUUUCGAGGAACGGGAGUAUUGGGUAAGCCAGAGGACAACUCUUUGCCACCGCUCGUCCGGGUCUGACGUCGAUUCUCAUGUUGCUGUUGCUUCAAAAGAAAGUGAGGAUAUAAAUAAGCCAAGGGGUGUGAAAACCUUACUUUCCGGGUUACUUGUCAAAGUUUCUGUCUUGGCAAAGGGUCUGAGCCGGAGGAAAUAAUAGUUACCUCUUCUUCAGCUGCUUGACUGGCUCCCGUGUCAGCCUGAUAAUAGUCAGUGUCAAUAAGAUGAUUGAAAAAUGAGCCAAGAGAAUCAAGGGCUACCUCCGACUCAGAGGUAUCAUCGAGUUUAAGCAGAUCAGAGGCGCUUGGUUUCUUUUUUCUCUUGGUGGUCUUCUUGAUGGCUUUCUUGGCGGCUUUCUUGACAGCCCUAGCCUUCUUGGCGGCUUCACGAUCAUACUCUGUCUUUCAAAAGUUGGAUUUAGCCUGUAAAAGUUGGCGAAGGUUGAGUUAAUAAGGUAUUUGGAUAAUAAGGUAAAAGUAAGAAAGUUUAUAGACUCACGUCUGGGGCCGGGUUAAGUUUGCAGAACGGGGCCAGACCCACUUUAAUGCAAUCUUCUGGGUCUUCAUUCAGAAGGGACUUAACCAUCUCAUCUAUUGCCGCGUCAGUUAAUGGUGCAGAGCUGUGGCGUAGUGGAUCCUUUACACCUCCAGUAUAAGUGCACAUUAAGCCAAAGCAGCGGCUUAAGGGUAUGAUCCGCCAAGAAACCCAACACCUGACUAAAUCAACGCCAGUUAGCCCAUUUCCUAGCAGAGCUUUGACCUUCACGAUGGUACGAGCAAUUCUUUUCCGUUCAGCAACAGUAAGCUUUUCAGGAAGGUUGUGCUUUGGGUCUAAGCGCUCGACAAGGUAACCCGGCAGCGGAUUCUCGUCAGCCGGAGAAGUAUCUUUGCAAUAAAACCACGUCUGGUUCCAAUCCUUGGGGUGGCUUGGCAAGCAGGCAUAAGGGAAGAUAGCAUCUCUUCUGCGUUGAAUGGAUACCCCACCAAGCUCCAAGCUAGGGCCAUUCGUGAACUCAGUCUGGCGGUUCAAAUAAAAAUACUCUCUGAAGAGAUCGACGCUGGGCUCCUCUUGAAGGUAUACUUCACAGAAGACUUGAAAGUUACAGAUAUUUGACAUGGAAUUGGGCCCGAUGUCUUGAGGAUGGAGUUGAAAAAAGUGCAGAACGUCCCGGAAGAAUUUAGAGCUGGGCGGCGAGAAGCCCCGGUUCAUAUGGUCAGUAAAAACGAUGACUUCGCCAUCUUCCGGGUGAGGUUUUUCUUCGCCCGGGUCAGAAGCACGGUAAUGCAUCACAUUUUUUGCAGGCAGAUACCCGAUCUUGACAAAGUCCUUAAGUGUGCCCUCGGUGAAGAUGGAAGGGACCCAAUUGCAUGUAUAGGUUGUUUUGGGUGGCAUUGUGAAGAGAGAAAACUUAAAGGAAAGGAACAAUUUGCCGGCUUAAGUCAGUUGGUGAAAGCACAAGAUUAAACAGCUACAGUAUAUAUUCAACAUGACGGCUUAAGUGAGGACUAAUGAUGUAUAAGUAAUUAUAAGCCGUGAGGUAAGCCGCCAGGACAUGUACAGGUAUUCAAAAUCUGACAAAGAGCAAAAUUCUACUAAGUGUUGGACAAACAGGUUUCACAGAUUAAGGAUAUAAAUUUGGAUUUGCAACUGUUCAGAAAAAGGAAAUAAAUUCUAAAACUACAGAGGCGGCAGCAGAAAAGCGGAGGUGCCCCAGAGGAGAUCUGUCGCGAUGAGGAUAUGUUCUAGUAUCAAAACAGGUGCUAAAACUACCGCCGCACAAGAUUUAUGUGGUUAUUUUUGGAUAUAAUCCAUGGAUCUAAACAAGAAUAAAGAGGGGCGGCGACGAACACCGAAGAACACUGAAACCCUAAAUGAUAGAUCUAUGGCAAAGAAAAGAAGGACUUACUAAUGCUGAUGAAAUAGCGGAGAGAAGCCACGGCGUUUUUCUGGUCCGUUCAGGGUGAUGCAGCGGCCAGAGUUGACGAAGGGGCGAAGGUCGACGGCGGCGGAGCUCGUGCGGUCUGGUGCCUCGCGAGGAGGAAGAAGAAGGUGAGAAGGAAAAGGGGGAGAAUGAGAGGAGAGUUCGUGGUCUUAUUUAUAGGGCUGGAAGGACAAACGGCAGGCGCGAGAAUCGAGGAGGCAGAAAAAUGGAUAAGUGACGGCGCGGGCACCUCGAUUUUCGGAGGGACAGUAAAGAAAGAGAUUUAUUAAGAUUUGACUUUUGUGAAGCACUAAUUGCAGGUGACGUCAUGGCGGGUUACCACCAUUUCCGGAGAUGACGUCAUGGUGGGUUACAAUAUUUCACAAUAAGAUGAAGAAGGAUUUUUCCGAGUGUUGAAGAUUGAUAUGAACGAGUUCAAAUCAACCUGGGGCCUAAUGUUGGGGAUAUGACUAUCAGAUAUGACCCGCCCAGGAGGGGCCGGGUCAUCCCUAUGGCGAUUCAUCUCGAAGAAGCCCAAGAGUAUGUUAAGAUGGCGGUUCAUAGACAUGCUUAUUAGAGGGCCCAAACCCGAAGGCGGCUUAAGGCCCACAAGUAUAAACCGCCAUGUAUAUGUAAACUUGUAUUGUAAGGCAUGUAAGAUAAGUCACCGAGCCAGACACGUUGUAUGAGCCGGCCGGGACUCUGUAGGCCGUAGGGCAUCAUCCCGUGUAUAUAAGGGGACGACCCGGCAGCGGCUUAGGGCAAGAAACAACAACUCGAGAGCCAGGCAAAGCGUAUCUGCUCCCUGGUCAUCGAAACCCUAGCAAUACCACCUCAAACUGGAUUAGGCCUUUACCUUCACCGCAAGGGGCCGAACCAGUAUAAACUCCUCGUGUCCUUUGUCCCGUUUAACCCCUUUAAGCUAACCUCGUCGCAAUGGCUCCACAACUAAGUCCUUCCAUGAGGACAUCUGCCGUGACACUUCCACGACAGCCUUGGUGAUGAAAUCCUGAGCACCAGGCGCUCCAUGCCUUGUGCCCUCUUGGGGGAAACGUGCGGCGAAGCACGCCUCCACGUGGUGCCCGAGCGCCUCCCACGUGAUGUUGGCUAGGUCUAAGGCCCUCCAGAAGACAGCCCACGAGCCCAGCCCGAGGAGGGCGCCGGGCGCGCCUUCCUAUGCGAGGGAAGGAGGCGCUGAGGGAGUCCUGGACUAAGGGGUCCUCGGGCGUCCGGCCUGUUAGCCAUGGGUCGUACUGAUGGGCUGUGAAGAUACAAAGACCGAAGACUCCACCCGUGUCCGGAUGGGACUCUCCUUGGCGUGGAAGGCAAGCUUGGCAAUCGAAUAUGAAGAUUCCUUUCUCUGUAACCGACCUUAUGUAACCCUAGAUCCCUCCGGUGUCUAUAUAAACCGGAGGGCUAGGUCUGUAGAGGCCAAUACUCAUAGCCAUAGUCAUAUAGGCUAGACUUCUAGGGUUUUAGCCAUUACGAUCUCGUGGUAGAUCAACUCUUGUAACACUCAUAUUCAUCAAGAUCAAUCAAGCAGGAAGUAGGGUAUUACCUCCAUAGUGAGGGCCCAAACCUGGGUAAACAUUGUGUCCCCCGUCUCCUGUUACCAUCGACUUUAGACGCAUAGUUCGGGACCCCCUACCCGAGAUCCGCCGGUUUUGACACCGACAUUGGUGCUUUCAUUGAGAGUUCCACUGUACCGUCGUCAAAAGGGUUGAUGGCUCGCCAUGUCGUCAAGGAAAAUAUCACCUCUGGAGGAGCCCUGGCCCCAGGCCAAACCCUCCGGCUGGGCGGCUUCAUCAUGACCGCCUGUUCGGCCCUUAAGCCGACGAUGACCUCUCGAGUCAUCGAAAAUCGCCUCUGCGUUGAUUCUGAAUACUCCAAAUGGAUGGAUCCGACAGAGUUAUCAUCUUUAAACGAACUACUAGAUCGCAUCGCCGCCUUGGGAGUCACUACAGACUACGAUCGGAUUGGGCUUAAACCCGACCAGAGAGAAAUUAAAACUCCGCCGAUCACCCACCAGAUAGCGGUAGUCGAGGAGCAUGACAACUCUUCCUCUAUAUUGAGGACGAACUAUGUUGGGAUCUCCGAUCUCAAAGAGCCGGACACCCACCGGCAGAAAGACAUGCCUUGUCCUUCGAACAUAGAAUCGGACGACAAGCCUAAAAAAUCAGUUGAUAUCCCAGAGCCCGAACUGUUAAGUCCGGAAGAUCUUCAGACUCCGGAUCCAAAGUUGGGUCAGGGUUCGGAUUUAAAUCCACCCACCCACCCGGACAUAAGCGCUCUCAUGAGCAUACAACAGCAGUCUCAGGAAACGGUCCACCACUUCUGGGCCAGAUUCCUCCUUGUCGAAGACAAGAUUAAAGAUUGCCGCGACGAGGACGCGAUCUCAGCGUUCCGCAACAAUUGCACGAACGAAGGAAUCCUUAACGCCAUCAACCGUCGUCGCAUAUUACACUUCACUGACUUGGCAAUUAUCGUACAGAAGUACAGCGCAAUGGAAAGCGCCUGGAAAACUCAGGCGGCCCGUUGGGAAUCAUCGGUCCCCACUCAAUCCCUCGUUCAGGUGAAAAGGGCGCACCCUCGUGGCACACCCGGUCCAAUAGUAAAGAAAUAUAAGCCCAUUACGGGGCGCGGAACCGUUCUGGAAGGAUGGCUCGAUGGGCCAUGCAAAAUACACACAACACCAGAUAACACACCAACCCACAGCCUUAGAGCAUGUUGGAUACUCCGGCAAGUGGCCAAGAGCGGCGAGGCACUAGUAGAAAAAGAGCCCGAACUGUUAAGUCCGGAAGAUCUUCAGACUCCGGAUCCAAAGUUGGGUCAGGGUUCGGAUUUAAAUCCACCCACCCACCCGGACAUAAGCGCUCUCAUGAGCAUACAACAGCAGUCUCAGGAAACGGUCCACCACUUCUGGGCCAGAUUCCUCCUUGUCGAAGACAAGAUUAAAGAUUUCCGCGACGAAGACGCGAUCUCAGCGUUCUGCAACAAUUGCAAGGACGAAGGAAUCCUUAACGCCAUCAACCGUCGUCGCAUAUUACACUUCGCUGACUUGGCAAUUAUCGUACAGAAGUACAGCGCAAUGGAAAGCGCCUGGAAAACUUAGGCGGCCCGUCGGGAAUCAUCGGUCCCCACUCAACCCCUCGUUCAGGCGAAAAGGGCGCACCCUCGUGGUACGCCCGGUCCAAUAGUAAAGAAAUAUAAGCCCAUUACGGGGCGCGGAACCGUUCUGGAAGGAUGGCUCGAUGGGCCAUGCAAAAUACACACAACACCAGAUAACACACCAACCCACAGCCUUCGAGCAUGUUGGAUACUCCGGCAAGUGGCCAAGAGCGGCGAGGCACUAGUAUAAAAAGGGCCUUUUGUCCCGGUUUAUAAGGGUCAUUACUAAAGGGUCGUUACUAAAGCCUCCCCCUUUAGUCCCGGUUUGUGUAUCCCGGUUCUUACACGAACCGGGACUAAAGGCCGUCCACGUGGCCGCAGCCUGGAGCUCCACCUUUAGUCCCGGUUGGUGUUAAACCGGGACUAAAGGAAAUUUUAUGAUUUUUUUUUUGAAUUUUUUGAUUUUCAAAUUUCUGAAUUAUUUAACCUCUAAUCUCUGAUCACCACCCCUCAUCACUGCUCAAUUUAACCUCUAAUCUCUAAUCACCCCUCAUCAUUCCAAAUCAUCUAACGUCCCGGAUGGUCACCCAUUCUCUCACUACUCCAGCCUGAGCACGCUUAACUUCCGGGUUCUAUUCUCCCUCGUUUCCAAGUCUGCACUUGUUGUUUUCCUGACAAUAGUAAGAUGUCAAUCCUAUUAACCCUCAGGAAUUUAGCUUGAGCAUGAAGUCACACAUUUCACUGUUUGAGUUUGAAACUAUUGUUUUAAAAAACAAUAAUUAUUUAGUAACACUAAUAUUUCUUGAAUAAGUAGUUUGACCAUAGUUUGAUCACAGUUUGACCACAGUUUGACCAGAUUUGACCAAAAUUCAAAAAAACUGAAACAAUUAUUUAGUAACACGAAUAUUUCUUGAAUAAGUAGUUUGACCAUAGUUUGACCACAAUUUGACCAGAUUUUACCAAAAUUCAAAAAAACUGAAAUAAUUAUUUAGUAACACUACUAUUUCUUGAAUAAGUAGUUUGACCACAGUUUGACCAGAUUUGACCAAAAUUCAAAAAAACUGAAAUAAUUAUUUAGUAACACUAAUAUUUCUUGAAUAAUUAGUUUGACCAUUGUUUGACCACAGUUUGACCAGAUUUGACCAAAAUUCAAAAAAACUGAAAUAAUUAUUUAGUAACACUAAUAUUCUUGAAUAAUUAGUUUGACCAUUGUUUGACCACAGUUUGACCAUAGUUUGACCAGAUUUGACCAAAAUUCAGAAAAACUGAAAUAAUUAUUCAGUAACACUAAUAUUCUUGAAUAAUUAUUUAGUAACACUAAUACUUCUUGAAUAAGUAGUUUGACCAGAUUUAACAAAAAUUCAAAAAAAAACUGAAAUUUGAGCUUAACUUUUUUUCCUUUUAGCAUUUGAGGAUUCUAAAAAUUUGCAAACCGGCCAUAGGCCGUCAAAAUCGGAUGCGGAUUUUCGUGCUGAACAUUUCGAUAUAUUAUACGUUUUUUUCUGACAUCGUAUGCAAAAGUUAUAGCUGUUUUACAUUUCCCUACACUUUUUGCAAAACAUGUCCAAAUUUAAGUUUUUAAAUUUUCCUAACUAGUACAUGUAGUAACAUAACUACAUCUGGAAGGAUUUUAAUUUUUGAAGUUUUUAUCAUUUUCUUUUGCUUUUUACAAAACUGAAAAGGCGAUCCAGGGGGGGUAGAGUUUGAAAAAUGGGACCUUUAGUACCGGUUUGUGCCAUGAACCGGUACUAAUGCCUCGAACCCCAUUAGUACCGGUUGGUGGCUCGAACCGGGACUAAAGGUCUAACCUUUAGUACCGGUUGGUGCCACGAACCGGUACUAAUGGGCAUCGCACCCUCUAGUCCCGGUUCGUGUCUCAAACCGGGACUAAAGGGCUCAGGUGAACCGGGACUAAUGCCUUAGCCACACGAACCGGCACCAAUGCUCACAUUAGUCCCGGUUCGUGACUGAACCGGGACUAAUGUGAAUAUUUCCCUGUGACCAAAGCCCUGUUUUCUACUAGUGAGGAUAUCCUCACCAAGAAUACCCCAGAACAACACCCCCCAGAAGAUGACAAACUCAAAGUAUUGACGGUCUUUGAGACAUUUGCUUCAAACAAUAGGCACAAAAGGGCACUCCGUGAACUCGCCGAAGUCUGCCACAUCGCAGCAAUAAACCCUUGGAAUGACACGGCUAUAAAUUUUAAUGCCGGUGACGAACCAAAAUACAGGACAGUCCGAGCACCAGCCGCCUUGGUCCUCACUCCAAUCGUGGACGGCUUUCGGCUCACCAAGGUUCUCAUGGACUGCGGCAGCGGACUAAACCUCAUCUAUGAGGAUACACUCCACAAAAUGGAAAUAGACAGGAGCCGCAUCGAGCAAAGCACCACGACCUUCCGAGGAAUCAUUCCCAGUCAGGAGGCGCGGUGUCCGGGAAAAAUCACACUUGACGUAGUAUGCGGCACGCCGGAGAAUUAUCGGUCCGAAGAGAUAACCUUCCAAGUGGCCCCUUUCAACAGCGGAUAUCACGCCCUCUUGGGGCGAGAUGCAUUUACACGCUUCCAAGCCAUACCUCAUUACGGGUACAUGAAGCUUAAGAUGCCCGGGCCCAACGGCAUAAUCACUCUCGCCAGUGAUCCGGACAUAGCACUCCGCGCCGAAAAUAAAAUCGCAUCCCUGGCCCUUGAGGCAUUAUCUGAAGCCCACGCGGCCGAAGAAUUAACGGCACUGCGCUCCACGGUGGACAGGGACGAUGUGAUCCUAGACAAACGACCCAAAUCCACCUCCUUCAAACCGGCAGAAUAAAUAGUCAAAUUCCAAGUCCAUCCAACGGACCCCACGAAGACAGCAUCUAUUGGAGCACAACUAGACCCAAUGGUUGACGCCGCGCUACGAGAGUUCCUGGGCGAAAACUGGGAUAUAUUCGCCUGGCACCCUUCUUAUAUGCCAGGAAUCCCACGCAAGUUGGCGGAACACAGCCUCAAUAUAUUGAAGGGAUAUAAACCGGUCAAGAAAACACUGCGGCGCUUUUCCGAACCCAAACGGCAAGCUAUGGGGGAGGAGCUAGCCAAGCUAAUCGAGGUCGGAUUCAUUAGAGAAAUAAAACACCCGGACUGGCUGGCAAACCUGGUGAUGGUGCCAAAGAAGGACAAAUCCUGGCGCCUGUGCGUCGAUUUCAAAGACCUCAAUAAGGCUUGCCCCAAGGAUCCCUUCCCCCUUCCCCGCAUCGACCAGAUCAUUGAUGCUACCGCAGGACAUGACUCACUGUGCUUCCUCGAUGCAUAUUCCGGAUACCAUCAAAUUAAAAUGAAGGAGUCCGAUCAAGCCGCAACAACAUUCAUUACCCCAUAUGGGCCAUUCUGCUUCAACACCAUGCCCUUUGGGCUAAAAAACGCGGGCGCCACCUAUCAACGCUUGAUUCAAACAUGCCUGGAGAAGCAAAUCGGCAAGACAGUUGAAGCAUAUGUGGAGGACAUCGUCAUCAAAACCAGACACGUCGAAACACUCAUAGACGAUUUACGUCUCACAUUCGACCACCUCCGUGCAUACGAAAUUAAGUCUAAUCCAGAAAAGUGUGUUUUCGGCGUCCCCGCUGGAAAACUGCUGGGCUUCGUCGUUUCCAAUAGAGGAAUUGAAGCAAAUCCAGCAAAAAUCCGAGCUUUGUCACAAUUAGCUACACCAACAGACCUUAAACAGGUCCAAAAACUCGCCGGUUGCAUGGCAGCUUUAAGCCGCUUUAUCUCCAGAUUGGGAGCAAAGGCAUUGCCACUCUAUCGCCUUCUACGGCGCACCGAUCACUUCGAGUGGACGGAUGCGGCAACGGCCGGACUGGAAGAAAUAAAAGCUCCUCUAGCGAGCAACUCAAUCCUGGCCGCGCUGAACAUCGGCGAACCCACGUUAUUAUACAUAUCGGCAACACACCAGGUGGUGAGCGCCGUGCUCGUCGUUGAACGAGAAUAGGGCGGACACAAAUUCCCGCUUCAGAAGCCAGUAUAUUUCGUAUCCACUGUCCUCACACCAUGCAUAUCCCGGUACCCUCAUUAUCAAAAGAUAGCAUACGUGGUCUUCAUGGCAUCCCGGAAGCUACGACACUACUUCCAGGAGUGUUCGAUCACGGUGGCUUUCGAAGUACCACUCAAUGACAUAAUAAACAACCACGAUGCUACGGGCCGGAUUGCCAAAUGGGCCAUUGAGCUCCUUCCAUUUGACAUAACAUACAAACCGCGUCGAGCCAUUAAAUCCCAAAGUACUGGCUGACUUCGUUGCCGAAUGGACAGAGGCCCAACUCCCUAAAGAGUACGGCACAUAUUCCAACUGGGUUAUGUAUUUUGAUGGUUCCAAAAUGCUGGCAGGACUAGGAGCAAGCGUCGUUUUAACGUCCCCCACUGGAUACGUCGUCCAGUACGUACUCCAAGUAUUAUACACAAGCUCCAAUAACGCAGCCGAAUACAAGGCCUUAUUGCAUGGUCUUCCGAUGGCUGUCUCCACGGGCAUACAACGCCUGGAAGUGCGCGGGGACUCAAACCUCGCAAUAUCUCAAAUAAAUGGAGACUUCGAUGCCAAAGAUCUGAAGAUGGCGGCUUAUCGCAAUGCCGUCCUAAAAAUGUCGGCUCGGUUUGAGGGGCUCGAGUUUCAUCACGUGGCCCAAGAAAGUAAUCAAGCGGCGGAUGUCCUUGCUCGCAUCGGCGCCAAGCGUGACCCCGUCCCACCCAACAUCUUUCUGGAAAGGCUUUUUAAGCCAUCCGUGGUGUGGCAAGGGGAGAGCGGCAAUAUCAGUCUGGAUCCGAACACAACUCUAGAUCCCGAACACACUGAUAUCAUCGGGGGCUCAGCCACCGAAAUAACACCGUCGGCCCAUCUCAUUAUGGCAGUCAUUGCCCCAUGGACCGAACCCUUCUUGGCCUACCUUAAUAGGAAAGAACUCCCUGAGGAUCAGAAUGAGGCCCGCCGCAUUGUCCGGCAUUCGAAAGCCUACAAGGUUCACGAUGGAGAGCUCUACAAGAAAAGCGCUACCGGAGUCCUUCAAAGAUGUAUCUCCGAGGAGGAGGGGCGGCAGCUCCUGGCUGAAACUCAUGCGGGUCUCGGUGGGCACCACGCCGCAGCUCGGGCCCUUGUUAGCAAGGCCUUCCGUACAUUGUUUUAUUGGCCGAUGGCCCGAGCAGAUGCAUAGGACCUUGUCCAACGUUGUGUCGGAUGCCAACUCUUUGCCAACCAAAGCCAUAUGCCCCCCACCGCCCUACAAACAAUCCCCAUCACUUGGCCUUUCGCGGUCUGGGGGCUCGAUAUGGUCGGACCCCUUAAAGGAGGAAGCCGUAACAAAAAAUAUCUGCUGGUCAUGAUGGAUAAAUUCACUAAGUGGAUAGAGGCCAAGCCAGUUAAAACAGCCGAGGCCGGACUAGUGAUAGACUUUAUUUCCGGUGUUGUACACCGUUAUGGUGUCCCACACAACAUCAUCACCGAUAACGGCUCCAAUUUCACAGCCGACGAGGUAAAAAACUAGUGCGCCCAUUUGGGCAAUAAGCUCGAUUACGCCUCCGUCUAUCACCCGCAAACAAACGGUCAAGUCGAACGAGCCAAUGGUCUUAUUAUGAGCGGCAUCAAACCUAGACUGGUGCGGUCUCUGAAAGAAUCAGACAAGCACUGGGUUGAGGAGCUCGACUCCGUACUCUGGGGGCUGCGGACCACGCCCAAUCGCACUACCGGAUAUACACCUUUCUUCAUGGUGUAUGGCAUAGAGGCUGUGUUACCCUGCGAUAUUAUUCACGACUCACCUUGAGUGUGCAUGAACGAAGAGAGAGAAGCCGAACUUGACCGGCAGGACAGCUUAUAUGCCCUAGAGGAGGAGCGAGAUGUCGCAAAAGCCCGUUCCGCAUUUUAUCAACAGUAGGCUCGCAGGUAUCAAAGCAGAGAAGUGCGGGCCAAGACUUAUAAUGUUGGCGAACUUGUUCUACGCCUACCAGAGAAGAAAAAGGACAAACUCAAGCCCAAGUGGGAGGGUCCCUUCAUCAUCGACGAAGUUCUCACUAGAGGAGCGUACCGCCUGCGUGAUGCGUCAGACAAUCGCCUAGAGCUGAACCCCUGGAACGCGGCCAGACUCCAAAGAUUCUACGCCUAAGCGCUGAACUCUUUGUUUGUCUCCUUCUCCCCAUUGUUUCCAUUACUUUUUCCUCUCUUUUUGCUUUUUCCUUUUUUAGCCUUAAAGCUUUUUGUGCGGUAAAACCGUGCACUUGUGACAUACACAUCCUUAAAUAUGUACGUCAAUUAUACCUGGGGGCUUCUUUGACAGAAGCUUAUUAUUGUUAUUUUCCAAGCAUCAAGCUCAUCACAUAUGCGUGUUUUCCCCAUAUGUACCUUUUCUUCUCGAUUGUAUGCAUCGAUAUGACUUAAGUUUUGGCCAAGCUGGGUUGCCUGGCUCCUGUGCUUAUGCCCUACGUUCCCGUUAGUUCGGCUAGGGCAUAAAGGGAGCACCUCUGUGAUUGUUACUGCCGAGUCAUCCGGAUGUGUACCUCAGACUGGGUGAAGCCGAAAGCUAGCGUUCUUAAGGGAAUAUUCGGUCGGCGAACUAAAGAUGUUUUUACAGUCGUUAAAAUACGAACCCCCAGAUAUUUCACAUACUACGAUUUUUUCAAUCACAGUUCGGACAUGCAAAUUAACGCAUGUACACCCAGGGAAAGGAACCCUUAAUGGAACUAUUCUCUCUGGAAGAUGUUUCUUACAAUCACAAUGUAAUAUAACAUAGCUAGCCGGAUACAACUUAUCUGUUCAAGCAACUAUGACCCUAAUACGUCUCGAACGUAUCUAUAAUUUUUUAUUGCUUCAUGCUAUAUUAUAUUCUGUUUUGGAUGAUUAAUGGGCUUUGUUAUACACUUUUAUAUUAUUUUUGGGACUAACCUAUUAACCGGAGGCCCAGCCCAAAUUGCUGUUUUUUGCCUAUUUCAGAGUUUCGCAGAAAAAGAAUAUCAAACGGAAUCCAAACGGAAUGAAACCUUCGGGAACGUGAUUUUCGGAACAAACGUGAUCCAGAGGACUUGGAGUGUACGUCAAGAAAUCAACCAGGAGAGCACGAGGCAGGGGGCACGCCUACCUCCUGGGCGCGCCCUCCUCCCUCGUGGGGCCCACGUUGCUCCACCGACGUACUUCUUCCUCCUAUAUAUACCUACGUACCCCCAAACCAACAGAGGCAUCCACGAAAACCUAAUUCCACCGCCGCAACCUUCUGUAGCCGUGAGAUCCCAUCUUGGGGCCUUUUCCGGCGUCCUGCCGGAGGGGGCAUUGAUCACGGAGGGCUUCUACAUCAACACCAUAGCCUCUCCGAUGAUGUGUGAGUAGUUUACCUCAGACCUUCGGGUCCAUAGUUAUUAGCUAGAUGGCAUCUUCUCUCUCUUUGGAUCUCAAUACAAAGUUCUCCACGAUUCUCGUGGAGAUCUAUUCGAUGCAAUCUUCUUUUUGCGGUGUGUUUGUUGAGACCGAUGAAUUGUGGGUUUAUGAUCAAUUUUAUCUAUGAACAAUAUUUGAAUCUCCUCUGAAUUCUUUUAUGUAUGAUUGGUUAUCUUUGAAAGUCUCUUUGAAUUAUCAGUUUGGUUUGGCCUACUAGAUUGAUCUUUCUUGCAAUGGGAGAAGUGCUUAGCUUUGGGUUCAAUCUUGCGGUGUCCUUUCCCAGUGACAGUAGGGGUAGCAAGGCACGUAUUGUAUUGUUGCCAUCGAGGAUAACAAGAUUGGGUUUAUAUCAUAUUACAUGAGUUUAUCCCUCUACAUCAUGUCAUCUUACUUAAAGCAUUACUCUGUUCUUUUGAACUUAAUACUCUAGAUGCAUGCUGGAUAGCGGUCGAUGUGUGGAGUAAUAGUAGUAGAUGCAGGAAGGAGUCGGUCUACUUGUCACGGACGUGAUAACUAUAUACAUGAUCAUACCUGGAUAUUCUCAUAACUAUGCUCAAUUCUAUCAAUUGCUCAACAAUAAUUUGUUCACACACCGUAAUACUUAUGCUCUUGAGAGAAGCCACUAGUGAAACCUAUGGCCCACGAGUCUAUUUUCCAUCAUAUUAAUCCUCCAACACUUAGCUAUUUUUAUUGCCUUUUAUUUCAUUUUGCAUCUUUAGUAUAAAAAUACCAAAAAUAUUAUCUUAUCAUAUCUAUCAGAUCUCACUUUCGUAAGUGACCAUGAAGGGAUUGACAACCCCUUUAUUGCGUUGGUUGCGAGGUUUUUAUUUGUUUGUGUAGGUGCGAGGGACUUGAGCGUGGCCUCCUACUGGAUUGAUACCUUGGUUCUCAAAAACUGAGGGGAAUACUUAUGCUACUUUACUGCAUCACCCUUUCCUCUUCAAGGGAAAACCAACGCAGUGCUCAAGAGGUAGCAAGAAGGAUUUCUGGCGCCGUUGCUGGGGAGUCUACGCAAAAGUCAACAUACCAAGUACCCAUCACAAACUCUUAUCUCCCGCAGUACAUUAUUUGCCAUUUGCCUCUCGUUUUCCUCCCCCCCACUUCACCCAUGCCAUUUUAUUCGCCCUCUCUCAGUUCGCCUCUUUUUCGCUCGCUUCUUGUUUGCUCGUAUGUUGGAUUGCUUGCUUGUCACGAUGGCUCUACCUAGAUUUGGUGAUCUUCACCUUAAAAGGUUAGAGGAGAUUGAAAACAACGUCAGAAGUUUCAUGACUUUACAAUUUGAGCAUAACAAUUUCUUUAGAAACGAGCUUAAAGAACAAAAAACUUUUAUGGGUUACAUGAACAAAGAGCUCGACGAUAUGUCUAAGGAAUUUUAUGGUUUGAAAUCUCAAAUUGCUCAUCUCGAGAAAUUAAUUGCUGAAAUUUCGGAUAAGCAGGCCACCUUUGUUAAUAAGAUGGCCGCUAAGCCAGAUUUUUUUGAGAACAAAGAUGAAGAUCUAAAAGUUAUUGAUGUGUCCCCUAUUAAAUCUUUGUUUUCCAAUAUGAAUCUUGAUAAUGAUGGGACUGAAUAGGAGCCACCUUUACCUAGAAGGCGUCCCAAAAAUUCGGAGUUUUUAGAUCUUGAUGCAAAAAUUGGUAAAAGUGGGAUUGAAGAAAUCAAAACUCUAGAUAUUAAUGAACCCACUAUUUUGGAUUUCAAGGAAUUUAAUUAUGAUAAUUGCUCUUUGAUAGAUUGUAUUUCCUUGUUGCAAUCCGUGUUAAAUUCUCCACAUGCUUAUAGUCAACAUAAAGCUUUUACUAAACAUAUCGUUGAUGCUUUGAUGCAAUCUUAUGAAGAAAAACUUGAGUUGGAAGUUUCUAUCCCUAGAAAACUUUAUGAUGAGUUUGAACCUACUAUUAAAAUUAAAAUUAAAGAUCAUGAAUGCUAUGCUUUGUGUGAUUUGGGUGCUAGUGUUUCCACGAUUCCAAAAACUUUGUGUAAUUUGAUAGGUUUCUGUGAAUUUGAUGAUUGUUCUUUGAACUUGCACCUUGCGGAUUCCACCAUUAAGAAACCUAUGGGAAGAAUUAAUGAUGUUAUUUAUUGCAAAUAGGAACUAUGUGCCCAUAGAUUUUAAUGUUCUUGACAAAGAUUGCAAUCCUUCAUGUCGUAUUAUUCUUGGUAGACCUUUCCUUAGAACGAUUGGUGCAAUUAUUGAUAUGAAGGAAGAAAAUAUUAGAUUCCAAUUUCCGUUAAAGAAAGCCAUAGAACACUUCCCUAGAAAGAAAAUAAAAUUACCUUAUGAAUCUAUUAUGAGAGCCACUUAUGGAUUGCCUACCAAAGAUGGCAAUACCUAGAUCUAUCCGUGUUUUUAUGCCUAGCUAGGGGCGUUAAACGAUAGCGCUUGUUGGGAGGCAACCCGAUUUUAUUUUUAGUUUUUUGCUUUUUGCUUCUGUUUAGGAAUAAAUCUUUGAUAUAGCCUCUGGUUAGAUUUUCUUUUAUGUUUUAAUAAGUGUUUGUGCCAAGUUAAACCUAUAGGAUCUUCUUGGAUGAUAGUUAUUUGAUCUUGCUGAAAAUUCCAGAAACUUUCUGUUCACGAAAACAAUUAUUGAAAAUCACCAGAACGUGAUAAAAUAUUGAUUCCAAUUGCUGCUGAUCAAUAAACAAAUUGUCUAGGUCUUCCUAUUUUGGCUGAAUUUGUUGAGUUCCAGAAGUUUGCGCUAGUUACAGAUUACUACAGACUGUUCUGUUUUUGACAGAUUCUGUUUUUCGUGUGUUGUUUGCUUAUUUUGAUGAAUCUAUGGCUAGUAAAAUAGUUUAUAAACCAUAGAGAAGUUGGAAUACAGUAGGUUUAACACCAAUAUAAAUAAAAUAAUGAGUUCAUUACAGUAACUUGAAGUGGUGUUUUGUUUUCUUUCGCUAACGGAGCUCAUGAGAUUUUCUGCUAAGUUUUGUGUUGUGAAGUUUUCAAGUUUUGGGUAAAAGAUUUGAUGGAUUAUGGAACAAGGAGUGGCAAGAUCCUAAGCUUGGGGAUGCCCAUGGCACCCCAAGAUAAUCUAAUGACACCAAAAAGCCAAAGCUUGGGGAUGCCCCGGAAGGCAUCCCCUCUUUCGUGUACUUCCAUCAGUAACUUUACUUGGAGCUAUAUUUUUAUUCACCACAUGAUAUGUGUUUUGCUUGGAGCGUCUUUCAUGAUUUGAGUCUUUGAUUUUUAGUUUACCACAAUCAUCUUUGCUGUACACACCUUUUGAGAGAGACACACAUGAUUCGGAAUUUAUUAGAAUACUCUAUGCGCUUCGCUUAUAUCUUUUGAGCUAUAUAGUUUUUGCUCUAGUACUUCACUUAUAUCUUUUAGAGUACGGUGGUGGUUUUGUUUUAUAGAAACUAUUAUUCUAUCAUGCUUCACUUAUAUUAUUUUGAGAGUCUUAAACAGCAUGGUAAUUUGCUUAAAUUGGGAAAUUAAUCCUAAUAUGUUAGGUAUUCAAGACUAGUAAAAAACUUUCUUAUGAGUGUGCUGAAUACUAAGAGAGGUUUGAUGCUUGAUGAUUGUUUUGAGAUAUGGAGGUAGUGAUAUUAAAGUUGUGCUAGUUGAGUAGUUGUGGAAUUGAGAAAUACUUGUGUUGUAGUUUGCAAGUCCCGUAGCAUGCACGUAUGGUAAAUGUUAUGUAUAAAAUUUGAAACAUGAGGUGUUCUUUGAUUGUCUUCCUUAUGAGUGGCGGUCGGGGACGAGCGAUGGUCUUUUCCUACCAAUCUAUCCCCCUAGGAGCAUGCGCGUAGUGCUUGGUUUUUGAUGACUUGUAGAUUUUUGCAAUAAGUAUGUGAGUUCUUUAUGAGUAAUGUCGAGUCCAUGGAUUAUACGCACUCUUACCUUUCCAUCAUUGGUAGCCUCUUCGGUACCGUGCAUUGCCCUUUCUCACAUUGGGAGUUGGUGCAAACUUCGCUGGUGCAUCCAAACCUCGUGAUAUGAUACGCUCUGUCACACAUAAACCUCCUAUAUCUUCCUCAAAACAGCUACCAUACCUACCUAUUAUGGCAUUUCUAUAGCCAUUCUGAGAUAUAUUGCCAUGCAACUUUCCACCGUUCCGUUUAUCUUGACACAUUCAUCAUUGUCAUAUUGCUUUGCAUGAUCAUGUAGUUGACAUCGUAUUUGUGGCAAAUCCACCGUUCAUAAUUUUUCAUACAUGUCACUCUUGAUUCGUUGCCUAUCCCGGUAUACCGCCGGAGGUAUUCAUAUAGAGUCAUACUUUGUUCUAGUAUCGAGUUGUAAUCACUGAGUUGUAAAUAAAUAGAAGUGUGAUGAUCAUCAUUCUUAGAGCAUUGUCCCAAAAAAAAGAGAAAGGCCAAAUAAAAAAAGGGAAGGCCCAACAAAAAUAUAAUAAAAAGGGACAAUGCUACUAUCCUCUUUUUUUUCCACACUUGUGUUUCAAAGUAGCACCAUGAUUUUCAUGAUAGAGAGUCCCUUGUUUUGUCACUUUCAUAUACUAGUGGGAAUUUUUCAUUAUAGAACUUGGCUUGUAUAUUCCAACAAUGGGCUUCCUCAAAUGCCCUAGGUCUUUGUGAGCAAGCAAGUUGGAUGCACACCCACAUAGUUUCUUUUGUUGAGCUUUUAUGCAUUUAUAGCUCUAGUGCACCCGUUGCAUGGCAAUCCCUACUCCUUGCAUUAACAUCAAUCGAUAGGCAUCUCUAUAGCCCGUUGAUUAUCCGCGUGAUGUGAGACUUUCUCCUUUUUUGUCUUCUCCACAUAACCCCCAUCAUUGUAUUCUAUUCCACCCAUAGUGCUAUAUCCAUGGCUCACGCUCAUGUAUUGCGUGAAGGUUGAAAAAGUUUGAGAUUACUAAAGUAUGAAACAAUUGCUUGGCUUGUCAUCGGGGUUGUGCAUGAUGAGAGCAUUCUUGUGUGACGAAAAUGGAGCAUGACUAAACUAUAUGAUUUUGUAGGGAUGAACUUUCUUUGGCCAUGUUAUUUUGAGAAGACAUAAUUGCUUAGUUAGUAUGCUUGAAGUAUUAUUACUUUUAUGUCGAUAUUAAACUUUUAUCUUGAAUCUUUCAGAUCUGAACAUUCAUACCACAAUUAAGAGGGUUACAUAAAAAAUUAUGCCAAGUAGCAUUCCGCAUCAAAAAUUCUAUUUUUAUCAUUUACCUACUCGAGGACGAGCAGGAAUUAAGCUUGGAGAUGCUUGAUACAUCUCCAACGUAUCUAUAAAUUUUUAUUGCUUCAUGCUAUAUUAUAUUCUGUUUUGGAUGAUUAAUGGGCUUUGUUAUACACUUUUAUAUUAUUUUUGGGACUAACCUAUUAACCGGAGGCCCAGCCCAAAUUGUUGUUUUUUUUGCCUAUUUCAGAGUUUCGCAGAAAAAGAAUAUCAAAUGGAGUCCAAACGGAAUGAAACCUUCGGGAACACGAUUUUUGGAACAAACGUGAUCCAGAGGACUUGGAGUCUACGUCAAGAAAUCAACCAGGAGAGCACGAGGCAGGGGGCGCGCCUACCCCCCUGAGCGCGCCCUCCACCCUCAUGGGGCCCACGUUGCUCCACCGACGUAGUUCUUCCUCCUGUAUAUACCUACAUACCCCCAAACCAACAGAGGCAUCCACGAAAACCUAAUUCCACCGCCGCAACCUUCUGUACCCAUGAGAUCCCAUCUUGGGGCCUUUUCCGGCGUCCUGCCGGAGGGGGCAUUGAUCAUGGAGGGCUUCUACAUCAACAUCAUAGCCUCUCCGAUGAUGUGUGAGUAGUUUACCUCAGACCUUCGGGUCCAUAGUUAUUAGCUAGAUGACAUCUUCUCUCUCUUUGGAUAUCAAUACAAAGUUCUCCACGAUUCUCGUGGAGAUCUAUUCAAUGUAAUCUUCUUUUUGCGGUGUGUUUGUUGAGACCGAUGAAUAGUGGGUUUAUGAUCAAGUUUAUCUAUGAAGAAUAUUUGAAUCUCCUCUGAAUUCUUUUAUGUAUGAUUUGUUAUCUUUGCAAGUCUCUUCGAAUUAUCAGUUUGGUUUGGCCUACUAGAUUGAUCUUUCUUGCAAUGGGAGAAGUGCUUAGCUUUCGGUUCAAUCUUGCGGUGUCCUUUCCCAGUGACAGCAGGCGCAGCCAGGCACGUAUUGUAUUGUUGCCAUCGAGGAUAACAAGAUGGGGUUUAUAUCAUAUUGCAUGAGUUUAUCCCUCUACAUCAUGUCAUCUUACUUAAAGCAUUACUCUGUUCUUUUGAACUUAAUACUCUAGAUGCAUGCUGGAUAGCGGUCGAGGUGUGGAGUAAUAGUAGUAGAUGCAUGCAGGAGUCGGUCUACUUGUCACGGACGUGAUGCCUAUAUACAUGACCAUACCUAGAUAUUCUCAUAACUAUGCUCAAUUCCAUCAGUUGCUCAACAGUAAUUUGUUCACCCACCAUAAUACUUAUGCUGUUGAGAGAAGCCACUAGUGAAACCUAUGGCCACCGGGUCUAUUUUCCAUCAUAUUAAUCUUCCAACACUUAGCUAUUUUUAUUGCCUUUUAUUUUACUUUGCAUCUUUAUUAUAAAAAUACCAAAAAUAAUAUCUUAUCAUAUCUAUCAGAUCUCACUUUCGUAAGUGACCAUGAAGGGAUAGACAAACCCUUUAUUGCGUUGGUUGCGAGGUUUUUAUUUGUUUGUGUAGGUGCGAGGGACUUGAGCGUGGCCUCCUACUGGAUUGAUACCUUGGUUCUCAAAAACUGAGGGAAAUACUUAUGCUACUUUACUGCAUCACCCUUUCCUCUUUAAGGGAAAACCAACGCAGUGCUCAAGAGGUAGCAGACCCCUACGCCUGGUUUCCACGCGUGCCCCGGUAUAUUUUGCCGCUCGGGUAUUCGGAAACACUCUGCACCUUCGGGCCCAGAGGUCGAAGAGAAAAGGUCUAACAUGACAAUCGUUUUUACAAUCCGGCUAGGGACAAAUAUGUCAAGGAAAGUACAUAGUCACUUGGACUCAUAAAUUUCCUCCUCUAUACCGUCUAACAGGUUGUCUAACUUACAAUCCUGCUGGGAAUACCUGGCGGCUACUUCUACUUGGUCAUACACCAAAUUUACGGGAAUGUCUUUCCCAUCUGACCCUAAAGGUCCGACCCGAGCUAUAUGAUUUGGAUCAAGCUUGGUAUACCGUGUUUUUACCAUGGCCCAGGCUUCUCGUGCACCUUCCCGGCAGGCUGAUAUCUUCCAUAAUCGGAAGCGCCGCCGCGCUCCCUUGAAUAGCUCUAUAAGCUCCUCCAUCCUUCCUGGAGGGGAGGUGGAUGGCCAUAAAGCCUUGGCAACACUUCGCAUCGCCUGCCGAGCUUGCUCGUGCAUCUGCGAUUGCUCAUGCAGCAGAUCGCCCGAGAUUCUAGACAUUUCCUCUUCGGGACGACCAGUCAGCAUACCUACAGAUAUAAUUAUGUAAGUCCCUUUCAUCUCCGAACUACACGGAGGUAAGUGUGACCACAUACCAAAUAUACCGCCGCACAGCCUCUUAUUUUCCAUCACGGAAUCAGCCAGCUGGGUCCAUACAUCUUUUAGUUCUUCGCCCAGCUGGGUGUGGGCAUCCUACUGCUUGUUUUUCUCAUUUCUGACUCGUGUCAGCACACGUUCGCUCGCGGCCAGCAGCCUUUUGGCUUCUUGUUCUUCCGUUUGGGCGGCUUUCAGUUGCUCCUUCAGUUGAUCUGACGAUCCUGUCAUAAGAUGAGCAACAGUGUCAGCAUCGCCGGUGUAUAAUCAUGUUUUCUCGAUGGAGGGGAACAUUACCAGGUGAUGCCUUUUUGGAUUUUUCCAGUUCGGUGGUAACAACAGUUAGCUGUGUCUGACACUUUUCUAGCUCUUGGGUUAGUAGGUCGUUCUUCUCCGUAAGAACCUGGUUAUACAAUGAUCCUCAAAUCAGUUGUACCAACUGCUUCAAGUCUCGGGGGCUACUGGCAUAUGGUUAUCAUAUUCGGACAAAGUAAAUUUACCUGCACGUCUUUUAAAUGUUGAUUGGUGGCUCUGGUAAGCCCAUCUCGAGCAGCUCGGAUGUAUGCAUCAGCCGAGCUAAAGGCAUUAAACACCUCUUUUGUAAAGCUGGGGUCUCGUAAAACGGCCCUUUGGCGCCGAUGAUUCAUGGCGCGCUCUGUCGGUGUCAAAACCGGCGGAUCUCGGGUAGGGGGUCCCGAACUGUGCGUCUAAGGUCGAUGGUAAUAGGAGACAGGGGACACGAUGUUUACCCAGGUUCGGGCCCUCUCUAUGGAGGUAAUACCCUACUUCCUGCUUGAUUGAUCUUGAUGAAUAUGUGUAUUACAAGAGUUGAUCUACCACGAAAUCGUAAUGGCUAAACCCUAGAAGUCUAGCCUGUAUGACUAUGGUAAUGAGUCUCUAUCCUUCCGGACUAAGUCCUCCAGUUUAUAUAGACACCGGGAGGAUCUAGUGUUACAUAAGGUCGGUUACAAAGAAAGGAAUCUACAUAUUCUGCCGCCAAGCUUGCCUUCCACGCCAAGGAGAGUCCUAUCCGGACACGGGUGCAGUCUUCGAUCUUCAUAUCUUCACGGCCCAUCAGUCCGGCCCAUGGCUAACAGGCCGGACGCCGAGGACCCCUUAGUCCAAGACUCCCUCAGUAGCCCCUGAACCUGGCUUCAAUGACGAGGAGUCCGGCGCGCAGAUUUGUCUUCGGCAUUGCAAGGUGGGUUCCCCUUUCCAAACUCCAAGAUAGUCUCCGGACGCGAUGAUUGUAUCUGGACCUGUAACGCACACACACAAUCACAGAGAGAAUAUAAUAUUCCACGGGUCCAAUCCGCCGACAACUUUUUACAACGUGACAUCACGUCUGCCCGGUCAUAAUUUCGGACCGUUUUGCUCUGCCAUUCCACAUUUCGAGACGCGGUUGCCAUUGGCACGUCUUGUCGAAGCGGAGAUCGUGUCCCCUUAUUGUGGUAUUCUCAUCAAUACGGGUAUGGGUAACCCAACCGUGCCGUUUACACAGCCCUUGGGAAUAGGCGAGUUUUUAGGAGAGUGAGGAGGCGUUCAAUAUUCACUGCCUUUAUAAGGGGAUAAGGAUUCCCUUCUUCUCCCACGCCUUCUAUCUUUCUCCGCCAUUCUGAUCUUGAGCUCCAGAGCCCAGGUUCUCAUCUUCUUCCCACUCAAGCUAGCACUCAACCAUGUCCGGAUCCAGAGGUCAGGGCAAGUAGAUGCUCUCCUCCGUUAAGGAGAAGGAUAUUACUGAGCUUCGGGCGGCUGGGUACUUGGCAAAGGAAAUUGCCCACCGCCUUCCAGCCCAGGGGAAAAUCGUCCGCACGCCGAAGCCCAACGAGAGGGUGGUAUUCAUCCCUCAUUUCCUCCGCGGGCUUGGGUUUCCUCUCCACCCUUUCGUCCGCGGGCUGAUGUACUAUUACGGGAUAGACUUUCAUGAUCUAUCUCCGAAUUCUUUCCUCAACAUCUCGGCGUUCAUCGUCGUGUGUGAGGCCUUCCUCUGCAUUCAACCCCACUUCGGGCUGUGGCUCAAGGUCUUCAACGUGAAGCCGAAGGUGGUGGAUAGCCAGCAUGCGGAGUGCGGAGGAGCCAUGGUGAGUAAGCUGUCCAAUGUCUCCCGGCCGAAAGGCACUUUCGUGGAGACAGUCAAGGAAUGGCAGAAACAAUGGUUCUACAUUACAGAACCCCACGACACUAGCUGGGCCGCGACUGCCGAAUUCAACCCCGGUGCCCCAAUGCGGCUCACCUCCUUGGUCGAGAAGAGCCCGAACUGGUGUUCGUCAGACGAGAUGACAACGCUACAGACGCGCGUUCAAAGCAUGGUGGACAAGGAUGUCAAACUUGCCGAUAAUAAUCCAGGUGAUGCUAGUUCACCGGACUCUUCCGUGCCAAAGCCGAAGCCCCCUCUAUGUAAGUUCAAUCCGAAGAAGCACCAUACUCUGAAGAGGCUCUUUGAGACCACUCACGAAGGCGCCUGGAAGUUGCUCUUUAAGGGCAACGAGAAGCCGCCGACCACAGAUUCAGACCGCGGACACGACAUUAACCAUCUCGCCAGCGAGAUAUGUUAUUUUUUAACGCAUCCCCUACUUGCCUGUUUCGAGGAUGAUGUCUGAGCUUUUAUCAUUGCUUCUUCAAGACUGGAUGGAGAGGGCGAAGCGGAUCCAGUGUCCGGCUCCACUGCCUGAAGAACCAGUCAUCCCACGUUUAGCGAAGAUGCUGGUGCCGCCACCCUAUAAGGCGCCGGAGAAGAAGGCCAAGAAGAAGGCCAAGGGGGCCAAAAGCGGCCCCCGUCGCAAGGGCGCUUCGGACGUGACGUCCGAAGACGAAGAGACCCAUUCCUCCGUCCCUGAGGAUGACGAUGAGGAAGAGGAGGAGGAGGAGGAGAACAACCCUCCCCCUGAGGAGGGAAAGAAGAAGAGGACGGCUUCCACAAAUCUGGAGGCUGGAACGCCCAAGAAGGGGAAGGGCGCCCUUGCGGUCAACACCGCGUGGGACGUUGGCAGCAGUCCGGAGCGACGCCCCUGCACUAAGCCCUGGGCCGCAUCGUAAGUGCUAAGACUCGUACAUGCCCAUAGAUCUAACCUUUCCUCCUUGUCGUAUUGACAUGAUCAAUCAUGCUAUUACAGUCCAGCCCACGACAGCUCCCAGCGAUCCUCAUCAAGAGGUUCGUUGGACCCAAGGGAGAUGGCCAACGAGACACCGCCAGCCGCUUACUCUCCCAAGGCCAAAGGGGACGACGAGGUGCUCUCCCAACGGACCUUCCCAGGCCGGGGAGAGUCUCGAGAAGCGCCCGAAGGCGAAGCCCCCGUCGCCGGACACCAGGGGGAACCAAUCCCCCGGGAGACUAGGGAGGAGGGUCGCACUCAGUUCGGCCCUCAACCGGACUUGAUUCCGGAGACCGAUACAGUUCCGGAAUCCGGCACACAACCUCCAUCGAAAGAAGGGGGUAUGCCUAUUCCAUCGGUGACCCCUGUCAAACCAGGGGCACCAGAUAAUCUACUGGAAGCGCUGCGAGGGCUUCCAUUCUGGAUGAGCAUCGUGUUCUUAUGGGCACGGUGAUUGAGAGGAUUCAAUCCGCCAAGAGCGGACUAACCGAAGCCUGCAGCAGCCUGCUGACAGGUUUUGAGGUAAGCGACGCAAAAAGAGAAAAUCCCCAUAUAGACAGUAGCCCCUGAGACACUGUCUGGUGUUCGGAAAGAAAAUCCGGAUAGAGGAUCAUUCCUUUAUUGCAGGGAACUAACUAAAUUUGUUUGGAAUGCGAAGGCAGGCGUCACUGCUGGCCGCGGACUCACAUGCUGCCGAAGUCUCCGAACUCAAGUGGAGGCUGGAGCAGGCCGAGGAAGAGCUCGGCCGGGUGAAGAGGCAACUCCAGGAGAAUCAAGGUAUGUAAUAACCCCAGAAGUAUUCGGAAAGAGUAGGAUGUUAUUGACCGAAGUGUCUUAAUAUAAAUAGGAGUAACGACCGAAAUCGAGGCCCUGAAAAAGGCCCUGGGCGAAGCCGAGGGGACGGCCGUGAAGGAGCAGGCUCCCCGUAAGAAGCUCUAGGCCCGUGUCAGCGAGGUUCAACAAGAGCUCCACGACGCGGUGAAGAAGUGUGAGACCUUGGAGCGUGACGUGUCGGCUAAAGAGGCCGAACUCUCUAAGGCUCAUCAGAGCACGAAGACGGCCCGGAACAAGGCCCGGGGCGCCCUCCAAGAGGUCCAGGAGGCGAGGAAGAUUGCUGCGGGUAAGGCAUUCUGUAUGCAAAGCAAAUAUGCGAAGAGGAAGUAUCUUUUACUAACCCGGAUUCAGAGCUCUCCAGGAGCUUUUGCUGAUUUUCCGCGCAGUGUGUCUGACGCCGCGGAGUUCUUCCGAGCCGAAGAAGGGUGCUCUACGGAGAAGCUAUUUUGGUCGCAAUAUCUUGCGCCAGAGCCUCCCGUGCCCUUCACCGAUCAGCUGAAACAGCUGGUGGAGCCGCAUAGGGUGGCCGAACUAGCCAUGAAGGAUUUGAUAAUCCGGCUAUGGCCAGCCGAAGCUAUGCCCGGCAGCUACUUCGGACUCCUGAGGUCGAUGGUGGACGCCUGUCCUCGGCUGGAUAUCGUCAAGCGAUCAGCCUGUAUUGAGGGUGCUCGUAUGGCCUUCGCCCGUUGCAAGAUGUGGUGGGCGAAGAUGAAUGCCAUUGAGCUGGCUCGGGGGCCGCUAGAGGGCAAGGAGCACCGCACACCCGAGCUCUAUUUCGCGGAUGUCCUGGAGGGGUCUCGCAUUGUAGCAGCGCAGUGUGGGCAGGACAUUAUUUUUGAAUGAAUGCAUUCGUGUUGUCUUUUCCUUGUAUAAUGAAACAAAGUUGGUUUGUAAUAUAAUGACUGUUAUGUUUUUAAUUUUACCUCCUGUGAGGCCAUGUUUAUAUGAAAUCUGAGGGUUGGCCAGUCAUCGGCUUCUGCCCCCACGUAGAUAGUACGGAGGUGUUCGGGAUGGAAUCUAAACAAUCUUGAUACAAUUGUAUGGUCCUUGAAGGAGUUGUUUAGCACAACGAACCAGGCAACUAGACUAUUCAGCUUUAACGCCCUCACUUAGCCAUAGGAGUUCGACAAUAAAAACAUUGACGCAGCCCCUAGUUUCCGAACUAGAGUGCUAUAAGCGUCUGAUCGGGAAGUGCCGAUCCUUCGCGUAACGCGGAAGAAAUCUCCAAUGAUUUGCGACCUCCGAACAGCUGACCGGCUCUCGCUGCAUCAUGACAGUCAGUUUUCGGCUUUCUCUCAUGAGGUGCUCCUUUGGAUAAACCAGGGCACAAUCGCAGUAGUUCUCCAUUUACUACCUUAGCCGAUGUAGCGGAAUGUAAGGUAGCAAGCACAGGAGCCGGGCAACCCAACUUUUGACCAAAGACAUGAUUCAGAGCCAAUGCAUAUAAUGCUAAAUUUGGGGUGCCGAACUAUACUAUAAAAAGUGUUUAGACUUUGUUGUCGUAUUGUAGGGCGCCUGGGAGCCCCUGUCAAAUGUGAAACGUACCAAAGUGUACGGGUGCCAGAAGAUAAAUUAUUAAAGGAAAACAGGAAUAAAGCAGAGGUGAUAUCUUGGGCCCUUAAACUUGAGCCAUGAACUGUUUCCAUGAUAAUUGGGUUAAUGCGUCAAAGCGCAUUGAUACAAACAGUGCGAUAAGCAAUCCGGCUAUUUAACAUGCCGUGACCAAGGGCGAGCUGCGUGUGGGUCCUGACAACAGGUAGAGUGACCUCUAGAGCUUCCCCUAUACGUAUGUGCUUCCUGACAUCCUGGUAUUUUUAUCCUUUUACAGGACUGAUAAUCAGGCCGUCCAAGAAGGCCUAUGUAAAAGAAACCUGGAAAAGAAAAAAGGAAAUAGUAAAAGUAUGUGUGUGUUCGGGAUCGGUCGAGUCGAACUGUGGAUCACAACCUUUUCUGUGCGUCCGUCGAUGCCCAUGGAAUUUUGAGUGCGUAAUUAUGUACGCGUGGUACGAAUGCCACUGCCUGAUCAGGACUGGGACGGAGGCCAUAUUGCUAACCGAGCUCUUGACGAGCCAAGCUAUUCUGUUGCGGCGUAGUCUGGAUCUUCUUAUCAGUGUCCAGGGGCUCGGCAGCCGGAUUACGGUUCUGCUUGAGAAGGCCAUUCUGUACUUCUGCUGCUAGGGCGGCGGUGUGCUCCUCUAUACGGAGGGACCGUUCCGUAUUUCUGUUGACCAUGAUGACGCCGCGUGGACCGGGCAUCUUGAGCUUAAGGUAGGCAUAGUGUGGCACUUCAUUGAAUCGAGCGAACGCGGUUCGUCCGAGCAGUGCGUGAUAGCCGCUGCGAAAGGGGACGAUAUCGCAGAUUAACUCCUCGCUUCGGAAAUUGUCCGGAGACCCGAAGACAACUUCUUGCGUGAUUGCGCCCGUGCAGCGGGCCUCGACACCUGGUAUGACUCCUUUGAAGGUACUCUUUGUGGGCUUGAUCCGUGAUGGAUUGAUGCCCAUUUUUGGCACUGUAUCAUAAUAAAGCAGGUUGAGGCUGCUACCUCCGUCCAUAAGGACGCGCGUUAGGUGAAAUCCAUCGAUGAUUGGGUCGAGGACUAGUGCGGCUGAGCCGCCAUGACGGAUACUAGUCGGGUGGUCCCGACGAUCAAAGGUGAUCGGGAAUAACGACCAUGGAUUGAAUUUUGGGGCGACUGGCUCUAUCGCACAGACGUCCCUUAGCACGCGUUUGCGCUCCCUUUUGGGGAUGUGUGUAACAUAUAUCAUGUUUACUGUUUUCGCUUGAGGGGGAAACUUCUUUCGCCCCCCUGUGUUCGAUUACCGGGGCUCCUCGUCUUCGUCCUUGCUUUGUGAUCGCUUUUCCCUGUUCUCGGAGUUUAAUUUGCCGGCCUGUUUAAAAACCCAACAGUCUAUGUUGGUAUGAUUGGCUGGUUUUUCUGGGGUGCCAUGUAUCUGGCACGGGCGAUCGAGUAUGCGGUCCAGGCUGGAUGGUCCCUGAUUGUUUCUCUUGUAUGGUUUCUUCCGCUGGUUGGACUUGGAGCCACUGAAUCCGGCGUUGAGUGUAGUGUCAUCGGUAUUAUCACCAUUGCUUUGGCGUUUGUGUCUGUUACGUCGGAGCUUGCCGUUGUUGUUCUUAGCCUCGGAGGGGCCUGCCUCGCUGGCUGUGUUUUUGCUGCGAGCCAACCAACUAUCCUCACCCGCGCAAAAGCGGGUCAUGAGUGCCGUGAGGGCUGCCAUAGAUUUUGGCUUUUCUUGGCUGAGGUGGCGGGCGAGCCAUUCGUCACGGAUGCUAUGUUUAAAGGCCGCUAAGGCUUCGGCAUACGGACAGUCGACGAGCUGGUUCUUUUUAGUUAGGAACCUAGUCCAGAACUUCGUGGCUGACUCCCCGGCCUGUUGAACUAUGUUACUUAAGUCAUCGGCGUCCGGCGGCCGAAUAUAUGUACCUUGGAAGUUGUCGAGGAAAGCUUCUUCCAGGUCCUCCCUGCUGCCAAUAGAAUUUUCAGGCAGACUGUUUAGCCAGUGCCGAGCUGGCCCUUUGAGUUUUAGUGGGAGGUAUUUGAUGGCGUGAAGAUCAUCCCCGCAGGCCAUGUGGAUAUGGAGAAUAAAAUCCUCGAUCCAUACCGCGGGAUCGGUUGUUCCAUCGUAUGAUUCGAUGUUUACGGGUUUGAAUCCUUCUGGGAAUUCAUGAUCCAUUACUUCGUCAGUGAAGCAAAGAGGGUGCACGGCGCCUCUAUAUCGGGCCACAUCGCGACGUAGCUCUGAUGGAGUCCGUCUGCGGCAUUCGGCCCGGGCGUGGUUAGGUUUAUCACAUCCAAAUAGGUACCAUCGUCGUGUGUCAACGAACGUCCUCGCGAUCCGUAGAUCGAUCUUGUAUGUCCUGCUCUACUGUCCAGGUCUUGACGAAGGUCAUAUGUAUAGCCUCGAGCUGUCUUAUCCCUGCCUUUACGGCGAGGUGGGACAGUCUGGUUUUCGGCUCGGGUUGCAGCUUUAUCCUGACCGUGCUGUGGACGAUCAGCCGCGUUGCGUCAUGCUGGUGCGGGAUAUGGCACCUCAUCAUCGAACUGAGGUAGUAAUCUGCGCUUCGGGUAACUUUUGGCUCGGCGUUUAAGGCUGUACUCCUCGGCUGCCAGGACAUCAGUCCAUCUGUCAUUGAGCAGGUCUUGGUCAGCUUGAAGCUGUUGCUUCUUCUUUUUCAGGCUCCUCGCAGUGGCUAUCAACUGAAGCUUAAAGCGCUCCUGCUCUAGGGUCUCCUCAGGCACGAUGAAGUCUUCGUUGCCAAGGCUCACCUCCUCCUUGGAGGGCGGACGGUAACUACUGUCCUCCUAGUCUUCUUCUAUGGCCUAUUCGUCAAGGCUUGCAUGCCCUGAUUCUCGAUUGUCUUGUUCGGCAGUUUGUUCAUUGGGUUCUUGUGUGUCUUCGGCACCAUCCGGAGUGUUGUCGUCUCCUGUGCAGGUGUUGUUGUCCCUGCUGCGGCGGGAUUUAGAGCAGCGCUGCUGACGCCGGCACUUUGGCUGUGUUUUAGGAGGGUCUUCCUUGUCAUCGCCGCUAUUACUUUUCGGUGUAUCUACCAUGUAGACGUCAUAUGAGGAAGUGGUCGUCCAUCGUCCAGUGAACGGCGGGUUUUGGGCCUCCACGUCUCCGGCAUCGUCGUCCAUACUGUCGAUGUCUUCGGAGUCAUAGUCAAGCGCGUCGGUUAAGUCUUCGAUAGUGGCUAUGAAGUGGGUGCUGGGUGGUAAGCGAGAUUCUCCUUCGUCAUCAGCCUCCAGUUCAAACCGGACAUAAUUCGGCUGUGAGUCCCCCGCCAAGGACAAGUUUCUUAAUGAAUUUAGCACAUCGCCCAAGGGCGAAUGCUGGAAGAUGUCCGCGGCGCUAAACUCAAAGAUCGAUAAGCGAUCCAGUUCAGCGUCCGCGGAUGUGCAUGGCUCGGAAUUCAUGACCGAAGACAAGUCCGGGGUUCCGGUGACCAAGGCAUCGAGUGACUUUAGGUCUAUGUUCGGCUCCAACGCCGUGGAAUCUGCGGCCUCCGCGGUGGGGUUGAUCCCCCCGUCCUUGGACGGCGCAAUAUGUUCCGGAUCUAUGGCCAGAGCAGUUACAGGAGCAAUCUCCUGGAUGCGGCCCGAUGACAGAUUUAGGCCAUGUUCAUCACGGUGACUAGGAGCGGUCACCACUGUCUCGAAUCCGGUGAAGAUCAAAUCUCCACGGAUGUCCGCGACAUAGUUCAAGCUCCCAAAUCUGACUUGAUGGCCAAGGGCGUAGCUGUCGAUCUGCUCCAGUUGGCCAAGCGAGGUGGCCCGCAGCGCGACGCCGCCGAACACGAAGAUCUGUCCGGGGAGGAAGGUUUCCCCUUGGACAGCAUUGUUGACGAUUGAAGGGGCCAUCAAACCUUUUGGGGACGGCACAGUGGAACUCUCAAUUAAAGCAGCAAUGUCGGUGUCAAAACCGGCGGAUCUCGGGUAGGGGGUCCCGAACUGUGCGUCUAAGGUCGAUGGUAACAGGAGACAGGGGACACGAUGUUUACCCAGGUUCGGGCCCUCUCUAUGGAGGUAAUACCCUACUUCCUGCUUGAUUGAUCUUGAUGAAUAUGAGUAUUACAAGAGUUGAUCUACCACGAGAUCGUAAUGGCUAAACCCUAGAAGUCCAGCCUGUAUGACUAUGGUAAUGAGUCUCUAUCCUUCCGGACUAAGUCCUCCAGUUUAUAUAGACACCGGGAGGAUCUAGGGUUACACAAGGUCGGUUACAAAGAAAGGAAUCUACAUAUUCGGCCGUCAAGCUUACUUCCACGCCAAGGAGAGUCCUAUCUGGACACGGGUGCAGUCUUCGAUCUUCGUAUCUUCAUAGCCCAUCAGUCUGGCCCAUGGCUAACAGGCCGGACGCCCGAGGACCCCUUAGUCCAGGACUCCCUCACUCUCCACUUCCGAGUUGGUGAUGGAUACAUCAUCUGAAUCCUCGGCUCGAGGACAAUCCUGCAUCACCCCCGUAUCAGCCCCCGUCCUUACGGCAGGAUCUGGAAUCCGGCAGUGGGGAGUAUGACCGGCCGGACCCCCGGACAUAGUCCGGCACACUCUUUUCCUGAUACAGGACAAACAAAAAUGUCACAGUCGGAUGCGAGUGCCAAGGGGCAUAUUUGCAGAACCGUACCUCUUUGAUAAAGGCUCGGCCGUAUCUUCAUUCGCCUUCCUCUUCGAAGGCUUGCCCGGCGUGGGGGUCGCUCUCUUGGGAGAUGCCCCAGUGGCAGCAUGGCGCUUUUCCGAACGCCUCCCCUUUUGAUCGCAAAACAGUGCGGUGGGUGAGGCAGAACGGGGGAACUCUUUCGGAGGAGAUGUCUCCUGAUUACUUACAUGCGAAGCGGGGAGAAGACCGGGAUAGUCGGCGGUGAUGGCCACUUUCGUGCCGUCAUAGCUCACCCGGUAAAACACUCCAUCCUCGAGCACCACGAAUAUAUCCGGAUCCUCUUCGAAUCCUGGGUCAAGAUCCCGGUUGUGGCCCUCUGGCUGCGGGGCGGGGCUGUGAAGCCCCUCGGAGAUCUUUUGCCACUGCUGUUAUAAAUGGAUGGAUUAAACACUCAUUGAAAGUGGCUCGAGGAGUGGAGUGAAUAAAGCAGAGGGGUGGGGACUUACCCAGGUAGGAGGAUUGUACAUUGAAAAUCCAUCUCUGCGCUUGAUACGAAGAAAUUCCUCUUCCUCCCCUUUGAACAGUUCGGCCAACAUUUUGGCCAGAGCGGCGGGGGUGUCCGGACCCUUUCGGCCGCAGCGGGAGGCGUCAUCCUCCCCAUUGUAGUGCCACACGGGAAGCCCUCUGAAUUGGAGUGGCUAAACCCCUCGUACUAUGGCAGUCGCCAUUACCUCGACUAUUGACAAUCCGGAUUGGGUGAGCGUCUAUAUCUUGCUCAUGAGUUGACGAACUUCUGCACUAUCUUCCUCCUCGAGGCUUCGGGGGCGCCAACUGUGGCGUUUCUUCAAAGGAACACUUGUGAACUCGGGAAGACCCCUCCAAACUGGGUCGGGAAGCGCGACGUCCUCGAUAUAGAACCAUUCGGAAGGCCAUUCAUCGGAUGCUUUCUUUGGUGUGCCGGACAGGUAUCCGGUCCCAGCGAUGCGCCAUACCUUGGCUCCGCCCACUUCAAAUAUGGACCCCUCGUGGUUACGCGGGACGAGACAGAACAACUUUCUCCACAAUUCAAAGUGAGCCUCACAACCGAGGAAGAGCUCACAAAGAGCGACGUAACCCGCGAUAUGCAGAAUGGAGGCAGGAGUAAAGUUGUGCAGCUGGAGGCCGUAAUACUCCAGAAGCCCUCGGAGGAACGGAUGAAUUGGAAAUCUGACACCUGUUAGCAGAUAAGGGACAAAGCACACUCGUUCCCCCUGGAUGGAUUGGGGAAAUUUUCAGCUUGAGCCCCACCAUUGAAGGAGGUCAGUCCUACUCGAACAGGGACUAGAUCUGCGGAGGGAAGGAAUCCCUGUGUUUACAGCUUCACCAGCUGACCAUGAGACACGGAACAUCUCCCCCACUCGCCUUUUCUGUGCCGCAGGGAAGGGAGGAAGAGCUGGAAACGCUAGCCAUGUUGGAAUGGACUUUUCUAGCAAAGCUCUGAGGAAUUUUUCUGUGUGGUGCUGAAUGGAUCUGAGAUCCAAUCUCUUUAAUUGAUGCUAUUCUUACAUGGCUGGGGUGUUAUGUGCAAAAAUAACCUAACCUCUCGCAUUUGCUCAACAUGUGGAGGCUGAAGUUGCUGAUACACAGAAGCCGAGGGGUAUGACAUUAAAUGGAAGGCCGAAUACAUCACUUUGAAGUCAUCGGAGGAGGAACCCGCCUUGCAAUGCCGAAGACAAUCUGCGUGCCGGACACCUCAUCAUUGAAGUCUGGUUCGAGGGCUACUGAGGGAGUCCUGGACUAAGGGGUCCUCGGGCGUCCGGCCUGUUAGCCAUGGGCCGAACUGAUGGGCUGUGAAGAUACAAAGACCGAACACUCCACCCGUGUCCAGAUGGGACUCUCCUUGGCGUGGAAGGCAAGCUUGGCGAUCGAAUAUGAAGAUUCCUUUCUCUGUAACCGACCUUAUAAACCGGAGGGCUAGGUCUGUAGAGGCCAAUACUCAUAGCCAGAGUCAUAUAGGCUAGACUUCUAGGGUUUUAGCCAUUACGAUCUCGUAGUAGAUCAACUCUUGUAACACUCAUAUUCAUCAAGAUCAAUCAAGCAGGAAGUAGGGUAUUACCUCCAUAGAGAGGGCCCAAACCUGGGUAAACAUUGUGCCCCCCGUCUCCUGUUACCAUCGACCUUAGACGCAUAGUUCGGGACCCCCUACCCGAGAUCCGCCGGUUUUGACACCGACGGGCGCCCCACCUGCGGGCGCAGAUCCUGGGGGUGGUGCCGCUGGAAACGCCGCUUUCCUGAGGCCCUUGGUGGAGCAGCUGCAUCUUCUUCUUGGGGAUGGCCUCAGGACGGUAGAUGGCGCCUUCGUUAUCUGGGUCUUCGGCUGGUGUAGCUUGGUAAGCGCGCUCGAGAGAGCACACCCCAUCCUUCUCUUCACAGGCGACCGUGAUGACACCGCUGGUCCCUGGCAUCUUGAGGACGUUGUAGUCGUGAUGGGUCACUGCCAUAAACUUGGCCAGGGCUGGAUACCUGAGGAUGGCGUUGUACGGCAGGCGGAUGUGGGCGACGUCGAAGUCAAUGAGCUCGGUGCGGUAGUUAUCGCGCUUGCCGAAGGUGACAGGGAGGCGGACCUGCCCUAUCGGGGUGGUGGAGCCAUCGGUCACUCCUGAGAAGGGCUUGGUAGGCUGCAGCUGAUCGUCUGGCACCUGGAGGCGAUCGAACGUCUCGACGGACAGGACAUUGAGCCCUGCGCCGCCAUCGAUGAGCGUCUUGGUGACUUGGACGUUGCUAAUGAUGGGCGAGCAUAGCAUCGGGAGGGCGCCGGCAGUUACCGCGCAUUUGAGCUGGUCGGACGAGCUGAAGGUAAUGGUGCACUUGGACCACCUGAGCGGGCGCGUGGCCUCGAGCCUGAGGAGGGCCGCGUUCACUUCGCGGGCGAACUGCUUGAAGAUGCGCUGGGAGGCUGGGGCCUGAGCACCACCCAAGAUGCAGGCGAUGGCACGAGGCUCCUGGAAGCCCCCAGCCCCCUCGCACUAGUGCAGAACCAGGCUAUAGCACCGGUUCAUAAGGGCCUUUAGUGCCGGUUCUGUAACCGACACUAUAGGGUGGGGACUAAAGGUCACCCCCUUUAGUACCGGUUCUGCACAAACCGCCGCUAAAGGGCCACCACGUGGCACGAGCCAGCGCCGGGGGCGGGGAGCCCUUUAGUACCGGUUUGUAACACCAACCGGUACUAAAAUGUUGGGGGGGGGGUUGGUUUCAUGAUUUCUUUUUUCCUUUAAUUAUGUGUUUUCCAUUUAAUUCUUUUUCGUUUGCUGGUAUUUUACGAUACUACAUAUUGUACAUGUUAUGCAUAUAUAUCUAAAUAGAAUUUCUCAUAGAACCGAUCAUAUAUAUAUUUUUUCGAAAAGGGGGAUCUCCCCGGCCUCUGCAUCAGAGUGAUGCAUACGGCCCUCUUAGUAACGAAAAAAAGGUUCCAACAAGAUAUUAAAAAAGAAAGCUCACACAGAGCUAAAGAGGCUAGAAACACAGACUAGCCAAGAUAAGACGCCACAACCGGCUGGCUAAAGAUAGAUAGGUAAACUAAUUGCCUAUCCUAUUACAUGACCGCCAUCCAAACCGGUUGAAGAUAUCCCGAGCUACCAUCUCCCAGCGGAUAGAUCCAGUAACCAAAUGCUCCCUGGCCUCCAUCGGAGUGAGUAGCGACCAUGAACGGAUCAUGGCCGUGGCUCGGAAAAUAACCUGCAAAAAGUGAAUACGUGAUGUUCUGUUAAAAACCAAAUCAUUUUUGCAAGUCCAGAUAGUCCACAACAAAGCGCAAACUCCAACACGAAUAUGUCUCGCUAAGUCAGGCUCAAUCCCAGUGAGCCAUGUCCCAAAUAACGUAGUGACAGAAUUCGGUGGAGUAAUAUUAAAAGCAAUGUGAACCGUCCGCCAAAGGACUCUGGGAAACGGGCAAUCAAGAAAGAGAUGUUUGAUCGUCUCGUCCCGAUCACAGAAGCUACACCUCGUAGGUCCUGUCCAAUUACGCUUAAUCAAGUUAUCCUUGGUUAAAAUAACCUGUUUAUGGACAAACCACAUAAACACUUUUAUUUUCAAAGGAACUUUGACAGCCCAAACAUGCUUGGAGGUAGGAAUGGAGCUCGAAUUAAUUACAUCAAUAUACAUUGAUUUAACCGUGAAUACUCCAGACCUAGUCAGUUUCCAGCGUAAUUCAUCGGGUUGUUGAGAAAGAUGUACAUCCAUUAGUCUCCGAACUAGAAGGAGCCAAUCUUCCCAACGAUUGCCCACUAACGACCGUCUGAACUGAAUAUUAAGGGGGAUGGAUUGAAACACCGUAGCAACGAACACCUCAUGUCAUUGAACAAUGCGAUAUAAAGACGGAUAUUGAAUGGCCAAGGGUGUCUCGCCGAGCCAAGUAUCCUCCCAGAAGCGUGUACUAGCGCUGUUGCCAAUAACAACCUUUGUCCUAUUAAACAGAGAUUGUUUGACUUUCAUCAGUCCUUUCCAGAAAGGUGAGUCAGUUGGCCUGACUGUGACCUGGGACAAGGAUUUUGUCUGUAGGUACUUGCUGCGAAGGAUUUGGGCCCACAUGGCAUCAGUCUCAAAAGAAAGCUUCCACAGCCACUUGCUAAGAAGGCAUCUGUUCUUAACUUCAAGAUUUUCAAUACCAAGACCCCCUUGGUCUUUCGGUCUACAGAUGAUAUCCCAUUUUGCAAGUCUGUAUUUUCUUUUUAGAUCAUCACCCUGACAAAAGAAACGCGAUCUAUAAAAGUCCAGUCUUUUCCUAACAACUGGGACUUGAAAGAACGAUAAGAGAAACAUAGGCAUACUCGUGAGCACCGAAUUAAUCAGAAUUAAUCGGCCUCCGUAUGACAUGAGCUUGCCCUUCCAGCAACUCAGUUUCUUCUCAAACCGGUCUUCGAUGCACUUCCAUUCUCUAUUAGUCAGCUUUUGAUGGUGGAUUGGAAUACCUAGGUAAGAGAAAGGUAAAUCCCCCAAGCCGCACCCAAACAAUUGCCUAUAAGCCUCCUGUUCGUCUUUGGCUCUACCAAAGCAGAACAACUCGCUCUUAUGAAAGUUAAUCUUUAACCCGGUCAAUUGUUCGAAAAGGCAUAACACCAGCUUCAUAUUUCUCGCCUUGGCCAAGUCAUGCUCCAUAAAGAUGAUUGUAUCAUCACCGUACUGAAGGAUGGAUACACCUCCAUCAACCAGAUGAGGUAUCAAGCCACCUACUUGACCAUUCUCCUUAGCCCUUCCUAUCAAUAUGGCUAACAUAUCAACCACAAUGUUAAACAGGAUAGGGACAUCGGAUCUCCUUGUCUUAGGCCUUUAUGUGUCUGGAAGUAAUGACCAAUAUCGUCAUUCACUUUAAUUCCCACACUCCCUUUUUGCGUAAAUGAUUCAACCCAGCGGCGCCAGGCUUCAUCAAAACCUUUCAUACGCAAUGCCUGUUGGAGAAAUGGCCAUUUGACCUUAUCGUACGCUUGCUCGAAAUCCACCUUAAAAAUUACACCAUCUAAUUUCUUGGAAUGGAUUUCAUGGAGCGUUUCAUGAAGGACGACCACCCCUUCAAGGAUGUUUCUGUCCGGCAUGAAGGCAGUUUGGGAGUGCUGCACCACAGAAUGCGCAAUCUGUGUGAGCCUAUUAGUCCCGACCUUGGUGAAGAUUUUAAAACUAACAUUGAGAAGGCAGAUUGGCCUGAACUGCUCAAUUCUCACAGCAUCCGUCUUCUUAGGAAGCAGUGUGAUAGUUCCAAAAUUCAAGUGAAAUAAUUGAAGCUGUCCAGAGAACAGAUCAUGAAACAUAGGUAGCAAAUCCCCCUUAAUAAUAUGCCAGCACUUCUUGUAGAACUCCACCGGAAAUCCGUCCGGUCCGGGAGCCUUAUUAUUUUUCAAUUGUGCUAUAGCAUCAAACACCUCCUUCUCCGAGAACGGGGCAACCAGAAUAUCAUUUUCAGCAGCCGAAAGUUGAGGCACGUCCUCAGUUCUGGACUCAUCAAGGGCUACACAAUUGUCCUCCGGAGGUCCAAAUAACUGCCUAUAAUACUCGGUUAUAUAUGUUUUUAGGUUAUCCUGUCCUAAAAUAGUGCCGUCAUCUUGUUCAAGUUGGAAUAUUCUCUUCUUUCUGUGCUUACCAUUAGCAAUCAGAUGAAAGAAUUGAGUAUUCGCGUCCCCUUGGACCACUUUGCGGACCUUAGCCCGCAAAGCUCACUUCAAUUCUUCCUCGCGGAGAAGUUCUUUCAACCUCUUCUCUGCCUCAGUUUUAACCUGGAGCUCAGUAGGCAUCAAAAUCGUGGAUUCGGCCUUAAUGUCCAGAGUCUGUACAAGAGAGAGGAGCCUGUCCUUCUCAAUCUUAUGAACCCCACUAAGGUGCUUAGCCCAACCCCGUAAGAAGCUUCUCAAACUCCUAAUCUUAUUCUGCCAACGCUCAACCGCAGUCCUACCUCCUACACCCUUCGCCCAUUCCCUAGCGAUCAGGUCUAAGAACCCUUCGCGUUCGAACCAAGCCAUCUCAAAAGAAAAGGUGUUUUUGUUUCCCACGUGGUUCGGCUCCCCUGAGUCAACGAACAAGGGUGUGUGAUCGGAAAAACCCCGCGAAAGAGCUUGAACCGUCACAAGCGGGAACUUCUGUUCCCACUCCACACUCGCAAGAACUCGAUCAAGCUUUUCGUAAGUCGGGUUGGGCAAAGAGUUAGCCCAGGUAAACUUUCUACCAGAAAGCUCUAUCUCCCUCAGAUCCAAGCUUUCAAUAAUAGUAUUGAACAUGAACGACCACCUGCCAUCAAAGUUAUCAUUAUUCUUCUCCUCUCUCCUCCUAAUGAUGUUGAAAUCACCCCCAACUAAGAUUGGAAGCUGCUCGGACCCACAAAUCCGAACAAGAUCCGCCAAAAAUUCCGGUUUAAGCUCGGGCUGUGCGGCACCAUAAACCGCCACCAACGCCCAGUUGAAACCAUCAACCUUAGACCUGACUCGAAACUUAACCGCGAAGUCGCCCAUCACUACACUACGGACUUCAAGCGAAUCGCAUCUCACACCCAGCAAGAUACCACCCGAUCUUCCUCGCGGAGGGAGGCAAUGCCAAUCAAAAUCAACACCACCCGCAAGAGAGGAAAGGAACUGGGGCGCAAAGUUGUCUCUACCAGUUUCCGAUAGAGCAAUAAAAUCUAAACGAUGCUCCAGAGAUGCCUCAGCAAGAAACCUUCUUUUAGCCAAGUCUUUCAGACCUCUGCUAUGCCAAAAGAUUCCUUUCAUCACUCAUCAUGAAAUUUUUUAGUAGUCCGAAUCCUAGCACUCCUAAGAACUGCAGAAUCUGGAUAAAUUUUCCGUUUCCACUUACGCUUUGGUUUACUAGGUCCUGACUCCCGGUCCUCAUAACCGGGCUCAGCGGAAUAAACAACUGCAUUAUCUAUGGGCAUAUCAUCGUCCUCAGACUCAUGAUUGGAUGGUGCUAGAUCCACACACAUAUUAUCAAGCACUCUAACCCCUAAUGCAUCAAUCUCAUUGUCAGUCAUGGGUUUAACCGCUGCAAGAUUACGAAUAGUCUCUAAGGCACGCUCCGCCUCCAAAUCUAACAAAUCAUUCACCGAAUUGGAAAUCUCACUAUCUGUAGCCCCGAGUGAAACUCCUAAUUGGUUUGCAUUAUUUAUAAUUUCCUCAUUAGAAAAAUGCAAUAAAGAAUUAGAUAUGUUGACGGACAUACCAGUAGAGAUCUCAGCAUCAUGAAGCUUGGCCGCCCUCAUAGCGCACCUCUGCUGCAUGUCAUCAACCUCCGGAAGCUCCUGGAUGCGAGCACUCAUCCGCCUCCCCGUCGAGGCUGGGUCCGGGAUCCCGCCAAAAGCAACGACCUCCUCCCUAGUAACUCGUCGCGCUGAAACCCGCGAGGUCAACCAAGGUUACCGGAGGAGGCGGCUGCGGGCUCCCAUACCCCUCGGACAAGUGCCCCAAGCCGAGACCCAUAGCAACGGGUACGCUGGGAGGGAGGAUAGCGGGGGCCGCCUGCCUGAGCCCUCCUCCCGCCCCACCCUUCGGCGAAGAAUGGGUCGUCAUCGUCGCAGGAGACGCGGUCCUCCUGACCGCCGAAAAGGGAGGAGGAGCCAGGGCCACCUGCCCCAAACCCCCCACCCCCAGCGUCUCAGCAAGCGCAGGUGCCGUCUCCACGACCGGAGGAGACUCGGUCCUCCUGACCGCCGACGAGGAAGGAGGAGUCAGGGGCACCUGCCCCAAGCCCCCCUCCCCCAACGUCUCAGAAGCCGCGGGCGCCACCACUACCGAAGGAGAUGCGGUCCUCCUGACCGCCGGCGAGGAAGGAGGAGUCAGGGCCGCCUGCCCCAAACCCCCCUCCCCCAACGNNNNNNNNNNNNNNNNNNNNNNNNNNNNNNNNNNNNNNNNNNNNNNNNNNNNNNNNNNNNNNNNNNNNNNNNNNNNNNNNNNNNNNNNNNNNNNNNNNNNNNNNNNNNNNNNNNNNNNNNNNNNNNNNNNNNNNNNNNNNNNNNNNNNNNNNNNNNNNNNNNNNNNNNNNNNNNNNNNNNNNNNNNNNNNNNNNNNNNNNNNNNNNNNNNNNNNNNNNNNNNNNNNNNNNNNNNNNNNNNNNNNNNNNNNNNNNNNNNNNNNNNNNNNNNNNNNNNNNNNNNNNNNNNNNNNNNNNNNNNNNNNNNNNNNNNNNNNNNNNNNNNNNNNNNNNNNNNNNNNNNNNNNNNNNNNNNNNNNNNNNNNNNNNNNNNNNNNNNNNNNNNNNNNNNNNNNNNNNNNNNNNNNNNNNNNNNNNCGCAGCCGUUAUCCCUGGAACCUCGACCUCAGGAGGAGCAACCACCGACUCCCCGUCCCCGGAGCCAACCAAAGUCCUCACCGAUGAUGUCCGCGUCAAGCAUCCAGCCAGUGCCCCACCGGCAUCCUCGAACUCCAACAAAGGUAGUGACUGCUCAAAUGCAUCAUCAGAAUCUACCCGGUCUCUCCAAAGUCUGGGAGGGGCAGAGGCUGGCUCAAAGGACCCAAACCGCAACGAAGUCAUAGGCACCGAUGGUGAGGUUGCCGGCUCAACCCCGGUCCCAUCCCCGGACUGAGCCACAGGACGAGAGCCGUUGGUCCCCUCACGAGUCGACUCGUCAUUCGGUGCCCCCUCAGCUCCCGCACUGUCGUCCCCCUCGUGCAUAUCAACAUCAUUCCCAAUCAUUGCCUCAGCAAACAGGGCGGCGUCCUCAAACUCGAUCUCAAGAGGAAACACCUCUCCCCUAUAAGUCCAGUUGACCACAUCAGGCACGAACUCAAUAUCCAAAACGCUCACUAAGAUGCGGGCCACUCCAUGUGCACGAGUAAAGGCCAUAUCCACUUUCUCCGUCUUGCCAACCAUAAUGCCCAUACUGGCCACAACUCGAACAUCCUGCAAAGGCUUAGAUGGAGCCCCCGAAAACCUCAACCAGACCUGCGUAAGCGGCUUUCCUUUAGGCUCCACCUGCUGCCACUCAUGGAACUCCAGAAUGCACCUAGUGCCAGGAACUCUACAUAAACCAAAACUCAACAGUCUCUGCAGAUCAUCCACAGAAGGAAACUCCACCUUAAAAACAUUGGCCUCGAGAGUAACGAGCUCCCAAUGGAAGUCCCCCGGUGCCAGUUCCUGAAGCCUCUACACAAUCUGAGCCUCCGAAACCUCACCCUGAGUAGCUUUGACAACCCCGGUGGUCAAGCUCAAAGUCUCCUCCGGAAUCUCUCUCGCGGCCGGGGACUCAAAGAACAUUAGCUCAGCACAAUAAACUCCAUACAUUGUCAAAGACGGAGCCUGGUCACGCAACAACGGGCAAUCCCCCGAGGCAUGUGCCGGCUUACCACAGGACUCACACAGCUCUGCCACGCAUUCAGCAAUGAAGUGGCCCUUCUCACCACAACGGUAGCAAAGCAUCCUUUCCUUCUUACGCACCCACUUGGACGCCCUCUCAGCAUAAGACCUGUCGGUAACCUCAGUCCCACUCCCAGUCGCAGGAACCUCAACAUUGGCUAAAGCCGCUACCACCUCCAUCGCCUGUGGAGGGAGCUCCGUGGAAGCGCGAUCGGUCUCCACUACUGACGCCGCUUGGUCAACAACUGCCGAAGGCGGAGGCGGUCUGCGAUGAUACCUCCCGCGGCCACCGCCCCGACCACCACGAUGUCCACGAUGACCCCCUCUCUGGCGGUGAUCCGGACCGGAGGCACCCUCAACAAAACCUCCUGGACGGCCGAGAAACGGUCGCUCAGCAGACCCGUCACUCUGCCAGGCAUAACCACGCCCCCCUCCCGUGGAAGAGGAACCACGGUGCUGUCCAUCGCCAUACACAUCUAACCCAUCGUCCCCCCAUUGGCCUCGGGGCGGAGCACGGGACUCUUUAGAACUUGAAUUCUGCCUCGUGUGAGAUGGUCCCGACCGGUUUUGAGCCGGCCGCGCGACGAAGUGAGGCGGAGGCGCGGCAUGAGACUGACCACCCACAGGUGACGACACGAUCCCGGGAAUAGCACCACCUCUGCCAGUACCAGCUACACCAGCCGCGCCCAGCGCUGGGGGCCUAGGCCCGCAUCGACCCGCUGCCGGCGGAGCGACGGGCGCCGGAGGCCUGAGCCCUCCCUUUCCAGCUGCCGGUUGCAAGGACACCCCCGGCGCUGGAGGCCUAGACCCACCUCGACCUGCUACCGGCUGAGCAACGGGCGCCGGCGGCCUCACGCCCGAGUUAGCAUUACCACGGCCCGGUCCCAGUGGAACGCCCCCGCCUGCUGGCUGCCUCUGGCAUGGCGGCACGAGGGCUCCACGCCCGGCCCCCGCUGCCGGAGGCGGCUCCUCCCCGCCCCGCCCUGCUGGAGCGGACGAGGCGAGUCUCUUCGAUGGAGGUGGUAGGAGCUACUCCCGCACGUCUUUGAACUGGUAAGAAGGAGAUCAAUAUGCAUGUGUAUUAGUUGUGUGACUAGAUAUCGAUAAUCAUGUAAAAAUUGUGAAUAGUGUUCGGGCAAACGUACCCAUUGCUGUCUAUCAGAUUUGCUCCUUUUGGACACCAUCAUGCGAAUGUUCUCGCAAACAUAGUAUGCACACAGAUCAGUCCCCGACGCCUGCUUCAGGGCCUUUACGAGAAUGGAAUUUAAUAAGAUAAUAAUUAAUCAAGCAUGAUAAUUAAUUAAUGGUAUUGAAACAAGAAUUAAAGAUAUGGUAGCUAGCUAGUACUACUUAAUUACUUACCCUGGGUCGAAACCAAAACAGCUUUUGUCGCCAUUUGCCUGGAGUCACAUUGAUGAACUUUUCCCAAGCCCUACCCGCCGGCAAAGAAAAUGAAUAAAGGGGUUAUUAAAUAGUUGAUAUCAGGAAAUGACAAACUAAAAAGGCCGAGAUAUAGUUAAUAAUGAUUGAAAUUACCUGGCGACUAUCCCCUUCAAGAUGAUGAAGUCACUUUCUUUUUUAAGUAGUGAGUCCAGUACUUCAACUGUUCCUUCUUCAACUUUAAUGACUAACAAGAUCUAGUGGUAACUGCAUGCGCACACGUUUGCAUGUCUUAAUUAAGCGGGCAUGUGCAUAACACUAAUCAACUACCCUAAACCCUAUACACCUAAUUAUUAACAUCUAGCUAGGUAGUAAGCAAAAAAAAUUUGUAGUACAAGACAGUGUGACUCACAGGAAGUUGUAAGGAAGUAGUAUAUCUUCAUUGGUAUUGAGGCGCUUGAAGAACUCUAGCAUGUUAUUCUCUACAUCUUUUUUAUACCAUUGGUAUUGAGGCGCUUGAAGAACUCUAGCAUGUUAUUCUCUACAUCUUUUUUAUACCAUUCAUAUUUCCAUGUGGAAUUUGGGUCAAUGAACCCAAUGCCAUAGCAUCCAGCUUUUUUCAUUUCAUACAUCUUCAUCCUGCAUAAUACCACAGAAAAGAAUAUAGUGAGGAUAAUUACAGGUAAUGAUCGAUCAAUGAGCACUAUAGCUAGCUUGAGACUUAAAUUACAGAAAGAAAUCACUUACAGACAAUAGCAACUGAUGAUAGAUUUGUCCAAUGCAUCUUAAUGGAAUAACUGAAAUAGUUCUGAAUACUCAACAGAGACAGCUAGCCCAUGGAAGUAAUGCUCCUCCUUGACUUUCACCAUGAGGGACUCUCGAUUGGAACUCUUGGUAAUUUUCAUGUACCAAUCAUGCAAUUCAUACAUUCUCGUUGGGAGUUUCUUGACCUCCUCAGGCUCGACCAAAGGUUGGCCGCGGACAUAUUUCCGUUUUAUGUCCUCCUCUCUGAGCGGAGACAUGGGCUCUAUCUUGAGGAGUUGUCCAAUAGUGAUACCGAGCAUUUUAGCCUGGCUUCUAUGCUCGUCGGUUAUUACCAGCUGAUUGCCCAGCUGGGGAACGGUUUGCCCACAUGGGGCGCCGAUACUCUCAUGUGUUGGCACAACAAGCGGGGGGAUCGAUUGCGCCGCCUGUUCUCCCAGCUGGGGAACGGUUUUCCCGCUUUUUUUGCCAGCUGCUUGGCUCGAGCUCGAGCUCGACUCCUUCUAUAGUCGUGCUCGAUGUGCCUUCCUGAUUUGGCGCUCAUAGUCUGAGUCAACAGGCUUGGGAGCUGGUGGUCUAGCCAUACGAAUAAAGUGGUCAAUAUUUUCCCCAGGCACUUUCUCCCUUGGCGGCGGUGCCGGUUUCGGUCCAAAAUGGGCGUCCACUAGGGCCUUCACUAUGGCUGCGUUUUUGCUCCUCGGUCAUGUCGUAAGGCCUCUGAGGAAGAGGAGUGAGGCUUGGACCAUAUUUAUAUCGCUUGCCUCCGCCUGUACCUCAUGUACUACCUUGACUCGUACUGGUACGCACCAUAGCUGCGGCAGCUCUCUUCCCCGAUUGCUGAGGCGAUGGAGACGGCUGACGUGGCUGAGUUGGAGCAGGAGGAGUGGCCUGACACUGUGCUGGACUUGAAGCAGGAGGAGUGGCCUGAUGCGGUGUCGGACUUGAAGUAGGAGGAGUGGUCUGGCGCUGUGCCGGACUUGAAGCAGGAGGAGUGGUCUGACGCUGUGCCGGACUUGAAACAGGAGGAGUGGCCUGACGUUGUGCCAGACUUGGAGGGGGAGGAGUGGCUUGACGCAUUGGUGGACUUGGAGGAGCGGGAGUCUGCUGACGCGGUGGCGGACUUCGAGGAGGAGUCGGCUGACGCGGUGUCGGUGGCCUUCGAAAGUUGAUGCAAUCCUUUCUCCAUAGGAUGAUACGAUGUUUGGCCUCUCCUAGUGUGUGCUCCUCGCCACCUUCAGGAAUGUCAAGCUCUAACCCCGAAUAUUGGUCCACCACCUCAUCAACCACGACACGAGCAUAGCCGACUGGAAUCGGGUUGCAAUGGAAGGUUGCAUCGGGGGAAUUUGUAUAAGCAAUGGCGUCCUCCACCUUCAUGGAUAUGUUCUUCAUUUUGAAGUGUAUCUCACAGUUAGUGCUCUCCAUGAUGUCAUCCACAGGCUAUCUAUCCAGCAGUGCGUCGCCCGGGGCGGAACCAACGCUGCUUCUCGGCAUGGAUGGGAUGGUGCUAUACAAUUCUGGAUCAUCCGCUAGCUGCUGCCGCUGCUGAGACCCCCUUUCCUGGCUAAGUGAGUUGAUCUGCUGCUGCUGCCGCUGGAAUUUGAGUGCCAAGUCCGCGUGCGCUGAUUCUAGGCCUUGAAGGCGUUCUGCUUCCUGCUUCCCCUGCUCCUCCUCCAGCUUCCUCUUCUUCUCCUCCUCCAUCUUCCUUCUUGCACGGCUUCUGUAGUCGGCGUUCCAGUCUGAAAAGCUCUCAUACCACGGAACAACGCCCUUGCCUCGUGUUCUUCCCACGUGUUCAGGAUUUCCCAGGGCGCGCAUAAGCUCGUCGUUCUCUCUGUUGGGCGUGAACACCCCCUUUCGAGCAUCUUCUAUUUCUUGAAUUUACUUAUCUUCGGCUCCUUUAAGACUUGCCUUCUUUGAAACCUGGCCUGUCUUCGGGUCCAACGCCCCCCCCCAUGCGCAUAGAACCAAGUUCUACACAUGGAGGGCCAGCUCUUAGUAACUGGAGUGACCUCUGCAUCCAGCACCUCUUGCUCAGACUUAUCCCACUUAGGCAUUGCCACCGCGUAGCCACCUCGCCCCAGCCUAUGGAACUGCUCUUUUUUGCGGCAUUGGCCUUGUUUUUUCUCGACCAUUCCUUAGAUAAUUCUGAUUCCUUGAAUUUCACGAAAACGGGCCAGUGUUCUCUUUGCUUCUCCAGUGUUCCCUUGAAUUCUGGAGUCUUCUUUCCUCCUUCGACGUACUUGGCCCAUAUAGUUUUCUUGUGGGUGUUGAAUGCAAUUGCCAUCUUCCUAAGAGCAGUGUCCUUGACUUUCUCCACAUCUGCAUCAGUGAAAUGAUCUGGUAGGGUGAAAUGUUCCAUGAGAGAUUCCCAAAGCGUUGAUUUUGCUCUGUCGUCGACCCAAGUAAGAUCUGGACGUUUCUUUGUUGGCUCUUUCCAUUCUUGAAUGGAGAUCGGGAGUUGGUCCCUCACAAGAACUCCGCACUGACGAAUGAACUUGUUCGCAAUGUUCUUAGGUGAGCUAGGUUCGCCAUUAGCUUUGAUGGCAUCGAUGUUGUACUUUACGCCCUCCUUCAACUUUUUGCCUUGGCCUCGCACUAUCCUGCUGCCUGUAGAAGAUUUGCUCGAUCCGGAGGGCUGAAAGAAGAAAGAUCGAUUCGUUAAUAUAUCUUCAAAUCAAUAAAAACAUGUGAUGAUCACCAGAUGCCUGCUUAUAUAAAUAUACCUCGCCGCGGGUCUCUGUUAUUUCAAGAUCAACAUUUUCGGCGUCAUCAUAAUCAUUUUUGGCGUCAUCAUAAUCAUAGUUCAUGACUUCAUCAAUUCGGUCGUCGCGAUCGAAUAUCAUAUCAUCACCCUCCCCGGUAUUGUUCAGAUAUUGGGAGCCGUCAUCUUCUUCAUUCUGAGCAUCUGGCUCGCGAGGGGAGCGUAUGACCUUGAACAGGGCCUCUUCUCCCUCUCUGCCGGUAUUGUCCGCCAUAGCUUUUAUUUAACUAAUAGAGAAGAAAUAUAAAACAAUUUAGUAUUCAAAUUACAAUGCAUGCAUGCAAUCAAUAAGUAAAAACGGAAUCAUAGUACAUAAUUUCGAAUACAUCAUCUCGAAUAAUAUAUAUAAUCUCGAAUACAUCGUCUCGAAUAUUAUAUAUCAAAUACAUCACUAGCUAGCUAGCUAAUAAAGAUCGAAUACUACAGAAGAAUCUAUGCCACUCGCGGUUCCUGAGGCGCGGGCAGUGGGCACCCAAAGAGAAGGAACCAUCACAGGAUCAUAGCUCCGGUCAUCUCCCCAAAGAACCUGCCAGGUAUUGGAGAACCUGACGUCCAUAGCAGCCAUGUAGCGACGGACGUGCUCGUCCUCCUCCCUGACACGGCGACGCACCACCUCCGACGGGGCCGGCUCCCUCUGCACCGAACGUGGCCCAUGCGAACGCCGCCAAAGGAGCUCAGGGUCGACGACGGGACCCGGCGCCGGGUUCCUCACCAAGCGGCGAGCCCCUGAAGGUAGCACCUCCCAAUGCCAGCCCGGUGGAGCCCAGUCCCGGACAUGGGUCCUCUGAACCAAGACGUCGUCGCAAACGGGUCGACGGCGAGGAUGCAGGCGGGGCAUCGUGGACAUCGAUAACAAAUUCUUAUGAAAAAAAAUUCCUAUAUAUGCAAUGUCAUUUUAUUAGGAAAUUUUGAGGAACUUUUUCCUAUGCAACUUUUUUAUAUGCAAUUUUUUUCUAUACUAGGAUAUGCAACAGAAACACUAAUUAAGCAUCUAACACUAAAAACAGAAAAGGCAACUUCGAUACAUCCAUUAAAAAAUAGAAAAACAACAUUAUAUACAAAAAUUUCAUACUAAUUCAACACUAAUUGUAUGCAUCUAACGUGCAUUCAUACAUAUAUACUAGUCAAAAAAUAAUAAUCUAAAACAUCUAAACUAAUUAAACAUACAAAAAUAGAUAUAUACUAAUUAACUUAAGAAAAUGUGUGUGUGUGUGUGUGUUCAUCAUGCAUGUGUGUGUGUGUGGGGUCGGGGAGGGGCGGCCAUGGUGGCCNNNNNNNNNNNNNNNNNNNNNNNNNNNNNNNNNNNNNNNNNNNNNNNNNNNNNNNNNNNNNNNNNNNNNNNNNNNNNNNNNNNNNNNNNNNNNNNNNNNNNNNNNNNNNNNNNNNNNNNNNNNNNNNNNNNNNNNNNNNNNNNNNNNNNNNNNNNNNNNNNNNNNNNNNNNNNNNNNNNNNNNNNNNNNNNNNNNNNNNNNNNNNNNNNNNNNNNNNNNNNNNNNNNNNNNNNNNNNNNNNNNNNNNNNNNNNNNNNNNNNNNNNNNNNNNNNNNNNNNNNNNNNNNNNNNNNNNNNNNNNNNNNNNNNNNNNNNNNNNNNNNNNNNNNNNNNNNNNNNNNNNNNNNNNNNNNNNNNNNNNNNNNNNNNNNNNNNNNNNNNNNNNNNNNNNNNNNNNNNNNNNNNNNNNNNNNNNNNNNNNNNNNNNNNNNNNNNNNNNNNNNNNNNNNNNNNNNNNNNNNNNNNNNNNNNNNNNNNNNNNNNNNNNNNNNNNNNNNNNNNNNNNNNNNNNNNNNNNGGCGACGGCGUCGAUCGAGCGGGGCAGGCGCGCGGUGCGUCGUUGAUGGAGAAACAGAGGAAGAAACAGAGGGAGAAUGAAAAUUUUCCAAGUGUUGUUUAUAUAGGAGGGACCUUUAGUACCGGUUGUAGGCAUCAACCAGUACUAAAGGUCAAAUUUGGCCAGGCCAAGCGGCGGGGACGGCACCCCUUUAGUACCGGGUCGUGGCUCCAACCGGUACUAAAGGGGGGGUCUUUAGUACCGGUUGGAGCCACCACCCAGUACUAAAGGUGGUGCGCUGCCAGGCGAGGGGCGCAGAAGUUUAGUCCCACCUUGCUAGCCGAGGGGCGCCCGCACCUCUUAUAAGCCCUACCGCCGCUGCUGUCUCGAGCUCCUCCCUAAAGUAGGCCUUCUGGGCCUACCUCUGCUGUGAUGCCCUGUUGGGCCUACUGGACUAGCGGGCCUGCAUCCUGGCCCAACUAGUGGUCGGGUUUCUAGUCGUAUGCAGGCCGCUGUGGCCCAGUAAGCGGGCUUUUUUUAUUUAUUUUUUUCUUCUUCUUUUUCUUUUAUGCUUUAUUUAUUUUCUUUUAUGCUUUAUUUAUUUUUGAGUUGUUUUUUGCUGUAUUUAGAGUUUCUUUGUGAAUAUUUUUGCUUUAGGUACAAAAAAUUACAAACUUUCUGUUAGUGCCGGUAGUUUUCAAAUUUGAAUAGUUUAAAUUUGAAUUAUAUGAAAUUUGUGUGAAUCACUAGUUUGUGAAUAACUUAACCUUAAAAAUAGAUUUUUCAGUGAGUCUUUUUUCUUAUGUUUAAUAUUAGUGUGUUUUAUCAUUAUAUUCAAUUUGGUAAUACUUAGGUUAUUUAAAAACGAAAUGCCUUUGUAACAGAUGAGUUUUCGUCCGAAACCCUGAUACUUCGGAAGAGAUUGUCCAUUUUGUACACGAAGUGCAUCCAGUUUUUGCCGUAACCCUCUCUACUUUUUUGCACAUGCUAUGUCAGUGAAAUUAUGAUACCAUGCCAACUUUCAACCUUUCUAGAGGUUCAUUUGAAGUGUUUUUCAAUUUGAGGGUCAUUUAGCUGAAAAAAUUAGUAAAUGCAUGAAAGAAUUUGUUUGCACAUAAAAUUUCUUCGCGUUUCAAAUGCCAAAACACAUAAGUACCCUAACUAUUACAAAGAUUCCCUCCGGUUUGUUCGAAGUGGGACUUUCCAGAUAUAUAAGUCCGGAAACUCACUAGAGAAGAAAGUGAUGACAGUGAGAAGCCGAUCACAUCCCAGAGUGGGAUCUUUGGGCCGUGUGAAACUUUUUCUUCGCGUGUGUCCCUUUGCGCCGUAACCAUGGACAAUCUUCAUCAUUUAACUGGAUGCUCGGGUCAAUAUUCACUGUGAAUGGAGCAAUUUCAUGAAACUUUUCAUAAUCUUCUGACAUGUCUAUCUUGUCAUCCACUCCCACGAUGUUUCUUUUUCCAUAAAGAACUAUGUGGCGCUUUGGCUCAUCGUAUGAUGCAUUCGCUACCUUAUCUUUUCUUUUUCUCGACUUUGUGGACAUGUCCUUCACAUAGAAAAUCUGUGCCACAUCAUUGGCUCGGACGAAUGGUUCGUCUGCAUACGCAAGAUUGUUGAGAUCCAUUGUUGUCAUUCCGUACUGCGGGUCUUCCGUUACCCGCCUCGUGUCAUAUUCACCCAUUUGCACCUAAACAAAGGGACCUUCAAAUCACGUCCAUAGUCAAGUUCCCAUAUGUCCUCUAUGUAACCAUAAUAUGUUUCCUUUCCCGUCUUGCUUGUUGCAUCAAAGCGGACACCACUGUUUUGUUUGGUGCUCUUCUUAUCUUGGGCAAUCGUGUAAAAUGUAUUCCCAUUUAUCUCGUACCCUUUGAAAGUCAUUAUAUUCGAAGAUGGUAACUGGGACAGCAAAUACAGGUCAUCUUGAAUAGCGGUGUCAUGCAUGACACGUGUCUGUAACCAGCCGGCGAAAGUCCCCGUUUGUUCACGUGUAAUCCAGUCGUCAGACUGCUCCGGGUGUUUGGAGCGUAGAAAAUUCUUGUGUUCGUCCAUAUACGGAGCCACCAAGGCGGAAUUCUGUAGAACUGUGUAGUGUGCUUGAGUGAGAGAAUGCCCGUCCAUACAUAUUAUUUGAUCCCCUCCUAGCGUGCCUUUUCCAUCCAGUCUGCCCUUAUGCCGCGAUUCAGGAACACCAAUCGGCUUAAGGUCAGGAAUAAAGUCAAUAAAAAACUCAAUGACCUCCUCAUUUUCAUGGCCCUUGGAGAUGCUUCCUUCUGGCCUAGCACGGUUAUGAACAUAUUUCUUUAAGACACCCAUGAACCUCUUAAAGGGGAACAUAUUGUGUAGAAAUAUAGGACCAAGAACGUUAAUCUCUUCGCAUAGGUGAACUAGGACGUGCGUCAUGAUGUUGAAGGAUGGUGGGAACACCAACUCGAAACUGACAAGACAUUGCACCAAAUCAUUCUCUAACCUUGGUAUGAUUUCUGGAUCGAUUACCUUCUGAGAGAUUGCAUUGAGGAAUGCACAUAGCUUCACAAUGGCUAAUCGAACGUUUUCCGAUAGAAGCCCCCUCAAUGCAACCGGAAGCAGUUAUGUCAUAAUCACGUGGUAGUCAUGAGACUUUAGGUUCUGGAACUUUUUCUCUGCCAUAUUUAUUAUUCCCUUUAUAUUCGACGAGAAGCCAGUCGAUACCUUAAUAUUGAGCAGGCAUUCAAAGAAGAUUUCCUUCUCUUCUUUGGUAAGAGCGUAGCUGGCAUGACCCUGAUGUAUGCCGUCUUUUCCAUGCAUACGUUGUUGGUCCUCCCGUGCCUCCGGUGUAUCUUUUGUCUUCCCGUGCACACCCAAGAAGCCAAGCAGGGUCAAGCAAAGAUUCUUCGUCACGUGCAUCGCGUCGAUUGCGGACCGGACCUCUAGGUCUUUCCAAUACGGCAGGUCCCAAAAUAUAGAUUUCUUCUUCCACAUGGGUGCGCGUCCGUCGGCGUCAUUCGGAACAGGUUGUCCACCAGGACCCUUUCCAAAGACUACCUUCAAAUCCUUGACCAUAUCAUGUACAUCAGUACCAGUACAGUGGCGAGGCUUCGUCCGGUGAUCUGCCUCACCUUUGAAAUGCUUGCCUUUCUUUCUUACGGGAUGCCUGCUCGGAAGAAAUCGACGAUGUCCUAGGUACACAUUCUUCCUACAAUUAUCCAAAUAUAUACUGUCGCUAUCAUCUAAACAGUGCGUGCAUGCGCGGUAUCCCUUGUUUGUCUGUCCUGAAAGGUUACUGAGAGCAGGCCAAUCAUUGAUGGUCACAAACAGCAACGCCUUUAGGUCAAAUUCUCCCUGUCCGUGCUCAUCCCACGCACGUACACAUGUUCCAUUCCACAGCUAUAAGAGUUCUUCAACUAAUGGCCUUAGGUACACAUCAAUGUCAUUGCCGGGUUGCUUAGGGCCUUGGAUGAGCACUGGCAUCAUAAUGAACUUUCGCUUCAUGCACAACCAAGGAGGAAGCUUAUACAUACAUAGAGUCACAGGCCAUGUGCUCUGGUUGCUGCUCUGCUCCCCAAAAGGACUAAUGCCAUCUGCGCUUAGACCAAACCAUACGUUCCUUGCGUCACCUGCAAACUCCUCCCUAUACUUUCUCUCGAUUUUUCUCCACUGCGACCCGUCAGCGGGUACUCUCAACUUUUCGUAUUUCUUACGGUCUUCUAUGUGCCAUCGCAUCGCCUUGGCAUGCUCUUUGUUUUGGAAGAAAUGUUUCAGCCGUGGUAUUAUAGGAGCAUACCACAUUACCUUGGCAGGAAUCUUUUUCCUGGGGCGCUCGCCCUCGACAUCACCAGGGUCAUCGCGGCUGAUCUUAUAGCGCAAUGCACCGCAUACCGGGCACGCGUUCAAAUCCUAGUACUCACUGCGGUAGAGGAUGCAGUCAUUAGGGCAUACAUGUAUCUUCUGCACCUCUAACCCUAGAGGGCAGAUAGCCUUCUUUGCUUUGUACGUACUCUCCGGCAAUUCGUUGUCCUUUGGAAGCAUAUUCUUUAUCAUUACCAGCAACUUUCCAAAUCCCUUGUUAGAUACACCAUUCUCUGCCUUCCAUUGCAGCAAUUCCAGUGUGGUGCCCAAUUUUUUCUUGUCAACUUCGUAAUUCGGGUACAACAAUUUCUUGUGAUCCUCUAACAUGCGCUGCAACUUCUUCUUCUCCUUUUCACUUGCAUAGUUUCUCUUUGCAUCGGCAAUGGCCCGACCUACAUCAUCAGCGGGCUUAUCUGAUGCCUCUUCUUCAGCUUCUUCCCGCAUUGUCGGCUCAGCUUCUUCCCCCAUUGUUGUAUCAUCGUAUUCAGGGAACCCAUGGCCAGGAUAGCUGUCGCCGUCCUCUUCUUCUUCAUUGUCUUCCAUCAUAACCCCUCUUUCUCCGUGCUUGGUCCAAACAUUAUAGUGGGCAUGAAACCGGACUAAAACAGGUGGAUGUGAAUCGUUCUUGAGUUAGAGUAAUUGUGAUCAUUCUUACAGCCAGCACAUGGACAAGGCAUAAAACCAUCCUCCUGCUUGUUUGCCUUAGCCGCAAGCAGAAAAGUAUGCACGCCAUUAAUGAGCUCGGGAGAGCAUCGGUCAUCGUACAUCCAUUGUCGGCUCAUCUUCAUUACAGAACACCGAAAAGACCAAAUUAAUACAAGUUCAUACAUAAAGUUCAUACAUAAAGUUCACACAUAUAAAGUUCAUACAUAAAGUUCACACAUAUAAAGUUCAUACAUAAAGUUCAUACAACACUUAAAUGCAACAAACAAAUAACUCUCUAGCUAAAGCAUUUAAAUGCAACAACAAAUGCGAUCAAGAUCACAACUAAGGUAACAAUUCAUCCAACAGCAUAAUGAUACCAAGCCUCACUAUCAAUGGCAUAUUUUCUAAUCUUUCUAAUCCUCAAGCGCAUUUUCUCCAUCUUGAUCUCGUGAUCAUCGACGAUAUCGGCAACAUGCAACUCCAAUUCCAUCUUCUCCCCCUCAAUUCUUUUCAAUUUUUCUUUCAAAUACUCAUUUUCUCUUUCAACUAAAUUUAACCUCUCGACAAUAGGGUCGGUUGGAAUUUCCGGUUCACAUACCUCCUAGAUAAAAAUAUCUAUGUCAACUUGAUGGGCAUAUUUGUCAUAAACACGAAAUGCAACAGAUAGUUAUAAAAGAGAAUAUACCACAUCCGAAUCAUAACACGGACGAGGGCCGACGGGGACGGAUAUCAAAACCAUGGCACUAUGUAUAACAAACACCGUACGGGUAAGAUAAUUAUACGAGUAACUAUAUAUCCAAAUAACACAAACAUGAAUUUGUUAUAUAAAAAAGAUAAGAACAAGAGGCUCACCACAAGGUGGUGCCGGCGACGGGACAGUGCGGGCGAUCCAUGGUGGUUACGACGGAGAUUUAGAAGGUACUAAGUAAACCACACCUACAUAUGCAAACUAAGUGUUAUUUUGACCUCAAAUUGCAUAUAAAUCAAAUACUACCACAUAUAUAUAAUUCCUCCCAAAUUACUAAAACACACAAAUUAAUCACUAUAUAAACCAUAGCAAGAGCUAAUCUAGCAAUGAGAGAUGAAAGGACAAAGUUGCUAACCUUUGCGAUCAUUUGAAUGGAUGGGGGCCUUCAAAUCUUGACAACAUUUGGGCAAAAUUUGUGAUGAGAUCGAGAGGAAGAAGGGAAGAACAGAGAGGAGAGGGGAAGGGGGAAGAACAGAGCGCGGGUGGACGAAGGGUUUAUAUAGGACGACCUUUAGUACCGGUUCGAGGCACGAACCGGUACUAAAGGUGCUGGAGGGGCCCUAGACUGACAACAUCCUGCCACCACUCUCUUUAGUACCGGCUCGUGGCACGAACCGGUGCUAAAAGUUCGGCACGAACCGGUACGAAUGAGAGCAGCCCGCCUAGCCGUUGGAACCGGUACUAAUGGUCACAUUAGUGCCGGCUCAAAUUCAAACCGGGACUAAUGAGCUGAACAUUUGACUCUUUUUCUACUAGUGUCGUCCUGAUGGUGGUCAUCGUUUCUCCUUGGCGGUGGCGGCAGCGGAGGGAGGCCGGCGUUGCCCUGAGGACGGUCCCCACGAGGCUGCACCCCCGCGAGGCUGGUCCUGCCAGCGAUCCUCACAAGGUAGGCCGCGCCACUCCUGGCGGGGGCCGCGGUCAUCCCAACUUCCUCCACUUCGUCCUCCUCCUCGACCAUAGCCGCGGUCGCUGCGCUCGGGGCGUCGACCGAAGUGCCCGUCGCGGAUGGCCUUGAGCUGUUGACAGUCAUUGGUGUUGUGGCUGUAUACGUUGUGGAAGGCGCAGAACGGACAACUGCCCUUGGAUGACUCGAGGUGGUCUGGGCCGCGCUUCGUCUCUCGCUCAGCCGCAAGCACGGCUACCCUCUUGCGCUUCACAUCUUUGGCCUUGGCCUUCUUGCCUUCCGGGUCGGCAGCUGGAAGCUCGAGGAGCGAGAGGCGCCCUUCCUCAGCUCUUGUGCACUUGGUUGCCAUGUUGAACAUCUCCAGGGCCGUGUAUAGUUCCUCGUGGAUGGCGAGCUCCUCCUUCAUGUUGACAUCGCAGACACCGUUGGAGAACGCGGAGAUGAUGGCCUCUUCCGUCACCUUGGGGAUGUUGACGCGAACGCUGUUGAAGCACUGGAUGUACUUCUGCAAGGUUUCCCCUGGCUGCUGCUUGAUGCGCCGCAGGUCACCCGCGGCCGGCGGGCGGUCGCAAGUGCCCUAGAAGUUGGCGACGAAACGCUCGCGCAUCUCGCCCCAGGAGGAGAUCGAUCCCGCAGGCAAGUUCAGGAGCCACGAGCGCGCGCCAUCUUUGAGGGCCAUGGGAAACCAGUUCGCCAUGACCUUCUCGUCGCCGUUGGCUGCCUCGAUGCUCAGCUCGUAGAGCUGCAAGAACUCCGCGGGGUCGGGAGUGCCGUCGUAGUGCGGAGGCAGGUCUGGCUUGAACUUGCCGGGCCAGACGACGCUGCGCAGCUCGGGAGUGAAGGCACAAUAGCCUACCGUGGUCACCGGAGCCUGGUCCUGAUAUCCGCGCGCCGCCGCCGCGGGCGGCACGCGGUCUUGACGCAGUGGUGUUGUGAGCGCAGGAGCGUUUUCUUGCGGCCUCGGGACUUCCUGGCAGCUUCCUUCUUCGUGCGCGGGCGCCCGGCGCGGCGGGUCACGCCGCGGGGCCGCCGUGGUGCGAGGGCGCCGUCUUGAUGCGGAGGUGGUGGAGGCGCUCUGUGAACUACGCCGCCCGCGGCUGGAGGUGGGCGAGGCUGCCAAAGAGACGAUGCGGGAGAGCCCCCAGCAGCGCUGACGAGCUCGGCAAUGCGGUCCAGCCAGUCCUCAUAGAGGUCGUCGACCGGGAGGUAACGCAGGAGCUCGCAUGCCAUGAGCAGCGCGGCCUGCGCGACGAGCGUGGAACGACGAGCCGGCCGGAGUCAGUGACGGGGUGGCGGUGUGUCCGUCCCGCCGCACGGAGGGGUGCAGCGAUGAGCUUGCUGCUCGUUCCCUGUCGGGCCGGUGGCGGCGUUGGCAGCGGGUGAUGGAGAACGGCGGGGAGGUCCGCCAAUGGGCGCCAUCUGAGCGACGCGAGCAGUAAGGGCGGCCCGACGCUCAGCACAGGCUCGGCGGGCGUCAGCCAUGGAUACGGCGGAGCAGGGGAGCGAGGAUUGACGGAAGAAAGGCCUCGGCGCACCUCCUACUUGGGGCGCCAAAUGUCGGAUUCAGGGUUCCAGCAAACCCUUGAGGUUCGAACUCUGGGGUGCGCACGAAGAUCUCUCUCUUCCUAGCUCGCUCUCACAACGAUCUCAAGGCCUAGCUCGCCAAACCCAAGGAACAAGAGACACGAGAGUUUAUGCCAGUUCGGGCCACCGUUGUGAUGUAAUACCCUACUCCAGUGUGGUGUGGUGGAUUGCAUUGCAGGCUGAGGAUGAACAAGUACAAGGUGGGAAUAGCCUCCUGGGGAGAGGUGUUCUUGAGCUCGGUGAGCUGGUGUGUGCGAGGAUGGUCUGAAUGAUCCGUCCAAGAUGAGUUGCCUCCUAUAGUGGUGGCUAGUGCUAUUUAUAGAGGCCCUGGUCCUCUUCCCAAAUGUUAGGCGGGAAGGGAUCCCACAACGACCAAUUUUGAAGGGAGAAAAUUAGUACAAGGUAUCCUGACAAAAGAUGGUCUUCGCCUGCCAAAAGGCUCUGGUGGUGAUGUAGUUGUGGGCUCUGCGGUGACCUCCGUCCUGCCAUCCUGCCGGUCUUGGUCUUGUUGCACCGAUAUGAAAACCUUUGCCUUAUGCCUCGGGACUCCUCGCCUGCGCUUGCCUCUUUAGCACCAAAGAGGAAACUGGUACUCUGCGCUCGCUGGCGCCCGCCUGGCGUCGGUCGUCAUGGCUCACGUCACGCGAACCUCGCGAGGUGCCCUCUGCCUUGAUAUCUCCGCUCCUCGGGAGCCAGCCUAGUGAGGCUGCCCCUGCGGAGGCCUUGCGUCGUCCGCCUCGCGAGGCUUGGCCCCUCGCGAGAGUCUUGAGUGGUUGCUGAUGAAGAUGGGCCGUACCAGGCCGUCGAUGGAGCCAUGUCGUGGGCCGCAGGCAGGCAUGUCUGGAUACCCCCGUUCCCAGGACGCCGACAGCUAGGCUACCGCAAGGCCCCGCCAUAACAUCCCCUAUGUUACGAACUGCCACAAUAUCUCAUGUGUUGUGAGUCAAUGUUGUGGAGGGGCGCCAUCAUGCUGCGAAAUGAUGUUGCGGAGGAACAUCGAUUAAUGAGGGUAUGUUGCAGUGACAAUAUCGCUCAUGUUGCAAAAGUGUGCGUGCAAACCUCUGAGCUCAUAAUGGCUCAUGUUGAAAACACUCGUCUUGCAAACCUUCGAGUGCAAUAUUUUUUAUCACAAUAUAUGUCCGUGUUGUAAAAACACGUCAGCUGGAAGAUGCGGCCCAAAUUGGAUGGCCAUCGUGAGGUGGAUCCGAUCCGUGUCGUAAGCUGGCCAACAAUUAGUAGUCGGCUUAGUUAAUCAACUUCACUCUAAGGGCACAUGACGUAAAAAAGGGGAUGACAUAGCCCAGCCCUAUGACGUACUUUGAUGGAAUAAACAUCUAUUGAUCUCGCAAAGAAAAUCAACUUCACUCUAAGGACACAUGACGUUAAAAAAAGGGGUGACAUUUUCAUGUGUAUAUCGUAGCAUUUUUNNNNNNNNNNNNNNNNNNNNNNNNNNNNNNNNNNNNNNNNNNNNNNNNNNNNNNNNNNNNNNNNNNNNNNNNNNNNNNNNNNNNNNNNNNNNNNNNNNNNNNNNNNNNNNNNNNNNNNNNNNNNNNNNNNNNNNNNNNNNNNNNNNNNNNNNNNNNNNNNNNNNNNNNNNNNNNNNNNNNNNNNNNNNNNNNNNNNNNNNNNNNNNNNNNNNNNNNNNNNNNNNNNNNNNNNNNNNNNNNNNNNNNNNNNNNNNNNNNNNNNNNNNNNNNNNNNNNNNNNNNNNNNNNNNNNNNNNNNNNNNNNNNNNNNNNNNNNNNNNNNNNNNUAAGUAGGGAAUAAAACUACUCUCCAGGAGACUAGGCUACCUAAAGUUCGAGAGCAGAAGUUCUCUCCAAAAUAACAGGAACGAAAUCUAGGUACUUAUUAUUACAAAGCCACAUCAGAAGGAAAGGGAACAACGAUAGAUUUUUUCACUGGUCGCUCCCCUCAUGCUCCCCUCCCACACCUCACUUCCAGGCGAUCCGCAUCAGUUCUCCACGUCGCUUGUCCAACAGAAGAAUGCACCUUUGCAGCAGGGUUGCUUGAGCAUCGUCGUAGAGAACCUUCCACUGGUGCAAAUAACAGCUUAGUUUUGCAAGAAUGCAGUUCACGUUUCUCCAUUUCUGCCCCUGAAAACAAAAUUUGUUUCUUAGUCUCCACAAGCUCCACAAGGAAGCAGCAAUAACCAUGUUAAGCACAUGCUUUUUUUAUGUACUCGCCUGAAAGAAAAAAUAUUGUCAAAGCUGGUAAUUCUAUCAAUUUCAAAGAAAUCGGAUAUAAAGCCCCACACAUGUUGUGCCACCACACAAUCAAAUAUCAAAUGUUGCACAGAUUCGAACUCCGCACAAAAAAAGACAGGAAGGGUCCUCCACCUCCCUCCUUUUAGCAAGAUUAUCCCUAGUCAGGAUUUUGUUAUGAGCACACAACCACAAAAACACAUGUAUUUUCUGAGGACACAUAAUUUUCCAAAGGUCAUCUUUGAUAGCAGAAGCUAUUCCCCCAAAGUUUAUGCUUUUGUAGAAGGAUUUCAUAGAGUAUAAUCCAUUAGAUUCCAAAGACCAACUUGGUAUAUCAGAUUCGUCUGAUAAUGUAUACUGCUGAACAACCCUCAACAAUAGUUCCCAUCUAUCAAGUCCAUUUUGGUCAACGCAUCUCCUAAAAGUUAACUUAAGUUCACGCCCGUCCCACACCUGAGCAACAGUACACUCCGUUUGGUUACAAAUACAGUAUAAAUCCCAGAAUUGUACCUUCAGGGAACAAUCCCCGACCCAGGUAUCAUGCCAGAUGCUAAUUAACUCACCAUUCCCCAAUUUCCAUCUGUAAAAGUUUUUCGCGGCAGCUAACGCCCAGGUGAUGCUCUUCCAGAAGGUUGAACCACCAUCACCUUUUGCCCAAAAUAGGUUAGGAGCAUUCACUCUAUACUUGUAACGGAUGAUCUUUUUCCAAUCUGAAUCAGAUUCAUCAAAGAACCUUUUGCCCCAGGAAGCUAGCAAGGCCAUAUUAUAUUCUUUGAUAUUAGGAAUCCCCAAACCUCCAUACUCUUUUCUCCUAGUAACAUAGCCCCAAUUAGCUAGAUGGUAUUUGUGUUGGUCCCCAAUAUUCCCCCAAAAGAAGUGUGCCAUUUGGAAAUUGAUGGCAUUAAUUGCCCACUUGGGAAAUUUAAUGACAGACAUGAGAUAAGCAGGAAUGCUGAUCAAGCAUGCACAAAGCAAAAUAAUCUUGCCUCUAUAUGUGAGAUAUCUCCCAAGCCAUUCAGAAAUGCCCUUAAUAAUUCUAUCAAUAAUGGGCUGAAGAUCCUCCCUCUUCAAUUUGUCAUAAUGCAAAGGCACACCUAAAUAUUUAAUAGGAAAGCCUCCUUUUUUACAACAGAAAAUCUGGGCAAAAUCAUUAGCCACUUCCUCAUCAAUAUUGAUGGUCAUUAAGUCACUUUUAUGAAAAUUAAUUUUCAUCCCAGAAAGGGAUUCGAAACACGAUAAAAACCAUUUGAAAUUUCUGGCUUUGUGAACCGAGUUCUCCAAAAAAAGGAUAGUGUCGUCUGCGUAUUGAAGACUCACAACACCCCCUGGAAUUAUAUUGGGCAGAAGCCCAGAAAUCAGGUCUUGGGAGGCAGCUUUUUUAGCAUUUUUGUAAACACAUCAGCUACUAAGUUAAACAACAAGGGGGAGUGUGGAUCUCCUUGUUUAAGCCCUUUCCCUCCAACAAAAUAUGUCCCAUUAGUGUCAUUGAUUCUCACAGCAAAGGUGCUGUUAAUUAAUGUACAUUUAAUCCAAGCAAUCCACUUGGGGCAAAAACCCCUAGAUUGUAACAUUUCAAAUAAGAAAUCCCAGUUAACCCGGUCAUAAGCUUUUUCAUAAUCCAACUUAAGCACUAAGCCUUGAGAACCAGAUUUUUUGACCUCAUGAAUCACUUCAUGUGCCAUGACAACACUCUCUAAUAUAUAUCUCCCUUUAAUAAAGGCCGUUUGGUUUGAAGAGAUUAAUCUACGGCCAACAGGGGAAACCCUAUUGGUCAUGGCUUUAGAAAAAAAUUUAAUACCACAGUUGCUCAAACUAAUUGGUCUAAAUUUCUUCAAAUCCUUGGUGUCAGACUCUUUAGGAAUAAGGACUAUCAAAGCAAAAUUCAUUCUCUGCAUAUCUAGCUUGCCUUCUUCAAAGUCUCUCACUAACACCAUAAAAUCAGUUUUGAUAACAUCCCAAAAGGUUUGAUAGAAAAGAAAUGACAAUCCAUCAGGUCCGGGUGCACCAUGUGCAUACGAACCAAAAAUCGCCUCCUUGAUCUCCUUCUCAGAAAAGUUACUUUGGAGACGUUCAUUCUCUUCCUCAGUAACCAAGUCACCAUCCUCCCAGAAGGAAGGCCCAAGAUGCACAUGAGGUUUUUCUUCAGCUCCAAAUAGAUUUUUAUAAAAGGUAGUAGCUACUUCCAGCAUCUCCUUGGUGCUAUAUACAGGGCCAUUAUCACCAUUAAGCUCAGAAAGGUGAUUCUUUCUAUGUCUAUAAUUAGCUACAACUUGGAAGUAAGCGUUGUUCUUAUCACCAUCAACAAUCUAGCGGUCUCUCGAGCGCUGCCAGAAAGCAGUUUCUUCUUUACUCCAAAUACCAGCUAGUUCCUUCUUAAUCUCCUCCAUCAUGCGCCUGUCUACGUCAUUGAUUUGAUUCCUCUCUGAAAAAACAUCAAGGAUAUCAAAUUCGAGCAGAAGCUCUCUCUUUUUUCUCUUAAUGCCUGCCUCAAUAUUAAUGCUCCAGCCUUUUACUUUCUUCCUCAAUAGUCUACUUUUAUUCAUCCAAACAUCCAUGGCCGUCUUGCCAGGGACUGGAGUGUUCCAAAUUUUACGUACUAAAUCUUUGAAAUCAGGUUGGUCGAGCCACCACUUCUCAAACCAAAAUAUUUUGGGGGAGGUAACCCUCCAAGCACUAGUGUCAAUAAGUAAAGGGGUAUGAUCGCUCCCAACACAUGGGAGAGCUGUCACAACAGACAAAGGGAAUUUAAAAUCCCAAGAACCAGAAGAAAAAAACCCUAUCUAUAGUGGCAAAAAUAGGAUUAUUCUGGUUGUUACUCCAAGUAAAUUUUCUAUUAGCACUCUUGAUCUCCAUAAGAGACCAUUUAUUGAUCCAAUCAUUAAAAAGAUAGGAAAACUGGUUAUUAAUACUCCCAUUAUUCUUAUCAUCAGCCGAUCUAACCAAAUUGAAAUCCCCUCCCAAUAAAACUGGAUAAGUAAGGUUAUCCAUACUGUCAUGGAGUUCAGCAAUAAACUCUAACUUUUUAUCAUUAUAAGAAGUGCCAUAAACAGCCACUAGAUGCCACAUGAAACCAUCACAUUUAUUCUUAACAGUAGCCACAAUACAAAACUCUCUAUUAAUAAAGCCUAUCACCUCAAAUAAAUCACUCUUAAGACCCACAAGGAUCCCCCCAGCAGUGUUCACAGCCGGUAAAAAAUGCCAUAUAAAUUCCUCCUUACCAAAUAUAUAUUUGAGAACACAGUUAUCAAUAUUUUCUUUCUUGGUUUCAAAGAAACACACAAAAUCCACAUGAUUGUUACUAACAAAGUCACCUAGGCAUUGAUUCUUCCCAGUCUGGCCCAUUCCCCGAAUGUUCCAAAAGGCCCCUAUCAUUUAAUCUUAAAUGGGUGCGACAAGCCACAAGGCUUUUUUUUGUAUUCAAGACAUGGCUUUCCAUUAACGGUCCAGCAGUGCCAUCUGAGCCAUUAAUAUGAAAGUCACUGCUAGUAGCUUUGGUCUCAUCGACCAUUGUUUCUAAAUCUAGAUUCUCAGGGAGAACAAUCUCCGGAUUAUCGUCAGCAAACUUAAGGCAACGAUUUUUCUCCUCAUCAAUCAUAUCCAUGACAAUAGCUACUUGAUCAUCGAUGUUACUACCAAUGCAUAAAUCAACCUUACUAGUAUUUGAGACAAGAACAUCAGGAUCAAGGACAGCAAAUGAUUUACCUUUGAAAGUAGUGGGAAUUUCCAAAUUCGUCAUCUUCAUAUAUGCAGCUGCUUUGUCCAUGAUCUUAAUGUCUCCAUGAUUCCUAGUUAUUGGUUUGCUUGUGAGCACUGGCCCCCAGACAGGAGAAUUUUUUACACUUCGUUUUUUCUUCUGCACCGAUUCCACACUAUCCAGAGUUUCCAGUAGAGAUCUCUUAACAGAUCCCAUUGCCAGAGCUAAAUCCUCAGGGAGACACUGCAUCUCUUCCACCAAAUCUUCCUCCUCUUCAUCAGUCUCAACCAUUUCAAACCUACUUAGUUGUUCAGAGCAAUAUUCCAGAUGUGCUGACAUGGAAUCAGAUCUUUCAAAAGGAAAUGGUUUUGCAGGAGUGGUUUUUUCAUUAUCUGCUUCCUUAUUCUUCUCAGGGGUUUUGCUCCUAAUUUCUUCCACAAAAUCCUCAUGAAUUGUAUCCAGCAUGUGGGGAGGGUGGAAUUCCACUGCAGAAGCAUCUUUCUGUGAGUUUGACUGACUGGAAUUUGCAGCCAGAGUAUUUUUGGAAGGGAAAUUUGCCUUGUCCAGCUCAUCAAUAGGUUCUCCCAUGUCUUCUCCUUGAGAUUUAUCCUUGUUAGACAUGUCUUCAUUGUUUUCUUCAUCCUCUUUCUCCAUAUUAUCCAAAUCUGGGUCCAGAUCAUCUCCAUCAGAGUCCUCUCCCAUUUGUUCAAACCCUUCAACAGUGAAGAACAGAAUGUAUAACUUCCUUUUCAUUUCAACUAAUCUCUCAAAUGGAAUUUUCCUGGGGUCUCUACAAGCCACUUUCACUCUGAUAUUCUCAUAGAAGCUCUUAAAUAUACCAUUCCAGUCCACAUCUACCAGGAUCCCAAAGCAAGCUGUAAUCUGGGCAAGCACCUUCCAUGCACACCACUUUGGAGGAAUCCCCUCAAUUUGAACCCAGGCCUCAGUAAGUCCUCCAAAUUCAUCUAGCAUUCCCACCCAUUCGCAGAUCUUGACAGAGAUACCAUCAAUUGGGAGCUCGAAUGCAAGAAACUCAAUUAGGUCUUCAACAUUUUUCCAAGGUGGAAAUCUCACCAAGAAUUUCUUCUCUCCCAAGUCCCUAAUCUGUCAAGGCCACUCUUUGUUUUUGCAAAAAAAUUCCAUUGAGCUGAAUCGGCAACUCUGAGGCAGAAACCUCACCCUUAACCACUUUGAGAGCUGCACAAUUUUUGUAGUUAAGCCAACUUAGUUCUGAAGCAGUGGGUACAUCAAUAUGGUAAAACCCCAGGCCAGCCACUGCGCUACCAAAGUAGGUCGCUGUAGGAUGUGGCUUUGCCCAGGCAGCGCAGUUGUUGACAUUAUGACCUCCCGCGCAGAUAAAGCACUUCUUCGGCUCAAUGCAGUUCCCCACAUAGUGCCCCGGCCAACUACAGUUAAAGCAGCUCAUAUCCUUGUACCUUGGAUCCAGCGCCUGAAUUGUAGCAGCAGGAGGAGGAGGUGGAGCUGGGACUGCUGUAUCGGCCACUUGCUGCUGCUGGAUCCCACGCGCCGCCUGCUUGGGAGGAUGCUGCCCCGGCUUGGCAGCACCUGCCAACGUAGCAGCACCUCCGGCCAGCGGGGCCGUUAUCUUCCCAUCUUGAGGAGCAGGCUUCUUCCCUGGCGGUGGACGGCGUUGCCGCUGCCCUCCCUGCCCCCGCUCCGUCCCUCCCUUAACCACCUCAAGAAACGAUCUAGGAAAACCUAGUUUCUCGGUGGAGAUUUUAAAGAUAGUAGGAGUUGGAUCAAAUCUGCCCACUGCCCGAAUCGGGAAAUAGUCUUGUGCUGAGAAUUUUCUAUCCCUAAACAGAUCCUUUCUAACCCAAAACAAAUUGGGGAUUGCAAGGCUAGGGUUCGGCGGCGGCUGCCUCUCUAUAUGUAGGUGCUGGCGGCGGCUGGGAGAAGGAGCCACCCAUAACUGGCCAUAAAAAUCCGCCACUUCCUCCCCGUCCCCGCUAGCAGAGGUAGAAAGCGUAUUUUUACGACCCGUUUUCUUCCCAACCACACGACCCGAAAUCAAUGGCGGUGGCUGAGAGAUCGGCCCUGUUUGUGGGACCUCCAGCUUCGAAUCCAAUCCCGCCCCUCCCACAGAAGCGAGCUCGUCGGCGGCGGAAUGGCUCGCCGGACCCGCAGAUUCAUAAGAAUCUCUCACUGACUCAGGGAAAAUAGAAGUGGAGUCACAAAUACUCUCGCAAGGGACAACCCUAUCUUCCUUAAUGAUCAAUUCAGCGCACAAAUCACCAUCAGAUCUCGAACGAACAUAUGAUUUGGGUCUGGAUUUCCUCACCUUGUCAGGGAGAUGUGGGAUCUCCCCGCGGUCGCCCGGGCAUGGUGGAAGGUUGAGGAAGCGCUCCUCGCCCCUCCCACGCCGCGCCCACAGGUUAGAGAAGCCCUGCGGGGCGUGCACGCUGGCUCCCCUCGAUUCAGGGGACCCUAGGCAGGACAGUCCCCGGCGGCAGGUACUCUGGUGGUAUGUUGGCGAUCUGCACCACCGCCGGAGGCCGAAUGUUGAGCCGCGACGGAUUCCUUGUCCUGAAUCUCGCCCACUUCGCCGCCUGUCUUGGAUCCGUUGACUCCGCCUCCUGAAUGGCCCAGAAGAUGAGCUCGUAAUCCAUCCCCCCAUCGUCGCCGGCGAACCGCGCGCGUUCCUCGAACGUCGCGUGUUGGAUGACCUCGAUGAGGGUCGCUGGCCAGUUGUCGCGGUUCGGGAAUCGCUCCCUCACCACGCGAAUCAUCUCCGCAUGUGCCUCUGGCGACCCCCGCUCGGUCACCGGCAACUGCGACACCGGCACCGGCGGCAGGGGGGCCAUCGGCGCUGCCACCUGGUGAUUGGGACGCACCCGUCGCGCCCUUGCACCCCUCCGCGCGCCCCCCACCAUCUCUCUCGCUCGACUUGGCCGUGGGAUCUGACGAAGAGCAGCCGCCAGGGGAGGGAGACGAUAUGGCGAGGGGGGAGGGAGGCUAGAUAAGCCGCGCGGCCAUUAAUCGCGGUGGUUGCGGCGCCAUUACUCGUGGUAGGUGAGGCGCGAGGGCGGGUGGUAGGUGAGAGCGUCAUUUUUCUUCCUAUAUCGUAGCAUUUUUAAGGGGUGUCCAACUGUAUAUUGUACUUUAUUCUUUUAUUUUUAUUUUUGAGCAUUAAAAAAUUAUUUGAGACAUUUUUGAGCAUUAAACAUGGUAUUUUAUUUGGGCAUGAGCCAAAGUUUGUAUGGAUUCAUAGACCAGGCCAUGGCCUCACAAGUGACAACAACGGCCCACGGCCCACUUGGGGCGUUAAAACCCCAUGCAACUCUGUGCUCCUCCAUCUUGUGCGGCGGCUGAUUCGGCAGUUGUGGGCGCCGUCGUCACCUUUUGGACGGCAUGCGUCGGAGGAUCGCUGGAAAGGCUGCGGCCACCGGUGACGGAGGAGUAGACCGCCUAGGCGCGCUCCCAGACGAGAUCCUCCAGCAUGCGCUGUCGUUCCUGCCGUCGCGCGACGCCGUGUGCACCUGCGUGCUCGCCCGCCGCUGGCGCCACCUGUGGAAGUCCGCCCCGGCCCUGCGGGUCACCGACGUCGACGCCUUCAGGAGCGCCCGCCACGUCAACGGCUUCGUCAACCACCUCAUCGUCCUCCGCGACCGGACGCCUCUCCGCGAGUGCGAGAUCGCCGCCUAUAAGGAAUACAAUGGCGGUGGGUACUACGACAGCAACGGAGAUCGCCGCGAGCACUCCCAAUACAUCGAUCUGUGUGGUCAGGUAUGCCUUGUCGUGCCACGCUCGGCUGCUUCAGAUCAGUGACCAUGACCCCAAUGAUCUUGACGCUGAAUACGAUUAUAAAAUACGGAGUGUUAUGCUUGACGUUCCCAUCUUGUCCGGGCGUCUUACCACUUUGGAACUCGACGGGGUGGUACUUUCGAGCGAAUGCUCCCACCCUCUAGAUUUCUCGAGCUGCCCAAACCUGGAGACUCUAAAGAUGAACCGCUGCUCCAUCCUAUUCUUGGGAGGCGACCGUUCCAUGAAUAUAUCGUCGCAAUCUGUGUGAUGUCUGAGCAUUACACGCUGUGAUUUUGAUCACUUUGUCCGGGCACGUGCCCUCAUUUCUAUCCCAAGCCUCGUGCACCUGGACCUGGAGCUGACCGAGGACUGUGGCUUGGUUCCUGCGUUUGAGAGCAUGAUGCCGUCGUUGCUAACAACACAUCUAUCAAGCUUGACCGCAGUUGCAACAAGGACGACAUGGGUUGCUCAUUGCUUCUUGGAUGCCUCUCACAUUCCUCUAAUCUAGACCUCAUGGCCGGGCCUCAAGCGGUAUACAUAUAUGUUUUUAUCCACUUAAAUUCUAGCUAGUCUCAUUUGACAUGCUCAUCCCAUAUGUGUUGUGCACUUGUGCUUGCCCAGUUUGCUUUCAGGACAGCUUUAAAACGGUGCACCACAUUUAGCAAGCUCAAAAUCUUGUCACUCAAUGAAUGGUGUGUGGAACCUGAUUUUGGACCACUACUUUACUUUCUACGUUGGUCACCAAAUCUUGAGAAGCUCAACAUCCAUCUAUUUAAGGUAUGUUUUGCAAUUAUAAAAUAUUUUGUGCUGUUAAAGUUACAAUUGCAUAGUUCAUUUAUUUGGUAAACUACAUAGCCAUAUCGACACGUUGAAGAAACAGAGGGAUGCUACGAUUCGGCGGAACCAUUUUUGGCAUCAAAGCAAUUCAGGGUUGUCGAGAUCAAAUGUCGAACAAAAGAUAAGUUUGUUCACAAAAUUUUGAAGGUUCUGAGUUCCUGUGGAGUACCUGCUGAGCAAAUCAAAUCAAGAAAAUAAUUUGAUCUUCCCACGGUAAAGUCAAAUUAUAGGUCUUCCUAGAUAUUUAAGUUUUUGCAUUCCCAUACGAUGUAUGUGUGAAGUUUAGUAAUGCUUCAUUUAAAUUAAUUGGACAACUAAAUGAGUAAAUGAUAAGCAUCAAGGAAAAAAUGCUCUUUAGAUAGUACGUGAAAUUAUCAGUCUUGGUGAUAUUUUAAAUUUCCGCAAUCCCACACUACAAGAAUCUGGUUUUAUGACGAGUUGCGUAACUUUGCCGAGUUCAUUCUAUCGGGAACUUGGCAAACUUUUGUCUGCCGAGUUUGAUUCAAAAUUGAACUCAGCGGUGAUAAGCAACUCGGCAAAGCUUUGACUUUGCCUAGUUCAAAUGAAAAACGACUCACAAACAAAAAUAACUCGGCAGAAUCUCAAGUUUAUCGAGUUCCACGCUAAAAAGCCCAGUAAAGAAUGGUAGAUGGGUCGUGUUGUAGAGCAGGCGACGGAGCCAUGAUGGCGGCCUUGUUGGACAUACUAGUGCUGAGUGCCAAACUCCGACAAACAAUUUGCCCAAUGCUACUAACGAAGGAACUCGGCUGAUAUUUUGUACUGGGCAAUAACUGCUGGCACGUGGCUUAUUUCUAUUCGCCUUACUCUGCCAUGUUUAGGAUGAUAAAAUUCGUCAAACCUUAGGGCCAUGUGGCAUUUCCGUUAACGUCCUGUCUAGCCUGACGGUUUUGUUUACCAAGUUUUUUCUGGUAGGAACUCAGCAAACAUUUUUUAAAUAUUCACCGAGUUCGCAAUAGAAAGAACUCGACAGUAUUAAUGAUUGCUGGGCCCGUCCAGCCGAGUGUUGUGCGCCGAGUUUGGGACUCGACGAAGAUUUCGCCAAGUUUAUUAUGGGCUCCACCGAGUUUCUUUGAAAUCCGCCAAAAGGCCAUUCUAGUAGUGCCAUGUAUAUUUAUAAAUUUUAGCAAUGUAUACUUAUUAAGCUAAUUGAACUACAAAAUAUGUAAAACAUAAGAUAAGACUUUGUAUCAGUUUCAUAGUGUUAGAAAGAGAUGUUCUUGCUUCACAACAUUUAAAGCAAGUGGUACACCAAUCCAACUAAUCCCCCUUUCCUUUUAUAUUUCUAGAGGAUCAUAUUCAGAUUCAGACUAUUCAUUGUAGUCAGAUGAACAUUUGGACCUUUAGCAAAAUUUCCAGUCGGCAAGUCGAGAGUUGAGACCUUCUAAGUUAAAUCCACAAGACUAGAAACAUGAAUGCCAUCGGGAUUUGGUCAGGUACUCAACAUGGAGAUAUCUUAUUGCUUUGUACUUUUGGUUCAAGGCAUAUGCACAUUUAAUUUUCAUGAACAUGUGAUGAUGUUCCACAUUACCAUAUCAUGUGUUCUAUUUAUUCACUACCCGUGUUGGUUGGCUUUUGCUGAAGCUGGGUGUGCCUAUUGGCCUCAUGGAGGUGCAUACUAGGUAAUACCGCACUUGAGGUGGCAUCGGUGCAGAUUGGGACUAUGCAAACGGCUAAAUUUCCUUUUCGUUUUAAACCAUCGCCUUGCGAAGUUGUCCAAUAGAGGGGUCCAUCGCUUACGACAUGGAUUAAUCAUCUGCAACAGGGCUCUAGAACGCAGACGUUCUGGCAAAAGCAAUUGUAUGUGGUGCACAAACCUAUCGCACAUACCAAAGUUAUGACAGGCGUGUGGGAUUGGUCAUCAUUCGCACACGUGUUUUCUGAGUUAAGCGCACGUAGUUGGUCAUUGAAUCCAAACAGAGAUUCAACGCAAAACAAUUACGAAAUAUUACAUAUGGCACACCGUUUUCCCAAGGAAACUGCGCGUGGUGUCUCGAGCAUCGCACACGAGUCUUCGAUUCCUAACAUCUGUCAAGUAUGAAAUCAUCGAACAUGGUUUGCAUAUAUUGCAUUUGUCAUCGGACACGGUGGCUUUGAAGCUCGCGUGUGGGAUGAGGUGGAGAGAGUCCCGACCUGAAUGUCAUUUCAAAGGUCGCGCAAACGCGAGGAAAGAAAAUCUGGCGCGUUCUUUGAGUUUGGCAGUUUUUAGUCAAAUUGUUCAUAGGGUGAAUCAGAGAGAAAAUUAGAUAUUACAUCUUAGGUGGACAGUGUUUGCUGUUAGAAAAACUGAUAAUUUCGUGCCUCCCAAAUCUUCCAUAGCACGGUAGCAGGACAAAGGGUUUGAGCUCAGCUGGAAGCUCUGACUUGUGCACAAGCGAUGUUGCCCUCAAGAGAAAAGAAAGAAUCUGCUUCACAUGGUUCCUAGAGCUAGUUAUCACGAGCGAGAAUGCACUGCAUGCGUACUAGUAUGACGAUAUGAAGGGAGCUAAAGGUAAAUCAGGAUGGGGCGCUGCUGACCCCAAUAAAUCACCCGCCUUGUCCCUGAUCUACAAAAAGCCGACUGCUUCUUCUCUGCUGAUGAAGCCAUCGAGGUGGUGGAUCAUCACCGAUGGUGAUGUAGAAGACUGGAUCUUGCUGACUGGGUUUGAGCUUAUCACGGUUGAUAUCGCGGCGGAGGUGCUAGCGCCUGCAACUGCGGUCUAAGGCCGACCGACAUCGCCAUGCCAUUGCAUCUUCUGGCCGGAAGCGGUCCCAUUUCGUUUCUUCCUGCAAUGCUGCCUUAUAGGAGGCAAUUCCUCUUCGCGUUGGUAGCCAUGGCUUUGAGCUGUCGCGCCUUCGUCACCCCAAGCGGCUUGUUCCUCGGCGACAGCGAGGUGAAUCCGGCCUGGAGAGGUUGGACCCGAUCACGUUUUUGUUUCCUAUGCAGGGUCCUUGUUGCAUAAGUCCAGGGACUUGGUUGUCUGUCUUUUUUCUUAGGUGUCCUUUUGUAAAAAUGUGUUGUACUCUGGGUUUUAAUGAAUAAAUCUUUGAGAUCUUGGGGAUCCCUCAGCUGCUCAAAAAGAAAAGAAAAGAAAGAAUUUUCUUGGGGAGUACAAUUAAAGCAUGGUUAAUAAUAUACUCAACUGCUGGCUAUAACAUGUUACCAUGCUAUCUAUAACCAAUAUAAUAGUUACUCCCUCCAUUUCGGUUUAUAGGGCUUAUCUCAAAAUUUUAGUUUUUUCAUUUUAUAAGGCUCAGUUUGAUUAUUCCCCAUCACAUGUUCAGAUUUCAAGGUGCAUUAAAUCAUUGCAUGCAAUUAUUAAGAGAAAAUAAUGCAAUUAAUGCAUUGGUAAACAUACUUUUUUGGGAAAACAAGAGCAUUAAUUGGGUACUUUUGCAAACUAUAAAAAGUAUUCCACCACUGACCAUCUACCUUGGUUGGUGAGAUUUUUGAAUUGAGCCUUAUAAACCGGAAAGGAGGGAGUAACAUAUAGAGUAUUUAGCUACAAGGAGGUAUUACUUUAUUACCACAUGACCCACCUUACACUUUCAUAAAGUAUCUUGGAGUCUGUAAAUCUACAGCCCUCUACUUUCUCUUUCCUCUUCUUUCUUCUCAACUCAGUAAAAAAAAUAUUUAAAGCCUUAUAGCCCGCCUACAUCGCCUCAUUAUACUUGCUCUUAGCAAGCUAGUGCUCCCUCCUUUCCGGUUUAUAGGGCUUAUCUCAAAAUCUUAGUUUUUCCAUUUUAUAAGGCUCAAUUUGGUUGUUCCCCAUCACAAGUUCAGAUUUCAAGGUGCAUUAAAUAAUUGCAUGUAAGUAUUAAGAGAAAAUUGACCAAUGCAUGUACUUUAUGCAUACAUGCAUUGCAAUUAAUACAUUGGUAAACAUAAAUUUUUGAGUAAAACAAGAGCAUUAAUUGGGUGCUUUUCCGAAUUACGAAAAGUAUUCCACCACUCAUCAUCUACCUUGGUUGGUGAGAUUUUUGAAUUGAGCCCAGGGACGGAGCCAGAAAAUAAAGAUAGGGGGGGCAAGAACUUGAGGUGUAAAAAUCAAAGGAUACAUAUAUAUAUAGUACAUACUGGAAGAUUUCAUAUGUGCCGUGUUCGCCCAGCUAACCAACGGCACGCCAAAAUUUUGGUGGAGGGAAGGACCACCAACGCCUCGUUGAAACAAAUUGGUUUUGUAAACGGGGUGAGGUAAUGGAGCUGGGGAGACCCAAAUAAUUCGAUCACAACUAAACAGUGGCUAUCAAACUCAUCAACGCCAAAUAAUUAGUCGGGCGCUUGAGGGCUCUUAUCUAAACAUGCCCUAGAUAAUCAAAGAUUACAUAGCUAUUAAUUCAAAAUUUGAUUUAGGAGACAGUAUCAAAGAUCGUAAUUUUCUAGCUAGUUGUCAAUGUGUCUGUAGUUCUACGACUACACGUCUACGAUUUGAAAGAUGCGAACGAAUCUGAUGAUAAAAAUAAACUAACCGAUUUUAUCAUUUGGUUGAGCUCAUCCGUGCGGCCGGCCGGCCAGAAUGCAGCGUAUAUCAACAGGAGGCGCUUGUAUAUCCCAUUCCUUUCUGGACGGAGAGAUUCGAUAGACGAUUUGGCACCUUGACGGCCGGCGGCAGCCUCGAACGCGGAAGCAGAUUGGAAAGGAAGCGAUUAGAUGAGAUCUCUUUUAAGGGGUGAUUAAAGGAGAUCUAAACUGUGUGUACAGGCGUAUUGCUUCCGCUGUGGGCUGCUUUCCUUUUUUUCAUUUCCGGGUAAUUUGGGCUUUUUGCAUGCAAUUGCUUGGAAAAAGUACANNNNNNNNNNNNNNNNNNNNNNNNNNNNNNNNNNNNNNNNNNNNNNNNNNNNNNNNNNNNNNNNNNNNNNNNNNNNNNNNNNNNNNNNNNNNNNNNNNNNNNNNNNNNNNNNNNNNNNNNNNNNNNNNNNNNNNNNNNNNNNNNNNNNNNNNNNNNNNNNNNNNNNNNNNNNNNNNNNNNNNNNNNNNNNNNNNNNNNNNNNNNNNNNNNNNNNNNNNNNNNNNNNNNNNNNNNNNNNNNNNNNNNNNNNNNNNNNNNNNNNNNNNNNNNNNNNNNNNNNNNNNNNNNNNNNNNCGAGAGAAUUUAGCAAGCAAACUGAUCGCUAUCAAGGGGGCGAUGCGAUCGUCAGGGAGGGUCUCGCCCCACCCCCCCUCGUCCCCCCUUAAAUCCGUCCCUGAUUGAGCCCUAUAAACCGAAAAAGAGGGAGUAAUGUUCUCCCUCCGUCCGGGUUUAUUGUGCCCGUGGGUUUAUUGUGCCCGUGAGCCAGCCAUCCGCGUCCGGUUUUAUAAGGCCCUGAAUUAAUUUCCCUCGAUCUCCUCUACUGCAUGCGCGCUUGAUUCGGUAAACUUCUGAUUAAUCAGCUGCAUGCAAAACGGCGUGCGCAAUCUGCUGCAUGCCAUAACUGCCUACUAGCGCUGGACGUGGGCAUGGAUUGGAUGCAUGCAAAAGGGAAGCUGGCAAUCGGCUGCACGCCAUAAUUACAAGCUAAUUUGAUUGGCCUUUCCCACGCUUCAUAAUCACACAUAAUUAGCGUUAAUGCCUUGGUACCCGAGUUUUGGCUAGUGGGCCAAACCCGGACGGAGGGAGUACUAUACUAUUACGUGCUCGUAAGUUUCUAAAGCUAGCUAGCAUGAGAUUGUUGAGUAUAUCGAGAGCGAGCGCAUGCAGCAUGCACCCCGCGUACUUACCUUGGCGGCAACUGAGCUUGAUGCCGGUGAAGGGCGUGUUGGUCCCGAUGAACUCAAGCAGCGUGGUCCCCGAGUGGACGUCGCGGCCGGCCACAUCCACUACUAGUAAAACCCCUGUAGGUAACUACUAAGUAGAGGCGCAGAUUAUUUGGCACUUGCAACUGGUAUUUAAUAGUAGCGUGGGCAAACAAGUGCGCUACUGAUAGAGCAUAUUAGUAGCAUGGGCACCCAUCGCUACUUCUAAGUGGUCCCAACCGUGCCCCUCUGAGACAGGCCAUAGUAGUAGCACGGGUUGUAAAACCCGCGCUACUACUAAGUUGAUAGUAGUAGAGCAGGGUGUAAACCCCGCGAUACUGCUAUGAGUAGAUGGGGCCAACUGAUGGGCCUCACUUAGUAGUUGUGUCGUCCGUUCAACGCAAGGGUCACCUUCUCCAGCCCCACCGGUACCAUCGCCAGUCGCCUCUCGCGGUCGACCUCGGCUAGAAAUGGUUGAUUGAUGUGCACUGUGAUGUGAGUGACGUGGGAACGGGUGGGCGAGCUGCUGCUGGCAGAUAUAGGAAGGGAGUUGGAUGAAUGGUGGCCGACCUUGAUCUGUUGCUUAUUUACUUGCGUGACGGCGAGUGCUUAGCUGCCCCGGCGACUCCGAGCGCAGGGGAUGAGAUCGGGCCAGCGUGACCUGACGGGGACAUCGACGAUAUGGCAGGGAUCUGGUUGGUCCGCGGACGUGCACGCAUGUCCAGUGUGAUAUGUUAGAGUUGUGUCCAAUAUUGUGUACAAGGUAGGUUACAAUUGGACUCUGAGUUGUAUUGUGUUUACAUGGUAUGGAGUCAUGUCUUAGUAGGACAAUUGUAUCCUAGGCCUCACUACUGGAAUCAGCUAAUUUGCCAUCUGCCAGCUCUUCGCCGUCUGGUAGCUGACGGCAAAGAAGUUCUUUGCCAUCAGCUACCCAAAAGCAGACGGCAAAGAAACGGCAGACGACAAAACAAGCCUUUGCAGGCUCUUUGCCGUCAGCCAGCGGACGGCAAAGAUUCUUUGCCGUCAGCUGGCUGACGGCAAAGAGAGAGGUGGCCCCCACCCCCCCGNNNNNNNNNNNNNNNNNNNNNNNNNNNNNNNNNNNNNNNNNNNNNNNNNNNNNNNNNNNNNNNNNNNNNNNNNNNNNNNNNNNNNNNNNNNNNNNNNNNNNNNNNNNNNNNNNNNNNNNNNNNNNNNNNNNNNNNNNNNNNNNNNNNNNNNNNNNNNNNNNNNNNNNNNNNNNNNNNNNNNNNNNNNNNNNNNNNNNNNNNNNNNNNNNNNNNNNNNNNNNNNNNNNNNNNNNNNNNNNNNNNNNNNNNNNNNNNNNNNNNNNNNNNNNNNNNNNNNNNNNNNNNNNNNNNNNNNNNNNNNNNNNNNNNNNNNNNNNNNNNNNNNNNNNNNNNNNNNNNNNNNNNNNNNNNNNNNNNNNNNNNNNNNNNNNNNNNNNNNNNNNNNNNNNNNNNNNNNNNNNNNNNNNNNNNNNNNNNNNNNNNNNNNNNNNNNNNNNNNNNNNNNNNNNNNNNNNNNNNNNNNNNNNNNNNNNNNNNNNNNNNNNNNNNNNNNNNNNNNNNNNNNNNNNNNNNNNNNNNNNNNNNNNNNNNNNNNNNNNNNNNNNNNNNNNNNNNNNNNNNNNNNNNNNNNNNNNNNNNNNNNNNNNNNNNNNNNNNNNNNNNNNNNNNNNNNNNNNNNNNNNNNNNNNNNNNNNNNNNNNNNNNNNNNNNNNNNNNNNNNNNNNNNNNNNNNNNNNNNNNNNNNNNNNNNNNNNNNNNNNNNNNNNNNNNNNNNNNNNNNNNNNNNNNNNNNNNNNNNNNNNNNNNNNNNNNNNNNNNNNNNNNNNNNNNNNNNNNNNNNNNNNNNNNNNNNNNNNNNNNNNNNNNNNNNNNNNNNNNNNNNNNNNNNNNNNNNNNNNNNNNNNNNNNNNNNNNNNNNNNNNNNNNNNNNNNNNNNNNNNNNNNNNNNNNNNNNNNNNNNNNNNNNNNNNNNNNNNNNNNNNNNNNNNNNNNNNNNNNNNNNNNNNNNNNNNNNNNNNNNNNNNNNNNNNNNNNNNNNNNNNNNNNNNNNNNNNNNNNNNNNNNNNNNNNNNNNNNNNNNNNNNNNNNNNNNNNNNNNNNNNNNNNNNNNNNNNNNNNNNNNNNNNNNNNNNNNNNNNNNNNNNNNNNNNNNNNNNNNNNNNNNNNNNNNNNNNNNNNNNNNNNNNNNNNNNNNNNNNNNNNNNNNNNNNNNNNNNNNNNNNNNNNNNNNNNNNNNNNNNNNNNNNNNNNNNNNNNNNNNNNNNNNNNNNNNNNNNNNNNNNNNNNNNNNNNNNNNNNNNNNNNNNNNNNNNNNNNNNNNGACACGACACCCCGACCCCGACACGGCACCCGGACACCGACACGACACCCGACACCUCCCGAAAAGGUGUUCUUUGGCCUUGCAGAGGCCGAUGGGGUCAUAUAUUUGUGAAUUAUUAGUUAGGUCAUAUAUUUUUCGAUUUUGUUAUGAAAACAUCAUAUAUAAUUGUUGGGAAUCGUAGCAUAAUUUAAAAAAAUUCUACGCUCACCAAGAUGCAUCUAUGGAGUCUACUAGCAACGAGGGGAAAGGAGUGCAUCUACAUACCCUUGUAGAUCGCGAGCGGAAGCGUUCCAAUGAACGUGGAUGACGGAGUCGUACUCGCCGUGAUCCAAUUCACCGAUGACCGAGUGCCGAACGGACGGCACCUCCGCGUUCAACACACGUACGGUGCAGCGACGUCUCCUCCUUCUUGAUCCAGCAAGGGGGAAGGAGAGGUUGAUGGAGAUCCAACAGCACGACGGCGUGGUGGUGGAUGUAGCGGUUCUCCGGCAGGGCUUCGCCGAGCUUCUGCGAGAGAGAGAGGGAGAGAGAGGUGUUGCAGGGGAGGAGGGAGGCGCCCAAGGCUGUAGUUUGCUGCCCUUCCUCCCCCCCCCCCUUUAUAUAGGCCCCUGGGGGGGUGCGCCAGCCCUGGGAGAUGGGAUCUCCAAGGGGGGCGGCGGCCAAGGGGGGAAGGGGUUGCCUUGCCCCCCAAGGCAAGGGGGAAGCUCCCCCUAGGGUUCCCAACCCUAGGCGCAUGGGGGGAGGCCCAAGGGGGGCACCCCAGCCCACUAAGGGUUGGUUCCCUUCCACUUUCAGCCAACGGGGCCCUCCGGGACAGGUGGCCCCACCCGGUGGACCCCCGGGACCCUUCCGGUGGUCCCGGUACAAUACCGGUAACCCCCGAAACUUUCCCGGUGGCCGAAACUUGACUUCCUAUAUAUAAUUCUUCACCUCCAGACCAUUCCGGAACCUCUCGUGCCGUCCGGGAUCUCAUCCGGGACUCCGAACAACUUUCGGGUUUCCGCAUACAUAUAUCUCUACAACCCUAGCGUCACCGGACCUUAAGUGUGUAGACCCUACGGGUUCGGGAGACAUGCAGACAUGACCGAGAUGCCUCUCCGGUCAAUAACCAACAGCGGGAUCUGGAUACCCAUGUUGGCUCCCACAUGUUCCACGAUGAUCUCAUCGGAUGAACCACGGUGUCGAGGAUUCAAUCAAUCCCGCAUGCAAUUCCCUUUGUCAAUCGGUAUGUUACUUGCUCGAGAUUCGAUCGUCGGUAUCCCAAUACCUUGUUCAAUCUCGUUACCGGCAAGUCUCUUUACUCGUACCGCAAUGCAUGAUCCCGUGACUAACGCCUUAGUCACAUUGAGCUCAUUAUGAUGAUGCAUUACCGAGUGGGCCCAGAGAUACCUCUCCGUCACACGGAGUGACAAAUCCCAGUCUCGAUCCGUGCCAACCCAACAGACACUUUCGAAGAUACCCGUAGUGCACCUUUAUAGUCACCCAGUUACGUUGCGACGUUUGGCACACCCAAAGCACACCUACUUUAUCCGGGAGUUGCACGAUCUCAUGGUCUAAGGAAAAGAUACUUGACAUUGGAAAAGCUCUAGCAAACGAAACUACACGAUCUUUUAUGCUAUGCUUAGGAUUGGGUCUUGUCCAUCACAUCAUUCUCCUAAUGAUGUGAUCCCGUUAUCAAUGACAUCCAAUGUCCAUAGUCAGGAAACCAUGACUAUCUGUUGAUCAACGAGCUAGUCAACUAGAGGCUUACUAGGGACACUUUGUGGUCUAUGUAUUCACACAUGUAUUACGAUUUCCGGACAAUACAAUUAUAGCAUGAACAAUAGACAAUUACCAUGAACAAAGAAAUAUAAUAAUAACCAUUUAUUAUUGCCUCUAGGGCAUAUUUCCAACAGUCUCCCACUUGCCCUAGAGUCAAUAAUCUAGUUACAUUGUGAUGAAUCGAACACCCAUUGCGUCCUGGUGUUGAUCAUGUUUUGCCCUAGGGAGAGGUUUAGUCAACGGAUCUGCUACAUUCAGGUCCGUGUGAACUUUACAAAUAUCUAUGUCUCCAUUUUGAACACUUUCAUGAAUGGAGUUGAAGCGACGCUUGAUAUGCCUGGUCUUCCUGUGAAACCUGGGCUCCUUCGCAAGGGCAAUAGCUCCAGUGUUGUCACAGAAGAGAGUCAUCGGGCCCGAAGCAUUGGGAAUCACCCCUAGGUCGGUAAUGAACUCCUUCAUCCAGACUGCUUCCUGUGCUGCCUCCGAGGCUGCCAUGUACUCCGCUUCACAUGUAGAUCCCGCCACGACGCUUUGCUUGCAACUGCACCAGCUUACUGCUCCUCCAUUCAAAAUAUACACGUAUCCGGUUUGUGACUUCGAGUCAGCCAGAUCUGUGUCGAAGCUAGCGUCGACGUAACCCUUUACGACGAGCUCUUCGUCAACUCCAUAAACGAGAAACAUAUCCUUAGUCCUCUUCAGGUACUUCAGGAUAUUCUUGACCGCUGUCCAGUGUUCCUUGCCAGGAUUACUUUGGUACCUUCCUACCAAACUUACGGCAAGGUUUACAUCAGGUCUGGUACACAGCAUGGCAUACAUAAUAGACCCUAUGGCCGAGGCAUAGGGGAUGACACUCAUCUCUUCUAUAUCUUCUGCCGUGGUCGGGCAUUGAGCCGUGCUCAACUGCACACCUUGCAAUACAGGCAAGAACCCCUUCUUGGACUGAUGCAUAUUGAACUUCUUCAAUAUCUUGUCAAGGUAUGUACUCUGUGAAAGACCAAUGAGGCGUCUUGAUCUAUCUCUAUAGAUCUUGAUGCCUAAUAUAUAAGCAGCUUCUCCAAGGUCCUUCAUUGAAAAACACUUAUUCAAAUAGGCCUUUAUACUCUCCAAGAAUUCUAUAUCAUUUCCCAUCAAUAGUAUGUCAUCCACAUAUAACAUGAGAAAUGCUACAGAGCUCCCACUCACUUUCUUGUAAACACAGGCUUCUCCAUAAGUCUGUGUAAACCCAAACGCUUUGAUCAUCUCAUCAAAGCGAAUGUUCCAACUCCGAGAUGCUUGCACCAGCCCAUAGAUUGAGCGCUGGAGCUUGCAUACUUUGUUAGCAUUCUUAGGAUCGACAAAACCUUCCGGCUGCAUCAUAUACAACUCUUCCUUAAGGAAGCCGUUAAGGAAUGCCGUUUUGACGUCCAUCUGCCAUAUCUCAUAAUCAUAGUAUGCGGCAAUUGCUAACAUGAUUCGGACGGACUUCAGCUUCGCUACGGGUGAGAAAGUCUCAUCGUAGUCAACCCCUUGAACUUGUCGAUAACCCUUAGUGACAAGUCGAGCUUUGUAGAUGGUCACAUUACCAUCUGCGUCCGUCUUCUUCUUAAAGAUCCAUUUGUUUUCUAUGGCUCGCCGCUCAUCGGGCAAGUCAGUCAAAGUCCAUACUUUGUUUUCAUACAUGGAUUCUAUCUCGGAUUUCAUGGCUUCUAGCCAUUUGUCGGAAUCCGGGCCCGCCAUCGCUUCUUCAUAGUUCGAAGGUUGACCGUUGUCUAACAACAUGAUUUCCAGGACAGGGUUGCCGUACCACUCUGGUGCGGAACGUGUCCUUGUGGACCUACGAAGUUCAGCAACUUGAUCCGAAGCUUCAUGAUCAUCAUCAUUAACUUCCUCCCCAGUCGGUGUAGGCACCACAGGAACAUUUUCCCGCGCUGCGCUACUUUCCGGUUCGGAAGGGGUGACUAUCACCUCAUCAAGUUCCACUUUCCUCCCACUCAAUUCUUUCGAGAGAAACUCCUUCUCCAGAAAGGACCCGUUCUUGGCAACGAAGAUCUUGCCUUCGGAUCUGAGGUAGAAGGUAUACCCAAUAGUUUCCUUAGGGUAUCCUAUGAAGACGCAUUUUUCCGAUUUGGGUUCGAGCUUUUCAGGUUGAAGUUUCUUGACAUAAGCAUCGCAUCCCCAAACUUUUAGAAACGACAGCUUAGGUUUCUUCCCAAACCAUAAUUCAAACGGUGUCGUCUCAACGGAUUUCGACGGAGCCCUAUUUAAAGUGAAUGCGGCAGUCUCUAAAGCAUAGCCCCAAAAUGAGAGCGGUAAAUCGGUAAGAGACAUCAUAGAUCGCACCAUAUCCAAUAGAGUGCGAUUACGACGUUCGGACACACCAUUUCUCUGAGGUGUUCCAGGCGGCGUGAGUUGUGAAACUAUUCCACAUUUCCUUAAGUGUGCACCAAACUCGUGACUUAAAUAUUCUCCACCACGAUCUGAUCGUAAGAAUUUUAUUCUCCUGUCACGUUGAUUCUCAACCUCACUCUGAAAUUCUUUGAACUUUUCAAAGGUUUCAGACUUGUGUUUCAUCAGGUAGACAUAUCCAUAUCUACUUAAAUCAUCAGUGAGAGUGAGAACAUAACGAUAUCCUCCGCGAGCCUCAACACUCAUUGGACCACACACAUCGGUAUGUAUGAUUUCCAAUAAGUUGGUUGCUCGCUCCAUUGUUCCGGAGAACGGAGUCUUGGUCAUCUUACCCAUGAGGCAUGGUUCGCACGUGUCAAAUGAUUCGUAAUCAAGAGACUCCAAAAGUCCAUCUGCAUGGAGCUUCUUCAUGCGCUUGACACCAAUGUGACCAAGGCGGCAGUGCCACAAGUAUGUGGGACUAUCGUUAUCAACUUUACAUCUUUUGGUAUUCACACUAUGAACAUGUGUAACAUCACGUUCGAGAUUCAUCAAAAAUAAACCAUUGACCAGCGGGGCAUGACCAUAAAACAUAUCUCUCAAAUAAAUAGAACAACCAUUAUUCUCGGAUUUAAAUGAGUAGCCAUCUCGAAUUAAACGAGAUCCAGACACAAUGUUCAUGCUCAAAGCUGGCACUAAAUAACAAUUAUUGAGGUUUAAAACUAAUCACGUCGGUAGAUGCAGAGGUAGCGUGCCGACGGCGAUCACAUCGACCUUGGAACCAUUCCCGACACGCAUCGUCACCUCGUCCUUCGCCAGUCUCCGUUUAUUCCGUAGUUCCUGUUUUGAGUUACAAAUAUGAGCAACCGCACCGGUAUCAAAUACCCAGGAGCUACUAUGAGUACUGGUAAGGUACACAUCAAUUACUUGUAUAUCACAUAUACCUUGGGUGUUGCCGGCCUUCUUCUUGUCCGCUAAGUAUUUGGGGCAGUUCCGCUUCCAGUGACCACUUCCCUUGCAAUAAAAGCACUCAGUCUCGGGCUUGGGUCCAUUCUUUGACUUCUUCCCAGUAACUGGUUUACCGGGCGCGGCAACUCCCUUGCCGUCCUUCUUGAAGUUCUUCUUACCCUUGCCCUUCUUGAACUUAGUGGUUUUAUUCACCAUCAACACUUGAUGUUCUUUUCUGAUCUCCCCUUCUGCUGAUUUCAGCAUUGAAUAUACCUCGGGAAUGGUCUUUUCCAUCCCCUGCAUAUUGUAGUUCAUCACAAAGCUCUUGUAGCUUGGUGGAAGCGACUGGAGGAUUCUGUCAAUGACCGCGUCAUCCGGGAGAUUAACUCCCAGCUGAGACAAGCGGUUGUGCAACCCAGACAUUCUGAGUAUGUGCUCACUAACAGAACUGUUCUCCUCCAUUUUACAGCUGAAGAACUUGUCGGAGACUUCAUAUCUCUCGACCCGGGCAUGAGCUUGAAAAACUAGUUUCAGCUCCUCGAACAUCUCAUAUGCUCCAUGUUUCUCAAAACGCUUUUGGAGACCCGGUUCUAAGCUGUAAAGCAUGCUGCUGCCAAGCGUUCAUAACGUCUUGGUUCUCUGGGAUUGGUGCUUCACCUAGCGGUGCUUCUAAGACAUAAUCUUUCUUGGCUACUAUGAGGAUGAGCCUCAGGUUCCGGACCCAGUCCGUAUAGUUGCUGCCAUCAUCUUUCAGCUUGGUUUUCUCUAGGAACGCGUUGAAAUUGAGGACAACGUUGGCCAUUUGAUCUACAAUACAUAGUGUAAAGAUUUUAGACUAAGUUCAUGAUAAUUAAGUUCAUUUAAUCAAAUUAUUUAAUGAACUCCCACUCAGAUAGACAUCCCUCUAGUCAUCUAAGUGAAACAUGAUCCGAAUUCGACUGGGCCGUGUCCGAUCAUCACGUGAGACGGACUAGUCAAGAUCGGUGAACAUCUCCAUGUUGAUCGUAUCUUCUAUACGACUCAUGCUCGACCUUUCGGUCCUCCGUGUUCCGAGGCCAUGUCUGUACAUGCUAGGCUCGUCAAGUCAACCUAAGUGUAUUGCGUGUGUUCCGAGGCCAUGUCUGUACAUGCUAGGCUCGUCAACACCCGUUGUAUUCGAAUGUUAGAAUCUAUCACACCCGAUCAUCACGUGGUGCUUCGAAACAACGAACCUUCGCAAUGGUGCACAGUUAGGGUGAACACUUUCUUGAAAUUAUUAUAAGGGAUCAUCUUACUUACUACCGUCGUUCUAAGCAAAUAAGAUGCAAAAACAUGAUAAACAUCACAUGCAAUCAAAUAGUGACAUGAUAUGGCCAAUAUCAUCAUGCUCCUUUGAUCUCCAUCUUCGGGGCACCAUGAUCAUCUUCGUCACCGGCAUGACACCAUGAUCUCCAUCAUUGUGUCUUCAUGAAGUCGUCACGCCAACGAUUACUUCUACUUGUAUGGCUAACGUGUUUAGCAACAAAGUAAAGUAAAUUACAUGGCGUUAUUCAAUGACACGCAGGUCAUGCAAAAUAAUAAAGACAACUCCUAUGGCUCCUGCCGGUUGUCAUACUCAUCGACAUGCAAGUCGUGAUUCCUAUUACAAGAAUAUGAUCAAUCUCAUACAUCACAUAUAUCAUUCAUCACAUCUUCUGGCUAUAUCACAUCACAUAGCACUUGCUGCAAAAACAAGUUAGACGUCCUCUACUUGUUGUUGCAAGUUUUUUUACGUGGUUUGUAGGUUUCUAGCAAGAACGUUUUCUUACCUACGUAUGACCACAACGUGAUUUGCCAAUUUCUAUUUACCCUUCAUAAGGACCCUUUUCAUCGAAUCCGUUCCGACUAAAGUAGGAGAGACAGACACCCGCUAGCCACCUUAUGCAACUUGUGCAUGUCAGUCGGUGGAACCUGUCUCACGUAAGCGUACGUGUAAGGUCGGUCCGGGCCGCUUCAUCCUACAAUGCCGCCGAAACAAGAAAAGACUAGUACCGGCAAGAAGAAUUGGCAAACUCAACGCCCACAACUGCUUUGUGUUCUACUCGUGCAUAGUAACUACGCAUAGGCCUGGCUCAUGAUGCCACUGUUGGGAAUCAUAGCAUAAUUUAAAAAUUUUCUACGCUCACCAAGAUGCAUCUAUGGAGUCUACUAGCAACGAGGGGAAAGGAGUGCAUCUACAUAUCCUUGUAGAUCGCGAGCGGAAGCGUUCCAAUGAACGUGGAUGACGGAGUCGUACUCGCCGUGAUCCAAAUCACCGAUGACCGAGUGCCGAACGGACGGCACCUCCGCGUUCAACACACGUACGGUGCAGCGACGUCUCCUCCUUCUUGAUCCAGCAAGGGGGAAGGAGAGGUUGAUGGAGAUCCAACAGCACGACGGCGUGGUGGUGGAUGUAGCGGUUCUCCGGCAGGGCUUCGCCGAGCUUCUGCGAGAGAGAGAGAGAGAGAGGUGUUGCAGGGGAGGAGGGAGGCGCCCAAGGCUGUAGUUUGCUGCCCUCCCUCCCCCCUUUNNNNNNNNNNNNNNNNNNNNNNNNNNNNNNNNNNNNNNNNNNNNNNNNNNNNNNNNNNNNNNNNNNNNNNNNNNNNNNNNNNNNNNNNNNNNNNNNNNNNNNNNNNNNNNNNNNNNNNNNNNNNNNNNNNNNNNNNNNNNNNNNNNNNNNNNNNNNNNNNNNNNNNNNNNNNNNNNNNNNNNNNNNNNNNNNNNNNNNNNNNNNNNNNNNNNNNNNNNNNNNNNNNNNNNNNNNNNNNNNNNNNNNNNNNNNNNNNNNNNNNNNNNNNNNNNNNNNNNNNNNNNNNNNNNNNNNNNNNNNNNNNNNNNNNNNNNNNNNNNNNNNNNNNNNNNNNNNNCCCCCUAGGGUUCCCAACCCUAGGCGCAUGGGGGGAGGCCCAAGGGGGGCGCCCCAGCCCACUAAGGGCUGGUUCCCUUCCAUUUUCAGCCCACGGGGCCCUCCGGGACAGGUGGCCCCACCCGGUGGACCCCCGGGACCCUUCCGGUGGUCCCGGUACAAUACCGGUAACCCCCGAAACUUUCCCGGUGGCCGAAACUUAACUUCCUAUAUAUAAUUCUUCACCUCCGGACCAUUCCGGAACCUCUCGUGACGUCCGGGAUCUCAUCCGGGACUCCGAACAACUUUCGGGUUUCCGCAUACAUAUAUCUCUACAACCCUAGCGUCACCGGACCUUAAGUGUGUAGACCCUACGGGUUCGGGAGACAUGCAGACAUGACCGAGACGCCUCUCCGGUCAAUAACCAACAGCGGGAUCUGGAUACCCAUGUUGGCUCCCACAUGUUCCACGAUGAUCUCAUCAGAUGAACCACGGUGUCGAGGAUUCAAUCAAUCCCGCAUGCAAUUCCCUUUGUCAAUCGGUAUGUUACUUGCCCGAGAUUCGAUCGUCGGUAUCCCAAUACCUUGUUCAAUCUCGUUACCGGCAAGUCUCUUUACUCGUACCGCAAUGCAUGAUCCCGUGACUAACUCCUUAGUCACAUUGAGCUCAUUAUGAUGAUGCAUUACCGAGUGGGCCCAGAGAUACCUCUCCGUCACACGGAGUGACAAAUCCCAGUCUCGAUCCGUGCCAACCCAACAGACACUUUCGGAGAUACCCGUAGUGCACCUUUAUAGUCACCCAGUUACGUUGCGACGUUUGGCACACCCAAAGCACUCCUACUUUAUCCGGGAGUUGCACGAUCUCAUGGUCUAAGGAAAAGAUACUUGACAUUGGAAAAGCUCUAGCAAACGAAACUACACGAUCUUUUAUGCUAUGCUUAGGAUUGGGUCUUGUCCAUCACAUCAUUCUCCUAAUGAUGUGAUCCCGUUAUCAAUGACAUCCAAUGUCCAUAGUCAGGAAACCAUGACUAUCUGUUGAUCAACGAGCUAGUCAACUAGAGGCUUACUAGGGACACUUUGUGGUCUAUGUAUUCACACAUGUAUUACGAUUUCCGGACAAUACAAUUAUAGCAUGAACAAUAGACAAUUACCAUGAACAAAGAAAUAUAAUAAUAACCAUUUAUUAUUGCCUCUAGGGCAUAUUUCCAACAAUAAUUGUGUUGAUCGGGUAGAUUUAAAUGUGCAGUUGUUUCAUCGCUGCGAGGUUUGGUGGUCGACGACCUCGCCGUGCGUUUGACGAGCUCUGACCCUUCGUUCGUGGGUGAGCACAAAUGACAUGUCCUCCUCCCCCGUUAAUUAUUUGCUCUGUUCCGGUGUUCGUGCCGAUGAAACUUGAUAGCUAGCUAUAUAUGUGUCUUGAAUCAUCAGUAUGCGUAACCAAUAUGUGUCUCCCGUUCGAAAGCGUCAUAGUUAUAAAUAUGCAUGCAUUUGCAUAUUUAUAACCUUGAUUCUUUCGAAUUGUCCAACGGUAUCCAUGGACAGCCCGAGUAUGUUUAGAUUGGGUUCGUUUUCCCAUAUGCUUUGCUCCGGAUCUGACACAUAAGUUUCGUUAGUGCCUCCCCUGUUGUUCUCCGGGUACACAUCCUCUCUGUUUAUUGCAGAGACGUGUAUCAGGAGAACAGCGGGGAGGUGCUGCCGAAAUUUUGCGUAGGAUCCGGAGCAUAGCAUGGGAAAAUGAACCCAAUCUAAACAUACUCGGGUGGGAUUAGGACCUAUCAUUACCUAUUAGAGUGUAGGUUGCAUGGACGUAAUAAAAUUGACAAAGUAGAUCAACUGAUGAAUAUAUACAUGGUGAAUUAUAUAUAUAUAUUUUGUGUGUGUCUAGUAGCUCUGAAAGUCAAGAUGAGUGAUCGUGCGUGGAUGUACACCGGUCACACUGGUCAGAACAAAUGGAGCACUGAAUGGUUCACAAAAACCAAGGGGUUUGUGCAAGCCGCAUUUGCAAAUGGCCAGAGGAAAACCUGGUGCCCCUGUUUACGGUGCGGCAGUUGGGAAAAGAGGACAGAGGCUGAAAUGGGCAAACACCUGCAAAAGAGUGGUUUUACGCCCGAUUAUACGGUGUGGACAUUUCAUGGUGAGUCUGCCCAACGUGACCGAGCUGAGGUGGAUCGUCGUCGCACCGACGAGCAUGGUACCGGGAUGGAAAACAUGGUGCAAGACUUCGAUGAUGCUCGGGAUUCGGACGAGGAGAUGGAGGAAUCUGCAAAGGCCUUCAAUGAAAUGUUGGAGUCUUCAAAACGUCCGCUCCAUGAGCACACUGAGCUUUGUCAGUUGGAUGCCAUCUCACAAGUAAUGGCUCUGAAGGCUCAGUUCAACUUGGGCAGAGAAUGCUAUGAUGCAAUGAUGACAGUAUUUGGACGCUUUCUACCCAAAGGCCAUGUAAUGCCUGCAAACCUGUACCAGUCGGACAAAAUCCUCCGUGCACUGAAGAUGCCCUAUGAGAAGAUACAUGCCUGUGAGAAAGGAUGUGUCUUGUUUAGGCUUGACUAUGCGGACUUGAACUAUUGUCCCAUUUGCAAGUCUUCCAGGUAUGUUGUGGUAGACAACGGUAUGGGUGAGAAGACACAGACCAAAAUCCCCGUUAGUGUUCUUCGGUAUAUGCCAAUCGUACCAAGACUUCAACGUCUUUUCAUGGUCGAAGAGAAGGCCAGACAGAUGACAUGGCACAAAACGGGCAAAAGAACCGAACUAGAUGCAGAUGGGAAUCUGAUGAUCGUACACACAUCGGAUGGUGUUGCGUGGAAGAAGUUUGAUGAAUUACAUGCUGACAAAGCGGCAGAUCCGAGGCAUCCUCGAGUCGGCAUCAGCACGGAUGGGUUCAGUGUGUUUGGUAUNNNNNNNNNNNNNNNNNNNNNNNNNNNNNNNNNNNNNNNNNNNNNNNNNNNNNNNNNNNNNNNNNNNNNNNNNNNNNNNNNNNNNNNNNNNNNNNNNNNNNNNNNNNNNNNNNNNNNNNNNNNCUGACGUUGAUAAUUCCAGGGCCCAACUAUCCGGGGAAAAAUAUGAAUGUGUACAUGCAGCCGCUUAAGGACGAAUUGCAAGAAGACUGGGAUAAUGGGUUCAAGACAUACGACGCCUAUAGCAAACGGAACUUCAUAAUGCGUGUCUGGUACAUGUACUCGACGCAUGACUUGCCGGCGUAUGCGCUAUUCGUUGGCUGGUGUGUGCAUGGAAGGUUCCCGUGCCCCACAUGCAAGGGAGCUCUUGAGUUUCGUUGGCUUCAGGCCGGUCGCAAGUUUUCUUGCUUCGAGAUGCAUAGACAGUUCCUGAAUCCUCGCCAUAAGUUCAGGGAAGACAAGAAGAACUUCAUCAGAGGUAGAGUUGUCAAAAACUCUGCACCACCUGCAUUGACAGGCCAACAGACCCUGGAUCAGUUAAACGCUCUCGAGCCAGAUCCAGAGCGUCCAGGGUACUUCAAGGGGUAUAAUUCUAAGCACGCCUGGACUCACAAAACAUGCUUAUGGGAUCUGCCUUACUUCAAAGACCUCCUUUGCCCACACAACAUCCAUGUGAUGCACACUGAGAAGAAUAUCGCCGAGGCACUUUUUGGUACAUUGUUCGGCAUAGAUGGGAAGUCAAAGGAUAAUACUAAGGCUAGAGUCGAUCUGGAGGCGCUAUGUGAUAGGCCGUUACAAAACAUGAAAGAACCGAAAGGAAAGCAGAACUGGACGAAGCCAAAGGCAUGGUUCAAUCUUGGAAGGCCAGCUAUGAGGGAAAUUAUCUUGUGGGUGAAAAUGCAGUUGAUGUUCCCCGAUGGGUAUGCAGCGAAUCUAAAGAGGGGAGCCAGUCUUGAUAAAUUGAAGAUAUUUGGUCUCAAGAGUCAUGAUUGGCACAUAUGGAUUGAGCGGGUAAUGCCGGUGAUGUUGCGUGGCUUCAUCCCUAACGAUGAAUGGCUAGUACUGGUAGAACUCAGCUAUUUCUUCCGUGUUCUUUGUGCGAAAGAACUAUCGCCUGGCGUGCUAGAAGAAAUGGAAGAGUUGGCGCCGGAGUUGAUCUGCAAGUUAGAGAAGAUCUUUCCACCGGGCUUCUUUAAUCCAAUGCAGCAUUUGAUUUUGCAUCUCCCGACCGAGGCAAGAUUGGGGGGGCCCGUGCAAAAUCGUUGGUGCUACCCAACUAAGAGGAUGCAGAAGACGCUUCGACAAAAAUGUAAAAAUAAACGUAGAAUGGAAGCAUCGAUGGCUGAGGCAUUCAUCACUGAGGAGGCGGCAAACUUCAUGACAGCACACUACGAAGCCAAAAAUCGUCAUUUGCAUAAUCCGAAGCCUCGGUACAAUGCUGAUGACCCUAAAAAGGGUGGAUCCAACCUCAGCCUAUUCAAAGGGAAUCUCGCACCAGCCAGUGUUUCAAAUCCAGUAUCUUUGGAUAACGAAGAAUGGCGGACCAUUUCGUUGUAUAUCUUCAACAACCUGAUAGAAGUGCGUCCGUACAUCGAGUAAGUUCUUGGUACAUUGUUUCGCAACUUCUAUUUCCUUUGAACUGCUCUUAUUCCUGGAUAUUUCAUACAGUCGAUACGUCGCCUUAUUCUCGUAUGGAGCGGUGAUCCAAAAGGAUUCUGUUGAAGAGUAUGAGCUUCUCGCAAAGCAAGGAGGCGGCUAUCCUGGUUUCAUCUCUUGGUUCAAACAAACGGUAAUUUCUAUUAGACAAUUUCAUUUCAUUCGCUAAUUUGUGCGUAAUGCAACAAUCCUUUCAUAUUAAACUUGUAGGCUAAUUCAGAGUCUAUGGACGCCGAAUUGAGACAAGUCGCUAAUGGUUUUGACUAUAAGGUCUGUUCAUUUGACAAAUACGACAUCAACGGGUAUCGCUUUCGUACCUAUGGCAAAGAGCUAUCUAUGGCCGACCGAAAGUCUACAAAUUGUUGUGUAUCUGCUAUCGGCGAAGGAGGUACCGAGUAUUAUGGGAGAGUUGAAGCAAUUUAUGAACUUCUAUUCUAUGGUGAAAACCCACCGAAUGUCAUAGUCUUCAAAUGUUAUUGGUUUCAGCCGAAGGAGACUAGAAGGACUCAUGAACAUAUAGGGCUAGUUGAAAUCAACCAAAGCACCCAUUUAGAUGUUCCUGAUGUCUAUAUUACUGCUCAACAGGCGACCCAAGUAUUCUAUCUACCGUGGGCCUGCCAAACUAAUCCAAAUCUGAAAGCUUGGGAUGUCGUUUAUGAAGUGCCGCCACGUGCUAGACUAUCUCCCCCAAAGGAAGAGGAUUAUGAACCUCACAUUAACCCAGACACAUAUGAAGGAGAAUUAUUCCAAGAGACACGUCUUUCCAAAAAGCGUUUCAAGAACCGCUAUACUUCACCCCAAAACAUUGAAGUAGACAGCGACAGUGAAUACGACAUCACCCCAGAGGAGGAACAAGAAGAGCCGGAACAAGAAGAGGUUACUGCUGCGGAUGACCUGUCAAUGCUUGACCGAUUACGUCAAGGUGGCCUUCCACAUGUUGAUGCCACUGAACCCUAUGAGCCCGUCAUUGAUUAUAGUGAUGAUGAUGAUUAUGCAUUUAUUGAUGAUACUGAUCGAGAUUAUUAGUAGUGUCAGGUAUUAAAUUUUUUUAUGUUGUACUUGAUGAUGAUACACUUAAGUGAUACACAUAUUAUUAUUCAUGUCGGUCUUUUUUUAUGUUGUACUCAUUUCGUUUACUGUUUGUCAUGGCAGGUGUUGAAAGAUGGUGGGCGCUGGUCGGGAGCGCGCCGAGGCCCCUUCUUCGUCGGCGCGUGGUGUGAGGUCUUCCAUUCCACACGCACCUCUCCGUCGAGCGUUGCUAGACAGUAUGGCGACACCGCCGGGCCCUUCUUCGUCGACCGCGGUGCCCAGCAGGGGACGAGGUAAGAAGAGAGGAGGUGGGGCACGUGGUCACGGGAGAGGAGGUAGGGUGACUGCUACGGCGCCUUCCUCGCCGCCACCCCCAGCUGUUUCACCCGAGCACGUGACUGCUAGGGUGGACUCGUCCGAGGAGGAGGCUACACGGACUCCGGUCCACGAGCCUCCGGUCCACGGGUCUUGGGCCCACGAGCCUCGGGUCGACGGGCCUUCGGCCCACGAGAGUUCGGCCCACGAGACCCCGGAGGAGCACACGUCUGGAUGGGGUACCUGGCCGGAUCAGCCCGAGGAGCCGAGUGGCCAUGCUGAUGAUGGCGGGGAGCCGACUGAUAUUGAGGAGGAGGGGGGCACCGUCUACCAGCGUGGUUGUACACGGCUCCCGUCCGUGCCGGCGACCCGCGAGCAGAGGUGGUUAAUUUUCCCUGAUGGGGAGAGGUACAUUUAAUAUUUUUGUACCUUCUGCAUUCACGUUUCUUCAAAUAACUAAUGCGUUGGCCUUGUCAUGCUGCAGGGGUUGGGACCACCAUCAUUGUGUCCGCCGGCCCAACUCCGUCCUUGGAGUUCUUUGUCGGCAAAACUUCCCGGGGUUUGUCACGUUGCCUGGUGAGGGUCGGCUUCCAGAGCUUGGAUUGAGCUGGGAGCACUACUUGGCUGCCUCGGCCCCGCCGGAUGAGAUUAUCGACGGUGUCUUGUGCAAGACGAGGGCAGACGUGGUGAUCAGAAAGUUCUGGGUAAUUUCUCCUUUACACAAUUAAAAAUCUUGAACUAGCUAGUUAUUAAUUGUACUAAUCAAUAUUGUCUCAUUUGAUUGCAGACAUUCUACAGGUGUGAGGAGGGAUACGAGGACGCGGCAAAUGUUAUCGAUAACGUCUGCAAGCGCCUACUACAUAACUUACGGCACGAGGCUCGGGUGCAGGCUGUUCGAGACUACUACGCCUUGCGUGGUAUCAAGAAGACCAAGUCGGCGUGCCGCGGGAAGUUCCUGAGUAAGGAGCAGUACAUGAAGGUAAUUCUUAAGGCCUUCUACUUAAGUUCCUUCAUUUAGUAAUUCUUAGCCGUAGCGCUCAAGUUUCUAUUUGCUAACUUAGGCGCCUCCGAGAUGGUGUGCGGAUCGGAUGGAUUGUUGGGAGGUGUUGGUCAAUGAGUGGUGCUCAAAAGAAUGGCUAGCCCUCCACAACGAGGCCAAGGACAAACGUGCCCAAAUGGAAGGUGUGCCACACCAUCAAGGCAGCUCCAACUUAUAUCAGUUCGGGCGGAACUGGGUAUGUGGUUUGCUUCAUGAUUCAUGCAAUUCAUUCAUCAUGCUAGCUUGAGCCCUUUAAUUACUAAUUUAUAUUGUUUCUCUCUUUCAGGCACGCUACAAUAAGGUGGAUAAGGUGCCAGAGGUGUACGACCUGUAUGCCAUGGCCCACACUGCCUCUUUCAAGAAAGUCAAGGCAUUCUCUCCGUCUGACCUCGAUGAUGCAAACAACUUCACCAACAUCUCCUCCCACAACAAGCUCGUGAGAUAUAGAGAUGAGGGGAAGGCGAGGAAAGGGGAGGACUUUAGCCCGAGCCAGGGUCCCAUUGAUCCAGAGCUGGUGAUGAUAUCUGGUGGCGGGAGGUCCCAUGGCUCCAUAGCCAUUGGAGAUGGACUUAUCCGUUGUCCUAGCACUCUCCCGGAGAUCAAGGCGCGCCAAUCGAGCUCCGCUCCUGAGAUAAGGCCUCGUGAACGGCCAGUCCAACUCGCCAUCAAGGUUAGUGAUACGUACUCAGCUAUCUUUCUCCAUUACAUUGUGUGCGCUUCCAUCAAUGAUUACAAAUGGUCAUGUGAGUGGUGUUGCAGGCUGCUAUACAGAGUGAGAGAGAUAGAACGGAGAAACUUCUGGCGGAGGCGGCGGAGAGGCAGCGGGAGUUGGAGGAGAGGACGACAAAGAUGUUGGAGGAGGAGAGGGCACGGAAUGACAUGCAGGCAAGGGCCAUGUACGAGCUCCUUGUGGUAAGUUUCUUCUGCAGAUUAGCCAAAACAUUCAUGUAGUGUUUGUCUCAUUACUAACUAGUAUGACUGAGUCGUCAAAACCAAAUUUGCAGUCUGUGUGCGAGAAGACCGGUCAGACCGCUCCGCCGAUGCCAGUGUUUGCUCCUGGGACCACGGUGAGUUUAAUUUGAAUGGACAUUACUUGCUAGUCUUAACAUUUGAGUGUCAUCAUGCUAACAAGACAUUGGAAAUGAUCUUUGGUGCAGCGUAACUCCAGACAAGCAUCGCACGAUCCUUCUCCAGCUACCGACACGAGCCAGCCCGCUCCUACACCUCCUGGAUCAUGGUAAGUUUAUCUAGUGUUUUGCUUAACACAUGCAUAAAGACCUAGACUUAGCUUUAUUUCCUCCAAUGCUUACCAUAAUGACCUAUACUUAGCUUCUUCUCCUCCAAAAUGACUUAAUAAGCUUACUGACCUCCAAAACCAUCCAUUUUACCUAAGUUAGCUCUAAAACGAUCUGUACUUAGCUUACUUAUGUCAAAAAUUGCAUAAUUAGCUUAGUUAGCUCAUAAACGAUCCAUUUUACCUAAGUUAGCUCUAAAAUGACCCAUUUUACCUUGGUUAGCUUAUAAAUGAUCCAGUUCAUCCAAGUUAGCUCAAAAAUGACCCAUUUUACCUAGAUUAGCUCCUAAAUGAUCCAUUUUACCUACGUUAGCUUUAAAAUGACCCAUUUCACCUAGGUUAGCUCCAAAAUGACCCAUCUUACCUAGGUUAUCUCAUAAACGAUCCAUUUCAACUAAUUUAGCUCAUAAACGAUCCAUUUCACCUAAGUUAGCUCAAAAACGAUCUAUUUCACCUAAAUUAGCUCUUAAAUGAUCCAUUUCACCUAAGUUAGCUCAAAAAGAUCCAUUUCAACUAAAUUAGCUCAUAAAUGAUCCAUUUCACCUAAGUUAGCUCAAAAACGAUCCAUUUCACCUAAGUUAGCUCAUAAAUGAUCCAUUUCACCUAAGUUAGCUAAAAAACGAUCCAUUUCACCUUAGUUACCUAAAAAACGAUCCAUUUGACCUUAGUUAGCUCAUAAACGACCCAUUUCAACUAAGUUAGCUCAUAAAUGAUCCAUUUCACCUUAGCUAGCUCAUAAACGACCCAUUUCAACUUAGUUAGCUCAUAUAUGAUCCAUUUCACGUAAGUUCGCUCAUAAAUGACAUAUACUUCUUGUUCUGGUCUUCUUCUUGUUCUACUCUUCUUGUUCUAGUCUUCUUAUUCUAGUCACCUAUUUCUAACUUUCUUAUUUUGCCAUUUUGCAGAUUUCAUUCACUUCAUGGAAGCUAGCUUGCUAUGGAGUGCUUGUUUUUUCUUUCAUUCUCUUCAAUUAUUCUUCUAGCUUGCUAUGAUGGAACUUGCUAUCUUGAUGAAACUUUGCAUUGUAAUAUGUAUGGAUGGAACUUGCUUAUGUAUGAAUGGAUGGAACUUGCUUAUGUAUGAAUGGAUGAAAGUUAUGUGCUGGAUAUGUGAUAUGUUUGCUGUUAAAUAGGCCUGUGAAAUAUAUCUAUAUAUGUCAUAUAUAUUUGCUGUGAAAAUUGUUGGAUUUAAUAAAAAACAGAAAAAAGAGCCAAUAUGCAGGCUCUUUGCCGUCUGCCACCGACGGCAACGGGCUCUUUGCCGUCAGUCACAGACGGCAAAGAAGCCACGUGGCAGCCAACUGUGCUUCCUGGGAGCUGGCCCAUUUGGUCAGUUUGCCUACAGUGGCAGACGGCAAAGACACUAGAAAGUUUGCCUACAGUGGCAGACGGCAAAGACACUAGAAAGUUUGCCUACUGUGGCAGACGGCAAAGACACUAGAAAGUUUGCCUACAGUGGCAGACGGCAAAGACACUAGAAAGUUUGCCAUCAGUGGCAGGCGGCAAAGACUCGCCGUCAGCGGCGGACGACAAAGGCCUGCCGUUAGCCACUUAACGGACUGACAGCGCAAUUAUUGCCAUCUGCUCUCUUUGUCGUCCGCUGCAGACGGCAAAGGCCCUUUGUCGUCCGCUGCAGACGGCAAAGGCCCUUUGCCGUCAGCCGCCCGGAAGCAGACGGCAAAGUAGCUCUUUGCCGGACCUUUCUUUGCCGGAGCCUUUUGCCGUCCGCGGCUGACGGCAAAGGCCAUUGCCGUCCGCCGUUCAUGCCUUUGCCGUCCGCCGUGGCAGACGGCAAAAUAGCUGAUUCCUGUAGUGCCUCCCAUAUAAUGCGGGGUAGACACACAAUGUAACCUAUGCCAAUAUAACAACACAUGCACAUAGGGGAGCCGGUGACAGUGUGUCGACUCUCGGGUGGCCGGUGUGCGGUAUUGUGACGGUGUCACGGGGAGGAGUGACCGUAGUCAUGCCCUGGGGAUGUCUGAGUUCGGUGAACCUCGUUGAUGAAUCUCGGUGUCUUGUCUCGUAUGAUUGCUUGGUCCUUAGUAGAUCGAAUGUGUGUCUCCGAUUUAUUGUAACAAGUGGUAUCAGAGCCAGGUUUUGAGGAGGUCACAGAGUUGAUCUGGAGGAGCAAGAACAUCGACAGGAGUUUGCAAUCGUAAUACGAGACGAAGUCGUACAUCGGCGAGUUACAAUUUGGAUAAAGACGUGACCGAGUUCUAAUAUUCAUGGAAGCAAUCGGAAGCAGCGGCUUGGUUGAUCAAUCGUAGCGACAGCGGUGACGGGAUCCGUAUCGGAUCGCAGCGCAGCAACAGCAGCGAGGAGCUGGCUGAGCCAGGCGAGACACGGCCGAGUUGGGCGAUGAUUUUGGCUGCGUGGCCGUACACGCUGACCUGUGGUUAAAUGGUUAGAUGGACAGUGGUAUCCCCAGCCCACCAGGGUUCAAGUCCUGCCGCUCGCAUUUAUCUUGGAUUUAUUUCAGAAUAUCCGGCGAUGCGCGUUCAGUUGAAGGAGACGUUUCUGUCGACUACGAGGCGCCUACGGUGACUUGUAAAAUCUCAAGAUGAUAUGCCAGCUCAGGGGUGUGUGGUUACAAGGGACUAGACUUGUUUUAGUCCCAGGGACUAAAGAAAAAAGACCCUCCAGUAGAGUCUUUUUCUAGUCCCUUAAAGAAAAGUCCCACCUGUUUGGUUACAUAGGGACUAAAAGGGCCAUUUUCUAGUAUAGUCCCUGUAACCAAACAAGGCUGCAGUCUCUCGGAGGUGCUCAUAGUGUAGAGUGUGUGUGCGCUCGUGUUCAUAGGAAUGAGUAUAUGCACAUAUAUAUGAGCGCGUGCGUUUGUACUGUGUUAAAAAAAGAAUCAAGAGCAGCUAUACCGUGGAUUUAUUUGGAUACAAAAGAAGAGGACCGGGUUCUCGUGUGCUGUGCGUAUGACGUGAAGGGAGGCAAUAGCAGAUCGAUUGGGCGAAGAGAGAUAUCCGUUUGAUAUGCAUCCAUGAGGGACUAGCGACAAAGGUUUUGGCAAAGCAAUUAGCUAGCGUUGGAAAGUUGAGCCAAGACCGGAGCUACACGUGAAGACCAAAAGUUUUUUGUUCUUUGGUAGGAAUUUGCUAUUUAGUGCACGAGGGUGUACCACAUCAGGUUUUGCUUGUUUACUUGGGCAUCACGUGAGGUGAGCUCGAAUAAUUUUCCAUAGGGUCAGUUGUACAAAGAACCAUGGCGUCAACGGGUACCAGGUUUGAGGUGAAGAAGUUGAUGGAACUAGAAACCUUGGGUUAUGGUAGACAAGGGUGAAAGAUUUGUUGUCACAAUAGGGAUGCUAAAAAGCGUUGCGGGAAGUCAUGUCAGCUAAAAUUGAAUUAUCAUGUGAUGGAUGGAAAUUUGUUGCAAACGAUUUGGGAGCCUUGAGCAUGUCAUGCAGCUGGACAAGUUCAAUAGGGUUGGACUAGACAUUCUGACGGAUCAUCAUGGAUGUCGGUGGGUAUAGAAGACGGUGAUGGGAUCAGCGACGACGACAUAGGAGUGUGAAGCUAAUGGUGACCGACUUCUGGGCGUGGAAACACGUGGGACAUGCCCGAGGGUUUGUGUGGUUUUGACAAGACUAUGGCGCGAGAUUGAUUCAGGACUAUGCACAUGAGAACUUGAAGUCGAUGGGGCACGGGGUGGACUGAUCAUCUACAAUGGAGUCAUUUUGAAGGUGGAGUUGAGGUCUAAUGGAAGCCUUCACUCGGUGCUAAUUGAGGGGCUACGGCGUAAGAGCUUAGAGAGUCGAAGCCUGUUUCAGCGGGAGAAAGCGAGGUGACACGUAGUUCGGACUGGAGCCCAGUUGUCUGAUGGAAAUGUGAAACUCGUCAUCGGUCAGUGAUGGUCGGUGGUACUCUGCAGUGGGGGUUGAGUGGUGUGAGUUCGUGACACUUGAGACUCGACCGGGAUAACAGAUACUCGAUGUGGUAAUAGCAGCGAGGCAUGUGGUUAGCACGGGACAUGGAGACGGAUCAGGGCUCUGAUGGUCAUACAUGUGGUGUGACGACUGCGAAUUUGACUCGAGAUGACUACAAGCAACAGUGAAAUUCCUUCAAGUUUCAGACAGACGGUCAAGGAAGAGCGGUGAUGUUGAGUUCAGGUAACUCUUAUAUGUGACACCCAAUAUGUGAGUUGUUCAUUUUCACGCAGGUUAGUGAUCGGUGUGUGAUGACGUUGAACGGAUACUCUAAAAGUUGGGAGCACAAACUAGAGUAAGGGGAAUUUAAUUUCGCUCGAGCAUUUACUGUGGUCAAGAAAAUAAGCGACUACAAGUUGCAAGUGGAGUCAUAUAUAUGGAGUCUUUGGAGUAGCAGUGAUACUCAUGGGUAAGCUCAAGUCCAAUGUACAUGAAAGUUUGACGCAUUAACGAAUUCAUGGUGGUGAAGAAUAUUCGCCAAAGUGGAGUUUUUUACAGUUGUGUCAGAAUAUUGUACAAGGUAGGUUUCAAUUGGACUCUGAGUUAUAUUGUGUUUACAUGGUAUGUAAUCGUGUCUUAGUAGGACACUUGUAUCCUACUCUCUCCGUCCUUAAAAGAGUGUAAUUUCAACUUUGUUGAAAAAUUAAACAUUUUUUAUGUUUGACCGUAUUUAUACAAUAAUAUACCAACAUUUAUGCCAUCAAAUUAGUAGCAUUAGAUUCAUGAUAAAAUGUAUUUUUGUCAUAUAUCUAUUUGGUUUCACAAGUAUUGAUAUAUUUUUGCACAAACUUGGUCAAAAUUUGAGAUAGUUUGACUCUCCAACAGAGUUGAAAGUAGACCCUUUCAAGGACGCAGGGAGUAUGCCUCUCAUAUAAUGCGGGGUAGACACAAUGUAACCUAUGCCAACAUAAUAGCACAGACACACAGGGGGGAGCCUGCGACGUGUACAGGCUCCCGGGUGACCGGUGUGUGGUAUUGUGACGGUAUCAUGGGAAGGAGCGCCCGUAGUCAUGCCCCGUGAUGUAACCAAGUUCGGUGGACCUCGUUAACAAUUCUCAGUGUCGUGUCUCGUAUGAUUACUUGGUCCUUAAUAGACCGGCUGUGCGCCUCAAAUUUAUUCUAACGCGAUAUACUUGUAGUACCACUAAGGGCCAUCUAGACACGAGAAAGUCCCAACAUAUUCUAUUGCCUUCAUGUUCGUAUAAUAAAUUGUUUCGAAAGAGAUAUGCCCACCCCAAUCAAUCUACUAUCCUGCCAUCUCUUCCUCUAUCAAUGACACAAGAAGGUUUUUGUCACCAGGAUGAAACAACCCAUCACCUGUUUCUCUCAUGUCUAUCAGCGCGUUUGUUAUGGCAUAAUGUACCGAGUUAAUGACCAUGUGGCUUACUGGCUUAUAAUUUAAUUCUGCCUACUCUCCCGAAACAGAUUUUUAUGCCACGCUAUACACAUAGUCAUAUGGUCAAGCGACACAAAGUGAUCACGCAGCCCACUUAGAAAAAUCAAAGCAAAGCCAGAAAAACAGAAAGACAACGCAAAAUAAUGCACAAGACAUGCAUUAUCGGAUGAUACCCUCUCGCUGGCAAGCAUGAGCACAAUGUUUAAAAGAUAGGAGGCAUCAAGACCGCCAUGUGUCAGCGCCGAAGAUACUUCGAUCUAUAACCGAACCCAUUAAAAAAUGUUGUCAAUGGGGAACCAAAAGGUAUAUACCUGAUGCCCCAAGAAGAUUACACUAGUGCAGAAAUGCUUAUAGACAAUCGACAUUUAUGGCGCGCAACCAAAGUGCCACGCGAAUGUAUUUGCUGAAAAUACCAGUGGCGUGCCAAAGUUACAAAACACCACUUGUGACUUAUUAAGCCUGCAGACGAUGGCGAAUGCCACGGCUGUGUGCAACCCAGGAAGGAUAAGGGCAAUAGUUACUAGUGGCGUGGUAAUAAAACACCACGCCACCAAUACCUUCACCACUUCUAAUGCAUUUGUCAAACACACACACACACACACGCUAGUAAAAGGUAUCUUCGUAGUCACGUUUAAAUUUGCAUGAAUGUCCACUAGUAGAAAAAGAGACUUCCAUACGCCCCCAUUAGUCCCUAAAAUAAUCGAACCGCGACAAAAGGGGUCUUUAGUCGCGGUUCGGGAGGAGACCCGCGACCAACUAUCUGGGCCCAGCGCGCUCGGUCGACAGCUGGCGGACGGGAGGGGCUUUAGUCCCGGUUGGCCAACCGGGACUAAAGGUCCUCAGGCUGGCCCGAAGGCCUUUAGUCGCAGUUGGCCAGGCCAACCGGGACUAAAGGCCCAUCCCUAUAUAUAGGACUCAGCUCACUUCACUUAGCCACAAUUCAGAAGGGGGGUGGUGGGUUUGCUUUUGGUUCCUCCUAUGCACACAAGGUGUUCGAUGAAAUGCCCGAGAGCAUGAAACAAACAUGAUAUGAAGUGUCCGAGCCACACUUGUGCUUUCUCAUUUAUUUUUCCUCCGCGAUCGCGGUUAGCAACUUGAACCUUUCAUGUGUCAUUGAUAAAAUAUGCAUGUGUGUAGUUCAUUGUUUAAUUUGUAUUAUUUCUAGCUAGUUAGUUUAACAAAUGCAUGAUGGUUAAUUAUAUACUUUAUAUAAUAAUAAUGCAGAUGAAUCGGCAAUGGAUGUACGGUCCCCGACUCUCCGGCGAGUUCACUACGGGUUUGAAAGAUUUCCUCGUAGUGGCAAAUGCGAACAAGUAGCGAGGUUUUAUUAUCUGUCCAUGUGCUGUCUGUAAGAAUCAGAAGGGUUACUCCUCCUCAAGAGACGUUCACAUGCACCUGCUUCGGCACGGUUUCAUGCGAAGCUAUAAUUGUUGGACCAAGCAUGGAGAAAGAGGGGUUAGAAUGGAAGAAGAUGAAGAAGGGGAUGAUAUCAAUGACAACUAUCAUGAUCAUUUCGGUGAUACUUUCAUGGAGGAUGAUGCUGAAGGUGGGGAAGGGUUAGGUGAAGGUGAAGAAGAGGCACAUGAUGAGCCCACUGAUGAUCUUGGUCGGACCAUUGCUGAUGCACGGAGACGCUGCGAAACUGACAAGGAGAGGGAGAAUUUGGAUCGCAUGUUAGAGGAUCACAAAAAGUCGUUGUAUCCAGGAUGCAAUAAUAGUCUGAAAAAGCUGGGCUGCACACUGGAUUUGCUAAAAUGGAAGGCACAGGAAGGUGUAGGUGACUCAUCAUUUGAAAAUUUGCUGAAAAUGUUGAAUAUGUUUCCGAAGAAUAACGAGUUGCCCGCCAGUACGUACGAAGCAAAGAAGGUUGUCUGCCCUCUAGGUUUAGAGGUUCUGAAGAUACAUGCAUGCAUUAACGACUGCAUCCUCUACCGCGGUGAAUACGAGAAUUUGAAUGGAUGCCCUGUAUGCACUGCAUUGCGUUAUAAGAUCAGAGGCGAUGACCCUGGUGACGAUGUUGAGGGCGAGAAACCCAGGAAGAGGGUUCCCGCCAAGGUGAUGUGGUAUGCUCCUAUAAUACCACGGUUGAAACGUCUGUUCAGGAACAAAAAGCAUGCCAAGUCGUUGCGAUGGCACAAAGAGGACCGUAAGUCCGACGGGGAGUUGAGACACACCGCUGAUGGAACGCAAUGGAGAAAGAUCGACAGAGUGUUCAAAGAUUUUGCAGCUGACGCAAGGAACAUAAGAUUUGGUCUAAGUACUGAUGGCAUGAAUCCUUUUGGCGAGCAGAGCUCCAGCCAUAGCACCUGGCCCGUGACUCUAUGCAUCUACAACCUUCCUCCUUGGUUGUGCAUGAAGCGGAAGUUCAUUAUGAUGCCAGUGCUUAUCCAAGGUCCAAAGCAACCCGGGAACGACAUCUAUGUGUACCUAAGGCCAUUAGUUGAUGAACUUUUACAGUUGUGGGGCAGACCUGGUGUACGUGUCUGGGAUGAGCACAAAGGAGAGGAAUUUGACCUACGAGCGUUGCUUUUUGUAACCAUCAACGAUUGGCCUGCUCUCAGUAACCUUUCGGGACAGACAAAUAAGGGAUACAAUGCAUGCACGCACUGCUUACAUGAGACUGAAAGUGUACGUUUGGUUAAUUGUAAGAAGAACGUGUACCUGGGUCAUCGUCGAUUUCUUCCCCGAAAUCAUAACGUAAGAAAGAAAGGCAAGCAUUUCAACGGCAAGGCAGAUCACCGGCCGAAGCCUGCGGAACGUACUGGUGCUGAGAUAUUUGAUAUGGUCAAGGAUUUGAAAGUCAUCUUUGGAAAGGGUCCUGGCGGACAAUCAGUUCCGCGGGGAGUUGACGGGCACGCACCCAUGUGGAAGAAGAAAUCUAUAUUUUGGGAGCUAGAAUAUUGGAAAGUCCUAGAUGUCCGCUCUGCAAUCGACGUGAUGCAUGUUACGAAGAAUAUUUGCGUGAACCUGCUAAGCUUCUUGGGCGUGUAUGGGAAGACAAAUGAUACAAAGGAAGCACGGCGGGACCAGCAACUUUUGAAAGACCCAGAUGACCGGCAUCCGGAAUGGUUUCAAGGUCAUGCCAGCUACGCUCUUACCAAAGAAGAGAAGGUCAUUUUUUUUGAAUGCCUGAGCAGUAUGAAGGUCCCGUCUGGCUUCUCGUCGAAUAUAAAGGGAAUAAUAAACAUGGCGGAGAAAAAGUUCCAAAACCUGAAGUCUCACGACUGCCACGUGAUUAUGACGGAAUUGCUUCCGAUUGCUUUGAGGGGGCUCCUACCGGAAAAUGUUCGAGUAGCCAUUGUGAAGCUAUGUGCAUUCCUCAAUGCAAUCUCUCAGAAGGUAAUCAAUCCAGAAGAUCUACCACGGUUAAAGAACGAUGUGGUCCAAUGCCUUGUCAGUUUCGAGUUGGUGUUCCCACCAUCCUUCUUUGAUAUUAUGACGCACCUCCUGCUCCACCUAGUCGAAGAGAUUUCCAUUCUCGGUCAUGUAUUUCUACACAAUAUGUUCCCCUUUGAGAGGUUCAUGGGAGUAUUAAAGAAAUAUGUUCGUAACCGUGCUAGGCUAGAAGGAAGCAUCGUCAAGGGCUAUGGAAAUGAGGAGGUAAUUGAGUUCUGUAUUGACUAUGUUCCUGACCUUAAGCCGAUUGGUAUUCCUCAAUCGCGGCACGAGGGGAGACUAAGUGGAAAAGGCACGAUCGGAAGGAAAUCAACGAUAUGUAUGGACGGUCAUUCUAUGACUGAAGCACACCACACAGUUCUGCAAAAUUCCAGCUUGGUAGCUCCGUACUUCGAGCAACACAAGAAUAUUUUACGCUCGGACAACCCGGGGAAGCCUGAAUCCUGGAUUAGAAAGGCCCACAUGGAGACUUUCGGCAGUUGGUUGCGGAAACAUUUAAUGAAUGACAAUGAUGUUGGAGAUCAGCUGUACAUGUUGGCCAAGACACCAUCUUCGACUAUAACCACUUUCCAAGGGUACGAGAUAAAUGGGAAUACAUUUUACACCAUCGCCCAAGAUAAAAAGAGCACCAACCAAAACAGUGGUGUCCGCUUUGAUGCAGCAACCGAGAAUGGGCAAAAGGUCACAUAUUAUGGUUACAUAGAGGAGAUAUGGGAACUUGACUAUGGACCCUCCUUUAAGGUCCCUUUGUUCCGGUGCAAAUGGUUCAAGCUAACAGGAGGUGGGGUAAAGGUGGACGAGCAAUACGGAAUGACAAUGGUGGAUUUCAACAAUCUUGGUUACCUUGACGAACCAUUCGUCCUUGCCAAAGAUGUCGCUCAGGUUUUUUAUUUGAAGGACAUGAGUAGCAAACCGAGGAAACGGAAAGAUAAGAAAACGAUCAGUACAUCAUGCGAUGAUCCAAAGCGCCACAUUGUUCUUUCAGGGAAAAGAAACAUCGUGGGAGUGGAGGACAAGACAGACAUGUCAGAAGAUUAUAAUACGUUUGGUGAAAUUCCGCCCUUCAAAGUGAACACUGACCCAAGCAUUAAGUUAAAUGAUGAGGAUGCUCCAUGGAUACGGCACAAUCGUAAGCAAGCAGGGACACAAGGGAAGAAUUGAUGUGUAAUAAUUUAUUGUACCAAACUUUGUUCAAUGGAUCAUGUGAAUUAAAACAUACGAUGGCGAAUCCGGAUGAUUCGUAUUUGAUAUAUUAUUUGUAUUUUUAAGAUUUUAAAAUGAAUUAGUUUUAUUUUAUUGAAUUUUUUGAUGUAUUAUUUGUAUUUUUAAGAUNNNNNNNNNNNNNNNNNNNNNNNNNNNNNNNNNNNNNNNNNNNNNNNNNNNNNNNNNNNNNNNNNNNNNNNNNNNNNNNNNNNNNNNNNNNNNNNNNNNNNNNNNNNNNNNNNNNNNNNNNNNNNNNNNNNNNNNNNNNNNNNNNNNNNNNNNNNNNNNNNNNNNNNNNNNNNNNNNNNNNNNNNNNNNNNNNNNNNNNNNNNNNNNNNNNNNNNNNNNNNNNNNNNNNNNNNNNNNNNNNNNNNNNNNNNNNNNNNNNNNNNNNNNNNNNNNNNNNNNNNNNNNNNNNNNNNNNNNNNNNNNNNNNNNNNNNNNNNNNNNNNNNNNNNNNNNNNNNNNNNNNNNNNNNNNNNNNNNNNNNNNNNNNNNNNNNNNNNNNNNNNNNNNNNNNNNNNNNNNNNNNNNNNNNNNNNNNNNNNNNNNNNNNNNNNNNNNNNNNNNNNNNNNNNNNNNNNNNNNNNNNNNNNNNNNNNNNNNNNNNNNNNNNNNNNNNNNNNNNNNNNNNNNNNNNNNNNNNNNNNNNNNNNNNNNNNNNNNNNNNNNNNNNNNNNNNNNNNNNNNNNNNNNNNNNNNNNNNNNNNNNNNNNNNNNNNNNNNNNNNNNNNNNNNNNNNNNNNNNNNNNNNNNNNNNNNNNNNNNNNNNNNNNNNNNNNNNNNNNNNNNNNNNNNNNNNNNNNNNNNNNNNNNNNNNNNNNNNNNNNNNNNNNNNNNNNNNNNNNNNNNNNNNNNNNNNNNNNNNNNNNNNNNNNNNNNNNNNNNNNNNNNNNNNNNNNNNNNNNNNNNNNNNNNNNNNNNNNNNNNNNNNNNNNNNNNNNNNNNNNNNNNNNNNNNNNNNNNNNNNNNNNNNNNNNNNNNNNNNNNNNNNNNNNNNNNNNNNNNNNNNNNNNNNNNNNNNNNNNNNNNNNNNNNNNNNNNNNNNNNNNNNNNNNNNNNNNNNNNNNNNNNNNNNNNNNNNNNNNNNNNNNNNNNNNNNNNNNNNNNNNNNNNNNNNNNNNNNNNNNNNNNNNNNNNNNNNNNNNNNNNNNNNNNNNNNNNNNNNNNNNNNNNNNNNNNNNNNNNNNNNNNNNNNNNNNNNNNNNNNNNNNNNNNNNNNNNNNNNNNNNNNNNNNNNNNNNNNNNNNNNNNNNNNNNNNNNNNNNNNNNNNNNNNNNNNNNNNNNNNNNNNNNNNNNNNNNNNNNNNNNNNNNNNNNNNNNNNNNNNNNNNNNNNNNNNNNNNNNNNNNNNNNNNNNNNNNNNNNNNNNNNNNNNNNNNNNNNNNNNNNNNNNNNNNNNNNNNNNNNNNNNNNNNNNNNNNNNNNNNNNNNNNNNNNNNNNNNNNNNNNNNNNNNNNNNNNNNNNNNNNNNNNNNNNNNNNNNNNNNNNNNNNNNNNNNNNNNNNNNNNNNNNNNNNNNNNNNNNNNNNNNNNNNNNNNNNNNNNNNNNNNNNNNNNNNNNNNNNNNNNNNNNNNNNNNNNNNNNNNNNNNNNNNNNNNNNNNNNNNNNNNNNNNNNNNNNNNNNNNNNNNNNNNNNNNNNNNNNNNNNNNNNNNNNNNNNNNNNNNNNNNNNNNNNNNNNNNNNNNNNNNNNNNNNNNNNNNNNNNNNNNNNNNNNNNNNNNNNNNNNNNNNNNNNNNNNNNNNNNNNNNNNNNNNNNNNNNNNNNNNNNNNNNNNNNNNNNNNNNNNNNNNNNNNNNNNNNNNNNNNNNNNNNNNNNNNNNNNNNNNNNNNNNNNNNNNNNNNNNNNNNNNNNNNNNNNNNNNNNNNNNNNNNNNNNNNNNNNNNNNNNNNNNNNNNNNNNNNNNNNNNNNNNNNNNNNNNNNNNNNNNNNNNNNNNNNNNNNNNNNNNNNNNNNNNNNNNNNNNNNNNNNNNNNNNNNNNNNNNNNNNNNNNNNNNNNNNNNNNNNNNNNNNNNNNNNNNNNNNNNNNNNNNNNNNNNNNNNNNNNNNNNNNNNNNNNNNNNNNNNNNNNNNNNNNNNNNNNNNNNNNNNNNNNNNNNNNNNNNNNNNNNNNNNNNNNNNNNNNNNNNNNNNNNNNNNNNNNNNNNNNNNNNNNNNNNNNNNNNNNNNNNNNNNNNNNNNNNNNNNNNNNNNNNNNNNNNNNNNNNNNNNNNNNNNNNNNNNNNNNNNNNNNNNNNNNNNNNNNNNNNNNNNNNNNNNNNNNNNNNNNNNNNNNNNNNNNNNNNNNNNNNNNNNNNNNNNNNNNNNNNNNNNNNGGAAAAAGAAAAGGAGAAGGAAGAAGAAAAGGAAGAAGAAAAGCAAAAAGAAAAGGAAGAAGAAAAGGAAAAAGAAAAGGAAGAAGAAAAGGAAAAACAAAAUAAGAAAAGGAAAAACAAAAUACUUGGCAGUGCUCAAUAAUCUUAUUUUUUAAUUCCUCCUCCUCUAUGUCCCCUUAAUCUUAUUUUUUAAUUCCUUUAUACUUAAUUAAUUUUUACUACAUGCAGGAGUGACAUAUGGCGGACGAUAGAGCCGAGCCGCUUAGGGAUCCGGAGGCUGAACGUUAUUUAAUGGGCAUCAUAAACAACGAGAUUCCUUAUGUGCCGGGCUCAGAAUAUGAGCAAGAAGAGGAUGUAGUCUCUUCUUUUCUGAACCUUGACGGUGGAACAGACAUUGUCGAUGAUCAAGAAGGUGAAGGAACGGACAUUAUCGACGGAGGUCAACCGUCAACAAACGACGAUCUCGAAUUGCAAGUAGCAACCACCUCCGGCGAGGUAUAUAUAUACAUUGAGCCUCUCGUGAUACAAACUUACUGAAAUGUGAAUACAUAUGUAUUAACGCGCGCGACUCUCUUUCUUUUUUUAGCCCUCGGCCGGAUCGAGUACGACAAAGCGUGGCAAAUCCAAGGCGAUGAAAAUAGGAGAAACAUAUGCCAUUGAUUUUGUCAGUGAAACCGGCAAGCCCCUACAGCACACCUCAAAGUUUAUCAACCAAUGCGGAGUCGUUGUUAGAGACAACGUCCCGAUCACCGUCCAGGAAUGGAAGGAGCCAAAGAAGGCACGUCUUGGUUUCAGUUUUGUCGACAAGAGAACAAAAAAGGAUUGCUGGAGAAAGCUUAUGGAACAUUUCAUUCUACCUCCGGAAUACAACAAAGUCGAUGAAUUCGGUAACGAGGUUCCGGGUGGACGUGAGAGGAGGAGGCUAGUUAAAGAGUUCGCUCUUCAGAAGAUGGGCGAAGCAUUCCGGAACUUCAAGAAAAAAUUAACCCGUGACUAUGUCAACAAGGGCAAGACUCCGGAUUUCAAUGGACAACAUGAGAAACUGAAAGAUGAUUGGCCAGAAUUUGUGAGGCAAAAGCAAUCGGAGCAUUUCAAGGAAAUAUCGAAAAAAAUAAGGAUAAUGCGAGUAAGAAAAAGUUCCAUCAUAUUAUGGGGCCAGGAGGAUACCGCCUUUCGGAGCCUAAGUGGCAGAAGAUGGAGGAGGACCUGAGGGUGCGAGGAAUCCCUCUAGGUACAGAGGGAUGGGACCCAAGGGCCAAAAGCUGGUGGUACGGGCAUGGGGGAUCGCUAGACCCGGAGACAGGGGUGUGUGUUCACCGGAAGAAAAAGUUUGCUCCCACCCAAGCCCUUAUUGACGCAAUGACCCAAGCUCAAGAGGGCUUGAUCAAGUUCAACAGAGAGAAAGACGCACUGACAACAGCCCUCGGGAAUGAUGAACACGGAGGACGUGUACGAGGCAAAGGCAGAGUUCCGUGGAAAGUAGGGUUUUCCCAGGACAAUGCCCGUACUGUUACAGAAGCCGUAAGAGAAAGACGGACCGGGAUGCAGAUCUUCUGGCGAAGUUUGCAUCGGAACUCCAUGAGUUGAAGCAGACCGUGCAUGAACUAGUAAAAGAAAAAUCGGCUGCAGGGCCGCAUGAAGAUCAUGAAGCGGAUCACGGAAGCCAGCAGCGGAGAAGCAGCGUGGCUUCCACGGAUGCCCCGCCUGGUGCUAAUGCACCGAUGAUCGAGAUUCGUGCACCGGAGCCUCACUACCCCGUGGAUGAUGUAAAAGAGAUGAAAGAAUGUGAUCUGCAUUAUCCCGUGGGGAACGUUUCCACGAAGGUAGCUACCGGCAGUGCUUUACCCUGUACACCUGGAGCACUCCACCACAACAACCCCAUUGCAUAUGGCUAUGCUCGUGUCACGGUGGAAGACAUAGUCCAAGGGUUUGAGGACCUGGAGAUUGACAAAGCUACACCCGAAGGGGAGAGAAGACUUGGAGAUGUCAAGCGCCAGAUCAUUCUAUGGAAAAAGAAGUACAUAGUGUUUCCAGGCGAGGCGCCAAGGCUAACAAGUCCACCCCCCCUCCGAUGGUGGUGGUGGUGGUGGUGGUGGCGGUGGUGGUCGUCGUGGUGGUUCACCUACACCUCCUUCACGCCAUUCGACGCCGUCCCCCGAUCCACAACCUCCAGCGGGUACGACGCCCCCCAAUCCUCCUCCGGCGGGUACGACGCCCCCCAAUCCACCUCCGGCGAAGAAGCAGAAGCAGGCGGACAGCAAGGAAACCCGCUCCUGGACUAUUAACCCGGACCCUUAUGUACCUAAGACCACAAGGGUACCGGAGCCAUCACUGAAGCCUCUCCUCCCAAGGCCUUGGGAACUUAGUGAAGCUGAAACCAAAUUGGCCGCGUCUGCUCAUUAUGAGAAAUGGAAGGCGGAUAUGAAGGUGAUAAAAGAGCCUGAGCCCAAGCAAGUAUUCACUGAGAAGCAAAAGAAGUGGGCUAAGGAUUUUUUGACGACACCGUCCCAAGCCGAGCUGAAUAUGCCUGACGACUAUGGACAUGAACUUCGUAGGCAAGCAAAAACAUUGAAGGAGGAGAAAGAAGAAUUAAAAAAAGCGGGAAACAAGUUGACCAGCUCGGGAUGCAGAAUAAACAAUCGAUCCCCCCGCUCAUAGUGAAAGCCGGUCCGGAAGAGGACCCCGAGAUCAUAGCAGCUGCGGCAGCACUUGGAUUGACUGUAGCGAGUGCCAUGAAACAAGCGUCUGAGAUGGGUUUGAAUCUUCGUGCCUUCUUAGGCCUUGAGGAUGCGCCAGUAUGUGAGAUAGCAUUACAAUAUGUGCGGAAUGGGCCUCUCGUCGAGCCUGCACGGGAAAAGAGUCUACCACCACAAAUGCGAAAUCUGCUACGUUGGUACAAGCAAUUCAUAACAUGGGCCGACAAAGAAUAUGUUUAUGCGGAUGUUACAGAGGAGCAUCACACCAAACGGUACUCUAUACAAGUUCAUAUGAGUGAAUUGUUCCAGCUGUUCAAUCUGCGCGACCUCGACAAAUCUAUGCUGAGUUGCUACGUUAUGUAAGUGAUUUAUUUCUACCUCAUCUCGUUCUUCAUUGCCUGCACUAUAUAUAUAUAUAUUGUCCUAACUAUAUUGUUGCGUACGCUAUUAUGCAGAUUGAAGAUUUGGGAAUGCAAAAUAAGAAACAUCCAUGAUGUUGGGUUCAUUGACCCACAUAUCGUUAAUGGACAUGUGUUACAAAAUCACCCCGAAGACGUGGAGAAAGACUUGUACAAGUUUCUUAGAAAGCAUCAACUCAAAAGUCAUAUUCUAUUUCCUUACCAUUUUGGGUGAGUGUUUCUCUCUUGUGCCCAUUCUCUUUUGUUUACUCCAUGCAUGGUAUGUCUAAUCGAUGAGUUAUGCAUGACUGUGCAUGUAACGUGUCCGCAGGUUCCACUGGAUUCUGCUAAAUAUUGAACUUCACACCUCCAGAGUUCUAAUCAUGGACUCUAUGGAUUCGGAUCCAAAGCGUUGGGCCGACAUGAGAAAAUGCUGCAAAAGUAAUUAUUUUCAAUCAUUUGAGCUCUAUAUCGAUCGGUCUCUUUCGUUCAUUUCCUAAUAUCAAGUAACUAAUAACUCCCUUGUUCAUUUAAUUUUCUUUGCCCUGUAGGGUUUGGAGACGGUUCUCAGAAGAAAUUGUCCGUGAAUUCAAACAUGAGCUAGAUUUUAGAAGGUUAGUUAAUGUGGAUAAGCAGCCACCGGGGACCAAUCUAUGUGGAUACUAUAUUUGUGAGAACAUCCGGAGAAACACCUCUGAGCGGAAGGCAUCGGAUAGCGUGCGGAAGGCGACGGAUAACUUGCGGAGGAGGCUUAGUCCAGAAGCUCGCUUCCGACCAAUUCAAGAUGAAUUAGCAGGAUUUUUCAUGAGGGAAGUCAUCAAUCCUAAAGGAGAACACUAUACCCAGGACGAAGAAAUUUAUAUGCAUACCCGAGAUUGAAACUUGUUCGAAGUUGUAUAUGGUCAUCCAUCCUAAUUGUGUAUGGAAACUUGUUCGAAGUUGUAUAUGGUCACCCGAGAUUGAAUAUAUAUUAUAUAUUCCUCUUGAAUUCUUCUUGUUUGAAAUUUCAUAUGCAUGUAUAUAGUAGCGUAGAAUAUGUGUACUGAAACUUCAUCAAAAUUAAAAUAAAACACAAAAUAAAAUAUAAAAGAAAUAAAACACUACAAAUUAAAAAGAAACCAGGUUUAGGGGGGCUAAAACCCUAAACCUGCGGAGGAGGCCUUUAGUCCCGGUUAGCCACGAGAACCGGGACUAAAGGUCCUCCGCCCCGACGGACUCCUGGCGCCCACGUGGACGGGCCUUUAGUCGCGGUUCGUAAGAGGCGCGACUAAAGGGGGGGGCCUUUAGUCGCGCAUAUUUAGUCCCGGUUGCACAGCCGGGAUUAAUGGCCUUUGCGAACUGGGACUAAAGGCCUAUUCUCUACCAGUGGUCACUUGUGAGAUACAUAUUGGUGGCUUGCCAGGGAGCCCACACACCUCUACUAUGGUUCACCAUUAAUUGAGCUUUUUGGAGACAACCUCUAGCUUCUUCCUCCUCUCACUUCAGAAUGCACAAUGUGCCACCAUUGUUGAGUCGGGCAGAGCUUCACCUAGAGGCCCGACAUAGGGGAGAAACACCACUGUGGUGCCCCAAGAGAGGAAUGCAACACCCACAUGCGUCCUGACACUAGUGUUGAAGCGCAAAGCUUUCGCUUGGUAUCUACCCGAUGUCACGCCGAGAAACCAAAGCCACGGAGCCUACCAUGAGGUAAGGUGAUGGCUUGUGUCCGCGUCAGUUUUUCCUCGAAGAGGAAGGGAUGAUGCAACACAGCUAUGGUAGGUAUUUCCCUCAGUGAUGAAAUGAAGGUUAUCGAACCAGUAGAACCAAGCAACACUAUGUAAACGGUACCUGCACACAAGGAACAAAUACUUGCAACCCGAUGCGUAAGAGGGGUUGUCAAUCCCUCUCGGGUAGAAGAUAGAUUGGUUUGUAUGAUUUUGGAUAAAUAGAUCUCGCAAUAAAACAAAAUAAAAUAAAUAAAGAAAAAAUGCAGAAAGGUAUAUUUGGGUUUUUAGAAUAAUAGAUUUGAAAACAAAAGCAAAUAAAAAAUAGAUCUCAAAGCAAAUAAAUAGACCCGGGGGCCGUAGACUUCACUAGUGGCUUCUUUCAAGAAAAUAGCAUACAGCGGGUAAACAAAUUACUGUUGGGAAAUUGAUAGAACUUCAAAUAAUUAUGACGAUAUCCAGGCAAUGAUCAUUAUAUAGGUAUCACGUCCAAGCUUAGUAGACCGACUCCUGGCUUCCAUUAUAUUCAGAAAAGAACGUCUGGGUUCCAUGCUGAAGGAAAUAUGCCCUAGAGGCAAUAAUAAAGUUGUUAUUUAUAUUUCCUUAUAUCAUGCUAAAUGUUUAUUAUUCAUGCUAGAAUUGUAUUAACCGGAAACUUAGUACAUGUGUGAAUACAUAGACAAACAGAGUGUCACUAGUAUGCCUCUACUUGACUAGCUCAUUGAAUCAAAGAUGGUUAAGUUUCCUAGCCAUAGACAUGAGUUGUCAUUUGAUUAGCGGGAUCACAUCAUUAGAGAAUGAUGUGAUUGACUUGACCCAUCCGUUAGCUUAGCACUUGAUCGUUUAGUAUGUUGAUAUUGCUUUCUUCAUGACUUAUACAUGUUCCUAUGACUAUGAGAUUAUGCAACUCCCGAAUACCAGAGGAACACUUUGUGUGCUAUCAAACGUCACAACGUAACUGGGUGAUUAUAAAGGUGCUCUACAGGUGUCUCAGAUGGUACUUGUUGAGUUGGCAUAGAUCGAGAUUAGGAUUUGUCACUGCGAUUGUCGAAGAGGUAUCUCUGGGCCCUCUCGGUAAUGCACAUCACUAUAUAUAAGCCUUGCAAGCAAUGUGACUAAUGAGUUAGUUGCGGGAUGAUGCAUUACGGAACGAGUAAAGAGACUUGCCGGUAACGAGAUUGAACUAGGUAUUGAGAUACCGACGAUCGAAUCUCGGGCAAGUAACAUACCGAUGACAAAGGGAACAACGUAUGUUAUUAUGCGGUUUGAUCGAUAAAGAUCUUCGUAGAAUAUGUAGGAACCAAUAUGAGCAUCCAGGUUCCGCUAUUGGUUAUUGACGGUGAUGAGUCUUGGUCAUGUCUACAUAGUUCUCGAAUCCGUAGGGUCCAGACGCUUAACGUUCGGUGACGAUCGGUAUUACGAGUUUAUGUGUUUUGAUGUACAUAAGGUUGUUCAGAGUCCCGGAUUUAAUCACGGACAUGACGAGGAGUCUCGAAAUGGUCGAGACAUAAAGAUCGAUAUAUUGGAUGGCUAUGUUUGGACAUCGGAAUGGUUCCGGAUGAGUUCGGGCAUUUACCGGAGUACCGGGAGGUUACCGGAAUCCCCCGGGGAGUAUAUGGGCCUUAUUGGGCCUUAGUGGAAUAGAGGAGAGGAAAAGGUGAAGGGUGCGCCGCCCUAGCCCAAUCCGAAUUGGGUGGGGGGCCACCCCCCUUCCUUCCCUCUCUCCUCCCCUUCCUUCUCUCCUACUCCUACUACUUGGAAAGGGGGGAAUCCUACUCCCGGUGGGAGUAGGACUCCCCAGGGCGCGCCAUAGUAGAGGCCCGGCCCUCCCCCUCCUCCACUCCUUUAUAUACGGGGGAGGGGGCACCCCAUAGACACACAAGUUGAUCAUUGAUCUCUUAGCCGUGUGCGGUGCCCCCCUCCAGCAUAAUCCAUCUCGGUCAUAUCGUUGCAGUGCUUAGGCAAAGCCCUGCGCCGGUAGCUUCAUCAUCACCGUCAUCACGCCGUCAUGCUGACGAAGCUCUCCCUCGACACUCAGCUGGAUCGAGAGUUCGUGGGACGUCACCGAGCCGAACGUGUGCAGAUCGCGGAAGUGUCGUACUUUCGGUAGUAGGAUCGGUCGGAUCGUGAAGACGUACGACUACAUCAACCGCGUUGUCAUAACGCUUCCGCUUACGGUCUACGAGGGUACAUGGACUACACUCUCCCCUCUCGUUGCUAUGCAUCACCAUGAUCUUGCUUGUGCGUAGGAAUUUUUUUGAAAUUAUUGCGUUCCGCAACAGUGGCAUCCGAGCCAGGUUUAUGCGUAGAUGUUAUAUGCACGAGUAGAACACAAGUGAGUUGUGGGCGAUAAUAGUCAUACUGCUUACCAGCAUUUCAUACUUUGAUUCGGCGGUAUUAUUAGAUGAAGCGGCCCGGACCGACAUUAUGCGUACGCUUACGCGAGACUUGUUCUACCGACGUGCUUCGCACACAGGUGGCUGGCGGGUGUCAGUUUCUCCAACUUUAGUUGAAUCGAGUGUGGCUACGCCCGGUCCUUGUUGAAAGUUAAAACAACACAUACUUGACGAAAAACCGUUGUGGUUUUGAUGCGUAGGUAAGAACGGUUCUUGCUCAGCCCGUAGCAGCCACGUAAAACUUGCAACAACAAAGUAGAGGAUGUCUAACUUGUUUUUGCAGGGCAUGUUGUGAUGUGAUAUGGUCAAGACAUGAUGCUAAAUUUUAUUGUAUGAGAUGACCAUGUUUUGUAACAGAGUUAUCGGCAACUGACAGGAGCCAUAUGGUUGUCGCUUUAUUGUAUGCAAUGCAAUCGCCAGCAAUUGCUUUACUUUAUCACUAAGCGGUAGCGAUAGUCGUCGAAGCAAUAGUUGGCGAGAUGACAACGAUGCUACGAUGGAGAUCAAGAUGUUGCACCGGUGACGGUGGUGAUCAUGACGGUGCUUUGGAGAUGGAGAUCAAAGGCACAAGGUGAUGAUGGCCAUAUCAUAUCACUUAUAUUGAUUGCAUGUGAUGUUUAUCCUUUAUGCAUCUUAUUUUCCUUAGUUCGACGGUAGCAUUAUAAGAUGAUCUCUCACUAAAUUUCAAGGCACAAGUGUUCUCCCUGAGUAUGCACCGUUGCGAAAGUUCAUCGUGCCGAGACACCACGUGAUGAUCGGGUGUGAUAAGCUCUACGUUCACAUACAACGGGUGCAAGCCAGUUUUGCACAUGCAGAAUACUCGGGUUAAACUUGACGAGCCUAGCAUAUGCAGAUAUGGCCUCGAAACACUGAGACCGAAAGGUCGACCGUGAAUCAUAUAGUAGAUAUGAUCAACAUAGUGAUGUUCACCAUUGAAAACUACUCCAUCUCACGUGAUGAUCGGACAUGGUUUAGUUGAUUUAGAUCACGUGAUCACUUAGAUGAUUAGAGGGAUGUCUAUCUAAGUGGGAGUUCUUAAGUAAUUUGAUUAAUUGAACUUUAAUUUAUCAUGAACUUAGUACCUGAUAGUAUUUUGCAUGUCUAUGUUAUUGUAGAUAGAUGGCCCGUGCUGUUGUUCUGUUGAAUUUUAAUGCGUUCCUAGAGAAAGCUAAGUUGAAAGAUGUUAGUAGCAAUGAUGCGGACUUGGUCCGUGAUCUGAGGAUUAUCCUCAUUGCUGCACAGAAGAAUUAUGUCCUUGAUGCACCGCUAGGUGACAGAACUAUUGCAGGAGCAGAUGCAGACGUUAUGAAUGUUUGACAAGCUCGGUAUGAUGACCACUUGAUAGUUUAGUACACCAUGCUUUACGGCUUAGAACCGGGACUUCAAAAAUGUUUUGAACGCCAUGGAGCAUAUAAGAUGUUCCAAGAGUUGAAAUUGGUAUCUCAUACUCAUGCCCGUGUCAAGAGGUAUAAGACCUCUGACAGUACUUUGCCUACAAGAUGGAGGAGAAUAGCUCAAGAAGUGAGCAUGUGCUCAGAAUGUCUAAGUACUACAAUCACUUGAAUCAAGUGGGAGUUAAUCUUCCCGAUAAGAUAGUGAUUGACAGAGUUCUCUAGUCACUAUCACCAAGUUACUAGAACUUCGUGAUGAACUAUAAUAUGCAAGGGAUAACAGAAACGAUUCCCAAGCUCUUCGCGAUGCUGAAAUCGGCGAAGGUAGAAAUCAAGAAAAAGCAUCAAGUGUUGAUGGUUAACAAGACCACUAGUAUCAAGUAAAAGGGCAAGGGAAAGAAAGGGAACUUCAAGAAGAAUGGCAAGCAAGUUGCCACUCCCAUGAAGAAGCCCAAAGCUAGACCCAAGCCUGAAACUGAGUGCUUCUACUGCAAAGGAAACGGUCACUGGAAGUGGAACUGCCCUAGAUACUUGGCGGAUAAGAAGGAUGGCAAAGUGAACAAAGGUAUAUUUGAUAUACAUGUUAUUGAUGUGUACUUUACUAGUGUUUAUAGCAACCCCUCGGUAUUUGAUACUAGUUCAGUUGCUAAGAGUAGUAACUCGAAACGGGAGUUGCAAAAUAAACACUGACUAGUUAAGGGCAAGGUGAUGAUAUGUGUUGGAAGUGAUUCCAAGGUUGAUAAGAUCACCAUCGCACACUCCCUUUACCUUCGGGAUUAGUGUUGAACCUAAAAUAAAUGUUAUUUGGUGUUUGCGUUGAGCAUGAAUAUGAUUUGAUCAUGUUUAUUGCAAUACGGUUAUUCAUUUAGGUCAAAGAAUAAUUUUUGUUCUAUUUACAUGAAUAAAACCUUCUAUGGUCAUACACUCAAUAUAAAUGGUUUAUUGAAUCUCGAUCGUAGUGAUACACAUAUUCAUAAUAUUGAAGCCAAAAGAUGCAGAGUUGAUAAUGAUAGUGCAACUUAUUUGUGGCACUGCCGUUUGGGUCAUAUUGGUGUAAAGCGCAUGAAGAAACUCCAUUCUGAUGGACUUUUGGAAUCACUUGAUUAUGAAUCACUUGGUACUUGCGAACCAUGCCUCAUGGACAAGAUGACUAAAACUCCGUUCUCCGGAACAAUGGAGCGAGCAACAGAUUUGUUGGAAAUCAUACAUACUGAUGUAUGUGGUCCGAUGAAUAUUAAGGCUCGCGGCGGGUAUCGUUAUUUUCUCACCUUCACAGAUGAUUUGAGCAGAUAUGGGUAUAUCUACUUAAUGAAACAUAAGUCUGAAACAUUUGAAAAGUUCAAAGAAUUUCAGAGUGAAGUGGAAAAUCAUGGUAACAAGAAAAUAAAGUUUCCACGAUCUGAUCAUGGAGGAGAAUAUUUGAGUUACGAGUUUGGUCUUCAAUUAAAACAAUGUGGAAUAGUUUCACAAACUCAUGCCACCUGGAACACCACAGCAUAAUGGUGUGUCCGAACGUCGUAACUGUACUUUAUUAGAUAUGGUGCGGUCUAUGAUGUCUCUUACCGAUUUACCACUAUCGUUUUGGGGUUAUGCAUUAGAGACAGUUGCAUUCACGUUAAUAGGGCACCGUCUAAAUCCGUUGAGACAACACAGUAUGAACUGUGGUUUAGCAAGAAACCUAAGUUGUCGUUUCUUAAAGUUUGGGGUUGCGAUGUUUAUGUGAAAAAGUUUCAGCCUGAUAAGCUCAAACCCAAAUCAGAGAAGUGCGUCUUCAUAGGAUACCCAAAAGUAACUGUUGGGUACAUCUUCUAUCACAGAUCCGAAGGCAAGAUAUUUGUUGCUAAGAAUGGAUCCUUUCUAGAGAAGGAGUUUCUCUCGAAAUAAGUGAGUGGGAGGAAAGUAUAACUUGGUGAGGUAUUUGUACCUUCUCUCGAAUUGGAAAGUAGCUCAUCACUGAAAUCCGUUCCAGUGAUUCCUACACCAAUUAAUGAGGAAGUUAAUGACGAUGAUCAUGAAACUUUGGAUCAAGUUACUACAGAACUUCGUAGAUCAACCAGAGCACGAUCCGCACCAGAGUGGUACAGUAAUCCUGUACUGGAAGUCAUGUUACUAGACCAUGAUGAAAUUACGAACUAUGAGGAAGCAAUGAUGAGCCCAGAUUCCGCGAAAUGGCUUGAGGCCAUGAAAUCUGAGAUGGGAUCCAUGUAUGAAAACAAAGUGUGGACUUUGAUGGAUUUUCCCGAUGAUCGGCAAACCAUAGAAAAUAAAUGGAUCUUCAAGAGGAAGACGGACACUGAUAGUAGUGUUACUAUCUAUAAAUCUCGAAUUGUCGCAAAAAGGUUUUCGACAAGUUCAAGAUGUUGAAUACAAUGAGAUUUUCUCACUCGUAUCGAUGCUUAAAGUCUGUCUGAAUCAUGUUAGCAAUUGCCACAUUUUAUGAAAUCUGACAAAUGGAUAUCAAAACUGCAUUCCUUAAUGGAUUUAUUAAAGAAGAGUUGUAUAUGAUACAACCAGAAGGUUUUGUCAAUCCUAAUGGUGCUAACAAAAUGUGCAAGCUCCAGCGAUCCAUCUAUGGACUGGUGCAAGCAUCUCGGAGUUGGAAUAUAUGCAUUGAUAAGUUGAUCUAAGUAUAUAGUUUUAUACAGACUUGCGGUGAAGCCUGUAUUUACAAGAAAGUGAGUGGGAGUACUACAGCCUUUCUGAUAAGUAUAUGUGAAUGACAUAUUGUUGAUCAGAAAUUAUGUAGAAUUUUCUGGAAGCAUAAAAGAGUGUUUGAAAGGAGUUUUUCCAAAGAAAGACCUCGGCAAAGCUGCUUACAUAUUGAGCAUCAAGAUCUAUAGAGAUAGAUCAAGACACUUGAUAAGUUUUUUCAGUGAGUACAUACCUUGACAAGAUUUUGAAGUAGUUCAAAAUGGAACAAUCAAAGAAAGAGUUCUUGCCUGUGUUGCAAGGUGUGAUGUUGAGUAAAGACUCAAAACCCGACCACGGCAGAAAAUAAAAAUAGAAUGAAAAAUCAUUCCCUAUGCCUCAGUCAUAGGUUCUAUAAAGUAUGCCAUGCUGUGUACCAGACCUAUUGUGUACCUCACCAUGAGUUUGGCAAGAGGGUACAAUAGUGAUCCAGGAGUGGAAUACUGUACAGCGCUCAAAAUUAUCCUUAGUGGUAUAAGGAUAUGUUUCUCGGUUAUGGAGGUGACAAAAGGUUCAUCGUAAAGGGUUACGUCGAUGCAAGUUUUGACACUGAUCCAGAUGACUCUAAGUCUCAAUCUGGAUACAUAUUUAAAGUGGGAGCAAUUAGCUAGAGUAGCUCCGUGUAGAGUAUUGUAGACAUAGAAUAUUUGCAAAAUACAUACGGCUCUGAAUGUGGCAGACCCAUUGACUAAACUUCUCUCACAAGCAAAACAUGAUCACACUUUAAGUACUCGUUGGGUGUUAAUCACAUAGCAAUGUGAAAUAGAUUAUUGACUCUAAUAAACCCUUUGGGUGUUGGUCACAUGACGAUGUGAACUAUGGGUGUUAGUCACAUGGUGAUGUGAACUAUUGGUGUUAAAUCACAUGGCGAUAUGAACUAGAUUAUUGACUCUAGUGCAAGUGGGAGACUGAAGGAAAUAUGCCCUAGAGGCAAUAAUAAAGUUGUUAUUCAUAUUUCCUCAUAUCAUGAUAAAUAUUUAUGAUUCAUACUAGAAUUGUAUUAACCGGAAACUUAGUCCAUGUGUGAAUACAUAGACAAACAGAGUGACACUAGUAUGCCUCUACUUGACUAGCUCAUUGAAUCAAAGAUGGUUAAGUUUCCUACCAAUAGACAUGAGUUGUCAUUUGAUUAACGGGAUCACAACAUUAGAGAAUGAUGUGAUUGACUUGACCCAUUCCGUUAGCUUAGCACUUUAUCGUUUAGUAUGUUGCUAUUGCUUUCUUCAUGACUUAUACAUGUUCCUAUGACUAUGAGAUUAUACAACUCCCGAAUACCGGAGGAACACUUUGUGUGCUACCAAACGUCACAACGUAAUUGGGCGAUUAUAAAGGUGCUCUACAAGUGUCUUCGAUGGUACUUGUUGAGUUGGUAUAGAUCGAGAUUAGGAUUUGUCACUCCGAUUGUCGGAGAGGUAUCUCUGGGCCCUCUCGGUAAUGCACGUCACUAUAAGCCUUGCAAGCAAUGUGACUAAUGAGUUAGUUGCGGGAUGAUGCAUUACGGAACGAGUAAAGAGACUUGCCGGUAACGAGAUUGAACUAGGUAUUGAGAUACCGACGAUCGAAUCUCGGGCAAGUAACAUACCGAUGACAAAGGGAACAACGUAUGUUGUUAUGCGGUUUGACCGAUAAAGAUCUUCGUAGAAUAUUAGGAACCAAUAUGAGCAUCCAGGUUCCGCAAUUGGUUAUUGACCGGAGGUGAGUCUCGGUCAUGUCUACAUAGUUCUCGAACCCAUAGGGUCCGCACGCUUAACGUUCGGUGACGAUCGGUAUUAUGGGUUUAUGUGUUUUGAUGUACCGAAGGUUGUUUGGAGUCCCGGAUUUGAUCACGGACAUGACGUGGAGUCUCGAAAUGGUCGAGACAUAAAGAUCGAUAUAUUGGAUGGUUAUGUUUGGACAUCAGAAUGAUUCCGAAUGAGUUCGGGCAUUUACCGGAGUACCGGGAGGUUACCGGAAUCCCCCGUGGAAUAUAUGGGCCUUAUUGGGCCUUAGUGGAAUAGAGGAGAGGAAGGGAAAAGGUGAAGGGCGCGCCCCCCUAGCCCAAUCCGAAUUGGGUGGGCCCCCCCCCUCCUUCCCUCUCUCCUCCCCUUCCUUCUCUCCUACUCCUACUACUUGGAAAGGGGGGAAUCCUACUCCCGGUGGGAUUAGGACUCCCCAGGGCGCGCCAUAGUAGAUGGCCGGCGCUCCCCCUCCUCCACUCCUUUAUAUACGGGGGAGGGGGCACCCCAUAGACACACAAGUUGAUCAUUGAUCUCUUAGCCGUGUGCGGUGCCCCCCUCCACCAUAAUCCACCUCGGUCAUAUUGUUGCAGUGCUUAGGCGAAGCCCUGCGCCGGUAGCUUCAUCAUCACCGUCAUCACGCCGUCAUGUUGACGAAGCUCUCCCUCGACACUCAGCUGGAUCGAGAGUUCGUGGGACGUCACCGAGCCGAACGUGUGCAGAUCGCGGAGGUGUCGUGCUUUCGGUACUAGGAUCGGUCGGAUCGUGAAGACGUACGACUACAUCAACCGCGUUGUCAUAACGCUUACGCUUACGGUCUACGAGGGUACGUGGACUACACUCUCCCCUCUCGUUGCUAUGCAUCACCAUGAUCUUGCGUGUGCGUAGGAAGUUUUUUGAAAUUACUGCGUUCCCCAACACAUGCUUCCCAGUGUGGCUUCUGCACUCCUGGCAUGUGCAUGUCUAUUUUCACUACUCUUGCCAAUGCUGACAAAUCCAAGAAGCCUGAACCACGAAAGGGGUUCUCAAAGUUGACGGUAUCUGAAGCAGAAAGGGCUUUCUCAGGCAACAUGUGUAGAUGUACUGGUUACCGACCGAUCGUCGAUGCAUGCAAAAGUUUUGCUUCAGAUGUUGACCUGGAAGAUUUGGGCCUCAAUAUAUUCUCGUCGAUGCGUGCAAAAGUUUUGCUUCAGAUGUUGACCUGGAGGAUUUGGGCCUCAAUAUAUUCUGGAAGAAAGGUGAUAAGGAUGCCGACGUUUGCAAGUUGCCAACUUACACUCUUGGUGGUGGAGUCUGCACUUUCCCGGACUUCCUGAAAUCCGAGAUAAAAUCUUCGCUCAUUCAUCUAACUGAUGUUUCGGAUAUCAUCCUAAAAGCAUCGGGCAGUAUUAUGACUUGCUGAACUCUGGCAUUUUUAGCGACUGCACAGUUAAAGUGGUUGUCGGGAACACAAGUUCUGGUGUAAAGGGAUACAAAGGAUCAGGAUCUAUAUAACAAGUAUAUUGACAGUGGUAUUGAAAUUGGAGCAGCCCCGCGCCCUCUUGGCAAUGUUGUUUCAUAUAUUAAGGUGGUGUUUGGUUCUCUAGUCCUAAGACUUUUUCUAGUCCCUAGGACUUUUUGAAAAAGACUCUCAAGGAGGUGUUUCUAAGGACUUUUAGCAAAAAGUCUCAAAAAAGUCCCACCCUGUUUGGUUUACUAGAGACUUUUUCUAGUCCCAACACAAAAAAGUCCCUGAAACCAAACACCCCCUAACUCUGCUAUGCUGGGUCAUGUCUCCCUGAAUGAACCAUCUGGUGAUCUUGUGUUGAGUAACCUACACAUGGCCUUUGGUGCCUAUGGGACAGACCAUGCUAUUAGAGCAACAAAAGUCGAACAACACCUGAACGGAAAAGUGCUCACUCCAUCUGUUGUGCUCGAAGCAGUUCAGCUACUUAGAGAAACAAUUGUACCAAUGGAAGGAACAUCACAUCCUGAAUACAGAGUCAGUGUGGCUGUUGGUUUUCUCUUCAGUUACCUGUCUCCAUUUGCUAAAGGAAUCAAAUGGCCUGGAAAAACUCUGAACAUAAGUUCUGCUGGUUCUUUAUAUAUAGAUGAUAUGUGUAACCUUCCACUGUCUUCACGUCGAGAAACAGUUUCCAGUGAGGAAUAUAAACCAGUUGGUGAGCCGAUUAAAAAGUAUGCAGUUGAGCUUCAGGCUUCUGGUAUGUGGUUAUCUCACAUCAUCAGAACUCUUAAUGGGAUCUAGAAGUUCUCUUCCUCUCCAGAUUAUCCUUCUGGUAUGAGGCUACAGAUUGAUAUCAUUUAUUUUCUGUACUGCAGGGGAGGCGGUAUAUAUAGAUGAUAUUCCUGCUCCAAAAAAUUGCCUUUACGGAGAGUUUAUUUACAGCACGCAACCUCUUGCAUAUGUCAAGAAUAUCAAGUUCAAGCCUUCUUUGACAUCACAGAAGAUCCUCACGGUUGUUUCUGCAAAGGAUGUUCCAAGUGGAGGGCAAAAUAUCGGAUCAAGCUUGAUGUUUCGGGACGAACCACUUUUUGGUGCUCCAGUUGCUGAGUACGCUGGACAAGCUCUUGGCGUCGUGGUACUUAUCUUUUCAUAUUUUAAUGUUCACUCAACAAUAAAUUCUUGUAUAAUAAAGGAAAUUCAUAAAUGGGUUUUUCUUCAUUAUUUCUCUUUGAGAAAGACGUUUGUGAAUGUUAUGGAAUAAGCAAAUUUUGAUGAGGGGAAAAUCCGUAAAAAUUAAAAUAAUGAAACCCUAGUUUCAAAAAUCCGUAUAUAUUAUUUAUACCCAGAAAUUUGCUUGUAAAAUGCCCUAAGGAACAACCUAUAUCUCUGUUUGUUUCGUAACAAGAUUGCUUGUUGAAACUCAAUGCAAGUGGAUAUGCCAAAAAUAUAUUGUAUUGAAUUAAACACCGAAGGUGAUCUUGUUAAAUUAAACUAAUUAUUUAUGUGCACAUUUGCCCCUAACUACAAGUGAGCAUUAGCUACCUUUUCCUUUAAGAAUGAAAAUACAUAUUCUGUAUUUCUUCAGUACUGAUGUCCUAAAAUGUGAGACUUUACUUCAGAUUGCAGAAACUCAGAGAUACGCCAACUUGGCAGGAAAACAGGUUGUUGUUGAAUAUGACACAAAGGAUUUGAAGCCACCAAUCUUAACUGUAGAACAAGCAGUACAAAACAACAGCUAUUUCGAAGUUCCUCCUGAGAUGUAUCCAAAACAAGUUGGUGACUUUUGCAAGGGCAUGGCAGAAGCUGACCACAAGAUCCUCUCAACAGAAGUAUGUUAAUUCAAAAUACUAUGAGAGCUUUUCCAUUCUAACAUCUCACUUGCAUUACUCAUAACUUUAAUGGAACUUCUUAUACUUAACAUGCAUUACUGAAAAUUUAAUGGAACUUUUUAUACUUAGCAAUACAAACUUCUAAAUUUUAUUUUUUGAUAGUAUCUAUUUUCAACUGAACCGUACGCAUUACUAGUGGAUGCCACUUUUCAUUACAUAUAUAACUUUACAGUCACUAUCAUUUCUGGUAUGGUGCUUGUAGUUAAUCUGAUUCUUCUUUUUUUAUAGUUAAAAUUUAAUCUGCACGGUAACAUAGUAGCUGUAUGAAAGUUCGUAUUGUUGUGAUGCAACUUUGUCAAAGUUAUAUGUAUACCUUCAAUGAUCACAGGUGAAACUUGCCUCUCAAUACUACUUCUACAUGGAAACACAAGCGACUCUAGCAAUUCCAGAUGAAGAUAACAGCAUGGUCGUAUACAUUUCAUCACAGUACCCUGAGGUUGCACAGAGUGCAAUAGCCAAGUGCCUCGGCAUUCCGUUCAGCAGCGUGCGUGUCAUUACAAGGAGGGUUGGAGGAGGCUUUGGUGGGAAGGCAUUCAGAUCAUGCAAUGUAAGUAGGAAUCUAACAAGUUUAAACAACAGCCCGACAAAGCGACAAAAGAAAUUCAUAGCCCAUGCGGCACAACUGAAAGAAUCUAACAAGUACUCCCUCCGUUCGGAACAUCCGUUUGAGCGUCAACUAAUUCCGGAUGGAGGUAGUAUCUUUAUAUGAAUAAUUGCAUUUUUUACUUCUAGUAUAUACCUUCAACGAACAUGAGUGUAUAAGUUAGGUUUCGCAUCAGAUGAGUUCACGACGCGUCAUCUAUUUUUACAACAUAUUCGCCAAAAAAAUCUAUUUUUACAACUAACAUUCCUUUUUUAUGGUGGAUUAGGGUUCUAGUGAUAGGUUUUAACAUAAGUUUGGCCAUUUUACCAUUCAUUCAACUUCGAAGAAAGCAAAAGACAUUAACCAUUUCAGCUGUAUUGUGCUCAGUGAUCCGACAAUUUAUGUUUUUGUAGGUAGCCACGGCAGCUGCACUCUGUGCAUUCAAGUUACGUCGUCCAGUGCGGAUGUAUCUCAACCGCAGUACUGACAUGAUCAUGAUCGGGGGUCGUCACCCCAUAAAAGCAUAUUACUCUGUUGGUUUCAGGUCUGAUUGGAGAAUCACAACCUUGCAUCUGGACAUACUAAUCGAUGCUGGAAUUUCUCCAGAUGCUAGCCCCAUAAUGCCAGACACCAUCAUUUCAGGUCUGAAGAAAUACAACUGGGGUGCUCUCUCGUUCGACAUCAAGCUCUGCAAAACAAACAACACAUCCAAGUCAGUAAUGCGUGCUCCUGGAGACGCUCAAGGAUCUUUUAUCGCUGAAGCUAUCAUUGAGCAUGUCGCUUCGGUGUUGUCACUCGAUGCUAAUAGUGUCAGGAAGAAGAAUUUCCACACCUAUGACAGUCUUGUGCUGUUCUAUCCAGAAAGCACAGGCGAAGCUUCUGCGUACACAUUGCAUUCUAUCUUUGAUAGGUUACUCAUGACAUCGAGCUACCUGCAUCGAGCCGGAUCCAUCAGGCAGUUCAACAGCUGCACCAAGUGGCGAAAGCGGGGUAUCUCUUGUGUGCCCCUCGUCUUCAAGGUGGCACCAAGGCCAGCUCCUGGAAGAGUUUCUGUGCUCAACGAUGGUUCCAUUGUGGUUGAGGUUGGAGGCAUUGAGAUUGGGCAAGGGCUGUGGACCAAAGUACAGCAAAUGACAACUUUCGCUUUGGGACAGCUGUGGCCUGAUGGAUGUGAAUCCCUUCUUGAUAGAGUGCGUGUUCUUCAGGCUGAUACACUGAACUUGAUCCAAGGUGGGCUCACCGCCGGCAGCACUUCGUCUGAAUCUAGCUGUGCAGCAACCCUUGAGGCCUGCAACAUGCUGGUUGACAGAUUAAAGCCAGUCAUGGAGAAGCUCAAGCAGCAAUCCGGCGGUGCUGUUUCAUGGGAUGCUUUGAUUGCUCAGGUUAUUUUCUUUAUUUUCCUCUGGGUUUUUAUGCUACAGAAGUGUAAAAUGUUUGUGUGUGGAAAUUGUUAUCUUUAUACUUGCUAACACUUUCCCAAAUAGGCCAUUAAGGAUAAUGUUAAUUUGUCCUCAAGUGCAUACUGGGUACCUGGCCUAGAAUCCAGCACCUAUCUAAACUAUGGAGCUGCUAUAAGUGAGGUACAGAAAUAUUCUGCUAAAUGUCAAUCACACUAGUAUAGUUCAAUUGUUACUGGAUGGGAUAUUGUGAUACUUUUCUAACUUCCUUUUCACUUUUUACUAAAAAAUCAGGUAGAGAUUGAUCUUCUUACAGGAGCUAUUACUUUACUACGGAGCGACCUUGUGUAUGACUGUGGAAAGAGUUUGAACCCUGCAGUGGACUUGGGCCAGGUUUGAGAUAUUUUCCACAGCGCUAUGCUCUUCUUUUAUCAUUUUGUAGUGAACAUGGAUAUUAUUUGAUAAUGCCUUACUUCGAAACAGAGCGAGUACAUUAGAUUGCAGCCCUGAUCAGGGUUUUUCUUCAUUAUAGUACAUGAUGGCAUCACAUAUUCAUAUCUGAUCUCUCUACCGUCCACCUUACAGAUUGAAGGCUCCUUCAUACAAGGAAUUGGUUUCUUCAUAAACGAAGAACACGAAACAAAUGCCGAUGGACUGGUUGUGAGCGACAGCACAUGGGUCUACAAGAUCCCGAGCGUGGACACCAUCCCGAAGCAGUUCAACGCUGAGGUGCUCAACAGUGGGUACCAUAAGAACCGUGUUCUUUCGUCAAAAGGUAUGUAGUAGGAUAGUGCUUUCCCCUGAACUGAAGCAACAUGAAUAUAGUUUUACUAUUUUGCCAGUUGAAAUUAUCAUUGGUUAAAGUGAUUUAACUAGUCUGCCUCUGCCAGCCUCUGGGGAACCUGCCCUGGUUCUCGCAGCAUCGGUCCAUUGCGCGGUGAGAGAGGCCAUCCGAGCGGCGAGGAAGGAGUUUGGAAGCUCAGAGCUCAUCUUCCAGCUCGACGUCCCUGCGCCGAUGACCCAUGUGAAGGAAAUGUGUGGUUUGGACAUCGUGGAUAAGCGGGAGCUACUACAAUAGAAAAACAGCCACCGGUAGAAAAAUAGAAAAAAUCUAUAUGAGCCGUCAGUUCCAGGAUGGAUGGUCCAGAUUGUGGGGGGUGGAUGUGAGCACACACUUGCUGGCUUCUUUGCACAAAACUCCCUCACUUCUACUUAUUUACCUCUCGUACCGAUAGCACCAGGCCAGCAGCUCACGCCCAAAUUCCCCAACCCUAGCUUGCGUACAAGCCGCCUCCUGGACCAAUCCUCUGGUCCAUCUUCCUCCGGCUUGCCGACGGUGGCGGCGAUCCAGAUCCGGUGCCUAGCUGGGCGAGUAUGCCUAGCGGAGGUCCCGUUCCAGCUUCUGUUCGUCUCAUCGCCGGCGGUCUGGCUGCCCCGGCGGACCUCGCUCUGUCCUAAGAGAACAAGAACUGGAUGGUACUCUUCUCUGGCGACCAGAGGUCGACCUCGCCCCAUUCUUUUUUCUACCUCAACCCGCCAUUCUCCACAUGUCGCCACCCACCCCGCCGACGUCGGAGAAGAAAACUCCAAUCUGAAGGUAUGCUCAUCUGUGAGUCUGCUGUCAAUUUCAGAGUUAAUUUUGUAGCCUUUUAUCUAGAAAGUAUUUUGGUUCAGAUUUUACUACAACUGUCCAUAUCAUGUAAAUAAUACCUGAGUUCCUCCAAUCGAGAGAAGAUUUAUAAAUUUUGAAUGUUUGGAAGUGAUAUGAAUGUCUACAUUUUUUAAAUUUGAACAUAUGCACAUACAGUGUAGAUGAUAUAAUUUGAUCGUCACUAGCAGUAGCUUGGAAGCUUGGAACGGUUUUUGAGAAAAUGCAAUAUUCACAUAGAUAUGCCUGAGCAGUACAGUAGCUAACCCACUAGCAGGACACUAUGCUAUAUAUAUAGGGAGCUAAAGGAAAUUGCUUAGGACAGAAAAUCCAUCAAUCCAACGGAAUAACCAUAUUGCCAGCAUAUAUGCUUAUUCACAUCUUUUCGAUCAAGCUAAAAAUCACCUGUGAUACAUGUCAACUAUACUGCAAAUCCUGGUUAGUAUGUACUUGCACUUUUCUGAGCCGAAUUCAGUUAAUUUGGAGAGACCUUUAUCAGUGUUCAUUUACCAUCACAAAAACAGAAAUUCUGCAAACUCACCGGGUACUGUACAUGAGAAGAAACUAAUCUCAUCUACCUAUUAAAGUACCUGAACGUGAAGUGCGCAUGCAGGCACAAGACUGAAAUUUAUUCAAUACAUGCAAAUAUGUGGCACUUCACUGAUUUAUGGGAAUUCACUAUCUUUUUGGAUUUUUUUUGUAGGACACAAUUUCUGUUCUAAGUAUGAUGGAUACAUCGGAGCUUGUCGACUAGUGCUACGCUCCGCAACUACCAUUCUGCUACUGCAUGUCAAUCUAAUUGGAGGGAAGUAGUGCGACGUCACCUUUAGGAGAGCCUACAGUUCCAAUAAUCAUAAACUGUGUACCAGCACUAUCAUGUGAGAACACACAAUCCAAAAAGGCAAGAGUAUCUUGUCAUUACCUAAUAUUAUGUUAAUCCCUUCUUUGAUGUUGUUUGCUGAAAAUUAUUUGCAGCCGUGGAAUCUGUCAACAGUGUUCAAAAUCAAGAUUUCAGCGAUGCUACCUCAUUAGCAGAGAUUAAUUCUCCAAUGCUUCUCAUUGAUGAUUUCGGUACACCGAAAACGGAACAAUCCUUCUCUCAAGAGGUACCCACACUGGCCACAGCUUGUAAUGCUCGUUAAAUGCCUUGAAUAAGGCCAAUAGUAGUUCAAUUUUGUCUGUUUCAAAUUGUGUUGUUUGUUGUGAUAAAAUGAGAUCUCAUAAGUGAAUAGCAUGUGGUCUUUACAAGUCCAUAUGACAUCAUGUUUUUCAUGCGAGGUCAGUGGUACUAAACUUGCAAUUGCUGUUGCAGGGUUCUUUGUAUAAACCCCCAGUGUGACGACGAAUUGAAGCCCAAAGUAGGGAUGAUAUUUGAUGAUAUUGGCUCGGUACUAGAUUUUUACAGGACAUAUUACACGAUGUUGAAUUUGGUGUACGUCUUGGACAACAAAAGGUCAUUGAUAAUGUGCUUCAGUGGAAGCGCUUCUUGAAUGCGAACGAAAGCUUUCGUCCUGAGAAAGAUAACUUGCAAUUGAUGAUGCAACAUUUCUAAGGAAGUGGUGUUCCAUGAUGCAAGAGCAUACUCUAAGAAAGAAACGACACUGUAGUAGAGGUAUGUGCUUCUUCUUGCUUCGAAGACUACCACUUAUUUGUUUUGCUUUGUCUCCUCAACUAGGUUGAUUGAAACUCCGGCUUAGAUAGAUCAUUUACCCAAGAUAUGUAUGCCUUUCAGUUUGACUGGCCUUUGGUAUCGCUAAAGAUGUAUGUAUGUGAUUUAGUAUCAAUCCUUCUUCGAUGACAUUAGCAUAUCUGGUAUCUUGUUUAUUAUUAUUUUCCUGUGCUAUUGUAGUUUUCGUAUUAUUACAAGGUAUAGCAUAAUGCAUGCCAUCUAAUUAUUUGUUUAUAAUCUGCAUCUGUAGGACUAUCAUAAAUCUCCCUUUAAAUUUCUCGAUGUCCUUCUAUUUGUCCUUACCAUUUAUAUGUUUAACCUAUUCCAUGAAACUAUAAUCUAUUGAUCGGAAGUCUAUGCAUGGAUGUGCAAGCUUUGACCCCCUGUGAAUCUGGAGCCUACGUUCAUAUUUUCUCAAGGUAUCCAGAUAGAUUUUUGCAUGCCCAGUUUGCUUGUAUCUAAUUUUGCAAGGUAUUUUACAUAUGCCAUGGCCUACUAGAGUAUCCGAACAAUAACUAUUGAGCUCUUUAUUAGGUCAGUUGUGGCAAAUGGCUUAAAGUACUAUCUGGUCCUUCUAUAUGUUUGAGGAAUUUCAUCCUAAGUUUGACAUCUAGGUUAUGUAUCAUGGGUUGGAGCAGCAAACGAAGCUGGACAUAAUGACCACCACUCUUCUCAAAAUGUGUUGUAUGCAAUUCGUACAUGUUUCUAACAUACUCAUGUUUAUUUUCUGUGGUUAACUAGGUGGAUUGAACCGAUGAAGGGUAUAUAGAGUCCAUGGAGGUUGCCAUAUAUUCCAACAGAUGAAAGCUCGAUUAUCAAGAAUCACUAAAAUAGGAGGCAAAAUGAUAGAUCUUUUUUGGCAUGUACCAUCAGGUCCUUAAUACUUGGUCUUCAUGCAAAUGUACUAAAAAUGAUAUAUGUUUGCCUCUUGCGUUGUGUUCUUAUGUACUCAAAUACUCGAAUGCUUGUUGAGUAGUGAUAACUUACUCAGAUGCUUCUAGUUACAUGUAAAUGUACAAAGUUUAGCUUGAUCUGGGAUGGCUUAAUUUCCUCAUGUGCUCAAAUUUAGGGGGUUUUGUGGUCAACAUGUUCAACUCUCUUGAAUAAUUAGGACUUUGUAUUAUGAAGAGGAGAGGGGCAUCAGCGUUUUGUGCAUAUAUGAAAAUGGUCUUAUAUUUUUCCACAGCCAAAGAGGAGACAUCAACGCUGUCAGGUUUGAAAAAUAGUCAAGGACAAAAUGAUUGGAUAUGAGAAAGUUAAGGUGGUUACUGCAAAAGUGAAGUUUUAUAUCUAAGUAGUAUCAGGGGGUUUUCAUGAAAUCUACCUGAGCUGCCUCCACUAGAAUCUGUACCAUCCAUGCUUGAUCUGAUGGCCCAGAUUCGUUUUUCUAUUCUUCUACCAUAUGCCCAGAUUCUACACUAGUUGCUCUAAGUGCCUAGAAAGCCUAUCUGAGCAUCAGUCUCGAGCUGCGGCAUGAUGCAAGAUUCCGGUGCCGUCAACUGGAAGGAGCGGUGUGGUGUGAUCGUGUUGUGCAAAGUCGAAUGGUAAAUUGCGGACAUUAUGUUCAAAGCGUUUGUAAUUUUUCAGUGCUGUGCUUGCACGCUUUUCAAAUAAUCCUGGGUUGAGAUCUGUGUUUGUAAUUCCUGACUGAACCUGAAGUCAGGUUUUCUCUUUAAAAUGCAUGUUUUAUAAAUAGUAAUACGCGUUUGCUAUUUGCAAAAUGCAACUUGCAUCAGUCGACUUGGGAAGAGAAGACGACGCCGUGUUGCUAGUGGNNNNNNNNNNNNNNNNNNNNNNNNNNNNNNNNNNNNNNNNNNNNNNNNNNNNNNNNNNNNNNNNNNNNNNNNNNNNNNNNNNNNNNNNNNNNNNNNNNNNNNNNNNNNNNNNNNNNNNNNNNNNNNNNNNNNNNNNNNNNNNNNNNNNNNNNNNNNNNNNNNNNNNNNNNNNNNNNNNNNNNNNNNNNNNNNNNNNNNNNNNNNNNNNNNNNNNNNNNNNNNNNNNNNNNNNNNNNNNNNNNNNNNNNNNNNNNNNNNNNNNNNNNNNNNNNNNNNNNNNNNNNNNNNNNNNNNNNNNNNNNNNNNNNNNNNNNNNNNNNNNNNNNNNNNNNNNNNNNNNNNNNNNNNNNNNNNNNNNNNNNNNNNNNNNNNNNNNNNNNNNNNNNNNNNNNNNNNNNNNNNNNNNNNNNNNNNNNNNNNNNNNNNNNNNNNNNNNNNNNNNNNNNNNNNNNNNNNNNNNNNNNNNNNNNNNNNNNNNNNNNNAGAGGAGGCUUGGGCAGGGUGGGGCGGCAAGGCGCGCGUAGCAGCAUUGCCUGCCGCGGGUGUAGGUGGUCGCCAAAGUUGAGCAACUAGAUAUGUUUUUACUUCUUCGGAAAAUAGAUAGAGGAACUAGAUAUGAGUGCGGCCGUCCUGGACGCAGAAAUCCAGCCACCUGCUGCGCCAAGGUGAUGCGUGCACGAAAUGAGGGGAAAAGUCACAACGGAUGCAUACAUUGCUAUAUACACUUCAAUACCAUGGCCACUUGUGCUCUGUGGCUCGCACGGUGCGGGUACGCAUCUGACGCAAAGGGACAACCUUGCAGGGCGCGGUGACAUUUUUUACCACAUGGGACCCGGCUGUCGUUUUGGGUACAGUGUCCUGGACGACGCAGGUUUGUUUGCGUGUGCCUGCGACCCACCUCUCGCACUCGACAGACCAAGAACCGGCAUUGGGCGACAGGUUAGUAAAACUCCGAGGCUCUAUUUUGUUCUUGCCGGUUGCCCGCGCUGGUCUGUGCUAUCCCCCCGUCCUUCAUGGUCCCGUCGCCCCCCUUAUGGGUUCUUUUGCGGACUGAUUUUUGCAGAUUGGCCGGCACGGGGAGCGCUCCAGAUCCGCCGGUCCCCGAAGCGCAGGUGUUGGGGGUGCACCUAGCGCCCGGGCCGCCUGGGCAGCAGCAGAUCUGCAACACGCCAGAUGUGCAAUCAUCGGGUGCGUCCUGCACGACAUUGAGCUCUAGCGGUGGCGGUUGGCCAUCGGCGGACGCAGGAACUGGCGCACAUUCGUCGGGCGCGCCCGCACUUAGCCAUGACAGCCCCGGCAGCUCGCUGGGCGCCGCGGCUACCUACAACGGUGGUUCUGUAUCUCCGGUUCUAGUGAUCUGUCUUGUGCCUUUGUGUCGGAGUAAAUGACCACGGGUAGCCUAACCGACUCCUCCUGGCUCUUCAAAAAUUAUCGGGCCGAUCGAGCCUUCAAGCACCCAAAGCAUAGGGCCGCCUUCCCCUGGCAGGCUAUCUCACAGGCCGACUACUGGAAGGCGGUCCGGCCCUAAAACCCUCCCGAAGGGAGCCACAAGAAGGCCGACUCCAAGAAGCCGGCCAUAAGAAGACCGACUCCACGAUGCCGGCCACAAGAGGGCCGGCUCCCGGCAAGCGGCCAAGAUUGCACCCUCAAGGACUGCACCCACAUAACGGUGACGAGACGGGGCGUGGCUACGGUAAAGCCUGCCACCCCCGAAUCCCGGAGCACGCAUGGCCACAGUGCGCCGUAUGGGUCGGCCAUCCCCGUCCGGCGCGUCACUGUUGCCAUGUUGACCAUGACGCCACCCACGACAGGCUGUCAGUACGGCCCGCGGGCGGCGGGCCCCUUUAGCCAGAGAGACGCUCGAAGGCGGCCAAGCCUUCCCCAGUCGGCCUGGGGUGUAGCCGCCUCCCAAUAGCCGGCUACCUCACUCCCUCAAAGUAUGUGCAUCAUUAAGAAGACAAAACGAGGUAAGGCUACAGUGAGAGCCCGCCAGACGGCGGCACUAUAGCCAUGCUUACCUCGGCAAAGCCCUCGUCAUCAGAGGCGAGGCUACAGUAACCAGCCGCCGGCAAUACCCCCGGGCGGUGGGGCCGGCCUGUCGGCCAAGAGGCUGGCAGCCGGCGGGCCCCAGCGGCCGGCGGAGAAGCCGGCGGAUACGGACACUGACGGCCUGGACCCGCAUCCAGCCGGAUUACCAUUGUACCCCUGGGGGGUAGGCCUAUAUAAACCCCCUAGGACACCCAUGCAAAAAGUUGAUCUCUUAGAGUUUUAGACACCACAUAGAGAGAAGAGGAGAGCUAGCCUUGCCCUUCUUCCUCCUCUAGCCAAACAGCUCAAGGAGCCACUUGUGUUGAUCUAGUGAUCAUGCGGAGACCCCGCAGAGCAGGACUAGGGGUGUUAUCUCCACGGAGAGCCCCGAACCUGGGUAAGAUUCGUCGGCGUGCAUGUCUUCGCCUUAUCCCGUUUCCAGGCACCGGCGAUGUCUUACUGGCACCCACAAUGAUAAGCCACCCGUUGGCAUAUGUCGCACCUACCACCCGACACUUUGUAUCUCUAUUUGAUCCUGAAGGCUGUAUUUGCACUGGUCUAUUUGCUUUCGAUUGGGAUUCAACAGACUUAUGUUCUGGCUCAUUAAUAAAAGCCAUUUGUUUUCUGCAAAUUACGUUUGUAUUUCCAUGGUAGUUUGAGCUCACCAGGCUGUAUGGGAGUGGUACGGGUGGAGCUUUUCAUCCAAUAACUGAACUAGCUGCGAACUGCUAGCCUUCUCCAAGUUGGGGUGUCAUUAUCGGCAAAAGAAAUCGCUUUGUGGCAGUGAAAUUUAUUUCCCGCUGGACUUGGUAAUGGCACUGACGAUGGCUGUGCUUCACACGUACCACAUGGCCGUGUUGCGCAGACCAGUGUGUCAGUAAGUACUGUCAGCCUGGUCUCUUCCUAAAUACGCAUAUACGUCGCAAAACGGCAUCGACCGCACGACUAUACUCUAGGAAGCAUGCCAGCUUGGUGCGAAUCGCGACGGUCAUCGCGCCGUUGAUGCCGUGCGUGCAGCUGCCGCUGCGUGCAGACCUGCGUUUCUCAACUAGAUAUGUUUUACUUCUUCGGAAACUAGCUUGCCAGUGCGUCUUUCAGUCUUCCGAGCCCAUCAGGCAGGAAAUAUUUCCUGUGGGUGGUGAGGUUCGGCACCAACUCUGAGGGCUCUCCUCACCACAAAGCUUUCCGAUUUCCUCACCAGAUUGUUUGCUGCUAACCAAUAUGCUCGACCAGGAUUUCCUCAACAGAUUGGAUGCUGCUGUCCAAUAGUAUGCUCGACCAGGAAUCCGAUGGGCCAUCAAUGUCGGCUCAACCUUGAUACCUAGAAACCACCAAAGGGACGCAUGUGCUUGCAGGGGGGAAAGCCAAACCAUGGACUGUUCGUCUGGACGUUGGUCUGUCAUACCAGCUUAAUGCUCACAAUGGUAGGAAAAAUUCAAGUUAAAAUUAAGAAAUAUAUGGCCCAUAUGUUUGAGCCACAUAAUAGACAUUAAACUAGGUCCACAUCCUCUAUAACACUAUGCUUCCUAGUUUUAAAGAGUUCACAUUUAACUGUUGUCUCCAACUGGAAUUGGGUCUCCCGAUUUUGAAUGAUCAACAAUUUCUCAAAGCUCUCUUAUUCAAUUCUUUUAUACUCCCUCCGUCCCAAAAUUCUUGUCUUGGAUUUGUCUAAAUACGGAUGUAUCAAGUCACGUUUUAAUAUUAGAUACAUCCGUAUCUAGACAAAUCUAAGACAAGAAUUUUGGGACGGAGGAAGUACUAUACACCGUGCUCUCUAAUUUUUAAGGCCUCAUAAUUAAUUAAGGUCUUCAAUUUAGAAUUUGGUCACCUGAUCAGGUCAACAAUUUCUCAAGGAGCUCUCCAACUCAAUUCUUUUAAUCCCCCAUGUUCCCUAAUUUUGAAGCUCUUUCAUUUAAUUUUAGAUUUGGUUUAUGAUUUUGCGGGGCCAAUGAUUUUUCAAAUCAAUCAGCGGCAACCGACCUAUAAAAACCAUAUCAAUGCCGCACACCCUCUCAUCUCCUAGGAAAAAUAAGCGCCACCAUGUGAUAUUAUAGCACUAAUAUAGUACUCCCUUCGUUUUUAAAUAUAAGCUAUUUUAGAGAUUUCAAUGCGGCCUACAUUCGAUGUAUAUAGACGUAUUUUAGAGUGUAGAUUCACUCAUUUUGCUUUGUAUGUAGUCCAUAUUGAAAUCUCUAAAAGGACUUAUAUUUAGGAACGUAGGGAGUACAUGCAGUCACCGACCCAGAAGUUUCUCCACGUAAAUAUAUGUUGGUUCGUGGAUAACACAGAACCACACCGUGAAAGACCCAUCAAAUCUUUGCAUUAUAAAUAAAAAUAAAACACACUCCAUCAUCUCUCCCACCCGCCAAACUAAAUAUUCCAUUAGUUCCAAAAUAUAAGGGUAUUAGUUAUUUGGAAAGUCAAAUUUCUUUAACUUUGACCAAGUCCAGAGUGAAAAAUAUGAACAUCCACAAUAUUACACAAAAAGUUAUGAAAAUUCAUUUCAUGAUGAAUCUAACCACACCAUUUGAUAUUAUGUAUUUUGAUAUAUUUCUCUACAAUUUUGAUCAAACUUAAAAGGUUUGACUUUAAAAAAAUUACACCUUAUAUUUUGCAACAGAGUGAGUAUUUUUUAAAGAAACCCUACAACACCAAUGACGCAGUAAAGCGUGCCCAACCCUUUUAGUCUAGGUGAAACUGCAUACUGCAAAUGCACAUCAAUGAUUGUUCAUAAUGGUAAGAGAGGUAGACAAACCUCUAAGUACAACUCCGGGGAAUCUAGGCAAGAUAAAAUCUACCACGCAACAAGAGGAACGGCUCUACUCACAAAAUACUUUUAUAGCCACAAGCACCAUAAUUUACAAAUAACAUUAAAUUCUGGGAGUACGCAUGGAGGCAUGUAGCUCUGCCAAAGAUACAAGUAUAGGAGAUAGGUUAAUAUUAUGUGUAAAGAUUGUAUGGUAAUAUAAUUGCAUUGGGGGCUCAUACUAAUGGCUAGCAAGUGAGACUAGUUAUCAAAAUUACAAUCCAAGCCAUGACACUUAGCAUUCUUGCCAUCUGAAUGUUCAUCUGCACUCUCAUACUCGCAAUUGGAUCCAGAUAUGACUAGCAUGUUGCACUUGUAACCAGAUUGACCAUAUGAAUCACAGCAAAAUCCUAUGAAAAUCCUUUGAAUCAAAGGAGCCCUAAAAUGGCAAGUUACCUUGAAUACGAUAGGAUUGUAAGGACGUUUGAUUGUGCACAGGAAAAACAUAGGAUUCUUUGAAAGAGGUUGGAGUGGAUGAAAAUUUUCCUAUGAAAUCAAGUGCAAAUGAAUCCUAAGAAAAAAAUUCUAUGGUUUGCAAUCCUACGAAUCAAACAACCCACGUAGGAAAAAUUCCUCCAAAACACCUUCGAGAAUCCUCUGAAUCAAAGAAGCCCUAAAGGAAUACUUCCUACAAAAUACCUAUCCUUUAGAAUUCCUGAAAAAAAUUACGUACAAUACAUUCAAAGAACAGAUGGUACACCGAUUCAAUCUCGGUACAAUGAAUGCAUUCCAGGGGUUUGGCCAUUCCUCUUUUUCUUAAAUUAUCACAAGUCAUAAUUUUGUUCUGAGAGAACAACCAAAGAAAACCCUGGACCCUAGGUGGCACUUUAAUCUUCCAAACUGCUGACAGGUAAAUAGGUUGCACGCCCCUAAAGUUAAUUAUUGCAUAUAGGGAUUUUGAACAAUAAACCCCUUUAGAUUCAUAUUGCCAGAUCAAGGAGUCAUUUUCCUGGCUAAAUCUAGUGAGUUUGAGAAUAUUAAUCAGGUCGAACCAUUGGACCAUAAGUUCGUCCGAAAAGGUUCUUCUAAAGGAGCAUUUCAAAACUUGACCAUCCCACACUUCUGAGAUAGUUUUGUUUGUCUCAUUAACCAGGUAAUACAUAUCCAGAAUUGUGUAGCCAGAGGAGCAUUUUUGUGCCAAAUGUCUUCCCAGAAUCUAACCUGCUUCCCAUCACCUAGUGCCCACCUAUACCCCAUUCUUACUUCUUGUAGUGCCCAUAAAAACUCUUCCAGAACUGGGAAGAAUAAUUAUCAUGGCAGCAGAGAACAUUGGGGUUUUUGGUGUUGUACUUACUAUCAAUAACCCUCCUCCAGAGGGACCCUUCCCCAGCGAUAUAUCUCUUAACCCAAGAUCAUAUCAAACAUAUAUUCAUAUCCUGCAGAUUUAGCACACCCAUUCCAAACUCCUUUCUCAUGCAAAUAGAUUGCCAGAUAGCAAGGUGAAUUUUAUGACUCCCCUCGCUAUCACUCCACAAACAGUUAGCCAUGUGCGAGUUAAUGAGCUGAAGGGCCCACUUGGGAAACUUAAUAAAAGACAAAAGAUACAAAGGGAUGCUAGCCAAACAUGAUUUGAUUAAAGUAAUUUUCCCCAGGAGAGAUAACAACUGCCUCUCCACCCCGCUAUUCUAGCUAGAAUUUUAUCAAUUAAAAACUGAAGAUCUUCCCUGCUAAGCUUGUUAAAAUGCAAAGGGAUCCCCAAGUAUUUGAUGGGAAACUGCCCAACUACGCAUUGAAAAAUAUCUUUAAUUUUUUUAACUCUGUUGGUUCCACAUUAAUGGGUACUAGGGCACUCUUAUGAUAGUUAAUCCUCAUGUGUGACACUUGUUCAAAACAAGUCAGUAUCCAUUUCAGAUUUAGAGCAACUCUACUAUCUUUUUGUAAGAACAAGAGGGUACCANNNNNNNNNNNNNNNNNNNNNNNNNNNNNNNNNNNNNNNNNNNNNNNNNNNNNNNNNNNNNNNNNNNNNNNNNNNNNNNNNNNNNNNNNNNNNNNNNNNNNNNNNNNNNNNNNNNNNNNNNNNNNNNNNNNNNNNNNNNNNNNNNNNNNNNNNNNNNNNNNNNNNNNNNNNNNNNNNNNNNNNNNNNNNNNNNNNNNNNNNNNNNNNNNNNNNNNNNNNNNNNNNNNNNNNNNNNNNNNNNNNNNNNNCACACACACACACACACAAACUCAGGGCAAAAACCUCUAACCAACCCAGCUUGUGCCCCUUUGAUCAGCAUUCUAAAAAAAACAUCUACUACCAAAUUAAAAAAGGAGGGGAGAGAAAGGAUCUCCUUGUCUCGAGCCUUUGCCUGUUAAGAAGAAAUCACUUUCUUCGCCAUUAAACUUGACUCCAACAGAGUCUCUCUGAGUAAGACUUUUCACCCAUCCUAUCCAUCUUGGGCCAAAGCCCCUAAGAGCUGGCAUUUCAUGCACAAAAUCUAAGUUCACCUUGUCAUAAGCUUUUUCAUAAUCAAUCUUAAAAACUAGUCCUUGUCUGCCUGAAGAAUGUACAGCAUGAACAAUUUCAUGAGUUGUAACCACACUUUCUAAUAUGUACCUCCCCUAAUAGAAGCAGACUGGAAACCAGAGAUCAAUCUACCAAUGAUUAGAGCCAACCUAUUCGUGAGAACCUUAGUAAAGAUCUUAAAGCAACAAUUAAGCAAACUAAUUGGCCUAAAUUUAUUCAUGGAUCUAGCCUCAUUCUCCUUUGGAAUAAAGGUGAUCAUAGUAUUGUUAAGUCUAAAAAUAUCCAAAUCAGCAUCAAACAUCCAAUCAAAUCAUACUUGACCACAUCCCAGAAUUCUUGAAAGAACAUAAAAGGCAGGCCAUCUAGCCCUAGGGCUCCAUCACAGUAAGAGCCAAAGACAGCUGCCUUAAUUUCUUCUUCUAAGAAUUUGGCUUCUAGUCUACUGUUCUCAUCCUCAGUCACUUUCUCUUCUUCUUUAAAGAAGUCAGCGCUAAGGUUAAUGUUAGGUCUAGGUUCCCAAGCAAACAGAUUUUUAUAGUAAUCAACUGCAAUUUUAUGCAUCCCUUUUGGAUCUGAAGUGGGACCAUAUUCCCCAUCCAGAACAUGAAUAAUUUUCUUCCUCCUCCUCUGGUUAGCUACUACAUUGAAAUAAGCAGUAUUUCUAUCCCCUUCUAGAAUAUCCCUAUCUCUAGACCUUUGUCUAUCUUUGAUUUCCUCGACUCUCCAAAUCUCAGAGGGUUCUCUUAAAAUCUCCUCUAAUCUAUGCCUUUCUUCUCUAGAGAGCUCCCCAGACUCAGCUUUGACAUCUAGGGUGUCAUAUUCAAGCAUGAGCUCAAUUUUAUUCUUCCUCGGGAAAGCCUCUAGGUUCCUACUUCACCCUCUGGAUAAUCUCCUAAAGGUUCUAACCUUGUGUUGUCAAACAUCAACCGGAUUCACACUAUUGCAAGUACUAGUCCAGGCUUUAAUCACUAUAUCUUUAAAGUCACUCCUAGUUAUCCACCACUUCUCAAAUUUAAAACUCUUCUUACUAGUAUACUGGCCUUCUCCAGAUUCCCAAACAAGGGGAGUAUGGUCACUACCCACUAUAGGCAAGGCCCUGGAACUAGCCAGUGGGAAACAAGCAUCAAAUUCGGUUGAACAAAAAAUCCUAUCAAUUUUAGACAUGAUCAUAUUCUCCGGAUUAUUAGCCCAAGUAAAAACUCUACGAGACAAGUUAAUCUCCAGCAGAGACCACAUAUCUACCCAAAUAUUGAACUUAUCAACCCAUAUAAAGGUUACAUUACCAUUGUUCUUGUCCUCCUGAGAUCCAACUAGGGUUUUUGCAGGCAGUACAACCUCAGGCGGCGGCGCCGCCACCGUGGACAGCGCACCAGCCAGCGACACCAAAGAACACAUCAGGGAAGAUUCCGAAGAUGGCGAGAUAGGCGAAGCAGGGCAGGAGCCAAGUAUUCCCAUAGUAGGAGAACGAGCGGCAAACUUACCAGAUCUCUGUGAGCGCGCGGAAAUGAUUGACCAGCCCGGCUCCGCAGCUGCUGCCACCGCACGCCGUCUGACACGAACUUGCAGCACCAUAGAUCCCCACGCAGAGGCGCCGUCACCAUGGCAAAGCCGCCACCAACAGUGGCAGUUGUGUAGGUCCCAGAGCAGCCCACAUCUGCAAUCGGACCGACCUCCGAGUCAGGGUCAUCUCCAAAACCAACGGCCCAAAAUUGGUUACCAGAGGGGGCAGACGACAGAGAUCCAGACCGCCGGCAAAGGCGCGCCGGGGAGGGGUGCGGGCANNNNNNNNNNNNNNNNNNNNNNNNNNNNNNNNNNNNNNNNNNNNNNNNNNNNNNNNNNNNNNNNNNNNNNNNNNNNNNNNNNNNNNNNNNNNNNNNNNNNNNNNNNNNNNNNNNNNNNNNNNNNNNNNNNNNNNNNNNNNNNNNNNNNNNNNNNNNNNNNNNNNNNNNNNNNNNNNNNNNNNNNNNNNNNNNNNNNNNNNNNNNNNNNNNNNNNNNNNNNNNNNNNNNNNNNNNNNNNNNNNNNNNNNNNNNNNNNNNNNNNNNNNNNNNNNNNNNNNNNNNNNNNNNNNNNNNNNNNNNNNNNNNNNNNNNNNNNNNNNNNNNNNNNNNNNNNNNNNNNNNNNNNNNNNNNNNAGGGAGAGGAGAACCAUCAUUUUCCACAUUCGUGCUAGAUGAGUAUGUUUGAUCCUGGUAUUCCAUUGUUAAGCGACCCCACGGAACAGGCAUCGGACCGCACAGGGACAGGUAUAUAGGCAUUACAGAUAAUGAUAAACAUCAAACUAUGUGUAUACGGGAUCUGCAUGCCCUGCACCUGCGUGCUACAAAUCUCCUCCCCUCUUUUCGUCGGUGCGGCCCUAGCAUGAUUCACCGCUGGUAACGGCAAACAGCAGUACACAGGCCUAGCUCUAUGAUUACAGCGUGUGAUCAGUUCCAAAUUGCACCUUUCCAAUCUCCAGCAUUCACACACAAGGCGCCUAUCUCGACGUUUCCAGUUGGACACACACGACACGACGAGUCACGUGUUUCCCGUGUUCGCACGUUUUUAGCAGUUGAAAGCUGCUAAAGUGACCAGGCAGAUGCACAUGCAGCCAUGGUAGACACUUUCUCAGUCGAAGACGCCGCUGCUGCAUGCGUGUCCGUGCACGCACAUCCAUCCAUCAUUCCAUCGCCGACUAGUUUUGUGUGUUCACAUAUUCUCCGGAAGGUUCAUUUCCCGGCAUCAUUAUGAAGCUAUUGACCGUCGCGUGAGUAUACAAGUAGUACAUGGGUCUAGGUUGCCGGAUUGGACGCACCGUAGCAGACGUAUCCUUCCUUGAAUCCUAUAGUUUUAGUCGGUGUAUCAAAAAUAUUAUACUAUUAUUAUUUUUAUACAUAAUGGAUUUACCUGAACCAAUACAUGAGAUUCUUACUAUGCUAUUUGGGGAUUUGUUCUUCUACUAGAGGCUCCAGGAGUAGUAUUACUUACCAACCCAUUUAUUUUGCCUUUUCACUCGGAUUAGUUCUUAUUUGUAUAUCCUUGUUCUAUUUUUUAUGGUAUGAACCCGUCACCUUCCGGUAUUGAAUCAACUAGAUCAGUUUUGGCAUUCCAUCAGGUACGCUCAAACGACCUCCUACCAAUGUGCUUGUUGCGCCGACGCUAACUAGCCGCAGGUUAUUAGGACGCGGAUUUUUGGGAUAUGGUGACACGCGAUGCCGAAAUCUCGCACGUCCGCAUAUGCAUCACGAUUGCUACUUAAUAUAGGCCACUGCAAAAUACAGGACGGGUAAAUCACAUGCCAGAGUAAAUACGUAAAGUUAUACCUGACACGCAUGGGCUAGGUCUCGUUUAAUUCUCGUAUGGAUACUAGCUGUCUGGUAGCAACCCCCUUGCAGGUGUUGGGUUGGUCUUUAAUUCUCAUAUCUGUCAUAACUGCACUGUAGCUCUUCUGUGAGUUGCGUCCCUGUGGAGAGCAGAAGAACAAGAGGAGAUGGCCCCAGCAGAAACGUUGAUACACAUGUUAUAGCAUAUCGCUACUGGUCCUGCGUUUUACUUUCUUGGGUAUACACGCGCUGACAUAUAUCCAACAUGUUCGUCUCCUUGCAUUGCAGACUUCUUUUAUGACACUUGUGAUUAGGUGGUCAAGCCUAUGUAUUAAUGUGCUACUCAUCAAUAGGCAGAUGAAUCAAUGGAAUGCUGAUACAAGAAGCUUUAUUCAUAGCGACUGAUUCAUGACAAACUGGAUGGUUUAGUGUAUAGAGUAAGACUUAUAUGCUAAUUAGCCCUAGAUAUUACAGAGCUAAUAACUGGCACAAUGAUAAACACACUUGUAUGAUGAUUAGUCCUAAUUUACCAAUUAAUAUAUUACUACUACAUAUAUUAAUAUAGUAUUAAUACACAGAACAUCGACUAAGCACACGAAUUUAGCUGUAACCAUGACAAACUUGCUCCCAUAUAUUUAGAUAAUUAAAUGCGGCUCGCAGAUAUUUUCAUAUCGUAAGUUUUCAAUUAGAAAUAUAUGUGGAGUUGAUUUUGAUGUCUCUAAUUUUUUUAAAAUGGGAAUUGUAAUUUUUGGUUAACAUGUAUGCUUGUGAAGCUGAGAUCAAAACCGAAGCCGUGAAAAGAAACCUCGUUCUCUAUAAGCCAUGUACAAAUAUUUUAACCUUUAUGUAGAAUUUUGCCUGAUCUUCUAUUAAUAGACGAAAUGAUUUUUUUAUUAAUGUUGCAUUUUAAAAUUCAAAUUAUACUUUUUUCAUGAUUCGAGUUAACUACGAAGAAUGGAGUUAAUUGAUUUUUCAGUAAGAAAUUGAUAAAUGUAAGGAUUUCAAUUCUAAACCAAUAGUUGAAACAAGUGACGAAACUAAAAUACCCCACUUUCUAAAUUGAACAAUGCUAGGUGGAGAGAGCUGGUGUGAUUAUGGACAGGGUGCAUGCUUCCAAUGUAGUUAACACUUCACGACCUGCUCCUAAUAAAUGAAUACAGGUUGAGGUGUGCCAGGUGAAGAUGUCACAUACUCCCUCCUUUUCAGUUUAUAGGGCUUAUCUCAAAAUUUUAGUUUUUCCAUUUUAUAAGGCUCAAUUUGGUUGUUCUCCAUCACAAGUUCAGAUUUCAAGAUGCAUUAAAUCAUUGCAUGCAAGUAUUAAGAAAAAAUUGACCAAUGCAUAUACUUUAUGCAUGCAUGCAUUGCAAUUAAUGCAUUGAUAAACAUAAUUUUUUGAGAAAAACAAGAGCAUUAAUUGGGUGCUUUUGCAAACUACAAAAAGUAUUCCACCACUCAGCAUCUACCUUGGUUGGUGAGAUUUUUGAAUUGAGCCCUAUAAACCGGAAAGGAGGGAGUAUGUCGCCCAAUAUUGUUCAUCUUCAACCUGGCGCUGAGAGGAAAAAGCUGGCCAUGGCAUCAAGCUGUAGCGACGACGGAAGGUUAGAUAUCUUUCCUACGUUGGUUGGGAUCCUAAUACAGACCAUGAGGUUGCUUUGUCCACCCACAGCCGAGAGAGAGAGAGAGAGAUGGACUCCAGUGUAGCUACAAUUCCACAACUCCAUUGUUGGGAAGAGGAACUCUUAGAUCUCCGUGAGCAUGGACUAGAGAAGCUAGUGGAGUGAGGGACGAGCUGCGGGAUGGAUACGAUGAAUGGGGAAAAAAUGCAUGGGUUGGUUAAAUGUACAAAUAAAUGAGAUUAACUCCUCUAAUCAAUAGCAUGGAUCAGUGUAGUUAUUGUGCAGUGGGGCUUACUCACUUAUUGGCUGUGGAAUACUAGGCCUAUACUACACUGGAGCGGUGCUGAGAAAUAGAGAUACGGGCUGGUUGUACAAAUACUACAUGAAUCACGUGCGCAUGGACGGAGGUGAUUCCAUCCUCGCGUGGAACCAUGUCCACUCAUGAUUAUUCGCAGGUUAUUACUACUACCUUCGUCCUAAUUUAUUUACUUAUUUUUGCGAUUCGUCCUGAUUUAUUGGUCCCAUUGUAUUUCAUGCCAAAUUUUGAUCAUAUAUUAUAACUAACAGAAUAUUAAUGCAUGUCAUAAAAAAUAAUAUCAUAGAAAACUAUGUUCAAAUAUGAAUCCAACGAUAUAAUUUUUUGUGACAUGCAUUUAAAUUUUUGGUCAAAAUUUAGCACAAAAUACAAAGGGGGCCUAUAAACCAGGACGGAGGUAGUAGUGCACUACGAAUAUUCACGACUUGAAUGGGUAUGACAAUACGCAAUAAAAUGCACUACAUGUCUUGAUUGGUCUCUUGAAUAGAGGUUAAAUUCAUGCUAGAUGAUUAUUACACACAGGGCGAGGAGGAAAAUUGAAUAAAACAGAGUUCGUCUAAUUGUUUCAAAAUAUAUUAGUUGCAUUUACACGCAAUAUAUUUCAAUGUUAUUUUCAUAAACAAUACAAUCCAAGCUAGUGGUUCCGCAAUAAACAAUGACAACAAGAAUGCACCAUAUAUAAAUUAAAAUGCACUCACACAACAAAACUAUCGAGGAUAUCUUGCGGAUAACAUGAAAUCUUCCUCACGGCUAUGACACAUGCUUUCUUCCCUUCGUGUUGCUGAUCUGCUACUCGAUGGGUACUUGUAUGAUGUAGCUAUUGAAUCACCCAGGACACACUCCUUGGGUGCUUUGGAGAGCUUCCAAGACAAUCUCCACUUGCCUCAUGGUUGGUCGCUCUCCUGCUAUCAGUUUCAUGCAUGACACAGCUAGAGUAGCUACAUCUUCCACUUCACUACCUCCCUCCUCCAUGACCUGUGGAUCCAAUAUUUUGGCUUGAUUUCCAUCAUCAUGUAGUUCAACAAACUGUGUGACAAUGCAAUCACCUUCAGAGGACAUACACAAAGAUGUCCUCUUCCUUGUUAGCAACUCAACAAGAAGGACACCAAAGCUAUAGACGUCGCUACUUUCUGUUAAUCGUCGUGUGUAAUAAUACAUUGGAUCUAAAUAUCCCAUAGUUCUUUGCACUGCAGUUGGUGUUUGUGUUUGAUCUGGAAUGUAUCGUGAAGCUCCAAAGUCUGACACUUUCGCUACCAAGGCAUCAUCAAGAAGUAUGUUGGAAGGCUUAAUAUCUCUAUGGAUUAUGGGGACUGAAAUAGCGGAGUGAAGAUAAGCUAGAGCUUUGCUUAUUUCACUUGCGAUCCUUAACCUAUCUUUCCAAGAUAGAGAUCUUGGUGCCUCUGUGUGAAGAUGGUCACUGAGUGUUCCAUUGGAAACGAACUCGUAAGCAAGUAGAGGGAUUUCUGCCUCAAGGCAACAACCGUGAAGUUUCACAAUAUGCUUAUGAUUGAUCUGUGAGAGUAUGGCAACCUCAUUAAUGAACUCGCCAAUUUCUCUCUUGAUAUUCUUAUGGUUGAUCUUUGAUUUCUUGAUGGCCACAACAUGUAGAUCUGACAAGAUCCCUUUGAAGACAGUGCCAUGCCCUCCACCACCAAGCUUACGAGCUUGAUCAAAAUUGUUAGUAGCCUUCUCUAGCUCCUCUAGAGAAAUGAGCAUUCUCUCUGCGAUGUCAUCCCUAUCGGAUACGAGUUGCUUCAAUAGUUGUCCACGGUUUUGUCGAAAAAAUUUCUGCCUCAACAUCCUAGCCUCGUUGCUUAAGAUAACGGGUUAUUAUGAGUGCACCAAGAACCAAAAUGAGAACACACGGGCCACUAGCAACCGACAGACCAAUGAUUAAUCUCAAGUGACGAUUACCUACAAAAUAAUAAAUACACAACGUAUUUACUUCCUACUACAACUAGAGCAUAUGAAUAAGAGCUAAAAGUAAUUAACUUUAAUUCUUCCAUUGUUGGCACUCACUACUAUUCCCUCCAUGGGAAAUUAUAGUACAUACAAUAUUCUAUCAGAGGUCAAACUUUGUAAACUUUGAACAAGUUCAUAAAAAAUUAGCAGUAUGAUAUACUAGAUUCAUCGUGCCAUAUGCACUAUAAUUUAUCAACCGAUGGACAUAUGUAAGUGCCAAAUUAAUACCAAUAGAUUCAUCAAGAAAUACAUUUUCAUAUGGUAUAUUUUCAGCAUCGAAAUGUUCAUAUUUUAUUAAUAAGUUUGGUCAAUGUUACAAAGUUUGAUUAAAAAAUAGAUUAUAUAUGCACUAUAAUUUGGCAAGAAUGGAAGAAUUUUAAAAAUGAUGAUAUAUGGAUCAUAAAUGUAGAUGGUAAGGUAAUAUAUAUAACUAAGCGAAGCAUGGUACUCGUACCUGUGUUUACCACAGGCAUGACACAGUCAUUGCGUACAUUGGGGUUGCCCUUGGUCCCUUUGGGACAUCCGCACCGGAAUGUUCCGGGAAGUUCCUCGCAGUUGCCGAAGCACCCAUGUUCUUCUUUUCGACCACACUCUUUGAUAUCUACACACGUACAUAUACUUACAGAAUUUAGCUGAUGUCUUGUUCAAAAACUAGCUUGUCAAAAAGUCAAAGUAAGUGCGAUCUGCCUCCUGAUGGAAGCGCCAAGGGUUAGGACCUAGUGCUUCUACUGUCUGGCUGGGUCGAUACAACACUGGGCCGUUUUGUAUAUGUGCGUGUGUGUUCUUUCUAUCUACUCCCUCCGUCUCAAAAUAAGUGUCUCAACUUUGUAUUAACUGUAAUACAAAAUUAUACUAAGCUUGAGACACUUAUUUUAGAAUAGAGGGAGUAGUACAUUGUUACUGUAAACUGAUAUUUUCUUCCUCCCUAUUCAUGAAAAGGGCAGAAGAACUGCCAGUUCCCCUGCAAAAGAUAAUGGGAGGCUCUAUUUGUCAGGCGCCUGGAAAAAGAAGUUGCAUCAGUUACUUGUUAUGUGAACCAUCAGAUUUUGAUCCAAUGGUCCACAAUAGAUCGUGGAACUGUUCAUCGUCUUCCUCCUGCCUUCUUCCUCCUCCGGUCCCUCAGCCUACCCCGCCCCAUCCGCCGGCCUCCACCCCCCGCGUCCACCGGCCGCUACCGCGCGCCGCGUCGCCACCCCGCCCUCCCCUCGACCUCCCCCAUCGCCGUUGCUAGUCACCACGCCGACCAUCCUCUAAGCCCCGCACCAAUGGAGAACUCCGGUGAUCCCCUGCAACCCCCACCUUAAGAUAGAUAAUGGGGCCGUUACUCACCCUAAGAUAGAUGGUGGGGCUAGUUCUUCUCUGGCGAGCUUCUCCGGUGAGGUCCGACCAAGAGGGAAAGAAGAAGAAGGGGGGGGGAAAAGUGACUGAUGCGGGAAGAAAUUUCUGGCACAUAAGAAAUAGCAAAUCCGAAAAACAGCAACAUAAAGCAUAAGUACCUUGGCAUCCGGCGGUGAGGUAAGGGUUACCGUCGUAGCCCUUGUUGCACCGGCAAGAAUAGCCUCUGAAUGUGGCCCGGGGUUCACCCUUUUUCUCGAAAAAAAAGCCCGUGGAUGUAUUGGUUGUCUCGUACACGCACUGGCUGUUGGUGCUUUUGCAGAUGGUCCGAUCUGCGUCGGCCGGGCAUAUCCCCGUGUAGUUGUCAUGCCGUCUGUCGGUCGGUGCAGCUCCGUAGGGCACCGCCCACCGGAGAAUCAUGGGGACCUUCACCUCAGCAGCUGUCCUUCCCAGCGCGACGCGCAGUCUCCUUAUCCGGUCGUAAUUGAGCCAACCCAUCUCGGCGACGAGCACGUUCACCGCGUUGUACUCCAAGUACAUUCUCCAUCUCGGCAUGCCGCCGCCGAGCCGCUUAAGCUCCACGCCAUAGGAUGCGUCGCCUGCGGGGAUGUACGACUGGCAGCAGCCGAGGUUGGAGCAGAUGUUGCCGCCUUCAUCGCGGGUCACCAUCAGAUACAUGGAGCGGAAGGAGGCGCAGCCGCUGACGAUAUGGCCGCUGCUCCCGUUCAUCCUCUGGAGCGUGACUUGCACGUUGCACCCCGUGAGGAUGAGCUCGUUCAAGUCCUGCCCGAGGAUGUAUGGGUAUGGCAGCACCCCGCCCCCGCCGACGGCGAGGCUCCAGCUCCACCGGUAGACCCCAUCGCCGGAGUCGCUCAUGUUUACGGCGUACACUCCCUGGCGGAUGACGCGCACCGUGGUGUUCCUCAGGGAGAUGUUGACAACCUCCAAAGCACCGGCGCCGCCCUCGCCGAGGAGCAGCCUCGGCGGCUUGCUGCCGUGGUCGCAGGUGAGCUUGAACCCUGGCCGGUAGCACCUGGCGGGGCCCAUGCCGAACGGGUACGGCACGCUCACGUCGCCACAGGUGGCAUUGCAGUUCGGCAUCGUCGUCGGCGGAUCCACGGCGACCACCAUUGGCACCGACAUCAGCAGCAGCAACGCUGCAACGGACACCCAGCUUGUUACCAUCGUCACAGCUCCGUGUGCUUGGGUAAUUUUAGUGGGUGUGAAUUGAUGCCGGUACAUAUAGCACUCCGUAGUUGACCCGCAGCGCGUGCACCGCGUGCGCGUCCACACCCCGGGCCCUAGCUGCACCGGCCGGCACCUUUUCUGCCACGCCGUACUUCACCAGACGCGUCCUCCGACGACUCGAACUCCGCGCUCGCGCCAGAGCUGGCGAGGAAGGCGCAACGCAAGGUGCCCGGGUGCCGGCCGGAAGCGCCCCCGUUCCCGGCGCUCCUGUCCGAGGCGUCCGACUACAUCGCCGCGCUGGAGAUGCAGGUGCGCGCCAUGGCCCGUGCUCCUGCCUACUACUCCUGUAAAUUGCCGCGCUGGAGUAGUAGUGAUGCAUUGGUCCCUUGCAAAUUGCACUGUUACGUAGGAGUAAUUUUUAUUUUUUUCAGAAGAACCGACAGAUGCACAAGAUUUCCGUUAUUUUCUUCCUCUUGGCUAAAUCGAGACGAACGGGUUCGAGCUUUCUACGGUGGCCGCCCGUAACGACCAACGGGCAACGCCAUAAUUCCCCCGUGUGGAAGGAUUAUUGUAUCACCUGCAAGGAUUAAAUCAUGUUUUUUUAGGGGUAAAACCUGUUCCAUUUAUUCAAAAGCGUUUGGGAUCUCCGCCGCUACGACCUGCAGAAUGCAGUCCGGCAGGGAUUGGAGCCACAACUUCCGAUCUAUUCAUCUUCAAUCAUCGCAGUACAACGAACACCAGAAAUAAUAAAAAUUACAUCCAGGUCCGUAGACCACCUAGCGACGACUACAGGCACUAAAGCGAGCCGAAGGCGCGCCGUUGUCAUUGCCCCUCCCUCGCCCGGAGUCGGGCACACCUUGUUGUAGUAGACAGUCGGGAAGUCAUCGUCCUAAGGCCCCAUAAGACCAGCGCACCAGAACAGCAACCGCCGCCGAUGAAGGAUAACGUAGAUCGAAAGGAUCCAAUCUGAAGACACACGAACAUAGACGAAAAACAACCAGAUCCGAGCAAAUCCACCGAGGAUAGAUCCGCCGGAGACACACCUCCACACGCCCACCAACGAUGCUAUACGCACCACUGGAACGGGGGCUAGGCGGGGAGACUUUUAUUUCAUCUUCAGGGAGCCGUCUCGUCUUCCUGAGCAGGACACAAACCCUAACAAAUCUGAAAGGAACGACUAACAACGGAGCCCUCUCGCCGGCCCUUGCCAGGAUCCACCUCGCCUCCAUGGCCCUAGGGCCACCGGAGACGAGGCAGACCUACGGCGGAGCCGGCGAAAGGCACAAACCCUAGCUUUUUUGGUGGAGGAGGAGGAGGCGGCUGCGUUGUUUUGGAUGUUGCGUUGCGUCUCUGGUAUCAUGCAUGUUGGCUGGCUGCAUAGGGAACCAACUUUUUCCUGGCGGCUGAUGGCGCUAGGUUGGGCUAGGUUGAUGCAGUAUGCGGUGUUUAGUUGUGCACGGCAUAAGUUAUGAUCACCACUUCUUACUACUAGUGAUGACCUUAUCAUACAUGAUAAAAACAUCGUUUUGGUCAUAGCUAGUAAACAAAUAGCACAUCAUCUUACUACUAACAAAUAGCACAUCAUUCUAUUGUUGUUGUCGUUGCUUCUUCUUCUUCCACUAGUACAAAAUAGGGCUUUCGUCACAGGGCAAUAUUCACAUUAGUCCCGGUUCAGUCACGAACUGGGACUAAUGUGAGCAUUGGUCCCGGUUCGUGCGGCUAAGGCAUUAGUCCCGGUUCACCUGGGCCCUUUAGUCCCGGUUGGUGCCACGAACCGGUACUAAUGGGCUUUGAGGCAUUAGUACCGGUUGAUGGCACCAACCGGGACUAAAGGUCUAACCUUUAGUCCCGGUUGGUGCCACCAACCGGUACUAAUGGGCUUUGAGGCAUUAGUNNNNNNNNNNNNNNNNNNNNNNNNNNNNNNNNNNNNNNNNNNNNNNNNNNNNNNNNNNNNNNNNNNNNNNNNNNNNNNNNNNNNNNNNNNNNNNNNNNNNNNNNNNNNNNNNNNNNNNNNNNNNNNNNNNNNNNNNNNNNNNNNNNNNNNNNNNNNNNNNNNNNNNNNNNNNNNNNNNNNNNNNNNNNNNNNNNNNNNNNNNNNNNNNNNNNNNNNNNNNNNNNNNNNNNNNNNNNNNNNNNNNNNNNNNNNNNNNNNNNNNNNNNNNNNNNNNNNNNNNNNNNNNNNNNNNNNNNNNNNNNNNNNNNNNNNNNNNNNNNNNNNNNNNNNNNNNNNNNNNNNNNNNNNNNNNNNNNNNNNNNNNNNNNNNNNNNNNNNNNNNNNNNNNNUGAUGGAAAUGUCAAAAAAAAUAAAAUAAAAUAAGUUUCCCAUGUGAUAUGUGGUCUAGUUGUUGGGAAAAUUAACAAAUAUGAAUUUCGACUUUAUUUGCAAAAUCUCUCUGGAAUUUCUUAAAAUGGGCAUAACUUUUGCAUACGAACUCGGAUGAAAAAGUUUUUUAUAUGAAAAAUCAUCUACUCGAAAAGUUACAUCCGAAUUUAACCGGGGGAACCCGUUAAACAUUUUCAAAAUCCUCAAAAACCUAACAGAAAAAAGUUACGGUGCUUUUAAGAUCUGGAGAGGCAAAAAAAUUCAAAAAAUUUCAAAUUAUGGUCAAACUAAUUAUUCUAGAAUAUUCUAAAUAAUUAUUUUAGUUUUUUUGAAUUUUGGUCAAAUCUGGUCAAACUGUGGUCAAACAAUGGUCAAACUAAUUAUUUCGGAAAUAUUAGUGUUACUAAAUAAUUAUUGUUGUUUAAAACAAUAGUUUCAAACUUAAACAGUGAAAUGUGUCACUUCAUGCUCAAGCUAAAUUCCUGAGGGUUAAUAGAAUUGACAUCUUACUAUUGUCAGGAAAACAACAAGUGCAGACUUGGAAACGAGGGAGAAUAGAACCCGGAAGUUAAGCGUGCUCAGGCUGGAGUAGUGAGAGGAUGGGUGACCGUCCACGAAGUUAGAUGAUUUGGAAUGAUGAGGGGUGAUUAGAGAUUAGAGGAUAAAUUGAGCAGUGAUGAGGGGUGGUGAUUAGAGAUUAGAGGUUAAAAUAAUUCAGAAAUUUAAAAAUCAAAAAAAAAAUUCGCAAACGGAAAUUUCAAAAAAAAAAUAUCAUAAAAUUUCCUACCAACCGGGACUAAAGUUGGAGCUCCACGUGGCCGCGACCUUUAGUCCCGAUUCGUGUAAGAACCGGGACUAAAGGGGGGAGGCAUUAGUAACGACCCUUUAGUCCCGGUUCAAAAACCGGGACUAAAGGCCCUUACCAACCGGGACAAAAGCCCCCUUUUCUACUAGUGUUCUUCUUCUGUCGUUGCUUCUUCUUCUGCUGUUGUUGUUGUUGUUUCUUCUUCUUCAGAUUCUUGUCUAACCGCUGUUUGUCCACAUUGUCUCAGCCCACUCCAUCUUUCUGUUCUUCCAAUCUUCAUUGUCAAAUGCCUCCAUACCAUGGCCGGAGGUUUCAACAUCAUCAACCAUCACAUCUUCCUCCUCCGGCACAAGCUCAUCACAGCCCAAUUGUAGGAUCCAGUUAUGAGUAUGCAACAUGCAAGAACAAGCCUAACCUGGGUGGGGAAAGUGUGAAAUGGAUUAUGAUCCAGGAUUCUAAAUCUAUUCUUCAGAGCCCCAAAUGCCUUCUAAACAGUAACUCUAAGGUUAGAGUGUCUGAGGUUGAACAAUUCUUAUGCGGUCCUAGGAUACUUCCUGAAAGAGAACUCGUUCAGAGAACUCGCUCACCACACCAAGCUGGCAUGCAUAGUCAGCAUCUCGUAGGUAGAACUUGCCAUGAUAUUGAUAUGCCAUCAGGUUCAGCCAUGUUGUCAGCAAGAAUGUUAGCAUCAUGCGUUGAUUCUUCCUAGCCAACUAACACAUGUGUGAACUUCAUAUCGGAGUCAACAGCAGCAAGCACACUCUGGCUUGUGUAGUGCUUUAAACCCCUAUAAGUUGCAACAUGUGACUUCGACACUAGUAGUCAUAUUAGUACCAUCUACUUUGCCGAUGCAAUCCUGAAAACGGCAUGAAAACAUGGUGGUAUGGUUGUAUCAGGACAAUACAAGCAUGUCAAGGCAUGAACCACGGGUAGUGCUCACCUUGAAAUACAUAUGCCAUCUUGGGCUCAUGCGAGCCUUGCUAGGAAUAUGUCCGGUUGGUGCCUUGAUCGUCUCUCCUCUGAGCUCCCAAAACAACAUACAUGAAUUUCCUAAAAUACAUGGAAAUGGUUUGCAUUGAUCUCAUGAACGUCUCUACAAGCUUGGCGAAAGGUUCUCUUUUCAUUCGAAGUAUCCCCAGAAACAUUGAACCAUAACGAAUGACACGAUUAUCACUCCGACGAACAACUGUCUUGUGGGCCAACAUGAGCCAGGCCUGAAUCACAACUAUCAGUGUUGCUGCUUGAACAACCAGCUUCAUUCGUUCGUUCAUAACCUAGGCAACACUGUUGGUGUGGUGAGCAAUGGCAAAAUCGAUCCUACACCGUACCUAACGGCCUAACAAACGACCUAACAGAGAAGGGGGUUGUAUGCUGCUUAUCCCCUUUGGAGCCGACGACCCGCCCAUGGCACAGAUGAGGAGGACGAGACGACGUCGAAGACGAAGGGGUAAGCAGAUCCUAUUGCCGGAGAUUGAAGUUGAUGCCGCUGCCACUUCCAUAGAUUUGAGAGUCACAACUGUUGAGCAUGGCAAGAACUGUCCUAGCGCUAGAGGUGAGCGAGUACAUGGGGUGAUGCUAGAUUUUGCAGCAUUCCGUGCCCGCCAAUUUCCAUCUUCUGUCAUCUCCACCCAUACUUUCCCUACAAUGCCGUGUACGUCGUGCCUCAUUUUCGCGUCCGACUCAGCCUGACUCGCUGGAAAUGACCGAUUUGAGUGUUCUUGGCGAGUCCGGCUCUAGGCUGCUUUAAGAUUCAUGUGCGUGUGAGCCAGGCCACCGUGUACACCUCACGUGCCCCGUACGCGUGGUAGGUUGAUGGCUACGAUCCAUGUCGCCGUGCGAUUAGGGGGUGCAUACGACAUGGCUAGUGCGUGACAGGCCGUGUGCCGUGUGCGCUCGACAGUGCAAACGCGUACGUUGGCAUGUGCGUCACGUCCUCGCAAUGACAAGAUGGGGCUGUGGUCCAUUGCGUGUUUGCCAAUUAGUCGUACGUAAUACACAUGGAUGCAAUGUUUCUGAACCUACUCGUAUGGAUCGGCGCCUAGUGCAGGUCUUUUUCAGACAAGGUUGAUUUUCUAAGAAAGCUAUUUGAAUUGAGCACUGCUAUGCAUAGUACUAGUAUAAACUCGCGCACAACUCUCACACACCAUUGGAUUGCUUCGUUUGAUUAAUCUGUAUAUAUAUGGCUUCUACUCGUGCACAAAUCGCGCAUCAUCACAUCAUGUGCACAUCACUUUCGAUUUGAAUUUUAUUCUCGAUGCUCCGAAACAUUCCAGAGGAAAGGGUCAAGGGUAAAAUGCCAGCAAAUGGUUUUGGUACAUACAGUAUAUUUUUAAUCCAACGACAUGUUCAUGCAUACAACACUCAAACCGGAAGUACACGAGUCCAUGUGUAAUAUUGUAUUUUUUUAGAGUGCAAAAAAUGAAAAAUAAGAACAAUUGCUCAAGGGGCACAAAUGUUGGGCUAUCAAAACAUCAACAAUUGAACAAAAAAUAGGGGCACAACAGACUUUUCCCACCAAAUAUUCUCAUUCUUGAAUUUGAAGCUGGCUGUAAGCCAAACAAAAUAAACCGCUGCUCCAAGGUGGAGCUGCAACUCCUGGAAUUGCUCCAAAGUGGAGUUGAUGGAGUUAAGCUGAUUUUUGAGGAGUGGAGCCGUCCCAAAGAGGCCCUUACAUGUGACAUAGUUCCGUCACAUCUACAUGAGCCUGAGACACACCAUAAAACUAAGGAAUAGCCCAUAUAUUCGAGCCACAUAAUAGACAUCAAACUAUAUCCAUAUCUAGAUGAAACUGCUUAUUGCAAAUGCACAUUCAUGAUUAGACAUAAUGGUACGAUAGGUAGAGAAAACUCUCGGUACAAACUCCAGGGAAUCUAGGCCAAAAAAAAAAAAAACUUCCAUGCGACAAANNNNNNNNNNNNNNNNNNNNNNNNNNNNNNNNNNNNNNNNNNNNNNNNNNNNNNNNNNNNNNNNNNNNNNNNNNNNNNNNNNNNNNNNNNNNNNNNNNNNNNNNNNNNNNNNNNNNNNNNNNNNNNNNNNNNNNNNNNNNNNNNNNNNNNNNNNNNNNNNNNNNNNNNNNNNNNNNNCAUGCGACAAACGAAACAGCUGUACUCACAAAACAAAACACUUUUUAUAGUCGCAACCAGCAUAAUUUACAAAUAGCACAACAGGGCCAUUAGAUUCUGGGAGUACGACGCAUGGAGGCAUGUAGCUCGCCAAAGAUACUAAUACAGGAGCUAGUUGUAAACUUGUAUGUAAAGAUUGUAUGGUAAUACAGUUGCAUGGAGGGCUAAUAUGUAAUGGCUAGCAAGUGAGACUAGUUAUCAAAAUUGCAGUUCAAGCCAUGGCACUUUAUUUCUUGCCAUCUUAAUGCUCAUAUGCAUCCAGGUAUGAACAAGCAUGUUGCACUUGUAACCAGAUUGACCAUAUGAAUCACAGCACCGCCAACACUGCAUAUACUUUGACUUAAAACAGGCAUCAGUAGAGAGAAGGACGGCCAUAUGAAGAAGCUAGUGUAUCUGAUACACUUAGUGAUCCGCGUUGGAGAUGCCCCUGUUCUACAUUUCAUCAUUCAAAUGGUUGCUCACAGAAAGCAAGCCGUCCCGAUUUGCAUGCUUCCACCUAGUCACACAAAACCCUAACCCUAACACACACCAUAAAAACAAGCAAUGGUAUCUGAUCUCAGUACACAUCUGAAUGAGCCUUACUCAUCAUUUCCAUCAAUAGCACUUUGCUUCAAUCCCACAAAAAAGAAUAGAGGGAAACCAGUUGUCAAAGAACAAAAUAUGACCAGAAACCACGCAAGAAUCAGUGAAAGCAGAAAGAAUUACUAUAUCGGAAUCAAAUCAUGAUCUGGUGGACACAAAAAAGGGUACAUGUAUCAGUAAAAGGCUCAGAUGCUUAUAUCUCCAUCUCGACACCAUACAUGAACUUCUGCUAAAAUGACCAUGAACAUCUUAUAUUUGUGGACGGAGGGAGUAAUAGUUGGCCGCUGAACUGGUUACUUGCUGUGACACAAGCCAUCCUAGUUUAGCACCAAGUGAAUCAAUUCAGGUGUUAGAUAGAAGCUCUUGCAGGGAAGUUAUAUCAUCACAGCCAUUCAUGAACAUGACACAAAGGAAACAGUAAUCUUAACUUGCCCUAUACAACCCUUAAGUUGAAACCACUAAAGAACUAACAAGAAACCAAAAGUACAACUGAUAAGUAGAUAAAAGAGUACAGCAGAAGAACGAAAUUAUGAAGUAGCAAUUGAAACAAGCAAACUGCCCCAACAGUAAUUAAGAUAGUCUUAAGAACUAUCCAAGGGACAGCAGAAUUAUCAUAACCAUUCAAGAAAAAGGAAGAACAGAAGACAACAAUAAGUGCGGCUAGAGUACUGUUCCUAAAACAACAGAACUGGUUGACAUACUGCAAAACCAACAAAAUGUGUAGGAAAAAUAGAAUAGUCGAAGAUCCCUUUGCGCAUGCAACAGAUAGGGCUGCAAGAAAAGCUCGAGGCUCGUGAGCCGCUCGAGAUCGACUUGUUUUUUGACUCGACUUGAGAUCAACUCGAAAAUAAACAAGCAGAGUUUGAACACUUUAUGUAGCUCGACCAAGAAACGAGCCGAUCUUGAGCCAAUAUUGGCUCGUUCGAUUUUAGCUCGAUAGCUCGACAGAAUAUCAUUAUGUUAAAUGAUCAUGCCAUAUAUUAAACGAAAAUAAGAUAAUUUAUUACCAUAUAUUUUGUCCAUAAUUUUUCUCCAUUUUAUAUUUACCAACGAACAUGGAAACUUAAUUAAGUUCAGAGGAGAUUUAGGCCUAAUUAUUGCACGUGGUCGACUAUGUGUUAAAUACCCUAUAUUUUUGGCAAAGGUUCCCAGCAUAUUCACCUUAAAUUUUUUUGGUUUUAAUCUAUAGAUUUAUAAUUUCUAUCAUCUCAUUUAGCUCGAAACUAGCUCGAGAUCGACUCGAGAUCGUUACAAGCUGAGCACGAGUCAUGUUCUACAGCUCGAUCAUGAGCUUCACUUAGUUUGAGCUCGCUCGAAUUUUCAUACGAGUUGAGCUAAGCCAACUCCAACUCGCUCGAGCUCGACUCGUUUGCAUCCCUAGCAACAGAUAAGGGUGGAAAAUAGGUCGGGUCAGAUACAAAACAUAUGCAGCUAAGCACAGUAUCAGCAGCUGGAGGGCGAUUAGAGCUCAGAAGAGAGAAGAGGUGGUAAUUAAGAUUUAAGUGCCUCUUUGGAACGCAAGUAUCGUUCAAUAUGUAUUCCCUCCACAUUCAGUAAGAGUUCAGGCGGAGAGGGAUUCAGACUUCCCAGACACAGCAGCUCAGGUCCAAAAGGCGGAACUGAAUCGUGAAAAAUCCAUCAGAGUAGCUCAGAUCUCGUUGAGCACACCCAACUUCCCAGCCACCAGAGGCCACAGGACUACUCCGCCCCAUGAUCCACACCGCAAACCGCCAGCCCCUGAUGUUUCAGCUGUGCCGGCUGCCCGAGAAGGGCCUCCCAAGCCGAUGCAUUAGUGCAGAGGGCGCGACAGGAGGGGUGGCCCCAUGAAGCAAAGGUCUGAGGCCGGGGGAGACGGCAGGCUUCACCACCUUCAUCAUUCCUCAUCGCUGCCUCUCUAUCACAGGUGAAGCUUUAUAAGGACAUAGGGAUGGCAAGCAUCGAUGGUGGAAGUUAAGGAGGACUACAAUGGCAAAUAUCAAUAGAAAAAUUGACAAUGGAUGCAAAAAUAGGACCAAAAAACUGAAAAAUAGCAUCAAUAAAUCUGCUUUUAAAUUGGUUUGAUAAAAAGAUUUGACACCAUCUCACCUUCCCAGAAGGUCCACAUAAAGAAACAGAGCCAUAAUAACAAAGAACCAAAGCCGUAGGUAAUGCCAGGUUUCUUUUUCAAGGUACAGGCCAACAAUGUACAUAAUAUAUACAACUUAAUUUUCACAGUGAGCCCACGACCAUUCACAGUUGCCAAACAGGUAUUCUUAAAAUCAAGAAGAAACAAAGAAAAGUUUUUGGGAAAAUCAAACUGUUUUCUGGAGUAUAUUCCAAAAGUACUCACUGAUCAAAUUAAUAUAAUCAAACAGUAGAAGCAUCAGACACAGGUGUCAUAACAAAUACAUGCACGAGGAAUAGUUCACAAAAUCCAGGAAACAAAAUCCAGGAAAAUUGUGGAGUAUUACUUGAAUGGCUCAGAUUUAACCCACCAUAAAUCACCAAAGUUGGAAAAUGCUUCAGGUAGUACUCGAAGCCUUUCGGUACCAAACAACAACAACAACAAAGCCUUUCAGUCCCAAACAAGUUGGGGUAGGCACGUGGAUACCUAAUUUCCAUGCACCCCUGCCCAUGGCUAGUUCUUGGUGAUAUUCCAGUCCUUCAGGUCUCACCUUACCAUCUCUCUCUCUCUUUCCCCGCCCAGCAACAAAUAGCCGCAACUGGUAACUUGCUGCAAAGCAAGGCCUCCUAGUAUUACGACUGACUGUCUAACUGGGCAAAGUUGAAUGGAACCAAUCAUCUCUAUCUCAGGAUAUGUUGAAAGAUCUCCAACACCAAAGAGGAGGAAAUCAUCAUAGCCAUUCAGAAAAGAAUAGAACUCAUCAGCACACAACAGAAACAAAUAUGCUGUGUUCGGAAGUUGAUUUGGAACACUAUGCUGAUGGCCGUAUUACUAGAAAUGAAAGAAGCAAUUUACAUUUGUUCACUUCAGAUAAAAGGAGUAACUGCCAGAAAAAAAAAAACAGGACAAUACAAAUUUUCCAUUUUGGAAAAGAAAAACAUAAGGUAGAAAUCCAAGUCAAAAACAAUAGUGUGUUCGACAUAUAUAGUUUGUACAACUAUACAGGCAAAAAAUAAGCCAGCUAGAAAUCAAUCCAAGCUAGGGCGGUUGGCUUCAUCACCAAGAGAAGACAUCAAUCCAAGUCCAGAUGGGCCGUUACCCACAUCAACACAAUAGAGAGGAAUAAAAAAGAAAAAACAGUGCAUAGUAGAGAAGGUAAAAUCGAAUAUUUGUAGCGUAGCAAAAGAGGGCUCAGUUUUGCCUUUCAUCUUCAAGCCCAACACUCGCAUCUCUUGCUGCAUAAUCUACCCAUCACGAUGUAAAAGAACUGCCCUGGUUAUCAUUCAUCAGAAUGACCGUCCAAGUAGCAGAACAUCCAACAUUAGCGAUGAAUUGAACAGGCUGCAAGAGAGGUAAGGGUGUGCUCUAAUUUAGUACCCAUAGGCCACAGCUCUUAAUUGCUCAAGACAGGCUUAUUUCAGCCACGGUCAUCAUCAUUGCCCCUGGUAAGGACUCCAUCUCUUCAUCACACAGUAGCAUGCAUACAUCAUCCAUCCAUCCAUCCAUCAGGCUGGUCGUAGUGGUAAGUAACUUGUCGCAUCCAUGAUAUCCAUUACAGGCAUGCACACAUCCAUCCAUCCAUCCUCUUUAAUUACUUGUCACAUGAUCUUUUUUGCCUAUGUGGCAUGCAUGUUACUACUCCCUCCGUUCCAUAAUUACUGUUGUGGUUUUAGUUCAAAUAGUUCAAUUUGAACUAAAACCUAAGUUACUCCCACUAUGACUAGUCUCAGUCUCAGGAGCUGCUCGUACCUGGCCUCGACCGCCCAGUGUGGACGACGCAUCAGAUAAUGCCUUACGGUUCCCAGCCCACACCACAACCAAAUCCAAGGCAAUGAAAUGGCAGUGGCUGGCAGCACCGUAGAGACGGGGAACUGACGUGGCAGCCACCCGGACAAUGGGGUAGCAAGUCGGCAAUGAGAGCUUUGCUGAUUUGUUUAGGGCUUGAGAGAGAGAGAGAGAGAGAGAGAGAAAGGUGAGGAGGAUUCAUACCGAAUCCAAAACAAAAUGCAACUGAACUGAGCAAAAGAGGGCUCAGUUUUGCAUUUCAUCUUCAAACCAACACUCACACCUCUUGCUGCAUAAUCUAUCCAUCGCAGUGUAAGAGAACUGCCCUGGUUAUCACUCAUCAGAACGACCAUCCAAGGCACAGAACAUCCAACAUCCGCGAUGAAUUGGACAGGCUGCAAGAGAGGCAAGGGUGGGCUAAAGAGUAACUCCAACGCAGAUACCAAUUUUCUUGCACUGUUUAGUCCCACCUCGCCAAGGCUGUCUUGAUUGCUCAAGACAUGAUUAUUUCAGCCACAGUCAUCAUCAUCGGCAUCGCCCCUAGCAACAUAACCAUGAAUCCAUACAUAUAUGCAUGCAUACAUCCAUCUAUCCAUCCAUCCUGCUCAGGAGUUGCUCAUACCUGGCCUCGACCGACCAAAACUCCGGCUCCGACGACGCAUCAGAAGACACCGUACGGUUCCCAGCCGACGGGCACAACCAAAUCCAAGGCAAUGGGACGGCGGUGGCAGGCAGCACCGUAGCGGUGGGGAACUGAACUGACGCGGCGUACAUCCGGACGAUAGGUCAGUCAGCGAUCCGGCAACAAGAGCUCGCCUGAUUUGUUUUAAAAAUAUACUCCCUCCGUUCGGAUCAAGUGUCGUGGUUUUAGUUCACGACACAUGAAUGCAUCCAUUCAUCCAUCCUUCUCAGGAGCUGCUCAUACCUGGCCUCGACCGACCAAACCUCCCGCACGGACGACGCAUCAGACGUCAUCCUACGGCCCCCAGCCCACGCCACAACCGAAUCCAAGCCAAUGGAAUGGCGGUGGCUGGCCGCACCGUAGCAGCGCUGGGUCAGCGAUCCGGCAACGAGAGCUUGGCUGAUUCGGUUUAGGAUUUACUGGUGUGAACUCUAAGCGCGCGCGCGCACAGAGUGAGCGAGUGUGUGAGAGUCUGAGAGAGAGAGAGAGAGAGAUGGGGGGACCGUACCGGAUCCAAAGCAAAACGCAGCCAAGCUGCGAGAAAUCCAUCGACGGCGGCUCAGAUCCCGCGCCGGCCCGACCAAGCCCUCGACCGCAGCGCGCCAUGGGCCCCGCCGCUCGGUCCCCAGCCCGCACGGCCGCAGACGCCUCCCGCAUCCAUCCAUCCUCUUUAAUUACUUGCCAGUCAUUUUUGCCUAUGUGUCAUGAAUGUUACUACUCCCUCUGUUCCAUAAUUCAGUUACUCCCACUAUGACUAGUCUCAGUCUCAGGAGCUGCCCAUACCUGGCCUCGACCGACCAAACAUCCUGGUGUGGACGACUCAUCAGACAACGCCUUACGGGACCCAGCCCACGCCACAACCAAAUCCAAGGCAAUGGAAUGGCAGUGGCUGGCAGCACCGUAGAGACAGGGAACUGACGUGGCAACCACCGGGACGAUGGGUCAGCGAGUCGGCAAUGAGAGCUUGACUGAUUUGUUUUAGGGGUUGAGAGAGAGAGAGGUGAGGAGGAUUCAUACCGAAUCCAAGACAAAAUGCAACUGAACCGAGCAUAUGUAGCGUAGCAAAACAAGGCUCAGUUUUGCAUUUCAUCUUCAAACCCAACACUCACAUCUCUUGCUGCAUAAUCCACCCAUUGCCAUGUAAGAGAACUGCCCUGGUUAUCACUCAUCAGAAUGACCAUCCAAGGCAAAGAACAUCCAACAUUGGCAAUGAAUUUGACAGGCUGCAAGAGAGGCAAGGGUGGGCUCUAAGGCCAACUCCUUUUUUCUGGCACUGUUUAGUCCCACCUCGCCGAGCUGUCUUGAUUGCUCAAGACAUGAUUAUUUCAACCAGUCAUCAUCAUCGGCAUCGCCCCUCCUUUUUUUCCAAAAAGGAGGUUGAACCCCCGAGCAACAUGACCAUGAUAUCCAUACAUAUAUGCAUGCAUACAUCCAUCUAUCCAUCCAUCCUGCUCAGGAGUUGCUCAUACCUGGCCUAGACCGACCAAAACUCCGGCUCCAACGACGCAUCAGACAACACCGUAAGGUUCCCAGCCCAUACGCACAACCGAAUCCAAGGCAAUUGGACGGCGGUGGUAGCGGUGGGGAACUGACGCGGCGGACAUCCGGAAAAUAGGUCAGCAAUCCGGCAACGAGAGCUCGCCUGAUUUGUUUUAAAAAUAUAAUCCGGCAACGACACAUGAAUGCAUCCAUUCAUCCAUCCUUGUCAGGAGCUGCUCAUACCUGGCCUCGACCGACCAAACCUCCCGCAUCAGACAUCAUCCUACGGCUCCCAGCCCACGCCACAACCGAAUCCAAGGCAAUGGAAUGGCGGUGGCUGGCGGCACCGUAGCAGCGCUGGGGAACUGAGGCGGCAACGAGAGCUCGGCUGAUUCGGUUUAGGAUUUACUGGUGUGAACUCUAGGCGCGCGCGCGCACAGAGUGAGCGAGUGUGUGUGAGAGUCUGAGAGAGAGAGAGAGAGAGAGAGAGAGAGAGAGAGAGUGAGAGAGAGAGGGAGAUGGGGGGACCGUACCGGAUCCAAAGCGAAACGCAGCCAAGCUGCGAGAAAUCCAUCGACGGCGGCUCAGAUCCCGCGCCGGCCAGACCAGGCCCUUGACCGGAGCACCGCUCGGUCCCCAGCCCGCACGGCCGCGGACGCCCCCCGCAUCGGCGGCAGCCCCGAGGGGCCUCCAAGCCGAUGCGCGACGGCGCGGCGAGGGGGGCUGGCCCCGAGGAGCGGCGGCCCGGCGCGACCGCCGCCCGGAGCCUGGCCGUCGCCGGCGGCUCCCUCCAUCAUCGCCGCCGUCCGGGGAGGGAAGCGGUCAUCGGCCACGGCGAGAGGGGCGGGCACGGCGGCAGGAUUCGGUCAGACAUGGUUAGAGCGCUCGCAUUGCAUGCUCCGCCGCCGGUGGCCUCUCGCACCAGGACUGGUCCGAGCCAGAUCCGGGAAUGGAUGGAGGGGAAGGGGAAUGAGAGCGGGGGUGCAGAUGAGGGGAGGGAAGAAGCCACCUUCAGCCGUUGCUUGGGGGAGGACACACGGAGUGCCGACUAGCGCACUAGAGUUAGACCCAGUGAACGUGUCCUCUUGUGUGCAUUUUCUCGGGGUCUCUUCUCAACCAAACAUAAAAAAAUACUCAUAUGAAUCUCGGCGUAAAAUCAAUGACAAAGAUACAUUUGAUGUGCAAUGCUUAAGAUAGACUUAGACGUUGUUUAGCAAAACAGUUUUCUCAGGUCGUCGCGGUUAAGACAUUGUUUAACUUAGGCCAACCUCAACGCCGGCGCCCCAACGGACGCGGAUGUUGUCCUUUUUUUUAUGUUUGGAUUGGCUAGGCAAACGCUCAAUGUCUGAUUUUUUUUUCCGCCGGACCAUAGAUCAGCCCAACGCGGACGGAGAGAUUUCGGAAUUAUAAAAAAUAAAAACAACAAAUAAAAUAAUAAAAUAGCCACCAACAGUCCAGUUUACAUUAAAUAAAAAUAUUGAAAAUGAAAACAUGCGUGCGGUGGCGACGGCGGCGUCCUUCUCGGUCAAGUCGACAUACACCGGUGCAUCGAUCCACGGAAAGCCGCCUAGGAGGCUGCCAGUGCCGCGCUGCAUCUGUCGCCGCCUGCUGGACCGGCUGAGUGUCGUGCACCCGUGUGCCGCCUGCCGCUUGGCUGCCAAGGCGCAUGUCUCGGCCUCGUACAGGUGUCGUUGCUUCUCCUCUUCAUCGCGCACAGCCAAACAGGCGUGCACGACGUAGAAGGGCACCAUGCUCGCCCAUGAAAUCGAACGCCACAACACUCCAUGAGCACAGGCGAUGCUUGUGGGUGUGGCCACGGGGAAAAUAUCUGGUAUUCCCACACCUAGGGUGCUCCCGGUGCUUCAAAACUCUAUAGCACGUUUCUAAAUGUUCGAAAAAAUCUGAAAAAAAAUCUAGCACAUUGACGCAACAUCAAAGUAUGUUGUCAAAAAAUUUGAAAUCAAAAUUCAAAACAUAGCUUGAGAAACAUAAAUGACAAAUUCGACAGUAAAUAGUAUGCAACUUAAGUUGGGCUUUAGAGUAGGCCCAUUACCACAUUGAUGUCUAUUUUGUCAUUUUUGUAUCUCGAGCAAUGUUUCGAAAUUUGAUUUGAUUUUUCUUAACAACAUACAUUGAUGUUGUGUCAAUGUGCUAGUUUUUUUCAGAAUUUUUUUAACACUUUAAAAUGUGCUACCGAGUUUGGAGCACCGGGAGCACCCUAGGGAUGGGAGUACUACAUAUUUCCCCUGUGGCCACGGCGCGUUAGUCUCCACGCCCGUUGUUUAAGUAAUUAAUGUUGAACCUUAUACUCCCACUAUUCCUUAAUAUAGUGCAUAUAUAUUAUCUUAAAAGUUUACAGAGAAUAGAAUACUUUAUAUAAUGAGAUGGACAAUUUCAUAUUGUAUGUAUGUGAUAUUGUAGCUAUAGAUAAUUUCGCCCAUAAAUUUGGUCAGACUUGACUCCUAAAAUAAUUUGUAUACACUACACUAUGAAACGGAGAAGUAUUAAGCCUAACACCUUACAAACUCAGAGCACUUCUACCAUCGAUCAGGACAAAGCCCACUUCAAAGUUAUUGAUCCUAGGCUCCAUGAUCAGCGGGCAUCGUUGUGGCUCGAUGAGAAUUUUGGGGGCCAUUGCUUUGGUUGAAGAUGGUGAUUUACACCUUCCACAAGGACCGGACAUGAAGCACGAGAUGUGAUGUGUUCUCAUGCUAAUACUUUCGCUUUAUGUAUUUUCAACUUGUCUCACUCACUCUCAUCGGUGUUAUUAAGCCAACCAUUUCAUCUCAAGACUCAAUCUACAUGUGCCUAUCAUGUACCCCAACAAACGAGCAUAAAACCCCACUGAACCAGCCUAGACAAAGAUUACACCAACGAGCGACGAGUCGGCCCACUGCAUGAAAUGCAGAAGAAGAGAACUGGUUUGGUGGGGGUAUGCCCAGAUUUGGGAGCAUACUCCAACCAUGGAAAUACCAGAUUUGGUCUAGAUGCGUACAAGAUUAAUAGAUGGGCAGCGGAGCACAACACAAAGAAAAUUGGUGGACCAAUAUGUCAAGGCCCAAUACUGCAAACCGGAAGGCCAUGGCUUCAUGAACAAUGCUCGUCUCUUCGGCUAUUUGGAACUGAGAGAAAUUCUAGUGUUUAGGAAGAAAUCCACUAACAUUGUCAUGCUCAUCCACCUCUUCCACAUUCUCAAGCUCAUCCAGGACGAGUCAAGGCUUUUUGAUCACGGCGGGAGGUAGGCAUCUGAGCAUCAUCAUGCCACACAUUUUUGUGUUGGUAGGUGUAUACUAUCUCUAUUGGGCUAUGAUGUGGAGCCAAAAUGUACUUUGAACACCCCUCUCUCCCUCUCUAAUUAAGAAUGAGGCAAAUCUUUUGCCUUGGUUUUAAAAAUAAUAAUUAUUUCCUGGGCAUUAUCUAUGUGUGUAUAGCAACAAUGAACAUGUAUAUGGUGAGAAAAUAGUCAAGAAUAUCAACAUAAGCAAAAUCCAGGGACAGCUGUAGUUAUCGCAAAGAGAAAUACACCCUGUGUACUAAAUGUAAGACGUUAAUAGGCCAUUAAAUUCUAGCUCUGCCUAAGCCGGCAAUCUGGCCCAUGCAUAAAGCCAAGCCACUAAUCCGGCCCAUGCAUAAAGCCAAGCCACUAAUCCGGCCCAUGCAUAAAGCCAAGCCACUGACAUUAGCUAUCAAAAUUUCAUUCCAAGCCAUGACAAUUAAUAUUCUCACCAUCUUAAUGCUCAUAUGCACUCACACUCGCAUCCAAAUGUGACAAGCAUGUUACCAGAUUGACCAUACAAAUUACAGCACCACCAACACUUGUAUAUAUUGACUUGAACAGGCAUCAGUACAGAGAAGGGCGAACAUACAAAAAAGCUUCAUUACUGCUCCAAGGCAUACUUAUUAUUACCUUACCAGAAAGCAUCAUCAGAACUCAUCAGGCUUGAAGUAUUUCAUGGCGGUACAUCAUACUCUUGUAGCUUGUGAUUAUCUAAUAUCAAGAUCUCUAGGCGGCCAAUUUUAUUCCUAUACGUUUCAUGAAAAUUAUGUCGUUAAAGUAGUAUUUCAAAAGUUGCCCACUGAAGGAAUUAACCACAUAGGAGAUCAAGAUGUAGAGUACACUGAAGUUCAAAUCACAUAUUACUGGAAAUAUCAACAGUGCAUAGAAAGAGGGCAACAAACAAGAGGCAAACGUAGAAAUAGGGGAGGAGUGGUGCGGAUUAGGCUGCAACCCUGUGGGCCCUGGGAGUAAGCAUGUAGGCACGCCAAUAUCCAACACAUUCAUAUGGGCAAAACCCACUCUAUAUCCGAUACACUUGGUGAUCUGCAUUGCAGAUGCCCUUACACCCCCGUGUGACACACUAGUAGGAAAAGGGGCUUUUACCCCGGUUCAUAAGGGCCUUUAGUCCCGGUUCAGGAACCGGGACUAAAGGGUCGUUACUAAUGCCCUAGCCCUUUAGUCCCGGUUCUUACACGAACCGGGACUAAAGGCCGUCCACGUGGCCGGUGCGGGGAGCCCAGGCAGGAGGGCCUUUGGUCCCGGUUGGUGCCACCAACCGGGACCAAUAGGCAUCCACGCGUCAGCACCUGGNNNNNNNNNNNNNNNNNNNNNNNNNNNNNNNNNNNNNNNNNNNNNNNNNNNNNNNNNNNNNNNNNNNNNNNNNNNNNNNNNNNNNNNNNNNNNNNNNNNNNNNNNNNNNNNNNNNNNNNNNNNNNNNNNNNNNNNNNNNNNNNNNNNNNNNNNNNNNNNNNNNNNNNNNNNNNNNNNNNNNNNNNNNNNNNNNNNNNNNNNNNNNNNNNNNNNNNNNNNNNNNNNNNNNNNNNNNNNNNNNNNNNNNNNNNNNNNNNNNNNNNNNNNNNNNNNNNNNNNNNNNNNNNNNNNNNNNNNNNNNNNNNNNNNNNNNNNNNNNNNNNNNNNNNNGGGGGGUUUGGGGGUUUUGGGGGGUUAAUUUAGGUUGUUAUUAGGUAGCUAUUAGAGAGAAGUGUCCUCUCUUAUAUCUCCGUGCUUGGUUUACCAACGCUACGUACUGCUAUGCCUAAACAUGGCUUAGAUUGAAGUGAAGGCAACAUGUGGUGCAUGUCGAAAGUAAUACUAAUCCGGACUUGAUCAAGUUUGGAUUGUACUACUUUCGACACGCACCACAUGCAUGUUGCCUUCACUUCAAUUCAAUCCAUGUUCAUUUCACCCGCUGAUAUAUAAUAACUCUUCAUGCACGCAUCAUGCAUCAUCAUAUAUAAUAACAAGUCCUACUAAUCAUCAUCAUACAACUUCUACUCGUUAUUAAUAACAAGUCAUACGAUCGAUCAUCAUCCUCACAGUCAUCGAACCAACCCUACUUAAUUGUUCUUAGCACAUGAUCAUCAGUAUUAGGUAGGACCGAAAUACCCUCUUUAAGGUAAAAUAGCAUAAAACAAUAUAGACCCUGACUCUCCAUUAUGGAGAAUGGAGAUCAUCCUGUCUCCAAUUCUUGCGCCUCGCUUCCUUUUGCUUCCAAGAAGCUCCUUGCGACUGUCCAUACAUUUUUUCCAUUCUUUGAUUUGCAUGUCUCCACUUCUUUUAGAAAUCCGGUAUGUACAGUUGAGAUUCGUAGGAUGACCUAGUUGUAUAUUCAAAACAUCAAGCCUACCAUUCUGAUACAUCAAAUGAGGCACACAAUCCUCUGGGAUUAUCUGUUGAAAAACAUAGUAAUAACUUCAUAGUUAGCAAUGAUAAUGCACUAGUUUUAGAACUAUGCAAAAUAUGCACGGAUGUCGUAAUAGUAAGAAAUCUUACCAGGGUAUCUCCAUAGUAGUUACCGUAGUUCACCACGUGCACUAGUGGCAGGUAUGGAGGACCAUAAUGAUGAGGAGUUUGAUUGUAGAUAUUGUAAUUCUCAAUAUCAGUACAAAAUCCGACCAGAUGAGUUUUCUCCUUAUAAGUUAACUCAGAGCCAUCGGUGUAAUAGGUUCUGUCUACCAUGUUCCGCACAUUGUUUGAACAAUAAAAAUAAGCUGUCAAUGAAAAUAAGCUGUCAACUAUUUUGAAAUGAACAAUAUAAAUUAGCUAAUAACUAUGUUUGAGAAACUCACAUAGCGGUAGAAUUGGAGGCGUAUCAACAAGGACCCAAAUGUCCAUAUUGUCUUGCUCGAUGUCAGGAUCACCAAGAUCCAUGGUGACAAGCAUACCCUCAUCAAAACCAUACAUCUUGCAAAAUGCUUCCCAAUUUUUGCAACCAAAAUGGGUUACGCUCUCAGAAUUAUACAACUUUACUUCAAAAUCUAUAUCAUGAUGGGUCCUUAGGUGAAUUUUCUUUGUUUCCAUACUUUCAUGGUCUUCAAAACCCAUCCUCUCCAAGACGUAGCGUCUUGCAUGGCAUGGGAUAAGCUAGCCGAAUUGUAAAAGAUGAAAAGUACACGUUGAAAUAGUUGAAGUCGUGCUUAAUUACGAAAAAAUAACACUUGUCGUCGUUGCGUACCGUUUCAACAUCGAACGCCUCCUCCAGCUUAAUACUGAAGCGCCGAUCUUCGUCCAGGUGAGGCCUGUCGCACUGACCUCGGUCGUCGUGGCACCAGUCGCACUCCCCCGGGAGACUUUCGUCGUCCGAGUACGACAUUUCCUAUGUUCAUAUAUAAUUCAAAUAGUAAACAUCUACAAUUAAAUAUAUGUACUAAAAAACCUAAGUUAGAUCAUUAUUAUUCAUCACGGGUUGACUAUCGGUUUGUCGAGUCUUUUCUUGAAAACUCUCAGCUCACGUGGUGUAUACAUUCGACCGUUGGUGAUGGUCGCUCCUCCCUUUGUCCCCGUGUGCAUUACACCAAAAUGUCUAGCUAGCACACGGGAACAAAGGAGAAGCGACCCCCACGACAACAGUCGGGAUUCUUCGUCCUCUCAUAUAUAUAUAUGGUGGAACUCUCCCUCACUGAUUCCUCUCUGACAUUUGCGACCGUCGGUGAUGGUAGCUCCUCCUUUCGUUCUCGAGUGCAUUACACCAAAUUGUCUAGCACACGGGAACGAAGGAGAAGCUACCCCCACGACAACACAGUCGGGAUUCUUCGUCCUCUCAUAUAUGGUGGAGACUCGAUAGACUUACAGUCAACCCGAAAUAUCGUUUAAUUAUCUUUCUAAAAGAGGAUUUGGCUGGUCUCACCUCGAUGUCGGAGGGGGCGGUGACGGGGACGACGGCGGGGAUGAUGGAGGGGCCGGGGGGCUCCUAGAUUUCUGCGAAAACAAAAACCCUAUAAGCUAUCAACUAAUCAUAGUGCUCUCCAAUUUUAGCAUUCAAAGUAGGAUCGGAGUAGUUUUCCACUUUGAGCAUUCAAUAAGCAAAAUCAAAUCACAAAAUAAAGUAGUAUUCAAAUUAGGAUGCAUCCAAUUAUAAGCAAAACUACAUCAUCUCCAUGCGUCCGUACAUCGCUGAAUAUUAUCACUAAUACACCUCGAAUACUAUCAUACAUAUAGCAUCGCUAGUACAGCUAGAAUAGUAGCGCCCGACGGACAUCGGCGCGGGCGGUGGACACCCAAAGGGACGGAACCAUCACAGGAUCAUAGCUCCAGUGAGAUCCCUGAAGAACCUGCCAGGUACUGUCGAACCUGCCCUCCAACGCAACCAUGUAGCGACGGACGUGCUGGUCCUCCUCGCUGACACGGUGACGUACCUCCUCCGCGGUGUCCGGAAGCCUCGGCACCGUCACUGGCCCACGCGAGCGCCACCAAACAAGGAUCGGGUCAACGACGGGCUGGUUCCUCACCAACCUACGCCCACCGGAAGGUAGCACCUCCCAAAACCAGCCCGGCGGAGCCCAGUCCCGGACAUGGCCCCUCUGAUCAAGCCGGCCUCCUCCGCCGAGUCCACGACGAGGAUGCGGGAUAGGCAUCGUCGACGUCGAUGCGGGAAUAAUUGCUUUAACUAAAAAAACAAACUAGUUCUAUUAAUUUCCUUACUAUAAAUAGAAUAAAGUAAUACUUACUAAAAAUAAACUAGCUAGUUUAACUAGUUCUAUUAUUUUUCUAACUAAUUCUAUUAAACACUUUCUAGGUAGUACUUACUAAAAGUUAUCGGGGAGGGGGGUACAUAUAUCGACAACGACAUACCCGAUAAAAAAUAAGAAGAGGAAGAAAACGAAAAAAAGAGGAGAAGAAGAAAGGAAUAGAGGAGGAGAUCGAAGAAAAAAAAGAAAAAAAGAGGAGAAGAAGAAGGAAUAGAGGAGAAGAAGAAGAAAUAGANNNNNNNNNNNNNNNNNNNNNNNNNNNNNNNNNNNNNNNNNNNNNNNNNNNNNNNNNNNNNNNNNNNNNNNNNNNNNNNNNNNNNNNNNNNNNNNNNNNNNNNNNNNNNNNNNNNNNNNNNNNNNNNNNNNNNNNNNNNNNNNNCUUCUUCUCUUCUUCUCUUCUUCUUCUCCUUCUUAUUUUCCUUUUUUCUCUCCUUCUUUUUCUUCUAAAUAUGAACAUACAUAAAUGACUUUGAUCAUACACAAUUUCUAUGAACAAAAAAAAUCAUAAAAAUUCUAUGAACAAAAUUACAACAGAAAAAAUCAUAAAAAUUCUAUGAAAAAAUUGAUAUAUUCUUUGCAUAUGAACAUACAAACAUUUGCAUAUUCAAUAAUAAUAUCACCAAAAAAAUCUAAACUACACAUCUAAAUUACAACAACUAAAUUAUCUAAUUAACUACACAUCCAAAUUAAUACAACUAAAUUACAAAUCUAACUACACAUCCAAAUUAAUACUACACAUACAAAUCUAAUUACACAACUAAAUCUAACUACACAUCCAAAUUAAUACUACACAUACAAAUCUAAUUACAUCUAAAUUAAUACUACACAUACAAAUCUAAUUACAACAAUCUAAUUACAAAUCUAACUACACAUCCAUUACAGGGAGGAGGAGGAGGGGAUCGGGGCGGCGCUCACAGGGUGGCGGAGGGCGACGGCGACCGCGGCGGGCCGGGGGCGUAGGGCGGUGACGGUGACGUACGGGGCGACGGCUCGGGGGCGCGCGGCGGAUGCCGACGGCGACGGNNNNNNNNNNNNNNNNNNNNNNNNNNNNNNNNNNNNNNNNNNNNNNNNNNNNNNNNNNNNNNNNNNNNNNNNNNNNNNNNNNNNNNNNNNNNNNNNNNNNNNNNNNNNNNNNNNNNNNNNNNNNNNNNNNNNNNNNNNNNNNNNNNNNNNNNNNNNNNNNNNNNNNNNNNNNNNNNNNNNNNNNNNNNNNNNNNNNNNNNNNNNNNNNNNNNNNNNNNNNNUGUCUGUUGGCCUAUUGGGCCUUCUGCGGGCCUGAAUCCUGGCCCAGGUUGGGUUUCUAGUCGUAUUCAGGCCGUGGUGGCCCAAUAGGUGGCAGUUUUUUAAAUUUUUUGCAUUAUUUAUUUUCUUUUGUUUUUUGCUUUAUUUUUUAAUUCUUUUUGCUUUUAGGUCAGCAAAAUUAUAAACUGUCUGUUAGUGCCAUUAGUUUUAUAAAACAUAUAAACUUUCUAUUAGUUCCAUUAGUUCUUUAUGAAAAUUCUUUUUGCUGUAUUUAUUUUUUUAUUUUAUUUUUUGCUAUAUUUAUUUUGUUUUAUUUCUACUUACAACAAAAAACUUAUUUAUUUUAUUUUAUUUUGUUUCUAAUUACUUAUUUAUUUUACUUUAUGAUAAUUCUUUCUGCUAUUAAAGUUUCUAUCAAAAAAAGUUCUUUAUGAAAAUUCUUUUUGCUUUUAAUGAUUAAAAAUAAAAAAGAGGCGCAACGCGCGUUGAUUUGCUUCAAGCCUUUCGGAAUAGUGUAGACUGCACUGCACAUAGCUCGAUGCAGUCUACCUUAUUCCUCAAGGCUUGAAGCUAAGCAACGUGAGCAUUGCGCCUCUUCUUCAUCGUCUCUGCACUCAGGGCUUAUAAAUCGCUCCUAGUGCCUCUCAGCUAGCGAGGUGGGACUAAAAAACUGCUUAGCUAGUAAGAAACUCUAGUACCGGUUCGUGCCACGAACAGGUACUAAAGGUGCUCGUGGGGCCACAGCCUCAUUAGUACCAGUUCGUGGCACCAACAGGGACCAAAGGGUGGAAUUGGUCCCGGUUCGUGCCACCAAUGGCAUGUUACAAAACGGACAAUCUCUUUCAAAGUAUCAGGAUUUCAUCCGGAAACUCGUCUGUUACAAAGGGAUUUCAUUUUUUUUAAACUUAUUUGAACUCCUGAAUUUUUGUGUGUUCAAAAUGCACCAUUCAAAGCCACAUCAUCAUUUGUCAAUCCUUUCUGACUUCAUUUGUUAUUUUUCAUGCAUUUACUAAUUAUUUUGAGCUAUAAGACCCUAAAAUUGAAAAGCAUUUCAAAUGAACUCUGAAAAGGUUGAAAGUUGGCAUGAUAUCAUCAUUUCAUCCACAUAGCAUGUGCAAGAACGUUGAGAGGGUUACGGCAUAAACUGGAUGCACUUCGUGUACAAAACGGACAAUCUCUUCCAGACGCAUUUUAUUUUUAUUUAUUUUACUGCUGCUAUUUUUACUUAAUUUAUUAAGGUUUAUUUAUUGUAGUUACUAUAGUUUAUUUUAUUUUAUUUUAUUAAGGUUUAUUUAGUUUUAUUUAUUUUAUUAAGGUUUAUUUAUUUUAUAAAUAUAAAAAAUGAAAAUAGAUGCGCUUAUAGAGAAAAUUCAACCUAAAUUCAUAAUAAAUAUCUAUGAAAUUUACUGUGAAUUUAGGUCAAAUUCCCUGUAUAAGGGCAUCUAUUUUCACUUUAAAAGGCAGAGAGGGACGGGCUUAUAAACUGGUGUGAGCCCCUUCGGUUGGUGAGGUGGGACUAAACACUGGCCGCAACUAGGACCAGCCCUUUAGUCCCGGUUUGUGGUAUGAACCGGGACUAAAGGGUGGUGGGCCAGGAGCGUGGCCCAUUGGUCCCGGUUUGUACCACCAACCGGGACCAAAGGGUCCAUACGAACCGGGACCAAUGCCCACGAGGCCCCGGACGGCCCCCUGGGCUCACGAACCGGGACGAAUGCUCACAUUAGUCCCGGUUCGUGACUGAACCGGGGCUAAUGUGAAAACUGCCCUGUGACCUUUGCCCCGUUUUCUACUAGUGACAUCUCAGCAUUCAAAUGGUUGCUCACAGAAAGCAAGCCGUCCCGAUUUGCACGCUUCCACCUACACACACAAAACCCUAACCCUAACAUAUACCAUAAAUACAAGUGAUGGUAUAUGAUCUCAGUACACCUCUGAAUGAGCCUUACUCAUCAUCACCAUCAACAGCACUUAGGCGCAAAUCCCACAAAGAGAAUAACAGAGAAGCCAAUAGUCAAAGAGCGCAAGAUGACCAGAAACAACAUGAGAAUCGGUAAAAGCAGAAAGAAUCACUAUAUCGGGAGCAAAUCAUGAACUGGUGGACACAAAAACUGGGACAUGUAUAAGUACAUGGCUUAGAUACACUCCCAUCUCAACACUAUAACUGAAUUUCUGGUAGAAUGACCAUGAACAUUUAUAUUUGUGAACGGAGGGAGUAACAGUUAAGAAGGGGAGCCUUGCCGCAGCGAUAAAGCUGUAGCCUUGUAACCUUGAGUUCAUGGGUUCGAGUCCUGGAAACAGCCUCUUGCAGAAAUGUAGGGAAAGGUUGCGUACUAUAGACCCAAAGCGAUCGGACGCAUGUUCUUCCUUGGUACAUGCGUGUGUGUGUGUGUUCCUGAGUUCCACCAUUGUGCGUCUGUGUGUGUGUGUUCUUGAAAAAAACCACAAGAGAGUUGAGAGAGGAGGAAGAAGAGAGGCGCUGCAAGGAGGCGGAGCCAACACCCGGACUGUUGAGGAUAUAACCAUUGGAGUCACCCGCCCAGGAGGGGCCGGGUUACCCAUAAUGGUCAUCACGCGAAGCCCAGUACCAAAUUUGAAGACGGCGGGUCAAUAAUGGGCCUAAGACCCGGAGAUGGCUUAAGGCCCGUAGUGUUAGCCGCCGUUGGGGUGAAACUUGUAGUGUAAGGCAAGAAUAGCUAAGAGUCCGAGCCGGACACUGUUAUGGGCCGGCCGGGACUCUGAGAGCCGCUGGGCGUCAACCUCUCUAUAUAAAGGGACGACCCGGCGGCGGUUUAGGGACAAGGAAGAUCAAGUCGAGAGCCGGGCAUAGCAAUUAAGCUCCCUGGUCAUCAAAACCCUAAUCAAUACCACCUCAACUGGACGUAGGCUUUUACCUUCACCGUAAGGGGCCGAACCAGUAUAACCCUCGUGUUCCUUGUCCCGUUUAACCCCUUUAAGCUUCCUAGCUGCGAUGGCUCCACGAUUAAGUCCUAACACGAGGACAUCUGCCGUGAUAAAUGCACGACAGUUGGCGCCCACCGUGGGGCUGGCGCACGGUGGAUUUGAGUUCUUGAAGGGCAGCUUCGAAGGGCUCAAGGGAUACGCGGUAGGCCGGAUGACUAAGAGUCAUCGCGGCAAGCUCUACAUCGACGAUGCAAACUGGGGCCCCGACGCCGGCUCAAUUGAGUACGGGUACCGGGUCCCCUUCGGCGGAAUUCAUGUCUUCAUUGGCAAGAUUGGUGAGCCGGGCCCUAAGCCGGAUCUCUGCGCCGAUCUCAUGGAGACGGCUCAGCGCGCACGAACCGCCCGGGCUCUGCCUGCCUUGAAGCAUGCUUUCGUGGGAUGUGUCCAUGGUGGAUUCUUUGAAGGGUCUGGAUCUGGUGAUGAGACGGCCGCCGGCUCUGGCGGCGAGUCGUCUACGGAUGAGUCAAACUCGUUGUAUCAACUUCAAGAUGGCAGGCUCAGGAGUUGUUCCGAUGGCGACAGCAUUCCGGACCCCUUUGAGCCGCCGAGCCGGGUUGGAAUCUUCAUGGCCGGCGCACAACCUGUUCAAAACCCCGCCGCCGGGUCAGGAAGCCCUGUGCCCUCGCCGGCUCAGGUGUUGAUGGAUCUCACAGACAUGAUGACAGCCUUGUUGACCGCUACGGUUGCCCCGGCGGAUCAAGUUCAGCAUGACAAGGAGGUAGCACAGUUAAAGUUGGAUCUAGCAAAAGCCAAGGAGGAUCUGGCGGCGGAAGGGAUCAGGAUGGCUGCAGAGAGGGCGGCUCUCGACGCCCAGACUCAGUUGAUCCAGGCACAGUCUUUCCAGCUCACGAUGGAUCAAAACGCGUCCAAUGAGGUCAUGAGAAGGAGGCAUCAAAAGGCCCAAUCUCGACUCCCUCCGGUUUACGAUCCUCGGAACCUCUUCAACACGCCGGGUGCAGGGUCUAGUAACCCGCCAGAGAUCAUAGUGCCCGGGGCUGGGACACCAAUUCAGCCCCAAGUGAUGGGACCUCCCCGGGUGAACCCUGCCCCGCCUCAGUACGUACCAAUACCGCCGGGUCAUUAUGCCAACCCGUUGGAAAACAUGGUCGCCGCGGCGGCGCGGCUGGCGGCUCUCCCAAUUGAUGGUGACUCUCCAACGGCGGUUGAAACCCGCCGGGUCAGAGAACUCCUUCAAACGGCUCUGGCGCAGCAAGAGGCGUAUUCUUAUAGCCGGGACAGGAUUCAUUCAACCCUCGUCCAGGCCGGAGCCCGAGUUAUAGCAGACACAUGGUCUCAGCGACCGGCUCAAGCAACGUCCGACGCCAUGGCUUGCCUCCUGGCCACGGCCCGGCUUAUCCGACGGCUCAUAACGGGGCCUUUCACGCGGCAGACCAAGACAGAGCUCGGCAAGAGGCGGAGCAGGCGCCUCAGUUGACGGCUUACCAGCCACCCCCGGCUUAUCCGACGGCUUCUAUCGAUGCGGGUAUACCUACGAGGACUGGAGGUGUCCCUUGUCUGGUGCCGGCUCUCUGCAAUGAACGUCUGCCCAAGGAUUUCAAAGGGCCUAGGAAGGUGCCUAAUUACACGGCUGAUUUACAACCCGGAGCUUGGAUCGAGAGUUACGAGAUGGCCAUGGAGUUGCUGGAGGUCAGUGAAGCGGCAAUGGACAAAUACUUCACCAUGAUGUUAGAUGGGACUGCCCGCACUUGGUUGAAAGGGCUGCCACCGAAUUCUAUCGGGUCUUGGGCUGAGCUAAAGGCCCGGUUCAUCCAAAACUUCAAAGAUACCUGUAGGCAGUCUAUGUCAAUUGUGGAUUUGACUAACUGUAAGCAGCAGGAGGGUGAGUCUACAACCCACUGGGUUCGCCGGGUCAAAGAGAUAAUACAUUCAUCUGAUAAGAUGGAUGCCGGCUCUGCAGUCUUAAUGUUAGAGCAGAAUUGUCGCUUUGCGCCCCUGAAGAUGAAACUCGGGCGGCUCAAGCGCGAUUGCAACGAUAUGGGUACGCUGAUGGCGGCUCUGGUUAAAUACGCCGACUCUGACAGUACCAAGGAUCCCGCGUCAGAUGAUGAAAGGACAGGGAAGGGAAAACGGAACGACAAUGGCAAGGGCCCCCAGCAUAACCCGGCGAACCAGGGGGGUAACAAGCGUAAGGCUGAUGGCACUAUGGAGUUUGUGGCCAAUGCCAGUUCACAAGGUAACAACCACCGGCGCAAGGGGAGACCGCCUCCCCGCCGGCGGGUCAGGCCCGACGCUUGAGCAGUUGUUGAAUGAGCCUUGUCCAAAGCAUGGCUCUAGGGAAAAGCCGGCCACUCAUAUGUGGAAAGACUGCGCAAUCAUGAAGGCCUUCAAAAAUUCCAAUACUUUCAAUGGCAAUAAUGGCCCGGGCGGCGGCUCAGGCGCCGGCGGCUUUCAUGGCUCGGGCAGCGGCUCAAGUUCCAAUCCUCAGAAUGUUCAAAGGGGCUUUAAUCAGCAGUCCGGCCAGGGUCAUCAACAGCAGCAGGGGGAUACCAGACGAAUCCGAAGCAGCUCAAUGGUGGACAGUAUCAUGUGUUUACCACCAGUCUGUGCAAGCGAGAUCAGAAGCUUCAUAAGAGGGCUGUUAACGCUGUUGAGCCGGCGGUUCCACGCUAUUUAAGAUGGUCUGAGCAGCCUAUUGUGUGGAGUAGGGAAGAUCACCCUCCCCGGGUUGAUAAUCCGGGACACCUGGCCCUGGUGGUGGAUCCUCAGGUGGGGGGAUACAAAUUCACUAAGGUGCUCAUGGAUGGAGGCAGCAGCAUCAACAUCCUCUAUUACGAGACCUUCCGUCGUAUGGGGUUGAUUGAUAAGAACCUCAGCCAGUCCAAUACUGUUUUCCAUGGUGUGGUGCCUGGUAAGUCGGCAUAUCCAGUUGGUAAGAUCGAGCUGGAAGUGGCUUUUGGAGAUGAGCACAACUACAGGGCGGAAAAAUUGACCUUUGAGGUGGUUAAGAUAAGAAGUCCGUAUCAUGCUAUAUUUGGGCGGCCGGCUUACGCCAAGUUUAUGGCACGGCCGUGUUACGUAUAUUUACAGCUCAAGAUGCCGGGUCACAAUGGGACCAUUACGGUUCAUGGCAGCCGAAAGAUAGCCCUGGAGUGUGAGGAAGGUGACGCGGCUUAUGCAAAAUCUGUUUGUGCAACAGAGGAGUUGAAGUUUUACAAGGACAACGUUGACCCGGCAGAUAUGACAUCUCUGAAAAAGCUGACCACGGAGCAUGAGCCGGCGAUGAAAUUUAAGUCAGCUGAUGAGACCAAACUUGUUGACUUUGUUCCAGGUGACUCGUCUCAGCAGUUUAGCAUCAGUGCCAAUCUGGAUCCGAAAUAGGAAAGCACGCUCGUCGAGUUCAUCCGUGAGAACAGGGACAUUUUUGCAUGGAAACCUUCUAACAUGCCAGGUGUACCUAGGGAACUCGCUGAGCACACUCUCAAUAUUGAUCCGAAACCGGUCAGGCAAUUCCUUCGGCGGUUUAAUGAGGAGAGGCGGAAAGCCAUUGGUGAGGAGGUGGCCCGGCUCUUGGCGGCCGAGUUUAUUGUCGAAGUCCUUCAUCCAGAAUGGUUAGCUAACCCGGUGUUCGUGCUCAAGAAGAAUGGCACCUGGCGGAUGUGUGGACUACACGGACUUAAACAAGGCGUGACCGGCUGAUCCUUUUGCUCUCCCCCGUAUUGAUCAAAUCAUUGAUGCUACAGCGGGUUGUGAGCGCUUAAGUUUCUUGGAUGCUUAUUCUGGAUACCAUCAGAUUAAAAUGGCAGUUAAGGACCAGGAGAAGACGGCGUUCAUCACUCCCUUUGGAGCCUUCUGUUAUGUGUCUAUGCCUUUUGGACUCAAGAGUGCACAUGCGACUUACCAGCGUUGUGUGCAGAAUUGUCUUCAUAACCAGAUUGGGCGCAAUGUUCAUGCCUAUGUGGAUGAUAUCAUGGUUAAAUCCAGGGAGAAGGAGACCCUGGUUGAUGACCUUAGAGAAACCUUUGAUAAUCUCCGGGUUUACAAGAUGAUGCUUAACCCGGCCAAGUGUGUUUUUGGUGUUCCUGCAGGCAAGCUCUUGGGUUUCCUGGUUUCUAACAGAGGCAUUGAAGCUAACCCGGAAAAAAUCAAGGCAAUCACCUCUCUGGCUAAGCCGGCGUGUAUAAACGACGUCCAGCGUCUAGCAGGCCGCAUCGCUGCUUUGAGUCGUUUUAUAAGCCGUUUGGGUGAAAAGGCCAUGCCACUGUACCAGUUGAUGAAGAAAACUGAUGAUUUUGUCUGGAAUGAUGCUGCUAAUACUGCUUUCGAGGAUUUGAAGAGACAGCUGGCUGAGCCCCCGGUUCUUGCUGCUCCGGUUGACAAGGAGCCCUUAUUACUGUAUGUAGCUGCUAACGCAUGAGCCGUCAGUGUGGCUGUGGUGGUGGAGCGCAAGGAAGAGGGUAAGGAGUACCCGGUUCAGCGGCCGGUUUACUACGUCAGUGAAGUGCUCAUUGAGUAUAAACAGCGGUAUCCACAUUGGCAGAAGCUUGUUUAUGGUGUGUUCAUGGCAAGCCGGAAGCUUAAGCAUUAUUUCCAGGGUCACCCCAUCACUGUGGUUAGUUUCGCUCCCCUUGGAGAUAUCAUCCAAAACAGAGAAGCUACAGGAAGAGUGGCUAAGUGGGCUAUAGAGCUUGGGCCUCAUGGUCUGAAAUACGUACCAUGCACUGCUGUCAAAUCUCAAGCAUUGGUGGAUUUCAUCAAUGAUUGGACAGAGCUACAGGUGCCGGAAGAAAAGCCGGAUAAUACAUAUUGGACUAUUCACUUCGAUGGGUCCAGGCAAUUGGAGGGCUCGGGGGCUGGAGUUGUAUUAGCUUCCCCUCGAGGUGACAAGUUUUGCUACGUGCUACGGUUGAUGUUUCCCUGUACUAACAAUGCAGCUGAGUACGAGGCCUUGCUCCAUGGUCUUCGGAUGGCUAAGGAGAUGAGUUUGAGCCGGGUGAGGUGCUUUGGCAACUCAGAUUUAGUGGCCCAACAAGUGUCAGGCAAGUGGGAUUCCAAGGACCCUCUCAUGGCGGCUUAUCGCCGUGAAGUUGAUGCCAUUGCUGGACACUUUCAGGGUUACCAAGUAGAGCACAUCGAUCGCAGGAAGAACGAGGCGGCUGAUGCACUAAGUCGGCUGGGCUCUCAGCGAAAGCCGGUGCCGCCUAAUACUUUCUUAGACAUCUUGCAUAACCCUCUGUUAAGUUACCUACAGAGGAAGACUUGGCUGUCCCUGACCCGGAGGCACAGUUGGUGGCGGCUCUUCACAUCACCCCAGACUGGACAAUACCAUAUUUGGCUUACAUGACCCGGGGAGAGUUGCCUGAGGAUGAAACUUUGGCCAGACAAAUAACCCGGUGUCACGACCGGUUUUUCAAUAAAAAUAUUUAUUGAGAGACCAAUCCCUUUUAUGGACCAGUAAAGAAGAAUUCCUUCUCACUGGUAGACAAUAUCUUGGUCACAGAAGAAAAUACCAGGAGUACUGAAUAUAAUACAAGGUUGAGCGGGGACUGCUCAACAAUUUAUUACAAACACGCCGACAAAACAUAACGGCGGAUAGGGUGGCAUGACUACUAACUCACGAUAACAACGGUGGUGGAAAUAUCACAGCGGAGUAGGUGAUAUGACUCCUGAAAACUACAGCUCUUCGAGCGUCGGAGUGAGGCUCGAGGAGACUUAUUGCGGGUGGCGGAAGCGUGUAUAAUACAAGUGACCAAAAUCCGGGAUCGCACAGGACUGACUGGGAGUCAUCUAGGCGUCGGACGCACUAUCAAACUCUUCAUCCAAGAGAUCGACUUCGUCAACAUCUGGCCAAAUCAACAAGCCAGGUGAGUACUAUGAAAGUACUCGCAAGACAGUUUGGACAUAAGAUAUAACAAAUGUAAACAUGAAGCAUAUGAACAGAUUUUCCAGUGCGUUCAGACAUAGAGAUAAUAAAUACUGGGUGCCAAACGAGGGUCUGAAUGACUCCUCGAGAGGAAACUGCAAGAAUAGUAAUACUGGUGCCAAACGAGUGUCUGAAUGACUCCUCGAGAGGAAACUGCAAGAAUAGUAAUACUGGUGCCAAACGAGUGUCUGAAUGACUCCUCAAGAGGAAACUGCAAGAAUAGUAAUACUGGUGCCAAACGAGUGUCUGAAUGACUCCUCGAGAGGAAACUGCAAGAAUAGUAAUACUGGUGCCAAACGAGUGUCUGAAUGACUCCUCGAGAGGAAACUGCAAGAAUAGUAAUACUGGUGCCAAACGAGUGUCUGAAUGACUCCUCGAGAGGAAACUGCAAGAAUAGUAAUGCCGCAGUCGGGCGUCAGGGCGACACCACAUAAAGGGCUUAUAAAAGAAAAUAAAAGACGAACAUGCCACAGUCAGNNNNNNNNNNGAACAGAUUUUCCAGUGCGUUCAGACAUAGAGAUAAUAAAUACUGGGUGCCAAACGAGGGUCUGAAUGACUCCUCGAGAGGAAACUGCAAGAAUAGUAAUACUGGUGCCAAACGAGUGUCUGAAUGACUCCUCGAGAGGAAACUGCAAGAAUAGUAAUACUGGUGCCAAACGAGUGUCUGAAUGACUCCUCGAGAGGAAACUGCAAGAAUAGUAAUACUGGUGCCAAACGAGUGUCUGAAUGACUCCUCGAGAGGAAACUGCAAGAAUAAUAAUACUGGUGCCAAACGAGUGUCUGAAUGACUCCUCGAGAGGAAACUGCAAGAAUAAUAAUGCCGCAGUCGGGCGUCAGGGCGACACCACAUAAAGGGCUUAUAACAGAAAAUAAAAGACAAACAUGGCACAGUCGGACGUCUGAGCGACAUCACAUAAAGGGCUUAUAUUGUGGCUCAAUAAUUCAGUAACUUGAGAACAUAAAUUAUUACAAGCACGAGACAAAUAUAAGGUUAGUCCAUCCGCAGGAAUAACAAUUAAACUGGGUUUACCACUUGAGCUUGUUCACCGGGGGUAGAAAUUCCACGAGGAUAGAUAUGGAUAUACUGGUUACUCUAAUUGAUCAUGGGGACUAACAAUUAAACGGAAGGAUUUGACUCUGCAGAGUUUGUACUUAACCACAGCCAACGGAUUUCAGUAGUCACGGGACUAGUUCCGUUUACGGUGUUUUGGAAGAAACACGUCUAACCAGUACACACCCAUUCAACAUUCCGAAGCCAGGGAUCACCCUCGGCAAUGUUCAAGAAAAACCUUGAGACGGGGAGGCUACAACCUCGCGUAGCAUGGGAUCAAAUUUCUAUACGCGCUCUCUAAGGGGGUGCCCCCCCUCUCGGUCCCAACCGGAAACACCCAUGCCCCCUGACCGGAUGACUGGCUUUAAUCCUGGGCCAAGGUACCAUCAUCCCGGCCCCUCUGUUUGGUGUGUACACGGAAAGAGGUUACCAACUUACUAAACCGCAUCCUGGCAAAUGAAACAUGUGGCAGCACGGAGAGGAAAAGAACGAUAACGUGACUCCGUCCACGUUAACGUCGGAAUUUGUCAGAUGACGGAGGCUGGUAUGCUACAACAGUACCACCUUGCUGCCCUUCAUGUCACCACAUGAUUAGGCCAUCUCUCACCAGAGAUCAUCGUGACUUUGGAACAUGCGGGUUGCCUCACAAGCAAUGAGGUACUCACUGACACUCAUAAGCCACGCACAAACUUUCACGCAAACAUGCAAAACACCCAUCAUAUCAAAGGUUCAAACAUGCUUGCCUGGUUCGGAGAAGUCGGAGUCUAGUUCGGCGAAGUUCGCGGCUCCGUCACCUCCUCCAGAACCUACGGCAAUAACGAAAACGGGCACUAACGUGAAAACCAACGUGUGCAUAAAAACUUCUCCAAAUUUUUUCCAAAUAAAUCCCAUAAAAAACUAGACAAAAUUUUAAGAUUGUCAGAAAAAGAAUCACUCAAAAAUCCCUUUUUAUUAAAAAUUUAUAAAGGUUUCUGUCCAGGGACUCAUCUGUAAUGAAACAGAAAAGUUCCAGGGUUUAAACUGAGAAAACAAAAAACGCUUCGAAUAGAAAUGCGCAAGCCCACAGAGAAAACGUAUUUGCCUGAAGGCGCCAACAGAAAACGUUUCGCGAGGGGAAACAGAAGAGAGGCUGACAGGGGGGUCCCACAUGUCAGGUUUAAACCUCGCCGGCGCCCGAGGGCUGCGGUGGUCGCCGGCGUCGAACCACGGCGAGACAGGGAGAUCGGAGUGUACCAAGAGCUUCAGCGUGUCCUUCCGCGUCGGUGGGUGGUGGACUCGACCGACGGAGAGCACCACGUCGACGGCGACACUUUCUCCGGCGGACGGCGGUUCGGGUGAUGGUGGAGAACUCCGGUGGUGAGCUGCAAACUCCGAAUUGACGCGCGGGUCAGAAGAGUGGAUGCAUAAGGGAGCUACUGGCAAGAGAUGGGAGGCAGAGGCGCACGCACGGGAGCGAAUCGAGCUGGAUCCCGUGGCGGGUCGCGGCGGCCGGAGUCGAGGAAGGAGACCUCCUCGGGGUUCUUCCAGUGGCUUGGCGUGCUCUAGGUGGAGUGCAGGGGUGGGGUGGGUUCGAGUUGAAGCCCGGGGCUUCUAUUUAUAGGCGGAUCGAGGGGGUGGCCGUGAACGGAGAAUCUCCGGCGAGCAAUUACGGCGAUGCAGUGGUCGAGCAGGGGGUUUGAGUGGCCAGGCAGCAUCAGUGGAAGUUACUGGUGUCGUUCCCCCGCUAAUCCCGGCUGGUCUUGGCGUAACGGCGCCGGUCCACGGUGGGGUGGCCGCACGGGCACGUCGGCGGCAGAGAGCGCACUCCGCGCCCAGCGGUUCACGACGAGAGUGGCAGCGCGUUCUGGGGAGUGGAAGGCCACACGGCGACCUCCGGUGGCUUGGGCGGCACUGGGUGGCGCCGUCAGCGCCGCGCCUCUCUCUGGCGGCUGCAAAGCCGCCGCUGGCGUCGGUCACGGGGCGGCGCACCUCCUGCUGCUCGUCGCCGACGUCCGCAAGGUGUCAGGGGAUCGUGCGGUGCAGAGGACAAGGAGGAAAGCGCAGGGCGCACGGCGACACCGCGGCACUGGCGAGAUCGACGUCGGGUUCUGAAGAAAACGACAGUGGGCACUGAACUGUUCUCUGAAUUUUCUGAACCUGAUUUUGACAAUGCCCUGCAGGUGUUCGACAGAAUGAUUAGGCAAGCAGAAAAAUUUUCCUGGGGCUGGGACUUGGUGAGGUGACCACUCAAUGCACCCAGAGGCUGCCUGAUUUUACUCAGAAUUUUUGGAGAAGGAUUUGAAUGAAUUUCAUCAAAUUUGACAAAUCUGGUCCAAACUUGCAGCAAGUGUAGUUUGAAAAAUUUGAACUGAAGACCAGUGGAUCUUCAUGGUUCUUGGUUGAGGGUUCAAAGGACUAGGAAGGGAAAAAGGUUUGGGGGCAAAAGUCAAAGCAGAAAGAGUAGUUCCUUUGUAAACCUCCAAGGGCUAGAAUAGAGGACAAAAAUUGUUUUGAUAAGAUUUAAAUGGAAAAUAAUUAUAUGGGGAGGUUCAGCUUGCUGGUUUUGAUGCAAAUCAUGAUCCAAAGAUGAGGGAAGGUUUAGGAGAGUGGAUUUGUACUAAGGCCAUGGCAAGAGAGAAUUGUUGAAAGUGGCAAAGGAUUAUUCCAAAAGCUAUAGAGUAUUUUCAAAGAAAUUUUCAAAAGACAUUUUUCUCAAGUGAAAAGCAUUUUGGUUUGAGUCCAAAUAAAAAGCAAGGACCUCCAAGACCAAAAACAAGUCUUGGGUGAAUCCAAAUAAAACUCUUGCCAUAAAAAAAAUAUUUUGAGAGGGAGGGUUCUUUUGAAGAAAAAUUUAAAUCACCUCCCUCAAGUCAAAUUUUUUUUUUGAAAAAUCCAAAUAAAAUUUUGGGUGUCACACCCGGCGGUAUAAGUCAAUGAUAGUUAUCAAUGGUGAGCUACAUCGCCGCAGUGUCACCGGAACUUUCCAGCGUUGUGUUUCCCCUGAGGAAGGCCAAGAUAUUUUGCGUGAGAUUCAUGAGGGGAUUGUGGCCAUCAUGCCGGCUCAAAAUCUCUUGUGGCCAAGGCUUUUCGUCAUGGUUUUUAUUGGCUGACGGCUCAUGCUGAUGCGGAAGACUUGGUCAGUAAAUGUGAUGGUUGUCAGAGGUUCUCUCGACGGGCUCAUGUGCCGGCUCAGGAGCUGAGGAUGAUCCCAAUUACUUGGCCAUUUGCGGUCUGGGGGCUUGAUAUGGUUGGGCCUUUUAAAAGGUCCAAGGAUAAGAAGACCCACCUCUUGGUGGCAGUUGACAAGUUCACAAAGUGGGUUGAGGCAGAGCCAGUUAGCAAGUGUGACGCAGCCACAGCGGUUCAGUUCAUGAAAAAGGUGAUAUUUCGCUUUGGUUUCCCACACAACAUUAUAACUGACGAUGGUACCAAUCUGUCUAAGGGCGCCAUGGAGGAGUUUUGUCAACGAGAGCAUAUUCGACUUGAUGUUUCGUCAGUGGCUCAUCCUCAAUCCAAUGGUCAAGCUGAGAGAGCUAAUCAGGAGAUCUUGAAGGGUAUUAAGCCCCGGCUUUUGGUCCCUUUGCAACGGACGCCGGGUUGUUGGGUGGAGGAGUUACCCUCCGUGUUAUGGAGCAUCAAUACUACUCCUAACAGGUCUACGGGUUACACGCCUUUCUUUAUGGUUUAUGGAGCGGAAGCAGUCCUCCCUAGUGACAUCCGUCAUGACUCACCUCGAGUGGCGGCUUAUGUUGAGGCGGAUAAUGAACGGGCGCGCCAAGAUGCUCUGGACUUGUUGGACGAACAGCGUGAUGUCGCAGCAGCUCGCUCGGCGAUUUACCAACAAGACCUGCGCCGUUAUCACAGCCGCCGGGUUAAGUCCCGGGUCUUCCAGGAAGGUGAUCUGGUGCUCCGGCUUGUCCAAGACCAAACAGAUGCACACAAAUUAUCCCCGCCUUGGGAAGGGCCCUUUGUGGUCAGCAAGAACUUGCACAACGGGUCAUACUACCUUAUCGAUGUUCGGGAGCACAAAGAUUCACGCAAGUCGGAGGAAGAGACCCGUCGGCCGUGGAACAUAGCUCAGCUUCGGCCUCAUUACACUUGAGCCACCGGCUCUCAUAGUGUACAUAUUUCUAUAGCCAUGUAUAUAUUAUGAUAAAUAAUAAAGCAGGACCUCUGUCCUUUUCUCCUCCAAAGGUAAACGUGUUAUUAUCAUUACAACAUCACAUGGUCACUUGGAGGUGGAUCCGGCUUAUGAUCGUAUUCGAAUCUAGCCGUAAACAAUAUGAUCACAUGGGGGCUUCCUGUUCAAACAUAGGUCGCACUCGAACCAAAGAGAACAUAGUUGUCGAUACCCACUUGAUUGGCAAAUUGCCGAGCUCAUUGGGGAGUUUUCUUUGAUCAUAUUUGAAUCAUAGCUCAACCCCCUUUGGGAACCGAUGUGGAUCGUAUUUGAAUCAGCGUCGUUAAACAACUCUUAAGGUCAUUUGGGGGCUUCCUGUUCAAACAUGGGUCGUAUUCGAACCAAAGAGAACAUAGCUGUCGGUACCCUCUUGAUCGGCAUCGCCAAAGCCAUUGGGGGCUAUAUGAUCGCAUUCGACUCUUAGCUUAACCCCUUUGGGACGGGUCUCUGGUCGUAUUUGAACCAGAAGCCCCUAAGUUUUGAUCUUCUGACUUACAACAAGCUCUUUUGGUCAUGUCAACAGUGUGCAAGGACGGCUUUUACUUCGCCGGCUUAAUUUUGAUUCACAACGUUGAUAACACAUAGUAAGUAUUCUUGAUGCUGGUAAACCGGAGUUGAGAUCUUCAACUCAUUAUUCGGGUUACAUAAACCGGAAGUAUACUUGAAGGCUUGUAAGUAUGCUAUUAUGGUUACAUCAAAAAAUAUAAUUGAGGGCCAGUCUUUGGUGACUUUUGUUCAUACUCCGGGUUAUAUAUAUAAGGUCUAUGAUUCUCAGUGCGGUAAGCCGCCUGGAGACUUGUGACUUGUUUUCUAUGCAGGAUGGUUAAAGACAGCUGUUCGAACUUAAGGAAAAUAAACUGAUCGAUUAUAACCCGGAGGAAUAAGCAGAAGCAGCUUCAAUGGAGUUAAGCAUUCAACACGUGCACGAUGGCACGACAAAAUUAAGUGUUUGUCCUACUCUAUUACAAGACUCCCCGAGUCCAAAAGGUGAGGCAUUGUUUUAAGGUGCAACCAUGAGCCGCCUAAAAGUCAAGAUGCUUGUUGAGUUGAAGCUUCCGGCUCAUCCCUCUCCGCUCCUCCGGCUGAUUCCAUGACCUGGAAGGUUGACGAUUUCCAGUCAAUGCCGUUCAAGGCUUCAAAUUGAGCCUCGUCGUCAAUUAACCCGGCCGGGUCAACUUCUGGGGCAAAGGUAUGCUUACGAGUCGGAGGGAUCAAGCUGAUGGCUUCAUAACAUGGAGUGGGGAUCCUCUGAUUCUCCGCGUCAUAGCCCGGCUGGUACUUGGUAAGAUCUGUGUCGUUUCCAAUCAUGGUAGCCACCGGGCGCACGCUCUUCACACAGGCGGCGAAGUCUUUCUGGUCAAAGGGAGUGUCGUCUUCCUUCAGGCUGGGGUAUGCAAGAGCAAUGUCGGCCGGGUCUAGCUCCGGGAGAAAAGCCUUGGCCCGGCUCAGUGCAGCUAUAGCUCCGGCUCUUGCAGAGGCCCGUCUUAGCUCUUGGAAGCGCUGAGGAAGAACGGCAAGCCGCCUGAGUACAUCCGCCAGGUGAGUCGGAACCUCGUUGGACAGGGCCACAACGGCUAACGCACGCUGUGACCCGGUAUAGAGUUGCUCCACCAAGGUAUACACGGCCUUCAGCUUGGUCAGAACAUUCUGGUUCAAGUUGAAGCUUCUGGGACCUAUUUAACAAAGUCAGGUAAGCCGGUGGCAGUAGUGAGACUUAUGAGACAUAAAGAAUGAAAACUUGUUAAAGGCUUGCAGAAUGACUUACCGAAGAUUGCGGCGACCAUCUGUGACACAUGGCGCUUUAAGCCGGAGAGUUCGGCGGUUCUCUCCGUCAGAGCAGCCUCUGCUUUUUCGGCCCGGCUCAGCAAGACGGUUUUCUCCUCGGCCCAAGUUUUUCUCUCUGUUUCAAAUUUCUUCUUCAGUUUUUCCUGUUCAGCAACACUGAACUCGAAUUUAGCAUUGGCCUUCCGGGUCUCAGUUUCCUGAGUAUUCAGGCGGUUCUUCAGCUUCAAAUUUUUUGCAGACAGCCUGUACAAAUUCCGGGUUAUAGUAUGAGUAAUUUUUAUGUAACAUUCAAAGUCCCAAGCACUUUGCACGCAAAGACACUUGGCACUUGGGGGCUAAUGUAUGCUGAAAGGUUCUAUUUAUAGUGCCGGUUCAUGAAAGUAAGUCCCAAGUACUUUGCAGGCAAAUGUACUUGGCACUUGGGGGCUAAUGUGUAACGUUGCUCAACUACUUGAUGAAAGUAAGGAAAGAGCCGGGUCAACUAUGCUGUUUAAGCCGGCCCUCGAGUGUUACCAGUCAUAGACUUGGGGGCUGGCAUGGUAAAGAUAACUAUGGAAUAAGCAAGAGAGUCAUACCUCAGAUUUUUGCUGUAUCUGCUUCACCAUAUCAAUCUCCAAGUCCCGGUUGCUGUGCACGUGACCAAUGUAACCAGAAACAAUGUCUCCAAUACUCAAGUUAGCAUAGUCAGUAAUCUCCAGUCUAGCCUUGCGGCGCUCCAGCGCUUCUUCUUUGGCAGAGCAUCUGGCCAGCGCAGUGGGUCUUCCCGGCUCAACGUAUUCAGUCCGGGUAAUCACCACAUCCGGAUCAUCGGCCGAUUGAGCUGAGCUGGGAAUCUCCGGGUUGUCGGAACCCGCCAUGGUUUGUUCUUCAGUUGAGGCGGCGGUGUCCGGAGCUGGUGAAGAUGGCGGCCCGGGAGCAGAAGCUUCUGGUUCAAUCAAUACCGACUCUUCGACCGGGUGAUUCUUCUUCGCUCUCUUGCUGAGCUUUGCUUAAGCACUGAAAGGACAAAAGGUUAGUACAAAAGCAUGAGUAAAGAUAAGCACAACAUAAGAUGAUCAUCAUUACCCAGGUGCGGUCUUGAAAGCCGGCAAGUUAGAUUGCAUAGAGUCACCAGAGGAAGGUGAAGUUUCCUGAUAGUUUGAAUCGGAAGAAUUGAGUGGUUGGCGAAUGAUGCCCGCCAAAUGAUGAAAAGGAUAUAAGUUGGAGAUAACCUCGGUCCGGCGCUUCCUUGAUGCUUCAGGUAAGCCAGAGGAGAGGUCUGCAUCCUUGGUGGCCCGGGUUUGUCUCCGGCUCUCAUGAAUCUGUUGCUUCAAAAGAAAUUGAGGAUCUUGAUAAGCUAAAGGAUGUGAAAAUCUUACUUUCCGGGUUACUCUUCGGACUUUCAGCCUUGGCAAGGGCUCCGAGUCGGAGGAAAUGAUCAGUGUCAAUAAGAUGGUUACUCGCUCCGGUAUCAUCCUGCUAAUGAUCAGUGUCAAUAAGAUGGUUACAAACAGACGAAAAAACAAAAGAAGAGUCUAAAGAAACAAGGGCUACCUCUGACUCGGAGCUAUCAUCCAGCUGAAGCAGCUCUGAGGCGCUAGGCUUACUCCCCUUCUUGCGGGGAGCGGCUCUCCUGGCGGCUUUCUUAGCCUUCCUGGCUUUUUUGGCAGCUCCAUGGUCAUACUUGACCUUCCAGAACGCAUCAUUAGCCUGAAAAAUACGACAAAGAUUUCUUAAGGUUCAGGUGAAAACUAUUAAAAGGGAAAGCAAGGUGCUCAGGUCAGCGGCUUACCGCUGGAGCCGGGUUAGCUUGGCAGAAGGGGCUUAAGCCGGUCCUCCCACAGUCGGCUAAGCUCUCAUUCAGGAGAGACUUGGUCAUGUCGUCCACGACAUCCUCAGGAAGAUCGUGGGAGCUGUGCCGCAAAGGGUCAUCCUUUCGGCCCGUGUAAUCACACAUUAAGCCGGGGCGGCGGCUCAGAGGAAUCACCCGCCAAGAAAUCCAGACCCGGACCAGAUCAAUGCCGUUAAGGCCAUUUCCCAGAAGAGCCUUAAUCUUGUUGAUGGUAGGGAUAAGUGGCUGACGUUCCGCUUGAGUUAGUUUGUCUGGCAGGGGGUGAGUUGGCUCCAGACGCAGGGCACAAAAGCCAGGCAGAGGGCUCUCAUCAGCCGGAGAAGUGUCUUGGCAGUAGAACCAUGUCUGGUUCCAAUCCUUUGGGUGGCUUGGCGGCUCAGCGUAAGGGAAAAGACAAUCUCUCCGUCGUUGAAUAGAGAUUCCGCCAAGCUCCAAGCUAGGCCCGUUGGCGCACUCAUUCUGGCGGUUCUGAUAAAACAAUUCCCUAAACAGCAGUAGGCUGGGCUCUUCUCCAAGAUAUACUUCGCAGAAUACUUGAAAGUUGCAAAUAUUUGACACGGAAUUGGGUCCUAUGUCUUGCGGUCGCAGAUCGAAGAAGUUCAAAAAAUCUCUAAAGAAUUUUGAGCCGGGAGGUGCGAAGCUCCGACUCAUGUGAUCAGCAAAUAUUACCACCUCGCCAUCUCUAGGUUGAGGUCUUUCCUCUGACGGGUCAGGGGCACAGUAAGACAUGACCUCCUUCUUGGGCAGGUAACCCGUCUUCACAAAGUCAGCUAGAGUGUCAUCAGUAACAUUGGAUCUCAUCCAGUAGCACGUGAUGGGUGCCUUGGGAGCCUUGGGUGGCAUUGUGAAAGACGAAAGCCUAUGACAAAAGGAAAUGUCCGGUUCAACUAUAAGCCGGAGGAAGUUUAUAGUUCAAUAUUCAAGAUGGCGGCUUAUGAAGGGGCCUAAUGAUAUAUCGCUAAUUCUUUCGGGUUAUCUAAGCCGCUGUGGGCAUCGUGAGUAAUUCAAGUUGUCUAAAACUUUAUCAUAAAUGAGCCGGAAAUUUUACAGCGUGUGGCCUCUUUUAAGCCGGAGAUGUGAGCCGCCAUAGCUAAACAGAUGCAAUUUUUGGCUAAGUGUGCCACAAACAAGUUUCACAGAUCGCAGUAAUUAUUUUGGAUCAAAUGAUUGACUGGAAAGAAAAUAUUUCUAGACCUAGAAGCUGAUACAGAGAAGUUCAUGAGCUCUAAAGAGAUCUCUUUGCAAGUAAAGGGGACAUGCUACUAUUGAAAAUGGGUGCGAAACCACAACCGCAUGAGUUCUAUACAUUCUCUGGAUCUAAAGGGGCCGUGAAGAAGAAACUGUGAAGAACUGCGAAGAACAGCAAGAACCCUAAUGCGGAUCUAUUCUAUGGAGUGGCAAGGGCUUACGGAUGCUGAUGAGUCGCGGAGGUCGCCGCCGUUUCUCUGGACAGGUCAGGGUGAUGCAGCGGCCUGAGUUGGUGAAAACGAGGAGACCCGCGGCGGCGGCGGUGGAGCUCGAGCGGCAGCACAGUAGCGAGAGGAGGAAGAUGGAGGCGACGAGUGAAGGAAGACUCAUGGGCCGGGCUUAUUUAUAAGGUGUGGUUAAUAAGUGGGUGCGAGAAACGAGGAGGCCACGGCGUGAUUAUCUCGCCACAGAAGCGCCUCGAUUUCCGGGAUGGCCAUUAAAGAAGAAAUCCGUUGGGGAUAUGACAGAAUAAAAAAUUAACUUAAUGGAAGAUGAUGUCACAGCGGUUACCCGGAAUCCAGAAGAUGACGUCACGGCGGGUUAUAGCCUUCACACAAAUGUAAGCCGGAAGAUUUUCUAUCAAAGGAAUUGAAAGAUUGACAUGAGCCGGCUCAAAUCAAUCUGGGGCCUAAUGUUGAGGAUAUAACCAUUGGAGUCACCCGCCCAGGAGGGGCCGGGUUACCCAUAAUGGUCAUCACGCCAAGCCCAGUACCAAACUUAAAGACGGCGGGUCAAUAAUGGGCCUAAGACCCAGAGAUGGCUUAAGGCCCGUAGUGUUAGCCGCCGUUGGGGUGAAACUUGUAGUGUAAGGCAAGAAUAGCUAAGAGUCCGAGCCGGACACUGUUAUGGGCCGGCCGGGACUCUGAGAGCCGCUGGACGUCAACCUCUCUAUAUAAAGGGACGACCCGGCGACGGUUUAGGGACAAGGAAGAUCAAGUCGAGAGCCGAGCAUAGCAAUUAAGCUCCCUGAUCAUCGAAACCCUAAUCAAUACCACCUUAACUGGACGUAGACUUUUACCUUCACCGUAAGGGGCCGAACCAGUAUAACCCUCGUGUUUCUUGUCCCGUUUAACCCCUUUAAGCUUCCUAGCUGCGAUGGCUCCACGAUUAAGUCCUAACACGAGGACAUUUGCCGUGAUAAAUCCACGACACGGACCCUGCGCAAGCAGGAGCUACGUGCACCGGGCUGCCCUUUAGGGAGUAAUAGUUAGCCCGGGCUGCCCUUUAGGGAGUAAUAGUUAGCCGCUAAACUGGUUACUUGCUGUGACACAAGCCAUCCUAGUUUAGCACCAAGUAAAUCAAUUCACGUGUUAGAUAGAAGCUCUCACAGGGAGGUUAUAUCAUCACAGCCAUUCAUGAACAUGACACACAAAAACAGUAAUCUUGACAGCUGAACUUGCCCUAUACAACCCUUAAGCUGAAACCAAUAAAGUAGUAAAGAGAAACCAAAAGUACAAACUGAUAAGUAGAUAAAGAGUACAAUAGAAGAAUGAAAUUAUCAAGUCAAAUAGCAAUUGAAACAAGCAAACUGACCCAACACCAAAUAAGAUAGUUUCAAAACCAUCCAAGGGACAUCAGAAUUAUCAUAGCCAUUCAAGAAAAAGGAAGAACAGAAAAGGAAAAACAAAACAGAAGACAAGAAUUAAGUGUGGCUGGAGUACUGUUCCUAAAACAACAGAACUGGUUGACAUACUGCAAAACCAACAAAAUGGGUAGGAAAAUAACCGAAAAUACAAACUUGCAAAACAGUCCUUUGCAUCCACCAGACCAUGAUUUUACCGAAAGAACUAAUAUCAUAACCAAACUCUCAACAUAUCUUUUAUGUAUUCAUGGAUGUGAGCAAGCAAGAAAUACAAAUUCUCAAAAGGAAAAGAUCAGUUCAAAUUUUGGGAAGGAAACACUCAUUUUUACAAAGAACUUUAUUGGGCGGGAGCCUUAGAGUUGGCCAAUUUAUAAAAGGUAGUCAUGGUAUUUUUUCAACAAGAGAUUAUAAGAGGUAGAUACAGGCUUAUGACAACAUUGUGUUUUUCCACGUAUUCGCUUCUAUAAGCAUUAAAAUGGUCAUCAGCAGAAAGCAAACCGUGCAAAUUGUAUUCCUUUAGGCCAGUUAGUAAUUGCAGUGCUUGACCAAAACAGUAGAAAAGAAGUUGACAACUUGCCGACUUGAACGUACAUCACUACCAAAAGAACCAGUAAAAAUUUAAUAGGGAUAGUAAAGGACAUGGAAUAUGACCAAAGAACUAGCUAUGGACGGGUGGGGAAGUAAAGGAGGACAUGGAAUAUCACCAAAGAACUAGCCAUGGACAGGGGUGCGUGGAAGCUAGCUAUCCAUGUGCCAGAACCAUGAGUUGGUUGCAAGAUCUUAUGGGUUUCAGCUCUAGCCUACCCCAACUUGUUUGGGACUAAAGGCUUUGUUGUUUUUGGAUGUUGGUAGUAAAGGAGGACAUGAACAGAUCAUGUUUCACAUAUUUAACCCCAUGAAAAGGGAGUAAACACAUUCAACCACUACCAAUACUAGGACCACCCGUGAGACGAGCUUGAGCAAAGCCCGAAUGCACCGAACUGGUUCCCUCCAUGGACAACAAAAUCAUGAGAGGUGACCUGCGCGUUAGCCAAUCUUAGUGAGAUGGGCCAGUGCCACAACCACAGCAAUUUAUCAGUCUAAUCAUAAAAAGGCGAUGGGAAUAAAUAAAUGUGUAAACCAUACUGUAUAGGAGGGCACAGUAUUAGUUGAAUUGAGAGGGCUCAGAUUCGCCUUUGAUAGAUAAUACAACCUAGCCCCACCCUCUUCAUUCACCAGAUCAACCCCCACCACUGAAGUCAAGCUCUGCUGGUUAUCACUCAACAGAAUGACCAUCCAAGACACAGCCAUCAAUAUUCGGUCAGAAUGAAAAGGUCACAAAAGAGGGGAGAGCGUGUUUUUUAUACACGCGGCUCCUCGAAUAAUCGAAGACAGGUUUAUUGUCAGCCAAGUUUGAUCACCAUCGCCCCUGAUAAAUAGAUCCCUUUGCGCAUAGCACAGUAUCAGCCUCCCUCCCUCCCUCCCUGGGGAGGAAGGGAGGGAGGCCUCCUAGUUUAACGACCAACUGUCUAACUGGGCAAAGUUGAAUGGAACCAACCUAGGAGAUGUGAAAGCAUCUCUAUCGCAGAAUACAUUGAAAGAUCUCCAACACCAAGGGGUGGAAAUCAUCAUAGCCACUCAGAAAAGAAUAAAACUCAUCAACACACAACGGAAACAAAUAUGCUGUGUUCAGAAGUUAAUUUGGAACACUGCACUGAUGGCCUUAUUACUGGCAAAAGAAAGCAAUUUACAUUUGUUCACUUCAGAAAAAAAGAGUCACUGCAAGCCAAAGAAGAACAGGAUAACAUAAACUUUCCAAAUUGUUCACUUCAGAAAGAAGGAGUAACUACAAGCCUAAUAAAAACAGGAUGACAUAAACUUCCCGUUUUGAAACAGAAGAAAAGCAUAAGUUCGCAAAAAGGGAUGCGUAUAAUUCGAACAGAAAACAGGAAAUGCAGCUUGCCCGUUUAUCCCAUGAAAAAUGGGGUUCUAAUGCUAAAUAGUCAGACAUGGAACAUUGAAUAGUGGCAAUACUUCCAACAUGAAACUGAACACCGGUCAGUCCAACCUCUGGCAAAAUGAAAGCAAAACCAAAGCAAGAAUACUGAAUAAAUUUUAAAAUGUAUAAUGAGAAGGGGUCCAACCGCCAACAUAUAAAUCCCAAAUGACCCAAGCAAAAGCUCCAGGAGAACAUUCAGUUAUGAUAAGACAAAAUAUAAGAGCCUUUUUAAUAAAUACACUUUUGCAGUUGAUAAAUUUACUUGACGCUCAUUUAGAAUCCGUGAAAGGGAUCUGUAACACGCUAAUGCAUCAGAAAUGUGGCAGUUAAUAUUGACAGCAGGAGCUAAAGAAUAGACUAAUUACCAAUGAACUAAAUAGCAUAGAGAAUCAUAACAAAAGGUCUGCUCUGACCUAAACAAAUACGAAGGUAAUCUGAGCUUCAAUUUACAAAAAACAGAGACAUAACAGCAAUCGUUAACCAGAUGAAUAGAACUGUCAAUAGCUACAAGCAUUGGAGGAAAAAAAGGGCAAUCGUUUGACUCAUAUAUAGUAUGUACAACUAGAAAGGCAAAAACGAUGCCAACUAGAAACCAACCCAAGUAAAGCUAGGGUGGUUUGGUUCGUCACCAAGAGAAGAUAUCAAUCCAGAUCCGGAUCUCACAUCAACACAAUAGAGAGGAAUAGAAAAUUAAAAACAAUGUAUAGUGGAGAAGAAAAAACUGAGUAUUUGUAGCGUAGCAAGAGGGCUCAGUUUUGACUUUCAUCUUGAAGCCCAACACUCAUGUCUCUUGCUGCAUAACCUAUCCAUCGCGAUGUAAUUUAACUGCCCUGGUUAUCACUCAUCAGAAUGACCAUCCGAGGCGCAGAACAUCCAACGUUAGCCAUGAAUUGAACAGGCUGCAAGAGAAGUAAGCGUCAGAGCUCUUAAGGGCAUCUCCAACGCCGGCACCCAUUUGGGGCCUAUUUAGUACCCACAUGCCAUGGCUGUCUUGAUUGCUCAACACAUAAUUAUUUCAGCCGCAGGCAUCAUCAUCGCCCUGUUUUUUUUAUAAAAAAAAGGUCAAACCCCCAAGCAACAUGACCAUAACAUCCAUCCAUCAAUCCAUCAUCCAUCCAUCCAUUCAUCCAUCAGACUAGCCAUAGCGGUGAGUAACUUAGACAAUCUCAGGAGCUGCUCAUACCUGGCCUUGACCGACCAAACCUCCCGGUGUGGACGACGCAUCAGACAACGCCUUACGGUUCCCAGCCACGCCACAACCAAAUCCAAGGCAAUGGACUGGCAGCGGCUGGCAGCACCGUAGAGACCGGGAACUGACAUGGCAGCCACCCGGACGAUGGGUCAGCGAGUCGGCAAUGAAAGCUUGACUGAUUUGUUUAAGGGAGAGAGAGAGAGAGAGAGAGAGAGAGAGAGAGAGAAAGGGGAUACAAGGAUCGUAAGCAAAAGAGGGCUCAGUUUUGCAUUUCAUCUUCAAACCCAACACUCACAUCUCUUGCUGCAUAAUCUACCCAUCACAAUGUAAGAGAACUGCCCUGGUUAUCACUCAUCAGAAUGACCGUCCAAGGUGCAGAACAUCCAACAUUACCGAUGAAUUGAACAGGCUGCAAGGGAGGUAAGGGUGGGCUCUAAUUUAGUACCCACGGGCCACAGCUGUCUUGAUUGCUCAAGACAUGCUUAUUUCAGCCACAGUCAUCAUCAUUGCCCCUCAUUUACCCAAAAGGAGGUUGUACCCCCAGCCUUUGCCAACCAAGCAAGAUGACCCUGAUAUCCAUACAUACAUACUCCCUCUGUAAAGAAAUAUAAGAGCGCUUAGAUCAUACUCCCUUCGUUUUUAAAUAUAAGCCUUUAUAGAGAUUCCAAUAUGGACUACAUACGGAGCAAAAUGAGUGAAUUUACAUGAAUGCACAUGUCCAUCCAUCCAUCCUCAUCAGCUACUCAUGCCUGGCGGUUCCCAGCCCACGUGAAUGCACAUGACCUACCAACCAAACCUGAUGACGCCCCAGAUAACACCUUACGGUUCCCAGCCCACGCCACAGCCAAAUCCAAGGCAAUGGAACGGCAGAGGCUGGCAGCACCGCAGCAGUGAACUGACACGGGCACCACCCAGACGAUUGGCCAGCGAGUUGGCAAUGAGAGCUCGACUGAUUUGGCUUAGGGUUAGGUACAUAGAGGGGUGGGGGUAUAUGUAGCAUAGCAAAAGAGGCUCAGUUUUGUCUUCCAUCUUCAAGCCCGACCCUCACCAUCUCUUGCUGCAUAAUCUACCCAUCACGAUGCAAGAGAACUGCCAUGGUUAUCACUCAACAGAAUGACCAUCUGAGGCACAAAGCAUCCAACAUCAGCGAUGAAUUGGACAGGCUGCAAGAGAGGCAAGGGUGGGCUCUAAGGCCAACUCCAACACAGACACCGAUUUUUUCAGCUCAGUUUAGUACCACCAUGCCACGGAUGUCUUGAUUGCUCAAGACAUGAUUAUUUCAGCCAUCAUCAUCAUCAUUGCCCCUCUUUUUUUUCUCCAAAAAGGAGGUUCGACACCCAUCCGGGCUGUGCACACCAAGCAACAUGACCAUGAUAUCCAUACAUACAUACUCCCUCCAUUCCAAAAUGUACUCCCUCCGUCCCAAAAUAGGAGUCGUGGUUUUAGUUCACGACACAUGAAUGCAUCCAUCCAUCCUGCUCAGGAGCUGCUCAUGCCUGGCCUCGACCGACCAAACCUCCCGGCUCAAACGACGCAUCAGACAACAGAGCACGGUUCCGGCCCACGCCACAACCGAAUACAAGGCAAUGGAACGGCGGUGGCUGGCGGCUCCGUAGCAGUGUGGAACUGAUGCAGCUGCCACCGGGACGAUGGUCGAUGGGUCAGCGAUCAGGCAACGAGAGCUCGCCUGAUUGGGUUUCGGGUUAGGGUUUACUGGUGUGAACUCGGCGCGCGCGAGCGCACACAGAGCGAGCGAGUGUGAGUCAGAGAGAGAGAGAUGGGGAUAGUAUACCGAAUCCAAAGCAACAUGAUUAUGCCGAGUCCAUCGACGGCGGCUCAGAUCCCGCGGCGGCCCGACCAAGCCCUCGACCGGAG